GAUUGACAGUGGGACCAAUUAAGCCGGAAUCAAUUACCGCCUGAAUCUGCUCCCCGUUUCCAGCUGUAAUAUUUGAAAUAAUCCAGCUGACUUCCUUCUUGAUGCUCUCUUCAUGCUUAUGGACCAACAUGUCCAAAAGGUAUGGCAGUGCACCACAGUUAAUUAUACACUGAGUCUGGAAAUCGUUCCCCAUCACAAUAUUUCCAACAGUCCGCAGGGCAGGGGUAAGCACUGAGGAUGAUGGAUGACCAAGGAGCUCAACAAGUCGUCGACAGACACCUGCCUCGAUCACAGCUUGAAUUUUGUCAUUCGUACCAUCAGAAAGAUAGGAGAGUGUCCAACAGGCGUCACUCAACACCUCUUCAUCAUCUAAAUGAAUAAGCUGUGCAAGUGCCGGAAGAGCUGGCCUUACCUGAUCAAAUGGUGGUUCUGGCUUGCCCUUGCAUAAAUUAGACAAUGUCCUUGCGGCAAUUCUCAGCAUUGAAAGCUUAGCAUGCUCAUUUAACUCUGCCAGCAAUGGAAUCAAAGCUCCUUCACCAAGCACUAGAUCACGGCAUCCAGAUGAGUCACCAGCAACAUUUCCCAAUGCCCAAACAGCCUGCUCGCGGACAUCAUCACUUGGGGAAGCAAGCAGCUUCACAAAUAUUGGAACGGCACCGUGGUCAAUCACCACCUUAAUGUUCUCUGAAGUUCCAGAAGCAAUGUUUGAAAGAGCCCAAGCAGCCUCAUACUGAAGUUGCGGAUAGUCUUCCCUCAUAAGAAACUCAACAAAGCGCGGGACAACGCCAGAUUGUAUGACUUUAUCAAUUUGUGGACUCCUCUCAAUCGAAAGCAGUUUGCUGAACUGAGUAGUUGCUUCCAGCUGCAAGCCGCUGUCAUCUGACCAAACCCCAGCAACCAUCCCGGGUAAACUCGCAUACUUAUUUUAGGAGCAGGAGCAAGAGGAGGAAAUUAAGUUAGGGAUUUGGAGUGAGAGUGAAAGUGGAGAAAAAGCAAGAGAGGGAAAAAGCUAAUUGUUGAGAAAUAUAUACCUUUCGUAUGGUUGUGUUAAGGUCGUCCUUCCAAUCCCAACAUGCUUCACCCCGCCGCUGCACUUUGUGUAAUUUGGGUGUACUUAAUUUUCCUUCAGAGAAAAUUUUCAUAUUGGGGCAAUUAUCCACCACUAAUCUUUCCAAAAAUGGGAACUUGAAAGCACAAUUGCCAGAGCAGAAGCUUGUCAGGUAUUUUAAGUCUAAAAGCUUCAACUCCUUCAAUUCUCUGAAAGUAAUAACCUCAUCUUGUGCUACAACAUCAUCCACCAGUACUAUUUCUGUUAUCUCAUCGCAUGAUUCUAUCUCCAUAUAUCUAAGUCGCACCAGAGUCUUUGCAAUUGAGGGUGUUAAUACGAUUUUCAAGCCUUCGCAACAAUACGAUUUUCAAGCCUUCGCAACACGAUACCACCAGAUUUGCAAGAUUCUGAAAGGAUGUCGAGGAUGGCACUAGAUUGACCAAACGGUCACACCCCAUUACGCGUAGAAAAACCAAGUUGUUCGUAACAGAAGACUCCUCUAUCAAAAUGUUCUCCAGAUCAUAACAAUUAUAUGCUUCGCUUAUUUCUACCCUCAUCCCAUUUUCAACCUUCUCUUCCGGCAACCAAGCACCAUGUCCUCCUAUUUGGAGGACUUUCAUUGUGUGAAGUCUCUGGAGGAAGUCACCAAGUGAUAAAAUAGUCCGCUCAUCACCUAACUCCACAGAAAGAUAUUUUAGUUUGCAAAGCAAGCCUUCAGAAAAUAGAUACUUAUUUGUUACUACGUGCUUUGCAUCAACUUCCAACUUUUCCAAAUUAGGGAAUACCUGGGAGAUCAAUCAGAACCCCAAAAAAAAAAAAAAGAAAUACAAGAUGAAUCAAUUGAUGAGAAAUAUAAGUUACCACUAAUUUAUAAAAUAUAUUUUAUUCAAUAAAUCUUAACCUUUAAAAAAAAUAGUAAUAAUAGUACGCCUAACAUCUAGAAUAAUUAUGAAUGAAUACCAUACACUAAUCUGUAAGAGAGUUACGUAGCUGACAAUUUGACUUUUAGUAAGAAACCAAGCAAUGAAGGCAAAGGCAAUAUAACUCUAAGCUAUAUGAUAUAAACUUUCACAGUACAUACAUAAGAAUUGAAAAUUUGAUUAUAAAAUUCUUGUACGUACCCUUUCCGUCAAGAUAUUAGUAGUUCUUUUGUAUCUCGCCAUGAAUUCAGGACAUGCAGAUAUCCAUAAUCCUUUCAAGGAUGGAAAUUCAAGAAUAUCAAGAUCUCCAGUGCAGAAGCUUGUGAACUUUUCAAGACCAGACAUCUUCAGAUAUUGCAACUGGGGAAACGUUACAAUAUUAUUCGUCAUUUCUUCUUGGUUGUCCACGACUAUUAACUCUUCCAAGACGGGACAUCUGACUAUCUCAAUGCUUUGGAGUCGAACAAAGCUACUAACAGUAGAAGAUGAAAAUAUACAUCUUAAAUUCAUACAUCCGUGCAGGAUCAAGUGUGUUAAAUUCUUAAUACCACAAGACAUGGCUGUAACUUGGUUUUGCCAAAUCCUUCCAACGUUUAUUGAAUACAACUCCAAGUUCUCCAAAUUUGGUAAUGCAACCUGUUCGAUCAAAAAGUUAACUUGUUAAUUACAAGCAACAAUGAUUUCUGUUGAUGGACAAAUCAAUAAAAUUACUCUUUCUCUGGUUAUAGUUCUUUUCAGUUUUUCAUACAAACAACCGUUAAUCAAGUUUUCCAAAUUAUUCCUUACAAAAUGUAUAGAUUUAGAGGGCGGAUAAUAUAAUUCAUAUUGCAAAAAUUCUUUGAUUGUAACGAAUUUUGUAAAAUUAAAUUUUGGUUGAUUCGCAAUAGGACCUACUAUCCAGCGCGAGCAGUUCUCGGGGAUUUAACUACUGGCACCUCGAUUAUAUAAAAAUUUGGAAUAUUUUCAAAGGAAAUCACAUAAUUCCCCCUUGCAAAUAGUAAUUAUCAUCAAUUGCCGCGGGUUCACAUAUAAUUCUAAGAAAUUAGGCGAGAAGAGUCUCAUCAACAAUCAAUCAGCAGAUAUCACGUUUGGCAGAUCAUCAUGAUUUCCUCAGAUGCUAGAGAAUCAACGUGAUUUCCGCUCAUGCAGGAGUGGACACAUUAUCUUAGAGCAUCCCUCACUGAGAUCUUUUAAAAAAUUUAUAUUAUAAAGUGAACAACAUAUUUAGUAUAGAUUUAGACGGCGGCUAAUAUAAUUUAUAUGUAUUCUAAUGACGUAUAUUAAAGAAAAUGACUAACCAUAAUUUCAAUCAACUUAUAUAUAUAUAUAUAUAAUAUUCAGUGAUUACAACAUAUUUAGUAUUUUGUAACAUGAUGUUUAUAAUAAUAAUUAUUAUUAAUUCACUUAUUGUGUCGAGUACCUUUUCUUUCUCUAAGAAUGUAUUUGUUACACCCUACUAUACUUCGGAUGAAAAAUUUAGAAUAAUUGUGAAAUAUGAUUAUUAAUCACUCUUUGCCAUAUUUGCUACCAAACAAGAAUGCAACAAAGAAAAAAAAAACAAAAAUUAUAGAGAAUUAAUAAGACCAUUGACUUAUCAAUAAUUGACCUUGUCAGCGAAAAGUGUAUUAGAAAUUUGGACAUUGUCCUCCAAAAUGAUUUCAUGUGACCGCAAAUCAUUAGCUGAUUCCUCCUGUCUCUGCUAACAUUGCAGGUGUAUUGAUUUUAGAGUGUAAGCUUAAUUGUGAGCACAACCUUAAUGCAUAGAUACAAGAUCUUUAAAAAUUAGUACAAUAAACUUAGCACUAAAUCUAAAUUUGAUAUUUUGGAUUCUAUGAUUAAGAUUUUUUUUAAAUGAAAAUUUAAUAGAGUUAAUUUAAAAAUAAAAAUUAAAUAUGAAAAAUUAGACUUGCAAUUAUGGAUUUAAUUUUGAUAAAUAAUGAAUGUUCUCUUAAUAUUUUUUUUAAAAGGUAAAAGAGCGUACAAAGCCCAAAUUCAUUUUUUUAGUCCCUUACUCUCCCAUGAUUCAAACUUGGGUGGUUGUAGGACUGAAAAUAUAUAAGACAGUUAACUUUACUUUUUUUUUCUUUUUUGUUUAGAGAAAAGAGAAGAAGGAUAUUACAAAGCAUGAAGCUCGUGCAAUAUAAGGGCAAUUAUGGUUUUUUCUUUAAAUUAAAAUGGUAAGAUUCUGAAGCUAAAAGAUUAAAAUAUUAAUUAAAUUACAAACAUUAAAGAUUUUUUUUUUUCAAAUGGUUGCUUUGAAAAUGAGAAUAAUAUAAUAUUUGAAGACUUUUCAAAAUUAAUUACUGUGAUGCACUAGAAAUUUCUAGCUUUAGUCUAAUGUAUAAAUUGACAAAACGAUAUUAGAAUCCCAGGAGAAAAGAACCCUCUCAUACCAAUUAUUUAAAUUAGGAAUGAUCAUACCUUUGACUCUGCCGGAUUGAGGGCGAGGUCUGAACCCUCCAGACGGAGACGCUUGAGAUGGGAAGAGCCCACUUUGACUAAUUCAUUACGAAAAUAAUCGACAUCUUGCUCUUGCAAUUCACUUAACUCAAGGUCUUCAAUUCUCUGCAGUUGCACGAUCAGCGAAUCCUUCAAGCAAAUCUUGUUAUUUAGCUCGACUCUGAAUUGACGACACCAAAUGCCGGUUUUCCUCGAAAAAUAACGUCGAAUAUAUAUGCUGUACCUUUCCAGCUUCUCCAAGAGCAGGCCUCUGGGCAGACUGCUGACGUCACGGACGUGUACUUCCAAAGAGGUCAAGUUGGGCAAAUGCUUCAAUUCCUCAAGGCUUGCAUUCUUAACCCCUUCCACCUCCUCCUCCCAAUCAACAAAGCUUUCACGACCUAUAUAUAGUUCUUCUAAAUGUGAUAAUUUUGACAGUAUAUUUGGUGGAAUAACUUUCAGAAAACAACAAUCCCUCAAAUCAAGCAACUUUAGCCAAGUCAAUUCACCUACUUCUACUGGCAACUUCACAAUAUCAGAACCUCUUAAGCAAAGGAUUUCUAGUUUCUUCAAGUAUCCUACAAAACUUAUAUCAGGCAAGCCGCAGCUACACAAACUCAGUGUUCGAAGGUUUGACAGGAGACCAAGUGAUGAAGGCAGUAUCAUGUCAGUCAAGUUUACAACUCUGACCUCGAUCAUGCUCUUGAAAAAGUUGUCUGGAAUUGUUACUGGUGAAGUUUCCCAAGGAUCAUCACGACCACCACCACGUAUAAAAAGAAGUUCGAGUUGAGGACAUUCCAGUACUUCAGGAAGCAAAUUAGGCUUAAUACCAUGUAAGACGAUUGAAGUGAAAUGCUUUAUUGUACUUCCGUCUGACCAUUCCCUGCAACCAUCAACCUGCUCAUUUGUAGCAGUAAACACAUUUCGUUUAGUAGAUGCAAUUGAUAUGGCGACAUGGCGAACUACAUCAUGCAUAGAAAACAACUCUUCCUUCUCGCUUUCAUGGUCAAGCAACAUACAAGAAGCUUUGAGUGUGCGCACCAAUGCAUGUACUCGAUUUCGUGCUGCUUCCAUCUUAUUCACACCUUGAAAUAAACCCAAUCCCAUACCACACAUUAACAAGUCAUCAAUAGAUGCUAUGGCUGUAUAUCCUAUUAGCAAAAAGAUGUUCUUGAGAUCAUCCCUUCCUAGUUUAUUGUAGCUCAACUCGAUAGCUUUAUAUGCAGCUGGCUGUACAUCCUUAAAAUGGAACACAAGUGACCACAACAAGAUGGAACAAAAUAAAAAGGAAAAAAAUACAAAGAGUGGAUGGAGAAUAAAACAGAGACAGCGGCACAGCUGGACACAACUAGAUAGAGAACAGAGCAAAACCAAAUAACAAGACUUAAGAUUACAACAAACUGUGAAGAUAGCUCAUUAUGGAGAAAGAAGCAAUGGAAAGCAGAAGAAGGAAAAGCUUAAGUUGAAGCAGGAUACAGAGUAUAGUAGCAGCUCAGUUGCCAGCUCAGCAUAGUUAGUUUCAGUUCGUUAGAAGUGCAAAAUGUAUUGUGAUGAGUAUUAGCUAAUAACUUCCUUAAUUAGUUACAUUGAUUGUGAUUAACUAGAUGUUAGUAUAAAUACUCACGAAUUGUAUUACUCUGUAAUUAAGGAAAAUAACAAACUCUGCUCAAGAGUAUUUCAGAAUCCUUCGUUUAAUAUUUUCUCUAGAAACAAACAACUCUCUUUUAUAAUUCUUUUAUGGUAUCAGAGCCACUCAUGGCUAGUUCAAGCAAUACAAUCUUCAAUCCAAAUCAUAUUACUUCAAAUCAAUCAACUCAGAUAUCAUUUUCCUUUAGUUCUCCAGUCAAGCUAGAUAGAUCGAAUUUUAUGCUAUGGCGCAAGCAAGUUCUUACUUCGAUUAGAGGAAAUCGACUUGAGCAUCUAAUUUCUGAUAAUCAAGUGACACCAGAUCGUUACAUUACUCACACGGAAGUUGAUGGAUCUAUACAGAAAGUAGAAAAUCCAGCUUUUGUUCAUUGGAGAGCACAGGAUCAAACUCUUCUUGGCUGGAUCUUAUCCUCAAUUAGCGAAGGUAUUCUCAGCUCAAUUCUUAACUGUGAUAGUGCAUUUGAAGCUUGGAAAUGCAUUGAAAAACAAUUUGGAGUUCAAUCUGAAGCUAAGCUCAUGCAACUUCGUUAUGAACUAAAUAUUCUUAGGAAAGAAAAUAUGACUGUUGAGGAAUACUGCUUGAAGGUUAAAGCACUUGCUGAUAAACUCGCAUGUUCUGGAAGUCCUAUUUCUGAAAAAGAUCUACUGAUACAAAUCUUGAAUGGAUUAGGUCCAGGAUACUUAGAUCUUGCAUCAAUAAUUACUGCUAAUAAAAUGUCAUAUGAUGAUGCAUAUGCACUGCUAUUAACGCAUGAAGCUAGAAUGGAACAAAGUCAAAAUGCUAAGAGUGUGUUUAAUGCCAAUUAUGGCAUGAUGAAUGGGAAUUAUCCUCAAACUAAGGGCUAUAAUAGAAGAGGAGGUUAUAAUGGAUAUCAGGGACACUUCAAUGCUGGAAAUAGAAAUUUUGGUGCAGGAAGGGGAAUAAUGUUUACAAAUUCAAGAGGAUUUGUCAAUGGUGGUCAUGGUCCUGGUGCUUAUAAUUCUGGUAGGGGACAACUAAUGCACAUGCAGGCAUAUAGACCAACCACUUAUAAUAGAAACAUCUCUAAUGCUAACCUUGGUGCUGAAAAUGGAUCUGGAGAUAAUGUAUUAAUAUGUCAAAUUUGUCAUAAGUCUGGGCACACUGCAGAUGCUUGUUGGUAUAGGUUUGAGAAUUAUGUGCCUCCACCCAGAAACUUUGGAAGAGGGAGAGGUCAAAGGUCAGCAUAUAUGGCAAAUUUUGAAUCAUGUCCAAGUGCUGCUGGAUAUCCAAGUGCUGCUGGACCUUUUGAAACACAAUAUUAUCCAGACUACUCUAGUCAUCAGAUGUCUGAUUUGAAUUCAAUGAAUCACUCACUGGACUCUUUCUCUGCUCCUGGAGCUGCCUAUGUUGCUAACUAUGAAAGACCAGCUGAUGAGGGUUGGUAUUUAGACAGUGGAGCCACACAUCAUUUGACAAACAACAUGGCAAAUAUGCACAUCAGGGAGCAAUUCAGUGGAUCAGAUCAACUCAUUAUUGGCAAUGGACAAGGUCUGAAUAUAACUCAUAUUGGUGAUGCUUUUCUCAAUUUCAAAAGUUCAAAUGACAAACACAAACACACACCCAUAGCACUAAAAGACAUAUUGCUUGUUCCUUCAAUUACUAAGAACCUUUUGAGCAUUUCUAAACUUACUGCUGAUAAUAACCUGUCUGUUGAAUUUCUUGGAAAUAUCUGUGUUGUGAAGGAUACUCUGAAGGGGCAAAUACUGAUGCAGGGCCUUGCUGAGAGAGGAUUAUACAGGCUGUUAAUAAAUUCAUCUUCUUCAAAUACUCAGUCAUCUUCUUCUUUUCAUUCCCAUAUGUCUUCUAAUAAACCACUUUCAAUGUUGUCCUUUUAUCAUUCUGAUUCUGCUGGUCACACUGAUGUCGUUAGUGGAACUGCAAAUUUGAAAACUUGUUAUCAGACUGCUGUAUUACAUUAUACUAAAUCAAUCAAUAAAGCUUUACUUUUUCAUAGAAGAUUUGGUCAUCCUAGUGUUCAAGUGCUAUUACAUAUGCUCAAAAUUAACAAGUACAUUUCCAUUCCUACAUAUCAAAUUCAUCAAAUGCAUCAAACAACAUGUGAAGCAUGUCAAAAGGGCAAAGUUCAUAGGCUUCAUUUUCCCUGCACAGACACUAAAACUACCCAAGUUCUUGAGCUCAUACACACAGACUUAUGGGGACCCUCACCCACUCUAUCUAGGGAUGGAUAUCGAUAUUAUAUAAGCUUUGUUGAUGACUUCAGCAGAUAUACCUGGAUAUACCUUUUAAAAGUUAAGUCAGAUGCAUUAGAAGUUUUCAAACUCUUCAAGUUGCAAGUGGAAAAUCAGUUUACCACCACCAUUAAAACUCUGCAAUCUGACUGGGGAGGGGAGUAUAGAUCUUUUACAGAAUUUCUAAACCAAUCUGGUAUUAUCUUUAGGCAUUCAUGUCCUUAUACACAUCAUCAAAAUGGAUUGGUUGAGAGGAAACAUAGGCAUAUUGUAGAAUCAGGAUUAACUCUGCUGGCUCAAGCUCAUUUACCUUUUCAAUUCUGGUGGGAUGCCUUCCAUACAGCAGUUUACCUUAUCAACAGAUUGCCAUCACCUGUUCUGAAAUUUUCAAACCCAUAUGAAAAGAUUUUCAAGCAUAAGCCUAAUUAUGAUAUGCUCAGAUGCUUUGGCUGCACAUGUUACCCUUAUUUAAGAGAUUACAACAAACAUAAAUUUGCCUAUCACUCUAGCAAAUGUGUAUUCAUUGGGUAUAGUCCAUCACAUAAGGGUUAUAAGUGCUUACAUGCUUCAGGAAAAAUUUAUAUUGCCAGACAUGUUGUCUUUGAUGAGUUCACUUUUCCAUAUACCACAGACUCUUCUUUUCUUAAACAUUCAGCCUCUGAUUCUCAGUCUUCAUAUUCUAUUACUCCUCAACAAGUUCAUCAUCUUUCUACUUCACCUAUCCUACCAAUAUUUCUCAAUGACAACACUAAUAAUGCAAUCUCAGUGAGUUCAGAAAGCAUUGGUACAAGCACUUCAGUUCAUCCUACACAGCAAGAAGUUAAUCUAGAAUCACAGCAAGGUACGAUCAGUAACUCUUCACCUGUUCUUAUGUGUCCAUCCUCAGUUUAUGAACCUGUACCUAAUUCAUCACUUCCCCAUACUCACAACUCCCCUCAACAACAGUUCAAUAAUCCCAUUACACAUUCUCAUACACCUCAGAAUACACACCAAAUGAUAACUAGGGGAAAAGCUGGUAUCUUCAAACCCAAAGUGUAUAUUGCUGAUCUUGUUCACAAAGAACCAGACACUAUACAUGAAGCAUUAAAUGACUCAAAAUGGCUACAAGCCAUGAAGGAGGAGUUUGAUGCUUUAAUAAAAAAUGAUACAUGGACAUUGGUUCCAAGAGCAGCUAAUCAGCAAGUUGUUGAGAAUAAAUGGAUUUACAUAAUUAAGUACAAUACUGAUGGAAGUGUGGCUAAAUACAAGGCACGGCUAGUUGCUAAAGGAUUCCAACAAAUAGCAGGUGUAAACUAAUUUGAAACCUUCAGUCCUGUUAUUAAACCAGCAACUGUCAAAGUGGUAUUUGUUGAGUGUUAGAAAAUGUAUAUUUAUAAAGGAGAAAACCGUCAUUUUACAUUUCAAGUCUUACUAACAACCCUUACUUUUAUGUAUUUAACCUCCUUGUGAUUUAAUUACAUGUGUUUUAUUUUAAUUAAGUAUUUUAUGUAUUUUAGGGGCAUUAUAGUCAUUUCACAAUAAAGGAGAGAUCAGACGGCAAAACGGACAUCACUUUUGAACUCAGGACGAUCGAAAACCUUAGGAGGAGCAUAAAAGGAAAAAUGGCACUAUUCACAUGUACGGUACUAUUCACGUGUACGGUACUGUAUACGUUACUGUUCACGACACUGUUCACAUAGACGGACGAUGACGUGGCAUUGACCGAUGAUGUGGCAUUGACUGAUGAGGUGUCACGAUCCUGUUGGGCUAAAAUUCUUAUGUACUGUUGAUGCUGACGUGGCAGCAUAUCAGUGGAUGAAAAAUCUCGCGUACGGUACAUACAUCACACAGGAUUAUUUUCAAUCAAACCGCAUUACUGUUCAUCCGGGUCAAACCGUGUUACUGUUCAUCCGCGUGGUCAAACCGUGGACUGUUGACUGAUGACGUGGCGCAAUCCUGAGCGUUCAAACUGUUUUUAAUCCGAUGGCCAUGAUUUACUCCAUGUAUCUAUAAAAAGGGGGCCUCUCCCCCCUAAUUUGAUAUCUCUGAAUCCAUUUUUGGGAUCCAUUUUCUGUAAUUCCCUCUCCAUCUUGUAUUUUCUUCGUAUUUUAAUAAAUUCCCAUUUUGCCCCUAGUUCAAUUAUGAGUAGCUAAUUUCCUUUCAAGCUUGGGUUGAAGGUGAAGUCUCAACAUAUGCCAUGGGCUUAAUUUGGUAAAUUUAUUUUCUCUUCCCCUCUAGUUUUUGUGGAUGUUUUGACUUCUCGUCGACAAAUAAUACUAAUCUUAUCUAGUACCGCCUUGGUUUCACCGGCCCUCUAGUACAAGGUUAUUAUUAUUUGGCACGAUAAGCCCUUAGCACCAUAUUGAUUAGAGUGUGGUUCAUGAGGUGUGGAUUUCCCCCUCAUGAUUUAAUUGGUAUUAAUAAGGAAUAUUUAGCCCAUGGUGCAUGUUGAUACGGAUCCGGAUACCCAAGUGCUUCAUUUCAAUAGAUCUAUCUUCAAUUUAUUCUCGCCAUUACAAUUCCAAUUUUAGAAUUUAUUCUCGCCAUUUUAAUUUAAGUUUUAGCAUAUUCCAAAUCAUUUCCACCACAAAUCCAAUCCCCGAUUUACAAAAUUAAUUCUAUACACAAUUAAAAUCCACCUCCUCGUGGGAUCGACACUCGUCACCAUUAGUCUAUACUACAAUAGAUUUGUGCGCUUGCGAGUACAUUAAAAUUUGCACAACAAGUUUUUGGCGCCGUUGCCGGGGAGGUAAGUAAUUUUAAUUCAUAAAAUUAAUUUUUGUGAAUAAUUUCUUUUAUUUGUUUUCUUGUAUUUUUUAUUAAAAAAAAAAGUAAAUCUACAUUUAAAGGUUAGUAUUUCUUUUCUUUUUCUCUUCUUUAAAAUUCUGUAAUUUAAUUUUCAAUUUAUUUUUUCUUUGUAAUUUUUGUUUAUUUUAUUAAUUUAAUUUUUAGUUAAUUUAUUUCACGUAUUUGUUUUUGUGUAUUUUUAUAGAAAGGUUGUAAUAGCGCAAUAAGGUUAGUAUCGUAAUUUCUCCCUCUUCUUUAUUUUUAUUUGUUUUGUUCCCAUCUUUAUUUUUAUUUUAUUUGUUUUGCAUGCAUGGUCGUAGGUCAUUAUUACCUAAUCUUAAACCUAUAGACCUUGAAUUAGAAAAAACACUUCGCACACAAAAGCACAUUAAUAAAUUUGGAAUGGAUUUACAAGCACCACAGGAGAGGUCAUUCAAGGACUAUUUUAGUCCUUUAGCUAAUUUGAGCACAUCAUGUAUAAGAUACCCAAAUGUAGCUACUAGGAGUUUUGAAUUAAAACCUAGUGUGCUAAAUUGUCUCCCCACAUUUUAUGGCCUAGAAAAUGAGGACCCAUAUAAUCAUCUGAAUGAUUUUCAUGCCAUUUGUCAAACUUUUAAAUAUGAAAAUUUUUCAGACGAUGAUGUUAAACUUAGAUUAUUCCCAUUUUCUUUAAAGGAUAGAGCUCGUUCAUGGUUAAAUACUUUGCCUGCUAAUAGCAUUGCAUCAUGGGAACAAAUGGUAACUAAAUUUUUGAAUAAAUAUUUCCCAGUGCAUAAAACCAAUGCUAUUCGCAGGGAAAUCUCAGAGUUUACUCAGAGAGAGGACGAGCAGUUUUUCGAGACAUGGGAGCGAUUCAAUGGGCUACUCUUGAAGUGUCCACAUCAUGGGUACGAGAAAUGGCAUCAAUGCCAAUACUUUUUGGAGGGAUUAUUGCCGAAUGUGCAAGAAUGGCUAAUGGCAACAAGUGGAGGAGAGCUAAUAUCAAAAAGUGCAUCAGAGAUUUGGGAAUUCUUCCAGCGACAAGCGGAUAAUUCCCAACAACGGAGUCGAUCACUCAGGAAUACUAGAAGAAUUAAGGGAGUAAAUGAGGUUCAAAUUGGCGAGUCAACUUCGGGAAUCAAAGAAGUCAAGGAGAUGGUUGAAGGUCUUGCUCGACAAAUAGCAUCGUUGUCGACUGCUAAAUCAACAGAACCACAUGACCAUGACUCAUACUCCGAUCAAGCCAAUGCCAUAGGUGUAAUCAGAAAACCAUCGAAUUACAACCCAUACUCCAACACAUAUAACCCUGGAUGGAGAGACCAUCCCAAUUUUUCAUGGUCUCAAGGAUUCCAACAGAAUGGACCAGCAGCUCCAGCUCCGCCAAUUCCUCAAGUUCCUCAAGCCUCUCAGCCCCCAUUUAGACCAUACAAUCAGAACCAGAACUACUCUCAACCUAGACCAUGGGAGGAUUCAUUCCAGAAUCUCAAGAAUCUUACUCACUCUACGAUUGAGCAACAGAACCGCACCAUUGAUGGACUACGAAAUGAGUUGAGAGCGGGCUUCAACUCACAAGCCCAAUCAGUUUCAAGCCUCGAGAAGAUGGUGGGACAACUUGCUUCUUCAGUUCAGACCUUGGCAAUGACUGUUGAUAAAGGUAAAUUUCCAAGUCAACCAGUGCCUAAUCCUAAAGGAGUACAUGAAGCAAGUACUAGUUCACCACAGCAGCAUGGAGAGGUCAAAGCAAUCAUGACCUUGCGAAAAGGAAAGGAAGUCGACAACAAAGUGGAGAUGCCUGUGACAAAAGAAAAUCAAAUUGUACCUGUGAAUGUUGAAGACUCACCACCGGAGGAGAAAGAAGAAACCAACCCACGAGAAUACGUUCCGAAAGCUCCAUUUCCUCAGAGGUUAGCGAAAGGAAAGAAGGGAAAAUCCACAGGUGAGAUUCUUGAAAUCUUCAAACAGGUAAGUGUUAACAUCCCUUUGCUUGAUGCUAUUAAACAAGUUCCAUCUUAUGCCAAGUUUCUUAAAGACCUUUGUACUAAAAAGAGAAACAUGCAUGUUCAAAAGAAGGCAUUUUUAACAGAAAACGUUAAUUCUAUACUCCAACAUAAAAUUCCUUUAAAAUGCAAAGACCCAGGCUCCCCCACUAUCUCAUAUAGUAUAGGGAACCACACAAUUGAGAAUGCUUUGUUGGAUUUAGGAGCUAGUGUAAAUCUGUUGCCUUACUCAGUAUUUUUGAAACUUGGACUGGGAGAAUUACACCCAACUCCAGUGGUGUUACAGCUUGCAGAUCGGUCCACGAAAAUACCUCGUGGUAUUGUGGAGGACGUGCUUAUCCAGGUAGACAAGUUUUAUUUUCCUGUUGAUUUCAUUGUAAUUGACACUCAACCAAUACAGGAUUCAAGGAAGCACAUCCCCAUUAUCCUAGGCCGACCUUUCUUGGCAACUGCGGAUGCUCACAUUCAAUGCAGGACUGGAAAUAUGCAGUUGUCCUUCGGCAACAUGACUAUGGAGCUAAAUAUUUUCAACAUUGCCAAACAACCUCACAGUGCAGAUGAUGGAAUUGUUGAUGUGGAUUUAAUUGAAGCAUUAGUUGAUGACACUUUUAUUUCAAACCUUAGUGAUGAUCCUUUACAGACAUGCUUAACUCACUUUGGUUUUGAUUUUGAUAUUGACAGAUCGGUUGAUGAGGUCAACGCUCUACUUGACUCAACACCAUCCAUGGACACUAAUAAAUGGAAGUCAAGAGUUGAACAACUAGCACCAUCAGAAAAGAAACUCAUCCCAUCAUCAGAAUCACCACCGAAACUCGAGCUCAAACCAUUGCCCAACACUCUGGAAUAUGCAUUUUUGGGAGAAGAAAGUACUCUGCCGGUAAUCAUCUCAUCAUCCCUAAAUGACGAACAAAAAGGUAAGUUGUUGGAUGUUUUAAAAGAGCAUAAAGGAGCAUUAGGAUGGACCAUAGCAGACAUAAAAGGUAUAAACCCCGUAGACUGCAUGCAUUACAUUCACCUUGAUGAAAAUGCUAAAUCUACUAGGGAAAUGCAACGUCGGUUAAAUCCUAAUAUGAAAGAAGUUGUUAGAACUGAAGUCCUUAAGCUAUUAGACGCAGGUAUCAUUUACCCAAUUUCUGAUAGUUCAUGGGUCAGUCCUGUACAAGUUGUCCCCAAAAAGUCAGGAGUCACAGUAGUUACCAAUGCUGAUAAUGAAUUGAUACCAACUAGAGUAACUACAGGAUGGCUUGUAUGCAUUGAUUAUAGAAAGUUGAAUUCUGUCACACGUAAAGACCAUUUUCCUUUACCAUUUAUUGAUCAAAUGCUUGAUAGAUUAGCAGGCCAUGAAUUUUAUUGCUUUCUAGAUGGCUACUCAGGAUAUAAUCAGAUUCCCAUAGCACCAAAAGAUCAGGAGAAAACUACUUUCACUUGCCCUUUUGGCACUUUUGCAUAUAGGAGAAUGCCAUUUGGAUUAUGUAAUGCACCUGCUACAUUCCAACGAUGCAUGUUGAGCAUUUUUUCUGAUAUGGUUGAACGAUUCCUUGAAGUCUUUAUGGAUGAUUUUUCUGUCUUUGGUGACUCGUUUGAUCAAUGUUUACAUCAUCUAACACUAGUUCUGCAGAGAUGUAUUGAGAAGAACUUAGUCUUAAAUUGGGAGAAGUGCCAUUUUAUGGUAAAACAAGGUAUUGUUCUCGGUCACAUCAUUUCGAGCAAAGGUAUUGAGGUUGACAAAGCCAAGGUGGAUCUCAUUUCUAAUCUUCCUCCACCUAAAACAGUCAGAGAAGUAAGAUCUUUCCUUGGACAUGCUGGUUUCUAUAGACGUUUCAUUAAAGAUUUUAGCAAAGUUUCUAGACCCUUAUGCAAUUUACUUGCUAAGGAUGUACCUUUUAUCUUUAAUGAUUCAUGUCUCAUGGCGUUUGAAAAAUUAAAGCAGUUGUUGACAUCAUCACCCAUCAUUCAGGCCCCAAACUGGAGCUUACCAUUUGAGCUCAUGUGUGAUGCAUCUGAUUAUGCAGUAGGAGCAGUAUUAGGACAAAGAGUUGAUCGAAUUCCGCAUGUUAUUUACUAUGCUAGUAUGACAUUGAAUGAUGCACAGUUGAAUUAUUCAACUACUGAAAAAGAAAUGCUAGCAGUAGUGUUUGCAUUAGAGAAAUUUCGAUCUUAUCUCAUUGGUUGUAAAAUAAUUAUAUUCACAGAUCAUGCUGCUCUUAAAUAUCUUCUCACAAAGAAAGAUGCAAAAGCUAGACUAAUUCGUUGGGUGUUACUUUUGCAGGAAUUUGACUUGGAAUUCAAAGAUAAGAAAGGGACAGAAAAUGUUGUGGCGGACCAUCUCUCUCGUCUCCAUUUUGACACAAUUACAGAGCCAUUAAUAUUGAAUGAGUCAUUCCCAGAUGAACAAUUAAUGAAUGUGGAAGUAUUACCUUGGUAUGCUGAUAUAGUUAAUUAUCUUGUUACAGGUAAACUUCCAGAGCAUUGGACCAAGCAAGACAAGGCUAAAUUCUUUGCAGAAAUAAAGAAUUUCUUUUGGGAUGACCCGUAUUUGUUCAAGUAUUGUGCAGACCAAAUUGUUAGACGAUGUGUCCCAGAAAGUGAAAUUCAGAAUAUCCUUUCAUUCUGCCAUGAACAAGCUUGUGGAGGCCAUUUCAGUGCUAAGAAAACAACGACUAAAGUUUUAAAAUGUGGUUUCUAUUGGCCAACUAUAUUUCGAGAUGCUUACACUUUUUGUUCUUCAUGUGAUAGGUGUCAACGAAUGGGGAGUAUUACACGAAGGAACAUGAUGCCACUAAAUCCAAUUUUAGUGGUUGAGAUUUUUGACGUAUGGGGUAUCGACUUCAUGGGACCCUUUCCCCCUUCUUUUGGCCAUCAAUACAUAUUGGUUGGUGUUGACUACGUCUCAAAAUGGGUAGAAGCAAUUCCAUGUAGAACCAAUGAUCACAAGGUGGUGAUAGGAUUUUUGAAAAGCAACAUUGUUUCGCGCUUUGGAUUCCCUCGAGCAAUAAUCAGUGAUGGUGGUGCCCACUUUUGUAACAAAGCAUUCAAAGCUCUUUUGACAAAGUAUUCAAUCACACACAAAGUGGUGACCCCGUAUCAUCCGCAAACCAGUGGCCAAGUUGAGAUAUCCAAUCGAGAAAUAAAGCACAUAUUAGAAAAAACGGUGAGGCCAGACAGGAAAGAUUGGUCAUUAAGACUUGAUGAUGCAUUAUGGGCAUACAGAACGGCUUUCAAGACCCCGAUUGGGAUGUCACCCUACAGGCUAGUGUAUGGAAAAGCUUGCCACCUACCUGUGGAACUCGAGCAUCGUGCGUAUUGGGCCAUCAAGAAAUUCAACUUUGACAUGCAGCAAGUCAGCUCAGAAAGAAGAUUACAACUGGCAGAACUUGAAGAAAUUCGCAAUGACGCAUACGAAAAUGCCAAGAUUUACAAGCAACAGAUGAAAAUCUUUCAUGACAAGCAAAUUAUGAGAAAAUCGUUCACUCCAGGUCAGAAAGUGCUUUUAUUCAAUUCUCGUUUGCACCUAUUCCCAGGUAAGCUACGCUCUCGAUGGUCUGGUCCCUUUAUUGUUCAUACUGUUUUUCCACAUGGGGCAAUUGAAAUUAAGGACCCAAAGAACGGUGUCACGUUUAAAGUUAAUGGUCAAAGAUUAAAGCCAUAUCUAGAGUACCAACCACAUGGAGAAGACACCGAAAUAAAUUUGAGUGACCCACCAGAUUUGAAUUGAUUUUUUCUUUUUAUUGAUUUGAUUUUUCUUUCUUUCUUUUUAUUGUUCUUUUGCUAAUUGAAAUUAUUUUUGCAUAAGUGUGUUUGUUUUACCAUUAAGUUUUUUUUUCUUAUCAUUGUUAAUCAUGAGUACCAUACUUAGACCGUUCCUCCUGAACAUUCUUAAACCACUUCAGCGUGUCAAAACUCAUCUCAAAAAGCAGAUUCAAUUUUGUAAAACACAACGCAUUUGGGCUUUACAACCACCAGAGUUAGUAGCCUAUGUUGAGGGUUUAGAACGCCAACUCAGAGACAUUGAGAGAAGUGUUUACGACAUCCAAUUGGAGCUUGAGGUAAAUUCAAUAAGAGGACGAUUUUAAUUUUCUUUGUGUGUUUUAAUUUGUUUUUCUGUUUGUGUGCUUUAGUUUGUUACCCCGGUGAAGUGGCGGAUAACGGUACUCUGUGACAAUCAAGUCGGUUACUUCAGUUUCCCAUAAUAACUGACAUUCUGAGGCAAAAGUAUGGACAGAAACGAGAUUCUAGCGAAGCUUCACAAGCGAUUCCCUUCACUUCCUCAGAAUGCCCUCCUUAUGAUCUAUAAAGCUCGGUCCGAACGCAUGCGAUUGCUCAUGAGGAAUAACAUACCUGCUGAUAUCCGUUGGUUAAUCGAGGCGAAAGUACGAUCGGCAGGUGAGUUACCUCCAAAAUUUAUUGCAUACAUGUCUGGUUGUGGUAAAGGAAAUUAUGCAAGAAAACGACGAGCUCGACGAAUUUCUGUUGCUUGUCAUAAGUGUGCCAGAAUGAGUUGCAAUAAAAACCCAUGUUCUUUAGGAAUGAUGUCUGAUAACAGGGAAGACAAGAUUCAAUUCAUUAGGGAUGGCUUGAAUAAGGAGUCAUUGGAUGAUAUCCUUUUGUCUCUUGAAACGCAUCCCAGUGGAUAUGUGCAAGGAGCGAUUCUCCAGUUAUGGCUAUUAUUCCAGAAAGAGCAUGCACGAUACAGUCUCGGGAAUCUGACUAUAAACGACCAUGUUUGCCAGUUUGUAAGAAAACUGGAUAGGAAGCCUAUCCUCGACUCAUAGAGGGCGUUCAAGCCGUUUCUGGACGUAAAACCAGAGGAAGAUGUGAGCCACAGUCGCAACUACGUGUAAAUAUCCUUUUACUUUACUGUACUUUUUCCUCCUUACUGUUUGCUUUUUUCCUUAUUACUAUUUGCUUUUUCCUUUUUACUGUUUCCUUUUUGACUCGCGAUCCACGUGCUUUACGCAUUAUUUGACACUGACAUGUUACCUCAUACACCACUAUGACCCACUAUCACCAAGACUCUUAAAUGUGAUUUCUUUUUUGUCAAGCACUCACAAAUUGUUUUUGAGAAGUAUCACAAUGGCCGCUACUCCCAAUAGACAAUUCAAGAACAUUUGUGUGCUUUCUGGAUUUACCUAUGGCAAACAUAAAGAGUUCGUGGAGGCAGCCAUAGAUCUUGGUCGAAGCAUAGCAGCGAGAAAAUUACACUUGGUGUAUGGAGGAGGUAACCGAGGGUUAUAAAAAAUGGUCUCAGAAGCAGCUUUUAUCAGAGGAAGUCAAGUGUUAGGCAUCAUCCCAAGAGUCCUAAAACCAUUGGGCAGUUCGUCUGACUCAUCAACUGGAGAAGAGUUAGUUGUCUCAGGUAUGCAAGAAAGAAUAACUGAAAUGCUUAAUCAUGCUGAUGCUUUUAUUUUCCUUCCAGGAGAUCUUGCAACACUAGAGGCACUUAUCACACUAGCAUCCUGGGCCCAUCUGCACAUCCACCAGAAACUCAUCGGUUUGUUAAAUGUCAAUAACUUUUAUGAUGGCUUUAUCGCAUUUCUUAACCAUGCAAUAAAAAACUACUUCAUUCCUUCCCAUGCGAAAAAACUUUUUAUUUGUGCUCACACUGCUAAUGAGCUACUUGAUCUGUUACAAGCUUAUAGACCGGAGCCAGACCCCUGGACCUUUGUGUUGGAGCGCCCAAAUAAUGAUGGUAACAGUAGCCGCAGUAAGAAGUACAAAUUAGAUUUAACUCUCCGCUUGUGAAUAUUUUCUUUUGUGUUGCACCACCCAGGUGAUGUCUUCUAAACUCUACUUCUUUCCUUUAAAACAUUGAGGACAAUGUUUCGUUCUGGUUGGGGGGAGGGAAUAGUCGACAAUUGUGGAAUCUUGGUUAAGUUUUUACUGAUUUUUUUUGUUGUAGAAACUAACUAUUGCUAACUUUUUGUGUUGAAGAAGGCUGAAUAUGGAGUGUAGUGACUCUAGAAACGCAUCUUCUUCACAGAGAUCAACGAUGCGUACUGUCUUCUAACAGAGGAUGGAGAGCCUCCAACUUUUCAUGAAGCUUUAAACAGUUCAGAUGUUGCUUUGUGGAAGACAGCAAUGCAGGAAGAAAUUGAAGCUCUAUACAAGAACAAGACAUGGGAACUUGUACCACUACCACACGGAAGAAAAUCCAUUGGAAACAAAUGGGUCUACAAGAUCAAACGUGAUGGUAAUGAUCAAGUGGAGCGGUAUCGUGCAAGACUGGUGGUGAAAGGAUAUGCUCAGAAAGAAGGUAUUGACUUCAACGAGAUAUUUUCUCCGGUGGUUCGACUCACAACAGUCAGAAUAGUCUUGGCAAUGUGUGCUACAUUUGACCUACAUCUAGAGCAGUUAGAUGUUAAAACUGCAUUUCUUCAUGGAGAACUUGAAGAAGAAAUUUAUAUGCUCCAACCAGAAGGUUUUGCAGAAACAGGAAAAGAGAACUUGGUUUGCAGGUUGAACAAAUCUCUAUACGGUCUCAAACAGGCACCGAUGUGUUGGUAUAAGAGAUUUGAUUCCUUCAUUAUGAGCCUUGGAUACAACAGACUCAGUUCAGACCAUUGUGCAUAUUACAAGAGGUUUAAAGAUAAUGAUUUCAUCAUUUUGCUGUUGUAUGUGGAUGACAUGUUGGUAGCAGGUCCCAACAAAGAUCGAAUCCAAGAAUUGAAGGCACAAUUGGCUAGGGAGUUUGAAAUGAAGGACUUGGGACCAGCAAACAAGAUUCUAGGGAUGCAAAUUCACCGAGACAUAAAUAACAGGAAGAUUUGGCUUUCGUAGAAGAAUUAUUUGAAGAAAAUCUUGCGGCGCUUCAACAUGCAAGAUUGUAAGUCAAUUUCUACCCCACUUCCUGUUAAUUUCAAAUUAUCCUCAAGUAUGUGUCCUAGCAAUGAAGCAGAGAGGAAGGAGAUGUCUCGAGUACCGUAUGCAUCAGCAGUGGGAAGUUUGAUAUUCGCUAUGAUAUGUACAAGACCGGACAUUGCACAAGCAGUGGGAGCAGUCAGUCGAUACAUGGUGAAUCCUGGUGGAGAGCAUUGGAUAGCUGUGAAGAUGAUUCUGAGAUACAUCAGAGGAACCUCAGAUGUUGCAUUAUGUUAUGGAGGAUCAGAGUUUACUGUCAGGGGCUAUGUGGAUUCAGAUUUUACAGGAGACCUUGAUAAAAGGAAAUCCACUACUGGUUAUGUGUUUACACUUGCGGGAGCAGCUGUAAGCUGGGUUUCGAAACUGCAGACAGUUGUGGCUUUAUCUACAACAGAAGCAUAGUACAUGGCAGCUACACAAGCUUGCAAGGAAGCUAUUUGGAUACAAAGAUUAUUGGAGGAGCUCGGGCACAAACAACAGAAAAUUCUUGUGUUUUGUGACAGUCAGAGUGCCUUGCACAUUGCAAGGAAUCCAGCCUUUCAUUCCAGGACAAAGCACAUAGGAGUUCAGUAUCAUUUCGUUCGAGAAGUAGUGGAAGAUGGAAGUGUGGAUUUACAGAAAAUCCAUACGAAGGAGAACCUAGCAGAUGUUUUGACCAAGCCGAUAAAUACUGAUAAGUUUGUCUGGAGUAGAUCAUCUUGUGGCCUAGCAGAAACGUAGGCAACAUGAUUAUGGCGAAGCAGAAAGGACGGUGUGGAGAUUGAUUGUUUUUCAAUCUAAUCUCCAAGUGGGAGAAAUGUUGAAUAUGGGGCACCACUCUUCUAGAAAUGUUGAAAAUGGGCCCUCUUCUAGAAAUGUUGAAAAUGGGCCGAAAUGCUUGAAGAGGAAAAUGGAAAAAGAAAUGUUUGAAGAAGAAAAUGAGGAACACGGUUUUGACUUUCUUGGCCAUCAUUUUGCUAUAAAUAGAAGUGCAAAUGAAGAGCUUAAGUAUUCCAUUCUGAGAGUAAUUUAGCAGUUGAGAGAGAGUUUAGAGAGCUUGAAUUUAUAAGCUCUUGUUAUAGUGAUUUUGAGAGUUUGGGUGUAUUGGAGUUUUGGGAAGUGAGCUAAAAUACUACAAUACUUGUAACUCCUUUUCACUAGUAAAAUAUUUCCUUCUGUCUUCGCCCGUGGAUGUAGGCUAAAAGCCGAACCACGUAAUUUCUGGUGUCCUCUAGUGUGCUUGUUCUUUAUUUUCUUCCAAUUUUAUUUUAUCUGCGUGUAUGCUUCACCCACCAAUUUCCUAGCAGUGGUAUCAGAGCUAUUGGUUGUAUUUUUUGGAGUCAGGAACUAUUCACGUAAUGGGUACUAUUCACGUAUAUGGCACUAUACACGUACACGAUACUAUUCACGUAUACGGUACUGUUCACGUAUACGGUACUAUUCACGUGAAACGGUGGAAGCGAUCCAAGAAUUUUGCGGUGCAAAGCAGGGAAUAGUGGUGUGAGUAAAGCAACUGUGUGGUUUUGUACAUGUCUAGGAAAGUUCUGUCACAAAGGCGAUAAGAGCUUAAGGAGUCUGGGUUUUAAGUGGGACCAUUGUGACCCCUCAAGUCUUUCCUGGGAACUUUCCUGGUGUGCAUUCUCACACAUACUCACAACUAUUCAAGGUGGUAUACUAGCUUGUGUGCAGUAUUUAUCAACAAAAUAGCGGCAAAGUAUGAAAUUGAGAAAUUUAACGGAAAUAAUUUUUCGUUGUGGAAAAUGAAGAUGAAAGCUGUAUUGAGGAAAAAUAAUUGCUUGGCAGCAAUUGGAGAAAGGCCCAUGGAGAUAACUGAUGACAAGUGGAACGAGAUAGAUGGCAACGCCAUUUCUGAUAUACACUUGGCACUUGCAGAUGGAGUAUUAUCUAGUGUGGCAGAGAAAAACACAGCGAAGGAAAUAUGGGAUACUCUUACAAAAUUGUACGAGGCCAAAUCACUACACAACAAAAUCUUCUUGAAGAGAAAACUCUAUACUCUUCGAAUGGUGGAAUCUACAAUGGUGACCGACCACAUCAACACCUUGAAGACUCUAUUUUCACAACUCACAACGUUGGGUCAUAAUAUAGAGGAAAAUGAACGUGCAGAGCUUCUACUUCAAAGUCUACCAGAUUCAUAUGAUCAACUCAUUAUCAACCUGACGAACAACAAUCCAGUGGACAGUCUAGUUUUCGACGAUGUUGCAGCCUCCAUAUUAAAUGAGGAAAGCAGGCGGAAAAAUAAGGAAAACAGACAAGCAAGUUCGCAGCAAGCGGAGGCGCUAUCAGUGACGAGAGGGAGAUCAACGGAACGUGGCCCCAGUGGGAGUCAAAAUCAUGGUAGAUCAAAAUCCAGAAGUAAGAAGAAUGUUAAAUGCUACAACUGUGGCAAGAAAGGGCACGUAAAAAUGGAGUGUUGAAGUAACCAGAAGAGAAGAGAGGGUAAAGAACCUGAGUCAUCAAAUGCUCAGGGGUGUGUAGCAAGUACCUCAGAUGAUGGCGAAAUACUCUACAGCGAGGCAACAACUGUUUCAGAAGGCAGAAAAUGACUUUCUGAUGUCUGGCUUAUAGACUCAUGAGCUACCUGGCACAUGACCUCUAGGAGAGAAUGGUUCCACACAUAUGAACCUAUCUCAGGAGGAUCUGUAUAUAUGGGUAACGAUCAUGCAUUGGAGAUCGCUGGUAUUGGUACUAUCAAAAUAAAAAUGUUUGAUGGUACAAUUCGCACAAUUGGGGAGGUACGACAUGUCAACGGCCUGAAGAAAAAUCUAUUGUCUUUGGGACAAAUAGACAAUCAUGGGUGCAAAACUCAUGUGGAGAAUGGAAUUAUGAAGAUCGUUAAAGGAGCACUUGUAUUGAUGAAGGCAGAAAAGAUCGGUGCUAAUCUAUUCAUGCUUAAAGGAGAAACACUACAGGAGGCUGAUACGUGUGUCGCAUCAAAUGGAGAAGAGUCAACGAUGAUGUGGCAUCUCAAACUUGGCCACAUGUCAGAACAAGGUUUGAAGAUUCUCUCUGAGAGAAAAUUGCUUCCGGGGCUCAAAUCGGUAAGUUUACCAUUUUGCGAGCAUUGUGUUACAAGUAAGCAGCAUAGAUUAAAAUUCAGUAGAUCUAUUGCUAGAAGUAAAUGCAUUCUAGACUUGAUUCAUUCUGAUGUUUGGGAAUCACCGGAUAUAUCCAUGGGAGGUGCAAAGUACAUGGUGACUUUCAUUGAUGAUUAUUCCAGAAGAUGUUGGGUAUAUCAAAUUAAGAAAAAGUCAGAUGUAUUUCUAGUGUUUAAAGAAUACAAAGCGCGGUUGGAACUUGAAUCUGGUAAAAAGAUCAAGUGCUUGAGGACGGAUAAUGGUGGAGAGUAUACAGAUGGCGAGUUUCUUGCUUUCUGUAAGCAAAAAGGUAUUCAGAGGCAGUUCACGGUGGCAUACACUCUUCAACAAAACGGAGUGGCGGAGCGGAUGAACAGAACUCUUACAGAAAGAAUAAGAGCUAUGUUGAGGACUGCUGGUCUACCCAAUUCAUUCUGGGAAGAAGCAGCCAAAACUGCCUGUUAUAUAGUAAAUCGAUCGCCAUCUACAGCUAUUGGGCUGAAGACAGCGAUGGAGAUGUGGACUAGAAAGCUAGCUGAUUAUUCUUACCUACAUGCAUUUGGAUGUCCUGUGUACAUAAUGUACAAUGCCCAAGAAAGAACAAAGCUGGAUCCAAAAUCUAGAAGAUGUAUCUUCUUGGGGUAUGCUGAUGGAGUAAAGGGGUAUCGUCUGUGGGACCCCACUGCCCACAAGAUCGUCAUCAGCAGAGAUGCUAUCUUUGUAAAAGAUCAACUGCAAAGGAGAGAUGAGGAUGAUGGCACUACAAAAGAAAAGUCAGAGACUGUUCCAGUAUAUGUGGAAAAUAAUCUAGAAGAUUCAGAUUCUUCUGAAGUAGCACCAGAGCACGAGGAACAAGAACCAGUCGACUCCGAGACUCCAGAAGUUUGUCGGUCAACUCGUGAGAGACGACCGCCAACGUGGCACUCAGAGUAUGUCACAGAGAUCAACGUUGCGUACUGUCUUCUAACAGAGGAUGGAGAGCCUCCAACUUUUCAUGAAGCUUUAAACAGUUCAGAUGUUGCUUUGUGGAAGACAACAAUGCAGGAAGAAAUUGAAGCUCUAUACAAGAACAAGACAUGGGAACUUGUACCACUACCACACGGAAGAAAAUCCAUUGGAAACAAAUGGGUCUACAAGAUCAAACGUGAUGGUAAUGAUCAAGUGGAGCGGUAUCGUGCAAGACUGGUGGUGAAAGGAUAUGCUCAGAAAGAAGGUAUUGACUUCAACGAGAUAUUUUCUCCGGUGGUUCGACUCACAACAGUCAGAAUAAUCUUGGCAAUGUGUGCUACAUUUGACCUACAUCUAGAGCAGUUAGAUGUUAAAACUGCAUUUCUUCAUGGAGAACUUGAAGAAGAAAUUUAUAUGCUCCAACCAGAAGGUUUUGCAGAAACAGGAAAAGAGAACUUGGUUUGCAGGUUGAACAAAUCUCUAUACGGUCUCAAACAGGCACCGAUGUGUUGGUAUAAGAGAUUUGAUUCCUUCAUUAUGAGCCUUGGAUACAACAGACUCAGUUCAGACCAUUGUGCAUAUUACAAGAGGUUUAAAGAUAAUGAUUUCAUCAUUUUGCUGUUGUAUGUGGAUGACAUGUUGGUAGCAGGUCCCAACAAAGAUCGAAUCCAAGAAUUGAAGGCACAAUUGGCUAGGGAGUUUGAAAUGAAGGACUUGGGACCAGCAAACAAGAUUCUAGGGAUGCAAAUUCACCGAGACAUAAAUAACAGGAAGAUUUGGCUUUCGUAGAAGAAUUAUUUGAAGAAAAUCUUGCGGCGCUUCAACAUGCAAGAUUGUAAGUCAAUUUCUACCCCACUUCCUGUUAAUUUCAAAUUAUCCUCAAGUAUGUGUCCUAGCAAUGAAGCAGAGAGGAAGGAGAUGUCUCGAGUACCGUAUGCAUCAGCAGUGGGAAGUUUGAUAUUCGCUAUGAUAUGUACAAGACCGGACAUUGCACAAGCAGUGGGAGCAGUCAGUCGAUACAUGGUGAAUCCUGGUGGAGAGCAUUGGAUAGCUGUGAAGAUGAUUCUGAGAUACAUCAGAGGAACCUCAGAUGUUGCAUUAUGUUAUGGAGGAUCAGAGUUUACUGUCAGGGACUAUGUGGAUUCAGAUUUUACAGGAGACCUUGAUAAAAGGAAAUCCACUACUGGUUAUGUGUUUACACUUGCGGGAGCAGCUGUAAGCUGGGUUUCGAAACUGCAGACAGUUGUGGCUUUAUCUACAACAGAAGCAUAGUACAUGGCAGCUACACAAGCUUGCAAGGAAGCUAUUUGGAUACAAAGAUUAUUGGAGGAGCUCGGGCACAAACAACAGAAAAUUCUUGUGUUUUGUGACAGUCAGAGUGCCUUGCACAUUGCAAGGAAUCCAGCCUUUCAUUCCAGGACAAAGCACAUAGGAGUUCAGUAUCAUUUCGUUCGAGAAGUAGUGGAAGAUGGAAGUGUGGAUUUACAGAAAAUCCAUACGAAGGAGAAUCUAGCAGAUGUUUUGACCAAGCCGAUAAAUACUGAUAAGUUUGUCUGGAGUAGAUCAUCUUGUGGCCUAGCAGAAACGUAGGCAACAUGAUUAUGGCGAAGCAGAAAGGACGGUGUGGAGAUUGAUUGUUUUUCAAUCUAAUCUCCAAGUGGGAGAAAUGUUGAAUAUGGGGCACCACUCUUCUAGAAAUGUUGAAAAUGGGCCCUCUUCUAGAAAUGUUGAAAAUGGGCCGAAAUGCUUGAAGAGGAAAAUGGAAAAAGAAAUGUUUGAAGAAGAAAAUGAGGAACACGGUUUUGACUUUCUUAGCCAUCAUUUUGCUAUAAAUAGAAGUGCAAAUGAAGAGCUUAAGUAUUCCAUUCUGAGAGUAAUUUAGCAGUUGAGAGAGAGUUUAGAGAGCUUGAAUUUAUAAGCUCUUGUUAUAGUGAUUUUGAGAGUUUGGGUGUAUUGGAGUUUUGGGAAGUGAGCUAAAAUACUACAAUACUUGUAACUCCUUUUCACUAGUAAAAUAUUUCCUUCUGUCUUCGCCCGUGGAUGUAGGCUAAAAGCCGAACCACGUAAUUUCUGGUGUCCUCUAGUGUGCUUGUUCUUUAUUUUCUUCCAAUUUUAUUUUAUCUGCGUGUCUGCUUCACCCACCAAUUUCCUAGCAUUAACUAAAUAUUUUUUAACCAUAUAUGUAUAGUUGGAUUAAAUAGUGGAGAUUACAACAAAACAUAUGCGAAUUAGUUGUGAUGUUGAGUUCAGAAGAUUGAAGUUAAAAAAAUUAAAGGUUUCUUGAUCAAGGGAAAUUUCAAAAGAGUGAAGCGUCUUCUAGAUCAAGACGAAAAUAAGGAAAGGGUAAGGGUGUAUUUUCAAAGUGAUUCUAUUGAAAGAUCUUUGAAGAUUACUUUCGUUAAGAGCAGGAUCCCACACUCUUGAGCCUUUGUCGUCCCAGUCAACUAUAAAGACACAUUAUUAUUGAGUAUGAACAUUGCGACUUAUAGAUCACCAAAUUUUCAAACUUAUGAUCUUCGUUGAAUCUGCAAUCCCUUUUGAAAAAAAAAAAAAAAAAAAAGGAAAACUGCAAAUAAUGAAACAAAAUUCUGUUCCUUGAUAGAGUUACGCGGCUUCAACUUGCAAGUGCUGUCGGCAUUUUCAAACUUGUAAGACCCUUCAACUUGCUUUCCAAGAUAGCUAUAAUCAAUAAUGACAACCGAAGACGGCUACGUUUGCGGUACAAAAGUUGCACCAUAUUAGACGUUCUUUUUAGGGAUGGCAAUGGGGCGGGGUGGGGGUGGGGAUGCCUACCCCAUUCCCCACCCCAUUAAAAUUUUUUGCCUCCAUUCCCCACCCCAUUCCCCAAUAAAUUUAGUGGGUUGGGGAUGGGGAAUCCCCACGUGGGGAAUGAUUCCCCCAUCCCCACCCCAUUCCCCAUUUACAUAUUUUAUAGUAAAUAUAAAAAUAUGAUUUCAGUAAAUUAAAAAUUAGAGACUUAAGAUAAAAUCAUCACAAUAUUAUAAAGUAUUUAAUUUUAAAAAAAAAUCUCUAAAAAUUUGAAACAAUAUCUUAAAAUGAUAUUAAAAGUGAAAAAUAUUUAAAGAAAGCAGCACCUUAAAAGAGAAAAGAAAAUAUAUUAAUGUUUUAAAGUUGAAAAAUAUUGUAGAAUUUUCUUUUAUUCAUAUUCUAUUUAUAUUACAUAAAAAUUAAAAAAAAAUUAUUAAUUGACAUUAUAGUUGAUAAAAUACAAAUUAUUAAAUAAGAAUUAAAAACAUAUUUAUAUAUAAUGGGGAUUGGGGUGGGGGUGGGGUGGGGAGUGCAAUACCAAACCCCACCCCGUUAACAAUUUGGGGAUUACUUUUCUCCCACUCCCCACCCCAUUCCCCAAAAAUUAUUAAAAAAUUUCCCCAUUUGGGGUGGGGCUCCAUGGGGCCCCAACCCGUGGAGGAUUUUGCCAUCCCUAGUUCUUUUUUGUUCUUAUCCGAAGUAACCGUUGGAUUCAAAGGAAAGUGAUCAGACAUUCAAUAGCUUCACACGUGGACAUUAUAGGAUACCGGUCAAAUCGGUUAGUGCUCCUCCACAUCAAACUCACAAGCAUGGCUAUCAUCGUAUCAGCUUGGAAACUUGUUACAAGUGACGAAGAGCAACAGGGUCCGCUCCUCUAGAGUCGGUUAGUGCUCAAUAAUGUUACAGGUUUUAUAAUCUAUGUAACUGGUACGAUCGCUGUCUCAAGUGGUAAACUUUUGAGGCACAAAUUUAGAACGAAAAGUUUCCAAUAAAAUAAGUUAUUUAAUUAAUUAAAUAAGAAUAAAAUGAAUUUGUAAAAAAAUUUUAAAUUUAAUUUUGAAUUAUUUUGACCAAAAUUUAAGUUUUUUUUUUUAAUUUGUUUAAGAAAAUGUGUUGUAAUUGUCUUGUUUUAAUUGGAAAAUCAAUGAAAAAAUUAUGUAAAAAAAAAAAAAAGCAAAACGCUUUGUUUUGGAUGGAGGCCAUAGAUUCCAAUAUUUCCUUAACGAAAACUACAAAAAAAUUAUCAAAGGCAUCAAUUUCUACACUCUCACCGAGCAAUACUCUUAUGCUGUGUUUACUUGCUGGAGUGGGAGUGAGGAGUGUGGAUUCCUCCCACUCCAGCGUUUACUUACUCAAAAUGGGGAGGGAUUAGGAAUCUCACUCCGUGGGCCCCAUCCAUUUUUGAAGUGGGGAGUGGGAGUGGGACUCCGAUUGGGGGAGGUGGGAGUGGGAAUCCACCCCCACCUCUCCCAUUUCUACCCUUUUUUUUAAUUUUAUGUUUUAUAAUUAAUAAAAUAAAAUAAAUAAUAUUAUAUUUAUUUGAAUAAUAUUAUUAUAUUUAUUUGAAUAAUAAUAUUAUAUUUAACUAAAUAAUAAUUUACAUUGAUUCUAAGUUAAAAUUAUUUUAAAAUAAUAUUAUUAUAUUAAUAGAGAAUUAAUAAAUAUAAUAUUAUUAUAUUUAUUUUAAAAAUAAUAGUACUAUAUUUAUUUAAUAUUAAUAAUAAUAAAUAGUUUAUUCUAAGAAAAUAUUAAUUUUGUACUAAAUAAUAUUAUUUUAUUAUUUUAUAUAAUAAUAAAUUUAAUAUAAUUAUAUUAAAUAAAAUAAAAUAACAUUUCAUUUUAUAUUAAAAUUAAAAUUAAUAAUUUAUUGUUCAUAAUUAAGAAUAUUAAUAAUUAUAAUAAAUUUACAAAUAUAAUAAAAUAAAUAUUAUUCAUUAAAUAUAUUUUUUAUUAGUUUUGUAAUUAAAAACUAUAAUUCUUUAAAUAAGGAUAAAAUUGUAAUUUGAAACUAUUUACUCCCAAUCCAAGACAAAGUAAACACAUAAAUUGAAUUCUGAUCUCCAUUCCAUACUUCUAUUCAAGUGUAAGUAAACAACCUACUCUCACUCCCACUCCACACUCUCAAUCCUAGGAUUCCCACUCCUCAGGAUUCCCAAUCCAAUCCAAAAAAUAAACGCUACCUUAACCCAGAAGGAAGUGUAUAAACCAACCCCAAUCAGUCCAUCAAUGUCGUCAACCUCAUACAGCAUAAAAAAAAUAUGUGUCCAUUAAACCGCCAUUUUUUUUUUUUGGUUAAACCACGAGGUAUCCUGGUAGGGCCCCAACUGUGGGAGGCACCUUUAAGCCCGUACCACAACCCAGACUAUAGCUCCCCGCUCGCACGUUGUGGCUAGUGCUCCCAACAAAUGCGACUUCUCUGCGACUCGAACUGGGGAGCAAACCCAGUCAAACCACUUAAGGGGGCUCCAGUUGCCAGAGGAGCCAACACUUUGUUGGUAUUAAACCGCCAUUUAAACUGACUUUAUUGAGUCAUUAGACUAUUGGUGUCAUCUUCCCAUCUCGUUGUAGCAUUUUACCGUUCAAAUCUAGUUAUCAAUUGUGGAAAAUGGGGACCAAUCUGCAAGUCUUUAAAAUAGAAAGAAACUUUAAUUGGGCACUAUGUUCACGGUAGUGGACACAGCAGCAGCUAUUUGUGCUUUAAAAAUUAUUUUACACUCUAAUUUUAAUAAAAAUAUAUAUUACAAAAUUACUUAUCAUAUAAGUUACUGGAUAAUAUAUUAUAAGUCAACAUUAUAUAAUUACUUUGAACACUUAUAUAGCCCAAUCCUAAUUCAAUUUAUUAUUCUCAUAACUUAAAUAUAAGUCAACAAUAUAAGGGGGUUGUGACAUGGGUUUAAACAUGAUUUAACAAGUGCCACCUGUGAAUUGUCAGAGAUUGUAUUUUCAUACACAUGUCAAAUUUUCAAGUCCAACAAAUUGUUAUCUUUCUAAAGAGGCUAAUAUUAUUAUUAUCUAUGCAUAGCAUGCUAUAAACAAUUCAUAUUCUGUACACAACAUAUGGACAGAGGAACAAAUCCCUGAGCUAAAAUCAUCAUAUUCUAAAAUAUUCUAUUAAAUCAACACCACAAAACGCGAACGCUAAACAGAAUUGGAGCAAUUUACCAAAGCUAUUUGUCACGCAAAGCACUAGUACCUCAGAACCCAAUUUGCAAAAAAGCACCAAAAAUGAAAAAUAACAAAUGCCCAGAUGAAAAAUCAGGAAAAAAAAAAAUGCUCAAAUCCAAAUUACAACCCCAUAAGCUGAGUUGUUCUCUUCGAACUGAAUUAAAAAAAAAUUAAAUAGGGAGAUUGACCUCAAACUUUGGAAACAGAAGCGACAGCGAUCUGUUUCUUGUCUGGAGUGUCCAUUUCUAUAAUCUACUUUGUCCGCUUUCAGUCGCUCUGCCACAGAGCUUCUUCCCUCUGAAGCUGAAGCUCACACACACUUGCAAAACGAAAGCAUUUUUUAUUGAUUGAGAGGCGGGAAGGCGGGAAAAUGAGAGAAAUUUGCAUUUGUUUUCUCUUGGUUUGGUCAUACCUGUGCGGGCCCCAGCUUGACAAGCGGUAUUAUUAUUAUUUGUAUAAUUUACAUGACGCGUGUCACGCAAUGACGAUAAAAAAUAUAUAUAUAUAUUGUUAAUUUUUCACUUAACAUUGAAAUAUCAUAUAAUUUUUCCAAUUUUAUGGUUAUUUUCUCGCCCUUAUGCCACAUUCUUUUGAUCAAAUAAUACAGUAAAACUUUUCUAUAAUCAUAAUAUUAAAGCCAAAUUAGCUUUAUUUAUGUAAAGAGGCUAUAGCUUAAUAAAGGUAAAAUUAUAAAAAUUAUUAUUUUGACUCAGUUAUCUUUAGUGUAAGUGAUAUAAAGUAUAAAUAUAUGAUAAUUAAUUAAUGAACUAUGUCAAAUACAAUAUGCUGACAAUGAUAAAAAAGAUAGACAUAAUUUCAAGAAACUAAUACAUAUAUUUAUGUAGUGCUGGGAUUAUACAAAAUCAUCUUAAAAGUGUAAAGUAUUAUUCUGAUUAAUUUAAAAUAAUUAUUAUUGGAUUCAAAUCAUGUCCUAGGCAUUUUUUCUUCUAGUUGGAGCUUCCAUUUGUUCUAGAGAUUCAAAGGCAGCAAGCUGCUUCCCCAGUGCUACUAAUUCUUCCCCGGCAUUGCAUGUGUAGCCUGAGGCUUGUCUACCAGACAAAGUUGCUCCUUCCAUACUAUCUAUGUAAUCCUGUGAGAGUGAAACCAUUUAGAAGACAUAUCUCUUUUUUUCCAAUAUUUGGAAUGAAACAAUUAUAUACAGUUACCUGUUUUGUAUAUGAGCUGGCGAGGAAGAAGUUCUUCACUGGUAUCUUUUGAUCAGGUCUGAAGGGGUCUUUACCAGGUCCCUCACCUCACAAAGAUUGCCGGAUUUUGACGACAGAUAACCAAAUAACUUCUAAACCUUGGGAUGAUGGAAAUAGAGCUAAAACCUAAUAAAAGGAACCGUGAAUGGAUAGUAUGGAUUCAUGUAUAUUAUCCAGAAAGUUGCAUGACCUUUUGUGGUACUCAGGUCACUAAAAAACGUGAGAUAAACAUCUAGGAUAAGAAAAGCAAAAAAGCAUAACCUAAUACGUAUUAUAUGAAUUGAAGGUGUCACUGAACACUACUAACCUGCUUUGCCACUCUCCUUAUGAUUUCAUCAUUUGAUAAGGGCAUAUAAGGAUCUCCAGGCGUCAAAACGCAUCUGAAAGAUAAUAUGGUUAUAGGAAGCAAGAUGGAAUACAAAGACACUUGGCAAAAGGAAGUCAAUCAGAUUCCAUGCACAAAAAAUAACUAAUAAUGACGAGGAUAAGAAAUGUUUCUUACUGGAGAAAUGAACCUUGCCCUUCUCUGUAGUAGUAUUCUGGUGAAGUGAGUGCUAGAUCUGCAAAGCAAGGGAAAUCUGCAUCUGGAGUAUAUAAAAGGUUAUCUAGCCCCACAGCUUGCUUCUAUUGCCUACAUGUUCAAUACAAGGAUCCGUUAAAAAAUGGAAAUUUCUUCAAUGCAUUAGUAAAGGGGAGUGAAGUGAAAGCUGAUUUCUUAGGCCUUCACAGAGCAUCUUGUGUUUGACAGCAAGCACUAAAGAAUAAACUCAAAGUCAGUGCUUCUAACAGAUGAUAUAAACAACAAAUUUACAAAUAUCAGGUCAUUGCAUUAGCUCCAUGCCUCCAUCAGAGCGAACAUUAAUAGAUGCGUAAAAAAAAAAUAAGAGCCAUAUGUGAAACAAUUUACCUUAGACAUGGCAAGUCCUUUGACAAAUGUUUCCCCGUUAGCAAAUUUAUCAUAAUGCAUCUCUCUGCAUCCCCACCUAAGAUGGAACCUGUUCUCACAAGAACAGACUCCAAGGUUGGGAAAAUCAAUUGAUCAUCGGAGAAAACAAACAGGAUUAACAAAUCACUACAAUGGUGUGAACCCGUAAAUACAAAUGUACCUGCCCCCUUUAUUUGCGAUAUAUUUUCUUAUUGGCCCAAUCAAAUAAACAUCCGGAGAACCCUUGAGCAUCUGUAAUAGGGAAGCCUCGGUCUUAGUCGCAAACAGUGCAAAUAUAGUAUGCAUACAACGAGCAAUGAUGUUAUCACAAUCAAUAAACCCAAGGGCAAACGCAACAGAAUCUUACAUUCUUUGGAUACUCAUCCAUGUACCACCCUUGGACAAAAACCAAUCAGAGAAGCUUAUCUGUAAGAAGAAAUGAAGUUUUAGGUAAAAUAAAAAUUUGUAGGAACAGGGAUUGAAAUUCAACAAACAAGAGCAAUAGCAUUUCUUGAUUUAUCAUAAGUCUGCACUUGAAAUUCAAGAAGUGCCUUUACAACAGGACUCAGCGCAAGAGCAAUAGCAUUUCUUGAUUUAUCAUAAGUCUGCACUUGAGCAAUAUACGAGGCAAAGUACAUCAAAAGAGAAUCCAAAAGAGGCAAGAAGCUUCAACAUGAAAAAAGGAGUACUGCCUCGUCAUACUGCUUUGCAAUCACAGUGCAAAAGAUAACAUCAACAAAAUCAAAAUCGAGCAUAAAUCCGUAUGCACUACCUUAAGCUGAUUUGUAGACAAAAAUGCAUGAAUCCCAUGUAAUGGAGCUCUAAUCGGAAACCGGAAAUCAAGUUCUGGAGUUGAAAAUCAAAAUCAUGAAUCAAAUCAGAGUUGUUAUUGAAUUAGACAAUCCAUAAACCAAUAGAAGGUGAUGUCAAACCAUCAAGCAUAACUAUUAGUUGUUUUAAGUGAUCAAGAAAUAACUAUACCACCAAUUUCACCACCCUUAUUUACAAAUUUAUGAGUAUGAUCCUUCAUGAGUAAAUUUUCGUCCGCACCGACCUGUCGACAUCCAUGAAAAACUAUCAGAUCAUAAACACAGGUUCCAGUUAAAGAGGAUCUAUGAUUCUGAUCCAUCAUGUUAUUUGAACAACAUAUUCGGAUUUUCUUACAACCCUAAGCUUUUAUCAGUUAUCAUCGCUACAAAUGAUAUGGUCAAGAGGAAUGAUAGUUCUUGUUUCAAGAAUCUCAAAUCGUAAUUCUUUUGCAUGGCUUCUGUGCUUUUAUAAUCAUUCAAACACGCAUAUCCACAACUAAGCAAGCUUUACCUUUUUUGUCAAUCGGAACAGAUUAUUGUAGCAUCCAAAGAAAACGUGCAGGCUGAUUUCAAUAUGGUUUCCACGUUUACAGACAAAUGAAGCCACUUUACCACCAAUAAAAGACCUCAACUCAUAUAUAUCCACCUGGAAGAAAGGAAAAGUUUAAAAAAAAGGAAUAAAAAUUCUUCUAAUUUCUUUCACCAUCAACAAAAUCAGAAAAACACAUACUAAUUCAAAAUGAAAUAAAGUUUGUGAAUUGAAAUAAUGCCAACUCCUAAGAAAAAUUAUGACUGCUGAUAUUUUUUCCGAAAUGCUGAUAAAAGCUUCUGCUAUUUACUUCGAAAAAAUUGAGGUUAGAAGCCUAUUUACUUGAAAUUUUGAGUUUAGGCAAGAGGAUGAAUGGUAAAAGUGAAACAUUUUAGGGAAAAAUGUACGUCAGAGGCCAAUGAAAGCAUUCAGAAGAUUGAAAUCUAAAUGAGCAAAACCCCGUGGCCUUGAUCCAACAAAUCCACUGCUGUUGACAUGCCUGCAAGCCCAGCUCCAAUAAUAGCCACUCUCAGCUUUGGUCCUCUAUAAUGUUCCGGUUCUGGUAGAAACAAACCCUUGGGAGCUGCCAAGUAUACCAUCCAAUUAUCCACAGCGAUAAUGGAAAUAUAUAUGUGUUUAAAGGUACUAAAUUCCUAAACAUGAAAUGUAUCCAAAGAGAGACACAAAGCAGAAUUGUGAAAGCAUUUCAAUUCCCAAUAAAUUUUAAGAAUACAAAAUACUCGGUCUGUUCCUCAAUUCCUUUAAUAAAAUUUCCACUAGAGGCUACGGAAGCCACUCAAUAACACUCCAAAGCCAGAUUUUAAACGUUAUCUUUAUCUUUAACUCCAAUCCAUAAACAAUUCUGCCACAAAUUCAAUCCAAAAUUGUUCAAGUGCACCGCCAAUUCUCCGUCAAUUCCCUCAAAAAUUCAUAAUUGGCAAACACUACAAACCCAAAAGAGCUUCCAGCAAUAAACGCAUAAAAAUCCACCAAGCAACAGAAAACAAAAUACCCAGAAACCAGAAAAGCCAAAAGAUCAAUGCUUGGCAAACAAGCAAAUCAAAUAAAACAAAAAGAAGAGAAAUUUACCAUUAACGCUCAUAUCAGAAACAUUAGCGUCCAAAGAAGCCCGUACACGGAAUCUUGGACCCUUCACUUGAACCCGAGACCAUGUAACGCCAGUAACUGAAGUUGCAGGAAACAGAACUGAAGAACCCAUAUUGCAAAUCCUGAGCUGAAAUCAAAGAAAUUCAAUUGGAACUCAAUUCAGCUCAACCGAGCGGCGCUCUCUUUUGCUUCAAUAACAAAGUAUUUUUCUUUCAUAUCAACAAAGAUUUGUCAACAUCAACAAAAUUUAACUAAGAAACUAAAAUAAUGAGGUAUCUUUGAGUUUAAGAAUCUAACAAGAUGCUAAGGAAGAGAGUUUUGUCAGGGAACUGUUUCGGAGAGGUUGGCCAAGUGGUUCUUUGUUUUUUUCUUCUUUUUUGGCCCUUUUCAUUAAUACACAACAGUAGUACUCGUGAAGAGCACAAAAUGUUGGUGACUUUGUCACUAACGAUACCAAAGUGGAGUGACCAGAGCAACCAACUAAAUUUUAAAGAGAGGGAGUGAUAAGUAAUAUUUUCUUUGGGUGAUUAAUUAAUUUAUUAUCAAAUAAUUUUAUUUAUUUAAUUAAACGACAUCCUUAUCUUUGUACAAGGCUGAUGAAAGACGACGAUGUUGUGUUGUCACAUAUUUUUGGGCCGACCGUUUCUUGUUUCGGCUUAAAUGAGGCUUUUGUAAUUUUGUGCUGUUUUUUAACUGAGUAUUUUGUGCUAAAUUACGCCAAAGAAAAAGUGUAAUUGUUAAAAGAUCUGCUGACACUCAUAACCUCUUAAGCGGAAUUUAUAAUGUGACAGUAUUGAUAUCUAAGUUCAUAAUAUCUAUGGGAGUGAUAAAACGAAUAAAUGAAUCGAAUCGUAAAUGAAUUUAGUUAAAAUUUAAUGGAUUUGAAUUCGAUGUGUUAUCAAGCGAAUCAUAAUUUUAAGAUUCAAACUCAAUUCAUUUAUUUAAUGGAUAUCUAUUUAAUUCGUUUAUUGUAAAAACUUAAACAAAUUGAGUUGAAUUUGGAUUCGUUUACAAUUUGUUUAAUUCAUUUAUGCAAAAUUAAUAAUAAAUCAAUCAAAUGUGGAUUUGUUUAAAAAAUAAUAAUAAUUAAUAAAAAAAAUAAAGUAAAAUAAAAUAUAAAAAAUCAUAAAAUUAACAACCUACAAAAUACAAACAAAUUAGUGACCCCAAACUCGGAUUCGAUUCAUUUAUUUAAUGAAUUGAAUUGAAUUCACUUAUUUGUUAAUGAAUUAUUUUUUUAAAAUUCAGACCUAUUUAAUUUGAAUCUAAUAAACAAAUCCUAACCUAAAUUGCCAUCUCUAAAUAUGAUGGACCUACUUAAAAUAUAUGAAUACCAAAAUGUGUGGGCUAAAAAGUGGUUUACCAUGCAGCAAUAAGAAUUUUAAGCUCUCUUUUCUUAUGUCACCCAAGGCAUUGGCUGGAUGGCCAAACAGCAGAGUUCAAGUCUACAAUAGAGAAUCGAAAUUUUCCUUUGUAAAUGUUCGUAAGUAUUUAGCAUAGAUUUUUAAGUUAUUCUUGAUAGAUCCCCUACCACAUACGCUAUAAUAUUUCUCUUCUUUUAAUUUAAAAGUAAAUCAUGCAUAAUAACGGGUUUGUAAAGAAAUGAAAUUUCUGGUAAUUAACUGUCAAAAAAAAAGGAUGGAUUAAGCGAAAGAAGUUAAUAUAGAGUUAAGUCGAGUACUUGACAAUAGGGGUGUUCGCGGAUCGGAUUUUACAGAUUAGACAUCAAUCUAUAUCUGAUCCAUAAUUUUACGGAUUAUAAUUUUUCAAUCCAAUCCAAUCCACAGAUUGAUAUAAUUCAAUUCAAAUCCAAUCCAUACAUCUGCAGAUCGGAUGCGAAUUUGACUCAAUCCAUAUCCAAUCCAUAAGUCUGCGGAUCGGAUGCGGAUUUGACUCAAUCCAUAUCCAAUCCACCAUUUUGCGCAUUAGUUUUCGAAUUAAAAAUUUUUAGUUCUCUCCAACUAAUGAAAUAAAAAAAAAAUCUAAUAUAAAAAUAAUUUUGCUACCAAUUAAAUUUAAAAUUGAAUAAAAUUUAAAUAAAUUAAUUGUUUAAAUAAAGCUAAAAAAAUACAUUUAAAAUUUUAAAAUAUAACACAUCGAGACUAAUUAUUCAAAUAAAGCUACAAUAAUACGUUCAAAGUUUCAAAAUAUAAUACACCAAGCUUAAUUGUUCAAAUAAAGUUACAAUAAUACGUUAAUAUAACACCGAAAUUAAUUAUUGAAAUAAAGCCACAAUUAAUUGAAAUGACGAAGCUUCGGAAACCAAACACAGUCUAAUCCUUUACCAGGGCUGUUGCGCUUGUCGAAAAGUGGUGAUUACGGAGCCGUCCACGAUGGGAACUAGGAGAAGUCGUCGAGUGGCAAUCUUGAAGGUUGUGAUAAUGAAAUUGUUCAGCUGGAACCAGUGAAUGUGAAGUGGCUCGGUGGACUUGGGAAAGAAGAUGGCUUGCUCUCGCUGUAAUCGCGCGGCCGAUGUCCUUCAAAUCCGUGUCGAGAGUGUAUCCAACCAGUAUUGAAUGUUGCUAGUGUGUGUCAUGGCGGGGAAGCUUAGGGUUUUUUGUUUGCAAAUUAUUUGUGACUUAGCGUCAUGUUACUUUACUUUUGGGUGACUUUGCAAAUUGUUGGUGAUUUGGCGUUAUGUUACUUUGCUUUUGCUAAUGUGUGUGACUUUGCUUUUAUUUUGUUUUACAAUGUCUACAAGUUAUAUUUGUAUAUUUGAUUAUUUAAUUAUUUUUUAUUUUAUAUUAUUAUUGGGUAAUGGCUAAGAUAUGUUAUAGUGUUUAUGUAACUAUGUAAUGUCACAUUUAUAAUUUUUUUAAUUAAAUUUAUAAUAAUUUUUUAAUUAUAUAUAAAUAUAUAUAAUUAAAAAAUUAUUAUAAAUAUAUAUAAUAUUAUUAGAAACUAUUAACAACGGCACAAAAUGCCUGUGAUAAUGAAACAAUGUGCCAUCCUUAAACUAAUAUUAUUAGAAACUAUAAGUGAAAGUUUUCAGAAAACACGCACGUGAUAAGUUUUCUCCUUUGUUUUGAUUUACGCGAGAGAUAGUUGUAAAGCGUAAAAUUUUAAAAUCCGUAACAAAACAAAAACUUACAUGGGUUGGGCGCACCAUGUGCAUACCAAAUUAGAAUAAUUGACGAAUCGUAAUAAAAAAUUUAUAUAUAAGAAUUGAAUGAGAUCCAUGGUUCACAAUUGCAAAUUAAAGGUUGGUUUUAUAAUAAAAAUCUUUUUGUGCAUACCAAAUUAGAAAAGAUUAUAAGUAAAUUAAGAUUUUCAAAAUUUGACUAGUAUUAUAUUACGUUCAUCAAUAAAAUAUAAAUUUGUUAUAUAUAUAUUUUAUUCUGUAACCAAUGCUUUCAAAAACUUUAUACUUAUAUGUUUGAACAACUUUUUUCGUUUUCUAUUUAUAUACGAUAUCAUUUAUGUUUACAUAAAUUUUCAUAUGUACCCAAAUUAAGCAUUAAAUACACACACUUUGGUAAGACACAUUAAUUUCUAGUAUCAGACAAUGAUAUUAUAUUGAAUGUAAUGCUUCAAUGAAUUUUAUUACUAUAUACUAAAAUACUCAACGAUCUCCAUUAAAAAAAGAAAAGAAAUUGCAUGAUUAGAAUGAUUAAAGAUCAUUUGAUGAGGAGUUUCAUCAUUAACUGUGUCGAAACACAGCAGCAAUCCACAAUACACUUAACAGGAGAGGGGCACACAAGCAUGCAUGAAUCUUCCACCAUUAAACCUGAAAUCAUAAAAUAAAAGAAACAAGAUGAGUGUUGUUUUACGGUCUGAAAGCCGAUUCCAAUUAAUAAUAAUAAUAGUAAUAGUAAUAAACCUUUGUUAAUAAUUACUACUAGUUGUCUCUGCCUUUUGCAUCUUCCUCCUUUGUAUCAUCGUCCUCUUCCAAUCACACGGCUAGACCAGUAUGUCUCGAGAAUCUUUACUGCCUUCUCAGAGAUCCCGUUGACGUCACGACUUCGUAGAUUUUCAAUCUUUUCUAAUCCCUCAGCCUCCUCAACCAACUGGGCAUAUUGAUUAAAAUCUCCAACGGCGGUACCCGUAUUCAUUUCAGCUACCCCGACCUUCAAAAUGUUCUCUAAUCCUUCUAAGCAAACAGUGACGAUCUUUGGAUCAGCACAUUGAAGGAGACCACACAAUGGUUUUAUACACCCCGUUCUCACGAGGUACUUGAUUUGAUCAUGAGUGCCACGCGAGCUGGCAUUCGAAAUUGCCCAAGCAGCCUCCUUCUUUGUAUCAAAUUCAGCAUUUUGAAGUAGAUUGACAAUGGGACCAAUUAAGCCGGAAUCAAUUACCGCCUGAAUCUGCUCCCUGUUUCCAGCUGUAAUAUUUGAAAUAAUCCAGCUAAUCUUCUUCUUGAUGAUCUCUUCAUGAUUAUGGACUAAAAUGUCCAAAAAGUAUGGCAGUGCACCACAGUUAAUUAUAUACUGAGUCUGGAAAUCAUCUCCCGUCACAAUAUUUCCAACAGUCCCCAGGGCAGGGGCAAGCACUGAGGAUGAUGAGUGACCAAGGAGCUCAACAAGUCGUGGACAGACACCUGCCUCGAUCACAGCUUGAAUUUUGUCAUUCGUACCAUCAGCAAGAUACGCGAGUGUCCAACAGGCAUAUGUCAAGACCUCUUCAUCGUUUGAACGAAUAAGCUGUGCAAGCGCCGGGAGAGCUGGCCUUACCUGAUCAAAUGGUGGCUGUGGCAUGCCCCUGCAUAAAUUAGACAAUGUCCAUGUGGCAGUUCUCAGCAUUGAAAGCUUAGUGUGGUCCUUUAAUUGCUCCAGCACUGGAAUCAAAGCUUCUUCGCGAAGCACAAGAUUACGGCAUCCAAGUGAGUCACCACCAAUAUUUCCCAUUGCCCAAACAGCCUGCUCGCGGACAUCCUCACUUGGAGAAGCAAGUAGUUUCACAAAUAUUGGAACAGCACCGUCGUCAAUCACCACCUUAGUGUUCUCUGAAGUUCCAGAAGCAAUGUUUGUAAGAGCCCAAGCAGCCUGAAAAUGAAGUUGCGGAUAGUCUACCCUCAUAAGAAACUCAACAAAGCGCGGGACAACGCCAGAUUGUAUGACUUCAUCAAUUUGUGGACUCCUCUCAAUCGAAAGUAGAUUUCGGAACCAAGUAGUUGCUUCCAGCUGCAAGCCGCUGUCAUCUGACCAAACCCCAGCAACCAUCCUGUGAAAACUCGCGUACUUGUUUUAGGAGCAGGAGCAGGAGGAGGAAAUUAAGUUAGGGAUUUGGAGUGAGAGUGAAGGUGGAGAAAAAGCAAGAGAGGGAAAAAGUUGAUUGUUGAGAAAUAUAUACCUUUCGUAUGGUUGUGUUAAGGUCGUCCUUCCAAUCCCAACAUGCUUCACCCCGCCGCUCCACUUUGUGUAAUUUGGGUGUACUUAAUUUUCCUUCAGAGAAAAUCUUCAUAUCGGGGCAAUCAUCCACCACUAAUCUUUCCAAAGAUGGGAAAUUGAAAGCACAAUUGCCAGAGCAGAAGCUUGUCAGACUUUCUAAGAGUAAAAGCUUCAACUCCUUCAAUUCUCUGAAAGUAAUAACCUCAUCUUGUGCUACAACAUCAUCCCCCAGUACUAUUUCUUUUAUCUUAUCGCAUGAUGCUAUCUCCAUAUAUCUAAGUCUCACCAGAGUCUUUGCAACUGAGGAUGUUAUUACGAUUUUCAAGUUGUUGCAACGCGAUACCACCAGAUUUGUAAGAUUCUGAAAGGAUGUCGACGAUGGCACUAGAUUGACCAAACGGUCACACCCCUUUACACGUAGAAUAACCAAGUUGUUCGUAACAGAGGACUCCUCUAUCAAAAUGUGCUCCAGUUGAUAUUUUGCUUCUAUUAUUUCUACCCUCAUCCCAUUUUCAACCUUCUCUUCCGGCAACCAAGCAUCAAGUCCUCCUAUUUGGAGGAGUUUCAUUGUGUGAAGUCUCUGGAGGAAGUCACCAAGCGAUAAAAUAGUCCGCUCAUCAUCCAACUCCACAAAAAUAUAUUUUAGUUUGCAAAGCAAGUCUUCAGAAAAUAGAUAUUUAUUUGUUACUACGUGCUUUGCAUCAACUUUCAACUCUUCCAAAUUAGGGAAUACCUGGGAGAUUGAUCAGAGCCCAAAAAAAAAAAAAUACAAGAUGAAUCAAUUGAUGAGAAUUAUAAGUUACCACUAAUUUAUAAAAUAUAUUUUAUAAAUUAGAAUAAUUAUGAAUGAAUACUAUACACUAAUCUAGAAUAAUUAUGAAUGAAUACUAUACACUAAUCUGUAAGAGAGUUACGUUGCUAACAAUUUGACUUUUAGUAAGAAACCAAGCGAUAAAGGCAAAGGCAAUAUAACUCUAAACUCUAUGAUAUAAACUCUCACAGAAUAAGAAUUGAAAAAUUGAUUAUAAAAUUCUUGUACGUACCCUUUCCGUGAAGAUACUAGUAGUUCUUUUGUAUCUCGCCAUGAAUUCAGGACAUGCAGAUAUCCAUAAUUCUUUCAAGGAUGGAAAUUCAAGAAUAUCAAGAUCUCCAGUGCAGAAGCUUGUGAUCUUUUCAAGAUCAGACAUCUCCAGAUAUUGCAACAGAGGAAACAUUACAAUAUUAUUCUUCCUUUCUUCUUGGUUGUCCACGACUAUUAACUCUUCCAGGACAGGACAUUUACUUAUCUCAAUGCUUUGGAGUCGAACAAAGCUACUAACAGUAGAAGAUGAAAAUAGACAUCUUAAAUUCAUACAUCCGUGUAGGAUCAAGCGUGUUAAAUUCUGAUUACCACAAGACAUGACUGUAACUGGGCUCAGCCGAAUCCUCCCAACAUUUAUUGAAUCCAACGUCAACUUCUCUAACUCUGGUAACCGAACCUGCUCGAACAAAAAAUUAACUUGUUAAUUGCAAGUAAACGAUCAUUGAUUAUAAAAUUCUUGUACGUACCCUUUCCGUGAAGAUACUAGUAGUUCUUUUGUAUCUCGCCAUGAAUUCAGGACAUGCAUAUAUCCAUAAUUCUUUCAAGGAUGGAAAUUCAAGAAUAUCAAGAUCUCCAGUGCAGAAGCUUGUGAUCUUUUCAAGAUCAGACAUCCCCAGAUAUUGCAACUGAGGAAACAUUACAAUAUUUUUCUUCCUUUCUUCUUGGUUGUCCAAGACUAUUAACUCUUCCAGGACAGGACAUUUACUUAUCUCAAUGCUUUGGAGUCGAACAAAGCUACUAACAGUAGAAGAUGAAAAUAGACAUCUUAAAUUCAUACAUCCGUGCAGGUCCAAGUGUGUUAAAUUCUGAAUACCACAAGACAUGACUGUAACUUGGCUCGGCCAAAUCCUCUCAACAUUUAUUGACACCAACUCCAACUUCUCUAACUCUGGUAAUGCAACCUGCACGAUCAAAAAAUUAACUUGUUAAUUACAAGCAACAAUGAUUUCUGUUGAUGGACAAAUCAAUAAAAUUACUCUUUCUCUGGUUAUAGUUCUUUUCAGUUUUUCAUACAAACAACCGUUAAUCAAGUUUUCCAAAUUAUUCCUUACUAAAUGUAUAGAUUUAGACGGCGGCUAAUAUAAUUCAUAUUGCAAAUAUUUUUUGAUUGUAACGAAUUUUGUAAUAUUAAAUUUUGGUUGAUUAACAAUAGGACCUACUGUCCAGCGCGAGCAGUUCUCGGGAUUUAACUACUGGCACCUCGAUUAUAUAAAAAUUUGGAAUAUUUUCAAAGGAAAUCACAUAAUUCCCCCUUGCAAAUAGUAAUUUCAUUAAUUGCCGCGGGUUCACAUAUAAUUCUAAGAAAUUAGGCGAGAAGAGUCUCAUCAACAAUCAAUCAGCAGAUAUCACGUUUGGCAGAUCAUCAUGAUUUCCUCAGAUGCUAGAGAAUCAAAGUGAUUUCCGCUCAUGCAGGAGUGGACACAUUAUCUUAGAGCAUACCUCACUGAGAUCUUUUAAAAAAUUUAUAUUAUAAAGUGAACAACAUAUUUAGUAUAGAUUUAGACGGCGGCUAAUAUAAGUUAUAUGUAUUCUAAUGACGUAUAUUAAAGAAAAUGACUAACCAUAAUUUCAAUCAACUUAUUAGUCUAUAUAUAUAUAUAUAAUAUAUAUUCAGCGAUUACAACAUAUUUAGUAUUCCAUAACAUGAUGUUUAUAAUAAUAAUUAUUAUUAAUUCACUUAUUGUGUCAGAGUACCUUUUCUUUCUCUAAGAAUGUAUUUGUUACACCCCACUAUACUUCGGAUGAAAAAUUUAGAAUAAUUGUGAAAUAUAAUUAUUAAUCACUCUUUGCCAUAUUUGUUACCAAACAGGAAUAUAACAAAGAAAAAAAACAAAAAUUAUAGAGAAUUAAUAAGACGAUUGACUUAUUAAUAACUGACCUUCUCAGGGAAAAGCGUAUUAGAAAUUUGGACAUUGUCCUCCAAAAUGAUUUCAUGUGACUGCAAAUCAUUAGCUGAUUCCUCUUGUCUCUGUUGACAUUGCAGGUGUCUUGAUUUAAGAGUGUAAACUUAAUUGUGAACACAAUCUUAAUUAAUGCACUUGUCUCUGUUUUACAUUGCAGAUGUCUUGAUUUUAGAGCGUAAACUUAAUUGUGAGCACAAUCUUAAUGCAUAGAUAUAAAAUCUUUAAAAAUGAGUACAAUCAACUUAGCACUAAAUCCAAAUUUGAUAUUUUGGAUUCCAUGAUUAAGAUUUUUUAAAUAAAAAUUUAAUAGAGUUAAUUUAAAAAUAAAAAUUAAAUGUGAAAAAUAAACUUGCAAUUAUGGAUUUAAUUUUGAUAAAUAAUGAGGUUCCGCCUAUGUUGCAACAGUUGCAACAUACCACUUCUUUUGUCAUUUUGUAAUUUAGCCAUUGGAUCCAAGACAAGAAUGGUAAAAGCAAAUCUAACGGCAGAGUGUAUUUAUUUAGGUUAUUUUCAUUGUAAUCCCUCUUGUUUUCUGAAAUGUCAGGAAAAAACAUAAUUAUUAUUUUUUUAUUUAUUGGCUUAGUUGUUAAAUGAUAUGAAUAAGAAGUAGGAAAUUUAAGAGGACUUUUAUUAUUGAUAUUAUGUAAUUACAAUGCAUGAUUCAAUACUAGUUUAUAAGAGUCACAACUUGUUAAAUAUAAAAUAAAGUUUAUGUUUGCAUCCUAACUUCAAAAAGAUAAAUACGUUUAUUUAUUCCACAAAUUAAUAAAUAUUUCAUAUUUUUUUAAUUAUUACUAUCAUUUCUAGAUCUACUCUCAUUAUGUAAAUUUAUUAAAAAUUAUAUUUAAUUAUUAUUUUAUAUUAAUUAUUAAUAUAUAAAUAUAAUAUGAUAUAAUAAAAUAAUAUUAUAAUAUAAUUUAUUUUUAAUAUUUUAAUUAUUAUAGUAAAAAUAAAAAUAUAAUAAAAAUAUAUUUUUAAUAUUUCAAUUAAGAAAAAUUUUAGCACAUUGUAGUGAAUUAUAUAAUUGACCACAAUCUAACUUUUAAAACUUCCAAACAUAGGUAAGUAAUAAAUUAAUGUGAACAAUAUUAUAACAAUAUACAAUACUGUGUUCUAAACACAUUCUAAUGGUGCGUUUAUUAAAUAAGAAUCGAAAUGAGCUAGAAUCAUAAUAAGGAAUCGGAAUGAACAACAUUCCCAUUGAUGUGUUUACUUUUUUUUAUAAUUGGAAUAAACUAUUAUAAGUUAUUAAAAUGCCCUUUGAUAAUUGUGUCCCUAAUAUUAUUUGUAUCUAUUAUAAUUAAAACAAUAAUAAUAAUAAUAAAACUAAAAAUAAUAAUUAUGAAAAUAAUGUUAAUUAAAACAAAAAAUUAAUAAAAUUUAACAACAAUAAUAAUAACAACAACAACAAAAUUAACUGAAAUAAUAAUAUUAAUAAUGAUAAUAAUAAUUAUUAUUAAUAAGUUUUAAUAAUAAUAUUAUUAAUAAAAAUAAUAACAACAUUAAUUAAUAAUAAUGAAAAUAAAAAAGUUAAUAUAUUUUAAUAAUAACAUUAAUUUUAAUCAUAACAAGAUAAAUAUUAAUAAUAAUGAAUUAAUUACAGUAUAAUAGCAAUUAAAAUAAUAAAAGUAAUAAAUUUUAAUAAUAAUAAUAAUGACAAUAAUAAUCAUAAAUAAUAAUAAUUAAAAUAAUAAAAUUUAAUAGCAAUAUAACUCUUAAGCUUUAUGAUUUAAACUUUCACAGUACAUACAUAAGAAUUGAAAAAAUGAUUAUAAAAUUCUUGUACGUACCCUUUCCGUCAAGAUAUUAGUAGUUCUUUUGUAUCUCGCCAUGAAUUCAGGACAUGCAGAUAUCCAUAAUUCUUUCAAGGAUGGAAAUUCAAGAAUAUCAAGAUCUCCAGUGCAGAAGCUUGUGAUCUUUUCAAGAUCAGACAUCUCCAGAUAUUGCAACUGAGGAAACAUUACAAUAUUAUUCUUCCUUUCUUCUUGGUUGUCCACGACUAUUAACUCUUCCAGGACAGGACAUUUACUUAUCUCAAUGCUUUGGAGUCGAACAAAGCUACUAACAGUAGAAGAUGAAAAUAGACAUCUUAAAUUCAUACAUCCGUGCAGGAUCAAGCGUGUUAAAUUCUGAUUACCACAAGACAUGACUGUAACUUGGCUCGGCCAAAUCCUCUCAACAUUUAUUGACACCAACUCCAACUUCUCUAACUCUGGUAAUGCAACCUGCACGAUCAAAAAAUUAACUUGUUAAUUACAAGCAACAAUGAUUUCUGUUGAUGGACAAAUCAAUAAAAUUACUCUUUCUCUGGUUAUAGUUCUUUUCAGUUUUUCAUACAAACAACCGUUAAUCAAGUUUUCCAAAUUAUUCCUUACUAAAUGUAUAGAUUUAGACGGCGGCUAAUAUAAUUCAUAUUGCAAAUAUUUUUUGAUUGUAACGAAUUUUGUAAUAUUAAAUUUUGGUUGAUUAACAAUAGGACCUAGUGUCCAGCGCGAGCAGUUCUCGGGAUUUAACUACUGGCACCUCGAUUAUAUAAAAAUUUGGAAUAUUUUCAAAGGAAAUCACAUAAUUGCCCCUUGCAAAUAGUAAUUAUCAUUAAUUGCCGCGGGUUCACAUAUAAUUCUAAGAAAUUAGGCGAGAAGAGUCUCAUCAACAAUCAAUCAGCAGAUAUCACGUUUGGCAGAUCAUCAUGAUUUCCUCAGAUGCUAGAGAAUCAACGUGAUUUCCGCUCAUGCAGGAGUGGACACAUUAUCUUAGAGCAUCCCUCACUGAGAUCUUUUAAAAAAUUUAUAUUAUAAAGUGAACAACAUAUUUAGUAUAGAUUUAGACGGCGGCUAAUAUAAUUUAUAUGUGUUCUAAUGAUGUAUAUUAAAGAAAAUGACUAACCAUAAUUUCAAUCAACUUAUUAGUCUAUAUAUAUAUAUAUAUAAUAUAUAUUCAGCGAUUACAACAUAUUUAGUAUUCCAUAACAUGAUGUUUAUAAUAAUAAUUAUUAUUAAUUCACUUAUUGUGUCAGAGUACCUUUUCUUUCUCUAAGAAUGUAUUUGUUACACCCCACUAUACUUCGGAUGAAAAAUUUAGAAUAAUUGUGAAAUAUAAUUAUUAAUCACUCUUUGCCAUAUUUGUUACCAAACAGGAAUAUAACAAAGAAAAAAAACAAAAAUUAUAGAGAAUUAAUAAGACGAUUGACUUAUUAAUAACUGACCUUCUCAGGGAAAAGCGUAUUAGAAAUUUGGACAUUGUCCUCCAAAAUGAUUUCAUGUGACUGCAAAUCAUUAGCUGAUUCCUCUUGUCUCUGUUGACAUUGCAGGUGUCUUGAUUUAAGAGUGUAAACUUAAUUGUGAACACAAUCUUAAUUAAUGCAUAGAUACAAGAUGUUUAAAAAUUAGUAUAAUAAACUUAGCACUAAAUCCAAAUUUGAUAUUUCGGAUUCCAUGAUUAAGAUUUUUUAAAUAAAAAUUUAAUAGAGUUAAUUUAAAAAUAAAAAUUAAAUAUGAAAAAUAAACUUGCAAUUAUGGAUUUAAUUUUGAUAAAUAAUGAAUGUUCUCUUUAUAUAUUUUUUUAAAAGGUAAAAGAGCGUACAAAACCCAAAUUCAUUUUUUUAGUCCCUUACUCUCCCAUGAUUCAAACUUCACUUUUUUUUUCUUUUUCUUUUUUUUCUUUUUUUGUUGAGAGAAAAGAGAAGAAGGAUAUUACAAAGCAUGAAGCUCGUGCAAUAUAAGGGCAAUUAUGGUUUUUUCUUUAAAUUAAAAUGGUAAGAUUCUGAAGCUAAAAGAUUAAAAUAUUAAUUAAAUUGCAAACAUUAAAGAUUUUUUUUCCAAAAUUGGUUGCUUUGAAAAUGAGAAUAAUAUAAUAUUUGAAGACUUUUUCAAAAUUAAUUACUGUGAUGCACUAGAAAUUUAUAGCUUUAGUCUAAUGUAUAAAUUGACAAAACGAUAUUAGAAUCCCAGGUGAAAAGAACCCUCUCAUACCAUUUUCUUAAAUUAGGAAUGAUCAUACCUCUGACUCUGCCGGACUGAGGGCGAGGCGUGAACCCCUCAUACGGAGACGCUUGAGAUGGGAAGAGCCUACUUUGACUAACUCGUUACGAAAAUAAUCGACAUCUUGCUCUUGCAAUCUACGUAAUUCAAGGUCUUCAAUUCUCUGCAGUUGCACGAUCAGCGAAUCCUUCAAGCGAAUCUUGUCAUUUAGCUCGAGUCUGAAUUCACGACACCAAAUGCCAGUGCUCUCCCAAUAUUCCCAACCCUCAUCCUCAUCCUCAUCCUCAUCAUCUCCAAUGCGGAUGAUAUGUAUGCUGUACCUUUCCAGCUUCUCCAAGAGCAGGCCUCUGGGCAGAGUGCCGACGUCAUAGACGUGUAAUUCCAAAGAGGUCAAGUUGGGUAAAUGCUUCAACUCCUCAAGGCUUGCAUUCUUAACCCCUUCCACCUCCACCUCCCAAUCGGCAAAGUCAAAGAGUUCACUAGCUAUAUAUAGUUCUUCUAAAUGGGAUAAUUUUGACAGUAUAUUUGGUGGAAUAACUUUUAGUGCAAAACAAUCUCUCAAAUCAAGCAACUUUAGCCAAGUCAAUUCACCUACUUCUACCGGCAACUUCUUAAUAUAAGAACCUCUUAAGCAAAGGAUUUCUAGUUUCUUCAAGUCUCCUACAACACUUAUAUCAGGCAAACUGCAGCGACACAAACUCAGUGUUCGAAGGUUUGACAGGAGACCAAGUGAUGGAGGCAGUGACCGUAUGUAAGUCAAGUUUACAACUCUGACCUCGAUCAUGCUCUUGAAAAGGUUGUCUGGAAUUGUUACUGGUGAGGUUUCGCAAGGAUCAUCACUAAUAAAAAGAAGUUCGAGCUGAGGACAUUCCAGUACUUUAGGAAGCAAAUUAGGCUUGAUAUCAUGUAUGACGAUUGAAGUGCAAUGCUUUAUUGCACUUCCGUCUGACCAUUCCCUGCAACCAUCAACCUGCUCAUUUGUAGCAGUAAACACAUUUCGUUCAGUAGAUGCAAUUGAUAUGGCGACAUCGCGAACUACAUCAUGCAUAGAAAACAACUCUUUCUUCUGGCUUAUAUGGUCAAGCAACAUACAAGAAGCUUUGAGUGUGCGCACCAAUGUAUGUACUCGAUUUCGUGCUGCUUCCAUCUUAUUCACACCUUGAAAUAAACUCAAUCCCAUACCACACAUUAACAGUUCGUCAAUAGAUGCUAUGGCUGUAUAUCCUAUUAGCAAAAAGAUGUUCUUCAGCUCCUCCCCUACCAAUUUGUCGUAACUCAACUUUAUGGCUUUAUAUGCAUCUGGCUGUACAUGCUUAAAAUUCGAUGAAGAGGGCCUUCCUAGUUUUUCCAAUGCAUCCUUCCAUUCCUGUAUGUUCUUGUUCCUUAAUGCCCUUGCAACCGUCACAAUGGAAACUGGCAGACCUGCACAUCCCUUUGCCACAUCCCUUGCUACCGAUUGGAAUUCACUACCUUCAAUAUAAUCACCUGCCAUCUUCUUGAAUAGAUUCCAAGCUUCUUCUUUGUUUAAAACACCAAUUGAGAAAUUUGUUCGACAAUCCAUCUUCUCAGACAAUACAUUUAGACUUCUGGCCGUCAACAAUACUUUACAACCAUCUCCAAGAGGAAUUCGGACACUCCCCAAAUUAAGAUUUUCCCAAAUGUUGUCUAAAACUAUCAGGAUCUUCUUCACUUUUUUUAUACCUUCAUAUAAGCUGCCUGCCCUUCCUUCAUCACUUUCCUCAUGCAACUUCAGGCCUAAUUUAUCUGCGAUUACUCCUUGAAUCUUUCGUAUGUCUUGAUUCUGAGACACCUCAACAAAAACCACCUGAUCAAAGAGUUUGUCACUCUUGACUUUCCUAGCAACUUCUUCGGCCAGCAUCGUCUUUCCGAUGCCACCCAUUCCAUAAAUCCCAAGCAUGUUGACAUCGCGAUCUUCUAGUGCACUGAGUAUACUCCUCAAAGUGGACAUUCUUGAUUCAAAGGGCUCGUAGUCUUUGUUAGGGAUAAGCCGAAUAUCCUCUGGAGCAGUACGGUAGGAAAUUCUAUCAAAUCUUCUAGCGUCCAGGACUUUGACAACAGCCUCCUUCUGCCUCUCUGCUUCCUUGCUAAGUCGACGGCGGGUCUUCAAAUUAGGUAUUAACCCCUUGAAACAACGCUUAUUUUCAAUGGCUUCAUCGUCUGUAAAUUUAUCUGCCUUAACAAUGACAUCAUUUGCCCCUUCGAGCCAAUUCUCAACGUUCUCUUCAAUCGCUUCCCCUUUUGUUUUAGCCUCAGCAACCCGGUGCUCUAUACUAACCUUCUCAGACUUCAGAUUGUCAACUUCAGUCUUGAGAUUGUCUAAGAUGCUCGUGUACUUACUCUCACGCAAAUAGCUAAUUUGGCGAUAUGCGGGAGGAGCCAAGCACUUCACAACUUCUACAACAAUAGUAAGAAUGAUUUCAGCCAUCUUCAAUCCUUUGUCCUUGUCUCUCUAUCUCUCUUUUUUCUGAAUUUGUGAAAAACAAUUGAUCCAGUUAGGAAGCACACUGAGUGAUUGAACACAAGUGACCACAACAAGAUGGAACAAAAUUAAAAGGAAAAAAAUAGAAAGAGUGGAUGGAGAAUAAAACAGAGACAGCGGCACAGCUGGACACAACUAGAUAGAGAACAGAGGAAAACCAAAUAACAAGACUUAAGAUUACAACAAACAGAGGCCAAGUAUUGUUGAGAUCAGAAGAUGGAAAAUUCAAAAGAGUUGAUGACAGAUGCUGAAUAACAGAACAACAAUGAACGCAAUAAACAGAAGCAAAGUGUGGUUGUGAUCGACAGACGGAAGUAAGGAAAAGCGGUUGUCGAUUGAAAAUGAAUGAAUGCAAGGAAAGACUGAUAUUGAAAAUUGACGUCAAUAGCGAAGGAAUAAUUGAACUUUCGCUUAAUUAUUGUUUGUGGCCUUGUUUUACUUUUUAUUUGUGGGUCAUGUCUUUUGGAACUAAUCAUCUUAGCUUAUGCUUUACAGCUUUAAGGCCAGUAACCGGUGUCCGUUGGAUAAGCAUAUAGAAAUCCAACGGUGGAUAUAUAUCCUUGGGAAUAAAAUUCAAGAGCAAAGGGAGUGCUGGGCUGCAGUUUCUUAAGGAGAUUUAUAUAUCCUCCUCAAAAAUAAAUGUUUUAAGGUAGAUAUUUAGACUAUUUCAUCAUAAAAUGAAUGUAAUUAAUUUUCAAUAAAUAUCUUAUAUAAAUAUUUAUUUAUUUUUUUAAUUACUAAUGACCUUUGAAUAUACAUAUAUACAUAUCACUAAUUCAAAAAUAAAUUGUGAUUAUUUGUUAAUAUAUGCGAUUACUUGUGAUGGUAAACAAAGUAGAUAUGGUAUAUUUUGAAGUUAAAUUAAAAAAAAAAAAAACAGAGCUUUUACCAUUACUUGCCUUAUCAUCUUUUAAAUUAGAAUUAUUAUUCUUUUAUUUUUCAAGUUGCCAACUCAUCCGCAUUCUCUUGUAUUGAAUUUGAAGAUCAAUGAUUAUAAAUUUGUGUGAAAAUUUUAAGUCAAAACUUUAAAUUAAAAUAAUCUUUAAGUUAUUGGGAAAUAAUACCUUAGUAUAACAAAUAUUAUAUCCUAUACUUUAUUGCUACAAAAUUACGAAACCUUAUAUUAUAUUAUGUUUCCAUAUUUCUCCUUUAUAGUGAAGACUCGUACUUCUUCUCUAAUAAAUGCUAAAGUAUUGGCUUAAAUUUUUUAACCGGCACAGUAGACCCUUAAGCUAUAUAUACUAUAAUGUCCCUCUUCUCUCACAGAUUAAACCAAUCUGAUCUCAGAGUGAGUUGAUACCAUGACUUUGCAUCAUUCGUGAUCAAAGGAGCAUCAUUACUAACUAAUAUAGGCUCGAUCAAUAGGCAUGAUAAUAAUUUUUUUUUAUCUACAAACACUAUUUUUCAAAAUAUUUUAUCUUAAGACUAACUAAAUAUUUUUUAACUAUGUAGAUAUAGGUUGUUUGAUCUCUUUUAAAUAGUGGAGAUUACAAACAAACGGAUGCGAAUUAGUAGUGAUGUUGAGUUCAGAAGAUUGAAGUUAAGAAAAUUAAGGGUUUCUUGAUCUAGGGAAAUUUCAAAAGAGUGAAGCGUCCUCAAAAUCGGAAGACGAAAAAUAAGGAAAGGGUAAGGGUGUAUUUUCAAAGUAAUUCUAUUAGUAGAUCUUUGAAGUAGGGGUGGGCAAAUCAGGUUAGUUCGGUUUAAAACGGAUUGAAACAAUUUAAUCCAAAAAUUCUACCAACAACCACUUAAAAUCCAAAAAUCUUAAUUCCAAACAUCCUUAAUAACAAAUAUCAACUACAAACCAUCAUUAACAAUAUUUCAACAAUAACAAUAACAAUAAUAACAACAACAACAACAAUAAUAAUAACAACUAUGAAUUAGCAAUUCAGCAUAUUGCCAUAUUCUAAAUUUAAAAAAAAAACACAAAUUAAUUAAUUAACAAUCUCCAAUUUAAUUUAUAAUAACAGCAAAAAUCCUCCCCAAUUUAAUUAAUAUCAGUCUCCAAUUAUUCAAUUAUCAGUCAAUAGCAACAAACCCACUCCAAUAUAAUUAUAACAAUCUCCAAUUGUUCAAUUAUCAGUCAACAACAACAAAUCCUCUCCAAUUUGUCACGAACAGCCUCUAAUUGUUUAAUUUUCAGUCAACAACAACAAACUCACUCCAAAUAAUUGAACAAUUGUUAAUUAAUUAAUUAAAAAUAUCCAAUUUAAUUAAUAACAACACCCAAGAGCAAGUCAGCAAUAAACCCACUCCAAAAUCCAAAUAUCAGUAUAAACUAAGUGUCAAACCUUGAUCGGUGGGAAGCUACAACGUCGGCAAAGCGUGACCAUGUGGGGCUGAGUGAGACCGUCGACCGAGGGUGUGUGAAGGGAGAAGAGGGAGCAGGGAGGUAACGUGGUGUGUGUGAGUUUAUAUAUAUAUAUUAAAAGCUAAAACUUAAAAAAAAAAAUUUAACUCAAUCCAAACGCACACCUAGAUUACUUCCGUUAAGAGCUGAAUCCCACACUCUUGAGCCUUUGUCGUUCCAGUCAACUAUAAAAACAAAUCAUUAUUGAGUGUGAACAGACUUAUUGAUCACCAAAUUUUCAAACUUGUCAUCCUUAUUGAAUCUGCGUUCCCUUUUAAUAAAAUUUAAAAAAGUACAAAUAAUGAAACAAAGUUAUGUUCCUUCAACAGUUGAUAGAGUUACGCGGCUUCAACUUGCAAGUCCAGUCGGCAUUUUCAAACUUGUAAUACCCUUACAACUUGCUUUCCAAGAUAGCUAUAAUUAAUAAUGACAAUAGUCUCCCCUAUAGCGACUAGUGAGCAACUUGUUUCGUGAAAUUAACGGCAUCUUCUCUCGCAUUUUAAAAAAAAAUUGAAUUAUAUAACCCACCAAAACUAUAAAAGAAUUGUUAGUUUUUCUUCAUUAAAAUUAAUAUAUUGCUCCUCAUAUUGAAAAAUCAAAAUUCAGAAUAAGAAUGAUUGAUACUUUUUAUUUACUAAAAUGAAAAUAAAAUAUAUGAAGCCUACAUAUUUUUUAAAUUAAAAAAUAAGAACUUUAUUUUCUACGGGGAGUGUUGGGAAUCAAGUUCUCAUUAUUUAAACUCUCAAUUGUACUUCAUCGAAAUUUCAUAAUUUCACUUUUGUUCUCAAUUAAAAUAUUAUUGUAGUUAUUAUUCUUAUUUUUAUAGUUGUUGUUGAUGAUGAUGGUGAUAAUGAUGAUGAUGAUGAUACAAGAUAAUAAAAUUAAUGAUAAUUAAACCAAUUUGAAUUCAGAGUGAGUGAGUACCAUUACUUCGCAUCAUUUGAUAUCAAAGGAGCAUCAUUACUAACUAAUAUAGGCUCGAUCGAAUUCAUUAUGCGAAGUAUAUUAUCGGCUGUAGGUAUGGAAAUAAAUUUUGUAUCCACAAACACUAUUUUUCAAAAUAUUUUAAGACUUGACUUAGCAUUUUUUAACCAUAUAUGUAUAGGUUGUUUGACCUAUUUUAAAUAGUGGAGAUUACAACAAAUGAACAGAUGUGGAUUUGUAGAGUUGUUGAGUUCAGAAGAUUGAAGUUAACAAAGGGUUUCUUUAUCUAGAGAAAAUUCGAAAGAGCGAAGUGUCUUCGAGAUCAAAAGACGAAAUAAGGAAAGGGUAAGGUUAUACUUUCAAAAUGAAUCUGUUGAGAGAACUUUAAAGAUUACUUCCGUUAAGAGCUGGAUCCCACACUUGAGUCUUCGUCGUCUCAGUCAGUCAACUAUAAGGACAAAUUAAUUUUGAGUGUGAAAGGACACAAUUGAUCACCAAAUUUUCAAACUAGUGAUCCUUAUUGAAUCUACAUUCCCAUUUGAAAAACAAUAAAAGAUUAACAUUAAUUUAACUUCAUCUAAAUUCCCAUUUGAAUCUGCAUUCCCAUUCCCUUGUUCUCUGGGAAUGCACAUAAUCAAACAAAAUCCUAUCCGCAUUUUCAAACUCGUGACCCUUCAAGCUUUCUAUGACAACUAUAAUGAAUAAUUACAACAAUGCUACCUAAUAGUGAGAACUUGUUUGAUGAAAUUAACAGCUUCUUUUCUCUCAUGUAUUUUAAAAAAAAUUAAAUUAUCAAAGUUUUUAUUUCAAAAUUAGUGCUAUAGUUCAUUAAUUUUUCAAAUUUUCCUUUUUCUUUCCACACAACAGAUUGAUUUGCCCUCCAAAAAAUGUAUUAUAUUGUUUAAUAUUGUAACUUCAAGAAACUUAUAAUAAAUUUUUAAAGAGAUAAAUAGAGAAUAUCAGUCUCCCAUCUACUCAAAAUUAAUAUAUAUCAUUAACUCUUGAUUAUUUUUAUAAAAACUAAUAACUUUUUUUGCAGCAUAAUUUUACAGUAUCAUCCUUGUUAGUAAGUAUAUUUUUAUUCAUAUUUAUUAUAAAUUAAUUAAAUCAUAUCAAUGAAAAUUGAAAUAAAAAUUGAAGUACUACAAAUUAAAAAAAUAUGUUUUGGUGUGAAUAAAAAAUUGAAAAUAAAAAUAUUUUUCUUAUAUUUUUUGUUAUUUUUAAAUUUUUCUUAUAAUAAAUGUAUAUUUUAUGUGCUCAACUUUUUCUUUAAAUUUUUGUUAUUAGGAGGAUUUUUAGAUAUAAUGAAAAUUGUAAAGUAGUAAGUAAUAUAUAAUAAUUUUAAUAGAGAAAAGUAAAAAAUCUCUUAUUUUAAAAUACAAGGAGAAAAAUAAUUAAUUUCAAGACAUUUUAGAAGAUAUUUCAAUAUGCGGUGGACCACAAACUCGAGUCUUUGUCAUCUCAGUCAAACUAAAAGGACAGAAUAUUGAGGGCAUGGCUAACGUGCAGAAGCUACAAGUAACAGCUUCGAACUUUCCCAUUUCCAUCACCUUGCAUUGGGAGUUUGGGACCUCUUUCUCUCUCCUCUAGCAGCCGUGGAAGUUCCCCAUUGGCUACUGUUACUUACAGAAGCUGUAACAUAGACUUCUCCGAAUAUUGACCGCGAAGGGCUCAAGUGAUUGUUCAUUUCACAGCAAUUGCCUUUUUUCUUUUUUUCUAAUUAUUGGGAAAUAAGAACUUAGUAUAACAAAUAUUAUAUCCUAUACUUUAUUGCUAAAAAAUUACAAAACCUUAUAUUAUAUUAUGUUUCCAUAUUUCUCCUUUAUAGUGAAGACUCAUACUUCUUCUCUAGUAAACGCUAAAGCAUUGGCUUAAACUUUUUAACCAGCACAGUAGACCCUUAAGCUAUAUAUACUAUAAUGUCUCUCUUCCCUCACAGAUUAAACCAAUCUAUCUCAUAGUAAGUUUGCAUCAAAGGAGUAUCAUUACUAACUAAUAUAGGCUCGAUCAAUAGAGAUGACAAUAAUUUUUUUAUCUACGAACAUUAUUUUUUCAAAAUAUUAUAUCUUUAGACAUAACUAAAUAUUUUUUAACCAUAUAUGUAUAGUUUGAUUAAAUAGUGGACAUUACAACAAAACAUAUGCGAAUUAGUUGUGAUGUUGAUUUCAGAAGAUUGAAGUUAAAAAAAUAAAGGGUUUCUUGAUCUAGGGAAAUUUCAAAAGAGUGAAGCGUCUUUUAGAUCAUGACGAAAAAAAAGAAAGGGUAAGGGUGUAUUUUCAAAGUGAUUCUAUUGAAAGAUCUUUAAAGAUUACUUUCGUUAAGAGCUGUAUUCCACACUCUUGAGCCUUUGUCGUCUCAGUCAACUAUAAAGAUACAUUAUUAUUGAGUGUGAACAUUCCGACUUAUAGAUCACCAAAUUUUCAAACUUGUGAUCUUCGUUGAAUCUGCAAUCCCUUUUGAAAAAAAAAAAAAAAAAAGGGGAAAACUGCAAAUAAUGAAACAAAAUUCUGUUCCUUGAUAGAGUUACGCGGCUUCAACUUGCAAGUGCUGUCGGCAUUUUCAAACUUGUAUGACCCUUCAACUUGCUUUCCAAGAUGGCUAUAAUUAAUAAUGACAACCGAAGACGGCUACGUUUGCGGUACAAAAGUUGCACCAUAUUAGACGUUCUUUUUUGUUCUUAUCCGAAGUAACCGUUGGAUUCAAAGGAAAGUGAUCAGACAUUCAAUAGCUUCACACGUGGACAUUAUAGGAUACCGGUCAAAUCGGUUAGUGCUCCUCCUCAAUCAAACUCACAAGCAUGGCUAUCAUCGUAUCAGCUUGGAAACUUGUUACAAGUGACUAAGAGCAACAGGGUCCGCUCCUCUAGAGUCGGUUAGUGCUCAAUAAUGUUACAGGUUUUAUAAUCUAUGUAACUGGUACGAUCGCUGUCUCAAGUGGUAAACUUUUGAGGCACAAAUUUAGAACGAAAAGUUCCCAAUAAAAUAAGUUAUUUAAUUAAUUAAAUAAGAAUAAAAUGAAUUUGUGAAAAAAAAUUUAAAUUUAAUUUUGAAUUAUUUUGACCAAAAUUUAAGUUUUUUUUUUUAAUUUGUUUAAGAAAAUGCGUUGUAAUUGUCUUGUUUUAAUUGGAAAAUCAAUGAAAAAAUUAUGUAAAAAAAAAAAGCAAAACGCUUUGUUUUGGAUGGAGGCCAUAGAUUCCAAUAUUUCCUUCACGAAAACUACAAAAAAAUUAUCAAAGGCAUCAAUUUCUACACUCUCACCGAGCAAUACUCUUAACCCAGAAGAAAGUGUAUAAACCAACCCCAAUCAGUCCAUCAAUGUCGUCAACCUCAUACAGCAUAAAAAAAAUAUGUGUCCAUUAAACCGUCUUUAUUGAGCCAUUAGACUAUUCGUAUCAUCUUCCCGUCUCGUUGUAGUAUUUUGCCGUUCAAAACUAGUUAUCAAUUGGGGAAAAUGGGGACCAAUCUGCAAGUCUUUAAAAUAGAAAGAAACUUUAAUUGGGCACUAUGUUCACGGUGGCAGACCCAGCAGCAGCUAUUUGUGCUUUAAAAAUAAUUUUACACAUUCUAAUUUUAAUAAAAAUAUAUAUUACAAAAUUACUUAUCAUAUAAGUUACUGGACAAUAUAUUAUAAGUCAACAUUAUAUAAUUACUUUGAACACUUAUAUAGCCCAAUCCUAAUUCAAUUUAUUAUUCUCAUAACUUAAAUAUAAAAAUUUUUAUUUCCAACUUCUUAAUUAAUAUGUAGAUGAAUAAUAAGGAAAUUAACUUUGAGAAAAAAUUAAAUACAAAAUAUGUGUAAUACUUUCAAAAAAAAUAAACAAAAGUAUUGCACAAGAUAAUUUUUUUUGGGGGGGGGGGGGCUUUGGCCAUUCUUCUUCUUCUCCUUCUCUCUCUCUUUUUUUUUUUUUGUAGUAUUUAUGGAACAUUUUCUAUUGUUAUGUUCUCAUUGCAAGUUAUUUUGGGUGUAAAAUUCAACAUUGAAAAUAAAUUAAAUAAAAAAAUUAGUAACUAAAAUUAUGUUAAAUUAUUUUUUAACUUAAUUUUUAAUUAUAUUAUUAGUAUAUGUUAGAUCUCUUAAAAAUCGAGUGUUGAAUAAUUUUAUUAGUUUUUUAAACAAAUAAAGUUAAAUAACUUAAAAAAUUUAAGUAAGGAUAUUUUUAAAUUUUUAAACAGUAUACAAAGUAAAGUUUAUUUUCUUGUCAGUGGCAAAUGAUCACGACAAGAAAUCUAAAGUAGAAACAGCAGAGCUCAACAAAUCACUAAGAGAAAAUAAGACCAAUAACCAAGCAGAUAAAAGAAAAGCAAAAUAACCCAUCUCAAAUCACCACAUGCACAAUUUAAGGGGUUUGUGACAUGGGUUUAAGCAUGAUUUAACAAGUGCCACCUGUGAAUUGUCAGAGAUUGUAUUUUCAUACACAUGUCUAGGGGUGGGCAUAUUUUAACCGAACCGAUCCAAACCGAUCCAAACCGACCAUUUGGUCGGUUUGGAUCGGUUUCAUUAGUAAAAAAACUGGUUUCGGUUUAUUGGAUUGCAAACCGACAUCACUCGGUUUGGAUUUCGGUUUGGAAUGAUUCCAAACCGAUUCAAACCGAUCCAAUCCAAAAAUAUUAUAUAAUUACAUUAUAUUUUAAGUUAAGCAAUCUAACUAAUUAUAUUUAUCAUUUUAUGCAGAUUUUGACAAAUCAAAACUAAUUAGGCCAUAAGUUUUGACGGACAAGAUGCACAAUAUUUUAAUUGUCAAAUGUUGUUCAAGUUUAUUUUAAUUUUGUGAGUUUGUUUUGAAUGAAUAUGUUAAGAACUUCUUUAUUAGGAUGUAUUAUACCGUAAACUUGUAUGGAUGUAUCUUUAAAUUGUUAUGUAGAUGUCAAAGUAGAUAUGAAUAAUAUAAAAGAGGUAUCAAUUUGGAUUACGGACACAAAAAAAUAACAAAUAAUUUAGGUAAAAUAAUAAAAAAAGUGGGCUUUUAGCUAAUAAACUCAAACUGAGAAUCCAAACCGAUCCAAACCGAUCCAGUCGGUUUGGAUCGGUUCGGUUUGAAAAAUUUUUAAGUUGAUAUCGGUUUGAAAAUAUUUCAAACCGAUAAGUUUGGAUCGGUUUGAGAAUAUGUCUCAAACCGAUCCAAACCGACUUUGCCCACCCCUACACAUGUCAAAUUUUCAAGUCCAACAAAUUGUUAUCUUUCUAAAGAGGCUAAUAUUAUUAUUAUCUAUGCAUAGCAUGCUAUAAACAAUUCAUAUUACUGGGCCUUUGUUUUGUGUACACAACAUAUGGACAGAGGAACAAAUGCCUGAGCUAAAAUCAUCAUAUUCCAAAAUAUUCUAUUAAAUCAGCACCACAAAACGCGAACGCUAAACAGAAUUGGAGCAAUUUACCAAAGCUAUUUGUCACGCAAAGCACUAGUACCUCAGAACCCAAUUUGCAAAAAAGCACCAAAAAUGAAAAAUAACAAAUGCCCAGAUGAAAAAUCAGGAAAAAAAAAAUGCUCAAAUCCAAAUUACAACCCCAUAAGUUGAGUCGUUCUCUUCGAACUGAAUUAAAAAUAAAUAAAAAAAUUAAAAUGGGGAGAUUGACCUCAAACUUUGGAAACAGAAGCGACAGCGAUCUGUUUCUUGUCUGGAGUGUCCAUUUCUAUAAUCUACUUUGUCCGUUUUCAGUUGCUCUGCCACAGAGCUUCUUCCCUCUGAAGCUGAAGCUCACACACACUCGCAAAACGAAAGCAUUUUUUAUUGAUUGAGAGGCGGGAAGGCGGGAAAAUGAGAGAAAUUUGCAUUUGUUUUCUCUUGGUUUGGUCAUACUUGUGCGGGCCCCAGCUUGACAAGCGGUAUUAUUACUAUUUGUAUAAUUUACAUGACGCGUGUCACGCAAUGACGAUAAAAAAUAUAUAUAUAUUGUUAAUUUUUCACUUAACAUUGAAAUAUCAUAUAAUUUUUCCAAUUUUAUGGUUAUUUUCUCGCCCUUAUGCCACAUUCUUUUGAUCAAAUAAUACAGUAAAACUUUUCUAUAAUCAUAAUAUUAGAGCCAAAUUAACUUUAUUUCUGUAAAGAGGCUAUAGCUUAAUAAAGGUAAAAUUAUAAAAAAAAUAUUAUUUUGACUCAGUUAUCUUUAGUGCAAGUGAUAUAAAGUACAAAUAUAUGAUAAUUAAUUAAUGAACUAUGUCAAAUACAAUAUGCUAACAAUGAUAAAAAAAGAUAGACAUAAUUUCAAGAAACUAUGUAUUUAUGUAGUGCUGGGAUUAUACAAAAUUAUCUUAAAAGUGUAAAGAGUAAAGUAUUAUUCUGAUUAAUUUAUAAAAAAAUUAUUUUAUCUUAAUCUUUAAUGCAACAUAGCUUUUUCUUUUCUUAACAACAAAGCAUUGUUUCAAAUAAUAAUUAUUGGAUUCAAAUCAUGUCCUAGGCAUUUUUUCUUCUAGUCGUCUUAAACUUUUAAUGAUUUAUUGGGAUGUGUCAAUCAUUAAUGAAAUUAAAUAACUAAGACUUUGUUUUAAUUAACGUUUACAUAAAUAGACAUCAAAACUCAAGUGUGAUUCUUAUCAAUUUUUUCCUGCAAAUUCUUUUCCUCUCAACUAUUCAUAUUUUGACAUUAAUUUCCAGCAAAUUAUUAAAAAAAAAAAGAAGCGUAAAAUGGAGAAAAGUGAUUGACAACAAGGUUUGCAUCUUAAUUUCAAAAUUUUCCUUUCUUUGCUAUUUUUGUGAGUUCUACAAUUGUUGUUUUCACUCUCAGCUGCAGUUCAAUGAACUCUAUUAAUAACCAUGAAGCUUAAUGUAUCAAUUCCAGUACGAGAAGUCCUUCUACGCAUGUUACAACACUUUUUGGUCAUUAUAGGUUGCAAAUGUUCCGUAAUGUACUCAUUCAUAUAACGGAAACGCUAUUAUCAAUAAUGAAAGUUGACUAAGUUUGUAAAUUCUAUUUAACGAAAAAGUAACAUAAAUUUAGUUGAACAAGAGGUAAUCAAUAUGUAAUCUAUGAAACUAGGGUGUGACUAAGUUACAUAGUAAUGUAACUUACAUGAACACAAAAAUAAUUAGUUUUUAAACUACAAGUAAUUUUGGAACUGCUCUUAAAUUGAUAUAAGUUUUAUUAUUAUGUAACUUAGCAAGGUCAGGUAUUUUAAUAAUAGCACAUCACUAUUGUUUCAUGUGAAUGAUGCAAUUGGAUUAGCCAAUACAUACUGUCAUCCCCGGGAGAUGCUAUGGCAAUAGCUUACUCUACCGUGCCAAUGUCAUUAGUAUUAAUCUGUUGAGCCUAAGACCAGAUCUAAGCUGAUCUAGAUUCCCCAAGAUCGCACACCACACAGUGAUUAAUGAAUCAAGAACAAUAAACCAUCAAAGAAUCGCAAACUUACAUGUCGGGUUACAUGUAAUAAAUGUUUUAAUUAUUAGAUGAUUCAUAAUGUUAGACCAUUUUUUGUAUGUUUUGUAAUCUACGUUUGAUAAUUUAAUUAGCUGAUAAACAUUUGAAUAAUAUUAUUUCAUUAGCUAUGUCAUUGAUCCCCAGGAAAAAAAAAAAAAAAAAACCCAAUUUGGGAUGUUAUACAUUACUUUUUCAUUACUUCCCAUUUUAGAUUAAUAUUUAUCACAUAUAUUCUUAGCAACUUGUAACCCUUUUUGCUAAGGGUGAAAUGUGUUUGUUACCCCUUCUAUUUCUGAGAUUGUCCUUACAAUAAGGAUGCCGGCCCCAAUGUCAAAAACUGCUAUCUCUAGGUGUAAAUUCCUUAUAAAAUUCUUUUUUAAUUGAAAUUACUUAAAUAAUUGAAGAUAAAUUAAUUUUUUAUUUCAUUCAAAUAAAAAAAAAUAAUUAAACACUUAAAUAAGCUAUCCUUUUAAUUUUUUUUUUUACACCCAUCCAGUUUCAUAAUUUAUAUUUAUAAUUUAAAUUUUAAUGGAAAAUAUUUUUUUGAAAAAUUUUAAGAAUUAAGAAUUAUGGGGAUAAAAAUUAUGUAAUAAGAACAAAAUAAUUUAAAAUUUUAAAAUUUGCAUGUAUUAUGAACAAAAACUUGAAAGAAAUACUCUUUUCAGGGUGAGAUUUAAUCAGAAAAAGAUUAAUUUUCAUUUAUGGAUCAGUAUUUUAUAAAUUAAACAGAGGUAUUUUAAGAAAUAGAAUUCAAAAGGCAUGGGAACAAGGGCAUUGGGUUUCCUUUUGUUUUGUAUGGAUUGGGAAAAAUACACGGACAGACAAAGGGAACAGUCAUUAUAAUGCUGCGGAGCUUGUCGGAGAUUCCCUGCCCAUUUGUAGCUUAGACUCCUGGGGUUUUGUUCAUGUCUUUUCUGUAUCCCACUUUCUCAUGCAGCAGAUGUACAUAUGAUGAGAUGAAAACAACAGCAAAAAUUGCUGUCUCAUAAGAGAAAUAGUCAUACAUAGUUGGUUAGGCCUCCAGUCCAUUAACUUAAUAAUGAAUUUUACGAAAAUUGAUUAUCUCAUUGGAAUUACAUAGAUAUUGGAAAUCAUUACUCCAGCCCCACCAUGCCAACCAUUUACUUAGUUCAUCAGUAAAAGCUGGAUUUUCCAUUUGUUCUUGAGAUUCAAAUUAAGGCAACAAGUUGCUCAUUCUAUAUUAUCUAUGUAAUCCUGUAAAAGUGAAGGGCGUUUAGAUGUGGAAAAACCUUACUCCUGCCGCAACACCUCAAACAGAUUGUGAUCAGACAAGACUUAGUUCAUCAUUAGUAGUAGUUGGAGCUUCCAUUUGUUCUAGAGAUUUAAAGGCAGCAAGCUGCUUCCUCAGUGCUACUAAUUCUUCCCCGGCAUUGCAUAUGUAGCCUGAGGCUUGUCUACCAGACAAAGUUGCUCCUUCCAUACUAUCUAUGUAAUCCAGUGAGAGUGAAACCAUUUAGAAGACGUAUCUCUUUCUUUCCAAUAUUUAGAAUGAAACAAUUAUAUACAGUUACCUGUUUUGCAUAUGAGCCGGUGAGGAAGAAGUUCUUCACUGGUGUCUUUUGAUCACGUCUGAAGGGGUCUUUACCAGGUCCCUCACCGCACAUAGAUUGCCCGAUUUUGACGAAAGAUGACCAAAUAACUUCCAAACCUUGGGAUGAUGGAAAUGGAGCUAAAACCUAAUAAAAGGAACCGUGAAUGGAUAGUAUGGACUCAUGUAUAUUAUCCAGAAAGUUGCAUGACCUUUUGUGGUACUCAGGUCACUAAAAAACGUGAGAUAAACAUCUAGGAUAAGAAAAGCAAAAAAGCAUAACCUAAUACGUAUUAUAUGAAUUGAAGGUGUCACUGAACGCUACCAACCUGCUUUGCCACUCUCCUUAUGAUUUCAUCAUUUGGUAAGGGCAUAUAAGGAUCUCCAGGCGUCAAAACGCGUCUGAAAGAUAAUAUGGUUAUAGUAAACAACAUGGAAUACAAAGACACUUGGCAAAAGGAAGUCAAUCAGAUUCCAUGCACAAAAAAUAACUAAUAAUGACGACGAUAAGAAAUUUUUCACACCGGAGCCUUCUCUAUAGUAGUCUUCUGGUGAAGUAAGUGCUAGAUCUGCAAAGCAAGAGAAAUCUGCAUCUGGAGUAUAUAAAAGGUUAUCUAACCCCACAGCUUGCCUCAAUUGCCUACAUGUUCAAAACAAGGAUCUAUUAAAAAAUGGAAAUUUCUUCAAUGCAUUAGUGAAGGGAAGUGAAGUGAAAGCGGAUUUCUUAAGCCUUCACAGAGCAUCUUGUGUUUGAAUUCCGGUAACCUCACAAAAGAUUAGAGCAUCACCUUGACCGUUCUAGGUCUUGCAACUCAGUAACCCAACCAUUGUAUCUAAGCUGCACUGUGACAACAUGAACUCCAACGAGCUCAUAAAUAUUGUUGAAAAAUUUCAUUUCCCUCCAGCCUCCACAAUGAUGAAAGCAAUCUUUUAAUUCCAGGGACAUCACAUGCUGCCAUUAAAUAAGAAGUUGAAUAAAGAAAAAUCGUUCAACUAAAUGAUUCAGGAGUUAAAAAAAAAUGUAGAAGUAGAAAUAAAUAACAAAGAUUUAACCAUAAACCUGCAACAUUUGCAUCAGCUUGCACAACCUUCUUGUCAGUGGCCUGAAAUAGAAUGAGAACUUGAAAGACAGUAAGCAUAAAAGAAUAAACUCAAAGAAGCUGCUUCUUACAGAUGAUAUAAACAACAAAUUUACAAAUGUCAGGUCAUUGCAUUAGCUCCAUGCCUCCAUCAGAGGGAAUAUUAGUAGAUGCAUAAAAAAAUAAUUAGAGCCACAUGUGAAACAAUUUACCUUAGACAUGGCAAGUGCUUUAACAAAUGUUUCCCCGUUAGCAGAUUUAUCAUAAAGUAUCUCUCUGCAUCCCCACCUAAGAUGGAACCUGUUCUCACAAGAACAGAUCCCAAGGUUGGGAAAAUCAGUUCAUCAUAGGAGAAAACAAAUAAGAUUAACAAAUCACUACAAUGGUGUGAACCCGUAAAUACAAACGUACCUGCCCCCUUUUUCUGUGAUAUAUUUUCUUAUGGGCCCACUCAAAUAAACAUCCGGAGAACCCGAGCAUCAGCAAUAGGGAAGCCUCGGUCUUAGUCGCAAAUAGUGCAAGUAUGGUAAGCGUACAAUGAGCACUGAUGUUAUCACAAUCAAUAAACCCAAGGGCAUACGCAACAGGAUCCCACAUUCUUUGGAUACUUGUCCGUGUACCACCCUUGGACAAAAACCAAUCAGAGAAGCUUAUGUGUAAGAAGAAAUGAAGUUUUAGGUAAAAUAACAAUUUGUAGGAACAGGGAUUGAAAUUCAACAGACAAGGAAAUAUGAUAUCAUUCUUACACUAUCCAAAUCUCAUAUGUCCUUCAAGGCUCCAUCAGGAUCAACAAGUGCCUUUACAACAGGACUCAGAGCAAGAGCAAGAGCAUUUCUUGCUUUAUCUUAAGUCUGCACUUGAGCAAUAUACCAGGCAAAGUACAUCAAAAGAGAAUCCAAAAGAGGCAAGAAGCUUCAACAUGAAAAAAGGAGUACUGCCUCAUCAUACUGCUUUGCAAUCACAGUGCAAAAGAUAACAUCAACAAAUCAAAAUCGACCAAAAAUCCAUAUGCACUACCUUAAGCUGAUUUGUAGACAAAAAUGUGCGAAUCCCAUGUAACGGAGCUCCAAUCAGAAACCGGAAAUCAAGUUCUGGAGUUGAAAAUCAAAAUCAUGAACCAAAUCAGAGUUAUUAUUGAAUUUGACAAUCCAUAAACCAAUAGAAGGUGAUGUCAAACCAUCAAGCAUAACUACCCACCAAGCAAAACUAUUAGUAGUUUUAAGUGAUCAAGAAAUAACCAUACCACCAAUUUCACCACCCUUAUUUACAAAUGUAUGAGUAUGAUCCUUCAUGAGUAAAUUUUUGUCCACACCUACCUGUCGAAAUGCUUGAAAAACUAUCAGAUCAUAAACACAGGCUCCAGUUAAAGAGGAUCUAUGAUUCUGAUCCAUCAUGUUAUUUGAACAACAUUUUCGAAUUUUGGUACAACCCUAAGCUAUAAUCAGUUGUAGUGGUACAACCCUAAGCUAUAAUCAGUUAUCAUCACUACAAAUGAUAUGGUCAAGAGGAAUGAUAGUUCUUGUUUCAAGUAUCUCAAAUCAUAAUUCUUUUGCAUGGCUUGUGUGCUUUUAUAAUCAUUCAAAUACGCAUAUCCACAACUAAGCAAGCUUUACCAUUUUCAUCAAUCGGAAGAGAUUAUUGUAGCAUCCAAAGAAAACGUGCAGGCCCAUUUCAAUAUGGUUUUCACGUUUAUCGACAAAUGAACCCACUUUACCACCAAUAAAAGACCUCGACUCAUAUAUAUCCACCUGGAAGAAAGGAAAAGUUAAAAAAAAAAAGUGUUGAGAAUUAUGUUUGAUUAAACUUAAUUCUUUCCCCAAGAAAUCUCCACACACUGAUCUUAUUGAAACAAGAAUGAAUACCCAAGAUAGUAAUCAGAAAUAAAGCAAGAGUGUUUAGACAGAAAUAGAGAUUAAAAGCAUAGAAUAAACCGGACACAAGGAGAAUUAUAGAGGUUCGGCUGGGUAGCCUACAUCCUCUUGAGAAACAGAAGCCAUAGCUUUUCUUUGAUGCUUAACAGAUUACAAGACUUAGAGAGUUUGUUACAAAGAACGUUGGUUAUCUAAACUUGGCCUUGGAGACCUUAUAUACAGCUCUCGAAGGAUCCAGAUAAGUGUGCUGCUUGCCAGCUCUUGUUCUGGGUUUGUUGAAACAAACCCAGAAAGUUCCCGCCAAGGCUAACCGUUGAUAACAGCCUUUUAAUUAGAAACGACACUUGCUGCUGCCGUUUAACUAAAGCUUGAAUCCGUAGAUGCUCGUGCAAUUCACGUGCAUUACUUAAGCUAUUCGUGUGACAGGAUAUGGUUGUCAUAUGCACAGCAUUAUCUGUCUGAUUGCUUUGUCGUUACUUGAUUAAUCCUAGACACGACAAAGUCAUCUUCUCCGUAAGCUCUUAAUUCAGGUUCACAAUUAACAAAAAGGAAUAAAAAUUCUUCUAAUUUCUUACACCAUCAACAAAAUCAGAAUAACACAUACUAGUUCAAAAUGAAAUAAAGUUUGUGAAUUGAAAUAAUGCCAACUCCUAAGAAAAAUUAUGACUGCUGAUAUUUUUUCCGAAACGCUGAUAAAAGCCUCUGCUAUUUACUUUGAAAAAAUUGAGGUUAGAAGCCAAUUUACUUGAAAUUUUUGAGUUUAGGCAAGAGGAUGAAUGGUAAAACUGAAACAUAUUAGGGAAAAAUGUACUUCAGAGGCCAAUGAAAGCAUUCAGAAGAUUGAAAACUAAAUGAGCAAAACCUCGUGGCCAUGAUCCAACAAUUCCACUGCUGUUGACAUGCCUGCAAGCCCAGCUCCAAUAAUAGCCACUUUCAGCUUUGGUCCUCUAUAAUGUUCCGGUUCUGGUAGAAACAAACCCUUGGGAGCUGCCAAGUAUACCAUCCAAUUAUCCACAGUGAUAAUGGAAAUAUAUAUUUGUUUAAAGGUACUAAAUUCCUAAACAUGAAAUGUAUCCAAAAAGAGACACAAAGCAGAAUUGAGUAAGCAUUUCAAUUCCCAAUAAAUUUCAAGAAUACAAAAUACUCGGUCUGUUCUUCAAUUCCUUUAAUAAAAUUUCCACUAGAGGCUACGCAAGCCACUCAAUAACACGCCAAAGCCAGAUUUUAAACGUUAUCUUUAUCUUUAACUCCAAUCCAUAAACAAUUCUGCCACAAAUUCAAUCCAAAAUUGUUCAACUGCACCGCCAAUUCUCCAUCAAUUCCCUCAAAAAUUCAUAAUUGCCAAACACUGCAAACCAAAAAGAGCUUCCAGCAAUAAACGCAUAAAAAUCCGCCAAACAACAUAAAACAAAAUACCUAGAAACCAGAAAAGCCAAAAGAUCAAUGCUUGGCAAACAAGCAAAUCAAAUAAAACAAAAAGAAGAGAAAUUUACCAUUAACGCUCAUAUCAGAAACAUUCGUGUCCAAAGAAGCCCGUACGUGGAAUCGUGGACCCUUCACUUGAACCCGAGACCAUUUAACGCCAGUAACUGAAGUUGCAGGAAGCAGAAGUGAAGAACCCAUAUUGCAAAUCCUGAGCUGAAAUCAAGAAAUUCAAUUGGAACUCAAUUCAACUCAACCCAGCUGAGCUCUCUUUUGCUUCAAUAACAAAGUGUUUUUCUUUUAUAUCAACAAAGAUUUGUCAACAUCAACAAAAUUUAACUAAGAAACUAAAAUAAUAAAAGAGGGCACCUUUGAGUUUAAGAAUCUAACAAGAUGCUAAGGAAGAGAGUUUUGUCAGGGAACUGUUUCGGAGAGGUUGGCCAAGUGCUUUUUUGUUUGUUUGUUUGUUUUUUUUUUUUUUUUUUUUUAUCAUUUUGGCCCUUUUCAUUAAUACACAACAUUAGUACUCGCGAAGAGCACAAAAUGUUGGUGACUUUGUCACUAACGAUAAUGGAUGGAGCGACCAAAGCAACCAACUAAAUUUUAAAGAGAGGGAAUGACAAGCAAUAUUUUAAUUGGGUGAUUAAUUAAUGUAUUAUCAAGCAAUUGCAUUUAUUUAUUUAAACGAGGGUUUGGCUACAAUGCCGUUGGCAUUGUAGCCGGCACCAUGCCGGGCUCUCAAAAAGAGAGCCCGGCUGUCUUUGGCUGCCAUCUGGCAGCCAAAGACUUGGUGCAGCCAGUUAACAAACCGGUUGCACCAUAUUUUUUUAAAAAAUAUAUUAAAAAUAUAAUAUAAAAAUAAAAAAAUUAAAUAAAAUGUCAAAAAUAAUUUUUUAUAAUAUAAUUAAUAGCAAAAGAUAAAGAAAUUAAAUAAUAUAAUACAAACCCUAUAAUACAAUAUAAUAUAAUUAAAUAAAAUGGCAAAAAAUAAAGAAAUUGAAAAUGAAAAAAAUAGUAUUUCAGGUUUAACGUCAGUUGUUGCAUGUCCGAUGUCUCGAUUGCAUGUUUGACGUAAGAUGUUGCAUGUGUUGAAUAAAGCCAAAAUAAAGAAUAUUCUCGAAUAUUCUCGUCCGUUUCAUGUUUGACGUCGAAGUUGCGAACUUUACGUGAUAAGUUGUAUAUUUCGCGUGAAGUGUUGUAAGUUUCAUGUUUAACGUCCGUUGUUGCAUGUCGGACGUCACGGUUGCAUGUUUGACGUAAGCUGUUGCAUGUCUUGAAUAAAGACAAAAUAAAGAAUAUUCCCGAAUAUUCUCGUCCGUUUCAUGUUUGACGUCGAAGUUGCGAACUUUACGUGAUAAGUUGCAUAUUUCGCGUGAAGUGUUGCAAGUUUCAUAUUUAACGUCAGUUGUUGCAUGUUCGACGGUUGGAUUUCAUGUUUGACAUACGAUGUUGCAUGUUUUGAAUAAAACCAAAAUAAAGAAUAUUCCCAAAUAUUCUCGUCCGUUUCAUGUUUGACUUCAAAGUUGCAAACUUUACGUGAUAAGUUGCAUAUUUCACGUGCAGUGUUACAGGUUGCAUGUUUAACGUCCGUUGUUGCAUGUCGAACGUCACGGUUGCAUGUUUGACGUAAGCUGUUGCAUGUCUUGAAUAAAGCCAAAAUAAAGAAUAUUCCCGAAUAUUCUCGUCUGUUUCAUGUUUGAUGUCGAAGUUGCGAACUUUACGUGAUAAGUUGCAUAUUUCUCGUGAAGUGUUGCAAGUUUCAUAUUUAACGUUAGUUGUUGCAUGUUCGACGGUCGGAUUUCAUGUUUGAUGUAAGCUGUUGCAUGUCUUGAAUAAAGUCAAAAUAAAGAAUAUUCUCGAAUAUUCUCGUCUGUUUCAUGUUUGACGUCGAAGUUGCAAACUUUACGUGAUAAGUUGCAUAUUUCACGUGCAGUGUUGCAGGUUGCAUGUUUAACGUCCGUUAUUGCAUGUCGGACGUCCUGCUUGCAUGUUUGACGUUCGAUGUUGCAUGUUUUGGAUAAAGCCAAAAUAAAGAAUAUUCUCGAAUAUUCUCGUCCGUUUCAUGUUUGACGUCGAAGUUGCAAACUUUACGUAAUAAGUUGCAUAUUUCGCGUGAAGUGUUGCAAGUUUCAUAUUUAACGUCAGUUGUUGUAUGUUCGACGGUUGGAUUUCAUGUUUGACGUAAGCUGUUGCAUGUCUUGAAUAAAGCCAAAAUAAAGAAUAUUCUCGAAUAUUCUCAUCCGUUUCAUGUUUGACGUCGAAGUUGCAAACUUUACGUGAUAAGUUGCAUAUUUCACGUGCAGUGUUGCAGGUUGCAUGUUUAACGUCCGUUGUUGCAUGUCGGACGUCACGGUUGCAUGUUUGACGUAAGCUAUUGCAUGUCUUGAAUAAAGCCAAAAUAAAGAAUAUUCCCGAAUAUUCUCGUCUGUUUCAUAUUUGACGUCGAAGUUGCGAACUUUACGUGAUAAGUUGCAUAUUUCGCGUGAAGUGUUGCAAGUUUUAUAUUUAACGUAAGUUGUUGCAUGUUCGACGGUUGGAUUUCAUGUUUGACAUAUGAUGUUGCAUGUUUUGAAUAAAGCCAAAAUAAAGAAUAUUCCCGAAUAUUCUCGUCCGUUUCAUGUUUGACGUCAAAGUUGCAUAAUUUACGUGAUAAAUUGCAUAUUUAACGUGACUUGUUGCGGGUUUCAUGUUUUACGUCUAUUGUUGCAUGUUGGACGUCACGGUUGCAUGUUUGACAUUAGAUGUUGCAUGUCUUGAAUCAAGCCAAAAUAAAGAAUAUUUCCGAAUAUUCUCGCUUGUUUUAUAUUUGACAUCAAAGUUGCAUACUUUACGUGAUAGGUUGCAUGUUUGACGUAAAAUAUUGUAGGGUAGGUUUAUAUAAAAUAACUAAUUAUAAAAUGAGAGUGCAUUUCAAAAUUCCUUGACAAAUCAAGUGAUAAUUUAUAACUAAACUUAUUUUUUUCAAAUUUUUUAUUAUUAAUUAAGUUUAAUUAAGCCAAUCUAUUAAGAAACAAAUGAAAAUAUAUUAAAAUUAAAUUAAAUGCAACUUUUACCCAAUAAAUAUAUUUAGGAAUAUAUCUAAUUAAAUUGGUACACAAAUUACAAAUGUUUUCAAGAAAUUACACACAUAAGUUUAAUAGUCUAACUAUUUUUUAUAUGAUUGAUAAAAUGAUGGCUUUGGAAAGAACUUGUGAUUUGAAAAGAAAAAUCUAGUUAAUUAUAAUAAAAUUACAUAUCUAAUCCAACCUUUUUUCCUUAUUUUAGUCAGAUAAUAGUUUUGAAAAUAAUUUGAUAAUUCAAGUGAUAAUGUCUAUUCUUAUUUGUUGUAUAAUAUUUUUUUAGGUGCAUUUCAUUUUAUUUUUAUUUUUUUAGAGAAUCUAAUCAUGGUGGAUAUUUUAAAUUACUAAGUCAUGAAAAUUUUGAAUUCAAUUGAAAUUUACAAUCUUUUAUGAAUGAAAAUAUACAGCAAGACAAAAAAAUUGAGAGAUAAAAAGAAAAUGUGGUAGAAAGAAAAGGCAACAUCAAUAUGAUCAUUUUCUAAGAAAAAUUAAGGCAAAAUCUUCCAAGUAAUAUGGUCAAUUUCAAUAAAAUUACAACUUACUAGAGUAAAUCCAUCUACUAAACAUCCAAAGUUCACAACAUAAUAUUUGAAUAUCACCAAUAACAUCCCCAAUCCUAAAGAUUGCAACAAAUUCAUGUAACAUUUGAGGGUAUUGUUUGGGGGUAAAAAUAACGUGACCAAGUACACAUAAGUAGAACGUGCACCCCUCAGUCGGCCUAAGGCGACUCCUUGAGGAAAGUCUUCCCCGAUGAGUUGAGCAUUGGAGGGUUUAUGUUAGAAAAAUCUCCGACAUCCCCUAACUAGUUGUUAUGAACGCAAGCAUCCUUGGAGAAAGAGCUUGAGGUCCCAAGAGCCUAUUCGAUAAGAAAGAUAGAAGUACAAACCGACUCCCCAACAACUACUAAUUUAAGUGUUGGCGUGGUUGUCUGGUCGCUUCACAGCUCGACGAGAAUUCAACAUCAACAAAUAUUUUAGAACCUAGUGUAUCUUCAAUCAUUUUGGAUUAAAUUCUAUGACACUUUUUUCUUUUCUUCUCUUUUUUUGUGAAAACAAAUUUUAGUACACUUAUUUUAAAAGAAAUUUGUUAAUGAAAAACAAAAUAAUGACAAUGAAGAGCACUCAUUUAUAAAAAUAAGCUACAAAUAGAAAAACAAAAUUCAUAUAAGUAGAAUCUCCCAAAAACUAAAAGCAUUGUCGAAUUGAGUUACAAACUAAUAAUAAUUUCAUCAAAGUUUGUAAACCAAAGAUUGUCCUAAUAUCAAAAAGUUUCCAAUAAAACACUCCAACUGAAUUCUCCCCUGGAAAUAAUUAAAAUUUUCAAGUUAGUCAAUAAGAAAAAACAGCCAUCAAUCAUAAUAAGAAGCAACAGCAAAUUACACUAAAAAAAUGGCAGAAAAAAGCACCAAAACAACAAAUAUAAACAAGAAACAACAAUUAAAAAAAACCCAAAAAUGGCAUAAAAAGAUGCUCAAAGCAGCAAUAAAUUUAUAAAAAAUACCCUAAAAUAGCAGUGAAAAGUGCUUUAAAAAGCAUUAAAAAAUCCAAAAACAAUAGUAAACAUGCCUAGAAACAGUAGAAAAAACCCCCUAAAAUAGCAAGAAAACUGCCUAAAACUAGAAAAAAAAUCUAACAGCAAAAUCUUCCAUUGCCAGAUAAAGCUACGAAAGAAAAGAAAUAAAAUUCAUAAAGAGUCAAAGCUAACAUACUGACCACUUGCUAGAAAUUAAGCUAUAAAUCCCAAAUUUUUACACAAAUUAGUAUCUGAAACAAGAUUGGUUUGAUAUAUGAUAGUCAAGUAAAAUACCUAUAAAGUAGUACAAAUUCAGCAAACCUAAUGGCUUCACUCCACUGAUUUUCUUAAGACUCCAGUGAUGAGAAGCUGCCAACAGAAUGAUAAAUUGAGGUUUGACAGGAAGCACACAAACUAAACAAGAUACAUAACAACUUUGUUAUCCAUGUUACACCCUAGAACCAUUUCUAGGAAUAUUUGUUAGAAUAGCCACCAUAACAGUUGAUGAGCAACAUAAAACAGAGACAACAACAAAACCAGCAACCUGCAAAGUGCCAAUUCUUCCAUAAUUAAAUCAGAUACACAAUAGAAAUAAUUUACUAUUAAAAUCCCAAAUUCAUUUUAUCUUCUUCCUGCAUUUUCUCAUCAAUCAAACAUAAAAGAGAGCUCCUAUCGACACAUGCAAACAGCACCCACCAUCUUGUCGCAUUCAAACACAACCCAAGAUCACAAAAGUUAAUUUUCUAGAUUUAGUUAACCAAAGAAAAUAUACCAUCAACUGGAUCACCUUAUAAAUCAAAUACAAUUCCACAAUAUUACCAACCUCCCAAAAAAAAAAGGCACAAACUUUAAAAUGAAAACAACAACACCAUGAAAAAUAAGCAAAAGUGGGUAUUUAAAUCAAACAUGAUAGAAUGCAACAAAAGCAAAAAAGCUUUCGAUAGAAGCCAAAGCUAGAUGGGGUACAAGCAAGCUAGGAGGUACCAAUUAAAGAUGCUUCAUUCAAGAACAGAAAAGCUACCAGAAUGAUAAAAGUAGAAAAAAUGAAACAAUAAACAGAAAAUUGGGUGAAAGCUGCAACAAUAGUUUCAAUCACUUAACAGUACCAGCAAACUUAUAGUAAACUUUAAGAACUAGAUGUUUAAGCCACAGAUAAUGGGGACGUACCCAUGAGGAUAAAGACACAAGCGUGAGACCAGUAAAGCCGCCCAUCCUUAACUUGUGCAGGAAACAAAGUCGAAUGAAAAAGGAGGCAACGACGGUAGCGACGAAAACAGCUGGAUCGGAAGCGAACAGCUCAAGAUGAAAGCAACAAGUUAAUGGAUUGGAUUGUGUGCGCGAGAUGUGGCUUCGAUUUUAUUUGAUUAGUCAAGAAAUCGAAGAGAGAAAUUUGAGAGAAAUUUGUGAUUUCUGAGAGAGAGGCAAGAAAUUGAGAGAGAUUGGGCACGGUUGAAACACCUAAAUUAUAAAAAUAUAAAUUUUGCAGCCUUUGGGAACUGGUUGCUUCGGUUGCCCUUUUUUUGUUUUUUUUUUUAUUUCUUUUCAAUGUCAGCCGUUGGAUUCAUUUUACUUGAAUCCAACGACUGCAUUUACAAGCCAGCACAAUGCCGGGCCUCAAUGCCCGGCAUUGUAGCUUUAGCCUUUAAACGAUGUCCUUAUCGUUGGACAAGGUUGAGGAAAGACAGCGAUGUUGUGUUGUCACGUAUUUUUGGGCCGACCGUUUCCAGUUCCGGCUUAAAUGAGGCUUUUGUAUUUUUGUGCCCUUUUUUUUACUGAGUAUUUUGUCCUAAAUUACACCAAAGAAAAUGUGGACUUUAGAAUGUGACAGUAUUGAUAUCUAAGUUCAUAAUAUCAUGAUAAAACAAAUAAAUGAAUAGAAAUGUAAAUAAAUUUGGUUAAAAUUUAAUGGCUUCGAAUUCGGUAUGUUAUCAAACAAAUCAUACUCUUAGGAUUUGGAUUCAAUUCAUUUAUUAAUUGGAUGUCUAUUUAAUUCGUUUAUUAUACAAAAUUAAAUGAAUUGAAUUGAAUUUAGAUUCAUUUACAAUUUGUUUAAUUUAUUUAUGUAAAAUUAAUAAUAAAUCAAUCAAAUGUGGAUUUGUUUAAAAAAUAAUAAUAAUUAAUAACAAAAAUCAAGCAAAGUAAAAUAGAAAAAAAAUCAUAAAAUUAACAACCUACAAAAUAAAAACGAAUUAGUGACCGCAAACUUGAAUUCAAUUCAUUUAUUUAACGAAUUGAAUUGAAUUCACUUAUUUGUUAAUGAAUCAAUUUUUUUUUUAAAAUUCAAACCUAUUUAACUUGAAUCAAAUAAACACAUCCUAAUCUAAAUUGUCACCUCUAAAUAUGAUGGACCUAUUUAAAAUAUAUGAAUACCAAAAUGUGUGGGCUAAAAAGUGGUUUACCAUGCAACAAUACAAAGUUUAAGCUCUCUUUUCUUAUGUCAUCCAAGGCAUUGCCUAGAUCGCCAAACACUAGAGUUCAAGUCUACAAUAAAGAAUCGAAAUUUUCCUUUGUAUAUGUUCGUAAGUAUUUAGCAUAGAUUUUUUAGUUAUACUUGAUAGAUCCCCUACCAUAUUUGCUAUAAUAUUUCUCUUCUAUUUAAAAGUAAAUAAUGCAUAAUAACGGAUUUGUAAAGAAAUGAAAUUUCCAGUAAUUAUCUGAAAAAAAAAAGAUGGAUUAAGCGAAAGAAGUUAAUAUAGAGUAAGUCGAGUACUUGACAAUUAAAGUAAUUUUACUCGAGGUUGAGUAAGGAUAGUAGGAUACUUUCCCAAGUUUUCCGAGGACAUUCAUGUAACAUUGGACUAUUGACUAUAGUUAGAGAGAAGUCCUAGGAUGUAAGUGAUGAUGAUAGAUUCACAAUUCUUUUGAAGAAAAUAUUUUAUAUAAACUUAAUUAUAUGGUAUAAAAUGAUUGGCCUUAAUAAAAUUAAAAAAUAAUAAAAAUAAUACACGCCUGGGUCAUGCAAUAUUUUCAACCAACUAAUUUACACGCAAAAUUAAACCUUAUGAGUGAGAACAUUAUGGUACAUUUAUUUGCUAGCAAAAACUCCGCAAAAAUUUUCCGAAGUGUGAAAAUGAACACUUUUAACAAUGGCACAAAAUUCCCACCCCCCAUGAUUAAUUCUCUUAUCUGGAAUAUUAGGGGGCUUCCCCUGCGGAAAUUAGUUCGAUUACAUCGAUUGUCUUUGAUUUGUGUGUUGGAGCCAUUUAUUUCCGUUGAUCGUUUAGAGGCUCUUCGGGUGCGACUUGGGAUGGAUCAUGCUUUAUCUUCCCAAUCUGGGAAGAUUUGGGUUUUCUGGUCCGCACCUUUCUCGGUGGAGCUUUUGCAUGACAUGGGCAAGGUGAUUUAUUAUCGGGUUAGUCACUCUUUUUUUCCUGAUCCUGUGUAAGUUUCAUAUGUGUACUCUAGUUGUUAUAUGGAUGUGCGAGAGAAUUUAUGGGAUGCUCUUAAGACCUUUGUGGAUAGUCAUGACCUACCUUGAAUCGUGGGGGGAGAUUUUAAUAUGAUUCAGGCGGUCUCGGAGAUUUCUGGCUGGCAUCUACAGACUCGGGGAGCUAUUGAUGCCUUUAAUUUAGCGUUGCUUGAUUGUGGGUAGGAGGAUGCUAGCUUUGUUGGCAGUCCUUUUACUUGGACUAAUGGGCGCCCAUGGAGGCAGCUUGAUAGGGUGGUCUGCAACACUCACUAGUAUGCUUUCUUCUCAGUAUUUCGGGUCUCUCAUCUGAAUCGUACUGCCUCAUAUCAUUCUCCUUUGCUUUUUUUUUGGUGAUCGGGACGCUGUUAAAGGACCUUUACGGUUUAAAUUUCUUCAUGUGUGGCUCAUGCAUCCAGGUUUUCUUGAUACUGUGCGGCAGUCUUGGGGUGCUCCGGUGGUUGGUUUUGGAAUGAGAGCCUUUCAACAAAAACUCACUCGGUUAAAGUUCUGCCCAAAAGCUUGGAACAAAAAUGUCUUUGGUAACGUUUUUUAUCGGGUCCAACAAGCAGAGGAGGACGUGGCUCAGAAGGAGAGAUUGUAUGAUAUUUCUGGCUCCGCCGAUUACAGAGCUAAUUUUUCUGAGGCCAGGGCCUGGUUGCAGCAUGCUUUGCUUCGUGAGGAGAUUUUUUUUUGCGUCAGCAGUCCUGUGUUCGAUGGGUUCGAGAGGGCAAUACUAAUACCUAUUUUUUCCAUGCGAUGAUCCGGAAAAAGCGCCAGUUGUUUUAUAUUCACAGGAUUCGAGUUGAUUGUUUCUCAGAGUGGAUUUCUGAGCCCUCCGCCAUUGUAGAUUAUGAUGUCGAUUAUUUUCAAGAUUUAUUAACGGGAGAUGCCAGUCAAUUUCAGCAGACGGACUUCGAAGUUAUUCCAUCUCUUGUGUCUGUAGAGGAUGAUGUAGAGUUAUGUAGAGAGCCGUAUAUGGAUGAGAUUAGACAUGCGGUAUUUUUUAUUGAUCCAGAUAGUGCUCCUGGACCGGAUGGUUUUUGUAGCAGAUUCUAUCAGUCGUGUUGGGACAUCAUUUGCCAUGACUUGUUAAAUGUUGUCCUCGAUUAUUUUAGAGGUUCGGCAUGCCCAGAGGUUUCCAAAGUACUUUAUUGGUCUUUCUGCCUAAGAAGGCUUCUCCGGCUUCUUGGGCUGAUUUCCGUCCAAUUAGUCUUUGUAAUGUGAGCAACAAGGUCCUUACUAAGUUGCUUGUCCCAUCUCCUGCCUCACAUUAUUUCUCCUACUUAGAGUGGUUUUAUUCCUGGUCGAGUGAUUCAUGAUAACAUGCUCCUGGCUCAGGAGUUCGUUCACGAUCUCAAUCGCCAUACUCGAGGGAACAAUGUGGUUCUGAAAUUAGAUAUGGCGCAGGCAUACGACGUAUGUCAUGGCCUUUUAUUAUUAAGAUGAUUCACUGUUUUAAGUUCUCGAAGCGUUGGAUUGCUUUGAUUUGGCGAGCGAUUUACGGUCCUUAGUUUUCAGUGCUUAUGAACGGGGUCAGUAACAUAUAUUUCCAGUCCCAGAGUGGUCUUUAGCAGGGUGAUCCCCUUUCCCUUUGCUUAUUUAUUAUUGCUGCAGAAUUUUUAUCUCCAGGCUUAGAUCAUUUGUAUUCUCAAUAUCCCUCUGUUCGGUAUUGUUAUACUGCACCUACUUCUAUCUCCCACUUGAGUUUUGCGGAUGGUAUUGUUAUUUUUGCAAAUGAGAGCCGAUCUAACUUACAGUGGCUUGUGGAUUUCUUACACCAUUAUAAGGCGAUCUCAGGGCAGUUGAUUAGCGAGGACAAGAGUAACUUCUACAUUGGGAAGCCAGCUUCGACCUCCCGCCAGGCCAUUGUUCACUCUGUGCUUUCAGUGACGUCAGCUUCCGUUUACUUAUCUUGGGUGCCUGAUCUUUACAGGGCACCUCAAGAUCUCCUAUUUUGAUGACAUGGUCCGGAAGGUCAAGGAUAAGAUUUCUGGCUGGGCUAACCGUCUGCUUUCCUUUGGUGGGAAUCUCGUCCUCAUUCGCCAUGUGUUAUCCUCUAUGGCCCUGCACUUAUUUCACGUCCUCCGUCCUUUUAUAACGGUAGUUUAACGCCUAGAGCGAUUAUUCACCCGAUUCCUAUGCGGUGAUUUUGAGGGAAGACACCGGAUCCACUAGUGUAGAUGGCCAAAGGUUUAUUAUCCAGUUGACGAGGGUGGCCUCGAUAUACGAUCUUUUGAUGAUAUGGCGGAGGCUUUUGAGAUUAAACUUUGGUGGCGGUUUUGUUAGCAGAGUUCCUAUAUGAAGUCUAAGUAUUGCAGAUCUACGCAACCAAGCCUUAUCCAGUUUCGCUAUCUUGCCUCUCCUUUAUGGAGACACCUUUAUAAGAUUCGUUGCACGACUAAACCUCAUGUGCGUUGGCUCGUUAGGAGUGGAGAUUGUAGCUUCUGAUAUGAUUGUUGGCUGAGUUCUUGCCCUUUAUUUUUUUAUAACCCUACAACGGCUUUGUCGGUGUCGGUCUAGUUCUUUUGGCAGGGUACAAUCUGGGACAAAGGCAAACUAAAGGAUGUCUUGCCUUCAUCUAUUGUUGAGCAGAUCCUAUUAGUGCCUAUUUCUAGUGGGAAUCCAGACCUGAUUCGUUGGGACCUUGCCCCCGAUGGCACGUUUAACUUGCGGACUGCUUGGGAGCUUGUACGGUGCUCGAGGCCGAGGGAUGAGCUUUUCUCGAUGAUUUGGUAGAGGCAUAUCCUGUCACGAGUUUCCUUUUUUCUCUGGCAGCUACUUCACGGAUUCCUAGCUACUGAUGAUGCCUUAUACUUGAGGGGUUUCUACAUGGUUUCUCGAUGUAUUUGUCAGCGGGUUGCUGAGACUUCUCGGCAACUUUUUAUGGAUUGCCCGCGGGCCCAUCAUAUUUGGGUUCAUUACUAGCGGAUCAUGGGGAUGCGUGAGCUUUAUUUUCUGUCUCCCCGUACUUUGCUUUUAUUUUGGAAACAUUGUGCCCCUUCUCAGAAUCAUCAUCGGGUCCUUCUGCCUUACUUCAUUUUGUGGCAAAUUUGGAAGGCCCUAAAUGCUUUCUGGUUUCAUUCACAAUCUUUCUCCACUGAUGCGGUUAUCUUUCAGGUCGACUCUGAUCUCAGGCUUGCUAGUUCUGCUUUUGGAUUCAAGCCUCCCCAACUGAGGGGAGUCUUGGGUUCUCGUAUUGCGGAGAGCUUGCGAGUGACGGCUCCCCGUAGGAGGUCGAUUCGUCUAGUUGCUUGGAUGAGGCCAACUUCAGGGGUGGCUAAGCUGACUGUGGAUGGUUGCUCUAGGGGCAACCUUGGGAUGGCUGCUUCCGGGGGUAUUCUUCGGGAUCACCGGGGCGUGGUUUUAACGGCUUUUGGAUCCUUUUUGGUUUACAAGCCGAUCUUAUAUGCUGAGCUCAUGGUGGUGUGCGAGGGUUUGGAGCUUGCCAUUCAGCUUGGGUACUCAGUGCUCGAGGUUGAGUCAGACUCGGCUAUAGUGAUGUCAUGGAUUCACACCUCAGGGUCCUGUUCGAUGGGAAUGUUUUUAUUCUCUGCGCUGGGUGUGCCGUCUGGUAACGUCAUUCCCCAUUCAGGUGAGACAUGUUCUUCGCGAGGCUACUUAUGCUGCUGAUGUUCUAGCCAACUGGGCACGCACUCAUCGGACUAGCUGAUGUUUCUUAUCUCCUCGAGAGCUUCCCAAAGGCUUAUCUGGUAUUCUUUACUUAGAUGCCCACGCAAUCCCCCAUGUCAAACGUUAGGAUUUUAUCUUUUUCUUAUAUCUCAUUUUCUCUAGGAGGUUUUGGCUUAUAUCCCCUCCUUUGUAUCUAAUUCAUUUUCAGAUUUAUAUUAUAGGUAAGGGUUCCGUCUAACCCCACCACUCUGGUGGUUUAAAAAAAAAAAAAAACAAUGGCACAAAAUGCCUGUGAUAAUGAAACAAUGUGCCAUCCUUAAACUAAUAUCAUUACAAACUACAAGUGAAAGUUUUUGGAAAACAUGUGAUAAGUUUUUCUCGGAAUUUGUUUUCUUCUUUGUUUUGAUUUAAGUGUAAAAUUUUAAAAUCCGUAACAAAACAAAAAUUUACAUGGGUUGGGUGCACCUUGUGGUUCGUGCAUGCUUUCGUCUAAUAGUAUUUGAUACAUACAUAUUCAUUUUAAAAUUGACGAAUCGUAAUAAAAAAAUUUAUAUAUAAUAAUUGAAUGAGAUCCAUGGUUCACAAUUGCAAAUUAACGGUUGGUUUUAUAAUAAAAAUCUUUAUGUACAUACCAAAUUAAAAAAAGUUAUAAGUGAAUUAAGAUUUUCAAAAUUUGACUCGUAUUAUAUUGUGUACGUCAAUAUAAUAUAAAUUUGUUAUAUAUAUAUAUAUAUAUAUAUAUAUAUAAUCCAGUGCUUUGAAAAACUUUAUACUUGUUUGAACAGUUUUUUUGCUUUCUAUUUAUAUACGGUAUCAUUUAUGUUUACAUAAAUUUUCAUAUGUACCCAAAUUAAGCAUUAAAUACACAAACACUUUGUUAGGGCACAUGUAUAAUUAAUCUUAAUAAUUCUUAUACAAUCCUCUAUUUAACACCAGCAACGUCACCCAUUAUAAUUUAUCACUAAAUAUUGUAAAACUAUUGGUUUUCACGAAUAACUAAUAAAAAUUAUUUUUUUUAAAAGAAAAAUACUGCGAUUCCUUUCACUGUUGUAGUAGUAUAGUUAUCGUGGACGAUGAAUUUCUAGUAUUGUACAAUGAUAUUUAUGUUGAAUAUAACGCUUCAAUGAAUUUUAUUACUAUAUACUACAAUACUCAACCAUCUUCAUUAAAAAAAAAAAAAUUGCAUGAUUAGAAUGAUUAAAGUUCAUCUAAUGACGAGUUUCAUCAUUGACUGUGUCCAAACACAGCAGCAAUCCAGAAUACAUUUAACACGAGAGGCGCACACAAACAUGCAUGAUGAAUCUUCCACCAUUAAACCUGAAAUCAUAAAAUGAAAGAAACAAGAUGAGUGUUGUUUGUCUGAAAGCCGAUUCGAGAAAAAAUAAUAAUAAUAAUAGACCUUUGUUAAUAAUUAAUACUAGUUGUCACUACCUUGUGCAUCUUCCUCCUCUGUAUCAUCGUCCUCUUCCAAUCACACCGCAAGACCAGUAUAUCUCGAGAAUCUUUACUGCCUUCUCACAGAUCCCAUUGCUGUCAUGUCUUUUGAGAUCUUCAAUCUUUUUGAAUCCCUCAGCCGCCUCCACCAACCGUGCAUAAUGAUUAAAAUAUCUAUUGGCGGUACCCGUAUUCAUUUCAGCUUCCCCGACCUUCAAAAUGUUCUCUAAUCCUUUUAAGCAAAUAGUGACGAUCUCUGGAUCAGCGUAUAGAAGGAGAUCACACAAUGGUUUUAUACACCCCUUUCUCACGAGGUACUUGAUUUGCUCAUGAGUACCACCUGAGAUGGCAUUUGAAAUUGCCCGAGCGGCCUCCUUCUUUGUAAAAAAUUCAGCAUUUUGAAGCAGAUCGACAAGGGGACCAAUUACGCCAGCAUCAAUUACCACCUGAAUCUGUUCCCUGUUACCAGCUGUAAUAUUUGAAAUAGUCCUGCAUGCCUCUUUCGCAAUGCCUGUACACUGAGUCAGGAAACCAUCUCCCUUCACAAUAUAUCUGACAGUCCACAGGGGAGGAGUGAGCCCGAAGGGGAAGGGUAAUGGAUGAAGAAGGAGCUUAACAAGUCGUGGACAGACAUCUGCCUCGAUCACAGCUUGAAUUUUGUCAUUCGUACCAUCAGAUAGACAGGAUAGUGCCUCGCAGGCAUAUCUCAAGACAUCGUUGUCAUUUGAAUGAACAAGUUGUGCAAGCGCAGGAAGAGCUGGCCUCACCUGAUCAAAUGGUGGCUCUGGCUUGCCCUGGCAAAAACGAGACAAUGUCUUUGUGGCAUUUCUUAGCAUUGAAGGCUUAGCAUGCUUAUUUAACUGUGCCAGCAACGGAAUCAAAGCUUUUUCACUGAGCACAAGAUCACGGUCUCUAGGUGAGCUACGAGCAAUAUUUCCCAGUGCCCAAACAGCCUUCUCUCGGACAUCAUCACUUGGAGAAGAAAGUAGCUUCACAAAUAUUGGAACAGCACCGCCGUCGAUCACCACAUUAGUAUUCUCAGAAGCAAUGUUUGUAAGAGCCCGAGCAGCUUCCAACUGAAGCUGCGGAUUGUCUUCCCUAGUAAGAAACUCAACAAAGCGCGCGACAACGCCAGAUUGUAUGACUUUCUCACUUGGUGGUAGGAGCAGUUUUCGGAACCAAGUAGUUGCUUCCAGCUGCAAGCCACUGUCAUCUGACCAAACCCCAGCAAGCAUCCCAGGUAAACUCACCAACUUAUUUUAGGAGCAGGAGCAGGAGGAGGAAAUUAAGUUAGGGAUUUAGAGUGAGAGUGAAGGUGGAGAAAAAGCAAGAGAGGGAAAAAGCUUAUUGUUGAGAAAUAUGUACCUUUUGUAUGGUUGUGUUAAGGUCGUCCUUCCAAGCCCAACAUGCUUCACCAUGCCGCUCCACUUUGUGUAAUUUGGGUGUACUUAAUUUUCCUUCAGAGAAAAUCUUCAUAUCGGGGCAAUCAUCCACCACUAAUCUUUCUAAAGAUGGGAACUUGAAAGCACAAUUGCCAGAGCAGAAGCUUGUCAGGCGUUCUAAGUCUACAAGCUUCAACUCCUUCAAUUCUCUGAAAGUAAUAACCUCAUCUUUUGCUACAACAUCAUCCCCCUGUACUAUUUCUGUUAUCCUAUCGCAUGAUUUUAUCUUCAUAUAUCUAAGUCGCACCAGAGUCUUUGCAAUUAAGGAUGUUAAUACGAUUUUCAAGUUGUUGCAACGCGAUACCACCAUAUUUGUAAGAUUCUGAAAGGAUGUCGACGGUGGCACUAGAUUGACUAAAUGGUCACACCCCUUUACACGUAGAAUAACCAAGUUGUUCGUAACAGAGGACUCCCUUAUCAAAAUGUGCUCCAGAUGAAAUGCUUCUCUUAUUUCUACCCACAUCCCAUUUUCAACCUUCUCAUACGGCAACGAGGCACUAUAUCCUCCUAUUUGGAGGACUUUCAUUGUGUGAAGUCUCUGGAGGAAGUCACCAAGUGAUAAAAUCGUCCGCUCAUCACCCAAGUGAUAUUUAUUUGUCACUACGUGCUUUGCAUCAACUUUCAACUUUUCCAAAUUAGGGAAUACCUGGGAGAUCGAUCACAACCCCAAAAAAAAGAAAAAAAAGAAAUACAAGAUGAAUCAAUUGAUAAGAAAUAUAAGUUACCACUAAUUUAUACAAUAUAUUUUAUUCAAUAAAUCUUAACCUUUAAAAAAAAUAGUAAUAAUAGUAUGCCUAACAUCUAGAAUAAUUAUGAAUGAAUACUAUACACUAAUCCGUAAGAGAGUUACGUUGCUGACAAUUUGAGUUUUAGUAAGAAACCAAGCGAUGAAGGCAAAGGCAAUAUAACUCUAAACUCUAUGAUAUAAACUCUCACAGUGCAUACAUAAGAAUUGAAAAAUUGAUUAUAAAAUUCUUGUACCUACCCUUUCCGUGAAGAUACUAGUAGUUCUCACCAUGAAUUCAGGACAUUUAGAUAUCCGUAAUUCUUUCAAGGAUGGAAAUUCAAGAAUAUCAAGAUCUCCAGUGCAGAAGCUUGUGAACUUUUCAAGAUCAGACAUCUUCAGAUAUUGCAACUGAGGAAACAUUACAAUAUUUUUCUUCCUUUCUUCUUGGUUGUCCAUAACUAUUAACUCUUCCAAGACAGGACAUCCGACUAUCUCAAUGCAUUGGAGUUGAACAAAGCUACUAACGGUAGAAGAUGAAAAUAGACAUCUUAAAUUCAUACAGCAGGACAGGGUCAAGCGCGUUAAAUUCUGAAUACCACAAGACAUGACUGCAACUUGGUUUUGCCAAAUCCUUUCAACAUUUAUUGAAAGCAAAUGCAACUUCUCUAACUCUGGUAACCGAACCUGCUCGAUCAAAAAAUUAACUCGUUAAUUACAAGCAACAAUGAUUUCUGUUGAUGGACAAAUCAAUAAAAUUACUCUUUCUCUGGUUAUAGUUCUUUUCAGUUUUUCAUACAAACAACCGUUAAUCAAGUUUUCCAAAUUAUUCCUUACUAAAUGUAUAGAUUUAGACGGCGGCUAAUAUAAUUCAUAUUGCAAAUAUUCUUUGAUUGUAACGAAUUUUGUAAUAUUAAAUUUUGGUUGAUUCGCAAUAGGACCUACUAUCCAGCGGGAGCAGUUCCUUGGGAUUUAACUACUGGCACCUCGAUUAUAUAAAAAUUUGGAAUAUUUUCAAAGGAAAUCACAUAAUUUCCCCUUGCAAAUAGUAAUUAUCAUUAAUUGCCACGGGUUGACAUAUAAUUCUAAGAAAUUAGGCGAGAAGAGUCUCAUCAACAAUCAAUCAGCAGAUAUCACGUUUGGCAGAUCAUCAUGAUUUCCUCAUAUGCUAGAGAAUCAACGUGAUUUCCGCUCAUGCAGGAGCAGGAGUGGACACAUUAUCUUAGAGCAUCCCUCACUGAGAUCUUUUAAAAAAUUUAUAUUAUAAAGUGAACAACAUAUUAAGUAUAGAUUUAGACGGCGGCUAAUAUAAUUUAUAUGUAUUCUAAUGACGUAUAUUAAAGAAAAUGACUAACCAUAAUUUCAAUCAACUUAUUAGUCUAUAUAUAUAUAUAUAAUAUAUAAUAUAUUCAGUGAUUACAACAUAUUUAGUAUUCCAUAACAUGAAGUUUAUAAUAAUAAUUAUUAUUAAUUCACUUAUUGUGUCAAGAACAUUUUCUUUCUCUAAGAAUGAAUUUGUUACACCCUACUAUACUACGGAUGAAAAAUUUAGAAUCAUUGUGAAAUAUAAUUAUUAAUCACUCUUUGCCAUAUUUGCGACCAAAGAAGAAUAUAACAAAGAAAAGAAACAAAAAUUAUAGAGAAUUAAUGAGACCAUUGACGUAUUAAUAACUGACCUUCCCAGUGAAAAGCGUAUUAGAAAUUUGGAUAUUGUCCUCCAAAAUGAUUUCAUGUGACUGCAAAUCAUUAGCUGAUUCCUGUUGUCUCUGUUGACAUUGAGUGUAAACUUAAUUGUGAGCACAAUCUUAAUGCAUAGAUACAAGAUCUCUAAAAAUUAGUAUAAUAAACUUAGCACAAAAUCUAAAUUUGAUAUUUCGGAUUCCAUGAUUAAGAUUUUUUAAAUAAAAAUUUAAUAUAGUUAAUUUAAAAAUAAAAAUUAAAUAUGAAAAAUUAGAUUUGCAAUUAUGGAUUUAAUUUUGAUAAAUAAUGAAUGUUCUCUUUAUAUUUUUUUUUAAAGGUAAAACAGCGUACAAAGCCCAAAUUCAUUUUUUUAGUCCCUUACUCUCCCAUGAUUCAAACUUGGGUGGUUGUAGGGGGACUGAAAAUAUGUAAGACAGUUAACUUCACUUUUUUUUUUUUUUGAGAGAGAAAAGAGAAGAAGGAUAUUACAAAGCACGAAGCUCGUGCAAUAUAAGGGCAAUUAUGGUUUUUUCUUUAAAUUAAAAUGGUAAGAUUCUGAAGCUAAAAGAUUAAAAUAUUAAUUAAAUUGCAAACAUUAAAGAUUUUUUUUCCAAAAUUGGUUGCUUUGAAAAUGAGAAUAAUAUAAUGUUUGAAGACUUUUCAAAAUUAAUUACUGUGAUGCACUAGAAAUUUCUAGCUUUAGUCUAAUGUAUAAAUUGACAAAACGAUAUUAGAAUCCCAGGUGAAAAGAACCCUCUCAUACCAAUUAUUUAAAUUAGGAAUGAUCAUACCUCUGACUCUGCCGAACUGAGGGCGGGGUCUAAACCCCUCAUACGGAGACGCUUGAGAUGGGAAGAGCCCACUUUGACUAAUUCAUUACGAAUAUAAUCGACAUCUUGCUCUUGCAAUCCACGUAAUUCAAGGUCUUCAAUUCUCUGCAGUUGCACGAUCAGCGAAUCCUUCAAGCAAAUCUUGUCAUUGAGGUCGAGACUGAAUUCACGACACCAACUGCCGUUGCUCUCCUCAUCAUCUCCAAUGCGUAUGCUGUACCUUUCCAGCUUCUCCAAGAGCAGGCCUCUGGGCAGAGUGCUGACGUCAUAGACGUGUAAUUCCAAAGAGGUCAAGUUGGGCAAAUGCUUCAACUCCUCAAGGCUUGCAUUCUUAACCCCUCCCACCUCCAUCUCCCAGUAACGAAAGCUUUGAUCUAUAUAUAGUUCUUCUAAAUGUGAUAAUUUUGACAGUAUAUUUGGUGGAAUAACUUCUAGAUAGCAACAAUCCCUCAAAUCAAGCAACUUUAGCCAAGUCAAUUCACCUACUUCUACCGGCAACUUCUUAAUAUAAGAACCUCUUAAGCAAAGGAUUUCUAGUUUCUUCAAGCCUCCUACAACACUUAUAUCGGGCAAGAUGAAGCCGCACAAACUCAGUGUUCGAAGGUUUGACAGGAGACCAAGUGAUGAAGGCAGUGACCGUAGAAACAUGCCAGUCAAGUUGACAACUCUGACCUGCAUCAUCCUCUCGAAAAAGUUGUUUGGAAUUGUUAAUGAUGAAAAUUCCCAACGAUCAGCACGUAUAAAAAGAAGUUCGAGCUGAGGACAUUCCAGUACUUCAGGAAGCAAAUUAUUCUUGAUACCAUGUAAGACGAUUGAAGUGCAAUGCUUUAUUGCACUUCCAUCUGACCAUUCCCUGCAACCAUCAACCUGCUCAUUUGUAGCAGUAAACACAUUUCGUUCAGUAGAUGCAAUUGAUACGGCGACAUCGCGAACUACAUCAUGCAUAGAAAACAACUCUUUCUUCUGGCUUAUAUGGUCAAGCAACAUACAAGAAGCUUUGAGUGUGCGCACCAAUGUAUGUACUCGAUUUCGUGCUACUUCAAUCUUAUUCACACCUUGAAAUAAACCCAAUCCCAUACCACACAUUAACAAGUCAUCAAUAGAUGCUAUGGCUGUAUAUCCUAUUAGCAAAAAGAUGUUCUUGAGAUCAUCCCUUCCUAGUUUAUUGUAGCUCAACUCGAUAGCUUUAAAUGCGGCUGGCUGUACAUCCUUAAAAUUCGAUGAAGAAGGCCUUCUUAGCUGUUCCAAUGCAUCCUUCCAUUCACGUAUGCUCUUGCUCCUUAAUGCCCUUGCAACCGUCACAAUGGAAACUGGUAGACCUGCACAUUCCUUUGCCACAUCCCUUGCUACCUCUUUCAAUUCAUUAUCUUCAACAUAAUCACCUGCCAUCUUCGUGAAUAGACUCCAAGCUUCAUCUUCUUUUAAAAAUCCAACUGGGAAAUUUUUUCGAGACUCCAUCUCUCCAGACAAUACUUCUUCACUCCUUGCCGUGAACAGCACUUUACAUCCCAUGUGAUCAUCUCCGUGAGGAAUUCCGACAUCCAACAAAUCAAGAUUUUCCCAAAUAUUAUCCAAGAUUACAAGGAUCCUCUUCUCUUUCUUCAGUCGAUCAUAGAGUCUUCUUGCCCUACCCGAUUCACUCUCCUCAUCAAAUUUUAGACCUAGUUUAUCCGCGAUUUCUCCUUGAAGCUUUCUUACGUCUCGACUCUCAGACACCUCAGAAAAAACCACCUGAUCGAAAAGCUUGUCACUCUCUGCUUUUCUAGCAACUUCUUUAGCUAGCGUCGUCUUUCCGAUUCCGCCCAUUCCAUAAAUCAAAAGCAUGUUGACAUUGGGAUUUUUUAAUGCAUCAAUUAUUUCAUUCAGAAUGGACGUUCUUGAUUCAAAGGCCUCGAAGUCUUUGUUAGGCAUAAGCAAGGUAUCCUCCGGAAUGAUGCUGUAGGAAAUACUAUUAACUGGUCUAGCGUCCAGGACUUUGACAACAGCCUCCUUCUGCCUCUCUGCUUCCUUGCUAAGUCGAGGGCGGGUCUUCAAAUUAGGACAUAACCCCUUGAAACAACGCUUAUUUGCAGUGGCUUCAUCUUCUGUAAAUUUAUCUGCCUCUUCAAUGACACUGUUGGCCGUUGCAAGCCAAUUCUCAACGUUCUCUUCAAUCUCUUCUCCUUUUCUUUUAGCCUCAUCAACCUGGUGCUCUGUAUUCACCCUCUCAGACUUUAGUUUCACAACUUCAGUGUUGAGAUUCUGUAAGUUGCUCGUGUACUUACUCUCACGCAAAUAGCUAAUUUGGCGAUAUGCGUGAGGAGCCAAGCACUUUGCAACUUCUAAAGCAAUAGUAAGAAUGAUUUCAGCCAUCUUCAGUCCUUUGUCCUUGUCUCUCUAUCUCUCUUUUUCUGAAUUUUGGAAAAACAAUUCAACAAGUGACCACAACAAGAUGGAACAAAAUAAAAAGGAAAAAAAUACAAAGAGUGGAUGGAGAAUAAAACAGAGACAGCGGCACAGCUAGACACAACUAGAUAGAGAACAGAGGAAAACCAAAUAACAAGACUUAAGAUUACAACAAACAGAGGCCAAGUAUUAUUGUUGAGAUCAGAAGAUGGAAAAUUCCAAAGAGUUGAUGGCAGAUGCUGAAUAACAGAACAACAAUGAACACAAUAAACAGAAGCAAAGUGUGUUUGUGAUCGACAGACGGAAGUAAGGAAAGCGGUUGUUGAUUGAAAAUGAAUGAAUGCAAAGAAAGACUGAUGUUAAAAAUUGAUGUCAAGGAAUAAUUGAACUUUCGCUGAAUUAUUGUUUGUGGCUUCUUUUACUGUUUAUUUGUGGGUCAUGUCUUUUGGAACUAAUCUUGUCCAAAAAAUGUUGUUUAUUUGUGGGUCAUGUUAUUCAGCAUCUGCCAUCAACUCUUUUGUUUAUUUAUUCAAAAAAUAAAUUGUGAUUAUUUGUUAAUGUAUGCGAUUACUUGUGAUGGUAAACAAAGUAGAUAUGGUAUAUUUUGAAGUUAAAUUAAAAAAAAAAAAAACAGAACUUUUACCGUUACUUGCCUUAUCAUCUUUUAAAUUAGAGUUAUUAUUCUUUUAUUUUUCAAGUUGCCAACUCAUCAGUGUAUUCUUUUAUUGAAUUUAAAGAUCAAUGAUUAUAAAUUUUUGUGAAAAUUUUAAGUCAAAACUUUAAAUUAAAAUAAUCUUUAAGUUAUAGGGAAAUAAUAACUUAGUAUAACAAAUAUUAUAUCCUAUACUUUAUUGCUACAAAAUUACGAAACCUUAUAGUUUCAAAAACAAAAAUUACGAAACCUUAUAUUAUAUUAUGUUUCCAUAUUUCUCCUUUAUAGUGAAGACUCAUACUUCUUAUCUAAUAAAUGCUAAAGUAUUGGCUUAAAUUUUUUAACCAGCAUAGUAGACCCUUAAGCUAUAUAUACUAUAAUGUCCCUCUUCUCUCACAGAGUAAACCAAUCUGAUCUCAGAGUGAGUUGAUACCAUGACUUCGCAUCAUUUGUGAUCAAAGGAGUAUCAUUACUAACUAAUAUAGGCUCCAUCAAUAGGCAUGAUAAUAAUUUUUUUUUUUAUCUACAAACGCUGUUUUUCAAAAUAUUAUAUCUUAAGACUUAACUAAAUAUUUUUUAACUAUGUAGAUAUAGUUUGUUUGAUCUCUUUUAAAUAGUGGAGAUUACAAACAAACAUAUGUGAAUUAGUAGUGAUGUUGAGUUCAGAAGCUUGAAGUUAAAAAAAUUAAGGGUUUCUUGAUCUAGAGAAAUUUCAAAUGAGUGAAGCGUCCUCGAAAUCGGAAGACGAAAAUAAGGAAAGGGUAAGGGUGUAUUUUCAAAGUGAUUCUAUUAAGAGAUCUUUGAAGUAGGGGUGGGCAAGUCGGGUUUUGGUUCGGGUUGUUCAAAUUUCGGUUUGGGUUUUAACCCAAUCGGGUUUGAGAAUUAAACUCAAUCGGGUUGAAAACGCCAAUCCAAACUAAACCGAACCAAAUUUAAUUCAGUUCGGGUUCAUAAUUCGGAUCGGACUGGGUUGAUAAUUCAUGUUAAAAUUUCGAUUCGGGUUAAUUUGGGUUAGAAUAAUUCAAUCUAAAAUUUUGGGUUAGUUCGGUUUAAAACGGGUUGGAACUAUUUAAUCCAAAAAUUCUACCAACAACCACUUAAAAUCUAAAAAUCUCAAUUCCAAACAUCCUUAACAACAAAUAUCAACUACAAACCAUCCUUUACAACAUUUCAACAAUAACAAUAGCAAUAAUAACAACAACAACAAUAAUAAUAAUAAUACCAACAACUAUGAAUCAGCAAUUCAACAUAUUGCCAUAUUCUAAAUUUAAAAAAACACACAAAUUAUUUAAUUAAUUAAUUAAUUAACAAUCUCCAAUUUAAUUUAUAAUAACAACAAAAAUCCUCUCCAAUUUAAUUAAUAACAGUCUCCAAUUGUUUAAUUAUCAGUCAACAGCAACAAACCCAAUCUAAUUUAAUCAUAACAAUCUCCAAUUGUUCAAUUAUCAGUUAACAGCAACAAAUCAUCUCCAAUUUGUCACGAACAGCCUCUAAUUGUUUAAUUAUCAGUCAACAACAACAAACACACUCCAAAUAAUUGAACAAUUAUUAAUUAAUUAAUUAAAAAUACCCAAUUUAAUUAAUAACAACACCCAGGAGCAAGUCAGCAAUAAACCCACUACAAAAUCCAAAUAUCAGUGUAAACUAAGUGUCAAACCUUGAUCGGUGGGAAGCUACAGCGUCGGCAAAGCGUGACCGUGUGGGGCUGAGUGAGACCGUCGACCGAGGGUGUGAGAAGGGAGAAGAGGGAGCUGGGAGGUAACAUGGUGUGUGUGAGUUUAUAUAUAUAUAUAAUUUUUAAAAGCCAAAACUUAAAAAAAAAAAAAUUUAACCCAAUCCAAACGCGCACCUCAGAUUACUUCCGUGUUAAGAGAUGAAUCCCACACUCUUGAGCCUUUGUCGUCCUAGUCAACUAUCAAAACAAAUCAUUAUUGAAUGUGAACAGAAUUAUUGAUCACCCAAUUUUCAAACUUGUCAUCCUUAUUGAAUCUGCAUUCCCUUUUAAAAUUUUUUAAAAAAGUACAAAUAAUGAAACAAAGUGUUGUUCCUUCAACAGUUGAUAGAGUUACGCGGCUUCAACUUGCAAGUGCUGUCGGCAUUUUCAAACUUGCAAUACCCUUCAACUUGCUUUCCAAGAUAGCUAUAAUUAAUAAUGACAACAAUCUCCCUUGUAGUGACUAGUGAGCAACUUGUUUCGUGAAAUUAACGGCAUCUUCUCUCACAUUUAAAAAAAAAAAAUUGAAUUAUAAAACCCACCAAAACUAUAAAAGAAUUGUUAGUUUUUCUUCAUUAAAAUUAAUAGAUUGCUCCUCAUAUUGAAAAAUCAAAAUUCAGAAUAAGAAUGAUUGAUACUCUUUAUUUACUAAAAUGAAAAUAAAAUAUAUGAAGCCUACAUAUUUUUGAAAUAAAAAAAAAGAACUUUAUUUUUCAUGAGGAGUGUUGGGAAUCAAGUUCUCAUUAUUUAAACUCUCAAUUGUACCAUUAUUUAAACUCUCAAUUGCACCUCACCGAAAUUUCAUAAUUUCACUUUUGUUCUCAAUUAAAAUAUUAUUAUAGUUAUUAUUCUUAUAAAUGUUGAUGAUGAUGAUACAAGAUAAUAAAAUUAAUGAUAAUUAAACCAAUUUGAAUUCAGAGUGAGUGAGUACCAUUACUUCGCAUUAUUUGAUAUCAAAGGAGCAUCAUAACUAACUAAUAUAGGCUCGAUCGAAUUCAUCAUGCGAAGUAUAUUAUCGGCUGUAGGUAUGGAAAUAAAUUUUGUAUCCACAAACACUAUUUUUCAAAAUAUUUUAAGACUUGACUUAGCAUUUUUUAACCAUAUAUGUAUAGGUUGUUUGACCUAUUUUAAAUAGUGGAGAUUACAACAAAUGAACAGAUGUGGAUUUGUAGAGUUGUUGAGUUCAGAAGAUUGAAGUUAACAAAGGGUUUCUUUAUCUAGAGAAAAUUCGAAAGAGCGAAGUGUCUUCGAGAUCAAAAGACGAAAUAAGGAAAGGGUAAGGUUAUACUUUCAAAAUGAAUCUGUUGAGAGAACUUUAAAGAUUACUUUCGUUAAGAGCUGGAUCCCACACUUGAGUCUUCGUCGUCUCAGUCAGUCAGCUAUAAAGACAAAUUAAUUUUGAGCGUGAAAGGACACAAUUGAUCACCAAAUUUUCAAACUCGUGAUCCUUAUUGAAUCUGUAUUCUCAUUUGAAAAACAAUAAAAGAUUAACAUUAAUUUAACUUCAUCUAGAUUCCCAUUUGAAUCUGCAUUCCCAUCCCGUUGUUCUCUGGGAAUGCACAUAAUCAAAAAAAAUCCUAUCCGCAUUUUCAAACUUGUGACCCUUCAAGCUUUCUAUGACAACUAUAACGAAUAAUUACAACAGUGCUACCUAAUAGUGAGCAACUUGUUUGAUGAAAUUAACAACUUCUUUUCUCUCAUAUAUUUUUAAAAAAUUGAAUUAUCAAAGUUUUUAUUUCAAAAUUAGUGCUAUAGUUCAUUAAUUUUUCAAAUUUUCCUUUUUCUUUCCACACAACAGAUUGAUUUGCCCUCCAAAAAAUGUAUUAUAUUGUUUAAUAUUGUAACUUCAAGAAACUUAUAAUAAAUUUUUAAAGAGAUAAAUAGAGAAUGUCAGUCUCCCAUCUACUCAAAAUUAAUAUAUAUCAUUAACUCUUGAUUAUUUUUAUAACAACUAAUAACUUUCUUGGCAGCAUAAUUUUACAGUAUCAUCCUUGUUUGUAAGUAUAUUUUUAUUCAUAUUUAUUAUAAAUUAAUUAAAUCAUAUCAAUGAAAAUUGAAAUAAAAAUUGAAGUACUAAAAAUUAAAAAAAUAUAUUUUGGUGUGAAUAAAAAAUUGAAAAUAAAAAUAUUUUUCUUAUAUUUUUUGUUAUUUUUAAAUUUUUUCUUAUAAUAAAUGUAUAUUUUAUAUGCUCAACUUUUUCUUUUAAUUUUUGUUAUUAGGAGGAUUUUUAGAUAUAAUGAAAUUUGUAAGGUAGUAAGUAAUAUAUAAUAAUUUUAAUAGAGAAAAGUAAAAAAUCUCUUAUUUUAAAAUAUAAGGAGAAAAAUAAUUAAUUUCAAGACAUUUUAGAAGAUAUUUCAAUACGCGGUGGACCACAAACUCGAGUCUUUGUCAUCUCAGUCAAACUAAAAGGACAGAAUAUUGAGGGCAUGGCUAAGGUGCAGAAGCUGCAAGUAACAGCUUCGAACUUUCCCAUUUCCAUCACCUUGCAUUGGGACCUCUUUCUUUGUCCUCUAGCACCCGUGGAAGUUCCCCAUUGGCCACUGUUAGGAGCUGUAACAUAGACUUCUCCGAAAAUUGAGCGCGAAGGGCUCAAGUGAUUGUUAAUUUCACAGCAAUUGCCUUUUUUCUUUCUUUUUUUUUUUCUAAUUAUUGGAAAAUAUAAUUUAGUAUAACAAAUAUUAUAUCCUUUCCUUUAGUGCUGCAAAAAUUCCGAAACCUUAUAUUAUAUAAAGUUUUCAUAUUUCUCCUUUAUAGUGAAGACUCAUACUUAUUCUCUAGUAAAUGCUAAAGCAUUGGCUUAAACUUUUUAACCAGCACAGUAGACCCUUAAGCUAUAUAUACUAUAAUGUCCCUCUUCCCUCACAGAUUAAAGCCAAUAUGAUCUCAGAGUAAGUUUGCUUCAAAGGAGUAUCCUUACUAACUAAUAUAGGCUCGAUCAAUAGGGAUGAUAAUAAUUUUUUUUUAUCUACGAACAUUAUUUUUUCAAAAUAUUAUAUCUUUAGACUUAACUAAAUAUUUUUUAACCAUAUAUGUAUAGUUCGAUUAAAUAGUGGAGAUUACAACAAAACAGAUGCGAAUUAGUAGUGAUGUUGAGUUCAGAAGAUUGAAGUUAAAAAAAUAAAGGGUUUCUUGAUUUAGGGAAAUUUCAAAAGAGUGAAGCGUCUUCUAAAUCAAGACGAAAAUAAGAAAAGGGUAAUGGUGUAUUUUCGAAGUGAUUCUAUUGAAAGAUCUUUGAAGAUUACUUUCGUUAAGAGCUGGAUCCCACACUCUUGAGCCUUUGUCGUCCCAGUCAACUAUAAAGACACGUUAUUAUUGAGUGUGAAUAUUCCGAGUUAUAAAUCACCAAAUUUUCAAACUUGUGAUCUUCAUUGAAUCUGCAAUCCCUUUUGAAAAAAAAAAAAGAAAAAGAAAGGAAAACUGCAAAUAAUGAAACAAAAUUCUGAUCCUUGAUAGAGUUACGCGGCUUCAACUUGCAAGUGCUGUCGGCAUUUUCAAACUUGUGAGACCCUUCAACUUGCUUUCCAAGAUAGCUAUAAUUAAUAAUGACAACCGAAGACGGCCACGUUUGCGGUACAAAAGUUGCACCAUAUUAGACGUUCUUUUUUGUUCUUAUCCGAAGUAACCGUUGGAUUCAAAGGAAAGUGAUCAGACAUUCAAUAGCUUCACACGUGGACAUUAUAGGAUACCGGUCAAAUCGGUUAGCGCUCCUCCACAUCAAACUCACAAGCAUGGCAAUCAUCGUAUUCGUAUCAGCUUGGAAACUUGUUACAAGUAACGAAGAGCAACAGAGUCCGCUCCUCUAGAGUCGGCAACAGAGUUUUAAUUAACGGCAUCUUCUCUCACAUUUUUUUUUAAAAAUUGAAUUAUAUAACCCACCAAAACUAUAAAGAAUUGUUAUUCUUCAUUAAAAUUAAUAUACUGUUCCUCAUAUUAAAAAAUCAAAAUUCAGAAUAAGAAUAAUUGAUACUGUUUAUUUACUAAAAUGAAAAUGAGAAUAAAAAUAAAAUAUAUGGAGCCUAUAUAUUUUUUAAAUUAAAAAAUAAGAACUUUUCAUGAGGAGUGUUGAGAAUCAAGUUCUCAUUAUUUAAACUCUCAAUUGUACCUUACCAAAAUUUCAUAAUUUCACUUUUGUUCUCAAUUAAAAUAUUAUUACAGUUAUUAUUCUUAUUUUUGUAGUUGUUGUUGUUGAUGAUGAUGAUUAUGAUGAUACAUGAUAAUAAAAUUAAUGAUAAUAAUAAUGAUAAUGAUAAUGAUAAUAAUAAUAAUGAUAUGAUAAUGAUGAUAAUAAUUUGAACAACAACAACAACAAUAAAUAAUAAUAAUAAUAAUGAAAAUAAUAACUAUAAUUUUAACAACAAUAAUAAUCAUUAAUAUUAUUAUUGUUAAAAUUAUUAUUAUUAUUAGAUAAUUAUUUUGAAUAAUAAUAAUCACAAGUCUAUUCUGAUUCCAGUUUAUUCCGAUUAUCGAUUAGAAAAUGCAUCAUUACUGUUUUAAUAAUAACUAAUAAUUCUCUUGACAUCAUAAUCGUAAUUCUUAUACUAUUAUCCUUAUUUUAAAAUCCACUACCAUGAGCUUGCAUCAUUUGAAAUGGUAGGUACUAGGUAGCAAUUGCUUACAUCAAAAUAUCUAGACUCACUCGGCAAAGUAUCCGAGGCCAAAACGCCAAAAGAUGGGACACCCACAUGUGCAUCUAAUUACAAAAUCUAAAGUUAAUGAAAAAGAAAAAAGAAAAAGUAUAAAUGAACGGUAUUGGCUGUAGGACAAGGGGAGGGGAAAAAGGACCAUUUUGUUUUCUUUGCUAAUUCACAUGGGGAAGGGAAAAAAAGAAAAAGACAGUUUUGAUUAAAAAACACAGAAUAUUCAAUUCACAAGCCACCAAUGCUUGUGGACCAAUGGUCGAUAUAUGAAAGUUAGAGAUUCUGGCAAAAUGAGCAAAUAUUUUGAGUUGAUUAAUGGAUUUGUUUGUAAUGCAAUACAAGAUAGCAUUUUAAAGCUGGCAAGAAAGAAAGAAAUAAGUCAAUAAUUGAGAUAUUUAAAGAAGCUCAAGUGGUCAUGAAAUCUCUCCUUAAAAACUAUACAAGAUAAUGUUAAUGAUAAAGUUAGCCAACCAAGUCGUUCAAUCAUUGCUAGAAGCAAGCAGCCAUUGAAGUUGAUAGAAGCUAAUGCAUGGAAAAAGGUUCGUUACAUAAAGGAGAUAAUGAGAAAAUUGAUGAACCCCUAUCAUCCAUGUUUUGUUUCAAUCAAAAGGUUUGAAUUUUAAGGCCGAUAUUUUGGACUGAAUCCCCCUGUCUGCUUCCAAAGGGGAGGAUGUGCAUGUAGUUGAUUGGGCCGAUGAUUGUGAUGGGAGGGAACUUUUAGCUUGGAAAUGGACCUAGCAAGCCCAUGUUUGAUUCGGUAAGUUGUGACUUCUCAUGGGCAUUUGAAAUUUUUAAAUGGCCUUUUAUAACCUUUGUCAAGAUUCUCAGAAAUCGAAUCAUUCGGUGAUUACUUGCAAAUUCGGAAAGGAAAUUGGAAUCAAACUGGGGUUCUAAUUAAAAAAAAAAAGGGUUCAGAAUCAGAAUUUUGUUCUUUUGACUGACUAAACUACCCUCAUUUAAUUUUCAAAAUGCCCAAAUUUUUAUCAUGCUCACUUGGCGUUAUCUCGUCUUGUGGGAGCUGUAGGACAGUUGAGAUAAAAGAUAUUGCUCCAGUAUCUACUGUUUUCUCAUCCUGAUCUUCAGAGUUAUUCUCAACAAUGGACAAAUUUGAGUUUAGAACAGCAUCAGAAACCAAUGACACCCAGUCGCAUCCAGCUACUUCUUCACUUUGCUCAAUUCGACAGAUUUUACGCAAAUUUGUUUUGUUCUCAAAAUAGUCUGCUGCUCCCGGAUUGUCCUCAUUACAUUGAACGAAUGAUGACGACGCUCUGUCCGUUUCUGGCUCUCUGCUUUUCUCUUUCACAUCACGAGACACCUCGUUUCUAACUGGGGUACCACCAUCACAUUUAACUGUUAUUGGCAACUCAAUAGCUAAUUCCAAUGUUUCCUCAAGCAGUUUAGAGAUAAACUCUCUCGCUGAACUCCCUGGAGUAACACAAUCCAGUUUUCCAGUGCAAUCAUCAAACAGUUGAACAGCUCCUGAAUUCCCUUUGCUUUUCUUGUUUUCUUUUCCAUGUAAAGGGAGCUCAGGCUUCAAUAUAUCUGGGGAUUGAUUACUAAUGAUAAAGACAACAUGCUGUAGAGGACACAAAUUGUUAUUAAACAACGAUGCACUUUUCAUUUUUCAACUGAGUACGGUAAAGCAAGAAUGGGUAAUUAGUUUUACCUGCUAAGCGAAAAUCUACACUCCCGAAGGUAACCGAUCUUGGGUGAAGCAAAUAAAGACGAAGGCGAAGUAAAAUUCACUGAGUUGAAUGAGCGAUCAUUGCUGAUAUAAUUAAAGACUGGUGAAUCCUGCAUGUUGACAAGCAUCAUUUUUAAUCUAACAUAGAGUCUUAAAAACCUGGUCAGUGGCAAAUGAUCACGACAACAAAUCUGAAGUACAAACAGCAGAGCUCAACAAAUCACUAAGAGAAAAUAACACCAGUAACCAAGCAGAUGAAAGAAAAGCAAAAUAAUCCAUCUCAAAUCACCACAUGCACAAUUUAAGGGGGUUGUGACAUGGGUUUAAGCAUGAUUUAACAAGUGCCACCAGUGAAUUCUCAGAUUGAAUUUUCAUACACAUGUCAAAUUUUCAAGUCCAACGAAUUGUUAUCUUUCUGAAGAUAUUAACUAUGCAUAGCAUGCUAUAAACAAAUCAUAUUAUUAGGGCCUUUGUUUGCUGUACACAACAUAUGUACAGAGGAACAAAUCCAUGAGCUGAAAUCAUCAUAUUCCAAAAUAUUCUACCCAAUCAACACUACAAAACCGUAACGCUAAACAGAAUUGGAGCAAUUUAAGAAAGCUAUUUGUCACACAAAGCACUAGUACCUCAGAACCCAAUUUGCAAAAAAGCAACAAAAAUGAAAAAUAACAAAUGCCCAGAUGCAAAAUCAGGAAAAAAUGCUCAAAUACAAACUACAACCCCAUAAGCUGAGAUUGACCUCAAACUUGGAAACAGAAGCGACAGUGAUCUGUUUCUUGUCUGGAGUGUCCAUUUCUAUAAUCUACUUUGUCCGUUUUCAGUCGCUCCGCCACAAAGCCUCUUCACUCCGAAGCUGAAACUCGCCACACACUUGCAAAACGAAAGCAUUUGAUUGAUUGAGAGGCGGGAAGGCGGGAAAACGAGCGAAAUUUGCUUUUGUUUUUUCUUCGUUUGGUCAUACAUGUGCGGGCCCCCCAGGUUGACAAGCGUUAUCAUUACUAUUUGCAUUAUUUGAAGGACGCGUGUCAUGCAACGACGAUAGAAAAAGUGGUGCAAAACUCCAAUUGUCACGAAAUGAUGAUAAAAUAAAAAUAUAUCGUUAAUUUUUCACUUAACAUUGGAAUAUCAUAUAAUUUUAUGGUCAUUUUCUCGCCGCCACAUUCUUUUGAUAAAAUAAUACGGUAAAACUUUUCUAUAAUCAUGAUAUUAGAACCCAAUUAACUUUGUUUCUACAAAGAGGUUAUAGCUUAAUAAAGUAAAAUUGUAAAAAAUAUUAUUUUGACUUAAUUAUCUAAAGAGUAAAUAUAUAAUAAUUAAUUAAUAAAUUAUGUCAAAUACAAUAUAUGGACUAUGAUAAAAAAGAUAGACAUAAUUUCAUAAAAUUAAUACAUAUGUUUUUGUAGUGCUGCGAUUAUACAAAGUUAUCUUAAAAGUGUAAAGAGUAAAGUAUUGUUUUAAUUAAUUUAAAAAAAUAUUUUAUUAUUAACCUUUAAUGCAACAUAGUAAUUUUUUUUCCCUGGCAACAAAGUAUUGUUCCAAAUAAUUAUUAUUGGAUCUAGAUCCUGCCCUAGGCAUUUUCUCUACUAAUCCUCAUAAACUUUUAGGGUAUGUUUGGCACGUAAGAUUAGAUUGGACAAACUAUUAUGAUUGGACUAACUUAGAAUGGAUUAGAUUAGAUUGGAUUAUAUAUAGUGCUGACUUAUGUUUGGUAUGGUAUUGGAUUAGAUUAUGUUAAAUUAAAUUUACAUAAAAUUAAAUAGUAUUUACAUUAAUAUUUGAAUUUAAAUAUCAACUAUUUAUAGAUAUUUAACAAGAAAUAUUAUAAUUAAUUAAAAAUAGCAAUUGGGUAGUCAUAAUUAUAAUAAAGAAAUAUAAAUUAUUUAAAUUAUAGGUUAUUUCAAAGAGUGAUGAUACAACCACAAAUUCUUGUACAAACUGAUUUGGCAUUAAUUCAUUUAUUGAAUGAAAAUAUAAAAUAAUAAAAAUAAAUCAUGUGGGCCCAAGAUAUAUUUAAUUCAACCAAUUUUAUCAUGCCACAUCAGUUUGUACAAAAAUUUGUGAUUAUAUUAUUACUCUAUUUCAAAUGAGAGAUAUCAUUUCAUUGAAUAAAAUAAAUAAAAUUAUUCAAAUAAUAAAUUAAUUAAUAAAAUUUAAGUAAAUCAUGAAUAAAAAAGAAAUCAAUUAAUUAAAAACAGUAAAUAAUUAAAUAAUUUUUAAUUUAUAAAUAAAAUGGUAUAAUAAAUUAUGGAAGAUACUAUAAAUACACAAAUAUUUUUUUCACAUUAUCUAGUUCUAACUAAACACACAUAAAAAUUAGGAUUAGCAAUCCCAUGAAUUUAGGAUUAAAAUUUGAAUUUAGUCGAUUAAUCCAAUACAAGUGAGCAUGCUAAAUAUGGUAUUAAUAUUUUAUCCCAGUAAUAAGUCCAAUUCUACACUUAAUCGUACCUCCCAAAUAUAAUCUUAAGGAUCUAUUGACAUGUGUCAUUAAUGAAAUUAAAUGGCUAAGAUUUUGUUUUAAUUAUUUUUUACCUAAAUAGACAUCAAAACUCAUGUGUGACUCUUGUUAAAUUUUUUCUUACAAAUUCUUUUCCUCUUAAUUCUUUAUAUUUUGACACUAAUUUCCAGCAAAUUAUUUAAAAAAAAGGAGCACAAAUUGGAAAAAAGUGAUUGACAACAAGGUUUGCAUCUUAAUUUCAAAAUUUUCCUUUCUUUGAUGUUUUUGUGGUUUCUAUAAUUGUUGUUUUCACUCUAAGUUGCAAUUCAAUGAACUAAAUUAGUGUUGCUACUUUAUAAACUGCUAUUACUGGGCAUAUAAUUCUAUUGCUACAAUUUUUUUGAGUUUAUAGUUUCUGUUCUAUUCUCUUUUUGGGUUUGCAACUGCUGUUUGUUGUUUUUUUAGGUUUUAUAGUUGAUGUUUUGGGAAAAAUAAAAAUAAAUGUGAUCUUGAAUUCUUUAACUACUAUGAAACAAUUAAAUUAUUUAGCUGCUGCAUUUUCUGCUGUAUUAUUAUAGGCGAGAUGUGUGUCGAAAGGGAAAGAAUUUGCCUAAAAAAAAAAAUUGACAAGAGUCACAUGUGAGUUUAGAUGUCUUUUUUAAGUAAAAAUUAAUUAAAAUUAAAUAUUAGCCAUUAAUAACACAUGUCAAUAAAUUUUUCAAAGUCUAAGAAGAUUGGAAGAGGAUCCGAUCUAUUAUUUACUCUAUAAAAGGAAGUUCCUUGAAGACAAGAACUAUAAAUAAAUUAAUAUAAUGAAUUUAUUCUUAACCUAGUCUAAAUUGAGACUAAAAUUUUUUACUUAAAAAUUUACUAGCUAGCUUUACCUUGAUGGACUAGCUAUGGCCCAUACACAUUUCUCCAAUUUUAUUAAUAUUUUUGUGCAUAGCAAUUAGGGAUACGUGACAAUAAAUUAUCCUUUUAACAUAUAAAAAGUAUUCUCACAAGUAGUGUGCCCCUCCAAAGGGCACAGACAGACUUUUAGCCUCUUUCUUCGGUUUACCACUCCAGUUGGAAUCUUCAAUAAGAUUAAACAUUGAAUAUAUCUAAAAUAUUAGCAAUAUUUGUACUUAUAUUUAACAAAACUAGAGUAAUAUAUUGAUUAAUCUACAUAAUUUUGGGCGGGUUCUUAUGUAAUGUUACAAUUAACAUAGAUUAUUUUCACGGUAUAAGGCAAAUCUUGAGAAUGAACCCAUUUCAAUAUGGUUUCCACAAUAAAUGAACCCACUUUACUACCAAUGAAAGGCCUUGACUCAUAUAUAUCCACCUGGAAAGAAGGGGGGGGGGGGGGAGAGAAGAAAUCUUCUAAUUUCUUUCACCAUCAACAAAAUCAGUGAAACACAUACUAAUUCAAAAUAAAAUAAACUUUGUGAAUUGAAAUAAUGCCUGCUCUAAAGAAAAUGAUAACUGCUAUUCAUUUUUCUGAACUGCUGAUAAAAGCUUCUGCUAUUUACUUCGAAAAAAUUGAGUAACUUCAAAUUUUGAGUUUAGGCAAGAGGAUGAAUGGUAAAAGUGAGACAUUUUAGGGGAAAAGUAAAUACUUGAUAGGCCAAUGAAACAUUCAAAAGAUUGAAAUCUAAAUGAGCAAAACCUCAUGGCCUUGAGGCCCUUGAUCCAACAAUUCCACUGCUGUUGACAUGCCUGCAAGCCCAACUCCAAUAAUAGCCACUUUCAGCUUUGGUCCUCUAUAAUGUUCCGGUUCUGGUGGAAACAAACACUUGGGAGCUGCCAAGUAUACCAUUCAAUUAUCCACAGCGAUAUUGGAAAAACAUACAUGUUUGAAAGUACUAAAUAUCAAAUGUCUCCCGAAAAAAAUACAAAGCACAAUUGCAUAAGCAUUUCAUUUCCCAAUAAAUUUCAAGAAUACAAAAUACUUGGUCUGUUCUUGAGUUCCUUUAAGAAAAUUUCCACGAGAGAGCACGCAAGCCACUCAAUAACACUCCAAAGUCAGAUUUUAAACGUUAUCUUGAUCUAUAAGUACAAUCCAUGAACCAUUCUGCCACAAAUUCAAUUAAAAAUUAUUCAAGUAAAAUGCCAAAUUCUCCUUCAAUAGCCUCAAAAAUUCAUAACUAGCAAACACUACAGAACAAAAAGAGCUCCCAGCAAUAAACGCAUAAAAAUCCCACCAGAAACCAGAAAACCCAAAAGAUCAAUACUUGGUAAACAAACAAAUCAAAUCAAAUAAAACAAAAAGAAGAGAAAUUUACCAUUAACACUCAUAUCAGAAACGUUAGUAUCCAAAGAAGCCCGUACACAGAAUCUUGGAACCUUCACUUGAACCCGAGACCAACAAACACCAGUAACUGAAGUUGCAGGAAACAGAAGUGAAGAACCCAUAUUGAAAUAAAAGAAUCCAAACCCAAAGUGCCACAUCUAAAUAUGAUGGAUCCACUUAAAAUAAACAUAUAAAAAUCUUCAAUAUGAGUGCGAAAAUGUGUGGGGGAAAAAACUAAAAAGUGGUUUACCAUGCAGCAAUAUGAAUUUUAAGCUCUCUUUUCUUAUGUCACUCAAGGCAUUGGCUGGAUGGCCAAACAGCAGAGUUCAAGUGUACAAUAGAGAAUCGAAAUUUUCCUUUGUAAAUGUUCAUAAGUAUUUACCACAGAUUUUUAAGUUAUUCUUGAUAGAUCCCCUACCACAUACGCUAUAAUAUUUCUCUCCUUUUAAUUUAAAAGUAAAUCAUGCAUAAUAACGCACUUGUAAAGAAAUGAAAUUUUCGGUAAUUAACUGACAAAAUAAAAAAAAAGGAUUAUGCGAAAGAAGUUAAUAUAGAGUAAGUCGAGUACUUGACAAUCAAAGUAAUUUACUCGAGGUUGAGUAAGGAUAGUACGAUACUUUCUCAAGUUUUCUGAGGACAUUCAUGUGACAUUGGACUAUUGAUUAUAGUUAGAGAGAAGUCCAAGGAUGUAAGUGAUGAUGAUAGAUUCAGAAUUCUUUUGAAGAAAAUAUUUUAUAUAAACUUAAUUAUAUGGUAUAAAAUGAUUGGCCUUAAUAAAAUUAAAAAAUAAUAAAAAUAAUACACGCCUGGGUCAUGCAAUAUUUUCAACCAACUAAUUUACACGCAAAAUUAAAACUUUAUGAGUACAUUUAUUUGCUAGCAGAAACUCUGCCAAAUUUUCCGAAAUGUGAAAGUGAACACUUUUAACAGCGGCACAAAAUGCCUGUGAUAAUGAAACAAUGUGCCAUCCUUAAACUAAUAUUAUUAGAAACUAUAAGUGAAAGUUUUCAGAAAACAUGUGAUAAGUUUUUCUCGGAAUUUGUUUUCUCCUUUGUUUUGAUUUACGCGAGAGAUAGUUGUAAAGAUUGUUUUGAUAAGUUUUCAGAAAACAUGUGACGAAUCGUAGUAAAAAAUUUAUACAUAAUAAUUGAAUGAGAUCCAUGGUUCACAAUUGCAAAUUAAAGGUUGGUUUUAUAAUAAAAAUCGUUUUGUGCAUACCAAAUUAGAAAAGAUUAUAAGUAAAUUAAGAUUUUCAAAAUUUGACUAGUACUAUAUUACGUACAUCAAUAUAAUAUAAAUUUGUUAUAUUUAUAUAUGUUAUUCUGUAACUAAUGCUUUCAAAAAUUUUAUACUUGUAUGUUUGAACAACUUUUUUUCGCUUUCUAUUUAUAUACGAUAUUAUUUAUGUUUACAUAAAUUUUCAUAUGUACCCAAAUUAAGUAUUAAAUACACACACUCUGGUAAGACACAUUUCUAGUAUCAGACAAUGAUAUUAUAUUGAAUGUAAUGCUUCAAUGAAUUUUAUUACUAUAUACUAAAAUACUCAACGAUCUUCAUUAAAAAAAAAAAAAAGAAAUUGCAUGAUUAGAAUGAUUAAAGUUCAUUUAAUGACGAGUUUCAUCAUUGACUGUGUCGAAACAGAACAGCAAUCCACAAUACACUCAACACGAGAGGCGCACACAAGCAUGCAUGAAUCUUCCACCAUUAAACCUGAAAUCAUAAAAUGAAAGAAACAAGGUGAGUGUUGUUUUACGGUCUGAAAGCCGAUUCGAAAUAAUAAUAAUAAUAGACCUUUGUUAAUAGUUACUACUAGUGGUCACUGCCUUGUCCAUCUUCCUUCUCUGUAUUAUCGUCCUCUUCCAAGCCGCUGUCAUCUGACCAAACCCCAGCAACCAUGGGAAAAAUCACCUACUUGUUUUAGGAGCAGGAGCAGGAGCAGGAGGAGGAAAUUAAGUUAGGGAUUUGGAGUGAUAGGGAAAAAGCUGAUUGUUGAGAAAUAUGUAUACCUUUUGUAUGGUUGUGUUAAGGUCGCCCUUCCAAGCCCAACGUGCUUCACUCCGCCGCUGCACUUCGUGUAAUUUGGGUGUACUUAAAUUUCCUUCAGAGAAAAUCUUCAUAUCGGGGCAAUCAUCCACCACUAAUAUUUCCAAAGAUGGGAACUUGAAAGCACAAUUGCCAGAGCAGAAGCUUGUCAAACUUUUUAAGUCUAAAAGCUUCAACUCCUUCAAUUCUCUGAAAGUAAUAACCUCAUCUUUUGCCACAACAUCAUCCACCAAUACUAUUUCUGUUAUCAUAACGCAUGAUUUUAUCUUCAUAUAUCUAAGUCGCACCAGAGACUUUGCAAUUGAGGAUGUUAAUACGAUUUUCAAUCUUUCGCAACUGAAUACCACCAGAUUUGUAAGAUUCUGAAAGGAUGUCGACGAUGGCACUAGAUUGACCAAACGGUCACACCCCUUUACACGUAGAAUAACCAAGUUGUUCGUAACAGAGGACUCCCUUAUCAAAAUGUUCUCCAGAUGAUAACAAUUAUUUGCUUCACUUAUUUCUACUGCCAUACCAUUUUCAACCUUCUCUUUCGGCGACCGGCCACCAUAUCCUUGUAUUUGGAGGACUUUCAUUGUGUGAAGUCUCUGGAGGAAGUCAUCAAGUGAUACAAUAGUCGGCUCAUCAACCAACUCCACAAAAAGAUAUUUUAGUUUGCAAAGCAAGUCUUCAAAAAAUAGAUAUUUAUUUGUUCCUAUGUACUUUGCAUCAACUUUCAACUCUUCCAAAUUAGGGAAUACCUGGGAGAUCGAUCAGAACCAAAAAAAAAAAAAAUACAAGAUGAAUCAGUUGAUGAGAAUUAUAAGUUACCACUAAUUUAUACAAUAUAUUUUAUUCAAUAAAUCAAUAAAUACAAGAUAAACUUUCACAGUACAUACAUAAGAAUUGAAAAAUUGAUUAUAAAACUCUUGUACGUACCCUUUCCGUCAAGAUAUUAGUAGUUCUUUUGCAUCUCGCCAUGAAUUCAGGACAUCCAGAUAUCCCUAAUUCUUUCAAGGAUGGAAAUUCAAGAUUAUCAAGAUCUCCAGUGCAGAAGCUUGUGAACUUUUCAAGAUCAGACAUCCUCAGAGAUUGCAACUGGGGAAACGUUACAAUAUUAUUCUUCAUUUCUUCUUGGUUGUCCACGACUAUUAACUCUUCCAGGACAGGACAUUUGACUAUCAUAAUGUGUUGGAGUCGAACAAAGCUACUAACUGUACAAGAUGAAAAUAGACAUCUUAAAUUCAUACAGCUGUACAGGGUCAAGCGCGUUAAAUUCUGAAUACCACAAGACAUGACUGCAACUUGGUUCAGCCAAAUCCUCUCAACAUUUAUUGAAUACAACAUCAACUCCUCCAAAUUUGGUAAUGCAACCUGCACGAUCAAAAAAUUAACUUGUUAAUUACAAGCAACAAUGAUUUCUGUUGAUGGACAAAUCAAUAAAAUUACUCUUUCUCUGUUUAUAGUUCUUUUCAGUUUUUCAUACAAACAACCGUUAAUCAAGUUUUCCAAAUUAUUCCUUACUAAAUUUUGGUUGAUUCGCAAUAGGACCUACUAUCCAGCGCGAGCAGUUCUCGGGGAUUUAACUACUGGCACCUCGAUUAUAUAAAAAUUUAGACGGCGGCUAAUAUAAUUUAUAUGUAUUCUAAUGACGUAUAUUAAAGAAAAUGAUUAACCAUAAUUUCAAUCAACUUAUUAGUCUAUAUAUAUAUAUAUAUAUAUAUAUAAUAUUCAGCGAUUACAACAUAUUUAGUAUUCCAUAACAUGAUGUUUAUAAUAAUAAUUAUUAUUAAUUCACUUAUUGUGUCAGAGUAUCUUUUCUUUCUCUAAGAAUGUAUUUGUUACACCCUACUAUACUUCGGAUGAAAAAUUUAGAAUAAUUGUGAAAUAUAAUUAUUAAUCACUCUUUGCCAUAUUUGUUACCAAACAGGAAUAUAACAAAGAAAAAAAACAAAAAUUAUAGAGAAUUAAUAAGACGAUUGACUUAUUAAUAACUGACCUUCUCAGGGAAAAGUGUAUUAUAAAUUUGGACAUUGUCCUCCAAAAUGAUUUCAUGUGACUGCAAAUCAUUAGCUGAUUCCUCUUGUCUCUGUUGACAUUGCAGGUAUCUUGAUUUUAGAGUGUAAACUUAAUUGUGAGCACAAUCUUAAUGCAUAGAUACAAGAUCUUUAAAAAUUAGUAUAAGAAACUUAGCACUAAAUCCAAAUUUGAUAUUUUGGAUUCCAUGAUUAAGAUUUUUUAAAUAAAAAUUUAAUAGAGUUAAUUUAAAAAUAAAAAUUAAAUAUGAAAAAUAAACUUGCAAUUAUGGAUUUAAUUUUAAUAAAUAAUGAAUGUUCUCUUUAUAUUUUUUUUAAAAGGUAAAAGAGCGUACAAAGCCCAAAUUCAUUUUUUUAAGUCCUUUACUCUCCCAUGAUUCAAACUUGGGUGGUUGUAGGAGGACUGCAAAUAUAUAAGACAGUUAACUUCACUUUUUUUUUCUUUUUUUUUUUGUUGAGAGAAAAGAGAAGAAGGAUAUUACAAAGCAUGAAGCUCGUGCAAUAUAAGGGCAAUUAUGGUUUUUUCUUUAAAUUAAAAUGGUAAGAUUCUGAAGCUAAAAGAUUAAAAUAUUAAUUAAAUUGCAAACAUUAAAGAUUUUUUUUGCAAAUGGUUGCUUUUAAAAUGAGAAUAAUAUAAUAUUUGAAGACUUUUCAAAAUUAAUUACUGUGAUGCACUAGAAAUUUCUAGCUUUAGUCUAAUGUAUAAAUUGACAAAACGAUAUUCGAAUCCCAGGUGAAAAGAACCCUCUCAUACCAAUUAUUUAAAUUAGGAAUGAUCAUACCUUUGACUCUGCCGGAUUGAGGGCGAGCCAGAGACGCUUGAGAUGGGAAGAGCCCACUUUGACUAAUUCAUUACGAAAAUAAUCGACAUCUUGCUCUUGCAAUCGCCAUAACUCAAGGUCUUCAAUUCUCUGCAGUUGCACGAUCAGCGAAUCCUUCAAGCAAAUCUUGUUAUUUAGCUCGAGACUGAAUUCACGACACCCAAUGCCGGUGCUCUCCCAAUAGCCAUCAUCUCCAAUGCGUAUGCUGUACCUUUCCAGCUUCUCCAAGAGCAGGCCUCUGGGCAGAGUGCUGACGUCACGGGCGCGUAAUUCCAAAGAGGUCAAGUUGGGCAAAUGCUUCAACUCCUCAAGGCUUGCAUUCUUAACCCCUUCUUCCACCUCCACCUCCCAAGCAGCAAAGCUUUGACCUAUAUAUAGUUCUUCUAAACGGGAUAAUUUUGACAGUAUAUUUGGUGGAAUAACUUCUAGGUCCUCACAAUGUCUCAAAUCAAGCAACUUUAGCCAAGUCAAUUCACCUACUUCUACCGGCAACUUCUUAAUAUCAGAAUCUCUUAGGCAAAGGAUUUCUAGUUUCUUCAAGUCUCCUACAACACUUAGAUCAGGCAGGUAGCACCAACACAAACUCAGUGUUCGAAGGUUUGACAGGAGACCAAGUGAUGAAGGCAAUGACCGUAGAUCCAUGUUAGUCAAGUUUACAACUCUGACCUCGAUCAUGCUCUUGAAAAAGUUGUCUGGAAUUGUUACUCGUGAAUAUUCCCAAGGAUCAUCACUUAUAAAAAGAAGUUCGAGCUGAGGACAUUCCAGUACUUUAGGAAGCAAAUUAGUGUUGAUAUCAUGUAAGACGAUUGAAGUGCAAUGCUUUAUUGCACUUCCGUCCGACCAUUCCCUGCAACCAUCAACCUGCUCAUUUGUAGCAGUAAACACAUUUCGUUCAGUAGAUGCAAUUGAUCUGGCGACAUCGCGAACUACAUCAUGCAUAGAAAACAACUCUUUCUUCUGGCUUAUAUGGUCAAGCAACAUACAAGAAGCUUUGAGUGUGCGCACCAAUGUAUGUACUCGAUUUCGUGCUACUUCAAUCUUAUUCACACCUUGAAAUAAACCCAAUCCCAUACCACACAUUAACAAGUCUUCAAUAGAUGCUAUGGCUGUAUAUCCUAUUAGCAAAAAGAUGUUCUUGAGAUCAUCCCUUCCUAGUUUAUUGUAGCUCAACUCGAUAGCUUUAAAUGCGGCUGGCUGUACAUCCUUAAAAUUCGAUGAAGAAGGCCUUCUUAGCUGUUCCAAUGCAUCCUUCCAUUCACGUAUGCUCUUGUUCCUUAAUGCCCUUGCAACCGUCACAAUGGAAACUGGUAGACCUGCACAUUCCUUUGCCACAUCCCUUGCUACCUCUUUCAAUUCAUUACCUUCAACAUAAUCACCUGCCAUCUUCGUGAAUAGACUCCAAGCUUCAUCUUCUUUUAAAAAUCCAACUGGGAAAUUUUUUCGAGACUCCAUCUCUCCAGACAAUACUUCUUCACUCCUCGCCGUGAACAGCACUUUACAUCCCAUGUGAUCAUCUCCGUGAGGAAUUCCGACAUCCAACAAAUCAAGAUUUUCCCAAAUAUUAUCCAAGAUUACAAGGAUCCUCUUCUCUUUCUUCAGUCGAUCAUAGAGUCUUCUUGCCCUACCCGAUUCACUCUCCUCAUCAAAUUUUAGACCUAGUUUAUCCGCGAUUUCUCCUUGAAGCUUUCUUACGUCUCGACUCUCAGACACCUCAGAAAAAACCACCUGAUCGAAAAGCUUGUCACUCUCUGCUUUUCUAGCAACUUCUUUAGCUAGCGUCGUCUUUCCGAUUCCGCCCAUUCCAUAAAUCAAAAGCAUGUUGACAUUGGGAUUUUUUAAUGCAUCAAUUAUUUCAUUCAGAAUGGACGUUCUUGAUUCAAAGGCCUCGAAGUCUUUGUUAGGCAUAAGCAAGGUAUCCUCCGGAAUGAUGCUGUAGGAAAUACUAUUAACUGGUCUAGCGUCCCGGACUUUGACAACAGCCUCCUUCUGCCUCUCUGCUUCCUUGCUAAGUCGAGGGCGGGUCUUCAAAUUAGGACAUGACCCCUUGAAACAACGCUUAUUUGCAGUGGCUUCAUCUUCUGUAAAUUUAUCUGCCUCUUCAAUGACACUGUUGGCCGUUGCAAGCCAAUUCUCAACGUUCUCUUCAAUCUCUUCUCCUUUUCUUUUAGCCUCAUCAACCUGGUGCUCUGUACUCACCCUCUCAGACUUUAGUUUCGCAACUUCAGUGUUGAGAUUCUGUAAGUUGCUCGUGUACUUACUCUCACGCAAAUAGCUAAUUUGGCGAUAUGCGGGAGGAGCCAAGCACUUUACAACUUCUAAAACAAUAGUAAGAAUGAUUUCAGCCAUCUUCAGUCCUUUGUCCUUGUCUCUCUAUCUCUCUUUUUCUGAAUUUUGGAAAAACAAUUCAACAAGUGACCGCAACAAGAUGGAACACAAGUGACCACAACAAGAUGGAACAAAAUACAAAGGAAAAAAAAUACAAAGAGUGGAUGGAGAAUAAAACAGAGACAGCGUCACAGCUAGACACAAUUAGAUAGAGAACAGAGGAAAACCAAAUAACAAGACUUAAGAUUACAACAAACAGAGGCCGAGGUGGAUAUAUAUACUUGGAGAAUAAAAUUCAAGAGCAAAGCGAGUGCUGGGCUGCAGUUUCUUAAGGAGAUUUAUAUAUCAUCCUCAAAAAUAAAUAUUUUAAGGUAGGUAUUUAGACUAUUUCAUCAUAAAAUAAAUGUAAUUAAUUUUCAUAAAUAUGUGAUAUCAAUAUUUAUUUAUUUUUUUAAUUACUGAUGGCCUUUGAAUAUACGAUACAUAUUACUAAUUCAAAAAAUAAAUUGUGAUUAUUUGUUAAUGUAUAUGAUUACUUGUGAUGGUAAACAAGGUAGAUAUGGUAUAUUUUGAAGUAGAAAAAAAAAAACAAAAGAAAAAACAGAGCUUUUACCAUUGCUUGCCUUAUCAUCUUUUAAAUUAAAGUUAUUAUUCUUUUAUUUUUCAAGUUGCCAACUCAUACGCAUUUUCUUUUAUUGAAUUUGAAGAUCAAUGAUUAUAAAUUUGUGUGAAAAUUUUAAGCCAAAAUUUUAAAUUAAAAUAAUCAUUAAGUUAUUAAAAAAUAAUAACUUAAUAUAACAAAUAUUAUAUCAUAUACUUUAUUGCUACAAGAUUACAAAACCUUAUAUUAUAUUAUGUUUCCAUAUUUCUCCUUUAUAGUGAAGACUCAUACUUUUUCUCUAGUAGAUGUUAAAGUAUUGGCUUAAACUUUUUAACCAGCACAGUAAACCCUUAAGCCUAUAUAUGCUAUAAUGUCCCUCUUCCCUCACAGAUCAAACACUAUUUUUCAAAAUAUUAUAUCUUUAGACUUAACAAAAUAUCUUUUAACCAUAUAUGUACAGUUUGUUUGAUCUCUUUUAAAUAUUGGAGAUUACAACAGAACAGAUGCGAAUUAGCAGUGACGCUGAGUUUAGAAGAUUGAAGUUAAGAAAAUUAAGGAAAGGGUAAGGAUGUAUUUUCAAAGUGAAUUAUUGAGAGAUCUUUGAAGAUUACUUCCGUCAAGAGCUGGGUCCUAUACUCUUAACCCUUUGUCCUCCAGUCAACCAUAAGACAAAUUAUUAUUGAGUGUGAGCAGACAUUAACCACCAAAUUUUCAAACUUGUGAUCCUUAUUGAAUCUGCAUUCCCCUUUACAAAAGUAAAAAAAAAAAGUGCAAAUAACGAAACAAAAUUCUGUUCCUUGACUGCAAGUGCUGUCGGCAUUUUCAGACUUGUAAGACCCUUCUACUUGCAAGAUACCACUGAAUUUGUCUUUUUUUUUUUAAAUUACACUAUAUUAUCUUAUAUUUUAUAAAAAAUUUAAUAAAUAUUAUAAAUUAUAAAUUUUUAUAUUUAAUAUUCUCAAAAUAAAUUAUCAAACAAAUGAUUCAUUUAUUAUUUUUUCUUUUAAAUUUUUGUUAUUAAGAAGAUUUUUGGAUAUUAAGCGUGAAGGGCUCCACUGAUCGCUAAUUUUGCAGCAAUUGCCCUUUUCUUUCUCCCCUAAUUGUUUUGAAAAAUAUCUAGUCUCAUUCAGCGAAGUAUCCAAGGCCAAAGGGCUAAAAGAUGGGACACCCACAUGUGCUUCUAAUUAAAAAGGGUUAUUUUUCGCUACCCCACAUGUUUUGACAAAUCAUAUUGUGUACCCAUUUGUUUCAACAAUCAUCAGUGUGCACCCAUUCUGUUAAAUUCAGCCGUUUAGUUUAACCAAUCAAGGGUAAAAUGGAUAUUGUACAAUAAAUGAAUAAAAAAUCAAGUUAAACUGUUUACACAGAAGAAAGAGAACAAGGAGAAGUAAAAGAACAACAUCAUUUCUGAAAAAACAACUCCAUCUCUGCAAAUCGUACCAUCCAAGAGCAUAAAUCAAAGCAAAUAUGGAGGGAAAAUAUUAUGUGUUGGAGUUGAUGUUCUUAUAUCCCCAUCUAGAGUAAGAGGUUUUGACAUGGUAGCGUCUUAUGACACCAUUGUAUUACAAGUUAUCAUUGGUAGUUUUUUGGCUGAAGGCUGGAAGGAGUCAAGAUCAUGGAUGCAACCAAAACCAUUGUCUUCUUCUAUGCCAAAAUUCAUCCUAGAAGCAUCAGCAAUUGGAAGCCCACCAUCACAUGGAAACUUAAGUGAAUCAUCUGGUGGACCUGGAAGCCCUCUAAACCACAGCACCGAAGGAGGCUGCAGUAACAGCAAUCCGCCAAGCAUACUGAAAUUUAAUGAGUUGGUGUUGUGUGAUUCAGCAUCAGUUUUUAUUUUUUAAAAUGCAUAUUAACAGUGACUGGUGGCAUUUUUGAAAUUUAAUGAUUUGAAAUUCAAAUUGGGGACAAAAUCACCAUUUCACAAAAUAAUUGUCAGAAUGGUUAAAAUAAACGGCUGAAUUUAACGGAAUGGGUGCGCGGUGAUAAUUGUUGAAAUAAGUGGGUUUACGGUAAAAUUUGUCAAAACAUGUGGGGGGUGGCCAAAAAUAACCGAAUUAAAAAAUCUAAAGUUAGGGGGACCAUAACUUACAUUUAAUAUAAUUUAUGAUAGGAGUCCACUUAUGUUACCACUGUACAACAGGUUUGGUCUUUUCUGACUCAAUUGCUGUAAAAGUUUGUUGAGCCCCUUGUACUCGAUAUUAUUUACUAUUUAUUUAUAAGUAUUAUAAAAAUUUUUGCUUACUUGUUAAAACAAACCUCUCGGCCCCACUUCCCUUUUUUUUUUUUUGAAAAGCCCCACUCCCCUUGUACUCGAUAUUUUUUACGCGUUUCUCUUUUCUCUCCCCCACGUGAACACUUUUGCCUUUUGCUCGUUCACGUGAAAGUCAGUUUAGAAUUUUGAUCUUAUUUCACAGAGCUAAUUUUUUUAUCACAAGCAGGAGAGAAACGGCAUUUCUUAGCAGUAGUUCAUCACUGUAGUAGCGAGCGAGUGAGGAACAAAAUUACCAACAAUUCUCAAAAAAUAAUUAUAAAAAAUGAUCACAUGCUAUAAUUAAUCAUGACACUUUGACAACAUUACUCCCACCGAGCAAAAGUUAACAGCAUCUUCUCCCACAUUUUUAAAAAAAAAAUUGUAUUAUAUAACCCACCAAAAGUAUAAAGAGUCUUUUCUUAUUAAAAUUAAUAAAUUACUCUUUAUAUUGAGAAAUUAAAAUUUAAAAUGAGAAUGAUGGGCGAUGUUCAUUUCUUAAAAUAAAAAUAAAAUUUAUGAAGUUUAUCUAUUUUUAGAAUUAAAGAAUAAGAACUUAAUUUCUUAUGGGGAGUGUUGGAAAUCAAGUUCUUAUUCCUUAAACUCUCAAUUUUACCUCACAAAAAUUUAUAAGUUCACUUUUAUCUUUAAUUAAAAUAUUAUUAUGUUAUUAUUAUGGUUAUUAUUCUUAUUUUUGUAGUAGUUGCUGUUGUUUUUGUUGAUGAUGAUGAUAAUAGUUGAUAAUAAAAUUAAUAAUAAUAAUGAAAAUAUAACUAUAAUUUUAACAGCUACAAUAAUAAUCAUUAAUAUUAUCGUUGUUGUUCUUAUUAUUAUUAUUAUUAUUAUUAUUACUACUACUACUAUCCUAUUAUAUUAUUAUUAUUAAAUAAUUAUUUUGAAUAAUAAUAAUCUCAAUUAUUAUAACAAACAACGACAAUAAUGAACUAAUGUCAUUUUCAUAACUUAUAACAAUUUAUUUUUUAUUUCAAGACAAAAUAAACAUAUUAAUAAUAAUACAGGUCAUUUCGAUUAUGAUUCUUACAGGUAAAAUAAAUAAUUUAUUAUGAUUUUCACAUCAUAAUCAUAAUUCUUAUAGUAUUAUCUUUAUUUUAAAAUACUUUUUUUAUUUAUAUUUAUUAUAAAUUAAUUAAAUUAUACCAAUGAAAAUUAAAUAAAAAUUUAAGUAAUAAAAAUGAGAAAAUAUAUGUUUCCGUUUGAAUAAAAAAUUAAUAAUAAAAUAUUUUUCUUAUUUUUUAAUAUUUUUAUUAUGAAGAAAAUAUAUUUUUCUUUUUUUAAUUAUUUUGAAAAAAUAUCCAGACUCAUUCUGCAAAGUACCCGAGGCCAAAGCGCCGAAAGAUAGGACACCCACAUGUGCUUUUAUUUACAAAAUCUAAAGUUAGGGUGGGUGUCCGAAACUUAAAUUUAAUAUAAUUUAUAAUUAGGUAAAAUUCUUUGAUUGACCCAUUAAAUUUUAUUAUUCUACUACUUAUUUUUAUAUUAAAAAAUUAGUAAUGUAGAAAAAUUCUUAAAAGUUAAUGGAGAAGGAAAAGAAAAAGAAAAAGUGUAAAUGAACUGUAUUCACCUAAGUUUCAAACACGUGGUUCAAUCUGAAUUCGCUUUUUUCAAAAGUAAAUACAAAAGAAAAUAUAAAGAAAAAAAAUUAAACGAGACAAAAAUCUGUGGCGUGGGUCAUUCAUAUCUUUUGUCAUUUCUUUUUUAGAGGUACAUGGGGUGGAUAUUUUGAAGUGACAAGCAGAGCUUUUACUGUUGCUUGCCUUAUCAUCUUUUAAAAUUAGAGUUACUAUUCUUUUAUUUUUAAGUAGCCAACGGAUGGUAGCCAACUCAUCCAUGUUCUCUAUUAUUGAAUUUAAAGAUCAAUGAUUUAUGUUAAUAAAUAUUUUGUUAACUAUCAAAGUUUUUAUUUCAAAAUUACUGUUAUAAUUCAUUAAUUUUUCAAUUUUUCCUUUUUCUAUUCACACAACAGAUUGAUUUGCCCUCCAAAAAAAUGUAUUAGAUUGUUUAAUAUUGUAACAUCAAGAAACUUAUAAUAAAUUUUUAAAGAGAUAACUAGAGAAUGUUAGCCUCGCAUCUACUCAAAAUUAAUAAAUAUACCACUAAUUCCUUAUUAUUUUUAUAAAACUAAUAACUUUCUUGGUAGUAUAAUUUUAUAGUAUUAUCCUUAUUUGUAAGUAUAUUUUUAUUCAUAUUUAUUAUAAAUUAAUUAAAUCAUAUCAAUAAAAAUUAAAAUAGAAUAAUAUGUUUUGGUGUGAAUAAAAGAUUGAAAAUAAAAAUAUUUUUCUUAUAUUUUUUGUUAUUUUUAAAUGUUUUUCAUAUAAUAAAUGUACAUUUUAUAUUCUUAAGAUGAAUUUUGAGUAAAUGACUCAUUUACUCAUUUUUUUUCUUUAAAUUUUUGUUACUAGGAGGAUUUUUAGAUAUAAUGAAAAUUGUAAGGUAGUAAGUAAUAUAUAAUAAUUUUAAUAGAGAAAAAUAAAAAAAUCUCUUAUUUUAAAAUAUAAGAAGAAAAAUAAUUAAUUUUAAGAAAUUUUAGAAGAUAUUUCAAUAUGCUGUGGAUCACACCCUCGAAUCUUUGUCGUCUCAGUCAACUAAAAGGACAGAAUAUUGAGCGUGAAGGCUCAACUGAUUGUUAAUUUCACAGCAAUUACCUUUUUUUUCUUCUUUUUUUCCUAAUUAUUUUGAAAUGGUAGGUAGCAAUUGCUUACAUCAAAAUAUUUAGACUCACUCGGCAAAGUAUCCGAGGCCAAAAUGCCAAAAGGUGGGACACCCACGUGUGCAUCUAAUUACAAAGUCUAAAGUUAAUGAAAAGAAAAAGAAAAAGUAUAAAUGAACGAUAUUCAUUCAAACAUCUAGUUCAAUAUGAAUUUCUUUUUACCAAAAGUAAAUUUGGGCGAGACUUUGCGAGGGGCCUCGGUGUGCCCGCGGGGAGUCGUCGGCUGAGCGCUGCCCAAAAAUAAGCGUCCGAAGGUCGUACGCUCGCGUGUGAGGCUGCCCUUGCUCGCGCGGCAACGUAGAGUAUGCUCACGCACGAGGCUGCCCACGCCCAGUCGCAAGUAGGGCAGCGCGCGCGACAAGUGGUUGCCCACUCUCGCGCACAAAACAAGCUUAUAAUAGAGCAGCUCCAGGCAUAUGAGGCAGUAGCCAUAAGACAUAAUUUUGAGAAUGGUGAGUGUGGAAACAGGGAGGAAUUUCAUAAGGUCAAAAAUGGGAUAUUGGCGGGCGAGGCUUUGCGAGGGGCCUCGGUGUGCCCGCGGGGAGUCGCGGGCACAGCCGCACCCCAAAAUAACGCCCCAAGGUCGGGGUGAUAAAAAGGCCUCAGUGCCCCGAGACGGGUGUGCUAUAGCCUUGGUGGGGGGCGCGGGCGAAGUUCGUCCGCCAGCGCGGCCGUGCCCGCAACUUCCGGCGGGCACACUGAGGCCCCUCGCAAAGCCUCCCCCUAUACCGAGUCCGGCGGACGAACUUCGCACGCGCCCCCCACCAAGGCUAUAGCCCACCCGUUUCGGACGAGACUUUGCGAGGGGCCUCGGUGCACCCGCGGGGAGUCGCGGGCACAGCCGCACCCAAAAAUAGUGCCCCAAGGUCAGGGUGCCGAAAAGGCCCCUAGGGGCCCCGAGACGGGUGGGCUAUACUGCCUCAAGGUCGGGUGCUAAAAAAGCCCCAGGGGCCCCGAAACGGGUGGGCUAUAGCCUUGGUGGGGGGCGCGGGCGAAGUUCGUCUGCCGGACUCGGAAUGAAGCGAGGCUAAACGAGAGCCCUCGGGUGCGCGGGCGAUGCUCGUAUGCCGGACUCAGAAUGGGGCGAGACUUUGCGAGGGGCCUCGGUGUGCCCGCGAGGAGUCACGGUGCCAAAAAGGCCCCAGGGGGCCCGAGUCGGGUGGGCUAUAGUCUUGGUGGGGGACGCAAGCGAAGUUCGUCUGCCGGACUUGGAAUGGGGCGAGGUUUUGCGAGGGACCUCGGCGAGCCCGCAGGGAGUCGGCGGCCGAGGACCAUCUUGAAGUCAUCCAUGAGGACGAUGGAGAAAUCAAGCUUUCCGCUCCACGUACUGAGUGUUAAGUGCACGCCUUGUGCAAUUCCUGCAAUUGACUUGGCGGGUGAGUUUACCGCUUUCAUCGUGCCUCUUUUCAUCUCGAUUCCCGAGGCCCGCUGGUCCCAUUGGACGAAACGGAACCACAAUCAGAUGCCUCGAUCAUGAGUUACGGCCAAAACCGGUAAAAACAACCCCGAUCUUACCCCCCGCUGGCGAUCAAAACCCGCUAACGCACUAGCGGAAAAAGGCCCCGAGACGGGUGGGCUUUAGCCUUGGUGGGGGGCAUGGGCGAAGUUCGUCCGCCGGACUCGGAAUGGGGCGAGGCUUUGCGAGGGGCCUCAGUGUGCCUGCGGGGAGUCGUGGGCACCCUGCCCUUCGGGGCCCAAAAAUAAGCGCCCGAAGGUUGGGGUAGCAAAGGCCCCAACGAAAAAAGGCCCCGAGACGGGUGGGCUAUAGCCUUGGUGGGGGGCGCCGCCGCACAAUUCAUCCUCCGCGGCCCUUUCCCCACUCCCCGGUGGGUCCGAGGUGUCCCGGAGAGUUACGAACUUGACGUGAUAAGUUGUAUAUUUCACGUGAAGUGUUACAUCCUUACUUCUUCAGCUUCCUUGUACGUUCACUUCUUAAGAAUCUGGCUAUGUUUUUUUAAUUUUAGGUAUUUUUAGUGUUGAAAUCUGGCUUGUAGUUGGGCUUAAUGAGUAGUGUAAAGAUUGUUGAUCAAUGAUUAAUGUGCUUGUUGCUGAUUUAUUUCUGUUUUUGUUUCAGAUUGGUGAGUGUCGCCUUGGUGGGGGGUGAGGGCGAAGUUCGUCCGCCGGACUCGGAAUGGGGCGAGGCUUUGCGAGGGACCUCGGGGAUGCAGCCCAGCCUCGCAUGCCAGCAGCACAUGCUCGCGGGCAAGGAUGGGCGCUCGCGCGGGGCAUACAGUAGGCAGUCGCGCGGUAAACUGCCCACGCUCUCGAGGCAAGCAGCUCCUAGUCGGGCAAGGCAGUGCGCGCUCGCCACCAAGGCAAGUAGCCCAAGCUCGCGCGAGGAAGUCAGGCCAGGCUUGUGCGCGCGCGUGGGGUGAGGCUUCGUAAGGGGCCUCAGUGUGCCCGCGGGGAGUCGUGGGCAUAGCCGCACCCAAAAAUAGUGCCCCUAAGGUGGUGGGGGGCACGGGCGAAGUUCAUUCGCCGGGCUCUGAAUGGGGCGAGGCUUUGCGAGAGGCCUCGUUGUGCCCACGGGGAGUCACGGGCACAGUCGCGCCCAAAAAUAGUGCCCCAAAGUCGGGGGGCCAUUGACUGGUGUACCACGAUCAUAUUUAACUGUUGUAUGCAUGAAUCCUUGUGACAUGACAUAUAGCCAAUUAAAUUCUGACAUGCGUGCAAUAAAGACUGUAAAGUGACCGGUUAUUCCGGUUGAAUUCACAAGAACUCUUGUUUGUGUGUUUAUGUUCCAAGUUGUGUACUCUUUGUUACGAGUUCUCUAAUUAGUCUGAUAUUAUCGCAACUGAUGCUCAAUAAUGUUACAGGUUUUAUAAUAUAUGUCACUGGUACGAUCGCUGUCACAAAUUUUGAACGAAAAGUUCCUAAUAAAACAAGUUAUUUAAUUAAUUAAAUAAGAAUAAAAUGAAUUUGUGAAAAAAAAUUUAAUUUAAUUUUGAAUUAUUUUAACCAAAAUUUAAGUUUUUUUUUUAAUUUGUUUAAGAAAAUGCGUUUUAAUUGGAAAAUCAAUGAAAAAAUUUAUGUAACAGAAAAAAAAAAAAAGCAAAACGUUUUGUUUUGGAUGGAGGCCAUAGAUUCCAAUAUUUCCUUCACGAAAACUACAAAAAAUUAUCAAAGGCAUCAAUUUCUACACUCUCACCGAGCAAUACUCUUAACCCAGAAGAAAGUGUAUAAACCAACCCCAAUCAGUCCAUCAAUGUCGUCAACCUCAUACAAUAUAAAAAAAAUCCGUGUCCAUUAAACCGUCUUUAUUGAGCCAUUAGACUAUUCGUGUCAUCUUCCCAUCUCGUUGUAGUAUUUUGCCGUUCAAAUCUAGUUAUCAAUUGGGGAAAAUGGGGACCAAUCUGCAAGUCUUUAAAAUAGAUAGGAACUUUAAUUGGGCACUAUGUUCACAGUGGUGGACCCAGCAGCAUUAAUAUUUAAGGUGGAGCUAUUUGUAUCUUAAAAAUGAUUUUAAAUAUUCUAAUUUCAAUAAGAAUAUAUAUUAUAAAAAUAUUUAUUAUAUAAGUUAUUGGACAAUAUAUUAUAAGUCAAUAUUAUAUAAUUACUUUGAACACUUAUAUAGCACAAUCCUAAUUUAAUUUAUUAUUCUCAUGACUUAAAUAUAAAAAUUUUUAUUUCCAACAUCUUAAUAAAUAUGUAGAUGAAUAAUAAGGAAAUUAACUUUGAGAAAAAAUUAAAUACAAAAUAUGUGUAAUACUUUUAAAAAUAAAAUAAAACAAAAGUAUUGCACAAGAUUUUUUUUGGGGGGAGGGGGGGGGGGGGGGCUUUGGCCAUUCUUCUUCUUCUUCUCCUUCUCUCUCUCUCUUUUUUUUUUUGGGUAGUAUUUAUGGAACAUUUUCUAUUGUUAUGUUCUCAUCACAAGUUAUUUUGGGUGUAAAAUUCAAUAUUGAAAAUAAAUUAAAUGAAAAAUUAGUAACGAAAAUUAUGUUAAAUUAUUUUUUUAUAACUUAAUUUUUAAUUAUAUUAUUGUGAGUAUAUGCUAAAUCUCUUAAAAAUAGAGUGUUGAAUAAUUUUAUUAGUUUUUUUUUAAAUAAAUAAAGUUAAGUAACUUAAAAAGUUUAAGUAAGGAUAUUUUUGAAUUUUAAUUAGUGUACAAAGUAAAGUUUAAUUUUUUUAUAAUUAAAUUAUAAACGUGAAAAAUAAUAGAAUGUUCAAAAUAAUAUUUAGAGUACUAAUAAUCCUACCUUAAUCUUUAUCAUCACAUUAUUUUUCAUAAAAAAUUUACAAUUACCUCUUUAUUGGAUAAUUUUGUUCCCUCUCUUACCUUAUGUUCCCUUACAUUCUCAUUUCUGCAUCACCAUUUAAAUUGUAAUCAUAACGUUAAUCUUUAUCCAUCACAUAUUUUGCCAAAUUUAUUCGCACCGCAAAGCUCUUUCCUUUUUUUUUUUUUCCUCCGUUAAGUUUGCUAUAAUGUACGUGAAGAAUAGUUAAAGAGCUCUUUCGUGUCCUUACCCUUUUUUUCGGGUUCACUUUUGCUGCUUUUUAACGUUUCUCCAGAAUUCACUUCAACAUGACUGGCGCAUUUUCUUCUUUCUCGUUGCAACAUCAACUGGGCCACCACCUCUUGCCUCUCCCGGUUCCCCUCAAUUUUCGUAUUCAAUGUCCACCGUUGAUUGUACAUUUAUUAAAACUCUGUGGUUAUUGUUUUUUUGCAUACAUUUAAUUCCACACGGUCUAUCAAUAGAGCAGGUGCAUCGUAGUUGUGGCCUUAACUGUUAUUGGUAACUCAAUAGCUAAUUCUAAUGUUUCAUCAAGCAGUUUAGAGAUAACCUCUCUCGCUGAACUCCUUGGAGUAACGCAAUCCAGUUUUCCAGUGCAAUCACCAGACAGUUGAACAGCUUCUGAAUUCCCUAUGCUUUUCUUGUUUUCUUUUCCAUGUAAAGGGAGCUCAGGCUUCAAUAUAUCUGGGGAUUGAUUACUAAUGAUAAAGACAACAUACGGUAGAGGACACAAAUUGUUAUUAAAGAAUGAUGCACUUUUCAACUGAGUAUAGUAAAGCAAGAAUGGGUAAUUAGUUUUACCUGCAACGUGAAAAUCUAGACUCCCGACGGUAACCGAUCUUUGGUCAAGCAAAUAAAGAAGAAGGCGAAGUAAAAUUCACUGAGUUGAAUGAGCGAUCAUUGCGUAUGGACUUGACUUGUUCAAUGGGUGAAAGACUGCUGAUAUAAUUAAAGACUGGAGAAUCCUGCACGUUGACAAGCAUCAUUUUUAAUCUAACAUAGAGUCUUAAAAACUUUGUCAGUGGCAAAUGAUCACGACAAGAAAUCUGAAGUAGAAACAGCAGAGCUCAACAAAUCACUAAGAGAAAAUAAGACCAAUAACCAAGCAGAUAAAAGAAAAGCAAAAUAACCCAUCUCAAAAUCACCGCAUGCACAAUUAGGGAUGGCAAUUUCCGGGUCCGGGUCCGGGUCCGGGUUUGGCUGUUCCGGAUCCGGACCCGGACACGAAAUUUUCAUAACCGGACCCGCAUUAAACCCGGGUUUUUUUAAUCCGGGUCCGGUCCGGGUUCAACCCGGAAAAAUCCGGGUUUCCGGAUUCCGGGUUUUGAACCCGGAUUGCUUAUUUUUUUUUUUUUAGAGACCAUAUAACUUAUUUUAACAAGGCACAGGGGAUGGGGUUUAAUGUUUUAAUCUUUUCCCCAACAACACACUACACAAUUCUUCCUAGAAUUGGUUCAAUAAAAUUUGAUGGAUAAAAGGCAAAAUAAAAGAACAUAUAACACAUCAGUGACAUCACUAGACUACUAGAACCAAAUUGUUUAACUUUGGUUCAUCAAAAUUUGCCGGACAUAGGGCAAAAAAACAGAACAUAUAAACACAUCCAGAACCACCAGCCCACUAGAACCAAAUUGUUUAACUUUGGUUCAUCAAAAUUUGCUGGACACAGGGCCAAAUAACAGAACAUAAUAACACAUCCAGCUUCUAAAACAAAUACAACACAAAUACACAAUAUAAAAUCUAAAAUUCAAAGUUUUAAAGUAAUAAACAUCCACAAAUACAAAUUCAUAACAUAAUUCUAUAAUUUAAAGCUGAAAUUUCCAGCCACUGCCCACUAGUGCUCAGAUUUCUAGCCACUGCCCACAGCCCACCAAUGCUCAAAUUUCCAGCCACCGCCCACUAGUGCUCAUAUUUCCAGCCACUGCCCACAGCCCACCAGUGCUCAAAUUUCCAGCCACUGCGGCACUGCCCACCAGUGCUCAAAUUUCCAGCCACUGCCCACCAGUACUAAAGACUAAACUCUGAAUCAUGCACUUCAUUGGACUGUUGUUCACUCAUCAAACUUUCAUCAAUCAAAUGCUCUGCAGAAAGUAUUGCUUCCUCUGGAAUUCCAUUUACAAAAAAUGUGUAAAUCAUAAACAUAAUGAACAAGACAACCAAUUAGUGACAAAUUGAUAAUAAGAACAAUACAACAAAUAAUUUGAUUCUAAUAAAUAAAAUUUUCAUACCUUUUAAGUUUUGUUCAAGCCAAAACCAAUUUUGAGUGCACACUAAUGCCUCUACUGUGGAUGGGUGAAGUCUACUACGAUGAGGGCUCAAAUGUCUACCUCCAGUGCUAAAAGCAGACUCUGAAGCAAUUGUUGAUACAGGAAUGGCCAAAAAGUCCCUUGCAAUCUUUGCAAGUAUAGGAUAUUUGCCUUGAUUAUUCUUCCACCAUGAUAAAAUGUCAAAUUGACUAGUUGAAGGCAAAGUACACUCCUCAAGAUAAAACUCUAAUUCUGAUUUGGAAUGAGUAUUUUGCGUGUUUUCAUUUCUAAAUAAUGCCCACUCAUCAGCCAUUUCAUCCAAAUCUAAAUCUAACAUAUUAGAGUCCUCUCCUCCAGCAGCUUGAGAAUUGGCACCAUUAACCCCCCCACUUGAAUUUGAUAGAUGAUUUACUUCAUACUCAUGUACUAAAUCAACAAAUAACUUACGCACUCUUUCAAUUUCAGAUUCAGCUCUUUCCCCAUAUAUUUUAGGAAAUAAAAAGUUAAUCAAUAACAUUUUACGCCUAGGAUCUAACAUAGUCCCCACUGCAAGAACUCCAUGAAUAACAUCCCAAUACUUUUCAUACUUUGCAAUCAUCCUAGUAGCCAUAUUUUUUAUCCCCUCAAUUGGUGAUUGCAACCAUGCAUUCAUUGACAAUCUAAUUUCACAAAUCUUGGCAAAAAAUAAAUUAGAUGUCGGAUAUUGUGUCCCCGAAAAAAGUUCUGUCAACUUAUAAAAGCUUUUUAAAUACUCACACAUAAGCUUUGACAAAUUCCACUCUGACUCACUAGGUAAAGAUGUAUAAUUUCUCUCACGUUCCUUUAAACGAUCAAAUACAUUUUUAUACAGCAAUGCAGUACUAAGCAUCAAGUAAGUAGAGUUCCAUCUAGUUUUACAAUCAAGUACUAAGUUUUUGGUUUCCUUAAUACCUAAUUGUUUUUUUGCAUUCUCAAAUUUUUCAACUCUAGCUGGUGUUGCUGUCCAAUAAUGAACACUAUCUCUAAUUUUCUCAACUCCCUUUUGUAUCACUGACAAACCAUCUCUAACUAUCAAGUUCAAUAUAUGAGCACAACAACGCAUGUGAAAGAAUUUGCCACCCAUAAUCAUUGAACUAGUAGAAAAUUUCCCCAACAACAAGGCAAUCAUAGAAUCAUUUGCAGCACAGUUAUCAGCAGUUACAGAGGACAAUUUUCUAUCUAUAUUCCAAUCCAUCAAACAAUCAUAUAACUCAUUACACAUUACCUCAGCACUAUGUGGAGCUGGCACAUAUAUAAACCUAAUAAUGUGAAAAAAUAAUUAAAAUAUUAGACAGGACAUUAAUUUAUGCUUAAACCAGAAAAAAAAGUUUCAAGAAUAUUACCUCAUAAUACGACUUCGCAACACCCAUGAACUAUCAAUGUAAUGUGCCGUAAUAACCAUGUAUCCUUUUUUUUGGUUACUAGCAGUCCACAUAUCAGUAGUAAUUGCGAUUCUACUCUCACAAGCUUCCAAAAUACCCAUUGUCUUUUUCUUUUCAACAUCAUAAAGCCUCAAAAUUUCAGCUUUGAUGGUGUUUCUACUAAUAGUCUCAAUAGAAGGUUGGAGUAGCUUCAACAAGUCAUAAAACCCAACAUACUCAACAAAUGCCAAUGGGAGCUCAUGUAAUACAAUCAUUCUAGCUAUAAAAAGCUUUACUGUAGCCAUAUCCCAUUUUGACUCAGAACUAAAAUUACUAAGUGAAGUGCUUCCAUCAACUUUAGAAGAAAAGGAUAGGUGCAUUUGCUGUACAUUCUUAAAUGACCUUCUAGGACAACGUUUAGCAUGGUUUAUUAAGUGAUUAGUACCCCUCGAAUAAUGUCCUUGCAUAACUAACCCACAGUAAUUGCAAAUUGCCUGAACUUCCUCACCCAACUUAACUUUUUUGAAAUGAUUCCAAGCAUCAGAGACUACUCUACCACCACUAUCUCGUUUUUGUGAAGUGACAGAAUUAGUAUUACCCCUACGGCCACGGCUACGGCCACGACUAUUCCCCUGAACUGCUGCUGUUGAAUUUGGUUCUAAUUCAACAGCUGUAUCGUUAUUAUUUUCUAAUUCUGUCCUAACUCUCACACAAACACUUUCAUCACUUUUUUCAGAGGCGUCCAAGUCGAUUCUUUGUUCAUUUUCCAUAUCAAAUUUUCACUCUACAAAAAUUAUGUCAAGAUAUAAUUAAUUCCAGCAACUUCUUCCAAUUUAUAUGCUAUGUUUAACCGUAAAAGCUAUAAAUAAUAUUUUAGAGAUACCAUUUCUAUUCUAUUAACAGCAACAAUAAAAAUAAUUCAAAAAAUAAACUAUAAAUAAUAAAAUUGAAGCAUAACAAAGUAUAGAUACUAAAAAUCACAGAGUUUAGCUAUUAAAGUCACAAAGUAUAGAUAUUAAAAUUACAAAGAGAGCAAAACAGAACACAGAACACAGAGCACAGAACACAGAACAUAUUUGAUUUGAAAACUCAAUGUUAAUGGGUCUUUUAAGCAAAGGUAUGUUAUCAAGUUUUUAUGCAACCUUAGAGAUAGCUAGUAUAUUUAAUCUAUCUCUACAGAAUUCUGAUACAGAUUAGUAUGAUUUACUGUGUUAACCGAUAUUAGACUUCUUUUGCAGACUCAAAAAAGUGCCUGCGACAAAUUUGCAGAUAUCCUAAACAAUUCUUACUGCAUUGGCAGAUUAUUCUAAAUUUCUAAUCGAGGAAAAGGAUCAGGAGUGUACAAUACUAACUGGAAAGAGUCAUUACUCUUCAAGCAACUCAGUAUACACAAGUAGUAAAAGCACAGGACAAGGUCGAACCCAAUUUCAGUGAGAGAAAGCAGAAGCAAGCCAAACAGAGUAUUAAUGCUAGUCAGGCUCAGAACUACCAUUCAUGCAGCUAGCCAUAGGCAGCAGCCCUUUGGCUAAUUAUACUUCAAAUUCAAUUCUAAGCUUACUCACUAACCAACUCUUAAUGCACAAAACCAACAAUACGCGGCAGAAGAAAAAUGGCAACUGUUCUGUUUUAGACAACAAUUUCUCCUUGUGCCAGAAAAACAAAGAACAAAAAGAGGCAAAUAAUUCAGAAAAACAAAAAGCUUAUAAUUAGUCAAGUGCUCUCAUAUGUCAUAUACAAAGAAAACAAUGUAUGAGGAAAAAUCAAAUUGUGCCAGCAGCAAUACAAGCUCAAAGCAUAACAGCACAAAAAUUGCAAAGAGGGAAAAUCAAAGUGUAAUAGAGCAUAAAUUGUAAAGAGAAAAGCCGAGACUCACAAAUAUUCACAGCGGCAACUGAAGUAUAUGCUGAUGAACACAGAACACAGCAGCGAGACUGAGGUGGAUUUCAACCCCUUUUGCUGGCCGCGACAGAGUGAGAGAUCAGACGAGUGAUGAAACGAACAAAGCCUCGCCGUGAAGGUGAUGACAAGCCACGACGCGAAGGAUCUGAUCUGAUCUGAAGAAGAGAUUACAGGAGAGUUGCAGAGAGAGUGAGAGAGAUUAAGUGACGAUGGAGGACUGAGAUGAGCAAUGAGUCACGGCUCACGGGUGAGAGAGAUUGAGAGAGGAACGGAUUACGGUUUACGGAUGAGACUUGAGAGAUUGAAAGGAGAAAUUACAGAUUUACAGUAAUUUUUUUUAGGUUGAAGGAGAAAUUUCGAGAGAGGAUUAGAGGAACGAGACGAGAGAGAUCUAGAUUCUAGGGUUCACUUUUGUUUUCGUUUUUUUUUUUUCUAUUUAUAAUUACGGAUUUACGGAUCAAAAUUAAUAUUAAAAUAAAUAAUAUCCGGGUCCGGGUUCCGGAUUUGCGGGUUCACCUGAAACCGGAUCCGGACCGGAAAAAUGCGGGUUGUCAAAAACUGAUCCGGAUUCCGGAUAAAAACUAUGCCGGUGCGGGUUGAACCCGGACCGGAUUUUCCGGGUUCAAUCCGGGUCCGAUCCGGGUCCGGGUUUGAUUGCCACCCCUAUGCACAAUUUAAGGGGUUUGUGACAUGGGUUUAAACAUGAUUUAACAAGUGCCACCUGUGAAUUGUCAGAGAUUGUAUUUUCAUACACAUGUCAAAUUUUCAAGUCCAACAAAUUGUUAUCUUUCUAAAGAGGCUAAUAUUAUUAUUAUCUAUGCAUAGCAUGCUAGAAACAAUUCAUAUUACUAGGGCCUUUGUUUUCUGUAAACAACAUAUGGACAGAGGAACAAAUCCCUGAGCUAAAAUCAUCAUAUUCCAAAAUAUUCUAUUAAAUCAACACCACAAAACGCGAACGCUAAACAGAAUUGGAGCAAUUUACCAAAGCUAUUUGUCACGCAAAGCACUAGUACCUCAGAACCCAAUUUGCAAAACAGCACCAAAAAUGAAAAAUAACAAAUGCCCAGAUGAAAUAUCAGGAAAAAAAAGGCUCAAAUCCAAAUUACAACCCCAUAAGCUGAAUCGUUCUCUUCGAACUGAAUUAAAAAAAAUUAAAAAAAUUAAAUAGGGAGAUUGACCUCAAACUUUGGAAACAGGAGCGACAGCGAUCUGUUUCUUGUCUGGAGUGUCCAUUUCUAUAAUCUACAUUGUCCAUUUUCAGUCGCUCUGCCACAGAGCUUCUUCCCUCUGAAGCUGAAGCUCACACACACUUGCAAAACGAAAGCAUUUUUAGUGAUUGAGAGGCGGGAAGGCGGGAAAAUGAGAGAAAUUUACAUUUGUUUUCUCUUGGUUUGGUCAUACCUGUGCGGGCCCCAGCUUGACAAGCGGUAUUAUUACUAUUUGUAUAAUUUAAAUGACGCGUGUCAGGCAAUGACGAUAAAAAAUAUAUACAUAUAUUGUUAAUUUUUCACUUAACAUUAAAAUAUCAUAUAAUUUUUCCAAUUUUAUGGUUAUUUUCUCGCCCUUAUGCCACAUUCUUUUGAUCAAAUAAUACAGUAAAACUUUUCUAUAAUCAUAAUAUUAGAGCCAAAUUAAAUUUGUUUCUGUAAAGAGGCUAUAGCUUAAUAAAGGUAAAAUUAUAAAAAUUAUUAUUUUGACUCAGUUAUCUUUAGUGCAAGUGAUAUAAAGUACAGAUAUAUGAUAAUUAAUUAAUGAACUAUGUCAAAUACAAUAUGCUGACAAUGAUAAAAAAGAUAGACAUAAUUUCAAGAAACUAAUACAUAUAUUUAUGUAGUGCUGGGAUUAUACAAAAUUAUCUUAAAAGUGUAAAGAUUAAAGUACUAUUAUGAUUAAUUUAAAAAAAUUAUUUUAUCUUAAUCUUUAAUGCAACAUAGUUUUUUUUUUUCUUAGCAACAAAGCAUUGUUCCAAAUAAUUAUUAUUGGAUUCAAAUCAUGUCCUAGGCAUUUUUUCUUCUGGUCGUCUUAAACUUUUAAUGAUUUAUUGGCAUGUGUCAUUAAUGAAAUUAAAUAACUAAGACUUUGUUUUAAUUAACGUUUACAUAAAUAGACAUCAAAACUCACGUGUGAUUCUUAUCAAUUUUUUUCCUGCAAUUUUUUUCCUCUCAACUAUUCAUAUUUUGACAUUAAUUUCCAGCAAAUUAUUAAAAAAGAAGAAGCGUAAAAUGGAGAAAAGUGAUUGACAACAAGGUUUGCAUCUUAAUUUCAAAAUUUUCCUUUCUUUGCUAUUUUUGUGGGUUCUACAAUUGUUGUUUUCACUCUCAGCUGCAGUUCAAUGAACUCUAUUAAUAACCAUGAAGCUUAAUGUAUCAAUUCCAGUACGACAAGUCCUUCUACGCAUGUUACAACACUUUUUUGUCAUUAUAGGUUGCAAAUGUUCCGUAAUGUACUCAUUCAUAUAACGGAAACGCUAUUAUCAAUAAUGAAAGUUGACUAAGUUUGUAAAUUCUAUUUAACGAAAAAGUAUCAUAAAUUUAGUUGAACAAGAGGUAAUUAAUAUGUAAUCUAUGAAACUAGGGUGUGACUAAGUUACAUAGUAAUGUAACUUACAUGAACACAAAAAUAAUUAGUUUUUAAACUACAAGUAGCUUUGAAACAGCUCUUAAAUUGAUAUAAGUUCUAUUAUUAUGUAACUUAGCAAGGUCAGAUAUUUUAAUAAUAGCUUACUCUACCGUGCCAAUGUCAUUAGUAUUAAUCUGUUGAACCUAAGACCAGAUCUAAGCUGAUCUAGAUUCCCCAAGAUCGCACACCACACAGUGAUUAAUGAAUCAAGAACAAUAAACCAUCAAAGAAUCGCAAACUUACAUGUCGGGUUACAUGUAAUAAAUGUUUUAAUUAUUAGAUGAUUCAUAAUGUUAGACCAUUUUUUGUAUGUUUUGUAAUCUACGUUUGAUAAUUUAAUUAGCUGAUAAACACUUGAAUAAUAUUAUUUUAUUAACUAUGUCAUUGAUCCCCAGGAAAAAAAAAAAAACCAAUUUGGGAUGUUAUACAUUGCUUUUUCAUUAAUUCCCAUUUUAUAUUAAUAUUUAUCACAUAUAUUCUUAGUAACUUGUAACCCUUUUUGCUAAGGGUGAAAUGUGUUUGUUACCCCUUCUAUUUCUGAGAUUGUCCUUACAAUAAGGAUGCCGGCCCCAAUGUCAAAAACUGCUAUCUCUGGGUGUAAAUUCCUUAUAAAAUUCUUUUUUAAUUGAAAUUACUUAAAUAAUUGAAGAUAAAUUAAUUUUUUAUUUCAUUCAAAUAAAAAAAAUCAAUUAAACACUUAAAUAAGCUAUCCUUUUAAUUUUUUUUUUACACCCCUCCAGUUUCAUAAUUUAUAUUUAUAAUUUAAAUUUUAAUGGAAAAUAUUUUUUUGAAAAAUUUUAAGAAUUAAGAAUUAUGGGGAUAAAAAUUAUGUAAUAAGAACAAAAUAAUUUAAAAUUUUAAAAUUUGCAUGCAUUAUAAACAAAAACUUGAAAGAAAUACUCUUUUCAGGGUGAAAUUUAAUGAGAAAAAGAUUAAUUUUAAUUUAUGAAUUAGUAUUUUAUAAGUUAAACUGAGGUAUUUCAAGAAAUAGAAUUCAAAAGGCAUGGGAACGAGGGCCUUGGGUUUCAUUUUGUUUUGUAGGAAUUGGGAAAAAUACACGGACAGACAAAGGGAGCAGUCAUUAUAAUGCUGUGAAGCUGGUCGGAGAUACCCUGCCCAUUUGUAGCUUAGACUCCUGGGGUUUUGUUCAUGUCUUUUAUGUAUCCCACUUUUUCAUGCAGCAGAUGUACAUAUGAUGAGAUGAAAACAACAGCAAAAAUUGCUGUCUCAUAAGAGAAAUAGUCAUACAUAGUUGGUUAGGCCUCCUGUCCAUUAACUUAAUAAUGAAUUUUAUGAAAAUUGAUUAUCUCAUUGGAAUUACAUAGAUAUUGGAAAACAUUACUCCAGCCCCACCAUCCCAACCAUUUACUUAGUUCAUCAGUAAAAGCUGGAUUUUCCAUUUGUUCUUGAGAUUCAAAUUAAGGCAACAAGUUGCUCAUUCUAUAUUAUCUAUGUAAUCCUGUAAAAGUGAAGGGCGUUUAGAUGUGGAAAAACCUUACUCCUGCCGCAACACCUCAAACAGAUUGUGAUCAGACAAGACUUAGUUCAUCAUUAGCGGUAGUUGGAGCUUCCAUUUGUUCUAGAGAUUCAAAGGCAGCAAGCUGCUUCCUCAGUGCUACUAAUUCUUCCCCGGCAUUGCAUAUGUAGCCUGAGGCUCGUCUGCCAGACAAAGUUGCUCCUUCCAUACUAUCUAUGUAAUCCUGUGAGAGUGAAACCAUUUAGAAGACAUCUCUUUUUUUUUUUCAAUAUUUGGAAUGAAACAAUUAUAUACAGUUACCUGUUUUGUAUAUGAGCUGGCGAGGAAGAAGUUCUUCAUUGGUAUCUUUUGAUCAGGUCUGAAGGGGUCUUUACCAGGUCCCUCACCUCACAAAGAUUGCCGGAUUUUGACGACAGAUAACCAAAUAACUUCUAAACCUUGGGAUGAUGGAAUUAGAGCUAAAACCUAAUAAAAGGAACCGUGAAUGGAUAGUAUGGAUUCAUGUAUAUUAUCCAGAAAGUUGCAUGACCGUUUGUGGUACUCAGGUCACUAAAAAACGUGAGAUAAACAUCUAGGAUAAGAAAAGCAAAAAAGCGUAACCUAAUAUGUAUUAUAUGAAUUGAAGGUGUCACUGAACACUACUAACCUGCUUUGCCACUCUCCUUAUGAUUUCAUCAUUUGGUAAGGGCAUAUAAGGAUCUCCAGGCGUCAAAACGCAUCUGAAAGAUAAUAUGGUUAUAGGAAGCAAGAUGGAAUACAAAGACACUUGGCAAAAGGAAGUCAAUCAGAUUCCAUGCACAAAAAAUAACUAAAAAUGACGAGGAUAAGAAAUGUUUCUUACUGGAGAAAUGAACCUUGCCCUUCUCUGUAGUAGUAUUCUGGUGAAGUGAGUGCUAGAUCUGCAAAGCAAGAGAAAUCUGCAUCUGGAGUAUAUAAAAGGUUAUCUAACCCCACAGCUUGCCUCAAUUGCCUACAUGUUCAAUACAAGGAUCCGUUAAAAAAUGGAAAUUUCUUCAAUGCAUUAGUAAAGGGGAGUGAAGUGAAAGCUGAUUUCUUAGGCCUUCACAGAGCAUCUUGUGUUUGACAGCAAGCAUUAAAGAAUAAACUCAAAGUCAAUGCUUCUAACAGAUGAUAUAAACAACAAAUUUACAAAUAUCAGGUCAUUGCAUUAGCUCCAUGCCUCCGUCAGAGCGAACAUUAAUAGAUGCGUAAAAAAUAAAUAAGAGCGAUAUGUGAAACAAUUUACCUUAGACAUGGCAAGUCCUUUGACAAAUGUUUCCCCGUUAGCAGAUUUAUCAUAAUGCAUCUCUCUGCAUCCCCACCUAAGAUGGAACCUGUUCUCACAAGAACAGAUUCCAAGGUUGGGAAAAUCAAUUGAUCAUCGGAGAAAACAAACAGGAUUAACAAAUCACUACAAUGGUGUGAACCUGUAAAUACAAACGUACCUGCCCCCUUUAUCUGUGAUAUAUUUUCUUAUUGGCCCACUCAAAUAAACAUCCGGAGAACCCUUGAGCAUCUGCAAUAGGGAAGCCUCGGUCUUAGUUGCAAACAGUGCAAAUAUAGUAUGCAUACAACGAGCAAUGAUGUUAUCACAAUCAAUAAACCCAAGGGCAAACGCAACAGGAUCUUACAUUCUUUGGAUACUCAUCCAUGUACCACCCUUGGACAAAAACCAAUCAGAGAAGCUUAUCUGUAAGAAGAAAUGAAGUUUGAGGUAAAAUAAAAAUUUGUAGGAACAGGGAUUGAAAUUCAACAAACAAGAAAAUAUGUUGUUUGUUGAAAUUCAACAAACAACAAACAAGGCUCCAUCAGGAUCAAGAAGUGCCUUUACAACAGGACUCAGCGCAAGAGCAAUAGCAUUUCUUGAUUUAUCAUAAGUCUGCACUUGAGCAAUAUACGAGGCAAAGUACAUCAAAAGAGAAUCCAAAAGAGGCAAGAAGCUUCAACAUGAAAAAAGGAGUACUGCCUCGUCAUACUGCUUUGCAAUCACAGUGCAAAAGAUAACAUCAACAAAAUCAAAAUCGAGCAUAAAUCCGUAUGCACUACCUUAAGCUGAUUUGUAGACAAAAAUGCACGAAUCCCAUGUAAUGGAGCUCCAAUCGGAAACCGGAAAUCAAGUUCUGGAGUUGAAAAUCAAAAUCAUGAAUCAAAUCAGAGUUAUUAUUGAAUUAGACAAUCCAUAAACCAAUAGAAGGUGAUGUCAAACCAUCAAGCAUAACUAUUAGUUGUUUUAAGUGAUCAAGAAAUAACUGUACCACCAAUUUCACCACCCUUAUUUACAAAUUUAUGAGUAUGAUCCUUCAUGAGUAAAUUUUCGUCCGCACCGACCUGUCGACAUCCAUGAAAAACUAUCAGAUCAUAAACACAUGUUCCAGUUAAAGAGGAUCUAUGAUUCUGAUCCAUCAUGUUAUUUGAACAACAUUUUCGGAUUUUCUUACAACCCUAAGCUAUUAUCAGUUAUCAUCGCUACAAAUGAUAUGGUCAAGAGGAAUGAUAGUUCUUGUUUCAAGAAUCUCAAAUCGUAAUUCUUUUGCAUGGCUUCUGUGCUUUUAUAAUCAUUCAAACACGCAUAUCCACAACUAAGCAAGCUUUACCUUUUUUGUCAAUCGGAACAGAUUAUUGCAGCAUCCAAAGAAAAUGUGCAGGCUGAUUUCAAUAUGGUUUCCAUGUUUACCGACAAAUGAAGCCACUUUACCACCAAUAAAAGACCUCAACUCAUAUAUAUCCACCUGGAAGAAAGGAAAAUUUAAAAAAAAGGAACUUCUAAUUUCUUUCACCAUCAACAAAAUCAGAAAAACACAUACUAAUUCAAAAUGAAAUAAAGUUUGUGAAUUGAAAUAAUGCCAACUCCUAAGAAAAAUUAUGACUGCUGAUAUUUUUUCCGAAAUGCUGAUAAAAGCUUCUGCUAUUUACUUUGAAAAAAUUGAGGUUAGAAGCCUAUUUACUUGAAAUUUUGAGUUUAGGCAAGAGGAUGAAUGGUAAAAGUGAAACAUUUUAGGGAAAAAUGUACGUCAGUGGCCAAUGAAAGCAUUAAGAAGAUUGAAAUCUAAAUGAGCAAAACCUCAUGGCCUUGAUCCAACAAUUCCACUGCUGUUGACAUGCCUGCAAGCCCAGCUCCAAUAAUAGCCACUUUCAGCUUUGGUCCUCUAUAAUGUUCCGGUUCUGGUGGAAACAAUUAAACAAACCCUUGGGAGCUGCCAAGUAUACCAUCCAAUUAUCCACAGCGAUAAUGGAAAUAUAUAUGUGUUUGAAAGUACUAAAUUCCUAAACAUGACAUGUAUCCAAAAAGUGACGCAAAGCAGAAUUGCGGAAGCAUUUCAAUUCCCAAUAAAUUUCAAGAAUACAAAAUACUCGGUCUGUUCUUUCAAUUCCUUCAAUAAAAUUUCCACUAGAGGCUACGCAAGCCACUCAAUAACACUCCAAAGCCAGAUUUUAAACGUUAUCUUUAUCUUUAACUCCAAUCCAUAAACAAUUCUGCCACAAAUUCAAUCCAAAAUUGUUCAAGUGCACCGCCAAUUCUCCAUCAAUUCCCUCAAAAAUUCAUAAUUGGCAAACACUACAAACCCAAAAGAGCUUCCAGCAAUAAACGCAUAAAAAUCCACCAAGCAACAUAAAACAAAAUACCCAGAAACCAGAAAAGCCAAAAGAUCAAUGCUUGGCAAACAAGCAAAUCAAAUAAAACAAAAAGAAGUGGAAUUUACCCUUAACGCUCAUAUCAGAAACAUUAGUGUCCAAAGAAGCCCGUACACGGAAUCUUGGACCCUUCACUUGAACCCGAGACCAUCUAACGCCAGUAACUGAAGUUGCAGGAAACAGAACUGAAGAACCCAUAUUGCAAAUCCUGAGCUGAAAUCAAAGAAAUUCAAUUGGAACUCAAUUCAGCUCAACCGAGCGGAGCUCUCUUUUGCUUCAAUAACAAAGUGUUUUUCUUUCAUAUCAACAAAGAUUUGUCAACAUCAACAAAAUUUAACUAAGAAUCUAACAAGAUGCUAAGGAAGAGAGUUUUGUCAGGGAACUGUUUCGGUGUGGUUGGCCAAGUGCUUCUUUGUUUGUUUUUUUUUUUUUCUUUUUUUGCCCUUUUCAUUAAUACACAACAGUAGUACUCGUGAAGAGCACAAAAUGUUGGUGACUUUGUCACUAACGAUACCAAAGUGGAGUGACCAGAGCAACCAACUAAAUUUUAAAGAGAGGGAAUGAUAAGUAAUAUUUUCUUUGGGUGAUUAAUUAAUUUAUUAUCAAAUAAUUUUAUUUAUUUAUUUAAACGACAUCCUUAUCUUUGUACAAGGCAGCUGAAAGAUGACGAUGUUGUGUUGUCACAUAUUUUUGGGCCGACCGUUUCUUGUUUCGGCUUAAAUGAGGCUUUUGUAAUUUUGUACUAAAAAGUGGCAUUGGCUGGAUGGCCAAACUGCAGAGUUCAAGUCUACAAUAGAGAAUCGAAAUUUACCUUUGUAAAUGUUCAUAAGUAUUUACCACAGAUUUUUAAGUUAUUCUUGAUAGAUCCCCUACCACAUACGCUAUAAUAUUUCUCUCCUUUUAAUUUAAAAGUAAAUCAUGCAUAAUAACGGGUUUGUAAAGAAAUGAAAUUUCUGUUAAUUAACUGUCAAAAAAAAAAAGAUGGAUUAAGCUAAAGAAGUUAUUAUAGAGUAAGUCGAGUACUUGACAAUCAAAGUAAUUUUACUCGAGGUUGAGUAAGGAUAGUACGAUACUUUCUCAAGUUUUCUGAGGACAUUCAUGUGACAUUGGACUAUUGACUAUAGUUAGAGAGAAGUCCAAGGAUGUAAGUGAUGAUGAUAGAUUCACAAUUCUUUUGAAGAAAAUAUUUUAUAUAAACUUAAUUAUAUGGUAUAAAAUGAUUGGCCUCAAUAAAUUAAAAAAUAAUACACGCCUGGAUCAUGCAAUAUUUUCAACCAAAUAAUUUACACGCAAAAUUAAACUUUAUGAGUACAUUUAUUUGCUAGCAGAAACUCUGCCAAAUUUUCCGAAAUGUGAAAGUGAACACUUUUAACAACGGCACAAAAUGCAUGUGAUAAGUUUUUGUUAGAAUUUGUUUUCUUCUUUGUUUUGAUUUACGCGACAGAUAGUUGUAAAGCGUAAAAUUUUAAAAUCCGCAACAAAACAAAAACUUACAUGGGUUGGCCGCACCUUUCGUGCCUGCUUUCGUCUAAUAGUAUUUGAUACGUACAUCAAUAUAAUAUCAUGGACAUUGAAUUUCAAAUUAACAGUUGGUUUUAUAAUAAAAAUCUUUAUGUUAUAUUACGUACAUCAAUAUAAUAUAAAUUUGUUAUAUAUAUUUUUUUUUCUGUAACCAAUGCUUUCAAAAACUUUAUAUUUGUAUGUUUGAACAAUUUUUUUUUGCAUUCUAUUUAUAUACGGUAUCAUUUAUGUUUACAUAAAUUUUCAUAUCUACCCAAAUUAAGUAUUAAAUACACAGACACUUUGUUAAGACUCGUGUAAUAAUUAAUCUUAAUAAUUUCUUAUACAAAUACAAUCCUUUAUCUAAGACCAGCAACGUCACUCAUCAUAAUUUUUCACCAAAUAUUGUAAAGUUGUUGUAGUAGUAUAGUUAUCAUGGACAUUGAAUUUCUAGUAUCAGACAAUGAUAUUAUAUUGAAUGUAGUGCUUCAAUGAAUUUUAUUACUAUAUACUAAAAUACUCAACGAUCUUCAUUAAAAAAAAAAAAAAUUGCAUGAUUAGAAUGAUUAAAGUUCAUUUAAUGACGAGUUUCAUCAUUGACUGUGUCGAAACACAACAGCAAUCCACAAUACACUUAACACGACAAUCAUGCAUGAAUCUUCCACCAUUAAACCUGAAAUCAUAAAAUGAAAGAAACAAGAUGAGGGUUGUUUUACCGUCUAAAAGCCGAUUCGAAAUACUAAUAAUAAUAAUAAUAAUAGACCUUUGUUAAUAGUUACUACUAGUGGUCACUGCCUUGUCCAUCUUCCUUCUCUGUAUCAUCGUCCUCUUCCAAGCCGCUGUCAUCUGACCAAACCCCAGCAACCAUCCUGGGAAAACUCGCCUCCUUGUUUUAGGAGCAGGAGCAGGAGCAGGAGGAGGAAAUUAAGUUAGGGAUUUGGAGUGAGAGUGAAGGUGGAGAAAAAGCAAGAGAGCGAAAAAGCUGAUUGUUGAGAAAUAUAUACCUUUCGUAUGGUUGUGUUAAGGUCGUCCUUCCAAUCCCAACAUGCUUCACCCAGCCGCUGCACUUUGUGUAAUUUGGGUGUACUUAAUUUUCCUGCAGAGAAAAUCUUCAUAUCGGGGCAAUCAUCCACCACUAAUCUUUCCAAAGAUAGGAAAUUGAAAGCACAAUUGCCAGAGCAGAAGCUUGUCAGACUUUUUAAGUGUAAAAGCUUCAACUCUUUCAAUUCUCUGAAAGUAAUAACCUCAUCUUUUGCUACAACAUCAUCCACCAGUACUAUUUCUGUUAAACCUGAAAUCAUAAAAUGAAAGAAACAAGAUGAGGGUUGUUUUACCGUCUAAAAGCCGAUUCGAAAUACUAAUAAUAAUAAUAAUAAUAGACCUUUGUUAAUAGUUACUACUAGUGGUCACUGCCUUGUCCAUCUUCCUUCUCUGUAUCAUCGUCCUCUUCCAAGCCGCUGUCAUCUGACCAAAAACUCGCCUACUUCUUUUAGGAGCAGGAGCAGGAGGAGGAAAUUGAGUUAGGGAUUUGGAGUGAGAGUGAAAGUGGAGAAAAAACAAGAGAGGAAAAAAGCUAAUUGUUGAGAAAUAUAUACCUUUCGUAUGGUUGUGUUAAGGUCGUCCUUCCAAUCCCAACAUGCUUCACCCCGCCGCUGCACUUUGUGUAAUUUGGGUGUACUUAAUUUUCCUUCAGAGAAAAUCUUCAUAUUGGGGCAAUUAUCCACCACUAAUCUUUCCAAAAAUGGGAACUUGAAAGCACAAUUGCCAGAGCAGAAGCUUGUCAGGUUUUUUAAGUGUAAAAGCUUCAACUCCUUCAAUUCUCUGAAAGUAAUAACCUCCUCUUGUGCUACAACAUCAUCCACCAGUACUAUUUCUGUUAUCUCAUCGCAUGAUUCUAUCUCCAUAUAUCUAAGUCGCACCAGAGUCUUUGCAAUUGAGGGUGUUAAUACGAUUUUCAAGCCUUCGCAACACGAUACCACCAGAUUUGCAAGAUUCUGAAAGGAUGUCGAGGAUGGCACUAGAUUGACCAAACGGUCACACCCCAUUACACGUAGAAUAACCAAGUUGUUCGUAACAGAGGACUCCUCUAUCAAAAUGUGUUCCAGUGGAUAUUUUGCUUCUCUUAUUUCUACCCCCAUCCCAUUUUCAACCUUCUCAUACAGCAACCAAGCACCAUAUCCUCCUAUUUGGAGGACUUUCAUCGUGUGAAGUCUCUGGAGGAAGUCAAAAAGUGAUAAAAUAGUCCGCUCAUCACCCAAUGUCACAUAAAGAUAUUUUAGUUUGCAAAGCAAGCCUUCAGAAAAUAGAUAUUUAUUUGUUACUAAGUGCUCUGCAUCAAUAUCCAACUCUUCCAAAUUAGGGAAUACCUGGGAGAUCAAUCAGAACCCCAAAAAAAAAAAAAAAAUACAAGAUGAAUCAAUUGAUGAGAAAUAUAAGUUACCACUAAUUUAUAAAAUAUAUUUUAUUCAAUAAAUCUUAACCUUAAAAAAAAUAGUAAUAAUAAUACGCCUAACAUCUAGAAUAAUUAUGAAUGAAUAAAAUUCACAGUACAUACUUAAGAAUUGAAAAUUUGAUUAUAAAAUUCUUGUACGUACCCUUUCCGUCAAGAUAUUAGUAGUUCUUUUGUAUCUCGCCAUGAAUUCAGGACAUCCAGAUAUCAUUAAUUCUUUCAAGGAUGGAAAUUCAAGAAUAUCAAGAUCUCCAGUGCAGAAGCUUGUGAACUUUUCAAGACCAGACAUCCUCAGAUAUUGCAACUGGGGAAACGUUACAAUAUUAUUCUUCAUUUCUUCUUGGUUGUCCACGACUAUUAACUCUUCCAGGACAGGACAUCCGGCUAUCUCAAUGCUUUGGAGUCGAACAAAGCUACUAACAGUAGAAGAUGAAAAUAGACAUCUUAAAUUCAUACAUCGGUGCAGGGUCAAGCGCGUUAAAUUCUGAAUACCACAAGACAUGACUGUAACUUGGAUCGGCCAAAUCCUCUCAACAUUUAUUGAAUCCAACGUCAACUUCUCUAACUCUGGUAACCGAUCCUGCUCGAUCAAAAAAUUAACUUGUUAAUUGCAAGUAAACGAUCAUUGAUUAUAAAAUUCUUGUACGUACCCUUUCUGUCAAGAUAUUAGUAGUUCUUUUGUAUCUCGCCAUGAAUUCAUGACAUGCAGAUAUCCAUAAUUCUUUCAAGGAUGGAAAUUCAAGAAUAUCAAGAUCUCCAGUGCAGAAGCUUGUGAACUUUUCAAGAUGAGACAUCUUCAGAUAUUGCAACUGGGGAAACGUUACAAUAUUAUUCUUCAUUUCUUCUUGGUUGUCCACGACUAUUAACUCUUCCAAGACAGGACAUCUGACUAUCCCAAUGCGUUGGAGUCGAACCAAGCUACUAACAGUAGCAGAUGAAAAUAGACAUCUUAAAUUCUCACAGUCCCACAAGGUCAAGUGUGUUAAAUUCUGAAUACCACAAGACAUGACUGUAACUUGGUUUUGCCAAAUCCUCUCAACAUUUAUUGAAUGCAACUCCAACUUCUCUAACUCUGGUAACCGAACCUGCUCGAUCAAAAAAUUAACUCGUUAAUUACAAGCAACAAUGAUUUCUGUUGAUGGACAAAUCAAUAAAAUUACUCUUUCUCUGGUUAUAGUUCUUUUCAGUUUUUCAUACAAACAACCGUUAAUCAAGUUUUCCAAAUUAUUCCUUACUAAAUGUAUAGAUUUAGACGGCGGCUAAUAUAAUUCAUAUUGUAAAUAUUCUUUGAUUGUAACGAAUUUUGUAAUAUUAAAUUUUGGUUGAUUCGCAAUAGGACCUACAAUCCAGCGCGAGCAGUUCUCGGGGAUUUAACUACUGGCACCUCGAUUAUAUAAAAAUUUGGAAUAUUUUCAAAGGAAAUCACAUAAUUCCCCCUUGCAAAUAGUAAUUAUCAUCAAUUGCCGCGGGUUCACAUAUAAUUCUAAGAAAUUAGGCGAGAAGAGUCUCAUCAACAAUCAAUCAGCAGAUAUCACGUUUGGCAGAUCAUCAUGAUUUCCUCAGAUGCUAGAGAAUCAACGUGAUUUCCGCUCAUGCAGGAGUGGACACAUUAUCUUAGAGCAUCCCUCACUGAGAUCUUUUAAAAAAUUUAUAUUAUAAAGUGAACAACAUAUUUAGUAUAGAUUUAGACGACGGCUAAUAUAAUUUAUAUGUAUUCUAAUGACGUAUAUUAAAGAAAAUGACUAACCAUAAUUUCAAUCAACUUAUUAUUCUAUAUAUAUAUAUAAUAUUCAGUGAUUACAACAUAUUUAGUAUUCCAUAACAUGAUGUUUAUAAUAAUAAUUAUUAUUAAUUCACUUAUUGUGUCAAGAACCUUUUCUUUCUCUAAGAAUGAAUUUGUUACACCCUACUAUACUACGGAUGAAAAAUUUAGAAUAAUUGUGAAAUAUAAUUAUUAAUCAAUCUUUGACAGAAUUGCUACCAAACAGGAAUAUAACAAAGAAAAAAAAACAAAAAUUAUAGAGAAUUAAUAAGACGAUUGACUUAUCAAUAACUGACCUUCUCAGUGAAAAGUGUAUUAGAAAUUUGGACAUUGUCCUCCAAAAUGAUUUCAUGUGACCGCAAAUCAUUAGCUGAUUCCUCCUGUCUCUGCUAACAUUGCAGGUGUAUUGAUUUUAGAGUGUAAGCUUAAUUGUGAGCACAACCUUAAUGCAUAGAUACAAGAUCUUUAAAAAUUAGUACAAUAAACUUAGCACUAAAUCUGAAUUUGAUAUUUUGGAUUCCAUGAUUAAGAUUUUUUUUAAAUGAAAAUUUAAUAGAGUUAAUUUAAAAAUAAAAAUUAAAUAUGAAAAAUUAGACUUGCAAUUAUGGAUUUAAUUUUGAUAAAUAAUGAAUGUUCUCUUAAUAUUUUUUUUUAAAAGGUAAAAGAGCGUACAAAGCCCAAAUUCAUUUUUUUAGUCCCUUACUGUCCCAUGAUUCAAACUUGGGUGGUUGUAGGAGGACUGAAAAUAUAUAAGACAGUUAACUUCACUUUUUUUUUUUUUUUUUUUUUGAGAGAAAAGAGAAGAAGGAUAUUACAAAGCAUGAAGCUCGUGCAAUAUAAGGGCAAUGAUGGUUUUUUCUUUAAAUUAAAAUGGUAAGAUUUUGAAGCUAAAAGAUUAAAAUAUUAAUUAAAUUGCAAACAUUAAAGAUUUUUUUUUUCAAAUGGUUGCUUUGAAAAUGAGAAUAAUAUUAAUAUUUGAAGACUUUUCAAAAUAAAUUACUGUGAUAGAUGCACUAGAAAUUUCUAGCUUUAGUCUAAUGUAUAAAUUGACAAAACGAUAUUAGAAUCCCAGGUGAAAAGAACCCUCUCAUACCAAUUAUUUAAAUUAGGAAUGAUCAUACCUCUGACUCUGCCGAACUGAGGGCGGGGUCUAAACCCCUCAUACGGAGACGCUUGAGAUGGGAAGAGCCCACUUUGACUAAUUCAUUACGAAUAUAAUCGACAUCUUGCUCUUGCAAUCCACGUAAUUCAAGGUCUUCAAUUCUCUGCAGUUGCACGAUCAGCGAAUCCUUCAAGCAAAUCUUGUCAUUGAGGUCGAGACUGAAUUCACGACACCAACUGCCGUUGCUCUCCUCAUCAUCUCCAAUGCGUAUGCUGUACCUUUCCAGCUUCUCCAAGAGCAGGCCUCUGGGCAGAGUGCUGACGUCAUAGACGUGUAAUUCCAAAGAGGUCAAGUUGGGCAAAUGCUUCAACUCCUCAAGGCUUGCAUUCUUAACCCCUCCCACCUCCAUCUCCCAGUAACGAAAGCUUUGAUCUAUAUAUAGUUCUUCUAAAUGUGAUAAUUUUGACAGUAUAUUUGGUGGAAUAACUUCUAGAUAGCAACAAUCCCUCAAAUCAAGCAACUUUAGCCAAGUCAAUUCACCUACUUGUACCGGCAACUUCUUAAUUGUAGAACCUCUUAAGCGAAGGAUUUCUAGUUUCUUCAAGUCUCCUACAACACUUAGAUCAGGCAAGCCGCAGUAACACAAACUCAGUGUUCGAAGGUUUGACAGGAGACCAAGUGAUGAAGGCAGUGACUGUAGAUACAUGUAAGUCAAGUUUACAACUCUGACCUCGAUCAUCCUCUCGAAAAAGUUGUUUGGAAUUGUUAAUGAUGAAGGUUCACGACCACCACCACGUAGAAAAAGAAUUUCGAGUUGAGGACAUUCCAGUACUUCAGGAAGCAAAUUAGUCUUGAUAUCAUGUAAGACGAUUGAAGUGCAAUGCUUUAUUGCACUUCCGUCUGACCAUUCCCUGCAACCAUCAACCUGCUCAUCUGUAGCAGUAAACACAUUUCGUUCAGUAGAUGCAAUUGAUAUGGCGACAUCGCGAACUACAUCAUGCAUAGAAAACAACUCUUCAUCCAAGAAGCUUUCAUGGUCAAGCAACAUACAAGAAGCUUUGAGUGUGCGCACCAAUGUAUGUACUCGAUUUCGUGCUUCUUCAAUCUUAUUCACACCUUGAAAUAAACCCAAUCCCAUACCACACAUUAACAAGUCAUCAAUAGAUGCUAUGGCUGUAUAUCCUAUUAGCAAAAAGAUGUUCUUGAGAUCAUCCCUUCCUAGUUUAUUGUAGCUCAACUCGAUAGCUUUAAAUGCGGCUGGCUGUACAUCCUUAAAAUUCGAUGAAGAAGGCCUUCUUAGCUGUUCCAAUGCAUCCUUCCAUUCACGUAUGCUCUUGCUCCUUAAUGCCCUUGCAACCGUCACAAUGGAAACUGGUAGACCUGCACAUUCCUUUGCCACAUUCCUUGCCACCUCUUCCAAUUCACUACCUUCAACAUAAUCACCUGCCAUCUUCUUGAAUAGACUCCAAGCUUCUUCUUCGUUUAAAACACCAACUGGGAAAUUUGUUCGACAAUCCAUCUUCUCAGACAAUACAUUUAGACUUCUGGCCGUCAACAAUACUUUACAACCAUCUCCAAGAGGAAUUCGGACAUUCCCCAAAUUAAGAUUUUCCCAAAUGUUGUCUAAAACUAUCAGGAUCUUCUUCACUUUUUUUAUACCUUCACAUAACCUGCCUGCCCUUCCUUCAUUACUUUCCUCAUGCAACUUCAGGCCUAAUUUAUCUGCGAUUACUCCUUGAAUCUUUCGUAUGUCUUGCUUCUGAGACACCUCCACAAAAACCACCUGAUCAAAGAGUUUGUCACUCUUGACUUUCCUAGCAACUUCUUCGGCCAGCGUCGUCUUUCCGAUUCCGCCCAUUCCAUAAAUCCCAAGCAUGUUGACAUCGCGAUCUUCUAGUGCACUGAGUAUACUCCUCAAAGUGGACAAUCUUGAUUCAAAGGGCUCGUAGUCUUUGUUAGGGAUAAGCCGAAUAUCCUCUGGAGCAGUACGGUAGGAAAUUCUAUCAAAUUUUCCAUCUCCUCGGACUUUGACAACAGCCUCCUUCUGCCUCCCUGCAUCCUUGCUAAGUUCACGGCGGGUCUUCAAAUUAGGACAUAAUCCCCCGAAACAACGCUCACUUGCAGUGGCUUUGUCUGUAACUUUCUCUGCCUCAACAAUGACAUUGUUCGCCCCUGCAAGCCAAUUCUCAACGUUCUCAUAAAUCUUUUCCCCGUUUAGUUCAGCCUCAUUAACCUGCCUCAACAAUGACUCCCUCUCAUACUUCAGAUUGUCAACUUCAGUCUUGAGAUUCUGUAAGUUGCUCGUGUACUUACUCUCACGCAAAUAGCUAAUUUCGCGAUAUGCGGGAGGAGCCAAGCACUUCACAACUUCCACAACAACAGUAAGAAUGAUUUCAGCCAUCUUCAAUCCUUUGUCCUUGUCUCUCUAUCUCUCUUUUUCUGAAGUUUUGAAAAACAAUUGACUAUUUGGGAAGCACACUGAGUGAUUGAACACAAGUGACCACAACAAGAUGGAACAAAAUAAAAAGGCAAAAAAAUACAAAGAGUGGAUGGAGAAUAAAACAGAGACAGCGGCACAGCUGGACACAACUAGAUAGAGAACAGAGGAAAACCAAAUAACAAGACUUAAGAUUACAACAAACAGAGGCCAAGUAUUGUUGAGAUCAGAAGACGGAAAAUUCAAAAGAGUUGAUGGCAGAUGCUGAAUAACAAGACAACAAUGAACGCAAUAAACAGAAGCAAAGUGUGUUUGUGAUCGACAGACGGAAGUAACGAAAGCGGUUGUUGAUUGAAAAUGAAUGAAUGCAAGGAAAGACUGAUAUUGAAAAUUGAUGUCAAUAGCGAAGGAAUAAUUGAACUUUCGCUUAAUUAUUGUUUGUGGCCUUCUUUUACUUUUUAUUUGUGGGUCAUGUCUUUUGGAACUAAUCAUCUUAGGUUAUCCCUUAUAGCUUUAAGGCCGGUAAACCGGUGUCCGUUGGAUUAGCAUAUAGAAAUCCAACGGUGGAUAUAUAUACUUGGAGAACAAAAUUCAAGAGCAAAGCGAGUGCUGGGCUGCAGUUUCUUAAGGAGAUUUAUAUGUCCUCCUCAAAAAUAAAUGUUUUAAGGUAGAUAUUUAGACUAUUUUAUCAUAAAAUAAAUGUAAUUAAUUUUCAAUAAAUAUCUUAUAUAAAUAUAUAUUUAUUUUUUUAAUUACUAAUGACCUUUAAAUAUACAUAUAUACAUAUCACUAAUUCAAAAAAUAAAUUGUGAUUAUUUGUUAAUGUAUGCGAUUACUUGUGAUGGUAAACAAAGUAGAUAUGGUAUAUUUUGAAGUUAAAUUAAAAAAAAAACAGAGCUUUUACCAUUACUUGCCUUAUCAUCUUUUAAAUUAGAAUUAUUAUUCUUUUAUUUUUCAAGUUGCCAACUCAUCCGCAUUCUUUUUUAUUGAAUUUGAAGAUCAAUGAUUAUAAAAUUGUGUAAAAAUUUUAAGUCAAAACUUUAAAUUAAAAUAAUCUUUAAAUUAUUGAGAAAUAAUAACUUAGUAUAACAAAUAUUAUAUCCUAUAAUAUGCAGAAGCUGAAGCAGCAAAUUGGGGGCUGGAAAUUGCAGAAAAUGCAGCAUGCAUCCCACUGAUUAUUGAAUCAGAUUGCCAAGACGUGGUGAAUUUAAUCACAAAAAAGAAGAGUAGCAAGGUGGAGAUUUUUUGGACUAUCUCGGAAGUUCAUGAAAGGCUGAAACGUCUGAACCAAGUCACUUGUCAACAUACCCCCAGAAGCUGUAAUAGUAUUGCUCAUACUUUAGCUGGUUUUGCUUUAAAAGUUGUGUAACCUACUAUUUGGUUGGAAACUUGCCCAACCCAUCUGCUGUACUUGUUCUCCUAGUUACACUUUCCUUUCAAAAAAAAAAAAUAUCCUAUACUUUAUUGCUACAAAAUUACGAAACCUUAUAUUAUAUUAUGUUUUCAUAUUUCUCCUUUAUAGUGAAGACCAUACUUCUUUUUUAAUAAAUGUUAAAGUAUUAACUUAAAUUUUUUAACCAACACAGUCGACCCUUAAGCUAUAUAUAUUAUAAUAUCCCUAUUCUCUCACAGAUUAAACCAAUCUGAUCUCAGAGUAAGUUGAUACCAUGAGUUUGCAUUUGCCAUCAAAGGAGCAUCAUUACUAAUUAAUAUAGAUUCGAUCAAUAGGCAUGAUAAUAAAUUUUUUUAUCUACAAACAUUAUUUUUGAAAAUAUUAUAUCUUUAAACUUAACUAAAUAUCUUUUAACCAUAUAUGUACAGUUUGUUUGAUGUCUUUUAAAUAGUGGAGAUUACAACAGAACAGAUGCGAAUUAGUAGUGACGCUUGAGUUCAGAAGAUUGAAGUUAAGAAAAUUAAGGAAAGGGUAAGGAUGUAUUUUCAAAGUGAAUUAUUGAGAGUUCAGAGAUCUUUGAAGAUUACUUCCGUCAAGAGCUGGGUCCCAUACUCUUAUGCCUUUGUCCUCCAAUCAACCAUAAGACAAAUUAUUAUUGAGUGUGAACAGACUUAUUAACCACCAAAUUUUCAAACUUGUGAUCCCUACUGAAUCUGCAUUCCCCUUUACAAAAGUAAAAAAAAAAAGGGCAAAUAACGAAACAAAAUUCUGUUCCUUGACUGCAAGUGCUGUCGGCAUUUUCAGACUUGGAAGACCCUUCUACUUGCAAGAUACCACUGAAUUUGUCUUUUUUUUUUAAUUACACUGUAUUAUCUUAUAUUUUAUAAAAAAAUUUAAUAAAUAUUAUAAAUUAUAAAUUUUUAUAUUUAAUAUUCUCAAGAUAAAUUAUCAAACAAAUGAUUCAUUUACUAUUUUUUCCUUUAAAUUUUUGUUAUUAAGAAGAUUUUUGGAUAUUGAACGUGAAGGGCUCAACUGAUCGCUAAUUUUACAGCAAUUGCCCUUUUCUUUCUCCCCAAAUUGUUUUGAAAAAUAUCCAGACUCAUUCAGCGAAGUAUCCGAGGCCAAAUGGCUAAAAGAUGGGACACCCACAUGUGCUUCUAAUUACAAAAUCUAAAGUUAGGGGACCAUAACGUACAUUUAAUAUAAUUUAUGAUAGGGGUCCGCCUAUGUUAUCACUGUACAACAGGUUUUGUCUUUUCUGACUCAAUUGCUGUAAACGUUUGCUGAGCCCCUUGUACUCGAUAUUAUUUACUAUUUAUUUAUAAGUAUUAUAAACAUUUCUGCUUACAUAUUAUAUAAAAAUUUAAUUUGUUUCCUUACACUCUUGUUCAUUUACUAUUUUUUUGUAGUAUCAAAAGAAUUUAUAUUUACAACCAUGAUAUAUUAAUUAUCAUACCACUCUAAUAUUAAUAAAAAGACAAAGACAUCCUUAAAUUAAAACAAAAAAAAAUACUUUCUUCUUUUGAGGAAUUACGGUAUCUCAUCUUCCACCACUCAUCCUCAACAAAAUUUUUAAGGAUAUAACCAUUCAUCUUCUUUAUAAUAUCAUAUCACAAUAAUUAAUACUUUCAUGACAAAAUAAAAAAUAAAUUCCCAUAGAAUACAUUCCUCUCCACUAUUAAUUUCUCUUCAUCAGUAACCUUUAUCGACAAUUAAAACCACCAUUAGACUCAUCAUAAAGAGAGAGUAAGAGAAAGGAAGAAGAAACGAGAAAAAAUAUAUGAACCUUUUAUAAUUUUAUAGUGCGUUCACUAAACGAGAAUCGAAAUGAGGUGAAAUCAAAAUGAGAAAUUAAAAUCAAAAUAAGUUAUUUACUGGAACUAUAUAAAUGGUAAUUGAAAUAAGUUGUAUGGUCAUUAAUGUGUUUAUCUCGUCUUAGAAUCAAAAUUGGAAUGAGUUAAAUUAUAAUAAAUUACUAUAAAAUCAUUAAUUAAUUUUUAUCAUAAUUAUUAUUUUAUAUUUUUAAUUAUUGUGAUUAUUAUUAUUAUUAUUCCAAAAAAUAAUUAUUAUUAAUAUUAUUGUUAAUUAUUAUUAACCAUUAAACUAAAAAGUUACUAUUAAUUAUUGUUAAUAUAUUAAUUAAUUAUAAUACUUUUUAUUGUUGUUAAUAAUAAUAACUUUAUGAUUGAGUGUGAACAGUCCGACUUAUUGAUCACCAAAUUUUUAAAUUUGUGAUCCUCAUUGAAUCUGCGUUCCCCUUUGCAAAAGUGAAAAAAAAAAAAAAAUUGCAAAUAAUGAAACAAAAUUGUCGGCAUUUUCAGACAUGUAAGACCCUUCAACUUGCUUUCGAAGAUGGAAAAUGCUACUCAGCGAGAAUGCCGAGAGAAACGGCAUACAGUUUGUCUCGGCCCCACUCCACGUGAAGACUUUCUCUUUUCACAUUUUUUACGCGUUUCUCUUUUCUCUCCCCCCACGUGAACACCUUUGCCUUUUGCUCGUUCAGGUGAAAGUUUAGAAUUUUGAUCUUAUUUCACAAAGCUAAUUUUUUUAUCACAAGCAGGAGAGAAACGGCAUUUCUUAGCAGUAGUUCAUCACUGUAGUAGCGAGCGAGUGAGGAACAAAAUUACCAACAAUUCUAAAAAAAAAAAUUAUAAAAAAUGAUCACAUGCUAUAAUUAAUCAUGACAAUUGACAACAUUACUCCCACCGAGCAAAAGUUAACUGCAUCUUCUCCCACAUUUAAAAAAAAAAUUAUAUUAUAUAACCCACCAAAGUAUAAGGAGUCUUUCCUUAUAAAAAUUAAUAAAUUACUCUUUAUAUUAAAAAAUUAAAAUUUAAAAUGAAAAUGAUUGAUCAUCAAUUAUUAUUAUUAUUAAAUAAUUAUUUUAAAUAAUAAUAAUCACAAUUAUUAUAACAAACAACAACAAUAAUUAACUAAUGUCAUUUUAAUAACUUAUAACAAUUCAUUUUUUAUUUCAAGAUAAAGUAACCAUAUCAAUAAUAAUAUAUGUCAUUUCGAUUCUAAUUUUUACAGGUAAAGUAAAUAAUUUAUUCUGAUUUUUAUUUUUUAUUUUAUUUUAUUCUAUUCUAAUUCCAUUUGAUUCUGAUUCCAACCAAUUCUAAUUACCGAUUAAAAAUUACAUUGUUACUACUUUAAUAAUAACUAAUGAUUCUCCUCACAAUUCUUAUAGGAUUAUCCUUAUUUUAAAAUAUAUUUUUUAUUCGUGUUUAUUAUAAAUUAAUUAAAUUAUAUCAAUGAAAAUUAAAUAAAAAUUUAAGUAAUAAAAAUGAAAAAAUAUAUGUUUUGGUUUGAAUAAAAAAUUAAUAAUAAAAUAUUUUUCUUAUAUAUUUUAAAUAUUUUUAUUAUAAUAAAUAUUUAUUUUAUAUUCUCAAAAUAAAUUAUUAAGUAAACGAUUCAUUAACUCAUUUUUUUUCCUUUAAAUUUUUGUUAUUAAGAAGAUUUUUGGAUAUUGGCCGUGAAGGGCUCAACUGAUCAUCGCUAAUUUCACAGCAAUUGCCUUUUCUUUUUUUCUUUUUUUUUAAUUGUUUUGAAAAAAUAUCCAGACUCAUUCUGCAAAGUACCUGAGGCCCGCCAAAGCGCCGAAAGUUAGGACACCCACAUGUGCUUUUAUUUACAAAAUCUAAAGUUAGGGGGGGUGUCCAUAACGUACAUUUAAUAUAAUUGAUGGUUGGGUAAAAGUCCAUUAAAUUUCAAUAUUCUAUUAUUUAUUUUUAUAUUAAAAAAUUAUUAAUGUAUGAAAAUUCUUAAAAGUUAACGGAGAAGGAAGAGAAAAAGAAAAAGUGAAUACAAAAGAAAAUAUAAAGAAAAAAAAUUAAACGAGACAAAAAUAUGUGGCGUGGGUCAUUCAUAUCUUUUGUCAUUUCUUUUAUAGAGGUACAUAGGGUAGAUAUUUUGAAGUGAAAAGCAAAUCCAAAGUUAAUGAAAAAGAAAAAAAGAAAAAGUAUAAAUAAACGGUAUUCGCCUCACUUUCAAACAUCUAGUUAAACAUGAAUUUCCUUUUACCAAAAGUAAAUUUCCUCUCGGAUUGUCCUCAUUACGUCAAACACGAAUGAUGACGACGCUCUGUCCGUUUCUGGCUCUUUGCUUUUCUCUCUCACAUCAUAUUUAACUGUUGGAUCUUUCUACUAUGCAGCUGGUGUAUGCAUGAUUCCUUGUGACAUGACAUACAGUCAAUUAAAUUCUGACAUGCUUGCAAUAAAGACUGUUAAAGUGACCGGUUAUUCCGGUUGAAUUCACAAGAUCUCUUGUUUGUGUGUUUAUGUUCCAAGUUGGCUCUUUGCUUUUCUCUCUCACAUCAUAUUUAAGUGUUUUGGAUGGUGGCCAUAGAUUCCAAUAUUUCCUUCAAGAAAACUACAAAAAAAUGAUCAAAGGCAUCAAUUUCUACACUCUCACCGAGCAAUACUCUUAACCCAGAAGUAAGUGUAUAAACCAACCCCAGUCAGUCCAUCAAUGUCGUCAACCUCAUACAGCAUAAAAAAAAUCUGUGUCCAUUAAACCGCCAUUUAAACCGUCUUUAUUGAGCCAUUAGACUAUUCGUGUCGUCUUCCCAUCUCGUUGUAGUAUUUUGCCGUUCAAAUCUAGUUAUCAAUUGGGGAAAAUGGGGACCAAUCUGCAAGUCUUUAAAAUAGAAAGAAACUUUAAUUGGACAAUAUAUUAUAAGUCAACAUUAUAUAAUUACUUUGAACACUUAUAUAACUCAAUCGUUCGAGGUUGAGUGAGGAUAGUACGAUACUUUCUCAAGUUUUCUGAGGACAUUCACGUGACAUUGGACUAUUGACUAUAGUCAAGAGAGAAGUCCAAGGAUGCAAGUGAUGAUGACAGAUUCACAAUUCUUUUGAAGAAAAUAUUUUAUAUAAACUUAAUUAUAUGGUAUAAAAUGAUUGGCCUUAAUAAAAUUAAAAAAAUAAUAAAAAUAAUACACGCCUGGGUCAUGCAAUAUUUUCAACCAACUAAUUUACACGCAAAAUUAAACUUUAUGAGUACAUUUAUUUGCUAGCAGAAACUCUGCCAAAUUUUCCGAAAUGUGAAAGUGAACACUUUUAACAACGGCACAUUCAAAGUUAAUGUUGAUGCUGCUGUUAAUUUUGAAAGGCAAAAGGCCGGCCUGGGGGUUGUUAUUAGAGACUCAUGCAACAAAGUUAAAGUGGCUGUUGUGAAAUCCACUCUAUUUACAGGGGAUGUAAAGACUGCAGAAGCUGAAGCUGUUGAAUGGGGGUUAGUGGUGGCAAAAAGUGCAGCUUUUCAAUGCAUAAUGGUGGAGUCAGAUUGUCAAGAAGUGAAGUUAAUUAACAACAAAGAGGGCAGUAGGACAGAGGUUAUGUGGGUGAUCUCAGAAAUUCAAAGUCUUAGCAAGGAUUUCCAGAAUUUCAACUGCUAUCACACUCCUAGAUCAUGUAAUACUCAUGCCCAUUCCUUAGCUAAGUUAGCUCUAAGGAACAAUGAAACUGUUGUAUGGCUGGAACCAAUUCCAGUGGAAGUCGAAUCUGUGUUAUCAUCUUUGCUUUGAAAUCGUUUAUUUCCUUCUCAAAAAAAAAAAAAAACAACGGCACAAAAUGCCUGUGAUAAUGAAACAAUGUACCCUUCGUGCCUGCUUUCGUCUAAUAAUAUUUGAUACGUACAUAUUCAUUUUAAAAUUGGCGAAUCGUAAUAAAAAAAUUUAUAUAUAAUAAUUGAAUGAGAUCCAUGGUUCACAAUUGCAAAUUAAAGGUUGGUUUUAUAAUAAAAAUCGUUUUGUGCAUACCAAAUUAGAAAAGAUUAUAAGUAAAUUAAGAUUUUCAAAAUUUGACUAGUAUUAUAUUACGUACAUCAAUAUAAUAUAAAUUUCUUAUAUAUAUAUUUUACUCUGUAACCAAUGCUUUCAAAAACUUUGUACUUGUAUGUUUGAACAACUUUUUUCGCUUUCUAUUUAUAUACGAUCUCAUUUAUGUUUACAUAAAUUUUCAUAUGUACCCAAAUUAAGCAUUAAAUACACACACUUUGGUAAGACACAUUUCUAGUAUCAGAAAAUGAUAUUAUAUUGAAUGUAAUGCUUCAAUGAAUUUUAUUACUAUAUACUAAAAUACUCAACGAUCUCCAUUAAAAAAAAAAAAAGCAUGAUUAGAAUGAUUAAAGAUCAUUUGAUGAGGAGUUUCAUCAUUAACUGUGUCGAAACACAGCAGCAAUCCACAAUACACUUAACACGAGAGGGGCACACAAGCAUGCAUGAAUCUUCCACCAUUAAAUCUGAAAUCAUAAAAAAAAAAGAAAUAAGAUGAGUGUUGUUUUACGGUCUGAAAGCCGAUUCCAAAUAAUAAUAAUAAUAAUAGUAAUAGUAAUAGUAAUAGACCUUUGUUAAUAAUUACUACUAGUUGUCUCUGCCUUUUGCAUCUUCCUCCUUUGUAUCAUCGUCCUCUUCCAAUCACACGGCUAGACCAGUAUGUCUCGAGAAUCUCUACUGCCUUCUCAGAGAUCCCGUUGUCGUCAUGACUUCGUAGAUUUUCAAUCUUUUCUAAUCCCUCAGCCUCCUCAACCAACUGGGCAUAUUGAUUAAAAUCUCCAACGGCGGUACCCGUAUUCAUUUCAGCUAACCCGACCUUCAAAAUGUUCUCUAAUCCUUCUAAGCAAACAGUGACGAUCAUUGGAUCAGCGCAUAGAAGCAGAUCACACAAUGGUUUUAUACACCCCUCUUUCACGAGGUACUUGAUUUGCUCAUGAGUGCCAAACUUGGUGGCAUUCGAAAUUGCCCAAGCGGCGUCCUUCUUUGUAUCAAAUUCAGCAUUUUGAAGUAGAUUGACAGUGGGACCAAUUAAGCCGGAAUCAAUUACCGCCUGAAUCUGUUCCCUGUUUCCACAUGCGAUAUUUGAAAUAGUCCUGCAUGCAUCCUUCUUAAUGCGUUUUCCAUGAUUAUGGAUCAACAGGCCCAAAAGGUAUGGCAGUGCACCACAGUUAAUUAUAUACUGAGCCUGGAAAUCAUCCCCCGUCACAAUAUUUCCAAUAGUCCGCAGGGCAGGAGUGAGCACUGAGGAUGAUGAGUGACCAAGGAGCUCAACAAGUCGUGGACAGACACCUGCCUCGAUCACAGCUUGAACAUUGUCAUUCGUACCAUCAGAAAGACAGGAGAGUGCCCAGCAGGCAUCAGUCAAGACCUCUUCAUUGUUUGAACGAAUAAGCUGUGCAAGCGCCGGAAGAGCUGGCCUUACCUGAUCAAAUGGUGGUUCUGGCUUGCCCUUGCAUAAAUUAGACAAUGUCGUUGCGGCAAUUCUCAGCAUUGAAAGCUUAGCAUGCUUAUUUAACUCUGCCAGCAAUGGAAUCAAAGCUCCUUCACUAAGCACAAGAUCACGGCAUCCAGAUGAGUCACCAGCAACAUUUCCCAAUGCCCAAACAGCCUGCUCGCGGACAUCAUCACUUGGGGAAGCAAGCAGCUUCACGAAUAUUGGAACGGCACCGUGGUCAAUCACCACCUUAAUGUUCUCUGAAUUUCCAAAAGCAAUGUUUGAAAGAGCCCAAGCAGCCUCAUACUGAAGUUGCGGAUAGUCUUCCCUCAUAAGAAACUCAACAAAGCGCUGGACAACGCCAGAUUGUAUGACUUUAUCAAUUUGUGGACUCCUCGCAAUCGAAAGCAGUUUGCUGAACUGAGUAGUUGCUUCCAGCUGUAGGCCGCUGUCAUCUGACCAAACCCCAGCAACCAUCCCGGGUAAACUCGCCUACUUAUUUUAGGAGCAGGAGCAAGAGGAGGAAAUUAAGUUAGGGAUUUGGAGUGAGAGUGAAAGUGGAGAAAAAGCAAGAGAGGGAAAAAGCUGAUUGUUGAGAAAUAUAUACCUUUCGUAUGGUUGUGUUAAGGUCGUCCUUCCAAGCCCAACAUGCUUUACCCCGCCCCUGCACUUUGUGUAAUUUGGGCGUACUUAAUUUUCCUUCAGAGAAAAUCUUCAUAUCGGGGCAAUCAUCCACCACUAAUCUUUCCAAAGAUGGGAACUUGAAAGCACAAUUGCCAGAGCAGAAGCUUGUCAGACUUUUUAAGUGUAAAAGCUUCAACUCCUUCAAUUCUCUGAAACUAAUAACCUCAUCUUUUGCUACAACAUCAUCCACCAGUACUAUUUCUGUUAUCAUAUAGCAUGAUGCUAUCUCCAUAUAUCUAAGUCGCACCAGAGUCUUUGCAAUUGAGGAUGUUAAUACGAUUUUCAAGUUGUUGCAAUGCGAUACCACCAAAUUUGUAAGAUUCUGAAAGGAUGUCGAUGAUGGCACUAGAUUGACCAAACGGUCACACCCCACUACACGUAGAAUAACCAAGUUGUUCGCAACAGAGGACUCCUCUAUCAAAAUGUGCUCCAUAGGAUAAAGCCUGUUUGCUUCUCUUAUUUCUACCCACAUCCCAUUUUCAACCUUCUCAUACACCAACGGGGCACUAUAUCCUCGUAUUUGGAGGACUUUCAUUGUGUGAAGUCUCUGGAGGAAGUCACCAAGUGAUAAAAUAGUCCGCUCAUCACCCAACGUCACAUAAAGAUAUUUUAGUUUGCAAAGCAAGCCUUCAGAAAAUAGAUAUUUAUUUGUUACUAAGUGCUCUGCAUCAAUAUUCAACUCUUCCAAAUUAGGAAAUACCUGGGAGAUCAAUCAGAACCCAAAAAAAAAAAAAAAUGCAAGAUGAAUCAAUUGAUGAGAAAUAUAAGUUACCACUAAUUUAUAAAAUAUAUUUUAUUCAAUAAAUCUUAAACUUAAAAAAAAUAGUAAUAAUAAUACGCCUAACAUCUAGAAUAAUUAUGAAUGAAUACUAUACACUAAUCUGUAAGAGAGUUACGUUGCUGACAAUUUGACUUUUAGUAAGAAACCAAGCGAUAAAGGCAAAGGCAAUAUAACUCUAAAGCUUUAUGAUAUAAACUCUCACGGUACAUACAUAAGAAUUGAAAAAUUGAUUAUAAAAUUCUUGUACGUACCCUUUCCAUCAAGAUAUUAGUAGUUCUUUUGUAUCUCGCCAUCAAUUCACGACAUCCAGAUAUCAUUAAUCCUUUCAAGGAUGGAAAUUCAAGAAUAUCAAGAUCUCCAGUGCAGAAGCUUGUGAACUUUUCAAGACCAGACAUCCUCAGAUAUUGCAACUGGGGAAACGUUACAAUAUUAUUCUUCAUUUCUUCUUGGUUGUCCACGACUAUUAACUCUUCCAAGACGGGACAUCUGACUAUCUCAAUGCGUUGGAGUCGAACCAAGCUACUAACAGUAGCAGAUGAAAAUAGACAUCUUAAAUUCUCACAGUCCCACAGGGUCAAGUGUGUUAAAUUCUGAAUACCACAAGACAUGACUGUAACUUGGUUUUGCCAAAUCCUCUCAACAUUUAUUGACACCAACUCCAACUUCUCUAACUCUAGUAACGGAACCUGCUCGAUCAAAAAAUUAACUUGUUAAUUACAAGCAACAAUCAUUUCUGUUGAUCGACAAAUCAAUAAAAUUACUCUUUCUCUGGUUAUAGUUCUUUUCAGUUUUUCAUACAAACAACCGUUAAUCAAGUUUUCCAAAUUAUUCCUUACUAAAUGUAUAGAUUUAGACGGCGGCUAAUAUAAUUCAUAUUGAAAAUAUUCUUUGAUUGUAACGAAUUUUGUAAUAUUAAAUUUUGGUUGAUUCGCAAUAGGACCUACUAUCCAGCGCGAGCAGUUCUCGGGGAUUUAACUACUGGCACCUCGAUUAUAUAAAAAUUUGGAAUAUUUUCAAAGGAAAUCACAUAAUUCCCCCUUGCAAAUUAGGCGAGAAGAGUCUCAUCAACAAUCAAUAAGCAGAUAUCACGAUGUUUAUUCAGUGAUUACAACAUAUUUAUAUAUAUAUAUAUAUAAUAUAUUCAGUGAUUACAACAUAUUUAGUAUUCCAUAACAUGAUGUUUAUAAUAAUAAUUAUUAUUAAUUCACUUAUUGUGUUAGAGUACCUUUUCUUUCUCUAAGAAUGUAUUUGUUACACCCUACUAUACAUCGGAUGAAAAAUUUAGAAUAAUUGUGAAAUAUAAUUAUUAAUCACUCUUUGCCAUAUUUGUUAUCAAACAGGAAUAUAACAAAGAAAAAAAAACAAAAAUUAUAGAGAAUUAAUAAGACGAUUGACUUAUUAAUAACUGACCUUCUCAGGGAAAAGCGUAUUAGAAAUUUGGACAUUGUCCUCCAAAAUGAUUUCAUGUGACUGCAAAUCAUUAGCUGAUUCCUCUUGUCUCUGUUGACAUUGCAGGUGUCUUGAUUUAAGAGUGUAAACUUAAUUGUGAACACAAUCUUAAUGCAUAGAUACAAGAUGUUUAAAAAUUAGUAUAAUAAACUUAGCACUAAAUCCAAAUUUGAUAUUUCGGAUUCCAUGAUUAAGAUUUUUUAAAUAAAAAUUUAAUUGAGUUAAUUUAAAAAUAAAAAUUAAAUAUGAAAAAUUAGACUUGCAAUUAUGGAUUUAAUUUUGAUAAAUAAUGAAUGUUCUCUUUAUAUUUUUUUUAAAAGGUAAAGGAGCAUACAAAGCCCAAAUUCAUUUUUUUAGUCCCUUACUCUCCCAUGAUUCAAACUUGGGUGGUUGUAGGAGGACUGAAAAUAUAUAAGACAGUUAACUUCACUUUUUUUUUUCUUUUUCUUUUUUUCAUUUUUUGUUGAGAGAAAAGAGAAGAAGGAUAUUACAAAGCAUGAAGCUCGUGCAAUAUGAGGGCAAUUAUGGUUUUUUCUUUAAAUUAAAAUGGUAAGAUUCUGAAGCUAAAAGAUUAAAAUAUUAAUUAAAUUGCAAACAUUAAAGAUUUUUUUUCCAAAAUUGGUUGCUUUGAAAAUGAGAAUAAUAUAAUAUUUGAAGACUUUUCAAAAUUAAUUACUGUGAUGCACUAGAAAUUUCUAGCUUUAGUCUAAUGUAUAAAUUGACAAAACGAUAUUAGAAUCCCAGGUGAAAAGAACCCUCUCACACCAAUUAUUUAAAUUAGGAAUGAUCAUACCUCUGACUCUGGCGAACUGAGGGCGAGGCGUGAACCCCUCAUCUCGAGACGCUUGAGAUGGGAAGAGCCCACUUUGACUAAUUCAUUACGAAAAUAAUCGACAUCUUGCUCUUGCAAUCCACAUAAGCGAAGGAAUUCAAUUCUCUGCAGUUGCACGAUCAGCGAAUCCUUCAAGCGAAUCUUGUCAUAUAGCUCGACUCUGAAUUCACGACACCAAAAGUUGGUUCUCUCCCGAAACCAACCUCCAUGUCCAAUGCUUAUUCUGUACCUUUCCAGCUUCUCCAAGAUCAGGCCUCUGGGCAGAGUGCUGACGUCACGGAUGUCUAAUUCCAAAGAGGUCAAGUUGGGCAAAUGCUUCAACUCCUCAAGGCUUGCAUUCUUAACCCCUUCCACCUCCACCUCCCACUCCCAUUCAUCAAAGCUAUUACCACCUAUAUAUAGUUCUUCUAAAUGGGAUAAUUUUGACAGUAUAUUUGGCGGAAUAACUUUUAGGUUCCAACAUUCUCUCAAAUCAAGCAACUUUAGCCAAGUCAAUUCACCUACUUCUACCGGCAACUUCUUAAUUUUAGAACCUCUUAAGCAAAGGAUUUCUAGUUUCUUCAAGUCUCCUACAACACUUAGAUCACGCAAGUUGCAGCGACACAAACUCAGUGUUCGAAGGUUUGACAGGAGACCAAGUGAUGAAGGCAGUGACCGUAGAAACAUGCCAGUCAAGUUUACAACUCUGACCUCGAUCAUCCUCUCGAAAAAGUUGUUUGGCAUUGUUAAUGAUGAAGAUUCACGACGAUCAGCACGUAUAAAAAGAAGUUCGAGUUGAGGACAUUCCAGUACUUCAGGAAGCAAAUUAGUCUUGAUACCAUGUAAGACGAUUGAAGUGCAAUGCUUUAUUGCACUUCCGUCUGACCAUUCCCUGCAACCAUCAACCUGCUCAUUUGUAGCAGUAAACACAUUUCGUUCAGUAGAUGCAAUUGAUACGGCGACAUCGCGAACUACAUCAUGCAUAGAAAACAACUCUUUCUUCUGGCUUAUAUGGUCAAGCAACAAACAAGAAUCUUUGAGCUGGUGCACCAAUGUAUGUACUCGAUUUCGUGCUGCUUCCAUCUUAUUCACACCUUGAAAUAAAGUCAAUCCCAUACCAAACAUUAACAGUUCGUCAAUAGAUGCUAUGGCUGUAUAUCCUAUUAGCAAAAAGAUGUUCUUCAGCUCCUCCCCUACCAAUUUGUCGUAACUCCACUUUAUGGCUUCAUAUGCAUCUGGCUGUACAUCCUUAAAAUUCGAUGAAGAAGGCCUUCCUAGUUUUUCCAAUGCAUCCUUCCAUUCCUGUAUGCUCUUGUUCCUUAAUGCCCUUGCAACCGUCACAAUGGAAAGUGGUAGACCUGCACAUCCCUUUGCCACACCCCUUGCUACCGAUUGGAAUUCACUGCCUUCAAUAUAAUCACCUGCCAUCUUCUUGAAUAGAUUCCAAGCUUCUUCUUCGUUUAAAACACCAAUUGAGAAAUUUGGUCGAGAAUCCAUCUUCCUAGACAAUACAUCUAGACUUCUGGCCGUCAGCAAUACUUUACAACCUUUAUGACCAUCUCCAUGAGGAAUUCCGACAACCCGCAAAUCAAGAUUUUCCCAAAUGUUGUCUAAAAUUAUCAGGAUCUUCUUCUCUGCUUCUAUACGUUUAAAUAAGCUGUUUGCCCUUCCUGAUUCACUUUCCUCAUGAAACUUCAGGCCUAAUUUAUCUGCUAUUUCUCCUUGAAUCUCUCGUAUGUUUUUAUUAUGGGAUACCUCAACAAGAACCACUUGAUAAAAGAGUUCACUCUUGACUUUCCUAGCAACUUCUUCCGCCAGGUUCGUCUUUCCGAUUCCGCCCAUUCCAUAAAUCCCAAGCAUGUUGACAUUGGGAUUUUUUAAUGCAUCCAUUAUUUCAUUCAGAAUGGGCGUUCUUGAUAGAAAGGCCUCGUAGUCUUUGUUAGGGAUAAGCCGAAUAUCCUUUGGAGCAGUACGGUAGGAAAUUCUAUCAAAUCUUCGAUCUCCUCGGACUUUGACAACAGCCUCCUUCUGCCUCUCUGCUUCCUUGCUAAGUCGACGGCGGGUCUUCAAAUUAGGACAUAAUCCCCCGAAACAACGCUUACUUGCAGCGGCUUCAUCUUCUGUAAAUUUAUCUGCCUCUUCAAUGACUUUGUUGGCCCCUUCAAGCCAAUUCCUAACGUUCUCUUCACUUUCUUCCCCGUUUCGUUCAGCCUCAUCAACCUGCCUCAACAAUGACUCCCUCUCAGACUUCAGAUCGUCAACUUCUGCCUUGAGAUUCUGUAAGUUGGUCGUGUACUUACUCUCACGCAAAUAGCUAAUUUUGCGAUAUGCGGGAGGAGCCAAGCACUUCACAACUUCUACAACAAUAGUAAGAAUGAUUUCAGCCAUCUUCAGUCCUUUGUCCCUGUCUCUCUAUCUCUCUUUUUCUGAAUUUUUGAAAAACAAUUGACUAUUUAGGAAGCACACUGAGUGAUUGAACACAAGUGACCACAACAAGAUAGAGAACAGAGGAAAAAAAUAGAAAGAGUGGAUGGAGAAUAAAACCGAGACAGCGGCACAGCUGGACACAACUAGAUAGAGAACAGAGGAAAACCAAAUAACAAGACUUAAGAUUACAACAAACAGAGGCCAAGUAUUAUUGUUGAGAUCAGAAGGUGGAAAAUUCAAAAGAGUUGAUGGCAGAUGCUGAAUAACAAAACAACAAUAAACGCAAUAAACAGAAGCAAAGUGUGUUUGUGAUCGACAGACGGAAGUAAGGAAAGCGGUUGUUGAUUGAAAAUGAAUGAAUGCAACGAAAGACUGAUGUUAAAAACUGAUGUCAAUAGCGAAGGAAUAAUUGAACUUUCGCUGAAUUAUUGUUUGUGGCCUUCUUUUACUUUUUAUUUGUGGGCCAUGUCUUUUGGAACUAAUCAUCUUAGCCUAUGCCUUAUAGCUUGAAGGCCGGUAACCGGUGUCCGUUGGAUUAGCAUAUAGAAAUCCAACGGUGGAUAUAUAUACUUGGAGAAUAAAAUUCAAGAGCAAAGGGAGUGCUGGGCUGCAGUUUCUUAAGGAGAUUUAUAUAUCCUCCUCAAAAAUAAAUGUUUUAAGGUAGAUAUUUAGACUAUUUCAUCAUAAAAUAAAUGUAAUUAAUUUUCAAUAAAUAUCUUAUAUAAAUAUUUAUUUAUUUUUUUAAUUACUAAUGACCUUUGAAUAUACAUAUAUACAUAUCACUAAUUCAAAAAAUAAAUUGUGAUUAUUUGUUAAUGUAUGCGAUUACUUGUGAUGGUAAACAAAGUAGAUAUGGUAUAUUUUGAAGUUAAAUUAAAAAAAAAAAAAACAGAGCUUUUACCAUUACUUGCCUUAUCAUCUUUUAAAUUAGAAUUAUUAUUCUUUUAUUUUUCAAGUUGCCAACUCAUCUGCAUUCUCUUUUAUUGAAUUUGAAGAUCAAUGAUUAUAAAUUUGUGUGAAAAUUUUAAGUCAAAACUUUAAAUUAAAAUAAUCUUUAAGUUAUUGGGAAAUAAUAACUUAGUAUAACAAAUAUUAUAUCCUAUACUUUAUUGCUACAAAAUUACGAAACCUUAUAUUAUAUUAUGUUUCCAUAUUUCUCCUUUAUAGUGAAGACUCAUACUUCUUCUCUAAUAAAUGCUAAAGUAUUGGCUUAAAUUUUUUAACCAGCACAGUAGACCCUUAAGCUAUAUAUACUAUAAUGUCCUUCUUUUCUCACAUAUUAAACCAAUCGGAUCUCAGAGUGAGUUGAUACCAUGACUUUGCAUCAUUCGUGAUCGGGUAAAAGCUCAUUUAGUCCCUGUAUUUUAAGAUUAGUGUCCGUUUAGUCCCUAUAUUUUUAAAAAUACCCUGAAACAUCCAUGUCGUUAAAGUAUUGAUACCCCUACCGUUACUUUUUAUUUCUUUUGGCUUACUUUUACAAUAUUACCCUUUUAUAAUAAUUUUUUUGUUUGGACAUUAAAAAAAAAUAAUUAAAUUAUCAAUUUAACCCUAUAAAAUAAAAUAAAAAUUAUAUUAAGUUUUUUGCAAGCACCAUUUGCUCACUUGUUAGUUUGCAUACAAUUUUUGAUAAUUAAAAAUUAAUAUAAUUUUUUUAGGGUUAAAUUGGUAAUUUAAUUAUUUUCUUUUUAUUAAUGUCCAAACAAAAAAAAUUAUUAUAAAAGGGUAAUAUUGUAAAAGUAAGCCAAAAGAAAUAAAAAGUAACAAUUUAAUUUUUGACAAUUAAAAAUUAAUAUAAUUUUUUAUUUUUUAGGGUUAAAUUGGUAAUUUAAUUAUUUUCUUUUUAUUAAUGUCCAAACAAAAAAAUAUUAUAAAAGGAUAAUAUUGUAAAAGUAAGCCAAAAGAAAUAAAAAGUAAUGGUAGGGGUAUCAAUACUUUAACGGCAGGGAUGUUUCAAGGUAUUUUUUAAAAUAUAAGAACUAAAUGGAUAUUAAUCUUAAAAUACAGGGACUACGUGGGCUUUUACCCUUCGUGAUCAAAGGAGCAUCAUUACUAACUCAUAUAGGCUCAAUCAAUAGGCCUGAUAAUAAUUUUUUUUUUAUCUACAAACACUAUUUUUCAAAAUAUUAUAUCUUAAGACUUAACUAAAUAUUUUUUAACUAUGUAGAUAUAGUUUGUUUGAUCUCUUUUAAAUAGUGGAGAUUACAAACAAACAUAUGUGAAUUAGUAGUAUGUUGAGUUCAGAAGAUUGAAGUAAAGAAAAUUAAGGGUUUCUUGAUCUAGGGAAAUUUCAAAAGAGUGAAGCGUCCUCGAAAUCGGAAGACGAAAAUAAGGAAAGGCUAAGGGUGUAUUUUCAAAGUGAUUCUAUUAGGAGAUCUUUGAAGUAGGAGUGGGCAAUCGGGUUUCGGUUUAGGUUUCAACCCAAUCGGAUUGGAGAAUUGAACCCAAUCGGGUUGAAAACACCAACCCCAACCGAACCGAACCAAAUUUAAUUCGGUUUGGUUCAGUUCGGGUUCAUAAUUCGGAUCGGACUGGGUAGUAAUUCAGGUUAAAAUUUCGGUUCGGGUUAAUUCGGAUUAGAAUAAUUCAAUCUAAAAUUUUGGGUUAGUUCGGUUUAAAACGGGUUGGAACAAUUUAAUCCAAAAAUUCUACCAACAACCACUUAAAAUCUAAAAAUCUAAAUUCCAAACAUCCUUAACAACAAAUAUCAACUACAAACCAUCUUUAACAACAUUUCAACAAUAACAAUAACAAUAAUAACAACAACAAUAAUAAUAAUAACAACUAUGAAUCAACAAUUCAGCAUAUUGCCAUAUUCUAAAUUAAAAAAACACAAAUUAAUUAAUUAAUUAAUUAACAAUCUCCAAUUUAAUUUAUAAUAACAGCAAAAACCCACUCCAAUUUAAUUAAUAACAGUCUCAAAUUGUUCAAUUAUCAGUCAACAGCAACAAACCCACUCCAAUUUAAUUAUAACAAUCUCCAAUUGUUCAAUUAUCAGUCAACAGUAACAAACCCUCUCCAAUUUGUCACGAACAACCUCUAAUUGUUCAAUUAUCAAUCAACAACAACAAACCCACUCCAAAUAAUUGAACAAUUAUUAAUUAAUUAAUUUAAAAUAUCCAAUUUAAUUAAUAACAACACCCAAGAGCAAGUUAGCAAUAAACCCACUACAAAAUCCAAAUAUAAGUAUAAACUAAGUGUCAAAUCGUGACCGUGUGGGGCUGAGUGAGACCGUCGACCGAGGGUGUGAGAAAGGAGAAGAGGGAGCAGGGAGGUAACGUGGUGUGUGUGAGUUUAUAUAUAUAUAUAUAAUUUUUAAAAGUUAAAACAAAAAAAAAAAUUUAACCCAAUCCAAACGCCCACCUCAUAUUACUUCCCUGUUUUUUUUUUUUUUUGAUUACAUGAGACUAUUGCUCAGAUUACAACUUGUUGAUGCGAGAUUCUGGUUCUCCUCAUUCUACGACCAGGAUCUCUACUCGAUCAACUUCACCACGACCAGGAAGUCUGCUCGUAAGGCUCCUUCUCCAGAGGUUCCUGCGCACACAGACAAGUCAGAGUACGCCGGUUGUUUUCCCGGCGCAAACCCUCCGACGCUCAAGUCAGAUAUCCAGGUUUGGGGAACACUUGCCACAAAUCUUAUGGCCUUUAGGUCCGUUCUCUCCCUCUAGAAUUUCUUUAGUCUCUCUUUUAUCUCAAAAAAUUGCCAACCCCUUUACCUUCGUUCGCUACCUUUUUGUAGGCUGCCUCUGAAUCCCAGUUUUCCGCUUUUUGCCAGACGGUAUGGGACUCUGACUGCUGCGUUAUGGGCAAAGGUGGGAUCUUGCGUGUUACGCCACGGUUCUGGGGAAAGCGUGGCUGUCGUGAUUCUGUGAGAUCUUGCAUGUUACGUCAUGGGUCUGGGGAAAGCGUGGCUGUCGCGCCUAGAUUCUCGAGCUGGAGAGCAUGUCUUGCCAACUGUCGUCGGCCGGGUCUCCUCACCACUCGGCCUCUAGCCGAAAUGACCUUAUGCCUCUCACAGGAAGUUGGCCUCGCGGAUGACGUGCUCGUGGACGAACAGGAUAUUUCUGCUCCUGUUCCCCCGCGCACCAGGCUUUUACGGAACACACCGGUCCGCAGAACUCUGCCAUCAGAUACCUGCUCACCAUGCCUGGUCUCGUCGACGUAUUUCUCCCAAACACCGGUCCCCCAGUUUCUGGUGUUGGGUAAUGUAGUGGACCAGCAGUAGAAACUCGACAGUACUCGCUCGCGUGGGAUGGGAAAAGGCUGCCAAGAGUCAUGUCGCAUUUAAUUGCGGACGAGGUGACGUGACAGAAAUCCCCCCCUCCAUUUGAAUUUCAAACCGACGGUUAUGAGACUCUCGGGAUUCGGCGCUGUUAAAUGCUGGCAACCCAAGAAUCCGUCCUCAUUAGGAAAACCAAAUCUUCUCGAACGGCAUAUUCAUUAUUCACUCCGUCUCCGUCUCUCCGGCAAAGCAGUUCCGGCAUAAAAGCCUCCAUCUCUGACUUUCACCGACUGAACCAUUACUUCAGGUAUUUCUUCUAUCUCCUUGGUCUCGGAUAGUUGUAGAUAAUUUCUCUUCUCUUCUGUUUGGGUAGUAGUUGGUGGUGUUGUGGUUAGAACUUAGGGAAUGUCGAAAGGCAAAGAGAAGGUCGUUGAGGUUGACGACGAUGAGUUGGACUUCCUGCCUAGUCUGCUCACCGAUCCUGCUUUUGACCCCGGGAUCCCCUUAGAGCCCACUAGAUCCAGUGUUGGUACUAGCGCUAGGAGGAUGUCUCCCCAAACGACCUCCUCGAGCGAAAAAAACGAUGAGGAGGGGUCUUCUGGAUCGGAGAACACCCUGAGUGAGGGUCGAGGAGAUGAUUCUGGUGAGGCGUCUCCAUCAGGAGCGCCGCGACCCGAAGUGAGGAGUACGAUAGGAGGUAGAGCCCUAUCGCAGGAUUACGCUAUCGAUUAUAUGACGUGCACGACCACGUUUAAUGAGCUCGACGACCUCCGGCUGAGGUAUAGCAUUCCUGGUGAAAUACUUCUCAAGGUCCCAGGAAAGAAGGAUUCUCCUAGCCGACCUCCUAGGGGAUAUGUUACCCUGUAUCUGGAUAGCUUUAAGUACGGGCUGAGGUGUCCCUUGCAACCUUACUUUGCCCGGAUACUUAGCGGGUUGAAUCUAUCUCCUGGUCAGUUGAACCCAAACGGUUGGAGAGUGCUCUCUGGUCUGUUCAUACUGUGGGACAGAUGCUGCCAAAGCGAGCCCACGGUCGACGAGGUGAUGCACCUGUACCAGCUGAAAAGCAGCCCAAAAGACGCCGGCUGGUAUUACUUCCAAUCAAGUACCAAGACCAGGAAACCCAUAACCGAUCUCCCUACUGGUGGUGGUGGGAAUUGGAAGAGGAAGUUCUUCUUCGCAGGGGGUCCCUGGGGUCAGGUUGCACAGGUUGAUGGGAAGGAUUAUCGGGUCUCACCCCGUUUCACGGUCCCAGGUUGCCUGCUCGCUUCAGAUGUCUUGUAUCCAUAAUUGUUCUUGUUUUAUUGGUUUGUCUCUAACCCAGUGUCUGUUUGUGUUGUAGUUUCUUGGGGUGUCCACUUCUCACUCAAACCGGGACAGCUCAAACGGGUCGAGGCUGUGCUAGUCAAUUCCUGCUCGAGCCGAGAGCUGUUAACCACAUAUAACUUGCUCGAGUCUCGCCUGAUACUUCCCGGCCAUAGGAUGGAGGACGCUGUGAUUGGGGCUCUGACCCGAAAACGUUCUCGACCUCCGACCACGAAGAGGGACCAGAGUAAGGAUGCCCCUACUGCAAAGCGGGCCAACAUCGUGCAGCAGGUCCCACCCUUGAAGAUUUUACCUCCCGCUCCUGUAAAAGUCGGGGAAGCCAGUGGAGCAGCCACAGAUCCUGCUUCCUCUUCGCCUCCUGUCGGGCCUCGACCUCGCUUACCUGACAGCCGAGCGGAACACCUGGUCCCCUACCUCAAUGAGUUAUCUAAACUCGUGAGCAAGAAGGACCUGGAGGACUUUGACGGCUGCACCCUGGGUGAGCUGGUGGGGGCCAUGCAGCAUAGCGCUUUCCACCUCAGCUGCAUGACCACCUAUUACAAGGCUAAGGUCGGCCGUUACGACCGGAAGAUGAAGGAGGAUAUUCAAUCGGCGACGACCAGAGCUGACGUUGCCGAGAAGAAAGCAGGGGAGCUGAAUCUCGAGAACCUGAAGCUGGUAGAGCAAGAAUCACUUGCUCAAGCAAAAGCCAUUACCCUUGAAGAGGAGCUUACCAAGGUCAAGGAGGAUCUGCAAAGGCAGAAGGCUAUGUAUGAGGCUCAGCUCGAAUCUCUCCGCGACUCCCACCGAGCCCAGGUCGAGAACUUGGAGGGGGAGGCCGACAACCAGUACGACCAGGGACUUCGGCAUUCCUACCGUUGCAUCAUGGCCGUCCUCGGGAAGCAGCACCCGGAUCUGAAGAUGGAUGACCUUGCAGCUGGUGUUGCUCAACAUAUGGACGAGGAGGCGGCCAAGGAAGGUGCUGAAGAGGUAGAGCCGAUCGUGAUUGAGGAGGAUAACUCUCCUCCUCAUGCAGCCCCUGCUGACGGGGGCGAGGCGAGCACCCCCCCGGACGCAACCGGUGAUACCCCCCUGCACCUGAGGAGGUCCAGCCAACCGAUGCUGCUCGGCUCGCUGAUCCACCAUCUUUUUGACAUAUUUCUUUUGUAUUGUAAUGAACAACGUUAAUGAAAUUUAUCUCCUCUGUUAGCCAUUAACACAUUAAUAAAAAUGUUGUUGAUUACUUUCUUAUGUUGUUAUCAUAGUUAUUUUUCGUCUGAAACUCUGCUCGCCUUUGUCUGAUCGAGCAGGAUCUGGCUCGGCGUAUGGUUUUGCCAUACAUCUUAGAAAAUAUUCCGACGCCUGGGAUUCUGCUCGCCUUCGCGUGGUCGGGUAGAUCCUGGCGAGUUUGGCUUCUAGUUUUGCCAUAUACAGGCUUUGAAUGCUUUGGAGUCUGCUCGCCUUCACGUGGUCGAGCAGAUCCUGGCACGCUUGGCUUCUGUUUCACCAUAAAACAGGUUUUGAAACUUGACGAGCCUUUGUAUGCCUUAGAAAAUAUUCGGAUGCUCGGGGAUUCUGCUGCCUUCUCUUGGCCGAGCAGAUCCUGGCAUGCUCGGCUUCUGUCUCGCCAUAAAUAGGAUUUGAGACUUUGUCGAGCCUUUGUAUGCCUUGGAUUUUUCAAGGCUUGGGAUUCUGCUGCCUUCUCGUGGCCGAGCAGAUCCUGGCAUGCUUGGCUUCUGUCUCGCCAUAAGACAGGCUUUGAGACUUUGUCGAGCCUUUGCAUGCCUUAGAUUCUUCAAGGCUUGGGAUUCUGCUGCCUUCUCGUGGCCGAGCAGAUCCUGGCAUGCUGGGCUCCUGUCUCGCCAUAAGACAGGCUUUGAGACUUUGUCGAGCCUUUGCAUGCCUUAGAUUCUUCAAGGCUUGGGAUUCUGCUGCCUUCUCGUGGCCGAGCAGAUCCUGGCAUGCUGGGCUCCUGUCUCGCCAUAAGACAGGCUUUGAGACUUUGUCGAGCCUUUGCAUGCCUUAGAUUUUUCGGUUUCACGCGAAUGAAAUUCCUCGACGUUCCAUUAAUGACAGUGUUCGACUUACAUAAAAUUGCUUGGACAUAAAGCGUGCAAGAUAAACGAUAAUGAAUGUGAGCAAAAGUAACUUUCAAAUGUGAACAAGUAUUACUGGAAGUAUUUUUGGAGGUGUGCUGCGUUCCAUGGGCGUUUCACCUCGUGGCCGUCCGUGCGAACCAGCUGGUAAGCUCCGGGUCCCGCUAUCUGCUUGACUCUAUAUGGCCCUUCCCAAUUCGGUCCCAGCACUCCUUGAGUCGAAUCUUUGGUGCUCUGAUUCACUCUUCUCAGUACCCAGUCCCCGACCCUGAAUUGCCGUAUGUUCACCUUCUGGUUAUAAUGCCGAGCAACCCUCUGUUGGUAAAUGACUGAUCGCUCGGCUGCUUGCUCCCUCCUUUCCGUUAGCAGAUCAAGAUUCAAACAUAUCUGCUCGUCGUUCUCCUGCUCAUUGAAAUGAUCUGUCCGGUGUGUGGUCGUUCCUAUCUCAGCCGGCACGACCGCUUCAUGUCCGAAAGCCAAAGCGAACGGUGUCUCCCCAGUUGCGGUUUUGUGGGUUGUUCUGUACGCCCAUAGCACACCUGACAGCUCGUCAACCCAAGCACCUUUUUUUGCUCCAAGCCUGGUUUUCAAAAGCCUCUUGAUGGUCUUGUUGGCUGCUUCUACUUGUCCAUUCGAUUGAGGGUGAGCAGGCGAGCAAUACUUCAGCUGUAUCCCGAGGUUCUGGCAGAAAUCCCUGAAGCUGUGAUUAUCGAACUGCCUGCCAUUAUCCGUUACCAAGGCAUAAGGGAUCCCGUAUCGACAGACCAGGUUUCUCCACACGAAGUCUGUUGUUUUCUUCUCUGUGAUCCUGCUAAGGGCUUCUACCUCUAUCCACUUCGUGAAGUAAUCUAUAGCAACUAUUGCAUGUGUUGCUGCUCCUCGUCCCUUUGGCAAUGGGCCGAUCAGAUCAAUUCCCCAUUGAGCGAAUGGCCAAGGGGAGGCCAUAGAGGUGAGCUUCUCUGGUGGUUGGUUAGAGAAAUUUGCAAAACUCUGGCAGCUUACACAACUCCUGGUCUUCUCUUGCGCAUCCCGGUGCAUUGUCGGCCAGAAAUAUCCCUGCCUUAGAACCUUGUGGGCCAGGGACCUCCCGCCAGAAUGAUUUCCGCAAAUUCCUUCAUGUACUUCUCUCAGUACGUAAUCCGCGUCGUCCUCAUCCAAACACCGAAGGAACGGUAGUGUGUAUCCUCGCCGAUACAGUACCCCAUCAAUCAUCGUGUAUCUCGAGGCCUGGGCUCUGAUCUUCCGAGCUCGCAGCUUAUCUGAUGGUAAUACCCCGUCUCUAAGGAAUGAAACUAUCGGGUCCCUCCACGAGCAUUUUUGUUCUAUCCGCAACACCCCCCAAUUCUGCUCGAUACUUGGACUGGACUUCACCUCGAGAGGGACCGACUUUGGCAUUUUUGGGUCGGCUACUGCUGCCAUCCUAGCCAAAAUGUCUGCUCGACUAUUCUGCUCCCUAGGGAUUUGUAUCACCUCCACUGCUUCGAAUUUCCCCAUCAUCUGCUUGACUAUCUUCAGGUACUGCUCCAUCUUCUCCUCUCUUGGUUGGAAUCUUUCAUUGACAUGAUUCGCAACCAGCUGGGAAUCAGUUCUGAUCUUAACUCUGUCUGCUUUCACGGCCUUAGCCAAUUCCAGACCUGCUAUCAAGGCUUCAUACUCUGCCUGGUUAUUUGUGGCUGUAAAUUCCAACUUUACAGCAUAAGAGAUCUCCUCCCCCUCUGGGCCUCCCAAGACAAUCCCUGCUCCUGAACCUCGCUCCCCUGACGACCCAUCCACAGACAUCUGCCAUACUUGAGUUUCAUCACUGCCUAUAACUGCAUCUUGUUGAUCUAAGCAUACUUCGGGUUCUGUGAAUUCAGCUACGAAAUCGGCCAUUGCCUGGGCCUUUAUCGCUGCGCGGGGUUUAUAGUCUAUGUCGAACUCGCUCAGCUCUACAGCCCACUUGACGAGCCGACCAGAAGCAUCUGGCUUGUGCAGAGUUUGACGCAAUGGCUGGUUUGUUAUUACCGUGACCGGGAAUGCUUGAAAAUAUGGCCUCAACUUCCGAGCGGCAACCACAAGGGCGAGUGCCCAUUUCUCCAGCGGUGGGUAUCUGGUCUCAGCGUCGAGGAGGGCCUUGCUGGUGUAGUAUAUCAGAUACUGCACUCCUUCUUCCUCUCUCACCAAAAUAGAACUGGCGGCCCGAUCCGAUACCGCCAAAUACAGAUAUAACUUGUCCCCAUCCCUCGGUGUGGACAGCAGCGGAGCUUGCUGCAAGUAUUGUUUCAAGUUCUGGAAGGCUUCCUCGCAUUCUGGGGUCCAUUCUGUUUUCUUUCCCCUCCUUAUCACUUGAAAGAAUGGCUGACACUUAUCUGUAGCCUUGGAUAUGAAUCUGCUCAACGCCGCCAACCUCCCCGUGAGGCUCUGCAUCUCCUUCAGGUUACGAGGAGACGUCAUCUGCACAAUCGCCUGGAUUUUCUCGGGAUUUGCUUCAAUCCCCCUAUGGCUCACCAUGAAUCCAAGGAAUUUCCCUGACUCGACCCCAAAAGCACACUUCUCCGGGUUGAGCUUCAUCUUAUACUUCCUCAAAAGCUCGAAUGUCUCCUCGAGGUGUCUGACAUGUUCCUUCGGGAUUUUGGACUUGGUGAUCAUGUCAUCCACGUACACCUCCAUGGUUCUCCCAAUCAAUGGCUUAAAGACUUUGUCCACCAGCCUUUGAUAGGUGGCCCCGGCAUUUUUGAGACCGAAUGGCAUUACCCUGUAACAGAACAGACCUUGGUUAGUGAUGAAAGCCGUGCUCUCCUCAUCCUGCUCGUGCAUGGGGAUCUGGUUGUAUCCCGAGAACGCGUCCAUGAAGCUAAGCAGGCCAUGCCCAGCCGUUGAAUCUACUAGCUGAUCGAUCUUUGGCAAAGGGAAGCUGUCUUUCGGGCAUGCCUUAUUGAGGUCUGUGAAAUCCACACACAUCCUCCACUUGCCGUUUGCCUUCUUUACCAACACCACAUUCGAUAUCCACUCAGGGUAACUGACUUCCCGAAUGAACCCUGCUCUCAGGAGCUUCUCCACCUCGCCAUUUAUAGCCUCAUACCUCUCCUGGUUGAAGCACCUCCUCUUCUGCCUUACUGCCCGAGCACCUUUCUUUAUUGCCAGCUUAUGACAUGCUACCUCAGGGUCAAUCCCUGGCAUGUCUUCAUGUGUCCAAGCAAACACAUCAGCAUGAGCCUGUAAGCAUUUCACCAACUCCUGCUUUUGCUCCCCCUUAAGUUUCGACCCGAUUCUGAUCGUCUUUCCCGGGUUCUCUGGUCCCAGGCUCACUGUUUCCAGAUCCUCUACAGGUUCUUGCCUGCCAUUCUUGUUUUCCACUCGGGUAUCGAGGGAUGUUAUCUGCAUUGCUUCCCUUGCUGCCGAGGAGUAGCAGCUUCUUGCGAUCCUCUGGUCUCCUCGUACCACUCCUACUACCCCAUUCACCCGGUACUUCAGAGCCAGAUAAUGGUUGGACAACACCGCUUUGCUCAUCCUUAAAAAUGGCCGACCUAGGAUCAUCUGGUAAGGACCUUCCUCAUCCACCACGACAAAGUCCAGUAUCAUUGUCCUUUCUGUCGGGGAACUCCCAAUUGUGAUAGGCAGUUCGACCACGCCCAGAGGGACCAGCUUCCCUCCUCCGAACCCCUUCAAGGAGGUAUUGGUGUAUUCCAACUUCCGGUCGGCUAUUCCCAUCUCUUCCAGGGUUGACUUAAAUAACACAUCAACUGAGCUCCCUGUGUCAAUCAGUAUCCGGUCAAACUUCUUGCUAGCGACGGUAGCCUUGAUGACUAAAGCAUCCUCGUGGGGGUAUAGAAUCCCUUCCUCAUCCUCAUCCGUCCAUAUGAUUGGCACUUGCCUGACCCUUGCUCGUUUGGCUGCUGGGGUGUUGAAGAGUACCUCUUUACUGGUCAUGGCGUACCUAGCAUAAUUUUUCCUCGAUCUGUUGGAAUCUCCGGCCAAUGUUGGGCCCCCAGCUAUCACCCUUACUGCGGGCUGCUCGCGCCUCAAGUUUCUAUCGCUCUGCUCCCCUUCACCUGUUGUGGCCACCAUCGGGAAAGUCCCAUCCACAAACUCGUCCAGGUACCGAUUUCUCACCAGAUCUUCGACCUGGGUCUUGAGAUCUCUACACUCUGCUGUGGUAUGGCCAUGGGUGUCGUGGAACUUACAAUAACGUCAUCUAUCCCUCCUGUUGGGUAGCUUUGUUAUUGGUGUAGGGAGGUGCAGCAGCCCUCGAUCCUUUAUGGCCUCGUACACCUCAUCCAGGGACAUCUUCAAGGAAGUGUACCGCCCAUAGUCCUGGUUCUGGUCGAUCAGGUGCACUGGUCUUUCUCUAUUUGCCCCGCUCUGAGUUGUGGGCGGUGGAAGUACUUCUGGUCUGCUCGCUCUGCUACCGUGGGAAUAUUGAUGAAGACCACUAGAUGCUGAAUCAUGCCUUCUCCAAGGCUCCCUAGCUGGGGAACGAGGAGGUUGCGCCCCGCUGCGCUGAUACUGUGGUGGCCGCUGAUGAGGCUGGUAAGCAGUUACCCGACCUCCUGCUCCACUACCGGAGGCCUGGUGGUCCCUCCUCCUGAUCGGCCCAUUCCCCGGUAAUGCUUUCUUCUCUUUCCUCCCCAACCCUUCUAACUGAUCUGUUUUAAUCCGUGCGGCCUUCUCCUCUUCAAUCUCGAUGUCUCUCUUAGCCUGCUCGUAUGCGGCUGCGUACGUUUGAAUAGCUGGGCUUCUCAAAUUGUACCACAGCCUUCCUAUCUUCACCCCUUCUUUCAACCCCCUUAACGCCUGAGGGUGGUUGAAGGCUCCCAAGUCGAGGACAGCCCGAUGAAACCUCUUGAUGAAUUCCCGAAGGGUUUCUUGCUCCCCCUGUUUCAUGCUUUUCAGCUCCAUCAUGUCAUCCUCUGGUGCCAUUGCCCCACUAAACUGCUCGGCGAAUUCCUGGCACAUCUGCUCGAAGGUUUUAAUGCUGCCCCGAGGAAGUUUCAUGUACCAUUCUCGUGCACGUCCCUCAAGGGAUAGUGGGAACACCCUGCACCUUUGGGACUGAGAUAAUCCUUGUACCCCAGUUAUGUCGUUGAAGCGCUCUAUGUGCACCAGCGGAUCAGUUCUUCCCGAGUAUCUGAGGUCUGGGAGGCGGAAAUCUCUCGGAAUAACCGCCCUCAUGAUCUCUGCUGCGAGCGGUGAUUCUCCGUCCAGCAUUAUCCUCCAACCAGGGGCUCUGUUCCUUCCUUGCAUGUCGUCAAUUAUCUGCGCUAGUCUGCGCACUUCCUCCUCCAGCUGCCCUGCACGACCAGGGUCACGUGCCUCAACUUGAUCGCGCUCUUGCUCUACAUCAUGCAAGUGUUGCCUCAACUUUGUUUCCUCCGCAUUCACCACCCCGUCGGCCUCGUCAGAAAUCUGUCUUGCCGGGGACUGCUCUCUUUCUCUAUGGGAUUCUCCCCGCAGAGGUACGUUACCUCUCUCCCCACCAUAUCCCCCGGUGGUUUGACUUCUCCUCGCACCAUCGGGACCUGGUGCCACCCCUCCGCCUCUCAACCUUCCCUCUUGGGCCACCCUUCGCUCGCUCCGCAGCUCAUGCAGGAUGGUUGUCAAGGUCUCCAUCUGCUUUUCCAUCCGUUCCAUCCGGUCGAACAUGACUUUUUCCCGUGCUUCACUGACUAUCUCCCUCAGCGUCACGGGAUCGUUAAGCCUCACAUCACCCCCUUGUGCACUAUUUCCUCCUAUCUCCAUUACUUUUCACUUGCUUCACUCCUUUUCUUGCUAUCUACAGAAGCUUUUUUGUAAGGUCCCCACAGACGGUGCCAAAAUGUUGAUGCGAGAUUCUGGUUCUCCUCAUUCUACGACCAGGAUCUCUACUCGAUCAACUUCACCACGACCAGGAAGUCUCCUCGUAAGGCUCCUUCUCCAGAGGUUCCUGCGCACACAGACAAGUCAGAGUACGCCGGUUGUUUUCCCGGCGCAAACCCUCCGACGCUCAAGUCAGAUAUCCAGGUUUGGGGAACACUUGCCACAAAUCUUAUGGCCUUUAGGUCCGUUCUCUCCCUCUAGAAUUUCUUUAGUCUCUCUUUUAUCUCAAAAAAUUGCCAACCCCUUUACCUUCGUUCGCUACCUUUUUGUAGGCUGCCUCUGAAUCCCAGUUUUCCGCUUUUUGCCAGACGGUAUGGGACUCUGACUGCUGCGUUAUGGGCAAAGGUGGGAUCUUGCGUGUUACGCCACGGUUCUGGGGAAAGCGUGGCUGUCGUGAUUCUGUGAGAUCUUGCGUGUUACGUCAUGGGUCUGGGGAAAGCGUGGCUGUCGCGCCUAGAUUCUCGAGCUGGAGAGCAUGUCUUGUCAACUGUCGUCGGCCGGGUCUCCUCGCCACUCGGCCUCUAGCCGAAAUGACCUUAUACCUCUCACAGGAAGUUGGCCUCGCGGAUGACGUGCUCGUGGACGAACAAGAUAUUUCUGCUCCUGUUCCCCCGCGCACCAGGCUUUUACGGAACACACCGGUCCGCAGAACUCUGCCAUCAGAUACCUGCUCACCAUGCCUGGUCUCGUCGACGUAUUUCUCCCAAACACAACUCAUAUUACAUGAGAAUAUAACUGAUAUAUACAAAUCAGACUAUAACUGGGACCAACAUACAUCAAAGCUAAUGGAGCGCUGCCCAGAUUUUAACCCUCUCAAAUAUUCGAGGGAUGUCUACUCCUCGCACUGGGGCAAGGAAGCAGACUGCCUUCACUCAAUUUUAUUUGAAGAAGAAAACACCCCACAUGCAUUGUGGGGGUUCGAACUGCUGCAGCAGCUCUCACCACUCGGCCAAAGACCGAGUGGCUAUAUUACUUCCCUGUUAAGAGCUGGAUCCCACACCCUUGAGCUUUUGUCGUCCCGGUCAACUAUAAAAGCAAAUCAUUAUUGAGUGGGAACAGACUUAUUGAUCACCCAAUUUUCAAACUUGUCAUCGUUAUUGAAUCUGCAUUCCCUUUUAAAAAAUUUUAAAAAAAGUACAAAUAAUGAAACAAAGUUCUAUUCCUUCAACAGUUGAUAGAGUUACGCGGCUUCAACUUGCAAGUGCUGUCGGCAUUUUCAAACUUGUAAUACCCUUACAACUUGCUUUCCAAGAUAGCUAUAAUUAAUAAUGACAACAGUCUCCCUUAUAGCGACUAGUGAGCAACUUGUUUCGUGAAAUUAACAGCAUCUUCUCUCACAUUUUUUAAAAAAUUGAAUUAUAUAACCCACCAAAACUAUAAAGAAUUGUUAGUUUUUCUUCAUUAAAAUUAAUAUAUUGCUCCUCAUUUUGAAAAAUCAAAAUUCAGAAUAAGAAUGAUUGAUACUGUUUAUUUACUAAAAUGAAAAUAAAAUAUAUGAAGCCUACAUAUUUUUGAAAUUAAAAAACAAGAACUUUAUUUUUCAUGGGAAGUGUUGGAAAUCAAGUUCUCAUUAUUUAAACUCUCAAUUGUACCUCACCGAAAUUUCAUAAUUUCACUUUUGUUCUCAAUUAAAAUAUUGUUAUAGUUAUUAUUCUUAUUUUUAUAGUUGUUGUUGAUGAUGAUGAUGAUGAUACAAGAUAAUUAAAUUAAUGAUAAUUAAACCAAUUUGAAUUCAGAGUGAGUGAGUACCAUGACUUCGCAUCAUUUGAUAUCAAAAGAGCAUCAUUACUAACUAAUAUAGGCUCGAUCGAAUUCAUCAUGCGAAGCAUAAUAUCGGCUGUAGGUAUGGAAAUAAAUUUUGUAUCCACAAACACUAUUUUUCAAAAUAUUUUAAGACUUGACUUAGCAUUUUUUAACCAUAUAUGUAUAGGUUGUUUGACCUAUUUUAAAUAGUGGAGAUUACAACAAAUGAACAGAUGUGGAUUAGUAGAGUUGUUGAGUUCAGAAGAUUGAAGUUAACAAAGGGUUUCUUGAUCUAGAGAAAAUUUGAAAGAGCGAAGUGUCUUCGAGAUCAAAAGACGAAAUAAGGAAAGGGUAAGGUUAUACUUUCAAAAUGAAUCUGUUGAGAGAACUUUGAAGAUUACUUCCGUUAAGAGCUGGAUCCCACACUUGAGUCUUCGUCGUCUCAGUCAGUCAGCUGUAAAGUCAGUCAGCUAUAAAGACAAAUUAAUUUUGAGUGUGAAAGGACACAAUUGAUCACCAAAUUUUCAAACUCGUGAUCCUUAUUCAAUCUACAUUCCCAUUUGAAAAACAAUAAAAGAUUAACAUUAAUUUAACUUCAUCUAGAUUCCCAUUUGAAUCUGCAUUCCCAUUCCCUUGUUCUCUGGGAAUGCACAUAAUCAAACAAAAUCCUAUCGGCAUUUUCAAACUCGUGACCCUUCAAGCUUUCUAUGACAACUAUAAUGAAUAAUUACAACAAUGCUACCUAAUAGUGAGCAACUUGUUUGAUGAAAUUAACAGCUUCUUUUCUCUCAUGUAUUUUUAAAAAAUUAAAUUAUCAAAGUUUUUAUUUCAAAAUUAGUGCUAUAGUUCAUUAAUUUUUCAAUUUUUCCUUUUUCUUUCCACACAACAGAUUGAUUUGCCCUCCAAAAAAUAUAUUAUAUUGUUUAAUAUUGUAACUUCAAGAAACUUACAAUAAAUUUUUAAAGAGAUAAAUAGAGAAUGUCAGUCUCCCAUCUACUCAAAAUUAAUAUAUAUCAUUAACUCUUGAUUAUUUUUAUAACAACUAAUAACUUUCUUGGCAGCAUAAUUUUACAGUAUCAUCCUUGUUUGACGUUUGUAAGUAUAUUUUUAUUCAUAUUUAUUAUAAAUUAAUUAAAUCAUAUCAAUGAAAAUUGAAAUAAAAAUUGAAGUACUAAAAAUUUAAAAAAUAUAUUUUGGUGUGAAUAAAAAAUUGAAAAUAAAAAUAUUUUUCUUAUAUUUUUUGUUAUUUUAAAAAUUUUUCUUAUAAUAAAUGUAUAUUUUAUAUGCUCAACUUUUUCUUUUAAUUUUUGUUAUUAGGAGGAUUUUUAGAUAUAAUGAAAAUUGUAAGGUAGUAAGUAAUAUAUAAUAAUUUUAAUAGAGAAAAGUAAAAAAUCUCUUAUUUUAAAAUAUAAGGAGAAAAAUAAUUAAUUUCAAGACAUUUUAGAAGAUAUUUCAAUAUGCGGUGGACCACAAACUCGAGUCUUUGUCAUCUCAGUCAACUAAAAGGACAAAAUAUUGAGGGCAUGGCUAAGGUGCAGAAGCUGCAAGUAACAGCUUCGAACUUUCCCAUUUCCAUCACCUUGCAUUGGGACCUCUUUCUCUCUCCUCUAGCACCCGUGGAAGUUCCCCAUUGGCUACUGUAACUUACAGAAGCUGUAACAUAGAUUUCUCCGAAUAUUGAGCGCGAAGGGCUCAAGUGAUUGUUAAUUUCACAGCAAUUGCCUUUUUUUUUUUCUAAUUAUUGGGAAAUAAUAAUUUAGUAUAACAAAUAUUAUAUCCUAUACUUUAUUGCUACAAAAUUACGAAACCUUAUAUUAUAUUAUGUUUCCAUAUUUCUCCUUUAUAGUGAAGACUCAUACUUCUUCUCUAGUAAAUGUUAAAGCAUUGGCUUAAACUUUUUAACUAGCACAGUAGACCCUUAAGCUAUAUAUACUAUAAUGUCCCUCUUCCCUCACAGAUUAAACCAAUCUAUCUCAGAGUAAGUUUGCAUCAAAGGAGUAUCCUUACUAACUAAUAUAGACUCGAUCAACAGGGAUGACAAUAAUUUUUUUAUCUACGAACAUUAUUUUUUCAAAAUAUUAUAUCUUUAGACUUAACUAAAUAUUUUUUAACCAUAUAUGUAUAGUUCGAUUAAAUAGUGGAGAUUACAAUAAAACAUAUGCGAAUUAGUAGUGAUGUUGAGUUCUAGGUCAAGACGAAAAUAAGGAAAGGAUAAGGGUGUAUUUUCAAAGUGAUUCUAUUGAAAGAUCUUUGAAGAUUACUUUCGUUAAGAGCUGGAUUCCACACUCUUGAGCCUUUGUCGUCCCAGUCAACUAUAAAGACACAUUAUUAUUGAGUGUGAACAUUCCGACUUAUAGAUCACCAAAUUUUUAAACUUGUGAUCUUCGUUGAAUCUGCAAUCCCUUUUGAAAAAAAAAAAAAAAAAGGAAAACUGCAAAUAAUGAAACAAAAUUCUGUUCCUUGAUAGAGUUACGCGGCUUCAACUUGCAAGUGCUGUCGGCAUUUUCAAACUUGUAAGACCCUUCAACUUGCUUUCCAAGAUAGCUAUAAUUAAUAGGAUCCCUCUAAGUUACGUUUAACGUAACAUACAGCCGAUGACAUGAUUAGUUGACCAAUAAUUAUAUGCCAGGUAAACAUAAUAAUAAUAAAAUAGAACUGAUUUAAGCGGUUGGAAGUCGGUCAUCAAAAGAAGUCAACGCAGGCAACACCCUUCUACAGGCGGUUGUCUCUGCCGUCAACUUUUCUGGUUUCUCCGACGACUCAAUCCUUCCCAUUAAGUUAGAAUCCCAAUUUUGCAGGCUCAAAUCUUUCCCGGCUACUGCCAAACCCAAAACCCACAUCAAUGAUAAUCAUCAUCAUCACACCGAAAAACACACACAAUCUCUUCAUCAUCAUCAUUCAAAUCCAACUUCAAAGUUAGAGUUUUUUUUAUUCCAAAUAAAACCCAUAUGGGAAACUCGGCUUGGAGACUGCAAAAUCCGUUUCUAGUUGUGAUUCCUCUCCUCCUUUGCCAUUUUCUUUGAGUCCAAAUAGAACCCAGAUUAAAAAAUUGAUUUUAAAGAAAUUCCAGGUGUGGGUCUGUUUUUGCUUUUGUUCCUAUUGUCGCUGUUUCCUCGAAAUCGAAGUUGAAGUCGAAAUCCAACUCAUUUUCUUCGUCGUUGAGUUCUCCGAGUUCAUGGAUGGAUUCACCUUCUUCUCCGCCGUCUCCACCUCAGAGAAAGGGCUGUUUUUUAUGUUCUCCAAAGAGUGCUUUGAAGAAAAAGAGCAAGAAAAGUCUAAUUCUUGGUGAUGAUCUUGAUUUGCUUGUAAAGAACGAUGAGUUCUUAUCGGAUUUGAAAUUUUUUUUGUGUUAAAGAGCAGGAAAAGAUGCUGCAGAAGGCAAUAAGGGAGCAAGAAAAGGUUAGUGGAGACUGGAGAGGAAGAGAAGAUUGUCAAAUGGGCACACCAAUUCAGCCGGUUUCCCAUCCUUUAGAGCUUUUGGACAAAUUAAACACUAGCCAUUGGAUUAGAUUUUAACACUUUCAACGGACAAGAUUUUUUAAAUUGUACGUUACGUUAAACGUAACUUAGGGAUUGCCUAAUUAAUAAUGACAACCGAAGACGGCUACGUUUGCGGUACAAAAGUUGCACCAUAUUAGACGUUCUUUUUUGUUCUUAUCCGAAGUAACCGUUGGAUUCAAAGGAAAGUGAUCAGACAUUCAAUAGCUUCACACGUGGACAUUAUAGGAUACCGGUCAAAUCGGUUAGUGCUCCUCCACAUCAAACUCACAAGCAUGGCAAUCAUCGUAUCAGCUUGGAAACUUGUUACAAGUGACGAAGAGCAACAGGGUCCGCUCCUCUAGAGUCGGUUAGUGCUCAAUAAUGUUACAGUUUUUAUAAUAUAUGUAACUGGUACGAUCGCUGUCUCAAGUGGUAAACUUUUGAGGCACAAAUUUAGAACGAAAAGUUCCCAAUAAAAUAAGUUAUUUAAUUAAUUAAAUAAGAAUAAAAUGAAUUUGUGAAAAAAAAUUUAAAUUUAAUUUUGAAUUAUUUUGACCAAAAUUUAAGUUUUUUUUUUUAAAUUUGUUUAAGAAAAUGCGUUGUAAUUGUCUUGUUUUAAUUAGAAAAUCAAUGAAAAAAUUAUGUAAAAAAAAAAAAAAAAAAAAAGCAAAACGCUUUGUUUUGGAUGGAGGCCAUAGAUUCCAAUAUUUCCUUCACGAAAACUACAAAAAAAUUAUCAAAGGCAUCAAUUUCUACACUCUCACCGAGCAAUACUCUUAACCCAGAAGAAAGUGUAUAAACCAACCUCAAUCAGUCCAUCAAUGUCGUCAACCUCAUACAGCAUAAACAAAUCUGUGCCCAUUAAACUGCCAUUUAAACCGUCUUUAUUGAGCCAUUAGACUACUUGUGUCAUCUUGCCAUCUCGUUGUAGUAUUUUGCCGCUCAAAUCUAGUUAUCAAUUGGGGAAAAUGGGGACCAAUCUGCAAGUCUUUAAAAUAGAAAGAAACUUUAAUUGGGCACUAUGUUCACUGUAGUGGACCCAGGAGCAGCUAUUUGUGCUUCAAAAAAUAUUUUACUCACUCUAAUUUUAAUAAGAAUAUAUAUUACCAAAUUACUUAUCAUAUAAGUUACUGGACAAUAUAUUAUAAGUCAACAUUAUAUAAUUACUUUGAACACUUAUAUAACCCAAUCCUAAUUUAAUUUAUUAUUCUCAUAACUUAAAUAUAAAAAUUUUUAUUUCCAACUUCUUAAUUAAUAUGUAGAUGAAUAAUAAGGAAAUUAACUUUGAGAAAAAAUUAAAUACAAAAUAUGUGUAAUACUUUAAAAAAAAUAAACAAAAGUAUUGCACAAGAUUAUUUUUUUUGGUGGGGGGGGGGGGGGGGGGGGGCUUUGGCCAUUCUUCUUCUUCUCCUUCUCUCUCUCUCUCUCUCUCUUUUUGUAGUAUUUAUGGAACAUUUUCUAUUGUUAUGUUCUCAUUGCAAGUUAUUUUGGGUGUAAAAUUCAAUAUUGAAAAUAAAUUAAAUAAAAAAAUUAGUAACUAAAAUUAUGUUAAAUUAUUUUUUAACUUAAUUUUUAAUUAUAUUAUUAGUAUAUGUUAAAUCUCUUAAAAAUCGAGUGUUGAAUAAUUUUAUUAGUUUUUUAAAUAAAUAAAAUUAAAUAACUUCAAAAGUUUAAGUAAGGAUAUUUUUAAAUUUUUUAAACAGUGUACAAAGUAAAGUUUAUUUUCUUGUCAGUGGCAAAUGAUCACGACAAGAAAUAUGAAGUAGAAACAGCAGAGCUCAACAAAUCACUAAGAGAAAAUAAGACCAAUAACCAAGCAGAUAAAAGAAAAGCAAAAUAACCCAUCUCAAAAUCACCACAUGCACAAUUUAAGGGGUUUGUGACAUGGGUUUAAACAUGAUUUAACAAGUGCCACCUGUGAAUUGUCAGAGAUUGUAUUUUCAUACACAUGUCAAAUUUUCAAAUCCAACAAAUUGUUAUCUUUAUAAAGAGGCUAAUAUUAUUAUUAUUUUUUUUUUUUGAAGUCUGUUAUACACAGAUAUUACUGACAUUACAUCAGACAUUACAAUUGAUAUUUACAAUCAUACUAUAUAACUGGGACUACCACCAUACAUUGACACACUGAAGUAUAUGCCCAGAUAUUUUAAACCCUCUCUAAUAUUCGAGGGGUGCAUAUCUACUCACAUUUCGUAAGAGAGAGACUGUCUCCACUCAAUUAAUUGAUAAUUGAGGAAGAACUGAAACUAACCUCCAUAAUGCACUUAUGGAGGCUCGAACCCUUGCACUCAACAUUGUAAGUGCAAGGUUUCUCCCAUUGAACCAAAGGCCCAUUGGUUAAUAUUAUUAUUAUCUAUGCAUAGCAUGCUAUAAACAAUUCAUAUUACUAGGGCCUUUGUUUUCUGUACACAACAUAUGGACAGCGGAACAAAUCCCUGAGCUAAAAUCAUCAUAUUCCAAAAUAUUCUAUUAAAUCAACACCACAAAACGCGAACGCUAAACAGAAUUGGAGCAAUUUACCAAAGCUAUUUGUCACGCAAAGCACUAGUACCUCAGAACCCAAUUUGCAAAAAAGCACCAAAAAUGAAAAAUAACAAAUGCCCAGAUGAAAAAUCAGGAAAAAAAAAAUGCUCAAAUCCAAAUUACAACCCCAUAAGCUGAGUCGUUCUCUUCGAACUGAAUUAAAAAAAAAUUAAAAAAAUUAAAAUGGGGAGAUUGACCUCAAACUUUGGAAACAGAAGCGACAGCGAUCUGUUUCUUGUCUGGAGUGUCCAUUUCUAUAAUCUACUUUCUCCGUUUUCAGUCGCUCUGCCGCAGAGCUUCUUCCCUCUGAAGCCGAAGCUCACACACACUUGCAAAACGAAAGCAUUUUUUAUUGAUUGAGAGGCGGGAAGGCGGGAAAAUGAGAGAAAUUUGCAUUUGUUUUCUCUUGGUUUGGUCAUACCUGUGCGGGCCCCAGCUUGACAAGCGGUAUUAUUACUAUUUGUAUAAUUUACAUGACGCGUGUCACGCAAUGACGAUAAAAAAAAAAUAUAUAUUGUUAAUUUUUCACUUAACAUUGAAAUAUCAUAUAAUUUUUCCAAUUUUAUGGUUAUUUUCUCGCCCUUAUGCCACAUUCUUUUGAUCAAACAAUACAGUAAAACUUUUCUAUAAUCAUAAUAUUAGAGCCAAAUUAGCUUUAUUUAUGUAAAGAGGCUAUAGCUUAAUGAAGUUAAAAUUAUAAAAAAAUAUUAUUUUGACUCAAUUAUCUUUAGUGCAAGUGAUAUAAAGUAUAAAUAUAUGGUAAUUAAUUAAUGAACUAUGUCAAAUACAAUAUACUGACAAUGAUAAAAAAGAUAGACAUAAUUUCAAGAAACUAAUACAUAUAUUUAUGCAGUGUUGGGAUUAUACAAAAUUAUCUUAAAAAUGUAAAGAGUAAAGUAUUAUUCUGAUUAUUUAAAAAAUUUAUUUUAUCUUAAUCUUUAAUGCAACAUAGCUUUUAUUUUUUUCUUAGCAACAAAGCAUUGUUCCAAAUAAUUAUUAUUGGAUUCAAAUCAUGUCCUAGGCAUUUUUUCUUCUAGUCGUCUUAAACUUUUAAUGAUUUAUUGGCAUGUGUCAAUCAUUAAUGAAAUUAAAUAACUAAGACUUUGUUUUAAUUAACGUUUACAUAAAUAGACAUCAAAACUCACGUGUGAUUCUUAUCAAUUUUUUUCCUGCAAAUUCUUUUCCUCUCAACUAUUCAUAUUUUGACAUUAAUUUCCAACAAAUUAUUUUUAAAAAAAAGGAGCGUAAAAUGGAGAAAAGUGAUUCACAACAAGGUUUGCAUCUUAAUUUCAAAAUUUUCCUUUCUUUGCUAUUUUUGUGGGUUCUACAAUUGUUGUUUUCACUCUCAGCUGCAGUUCAAUGAACUCUAUUAAUAACCAUGAAGCUUAAUGUAUCAAUUCCAAUGCGACAAGUCCUUCUACGCAUGUUACAACACUUUUUGGUCAUUAUAGGUUGCAAAUGCUCCGUAAUGUACUCAUUCAUAUAACGGAAACGCUAUUAUCAAUAAUGAAAGUUGACUAAGUUUGUAAAUUCUAUUUAACGAAAAAGUAACAUAAAUUUAGUUGAACAAGAGGUAAUUAAUAUGUAAUCUAUGAAACUAGGGUGUGACUAAGUUACAUAGUAAUGUAACUUACAUGAACACAAAAAUAAUUAGUUUUUAAACUACAAGUAGCUUUGGAACAGCUCUUAAAUUGAUAUAAGUUCUAUUAUUAUGUAACUUAGCAAGGUCAGAUAUUUUAAUAAUAGCACAUCACUAUUGUUUCAUGUGAAUGAUGCAAUUGGAUUAGCCCAAGACCAUUCAUACCGUCAUCCCCGGGAGAUGCUAUGGCAAUAGCUUACUCUACCGUGCCAAUGUCAUUAGUAUUAAUCUGAUGAACCUAAGACCAGAUCUAAGCUGAUCUAGAUUCCCCAAGAUCGCACACCACACAGUGAUUAAUGAAUCAAGAACAAUAAACCAUCAAAGAAUCGCAAACUUUCGGGUUACAUGUAAUAAAUGUUUUAAUUAUUAGAUGAUUCAUAAUGUUAGACCAUUUUUUGUAUGUUUUGUAAUCUACGUUUGAUAAUUUAAUUAGCUGAUAAACACUUGAAUAAUAUUAUUUCAUUAACUAUGUCAUUGAUCCCCAGGAAAAAAAAAAAAAAAAAAACCCCCAAUUUAGGAUGUUAUACAUUACUUUUCCAUUACUUCCCAUUUUAGAUUAAUAUCUAUCACAUAUAUUCUUAGUAACUUGUCACCCUUCUAUUUCUGAGAUUGUCCUUACAAUAAGGAUGCCGGCCCCAAUGUUAAAAACUGCUAUCUCUAGGUGUAAAUUCCUUAUAAAAUUCUUUUUUAAUUGAAAUUACUUAAAUAAUUGAAGAUAAAUUAAUUUUUUAUUUCAUUCAAAUAAAAAAAAUCAAUUAAACACUUAAAUAAGCUAUCCUUUUAAUUUUUUUUUACACCCCUCCAGUUUCAUAAUUUAUAUUUAUAAUUUAAAUUUUAAAGGAAAAUAUUUUUUUGAAAAAUUUUAAGAAUUAAGAAUUAUGGGGAUAAAAAUUAUGUAAUAAGAACAAAAUAAUUUAAAAUUUUAAAAUUUGCAUGUAUUAUAAACAAAAACUUGAAAGAAAUACUCUUUUCAGGGUGAGAUUUAAUCAGAAAAAGAUUAAUUUUCAUUUAUGGAUCAGUAUUUUAUAAAUUAAACAGAGGUAUUUUAAGAAAUAGAAUUCAAAAGGCAUGGGAACAAGGGCAUUGGGUUUCCUUUUGUUUUGUAUGGAUUGGGAAAAAUACACGGACAGACAAAGGGAACAGUCAUUAUAAUGCUGCGGAGCUUGUCGGAGAUUCCCUGCCCAUUUGUAGCUUAGACUCCUGGGGUUUUGUUCAUGUCUUUUCUGUAUCCCACUUUCUCAUGCAGCAGAUGUACAUAUGAUGAGAUGAAAACAACAGCAAAAAUUGCUGUCUCAUAAGAGAAAUAGUCAUACAUAGUUGGUUAGGCCUCCUGUCCAUUAACAUAAUAAUGAAUUUUAUGAAAAUUGAUUAUCUCAUUGGAAUUACAUAGAUAUUGGAAAACAUUACUCCAGCCCCACCAUCCCAACCAUUUACUUAGUUCAUCAGUAAAAGCUGGAUUUUCCAUUUGUUCUUGAGAUUCAAAUUAAGGCAACAAGUUGCUCAUUCUAUAUUAUCUAUGUAAUCCUGUAAAAGUGAAGGGCGUUUAGAUGUGGAAAAACCUUACUCCUGCCGCAACACCUCAAACAGAUUGUGAUCAGACAAGACUUAGUUCAUCAUUAGUAGUAGUUGGAGCUUCCAUUUGUUCUAGAGAUUUAAAGGCAGCAAGCUGCUUCCUCAGUGCUACUAAUUCUUCCCCGGCAUUGCAUAUGUAGCCUGAGGCUUGUCUACCAGACAAAGUUGCUCCUUCCAUACUAUCUAUGUAAUCCAGUGAGAGUGAAACCAUUUAGAAGACGUAUCUCUUUCUUUCCAAUAUUUAGAAUGAAACAAUUAUAUACAGUUACCUGUUUUGUAUAUGAGCCGACGAGGAAGAAGUUCUUCACUGGUGUCUUUUGAUCGUGUCUGAAGGAGUCUUUACCAGGUCCCUCACCGCACAAAGAUUGCCCGAUUUUGACAAAAGAUGACCAAAUAACUUCUAAACCUUGGGAUGAUGGAAAUAGAGCUAAAACCUAAUAAAAGGAACCGUGAAUGGAUAGUAUGGACUCAUGUAUAUUAUCCAGAAAGUUGCAUGACCUUUUGUGGUACUCAGGUCACUAAAAAAUGUGAGAUAAACAUCUAGGAUAAGAAAAGCAAAAAAGCAUAACCUAAUACGUAUUAUAUGAAUUGAAGGUGUCACUGAACACUACCAACCUGCUUUGCCACUCUCCUUAUGAUUUCAUCAUUUGGUAAGGGCAUAUAAGGAUCUCCAGGUGUCAAAAUGAAUCUGAAAUAUAAUAUGGCUAUAGUAAGCAACACAGAAUACAAAGACACUUAGCAAAAGGAAGCCAAUCAGAUUCCAUGCACAAAAAAUAACUAAUAAUGACGAGGAUAAGAAAUUUUUCUUACUGGAGCAAUGAACCUUGCCCUUCUCUGUAGUAGUCUUCUGGUGAAGUGAGUGCUAGAUCUGCAAAGCAAGAUAAAUCUGCAUCUGGAGUAUAUGAAAGGUUAUCUAACCCCACAGCUUGCCUCAAUUGUCUACAUGUUCAAAACAAGGAUCUGUUAAAAAAUGGAAAUUUCUUCAAUGCAUUAGUAAAGGGAAGUGAAGUGAAAGCUGAUUUCUUAGGCCUUCACAGAGCAUCAUGUGUUUGAAUUCCGGUAACCUCACAAAAGAUUAGAGCAUCACCUUGACCGUUCUAUGUCUUGCAACUCAGUAACCCAACCAUUGUAUCUAAGCUGCACUGUGACAACAGGAACUCCAACUAGCUCAUAAAUAUUGUUGAAAAAUUUCAUUUCCCUCCACGAUGAUGGAAGCAGUCUUUUAAUUCCAGGGACAUCACAUGCGGCCAUUAAAUAAGAAGUUGAAUAAAGAAAAAUCGUUCAACUAAAUGAUUCAGGAGUUAAAAAAAAAAAUGUAGAAGUAGAAAUAAAUAACGAGGAUUUAACCAUGAACCUGCAACAUAUGCAUCAGCUUGCACAACCUUCUUGUCAGUGGCCUGAAAUAGAAUGAGAAAUUGAAAGACAGUAAGCAUUAAAGAAUAAACUCAAAGAAGCUGCUUCUAACAGAUGAUAUAAACAAUAAAUUUACAAAUGUCAGAUCAUUGCAUUAGCUCUAUGCCUCCAUCAGAGGGAAUAUUAAUAGAUGCAUAAAAAAAUAAUUAGAGCCACAUGUGAAACAAUUUACCUUAGACGUAGCAGAUUUAUCAUAAAGUAUCUCUCUGCAUCCCCACCUAAGAUGGAACCUGUUCUCACAAGAACAGAUCCCAAGGUUGGGAAAAUCAGUUCAUCAUAGGAGAAAACAAAGAAGAUUAACAAAUCACUACAAUGGUGUGAACCCGUAAAUACAAACGUACCUGCCCCCUUUAUCUGUGAUAUAUUUUCUUAUGGGCCCACUCAAAUAAACAUCCGGAGAACCCUUGAGCAUCAGCAAUAGGGAAGCCUCAGUCUUAGUCGCAAACAGUGCAAAUAUAGUAAGCAUACAACGAGCACUGAUGUUAUCACAAUCAAUAAACCCAAGGGCAUACGAAACAGGAUCCCACAUUCUUUGGAACCCUUGGACAAAAACCAAUCAGAGAAGCUUAUCUGUAAGAAGAAAUGAAGUUUUAGGUAAAAUAACAAUCUGUAGGAACAGGGAUUGAAAUUCAACAAACAAGAAAAUAUGAUGUCAUUCUUACACUAUCCAAAUCUCAUAUGUCCUUCAAGGCUCCAUCAGGAUCAACAAGUGCCUUUACAACAGCACUCAGAGCAAGAGCAAGAGCAAGAGCAUUUCUUGCUUUAUCAUAAGUCUGCACUUGAGCAAUUUACGAGGCAAAGUACAUCAAAAGAGAAUCCAAAGGAGGCAAGAAGCUUCAACAUGAAAAAAGGAGUGCUGCCUCAUCAUACUGCUUUGCAAUCACAGUGCAAAAGAUAACAUCAACAAAAUCAAAAUCUAGCAUAAAUCCAUAUGCACUACCUUAAGCUGAUUUGUAGACAAAAGACCCGUUUGGGGCAGCUGCGUGGCAAACGGGUCUUUUGUCUACAAAUCAGCUUAAGGUAGUGCAUACGGGUCCAAAAAUGCGUGAAUCCCAUGUAACGGAGCUCCAAUCAGAAACCCGAAAUCAAGUUCUGGAGUUGAAAAUCAAAAUCAUGAACCAAAUCAGAGUUAUUAUUGAAUUAGACAAUCCAUAAACCAAUAGAAGGUAAAAAAAAAGGAAUAAAAAUUCUUCUAAAUUCUUUCACCAUCAACAAAAUCAGUAAAACACAUACUGAUUCAAAAUGACAUAAAGUUUGUGAAUUGAAAUAAUGCCAACUCCUAAGAAAAAUUAUGACUGCUGAUAUUUUUUCUGAAAUGCUGAUAAAAGCUUCUGCUAUUUACUUUGAAAAAAUAGAGGUUAGAAGCCAAUUUACUUGAAAUUUUGAGUUUAGGCAAGAGGAUGAAUGGCAAAAGUGAAACAUUUUAGGGAAAAAUGUACUUCAGAGGCCAAUGAAAGCAUUCAGAAGAUUGAAAUCUAAAUAAGCAAAACCCCGUGGCCUUGAUCCAACAAAUCCACUGCUGUUGACAUGCCUGCAAGCCCAGCUCCAAUAAUAGCCACUUUCAGCUUUGGUCCUCUAUAAUGUUCCGGUUCUGGUAGAAACAAACCCUUGGGAGCUGCCAAGUAUACCAUCCAAUUAUCCACAGCGAUAAUGGAAAUAUAUAUGUGUUUAAAGGUACUAAAUUCCUAAACAUGAAAUGUAUCCAAAGAGAGACACAAAGCAGAAUUGUGCAAGCAUUUCAAUUCCCAAUAAAUUUUAAGAAUACAAAAUACUCGGUCUGUUCCUCAAUUCCUUUAAUAAAAUUUCCACUAGAGGCUACGGAAGCCACUCAAUAACACUCCAAAGCCAGAUUUUAAAAGUUAUCUUUAACACAAAUUCAAUUCAAAAUUGUUCAAGUGCACCGCCACUUCUCCAUCAAUUCCCUCAAAAAUUCAUAAUUGCCAAACACUACAAACCAAAAAGAGCUUCCAGCAAUAAACGCAUAAAAAUCCACCAAGCAACAUAAAACAAAAUACCCAGAAACCAGAAAAGCCAAACGAUCAAUGCUUGGCAAACAAGCCAAUCAAAUAAAACAAAAAGAAGAGAAAUUUACCAUUAACGCUCAUAUCAGAAACAUUAGUGUCCAAAGAAGCCCGUACACAGAAUCUUGGAUCCUUCACUUGAACCCGAGACCAUGUAACGCCAGUAACUGAAGUUGCAGGAAACAGAACUGAAGAACCCAUAUUGCAAAUCCUGAGCUGAAAUCAAAGAAAUUCAAUUGGAACUCAAUUCAGCUCAACCGAGCGGAGCUCUCUUUUGCUUCAAUAACAAAGUGUUUUUCUUUCAUAUCAACAAAGAUUUGUCAACAUCAACAAAAUUUAACUAAGAAACUAAAAUAAUGCAGUAUCUUUGAGUUUAAGAAUCUAACAAGAUGUUAAGGAAGAGAGUUUUGUCAGGGAACUGUUUCGGAGAGGUUGGCCAAGUGCAUUUUUGUUUUUUUCUUGUUUUGCCCUUUUCAUUAAUGCACAACAUUAGUCCACGUGAAGAGCACAAAAUGCUGGUGGCUUUGUCACUAACGAUAAUGGAUGGAGUGUCCAAAGCAACCAACUAAAUUUUAAAGAGAGGGAAUGAUAAGUAAUAUCUUAAUGGGGUGAUUAAUUAAUUUAUUAUCAAGCAAUUGUAUUUAUUUAUUUAAAAGAUAUCCUUAUCUUUGUACAAGGUUUGAGGAAAGACGACGAUGUUGUGUUGUCACAUAUUUUUACGUUUCUCCAUAAUUCACUGCAACAUCAACUGGGCCACCACCUCUUGCCUCUCCUGGUUCCCCUCAAUUUUCGUAUUCAAUGUCCACCGUUGAUUGUACAUUUAUUAAAAUUCUGUGGUUAUUGUUUUUUUGCAUACAUUUAAUUCCACACGGUCUAUGGAUAGAGCAGGUGCAUCGUAGUUGUGGCCUUAACUGUUAUUGGUAACUCAAUAGCUAAUUCUAAUGUUUCAUCAAGCAGUUUAGAGAUAACCUCUCUCGCUGAACUCCCCGGAGUAACGCAAUCCAGUUUUCCAGUGCAAUCAUCAGACAGUUGAACAGCUUCUGAAUUCCCUUUGCUUUUCUUGUUUUCUUUUCCAUGUAAAGGGAGCUCAGGCUUCAAUAUAUCUGGGGAUUGAGUUCUAAUGAUAAAGACAACAUACGGUAGAGGACACAAAUUGUUAUUAAAGAAUGACGCACUUUUCAACUGAGUACAGUAAAGCAAGAAUGGGUAAUUAGUUUUACCUGCAACGUGAAAAUCUAGACUCCCGACGGUAACCGAUCUUUGGUGAAGCAAAUAAAGAAGAAGGCGAAGUAAAAUUCACUGAGUUGAAUGAGCGAUCAUUGUGUAUGGACUUGAUUUGUUCAAUAGGUGAAAGACUGCUGAUAUAAUUAAAGACUGGAGAAUCCUGCACGUUGACAAGCAUCAUUUUUAAUAUAACAUAGAGUCUUAAAAACCUAGUCAGUGGCAAAUGAUCACGACAAGCAAAAUGAAGUACAAACAGCAGAGCUCAACAAAUCAUUAAGAGAAAAUAAGACCAUUAACCAAGCAGAUAAAAGAAACGCAAAAUAACCCAUCUCAAAUCACCGCAUGCACAAUUUAAGGGGGCUGUUACAUGGGUUUAAGCAUGAUUUAACAAGUGCCACCAGUGAAUUCUCAAAGAUUGAAUUUUCAUACACAUGCAAAUUUCCAAGUCCAACGAAUUGUUGUCUUUCUGAAGAUAUUAACGAUGCAUAGCAUACUAUAAACAAAUCAUAUUAUUAGGGCCUUUCUUUGCUGUACACAACAUAUGUACAGAGGAACAAAUCCAUGAGCUGAAAUCAUCAUAUUCCAAAAUAUUCUACCCAAUCAACACUACAAAACCCUAACGCUAAACAGAAUUGGAGCAAUUUACGAAAGCUAUUUGUCACACAAAGCACUAGUACCUCAGAACCCAAUUUGCAAAAAAGCAACAAAAAUGAAAAAUAACAAAUGCCCAGAUGCAAAAUCAGGAAAAAAUGCUCAAAUCCAAACUACAACCCCAUAAGCUGAGAUUGACCUCAAACUUGGAAACAGAAGCGACAGUGAUCUGUUUCUUAUCUGGAGUGUCCAUUUCUAUAAUCUACUUUGUCCGUUUUCAGUCGCUCCGCCACAAAGCCUCUUCACUCCGAAGCUGAAACUCGCCACACACUUGCAAAACGAAAGCAUUUGAUCGAUUGAGAGGCGGGAAGGCGGGAAAACGAGAGAAAUUUGCUUUUGUUUUUUCUUCGUUUGGUCAUACAUGUGCGGGCCCCAGGUUCACAAGCGUUAUUAUUACUAUUUGAAGGACGCGUGUCAUGCAAUGGCGAGACAAAAAGUGGUGCAAAACUCCAAUGGUCACGAAAUGACGAUAAAAUAAAAAUAUAUCGUUAAUUUUUCACUUAACAUUGGAAUAUCAUAUAAUUUUAAGGUCAUUUUCUCGCCGUUACGCCACAUUCUUUUGAUAAAAUAAUAUGGUAAAACUUUUCUAUAAUCAUGAUAUUAGAACCUAAUUAACUUUAUAUCUAUAAAGAGGUUAUAGCUUAAUAAAGCAAAAUUGUAAAAAAUAUUAUUUUGACUUAAUUAUCUAAAGAGUAAAUAUAUGAUAAUUAAUUAAUAAAUAAUGUCAAAUACAAUAUAUGGACUAUAAUAAAAAAGAUAGACAUAAUUUCAUAAAAUUAAUACAUAUGUUUUUGUAGUGUUGCGAUUAUACAAAGUUAUCUUAAAAGUGUAAAGAGUAAAGUAUUAUUCUAAUUAAUUUUAAAAAAUAUUUUAUUAUUAACCUUUAAUGCAACAUAGUAAUUUUUUUUCCCUAGCAACAAAGUAUUGUUCCAAAUAAUUAUUAUUGGAUCUAGAUCCUGCCCUAGGCAUUUUCUCUACUAAUCCUCAUAAACUUUUAGGGUUUGUUUGGCACGUGAGAUUAGAUUGAACAAACUAUUAUGAUUGGACUAAAUUAGAAGGGAUUGGAUUGGAUUGGAUUGGAUUAUAUAUAGUGCUGACUUAUGUUUGGUAUUGUAUUGGAUUAGAUUAUGUUAAAUUAAAUUUACAUAAAAUUAAAUAGUAUUUACAUUAAUAUUUGAAUUUAAAUAUAAACUAUUUAUAGAUAUUUAACAAGAAAUAUUGUAAUUAAUUAAAAAUAGCAAUUGGGUAGUAUAAUAAAGAAAUAUAAAUUAUUUAAAUUAUAGGUUAUUUCAAAGAGUGAUGAAACAACCACAAAUUCUUGUACAAACUGAUCUUAUACAAACUGAUUUGGCAUUAAUUCAUUGAAUGAAAAUAUAAAAUAAUAAAAAUAAAUCAUGUGGGCCCAAGAUAUAUUUAAUUCAACCAAUUUUAUCAUGACACAUCAAUUUGUACAAGAAUUUGUGACUAUAUUAUUACUCUAUUUUAAAUAUGAGAGAUAUCAUUUCAUUGAAUAAAAUAAAUAAAAUUAUUCAAAUAAUAAAUUAAUUAAUAAAAUUUAAGUAAAUCAUGAAUAAAAAAGAAAUUAAUUAAUUAAAAACAGUAAAUAAUUAAAUAAUUUUUAAUUUAUAAAUAAAAUGGUAUAAUAAAUUAUGGAAGAUACUAUAAAUACACAAAUAUUUUUUUCACAUUAUCUAGUUCUAACUAAACACACAUAAAAAUUAGGAUUAGCAAUCCCAUGAAUUUAGGAUUAAAAUUUGAAUUUAGUCCAUUAAUCCAAUACAUGUGAGCAUGUCAAAUAUGGUAUUAAUAUUUUAUCGCAAUAAUAAGUCCAAUUCUACACUUAAUCCUACCUCCCAAAUAUAACCUUAAGGAUCUAUUGACAUGUGUCAUUAAUGAAAUUAAAUGGCUAAGAUUUUGUUUUAAUUAAUUUUUACCUAAAUAGACAUCAAAACUCAUGUGUGACUCUUGUUAAAUUUUUUCUUACAAAUUCUUUUCCUCUUAAUUCUUUAUAUUUUGACAUUGAUUUCCAGCAAAUUAUUAAAAAAAAGGAGCACAAAUUGAAAAAAAGUGAUUGACAACAAGGUUUGCAUCUUAAUUUCAAAAUUUUCCUUUCUUUGAUGUUUUUGUGGGUUCUAUAAUUUUGGGCGGGUUCUUAUGUAAUGUUACAAUUAACAUUAGAUUAUUUUCACGGUAUAAGGCAAAUCUUGAGAAUGAACCCAUUUCAAUAUGGUUUCCACAAUAUCAGGAUCUUCUUCUCUGCUUCUAUACGUUUAAAUAAGCUGUUUGCCCUUCCUGAUUCACUUUCCUCAUGAAACUUCAGGCCUAAUUUAUCUGCUAUUUCUCCUUGAAUCUCUCGUAUGUUUUUAUUAUGGGAUACCUCAUCUCCUUGAAUCUUUCGUAUGUUUUGAUUACGGGAUACCUCAACAAGAACUACCUGAUAAAAGAGUUCACUCUUGACUUUCCUAGCAACUUCUUCCGCCAGCUUCGUCUUUCCGAUUCCGCCCAUUCCAUAAAUCCCAAGCAUGUUGACAUUGGGAUUUUUUAAUGCAUCCAUUAUGUCAUUCAGAAUGGGCGCUCUUGAUACAAAGGCCUCGUAGUCUUUGUUAGGGAUAAGCCGAAUAUCCUCUGCAGCAGUACGGUAGGAAAUUCUAUCAAAUCUUCUAGCGUCCCGGACUUUGACAAUAGCCUCUUUCAACGUCACUGCUUCCAUGCUAAGUCGACGGCGGGUCUUCAAAUUAGGACACAACCCCUUGAAACAACGCUUAUUUGCUGCGGCUUCAACUUCUGUAAAUUUAUCUGCCUCUUCAAUGACUUUGUUGGCCCCUUCAAGCCAACUCCUAACGUUCUCUUCAAUUUCUUCCCCGUUUCGUUCAGCCUCAUCAACCUGGUGCUCUGUACUCACCCUCUCAGACUUCAGAUUGUCAACUUCUGCCUUGAGAUUCUGUAAGUUGGUAGUGUACUUACUCUCACGCAAAUAGCUAAUUUCGCGAUAUGCGGGAGGAACCAAGCACUUCACAACUUCUACAACAAUAGUAAGAAUGAUUUCAGCCAUCUUCAGUCCUUUGUCCUUGUCUCUCUAUCUCUCUUUUUCUGAAUUUUUGAAAAACAAUUGACUACUUAGGAAGCACACUGAGUGAUUGAACACAAGUGACCACAACAAGAUGGAACAAAAUAAAAAGGAAAAAAAAUACAAAGAGUGGAAGGAGAAUAAAACAGAGACAGCGGCACAGCUGGACACAACUAGAUAGAGAACAGAGCAAAACCAAAUAACAAGACUUAAGAUUACAACAAACAGAGGCCAAGAAUUGUUGAGAUCAGGAGAUGGAAAAUUCAAAAGAGUUGAUGGCAGAUGCUGAAUAACAGAACAACAAUAAACGCAAUAAGCAGAAGCAAAGUGUGUUUGAAUGGAAAGAAAGACUGAUAUUGAAAAUUGAUGUCAAUAGCGAAGGAAUAAUUGAACUUUCGCUGAAUUAUUGUUUGUGGCCUUCUUUUACUUUUUAUUUGUGGGUCAUGUCUUUUGGAACUAAUCAUCUUAGGUUAUGCCUUAUAGCUUUAAGGCCGGUAAACCGGUGUCCGUUGGAUUAGCAUAUAGAAAUCCAACGGUGGAUAUAUAUACUUGGAGAAUAAAAUUCAAGAGCUAAGGGAGUGCUGGGCUGCAGUUUCUUAAGGAGAUUUAUAUAUCCUCCUCAAAAAUAAAUGUUUUAAGGUAGAUAUUUAGACUAUUUCAUCAUAAAAUAAAUGUAAUUAAUUUUCAAUAAAUAUCUUAUAUAAAUAUUUAUUUAUUUUUUUAAUUACUAAUGACCUUUGAAUAUACAUAUAUAUACAUAUCACUUAUGUAUAUACAUAUCACUAAUUCAAAAAAUAAAUUGUGAUUAUUUGUUCAUGUAUGCGAUUACUUGUGAUGGGAAAUAAAAUAGAUAUGGUAUAUUUUGAAGUUAAAUUAAAAAAAAAAAAACAGAGCUUUUACCAUUACUUGCCUUAUCAUCUUUUAAAUUAGAGUUAUUAUUCUUUUAUUUUUCAAGUUGCCAACUCAUCCGCAUUCUCUUUUAUUGAAUUUGAAGAUCAAUGAUUAUAAAUGUGUGUAAAAAUUUUAAGUCAAAACUUUAAAUUAAAAUAAUCUUUAAGUUAUUGAGAAAUAAUAACUUAGUAUAACAAAUAUUAUAUCCUAUACUUUAUUGCUACAAAAUUACGAAACCUUAUAUUAUAUUAUGUUUCCAUAUUUCUCCUUUAUAGUGAAGACUCAUACUUCUUCUCUAUUAAAUGCUAAAGUAUUGGCUUAAAUUUUUUAACCAGCAUAGUAGACCCUUAAGCUAUAUAUACUAUAAUGUCCCUCUUCUCUCAUAGAUUAAACCAAUCUGAUCUCGGAGUGAGUUGAUACCAUGACUUUGCAUAAUUCGUGAUCAAAGGAGCAUCAUUAUUAACUAAUAUAGGCUCCAUCAAUAGGCAUGAUAAUAAUUUUUUUUAUAUACAAACACUGUUUUUCAAAAUAUUAUAUCUUAAGACUUAACUAAAUAUUUUGUAACUAUGUAGAUAUAGUUUGUUUGAUCUCUUUUAAAUAGUGGAGAUUACAAACAAACAUAUGCAAAUUAGUAGUGAUGUUGAGUUUAGAAGAUUGAAGUUAAGAAAAUUAAGGGUUUCUUGAUCUAGAGAAAUUUCAAAUGAGUGAAGUGUCCUUGAAAUCGGAAGACGAAAAUAAGGAAAGGGUAAGGGUGUAUUUUCAAAGUGAUUCUAUUACGAGAUUUUGAAGUAGGGGUGGGCAAGUCGGGUUUUGGUUCGGGUUGUUCAAGUUUCGGUUUGGGUUUCAACCCAAUCGGGUUUGGGAAUUGAAUCCAAUCGGGUUGAAAACGCCAACCCAAACUAAACCGAACCGAAUUUAAUUCAGCUUGGGUUCAUAAUUCGGAUUGGUAAUUCAGGUUAAAAUUUCGGUUCGGGUUAAUUUGGGUUAGAAUAAUUCCAUCUAAAAUUUUGGGUUAGUUUGGUUUAAAACAAAUUGAAACAAUUUAAUCCAAAAAUUAUACCAACAACCACUUAAAAUCCAAAAAUCUCAAUUCCAAACAUCCUUAACAACAAAUAUCAACUACAAACUAUCCUUGAUAACAUUUCAACAAUAACAAUAACAAUAAUAACAACAACAACAAUAAUAAUAAUAAUAACAACAACUAUGAAUCAGCAAUUCAGCAUAUUGCCAUAUUCUAAAUUUAAAAAAACACACAAAUUAUGUAAUUAAUUAAUUAACAAUCUCCAAUUUAAUUUAUAAUAACAACAAAAAUCCUCUCCAAUUUAAUUAAUAACAAUCUCGAAUUGUUCAAUUAUCAGUCAACAACAACAAACCCACUCCAAAUAAUUGAACAAUUGUUAAUUAAUUAAUUAAAAAUAUCUAAUUUAAUUAAUAACAACACCCAAGAGCAAGUCAGCAAUAAACCCACUCAAAAAUCCAAAUAUCAGUAUAAAUUAAGUGUCAAACCUUGAUCGGUGGGAAGCUACAGCGUCGGCAAAUUGUGACCGUGUGGGGCUGAGUAAGACCGUCAACCGAGGGUGUGAGAAGGGAGAAGAGGGAGCAGGGAGGUAACGAUGUGUGUGUGAGUUUAUAUAUAUAUAUAUAUAUAUAAUUUUUAAAACCUAAAACUUAAAAAAAAAAAAAAUUAACCCAAUCCAAACCGCCCACCUCAUAUUACUUCCGUUAAGAGAUGGAUCCCACACUCAUGAGCCUUUGUCGUCCCAGUCAACUAUAAAAACAAAUCAUUAUUGAGUGUGAACAGACUUAUUGAUCACCCAAUUUUCAAACUUGUCAUCCUUAUUGUAUCUGCAUCCCCUUUUGAAAAAUUUUAAAAAAAGUACAAAUAAUGAAACAAAGUUUUGUUCCUUCAACAGUUGAUAGAGUUACGCGGCUUGGACUUGCAAGUGCUGUCGGCAUUUUCAAACUUGUAAGACCCUUCAACUUGCUUUCCAAGAUAGCUAUAAUUAAUAAUGACAACAGUCUCCCUCAUAGCGACUAGUGAGCAACUGAAAUUAACGGCAUCUUCUCUCACAUUUUUAAAAAAAUUGAAUUAUAUAACCCACCAAAACUAUAAAGAAUUGUUAGUUUUUCUUCAUUAAAAUUAAUAUAUUGCUCCUCAUAUUAAAAAAUCAAAAUUCAGAAUAAGAAUGAUUGGUACUGUUUAUUUACUAAAAUGAAAAUAAAAUAUAUGAAGCCUACAUAUUUUUGAAAUUAAAAAACAAGAACUUUAUUUUCCUUGGGGAGUGUUGGAAAUCAAGUUCUUGUUAUUUAAACUCUCAAUUGUAUCUCACCGAAAUUUCAUAAUUCUACUUUUGUCUUCAAUUAAAAUAUUAUUAUAGUUAUUAUUCUUAUUUUUGUAGUUGUUGUUGUUUUUUUUUUUUGGUCUUAUCCACGAGGUAUCCUGGGGAGGGCCCCAACUGUGGGAGGCACCUUUAAGCCCGUACCACAACCCAGACUAGAAGUCCCCGCUCGAACCGGGAGGCACAGGUUCUCCCAACAAAGGCGACUUCCCUGCGACUCGAACUGGGGAGCAAACCCAGUCAAGCCACUUAAGGGGACUCCAUUGCCAGUGGAGCCAACACUUUGUUGGUUGUUGUUGUUGAUUAUGAUAAAUGGUCAGGCAAAUGAUUCAUUUACUUAUUUUUUUCCUUUUAAAUUUUUGUUAUUAAGAAGAUUUUUGGAUAUUUAGCGUGAAGGUCUCAACUGAUCGCUAAUUUCACAGCAACUUCCUUUUUUUUUUCCCUCAAUUGUUUUGAAAAAAUAUCAAGACUCAUUCAGCAAAAUAUCCGAGGCCAAAGCGCCAAAAAUGGGACAGCCACAUGCACUUCUAAUUACAAAAUCUAAAGUUAGGGUGUCCAUAACUUACAUUUAAUAUAAUUUAUAAUUAGGUAAAAUUCAUUCAUUGACCCAGUAAUUUUAUUAUCCUAUUACUUAUAUUUUUAUAUUAAAAAAUUAGUAAGUAGGAAAAUUCUUAAAAGAUAAUGAAGAAGGAAAAGAAAAAGAAAAAGUGUAAAUGAACUGUAUUCACAUAAGUUUCAAACAUGUGAUUCAAUCUGAAUUGGCUUUUUUCAAAAGUAAAUACAAAGGAAAAUAAAAAGAAAAAAGCAAUUAAACGAGACUAAAAUCUGUGGCCUGUGUCAUUCAUAUCUUUUGACAUUUCUUUUAUAGCGGUAUAAAGGGUAGAUAUUUUGAAGUGAAAAGCAAAGCCUUUACUAUUACUUGCCUUAUCAUCUUUUAAAUUAGAGUUAUUAUCCUUUUAUUUUUAAGUAGCCAAAUUAGAGUUAUCAUCCUUUUAUUUUUAAGUAGCCAACUCAUCCGCAUUAUCUAUUAUUGAAUCUAAAGAUAAAUGAUUAUAAAUUUCUCUGAAGAUUUUAAGUCCAAACUAUAAAUCAAAAUAAUCUUAUUGAUUAAGUUAUUGUAUAAUAAUAACCUUAGCAUGACAAAUAUUAAUUCUUCUCUAGUAAAUGCUAAAGUAUUGGCUUAAGUUUUUUAACCAGCACAGUAAACCCUUAAAGCUAUAUAUGCUAUAAUGUCCCUCUUCCCUUACAAAUUAAACCAAUUUGAAUUUAGAGUGAGUGAGUACCAUGAGUUUGCAUCAUUACUAACUAAUACAGGCUCGAUCGAAUUCAUCAUACGAAGUAUAUUAUCGGCUGUAGGUAUGGAAAUAAAUUUUGUAUCCACAAACACUAUUUUUCAAAAUAUUUAAGACUUAACUUAUCAUUUUUUAACCAUAUAUGCAUAGGUUGUUUGACCUAUUUUAAAUAAUGGAGAUUACAACAAAUGAACAUAUGUGGAUUAGUAGUGUUGUUGAGUUCAGAAGAUUGAAGUUAAGAAAAAGGUUUCUUGAUCCAGAGAAAAUUCAAAAGAGCGAAGUGUCUUCGGGAUCAGAAAACGAAAUAAGGAAAGGGUAAGGUUAUACUUUCAAAAUGAAUUUGUUGAGAGAUCUUUGAAGAUUAUUUUCAUUAACAAUUAGAUCCCACACUUGAGUCUUUAUCGUCUCAGUCAGUCAGUUAUAAAGACAAAUUAAUUUUGAGUAUGAAAGGACUUUCAAACUUGUGACCCAGUUAUAAAGACAAAUUAAUUUUGAGUAUGAAAGGACUUUCAAACUUGUGACCCUUCAAGCUUUCUAUGACAGCUAUAAUGAAUAAUUACAACAGUGCUACCUAAUAGUGAGCAACUUGUUUGAUGAAAUUAACAACUUCUUUUCUCUCAUGUAUUUUUAAAAAAAUUGAAUUAUCAAAGCUUUUAUUUCAAAAUUAGUGCUAUAGUUCAUUAAUUUUUCAAAUUUUCCUUUUUUUUUCCACACAACAGAUUGAUUUGCCCUCCAAAAACUGUAUUAGAUUGUUUAAUAUUGUAACUUCAAAAAACUUAUAAUAAAUUUUUAAAGAGAUAAAUAGGGAAUGUCAGUCUCCCAUCUACUCAAAAUUAAUAUAUAUCAUUAACUCCUGAUUAUUUUUAUAACAACUAAUAACUUUCUGGGCAGCAUAAUUUUACAGUAUCAUCCUUGUUUGUAAGUAUAUUUUUUUUCACAUUUAUUAUAAAUUAAUUAAAUCAUAUCAAUGAAAAUUGAAAUAGAAAUUGAAGUACUAAAAAAAAUGUUUUGGUGUGAAUAAAAAAUUGAAAAUAAAAAUAUUUUUAUUAUAUUUUUUUAUUUUUAAAUGGUUUUCUUAUAAUAAAUAUAUAUUUUAUAUUCUCAAAUUGAAUUAUUGAGUAAAUGACUCAUUUACUCACUUUUUCUUUUAAUUUUGUUAUUAGGAGGAUUUUUAGAUAUAAUGAAAAUUGUAAGGUAGUAAGUAAUAUAAAAUAAUUUUAAUAGAGAAAAAUAAAAAAUCUGUUAUUUUAAAAUAUAAGGAGAAAAAUAAUUAAUUUCAAGAUAUUUUAGAAGAUAUUUCAAAUUUUCAAUAUGCGGUGGACUAUAAACUCGAGUCUUUGUCGUCACAGUCAACUAAAAGGACAAAAUAUUGAGUGCGAAGGGCUCAACUGAUUGCUAAUUUCACAGUAAUUGUGUUUUUUCUUUCUUUUUUUAAUUAUUGGGAAAUAAUAACUUAGUAUAACAAAUAUUAGAUCCUAUACUUUAAUGCUGCAAAAUUAUGAAACCUUAUAUUAUAUUAUGUUUCCAUAUUUCUCCUUUAUAGUGAAGACUCACACACUUCUUCUGUAGUAAAUGCUAAAGUAUUGGCCUAAACUUUUUAACCAGCACAAUAAACCCUUAAGUUAUAUAUGCUAUAAUGUACCUCUUCCCUCACAGAUUAAACCAAUCUGAUCUCAGAGUGAGUUUGCAUCGAAGGAGUAUCCUUACUAACUAAUAUAGGCUCGAUCAAUAGGGAUGACAAUAAUUUUUUUAUCUACGAACAUUAUUUUUUCAAAAUAUUAUAUCUUUAGACUUAACUAAAUAUUUUUUUAAUCAUAUAUGUAUAGUUUGUUUGAUCUCUUUUAAAUAGUGGAGAUCACAACAAAGCAAAUGCUAAUUAGUAGUGAUGUUGAGUUCAGAAGAUUGAAGUAAAGAAAACUAAGGGUUUCUUGAUCCAGAGAAAUUUCAAAAGAGUGAAGCGAAAAGUGAAUUUAUUGAGAGAUCUUUGAAGAUUUACUUCCGUUAAGAGUUGGAUGUCACACUUUUUGAGCCUUUGUCGUCCCAAUCAUUCAAUUAUAGGAUCCCUAAGCAUAUAACUUACAAUUCUUUCAUAUAAAUAAUGAGUAGUGUGAACCCAUACAACUUACAACCUUCUCACAUAAAUAAUGAGUAGGUCUAAACUACUCACUAUUCAUAUAAAAAAAUUAUAAAUUAUAUACAUGUAACUUAACAUUAUUCUCCUCUAUAAAGACAUAUUCUUAUUGAGUGUGAAUAGACAUAUUGAUCACUAAAUUUUCAAACUUGUGAUCCUCAUUAAAUGUGAUUCCCCUUUGAAAAAGAAAAAAAAGUGCAAAUAAUGAAACAAAAAUCUGUUCCUUAACAGCAAGUGGUGUCGGCGUUUUCAGACUUGUAACAAGGGAAUGAGAUCCUCUCCUGAACCCGGGUCUCAUUCCCUGUGAAACAAAAAAAGUGCAAAUAAUGAAACAAAAUUCUGUUCCUUAGCAGCAAGUGGCGUCGGCAUUUUCAGACUUGUAAAAGGGAAUGAGGUCCUUUCCUGAACCCGGAUCUCAUUCCCUGUGAAACAAAAAAAGUGCAAAUAAUGGAACAAAAUUUUGUUCCUUAACAGCAAGUGGUGUCGGCAUUUUCAGACUUGUAACAAGGGAAUGAGAUCCUCUCCUGAACCCGGAUCUCAUUCCCUGUGACAAGACCCUUGUCACCCUUCAACUCGCUUUCCAAGAUAGCUAUAUUAAUCGUGACAACAUUACUCUCAGUGAGCAAAAGUUAUCAGCAUCUUCUCCCCAUUUUUUAAAAAAUUGUAUUAUAUAACCCACCAAAACUAUAAAGAGUCUUUUCUUAUUAAAAUUAAUAAAUUACUCUUUAUAUUAAAAAAUUAAAAUUUAAAAUGAAAAUGAUCUGAUGUUUAUUUAUUAAAAUAUAAAUAAAAUAUAUGAAGUUCAUAUUUUUUAAAUUAAAAAAUAAGAACCUAAUUUCAUUCCUUAAAUUCCCAAAUUUACCUCACAAAAAUUCCAUAAACUUACUUUUGUCCUUAAUUAAAAUAUUAUUAUGUUAUUAUUAUGGUUAUUAUUCUUAUUUUUGUAAUAGUUGUUGUUGUUGUUGAUGAUGAUAAUACAUGAUAAUAAAAUUAAUAAUAAUAAAAAUAAUAACUAUAAUUUUAACAAUAGCAGUAAUAAUCAUUAAUAUUAUUGUUGUUGUUCUUAUUUUUAUUCUUAUUCUUAUUAUUAUUAUUAUUAUUAUUAUUAUUAUUAUUAUUAUUAUAAUAAUAAUAUUAUUAUUAUUAUAAUAAUAAUAAUAAUAUUAUUAUUAUUAAAUAAUAAUAUUAUUAUUAUUAAAUAAUUAUUUUGAAUAAUAAUAAUCACAAUUAUUAUAACAAACGACAAUAAUCAACUAAGGUAAUUUUAAUAACUUGUAACGAUUCAUUUUAUUCAAAGAUAUGUGAUUAUUUGUUAAUGUAUGCAAUUACUUGUGAUGGUAAACAAAGUACAUAUGGUAUAUUUUCAAGUUAAAAAAGAAAAACAAAACAUAGUUUUUACCAUUUCUUGCCUUAUCAUCUUUUAAAUUAGAGUUAUUAUUCUUUUUAUUUUUCAAGUUGCCAACUCAUCUGCAUGCUCUUUUAUUGAAUUUGAAGAUCGAUGAUGAUAAAUUUGUGUGAAAAAAUUAAGUCAAAGUUUUAAAUUAAAAUAAUCUUUAAGUUAUUGGGAAAUAAUAACUUAGUUGUAAUAAAUAUUAUAUCCUAUACUUUAUUGCUACAAAAUUACGAAACCAUAUAUUAUAUUAUGUUUUCAUAUUUCUCCUUUAUAGUGAAGACUCGUACUUCAACUUUUUAACCAGCACAGUAGACCUUUAAGCUAUAAAUGUUAUAAUGUCCCUCUUCGCUCAUAGAUUAAAACAAUAUGUAGCCUUCUCUCAUAUAGAAAAACUUUUUGUAUAAGACAAAUUAUUAUGUUAUAGGAAAAAUUACAGUAGACGUAAGCCAUAUAUGUUAUAAUGCUCAUAAGUUUGAAGUUAAGAAAAUUAAGGAAAGGAUAAGGGUGUAUUUUCAAAGUGAAUUAUUAAGAGAUCUUUAAAGAUUACUUUCGUCAAGAUCUGGGUUCCAUACUCUUGAGCCUUUUUCGUCUCAGUCAACUAACAAGACAAAUUAUGAUUGAGUGUGAACCGUCCGACUUAUGGAUCACUAAAUUUUAUCCUUAUUGAAUCUGCGUUCCCCUUUGCAAAAGUAAAAAAAAAAAAGGUGCAAAUAAUAAAACAGAAUUGUUGGCAUUUUCAGACAUGUAAGACCCUUCAACUUGCUUUCCGAGAUGGAAAAUGCUACUCAGCGAGAAUGCCGAGAGAAACGGCAUACAGUUUCUCUCGGCCCCACUCCACGUGAAGACUUUCUCUUUUCACAUUUUUUACGCGUUUCUCUUUUCUCUCCCCCCACGUGAACACUUUUGCCUUUUGCUCGUUCACGUGAAAGUCAGUUUAGAAUUUUGAUCUUAUUAAUCAUGACAAUUGACAACAUUACUCCCACCGAGCAAAAGUUAACAGCAUCUUCUCCCACAUUUUUUUAAAAAAAAUUGUAUUAUAUAACCCACCAAAAGUAUAAAAAGUAUUUUGUUAUUAAAAUUAAUAAAUUACUUUUUAUAUUAAAAAAUUAAAAUUUAAAAUAAGAAUGAUUGAUGAUGUUUAUUUAUUAAAAUAAAAAUAAAUUUUAUGAAGUCUAUAUAUUUUUUAAAUUAAAAAAUAAGAACUUAAUUUCUUAUGAACUGUAUUCACUACUUAGUAUUCUUAAAAGCUAACGGAGAAACCACUCGGCUCAGCCCGAGUGGCUAGGGCUGCUGCCCUCCAAGUUGGAGGGCAGCAGUUCGAACUCCCACAAAAGUAUUGUGGGGGUAUUUUUUUCUUCAAUUAAUUUGAGUGAAGGUAGUCUUCUCUCUUACCCAUGAGUGAGGAGUAGACAUCCCUCGAAUAUUUGUGAGGGUCAAAAUCUGAGCAGAGCUCCAUUAGUAAUUAUGUAAGUUGGUCUCAGUACUAGUCUGAUUUGUAAAUAUCAGUUAUAGUCUCAUGUAUAUGAGUUGUAAUCUGAGCAAUAGUCUCAUGUAAUAAAAAAAAAAAAAAAAAAAAGCUAACGGAGAAGGAAAAGAAAAAAAAAAGUGUAAAUGAACUGUAUUCACCUAAGUUUCAAACAUGCGGUUCAAUCUGAAUUCGCUUUUUUCAAAAGUAAAUACAAAAGAAAAUAUAAAGAAAAAAAUUAAACGAGACAAAAAUCUGUGGCGUGGGUCAUUCAUAUCUUUUGCCAUUUCUUUUGUAGAGGUACAUAGGGUAGAUAUUUUGAAGUGAAAAGCAGAGCCUUUACUGUUGCUUGCCUUAUCAUCUUUUAAAAUUAAAGUUAUUAUUCUUUUAUUUUUAAGUAGCCAACGGAUGGUAGCCAACUCAUCCGUGUUCUGUAUUAUUGAAUUUAAAGAUCAAUGAUUUAUGUUAAUAAAUAUUUUGUUAACUAGCAAAGUUUUUAUUUCAAAAUUACUCCUAUAAUUCAUUAAUUUUUCAAUUUUUCCUUUUUCUAUUCACACAACAGAUUGAUUUGUCCUCCAAAAAAAUGUAUUAGGUCGUUUAAUAUUGUAACAUCAAGAAACUUAUAAUAAAUUUUUAAAGAGAUAAAUAGAGAAUGUCAGUCUCGCAUCUACUCAAAAUUAAUAAAUAUACCACUAACUUCUUAUUAUUUUUAUAAUAACUAAUAACUUUUUUAGCAGUAUAAUUUUAUAAUAUUAUCAUUGUUUGUAAGUACAUUUUUUAUUUAUAUUUAUUAUAAAUUAAUUAAAUCAUAUCAAUAAAAAUUAAAAUAACACAAUAAGUUUUGGAGUGAAUAAAAGAUUGAAAAUAAAAAUAUUUUUCUUAUAUUUUUUGUUAUUUUUAAAUGUUUUUCAUAUAAUAAAUGUACAUUUUAUAUUCUUAAGAUGAAUUUUGAGUAAAUGACUCAUUUACUCAUUUUUUUCUUUAAAUUUUUGUUACUAGGAGGAUUUUUAGAUAUAAUGAAAAUUGUAAAGUAGUAAGUAAUAUAUAAUAAUUUUAAUAGAGAAAAAUAAAAAAUCUCUUAUUUUAAAAUAUAAGGAGAAAAAUAAUUAAUUUUAAGAAAUUUUAGAAAAUAUUUUAAUAUGCUGUGGAUCACACCCUCGAAUCUUUGUCGUCUCAGUCAACUAAAAGGACAAAAUAUUGAGCGUGAAGGCUCAACUGAUUGUUAAUUUCACAGCAAUUACUUUUUUUAUUCUUUCUUUGUUUUUCCUAAUUAUUUUGAAAUAGUAGGUAGCAAUUGCUUACAUCAAAAUAUCUAGACUCACUCGGCAAAGUAUCCGACGCCAAAAUGUCAAAAGGUGGGACACCCAUGCAUCUAAUUACAAAGUCUAAAGUUAAUGAAAAGAGAAAAAGAAAAAGUAUAAAUGAACGGUAUUCACCUCACUUUCAAAUUUAACUGUUGGGUCUUCCUACUAUGCACCUGGUGUAUGCAUGAUUCCUUGUGACAUGACAUACAGCCAAUUAAAUUCUGACAUACUUGCAAUAAGGUCUGUUAAAGUGACCGGUUAUUCCAGUUGAAUUCACAAGAUCUCUUGUUUGCGUGUUUAUGUUCCAAGUUGUGUACUCUGUGUUGCGAGUUCUCUAAUUAGUCUGAAAUUAUCGCAACUGUUAGCUCAAUAAUGUUACAGGUUUUAUAAUAUAUGUCACUGGUAUGAUCGCUGUCACAAAUUUAGAACGAAAAGUUUCUAAUAAAAUAAGUUAUUUAAUUAAUUAAAUAAGAAUAAAAUGAAUUUAAUUUUGAAUUAUUUUGACCAAAAUUUAAGUUUUUUUUAAAUUUGUUUAAAAAAAUGCGUUGUAAUUGUCUUGUUUUAAUUGGAAAAUCAAUGAAAAAAUUAUGUAACAGACAAAAAAAAAAAAAGCAAAACGGCUUGUUUUGGAUGGUGGCCAUAGAUUCCAAUAUUUCCUUCACGAAAACUACAAAAAAUUAUCAAAGGCAUCAAUUUCUACACUCUCACCGAGCAAUACUCUUAACCCAGAAGGAAGUGUAUAAACCAACCCCAAUCAGUCCAUCAAUGUCGUCAACCUCAUACAUCAUAAAAAAAAUCUGUAUCCAUUAAACCGCCAUUUAAACCGUCUUUAUUGAGCCAUUAGACUAUUCGUGUCAUCUUAGCAUCUCGUUGUAAUAUUUUGCCGUUUAAAUCUAGUUAUCAAUGGGAGAAAAUGGAGACCAAUCUGCAAGUCUUUAAAAUAGAUAGGAACUUUAAUUGGGCACUAUGUUCACGGUGGUGGACCCAGCAGUAUUAAUCUUUAGGCAGAGCUAUUUGUAUUUUAAAAAUUAUUUUACACACUCUAAUUUUAAUUAGAAUAUAUAUUACAAAAAUACUUAUCAUAUAAGUUACUAGACAAUAUAUUAUAAGUCAACAUUAUAUAAUUACUUUGAACACUUAUAUAGCACAAUCUUUAUUUAAUUUUUUAUUCUCAUGACUUAAAUAUAAAAAAUUUUAUUUCCAACAGAUGAAUAAUAAAGAAAUUAACUUUGAGAAAAAUUUAAAUACAAAAUAUGUGUAAUACUUUUAAAAAAUAAAAUAAAACAAAAGUAUUGCACAAUAUAUAUUUUUUUUUGGGGGGCUUUGGCCAUUCUUCUUCUUCUCCUUCUCUCUCUCUCUCUCUCUCUUUGGAUAGUAUUUAUGGAACAUUUUCUAUUGUUAUGUUUAAAGCUGUUAAAAUGAGUCAUCAGGUCGUGUUUGUGUCGUGUCAAAUUUAAGUCGACCCAUUUAAUAAUCGUGUCAAAAUAUUGAGACCCAAACCCAACACAAAAAAAUAAUCGGGUUACUCAAUAACCUGCUUAAUAUCUAUAUAUUAAACAAAAAUUACAUCAAAUAUUUACACAUUAUCAUACAUACAUAUGCGCAUACAUACAUACAUCCAUACAUACAUACAUAAUUUAUCGAUAUUAUAAAAUAUAUAUAUGUACUAAAAUAUUACACACACUAUUGAGGUUUUAAUUAUAUAUAUGUAAAUAAUAUUAUAUAUCAAUAUUAUAAAAUAUAGAUGUCUACGAAUAUUUUAUACAUUUAUACUAUUAAAGUUCUAAAUGUAUUUAAAAUUUUAUAAAUAAAAUAUUGCGUCUAUAUUCAUCCUUUUAAAGAAUUAAAAAAAGAAAAUAAUCUCUAAUAUUUGAGUUUUGAUGACAAGAAUUUACAAAUUAUUUUAAAAUAAAAAAUAUAAUCAGGUCAUUGAUCGGGUAAAUAGGUCAAGAAUUUUAAUCCUAACCCGAUACGAAAAAAAAUCGUGUUGACCUAAACCCGGCCCAUUUAAUAAUCGUAUUAAAUUCGACAACCCAUACCCAUUUAUUAAUGUCGUGUUCGUGUCAGGUAAUCGAAUCGUGUCAAAUUUUGCCAGCUCUAGUUAUGUUCUCGUCGCAAGUUAUUUUGGGUCCAAAUACAAUAUUAAAAAUAAAUUAAAUAAAAAAUUAGUAACUAAAAUUAUGUUAAAUUAUUUUUUAUAACUUAAAUUUUAAUUAUAUUAUUGUGAGUAUAUUACUAAAUCUCUUAAAAAUAGAGUGUUGAAUAAUUUUAUUAGUUUUUUAAAUAAAUAAAGUUACCCAAAUCGUUUUAUUAUCACAUUAUUUUCCAUAAAAAAAGUUUACAAUUACCUCUUUAUUGGACAAUUUUGUUCCUUCUCUUACCUUAUGUUCCCUUACAUUCUCAUUUAUGCAUCACCAAGUUUGCUAUAAUGUACGUGAAGAAUAGUUAAAGAGCUCUUUCGUGUCCUUACCCUUUUUUUUGGGUUUACUUUUGCUGCCUUUUUACGUUUCUCCAUAAUUCACUCCAACAUCACUGACGCAUUUUCUUCUUUCUCACUGCAACAUCAACUGGGCCACCACCUCUUGCCUCUGCCGGUUCCCCUCAAUUUUCGUAUUCAAUGUCCACAGUUGAUUGUACAUUUAUUAAAAUUCUGUGGUUUUGCCUAUAUUUAAUUCCACACGGUCUAUCGAUAGAGCAUGUGCAUCGUAGUUGUGGCCUUAACUAUUAUUGGUAACUCAAUAGCUAAUUCUAAUGUUUCAUCAAGCAGUUUAGAGAUAACCUCUCUCGCUGAACUCCCUGGAGUAAUGCAAUCCAGUUUUCCAGUGCAAUCAUCAGACAGUUGAACAGCUUCUGAAUUCCCUUUGCUUUUCUUGUUUUCUUUUCCAUGUAAAGGGAGCUCAGGCUUCAAUAUAUAUAUCUGGGGAUUGGGUACUAAUGAUAAAGACAACAUACGGUAGAGGACACAAAUUGUUAUCAAAGAAUGAUGCACUUUUCAACUGAGUACAGUAAAGCAAGAAUGGGUAAUUAGUUUUACCUGCUAAGCGAAAAUCUAGACUCCCGAAGGUAACAGAUCUUGGGUGAAGCAAAUAAAGAAGAAGGCGAAGUAAAAUUCACUGAGUUGAAUGAGCGAUCAUUGCGUAUGGACUUGAUUUGUUCAAUGGGUGAAAGACUGCUGAUAUAAUUAAAGACUGGAGAAUCCUGCACGUUGACAAGCAUCAUUUUUAAUCUAACAUAGAGUCUUAAAAACCUUGUCAGUGGCAAAUGAUCACGACAAGCAAACUGAAGUUCAAACAGCAGAGCUCAACAAAUCAUUAAGAGAAAAUAAGACCAUUAACCAAGCAGAUGAAAGAAACGCAAAAUAACCCAUCUCAAAUCACCGCAUGCACAAUUUAAGGGGGUUGUGACAUGGGUUUAAGCAUGAUUUAACAAGUGCCACCAGUGAAUUCUCAGAGAUUGAAUUUUCAUACACAUGCAAAUUUCCAAGUCCAACGAAUUGUUGUCUUUCUGAAGAUAUUAACGAUGCAUAGCAUGCUAUAAACAAAUCAUAUUAUUAGGGCCUUUGUUUGCUGUACACAACAUAUGUACAGAGGAACAAAUCCAUGAGCUGAAAUCAUCAUAUUCCAAAAUAUUCUACCCAAUCAACACCACAAAACCCUAACGCUAAACAGAAUUGGAGCAAUUUACGAAAGCUAUUUGUCACACAAAGCGCUAGUACCUCUGAACCCAAUUUGCAGAUGAAAAAUAACAAAUGCCCAAAUGAAAAAAUCAGGAAAAAAAAAUGCUCAAAUUCAAACUACAACCCCAUAAGCUGAGUCGUUCUCUUCAAACUAAAUUUAACACUGAAUAAAAAAAUUAAAAAAUUAAAAUGGGGAGAUUAACCUCAAACUUGGAAACAGAAGCGACAGUGAUCUGUUUCCUGUCUGGAGUGUCCAUUUCUAUAAUCUACUUUGUCUGUUUUCAGUCGCUCCGCCACAAAGCUUUUUCCCUCUGAAACUGAAACUCACACACACUUGCAAAGCGAAAGCAUUUGAUUGAUUGAGAGGCGGGAAGGCGGGAAAAUGGAAGAAAUUUGCUUUUGUUUUUUCUUGGUUUGGUCAAACACGUGCGGGCCCCAGCUUGACAAGCGGUUCUAUUACUACUGUAUUAUCUACAUGACGCGUGUCACGCGAUCUCGAUAGAAAAGUGGUAAAAAAUUCUAAUGAUUACCCAAUGGCGAUAAAAAUAAAAAUAUAUUGUUAAUUUUUUACUUAACAUUGGAAUAUCAUAUAAUUUUAUGGUUAUUUACUCGCCGUUAUGCCAUAUUCUUAUGAUCAAAUAAUACAGUAAAAUUUUUCUAUAAUCAUAACGUUAGAACCAAAUUAAUUUCACUUCUAUAAAAAAAUUAUAGCUUAAUAAAAGUAUAAUUGUAAAAAUUAUUAUUUUAACUUACUUAUCCUUAGUACAAAUGAUGUAAAGUAAAAUAUAUGAUAAUUAAUUAAUGAAUUAUGUCAAAUACAAUGUACGGACAAUGAUAAAAGAUAAUUCAAGUGUGACUCUUAUCAAAUUCUUUUCCCCUCAACUCUUUAUAUUUUGACGCCGAUUUCCAACAAAUUAUUGAAAACAAAGGCAAAAAAUGGAGAAAAGUGAUUGGCUACAAGGUGUGCAUCUUAAUUUCAAAAUUUUCUUUUUCUUUGUUGUUUCUCUAGGUUCUAUAAUUGUUGUUUUCGUGGUCAAUUGCAAUUCAAUGAACUAAAUUAGUAGUAAAUUGCUAUUACUGGGCAUAUAAUUCUAUUGCUGCAAUUUUACUACUGUUUAGCUUUUUUUUUUUAGUUUAUAAUUGCUGUUUUGUUGUCUUUUUUAGGUUUUCAACUGUAGUUUGCUGUUUUUCUAGGUUCUAUAGUUGCUGCUUCGGGAAAAAUAAGAAUAAAUGUGAUCUUGAAUUAUUUAACUCUUAUGAAACAUCUUUAGCUGUUGCAUUUUUUCACUGUAUUAGUAUUGGCGGGAUGGAUGUUGAAUAGGGAUGGCAAAGUCCAUAUCCGGAUCUAAAUUGAUAUUUCUAUAUUCGGAUCCGCAUCCGAAUCUACACAUUUUUUUUUUUUUCGCGAAUCUGGAUGUGGGUAAUCUUCGUAGGGAUUGCAAGCAGAUAUCAUGGAUAUCUAGGUCCGCAUAAAUUAAAAUUUAAUAAUUUAAAAUAUAAUUUAAAAUUCAAUAACUUACCUAAUAAUAUCAAGUAAAAUCCAAUUAUAAUUUAACAAUCAACAAUUCAAUACCUAAAAUAACAUAUAACAUCAUUAAGUCAUAAAUAAAAAUAUCACAAUAUAAAUCAAAAUAAAAAAAAAACAUAAAUCUAAGUUUAGCACCACCACAAAUUCACGAAUAAAAUUAUAAAAACACCACAAAUCCAUAUAAAAUAAUGUGAAUUCCGAUAUAUUUCUUAAUUUAAUUUUACUUCUAUAUUUUUUAGUAAUCCUAUUAUCUUUUUUCAUUUAACUUAUAUAUUUUUCAUUUAAUUUUAAUUUAACAAAUAAUUUAAUUAAAAAAUAAGAUGGAUCCAGAUCCGGAUUUGGAUCCUCUUGGAUUCUAAAUCUUAGGAUCCGAAUUUAAAUUUUUUUAAUAUGUAUAUCUGAAUUCUAAAUCUUUGCGGAUCUGAACCAGAUCCUGAUAUUUUUACCAUUCCUAAUGUUGAAAGGGCAAUAAUUUGUGGGAAAAUAAUUUGACAAGAGUCAUGCAUGAGUUUGGAUGUUUGUAUAAUGUAAAAUUUAUACUUAAUAUGAUUGAAAUUGAGACUAAAAUAUUUUACCUAAAAUUCACUAGCUAGCUUUGCCUUGAUGGGCCUGUGAUCGCCCAUACAUAUUUCUUCAAAUUUAUUAAUAUUUUUGUGCAUAGCAAUUAGGGAUAUAUGACAACAAAUUCUCAUUUUUAGUGUGUCGAAAGUAUAUUCACAAGUUGUGUGCCCCUUGGAAUGGGCACAGCUCACCGACUUGUAGCCUCUUUCUUCAGUUCACCACUCUAGUUGGACUCGCCAAUGAGAUUAAACAUUAAAUACAUCUAAAAUUAUGUCGAUUAAUAUAUGCUCUUUUUAUAUAUUUCCCCUAGCUUAUUAAUAAUUUUAUAGAAUUAUACAAAAAUUGAUAUUUUGUAGCAUAUCAUGUUUGUUUAGUGUUCCCGUGUACUCUAUGUUUGAUAAUUUAAUUAGCUAAUAAGGACAUGAAUAAUAUUAUUUCACUCACUAUGUCAUUGGUCAGAAAAAAAAAAAGGAAAGAAAAACUCAAUUUGAGAUGUUAUACAUUAUUUUUUAUUACUUCCCAUUUCAGAUGAAUAUUUAUCAUAUAUAUUCUUAGUAACUUGUAACCCUUUCUGCUAAGGGUAAAAUGUUUUUGUUACCCCUUAUAUUUAUGAGAUUGUCCUUAUAGUAGUGAUGCUGGCCCCAUUUUCUAAGAGUACAUUUGGAAUUGAGAUUGUGUAGUUGUAGCUUAAAAGUCACAAUAUUAAAAUAUUUGGUCAACACUAGCUAUUGUAGUUUGGAAGCUAUGUUGAUAUGAUUUUUUAUUUGUAUAAUAGAAAAUCUAUUAUAUCUUUAAUAAUUUUGUUAAAAUUAUUAUUUAAACAUUAUAUUUACUAUAUAUUAUUAAUUUUUAUUUUAUAAUUACUGUUUUUUUUCUACAGCAAUUGUAGCUUUUAAGGUUAAUCACCUCAAUCCCAAACAAGAUCUAAAACUGCUAUCUCUAUGUGUAAAUUCCUUAAAAAAAUCUUUUUUAAUUAAAAUUAUUUAAAUAAUUGAAGAUAAAUUAAUUUAUUUUUUAUUUGAAUGAAAAUUCAAUUAAGCAUUUAAAUAAGCUAUUCUCUCUUAACAAAUUUUUUACGCCCAUCUUGUUUCAUAAUUUAUAUUUGUAUUUUAAAUUUUAAUCGAAAGUACGUUUUGAGAAACUUUUAAGAAUUAAGAAUUAUGGAAACAAAAAUUAUGUAAUAAGAAGAAAAUAAUUUAAAUUCUUAAGAUUUGUAUGUAUUUAUAAAUAAAAACUUGCAAGAAAUACUCUUUUCAAGAUAAGAUUUAGUGAGAAAAUUAUUAAAUUUUAAUUUACGAAUUAAUAUUUUAUAAAUUAAACUGGGGGUAUCUUAAGGAAUAUAAUUCAAUUGAAUUCAGAAAGAGUGUUUAUAAGGAUUUUUUAGGGGUGUUAAAAGCUCCACUUAUUUACGCAAGGAAUGGGAAUUAGGGUAUUGGGUAGGAGUGUUCGCGGAUCGGACAUCAAUCCAUAUCCAAUCCAUGAUUUUGUAGAUUAUGAAUUUUCAAUCAAAUCCAAUCUACGGAUUGGUUAAACUCAAUCCAAAUCCAAUUCAUAUAUUUGUGGAUCGGAUGCGGAUUUGACUCAAUUCAUAUCCAAUCCAUCAUUUUGCGGAUUGAUCUGCAGAUUACAAAUUUUUCAUUUGGUCCAAUCCACGAAAUAAUAAAAUGAAAAAAAGUAAUAUAAAAAUAAUUUUACUACCAAUCAAAUUCAAAAUUGAAUAAGAUUUAAAUAAAUAAAUUAUUUAAAUAAAACUAAAAAAAUGCAUUAAAGUUAAAAUACAACACACCGAAAUUAAUUGUUCAAAUGAAGAUAAAAUAAUACAUUUAAAGUUUCAAAAUAUAAUACAUUAAAAUUAAUUGUUGAAUUAAAAUUAUAAUAAUACAUUUAAAGUAUCAAAUUAUGACACAUCAAAAAGAAAAAUAUUUGCUGCCAAUUUGUAUUUUGUACUUUAACUUGAACUAAAUAAACAUAAUUGAAAUGAAUAACAAAUAAAAAAAUUUUAUUGAAUAAAAAAAUUAACAAAUAAAAUAAUUUUGUUUAAUGACUGCUUGCACAGAGAUCAAGAAUCGUUGGAGAAGAUGGCCGAAGGAGAAGUUUAAAGCUAGUAAGAAUCGUUGGGUGUUGGUGGCUCUGUGCUUGCGACAGGGAAGGAUAGGAAGUCAAGGGUUUUUUGUGUGCUUGUUACGGGAAAGUUUAAGAAGUCAAGGUUUUUUGUUUUCUAGUGGCUGCUUUGGUGAAGUGGCAUUUAGGAUAAAUGUUUUGUUUGGUUUAUAAUUUUUUAUUUUGUUUCAGAAUUUUUACAACUUAUCUUUGUAUAUUUUAAUUAUUUAUGUUAUUUUUGAAUAAUGGAUAAGGUAUCUUAUGGUGUUAAUAUAAGUAUGUAAUUACAUUUAACUUACUUAUUUAUUAGUAAUGUCAUAUUUAUAAAUUUUUUAAUUAAAUAAAUAUUUUUUUAAAGAUUGGCGAAUUUUUACGGAUUUACAAAAGUAAAUCCAUAUCCAAUCCACCGCUUGUGGAUUUUUAAAUUUUUAAUCCAAUUCAAUCCACCAAUCCACGGAUAAGAUUUUUACGAACCAAAUUUUUACGGAUCGGACGAAUUGAGCUGAUCGAACCGGAUUCUGAACACCCCUACUAUUGGGUUUCACUUUGUUUUACAUGAAUUUGGGAAAAAUACACGGAUAGACAAGGGAACAGUCAUUGUUAAGCUGUGAAGCUUGUGGAAGAUACCAUUGCCUAUUUGCAGCUUAAACUCCUGGAGCUUUGCUCAUGCUUUCUCUUUCCCACUUUCUCAUGGAACAGAUGUAUACAUCAUGAAAUGAAAACAACAGCACAAAUUGCUGUCUCGUAAGAGAAACAGUCAUACAUAGUAGGUUAGGCCUCAUGUCCAUUAACUUACUAAUGAAUUUUAUGAAAAUUGGCUAUCUCAUUGAAAUUACAUAGGUAUUGGAAACCCUUACUCCAGCUGCAUCAUCUCAUCAGUGAAAGCUGGAUUUUCCAUUUGUUCUUGAGAUUCAUAUUAAGGCAGCAAAUUGCUCAUCCCAUACUAUCUAUGUAAUCCUGUAAAAGGGAAGGGCGUUUAGAUGUGGAAAAACCUUACUCCUGCCGCUGCACCUCAAACAGAUUGCGAUCACACAAGACUUAGUUCAUCAUUAGUAGUAGUUGGAGCUUCCAUUUGUUCUUGAGAUUCAAAGGCAGCAAGCUGCUUCCUCAGUGCUACUAAUUCUUCCCCGGCAUUGCAUAUGUAGGCUGAGGCUUGUCUACCAGACAAAGUUGCUCCUUCCAUACUAUCUAUGUAAUCCUGUGAGAGUGAAACCAUUUAGGAGACAUAUCUCUUUUUUUUCCCAAUAUUUGGGAUGAAACAAUGAUAUACAGUUACCUGUUUUGUAUACGAGCCAGCAAGGAAGAAGUUCUUCACAGGUGUCUUUUGAUCAGGUCUGAAGGGGUCUUUACCAGGUCCCUCACGGUACAAAGAUUGCCCGAUUUUGACAACAGAUGACCAAAUAACUUCUAAACCUUGGGAUGAUGGAAAUAGAGCUAAAACCUAAUAAAAUGAACCAUGAAUGGAUAAUUUGUACUGAUGUAUGUUAUCCAGAAAGUUGCAUGACCUUUUGUGGUACUCAGGUCACUAAAAAAAACGUGAGAUAAACAUCUAGGAUAAGAAAACCAAAAAUAGUAACCUAAUAUGUAUUAUAUGAAUUGAAGGUGUCACUGAACGCUACCAACCUGCUUUGCCACUCUCCUUAUGAUUUCAUCAUUUGGUAAGGGCAUGUAAGGAUCGCCAGGCGUCAAAACACAUCUGCAAGAUAAUAUGGUUAUAGUGAGAAACACAGAAUACAAAGACACUUGGCAAAAGGAAGUCAACCAGAUUCCAUGCACAAAAUGAAACUAAAAACGACAAGGAUUAGAAAUUUUUCUUACUGGAGUAAUGAACCUUGCCCUUCUCUGUAGUAGUCUUCUGGUGAAGUGAGUGCUAGAUCUGCAAAGCAAGAGAAAUCUGCAUCUGGAGUAUACAAAAGGUUAUCUAACCCCAGAGCUUGCCUCAAUUGCCUACAUGUUCAAAACAAGGAUCUGUUAAAAAAUGGAAAUUUCUUCAAUGCCUUAGUAAAGGGAAGUGAAGUGAAAGCUGAUUUCUUAGGCCUUUAAAGAGCAUCUUGUGUUUGAAUUCCUGUAACCUCACAAAAGAUUAGAGCAUCACCUUGACCGUUCUAGGUCUUGCAACUCAGUAACCCAACCAUUGUAUCUAAGCUGCACUGUGACCACAGGAACUCCAACUAGCUCAUAAAUAUUGUUGAAAAUUUUCAUUUCCCUCCACGAUGAUGGAAGCAAUCUUUUAAUUCCAGGGACAUCACAUGCUGCCAUUAAAUAAGAAGUUGAAUAAAGAAAAAUCGUUCAACUAAAUGAUUCAGGAGGAAAAAAAAAAAAUUAGAAGUAGAAAUAAAUAAGGAAGAUUUAACCAUCAACCUGCAACAUAUGCAUCAGCUUGCACAACCUUCUUGUCAGUGGCCUGAAAUAGAAUAAGAACUUGUAAGACACUAAGAAUUAAAGAAUAAACUCAAAGAAGCUGCUUCUAACAGACGAUAUAAACAACAAAUUUACAAAGGUCAUUGCAUUAGCUCCAUGCCUCCAUCAGAGGGAAUAUUAAUAGAUGCGUAAAAAAAUAAUUAGAGCCAUAUGUGCAACAAUUUACCUUAGACAUGGCAAGUCCUCUGACAUAUGUUUCCCCGCUAGCAGAUUUAUCAUAAAGUAUCUCUCUGCACCCCCACCUAAGAUGGAACCUGUUCUCACAAAAACAGAUCCCAAGGUUGGGAAAAUCAGUUCAUCAUAGGAGAAAACAAACAAGAUUAACAAAUCACUACAAUGGUGUGAACCUGUAACUACAACUGUACCUGCCCCCUUUAUCUGUGAUAUAUUUUCUUAUGGGCCCACUCAAAUAAACAUCCGGAGAACCCUUGAGCAUCCGCAAUAGGGAAGCCUCGGUCUUAGUCGCAAACAGUGCAAAUAUAGUAAGCAUACAACGAGCACUGAUGUUAUCACAAUCAAUAAACCCAAGGGCAUAAGCAACAGGAUCCCACAUUCUUUGAAUACUCGUCCGUGUUCCACCCUUGGACAAAAACCAAUCAGAGAAGCUUAUCUGUAAGAAGAAAUAAAGUUUUAGGUAAAAUAACAACUUGCAGGAACAGGGAUUGAAAUUCAAACAAACAAGAAAAUAUGAUGUCAAUUCUUACACUAUCCAAAUCUCGUAUGUCCUUCAAGGCUCCAUCAGGAUCAACAAGUGCCUUUACAACAGGACUCAGAGCAAGAGCAAGAGCAUUUCUUGCUUUAUCAUAAGUCUGCACUUGAGCAAUAUACGAGGCAAAGUACAUCAAAAGAGAAUCCAGAAUAGGCAAGAAGCUUCAACAUGAAAAAAGGAGUACUGCCUCAUCAUACUGCUUUGCAAUCACAGUACAAAAGAUAACAUCAACAAAAUCAAAAUGGAACAUAAAUCCAUAUGCACUACCUUAAGCUGAUUUGUAGACAAAAAUGCGCGAAUCCCAUGCAAUGGAGCUCCAAUCGGAAACCGGAAAUCAAGUUCUGGAGUUGAAAAUCAAAAUCAUGAACCAAAUCAGAGUUAUUAUUGGAUUAGACAAUCCAUAAACCAAUAUAAGGUGAUGUCAAACCAUCAAGCAUAACUAACCACCAAGCACAAUUAUCAGUAGUUUUAAGUGAUCAAGAAAUAACUAUACCACCAAUUUCACCACCCUUAUUUACAAAUGUAUGAGUAUGAUCCUUGACAAGUAAAUUUUUGUCCGCACCGAUCUGUAGACAACCAUGAAAAACUAUCAGAUCAUUAACACAGGUUCCAUGUAAAGAGGAUCUAUGAUUAUGAUCCAUCAUGUUAUUUGAACAACAUUUUCGGAUUUUCUUACAACCCUAAGCUAUAAUCAGUUAUCAUCACUUUAAAUGGUAUGGUCAAGAGGAAUGAUAGUUCUUGUUUCAAGAAUCCCAAAUCAUAAUUCUUUUGCAAGGCUUUUGUGCUUUUACAAUCAUUCAAACACACAUAUCCACAAAUAAGCAAGCUUUACCUUUUUCAUCAAUCGGAACAGAUUAUUGUAGCACCCAAAGAAAACGUGCAGGCCCAUUUCAAUAUGGUUUCCACGCUUAUCGACAAAUGAACCCACUUUACCACCGAUAAAAGACCUUGACUCAUAUAUAUCCACCUGGAAGAAAGGAAAAGGGGAAAAAAUUCUUCUAAUUUCUAUUACGAUCAACAAAAUGAGAAAAACACAUACUAAUUCAAAAUGAAAUAAACUUUGUAAAUUGAAAUAAUGCCUGCUCUUAAGAGAAAUGAUGGCUGCUGAUAUUUUUUCCAAACUGCUGAUAAAAGCUUCUGCUAUUUACUUUGAAAAAAUUGAGGUUAAACCCAUUUACUUGAAAUUUUGAGUUUAGGCAAGAGGAUGAAUGGCAAAAUUGAGACAUUUUAGGGAAAAAGAAAGUACGUCAAGGGCCAAUGUAAACAUUCAAAAGAUUGAAAUCUAAAUGAGCAAAACCUCAUGGCCUUGAUCCAACAAUUCCACUGCUGUUGACAUGCCCGCAAGCCCAGCUCCAAUAAUAGCCACUUUCAGCUUUGGUCCUCUAUAAUGUUCCGGUUCUGGCGGAAACAAACCCUUGGGAGCUGCCAGGUAUACCAUCCAAUUAUCCACAGCGAUAUUGGAAAUAUAUAUGUGUUUGAAAGUACUAAAUUUCUAAACAUGAAAUGUCUUCCAAAAGAAAAACAAAGCAGAAAUUGCAUAAGCAUUUCAAUUCCCAAUAAAUUUCAAGAAUACAUAAUACUCGGUCUGUUCUUCAAUUCCUUUAAUAAAUUUCCACUAGAGGGCACGCAAGCCACUCAAUAACACUCCAAAGCCAGAUUUUCAAACGUUAUCUUGAUCUAUAACUACAAUCCAUGAGCAAUUCUCCCAAAAAUUCAAUCCAAAAUUGUUCCAAGUACACUGCUAAAUUCUCCAUGAAUUCCCUCAAAAAUUUAUAAUCAGCAAACACUACGAACCAAAAAGAGCUGAAGAACCCAGCAAUAAACACAUAAGAAUGCCACCAGAAACCAGAAAAGCCAAAAGAUCAAUACUUGGUACACAAACAAAUCAAAUAAAACAAAAAGAAGAUAAAUUUACCAUUAACACUCAUAUCAGAAACAUUAGCGUCCAAAGAAGCCCGUACACAGAAUCUUCGACACUUCUCUUGAACCCGAGACCAACUAACACCAGUGACUGAAGUUGCAGGAAACAGAACUGAAGAACCCAUAUUGAAAAUCCUGAGCUGAAAUCAAGAAAUUCAAUCGGAACUCAAUUCAGCUCAGCCCAGCUCUGCUCUCUUUUGCUUCGAUAACAAAGUAUUUUUCUUUGAUAUCAACAAAGAUUCGUCGACAUCAACAAAAUUUAAUUAAGAAACUAAAAUAAUACAAAAGGGUAUCUUUAAGUAUAAGAAUCUAACAAGAUGCUAAGGAAGAGAGUUUUGUCAGGGAACUGAACUGUUUUAGAGAGGUUGGCAAAUGGCAAAGUGCUUCUUUGUUUUAUUUUUUUCCUUUUUGUUAUCACACAACAUUUGCGCUCGUGGAGAGCACAAAAUGUUGGUGACUUUGUCACUGACGAUAAUGGAUGAAGUGACUAAACAAAGCAACACAAAUUUUCCACGAGAGGGAGUGAUAACCAUAAGCAGUAAUGUUUGAUUUAAUUUGAUUUUAAUUGGGUGAUUAAUUAAUUUAUUAGUUAUGCAUUUAUUUAAAAGAUACCCUUAUCUUUGGACGGGGUUGAGGAGAGUCCACGAUGGUGCGUUGUCACAUAUUUUUUGGGCCGACCAUUUCUGGUUUCGGCUUAUAUGAGGCUUUUGUAAUUUUAUGCCGUUUUUAACCUUUUUUUUUUUUUUGGUUGCUAGAUUAUAUCAAAGAAAAAUAGAAAAUGUGUAAAGAGAUUUUUGACUUUUGUGCAUGAUUUUUUUUUUUUUAUGUUGAAAAAAAUCUGUUUGAAACUCGGAACCUCCUAUGUCGACUUUAGAACGUCACAGUUUUGAUAUUUAGGGCCAUAAUAUGAAUUAGAAGUGGCAAAAUAAAUAAAAAUUGAAUCGUAAAUGAAUUUGGUCAAAAUUUAAUGGAUUUAAAUUCGAUGUGAUUAUUAAAUAAAUUGUAAUCUUAUGAUUUGGAUUCAAUUUAUUUAUUAAAUAAAUAUCGUUUAAUUCAUUUAUUGUACAAAACUAAACGGAUCGAAUCGUAUCUAGUUUGGAUUCAUCUAUAAUUUAUUUAAUUAAUUUAUACAUAAUUAAUAAUAAAUCAAUCGAAUAUGGAUCCGUUUAUAAUUCAUUUACAAAAAUUAUAAUUGAUAAACAAAAAAUCAAGCAAAAAUAAACUUAAGAGUGGGACUAUUGGCACCCCUCUAAAUAUCUCUUAACACCCCUUUAGUUAUUUUACAAUUUUAACCUUUAUUAAAAUUACAUAAUAAGACAAUUUCUAAUUAAACCCCUACUCAAAAUCAAAUAAUUUUUUCCCCUUAAAAGUUCCUUAUACGGCAUGUUUUCAUUUAAGAAUUUUAAAAUCUUUAUACGGCAUUUGGUAUAAACUCUCUUUUCUUUCUUAAACCCUAAUCUAAGAGUUUCAAAUUGAGGAAAAAAUAAUCAUGCAAAAAGAUGAGGAUGAUAAUAAAAAAGUAAGUUUGCUAUUAUUUUAUUGUUUUAGAAUUAUAAUGACAGGGAGAGUGUUGAACAAUGUUCAACAAAUAUCCCCUUAAUAAAUGUCAACUAUUUGGUUGAUUAUUGCUGAAUAAAUUACUAUUGUUUGAGUUUUGUGUCUUGUAUUAACUUAUGUAAUAUCUGUACAAUGAUUGUGAAGGAGGAAAGUUCUACCAUAGUUGUCAUUCUUGAUAAUAAAGUAGAUGUUAUGGAUUACACUGCUGCAUUCACUACUGAAGAGGUAUAAUGUUAAAUAAAUCUUCUUACAUAUAUUUUCUUUUCUUUGAAUCGUUAACUAAUAUAUUAUUAAACAAUGGGGUUUAUACUAAUAAAUUUAAAUUAAGGGUAUUUUUGUCAUUAAAGGGGUGUUAAAAUAAUUUUAUAAUAUUUUUAAAUAUUUUAAUGGAGUUAAUAAGGAAAAGAGGUGUUGAGAGAUAUUUAGAGGGGUGCCAAUAGUCCCACUCUAAAAUAAAAACUUAUAAAAUGAACAUCCUCCAAAAUACAAAUAAAUCAAUGAACUCAAACCCGAGUUCGAUUCGUUUAUUUAAUUAAUUGAAUCAAAUUCACCCAAUGAAUCAAUUUUUUCAAACUCAAACUCAUUUAAUUUGAAUCGAAUUGAAUAAACGAAUCUUGAUCCGAAUCAUCAACCCCUAAAUAUGAUGUAUCCACUUGAAAAACAAAUAUAAAAAUCUUCUCCAACUGACAUAUAUGAGUUCCAAACUGUGUGGGGAAAAAGGUGGCCAGCCACGCAGUUAUACGAAUUUUAAUCUCUCUUUUCUUGUGUCACCGGAGGCAUUGGCUGGAUGGCCAAAGAUUAGGGUUCAAGUCUACAAUAGAGAAUCUAAAAUUUUCCUCUUUGAAUGUUCCUAAAUGUUUAGCACAGUUUUUCAAUUUAUACUUGAUAGGUCCAACCCUAUAUGCUAUAAUAUUUCUCUUUUUUUUUUUUUUUUACAAGCCAAUCUUAAUUUAGAAGUGAAUCAUAAUAAUGGGUUUGUAAAGAAAUGAAAUUUUUGGUAAUUAGCCAACAAAAAGGAUAAAAAUGGAUUAAGCGAAAGAAGCUAAUACUCAAAAGUAAGUCGAGUACUUGGCUAUCAAAUUAAUGUUCUUGCUCAUUAAUGCAACAUUGGUCUAUCAGAGAAGUUCAGGGGCACAAAAGAGAUGAGAGAUCCACAAUUUUUUUUUGAAGAAAAUAUUUUACAUAAACUUAAUUAUAUGGCAUAAAAUGAUUGGCUGAAAUAAAACUCAAAAAUAAUCUUUUUUUUUUAAAUUUAUAUUUACAUACGGUGUCAUUUAUGUUUACAUAAAUUUUCAUAUGUACCCAAAUUAAGCAUUAAAUACACAGACACUAUGUUAAGGCACAUGUAUAAUUAAUCUUAAUAAUUUCUGAUAGUAUCCUCUAUCUAAGACGAGCAACGCCACUCAUUAUAAUUUAUCACCAAAUAUAGUGAAACUAUUUGUUUUCAUGAAUAACUAGUAAAAAUUAUUUCGUUUGUAAGAGAAAUACUCCGAUUGCUUUUCACUGUUGUAAUAGUUUAGUUAUCAUCAAGUGAUAAAAUAGUGGUCGACUCACCAACAAACUCCACAUCAAGACACUUAAAGUCUGCAAAGCAAGUCUUCUGAAAAUAGACAUUUAUUAGUUACUAUAUGCUUCGCAUCUACUAUCAAUUGUUCCAAAUUGGGGAAUAUCUGGGUGAUCAAUUAAAAAAAAAAUUGUAAAAUGAUCAGUUGAUGUCCUUUGUAAUAAUUUCACAAAAUUAGUACUGUACUUUUUGGAGAAAAUUUAUGAAUUACAAGCUACUACUAGCUGAUACAAUACAUUUAUCCAAUAAAUUUUACCUUUUAGAAAAUAAUAACAAUACACCUAACAUGCAGAAAGUUUGAAAAUUAAAUAGAAAAUUUUAAGUUACCGCGCGCUAGCUUGGACAAUACAUUUUAUUCGAUAAAUCUUAAUCUUUUGCAAAAUAAUAAUAAUGAAACACCUAACAUGCAUGCAGAAUAAUCGUGAAUGAACAUUAUGUAAGAGAGUUAGUUGCUGACAAUUUGACUUUUAGUAAGCAACCAAGUGAUGAAGGCAAUGGCAAAAUAACUCUAAGCAGUCACAUACAUAAGAAUUGAAAAAUUAAUUAUAAAAUUCUUGAAGGUACCUUUUCUAUCAAGAUAUUAGUUAUUUUUUUUAUAUUCACUAUAAAUUCAGGACGUCGAUAUAUCCAUAAUUCUUUGAAGGAUGGAAAUUCAAGAAUAUCUACAUCCCCUAUGAGAAAGCUUGUGAACUUUUCAUGAUCAUACAUCUUCAGAUAUUGUAACUGAGGAAACAUUACAAUAUAUUCUUCCUUUCUUCUUGGAUGUUUGUAACUAUUAACUUGGUUUCGAACAAAGCGUUGGAGUAUUCUAUCUUAAUGCGUAGGAGUCGAACAAAGCUGCUAACCAUAGAAGAUAAAAAAUAGACAUCUUAAAUCCAUACAUUCGCAACAUUUAUUGAAAUCUUAAGUCAUCUUAAGUCAAGUCCGUUAAAUUCUGAAUACCACAAGACAUGACUACAACUUGGUUUUGCCAAAUCCUCUCAACAUUUAUUGAACACAACUCUUAAGUUCUCCAACUUUGGCAACACAACCUGUUCGAUCAAAAAAUUAAAUUCCUGCUAACUACAAGUAAUAAUCGUUUCUGCUCAUGGACAAAUCAAUAAAAUGAAUUUCUUUCGCUUGUUAUGGUUCUCUUUAGUCUUUCAUACAAACAAGCAUCAGUCAAGUUUUCCAAAUUUUUCCUUACUAAUUUGACAUGUACUCUAAAAACAUAGACUAAAGAAAAUGACAAAUCAAAGAAGUGAAUUAAUUUAUUAGUCAAAAUAUAUUUUAAUUUAGUAUUUCCUAACAGUUGUUGUUGUUGUUAUUAUUAUUAUUGUUUUUUUCACUUAGUGUGUGAAGAGUGAAGAGUACUUUUUCUGUUCUUUAAGAACGUAUUUGUUAUGCCCUACAACACUUAGCAUGGAAAACUUAGAUUAAUUUUGGAAUAUAAUUAUCAAUUACUCUUGCCAUAUUUGCUAACAAACAAAAAUACCAAAGAAAAAAAAAGCACAAAAAAAAAAGAAUUAAAAAGACCAAUAUUGGGUUAUUAAUAGCCAACCUUGUCAAUGAAAAGUGUAUCAGAAAUAUCAACGUUGUCCUCCAAAAUGACUAUGACUUUGUUCGACUGCAUAUCAUUUGCUGAUUCCCCUGGUCUCUAUUGACAUUAAAGGCUUCUUGAUUUUAGAGUAUAAACUUAAUUGUGAGUACAAUCUUAAUUCAAAGUGACACAAGGUCUUCAAAAUUGUGAGUACAACCUUAAUCUUAAUUCAGUUUAGCACUAGAAUCAAAUUCAAUAUUUUAGAUUCCAUAACUGAGAUUUUUUAACAAAAGUAUAACAGAGUUAAUUUAGAGUUAAAAGUUAAAUAUGAAAAAUUAAACUUGUUGUCAAUAUGAAUUAAAUAAAUGGGUUCAACUAUGGUGCCCCUCUAGCACCAUACCCCAUAUGUUGUCGUAUUCUUAUUAAUUAAUAGUAAUCAUUAGAUUUAACAUAAAAGUAGCUCAAUGGCUUUGAUGAACUUACUAGGUUAUUGACAGUCCUUGCUGUUUGCAUCCGAAUUAAAAAUGGUAAUGUUUCAAUAUUUUGACUCAUAAGUCUAAAUUGUUUAAAAUUUUUUAACUGAAGUGCAUUGACAUAGUUUGACUAUUAAAUAACUUAUUUUUAAAUUUGCAUUAAUACACAUUAUUACUUACUACACACCAAAUAAAUUGGUAUUUGCUGCUACUCCACUCAAUAUUUGGAAAAAUCAUUAGUCCAUCCUCGCUCGUUACUUUUUUAUUAAUUUAAUCUUGACGCUUUGACCAUAUAAAAAUAUAAUUGUACCAUUAGUUUAUAUGAUUAAAUGAUUGAAAAAAUCCAUUUUAGUUAAAAGACACUUUGUUAGUUUGUAGAGGGAUGCUUUGAUGCACGCCAUCACGCAUCUUGUGGUGCGCAAUGAGACGCAUGUCAUUAUCUCAUUGGUAAUGGUGGGGCUGUGUGGCCCAUAUUACAACCUUACAAAUAAAAUCAUGACACAUAUGCCGUCGCACACUGUAAGAUGUGCGACAACGCGUAUCGGUUCAUAAUUAUAAAUCAUGGAGAAUUUAAUGUUAAUUGAAGGUAAAAUUUAAGAAAUGCAAAUCUUUAAGUGUAUUUCUUCCCUCAGAAGAAGAGUUUUAAUGGAAGAUGAAGCGAUAUGAAAUAUCUUUUAAUCUAGAACAUGACCGAUCUACUUCAAGCCCAAUUUUUUUUUUUUUUUAAAUAUCUUUUAAUAUUUAACAAAGGAAUAAAUUUUUAAAUUUUUUAGUAGCCUUUUAGAUUAUUGGGCCUUGAAGAUUUUGUCAUAAAUUAGUUCAUUUAAUCUUAAAAAUUAAAUGAAACGGGGCGGUAGGUGUAAAAUUUUUGUUAAAAGAAUAUUUUAUUUAAGCAUUUAAUUGAAAUCUCACUCCCAAUAAAUAAUGAAUUAAUUGGUCUUUGGUUAUUUAGAUAAUUUCACACAAAUACACACACACACACAUAUAGUUCUUUUCUAGUGCGGAAGUUUUUAUUUUUUUUCAUACGAGCACGCUUUUAAGUCAUGCAAUUUAAAAGAAUUAAUUUUUAAUGCUAUUAAACCACGUGGCUUUAUAAUUCAUUAAAAGAUAAGUAUGUUAAAACCCACGGCUUAGAGCGUAUCCACAAUAAAAAAAAUGAACGCAUCUGUAUCUGAGAAUGAUGAAUAUAUAUAUAUAUAGCUUUGGAGGCCCCCUCAGAUUUCCUUAUUAAAACCCUAUCCUAAAUAUACCUUACAAAAAAUAUUAAAAAGUUAUAAAAAAUGCAAUGGCACAAAAAUAAUUCCAAAAACUGCCCUCCGUUCCUUUAAUCAUUCUUUUCUUUCUAAUAAAUUCGUGAGGGCUAGGAUUUGUACCUCCACCUCUUACCCUCGGAUAAGAGGUGGGCGCGCGCGUGUGCGCGCAUGCGCUCCUGUGUGUGCGAGUGCGUGUGUGGAGUAAUAAGUUUCACAAAAUUAUCCAAUCCAAGAACUUAGAUUUUUUUAGAGCCCAAAGAGCAGUUACGCCAUACGGUGUGACAAUGUGGAGUAACAAUUUUCACAAAAUUUAAGAAAGUCUAGAAUCUUAAGAUCGAAGAAGCACUCCAUCAUAUAUACUCCAAUAAAUUCUUAUCACCACAUCCUUUUUAUUUCGAGUCUAUAUAGUAAGGAUUGUAUAUAAUUAAUGCAAAAUAAUAUAACAUCUAAUAAUUUUUUUUUAGUUUUUAGUUCAUGCUUAUAACAAUGUUCUAAAUUAAUAGAUGAAAGAAAUAUAUUAGUUUUUAAAAUCAAUUUUUAUUUCUUAUAUUCUAAUUCAUAUUUUAUAUAAAAAAUCGCUGGAAAGAAAUUAAUUUUUUUUCAAAAAAAAAAUGUAAUGGUUAUCAUUCAUGUAUGUUGAAUUUCUAGUGCAAUGACGCUAAUAAUGUUCGAAUACUACUUCAAUGAAUUUUACUACUAAAAUACUAAAUUAUCUUUGUGAAAAAAGAUUGCAUGACUAGAAUGAUUAUAAGCUCAUUUGAUGGCUAGUUUCCUCAUUAUAACAACCGAAACACUCUAACAAUCCAAUAUAUAUAAUACAAGGCACCCAGGCACAAGCAUGAUUAUUGAUUCACACCACACAUGCAUCUCAACUUAAAAAUGGUACUUGAAAAGUCUUUGGGGUGCCUACAAAUUGAAAUUUGGUAACACAAUUAAUGCUAAGAAAUGAAUCUGGCUACCGUAUAUCCUGCAACGACAUGGAUAGGGGACUGUUCCACCAUUCAACCUGAAAUUAUCAAGUGAAAGAAACAAGAUCAUGAGUGUUGUUUGACAAUCUGAAAGCCGGUUCGAAGUAAUAAUAAUAAUGAUAAUAAUUAAUAGACCUUACCAUUAGUCAUCGCAUCAUUGUCUUGUGAAUCUCCCUCCUCAUCCUUAAUCCUCAUUCCCUGCAUACGGGAAACCGGCAGCUUACUGUAUCAUCGUCUUCUUCCAACCACACGACCACGCCAGUAUGUCUCAAGAAUCUUUACUGACUUCUCAUGGAUCUCGUUGCUGUCAUGACUUUGUAGAUUUUCUAUCUUUUCUAAUCCCUCAGCCUUCUCUACCAACUGGGCAUGUUGAUUAACAUUUCCAAUGGCAGUACCCAUAUUCUUUUCAGCUUCCCCAACCUCCAAAAUGUUCUCUAAUCCUGUUAGGCAAACAGUGACAAUCCCUGGAUCAGGGCAUAGGAGGAGAUCACACAAUGGUUUUAUACACCCCGUUCUCACAAGGUACUUGAUUUGCUCAUGAGUACCACCCGAGCUAGCAUUCGAAAUUGCCCAAGCAGCCUCCUUCUUUAUAUAAAAUUCAGCGUUUUGAAGCAGAUUGACAAGGGGACCAAUUAAGCCAGCAUUAAUUACCGCCUGAAUCUGUUCCCUGUUUCCAGCUGUGAUAUUUGAAAUAACCCAGCAUACUUCCUUCUUGAUGCUCUCUUUUCGAUUAUUGACCAACAUGUCCAAAAAGUAUGGCAGUGCACCACAGUUAAUUAUACCCUGAGUCUGGAAAUCGUCCCCCGUCGCAAUAUUUCCAACCGUCCGCAGGGCAGGAGUGAGCACUGAGGGUGAUGGAUGACCAAGGAGCGUAACAAGUUGUGGACAGACACCUGCCUCGAUCACAGCUUGAAUUUUGUCAUUCGUACCAUCAGCAAGAUACGCGAGUGCCCAGCAGGCAUCAGUCAAGACCUUUUCAUCGUUUGAACGAAUAAGCUGUGCAAGCACCGGAAGAGCUGGCCUUAUUUGAUUAAAUGGUGGCUGUGGCUUGCCCCUGCAGAAAUUAGACAAUGUCCAUGUGGCAGUUCUUAGCAUUGAAAGCUUAGCAUGCUCAUUUAACUCUGCCAGCAAUGGAAUCAAAGCCCCUUGACUAAGCACAAGAUCACGGAAUCUAGGCGAGUCACCAGCAACAUUUCCCAAUGCCCAAACAGCCUGCUCGCGGACAUCAUCACUUGGAGAAGCAAGUAGCUUCACAAAUAUUGGAACAGCACCGUGGUCGAUCACUACCUUAGUAUUCUCCGAAGUUCCAGAAGCAAUGUUUGUAAGAGCGCAAGCAGCCUCAAACUGCAGUUGCGGAUGGUCUUCCCUCAUAAGAAACUCAACAAAGCGCGGGACAACGCCAGAUUGUAUGACUUUCUCAAUUGGUGAAUUCCUGCCAAAUGAAAGCAGCCUUCGGAACAGAGUAGUUGCUUGCAGCUGCAACUUCUUGUCAUCUGACCAAACCCCAGCAACCAUCGCGGGCAAAAUUUCCGACUCAGUAUGGAGAUUGAGAGUUGCGGCAGGAGUAGAAAUUGGAAACUGCUGGGAUUGAAGAAAUUCACCUGUCUUCUUGAGAUAUAGGUAUUUUAUGCUUGUAUUAAGGUCGUGCACCCAAAUCCAAUGUUCUCCAUCCGAAAUGCUCAGGUGUACUUUGUGUAACAUGGGUGUGCUCAAUUCUCCUCCAGAGAAAAUCUUCAUACUGGGGCAAUCGUCCAACAGUAAUCUUUUCAAAGAUGGGAAUUUGAAGGCACAAUUGCCAGUGCUGAAGCUUGUCAGAUUUUGCAUUUUUAAAAGCUUCAACUCCCUCAAUUCACUGAAAGCAACAACCUCAUCUUUUGCGGCAUCUUCUGCCAGUACAAUUUCUGCUAUCGUAACGCAUGAUUCUAUUGUCAUUUCUCUGAGUCUCACCAGAGUCUUAGCUAUUGAGGAUGUUAAUAGGUUUUUCAAUCCAUUGCAAUACGAUAUCUCCAAAGUUGCAAGAUUCUGAAAGGAAGUCGAGGAUGGCACUAGAUUGAUCAAAUGGUGACACGACUUUACACGUAGAAUAAGCAAGUUGUUCAAAAUGGAGGACUCUUGUUUCCAAAUGUGCUUCAGAUCACAACACUUGUUUACUUCUCUUAUGAUUACCUCCAUCCCAUUUUCAACCUUUUCUUUUGACAACCAAGCGUCAGAUCCUUCUAUUUGGAGGACUCUCAUGGUGUGAAGUCUUUGGAGGAAAUCAUCAAGUGAUAAAAUAGUAGUUGACUCAUCAACAAACUCCACAUCAAGACAUUUAAGUUUGCAAAGUAAGUCUUCUGAAAAUACACUUUUGUUUGUUACUAUAUGCUUUGCAUCAACUAUCAAUUCUUCUAAAUUGGAGAAAACCUGGGCAAUCAAUCCGUACGGAGAAAAAAAAAAAAAAAACAAGAUGGAUCAGUUUAUGUUCACUCCAACCAAGUCACAAAAUUAAUACAAUACACUUUGAAGGAAAUUUAACAAAACAGAAGGGAAUUGUAGGUUGCAACUAGCUUAUGCAAUAUAUUUGUUCAAUAAAUUUUACCUUAUACAAAUUAAUAAUAAUAAUACACCUAACAUGCAGAAUAAUUAAAAUUAUGAAUGAAUGUUGUGUACUAAUCUAAGAGUUACGUUGCUGAGAAUUUGACUUUUAGGAAGAAACCAUGUGAUGAAGACAAUGGGCAAUUUAACUCUGAGCUAUAUAACAUAUAUUUUCACCGUACGUGCAUAAGAAUUUGAAAAAUUGAUUAUAAAAUUCUUGUACGUACCUUUUUUGUCAAGAUAUUAGUACAUCUCACCAUGAAUUCAGGACAUUUAGAUAUCUGUAAUUCUUUCAAGGAUGGAAAUUCAAGAACAUCUAAAUCUCCUGUGCAGAAGCUUGUGAGGUUUUCAAGAUCAUACAUCUUCAGAUAUUGUAACUGAGGAAAUAUUACAAUAUUAUUCUUCCUUUCUUCUUGGUUGUCCAUGGCUAUUAACUCUUCCAAGACGCGACAUUUUUCUAUCUCAACGCGCUGGAGUCGAACAAAGCUGCUAACUAUAGAAGGUGAAAAUAGACAUCUUAAAUUUACACAGUUGUAUAGGGUCAAGUGCAUUAAAUUCUGAAUACCACAAGACAUGCCUGCAACUUGGUUUUGCCAAAUCCUUUCAACGUUUAUUGAAUGCAACUCCAAGUUCUCCAAAUUUGGUAAUGUAACCUACUCGGUCAAAAAAAUUAACUUGUUAAUUACAAGUAACAAUCAUUUCUGUUGAUAGACAAAUCAAUAAAAUUACUCUUUCUCUUGUCAAAGUUCUUUUCAGUCUUUCGUACAAACAACCGUUAAUCAAGUAUUCCAAAUUAUUCCUCACUAAAUCGAUAUAUGUAUUCUAAAGACAUAUAUAUUAAAGAAAAUGACAAGUCAUAGUAUGAAUGAAUUUAUUGGCCAAAGUUUUUUUAUUUAAUUACAACAUGUUUAGUAUUUCGUAACAUGAUGUUGUUGUUGUUGUUAUUAUUAUUAAUUCUUUUGUUGCGUCAAGUACCUUUUCUUUUCUUUGAGAAUGUAUUUGUUACACCCUACAACACUUUGAAGAAAACUUCUGAAUAAUUGUGAAAUAUAAUUAUUAAUCACUCUUGUCAUAUUUGCUGACAAACUGGAAUAUACCAAACAAAAAAAGUUUAUAGAGAAUUAUUAAAUCCAUUGGGUUAUUAAUAACUGACCUUCUCAAUGAAAAGUGUAUUAGAACUUUUGACAUUGUCCUCCAAGAUGAUUUCAUGGGACCGCAUAUCAUUUGCUGAUUCUUCUUGUCUCUGUUGACAUUGAAGGUGUCUCAAUUUUAGGCAUAAACUUAAUUGUGAGCACAAUCUUAAAGGAUAGACAGAAGAUCUUUAAAACUUAGUCCAAUUAGUUUAGCAUUAGAUUCAAAUUUGAUGUUUUGGAUUCCAUAAUUCAGAUUUUUUAAUAAAAAUUUAAUAGAGUUAAUUUUAAAAUAAAAAUUAAAUAUGAAAAAUUAAACCUCUAACUAUGGAUUUAAAUUAGAUAAAUAAUAAAUAUUCUCUUAAUAAUUUUUUCAAGGUAAGGGAAUGGGUAAAGCCUGAAUUUAUUUAUUUUUAAUUAUUCUGUUACUUUCCUUAAGAUUCAGACUGAGGUGGUUACGUAAACACAACUAUUUGAAAACUACUUGGCCAUGCUCUUUAAUAUGACAUUGUAAGAGUGCUGAGAAUAUAUAAGACCAUUAAUUUCACAUUUUUUAAUAUUAAUUUUAGAUAUAGAUAUCUUUUUAUUGAGAGAAAAGAGAAGAAGGAUAUUAUAAAGCAUGAAGCUCAUGCAGUACAAGGGCUAUAAUGUUAUUUUUAGGGAGGUAGAUUCUGAAGCUAAAAGAUUAAAAUGGUAUGAUUGUGAAGCUAAAAAAUUAAAAUAUUAAUUAAAUUGCGAACAUUAAAGAUUUUUGCAAAAUUGUUUACUUUGAAAAUGAGGAUGAUGUAAUAUUUGAAGACUUUUCAAAGUUAAUUACUAGUAAAUACUGUGAUGCACUAGAAAUUUCUAGCUUUAGCCUAACGUACGUACGUACAGACAGACAGACGGACACAAACACAGACACACAGACACACAGACACACUCACACAUACAUCUACGCACACACACACACCAAAAGAAUCCUCUCAUAUCAAUUAUUUAAAUUAGGAAUGAUCAUACCUUUGACUCUGCCGGAUUGAGGGUGAGGUGGGAACCCCUGAUAUAGAGAUGCUUGAGUUGUGAAGGACCCACUUUGUCUAAUUCAUUAACGAAAUAAUUGACAUCUCGCUCUUCCAAAUCAGAUAACCAAAGAUCUUCAAUUCCCUGCAGUUUCAGGAUCAGCCCAUCCUUCAACCGAAUCUUGGAAUCCAGAUCGAUUUUGAAUUCUCUACACCAGAUGUCGGCGUACUCCCAUCCCCAAACACCUCCAAUAAGUAUUUUGUACCUUUCCAGCUUCUCCAAGAACAAGCCUCUCGGAAGAGUGUUGACAUCUUGGAUUUGUAAUUCUAAAGAGAUCAAAUGCUUCAACUCAUGCAGGCUAGCAUUCUUGACCCCUUCCACCUCCACCUCCCAUUUGUCAAAGCUUCUAGGACCCAUAUAUAGUUCUUCUAAAUGGGAUAACUUUGAUAAAACGUUUGGUGGGAUAAUUUCUAGUUCCCUACAAUCUCUCAGAUCAAGCAACCUUAGCAAAGUCAAUUCACCUACUUCUACAGGCAACCUCUUAAUAUCAGAACCUCGUAGGCAAAGAACCUCUAGUUUCUUCAAGUCUCUAAUAACAGUUAUAUCAAGCAAUUUGCAAUUAUACAAACUCAGGGUUUGAAGGUUUGACAGGAGACCAAGUGAUGAAGGCAGUGACAGUAGAUUCAUGUAACUGAAAUUUAUAACUCUGACCUGUAUCAUCCUCUCGAAAAAUUUGUUUGGAAUUGUUAAUGAUGAAGAUUCCUUAUCAGCACAUAUAUAAAGAAGUUCGAGUUGAGGACAUUCCACUGCUUCAGGAAGCAAAUUAGUCUUGACAUCAUGUAAGACUAUUGAAGUGUAUAGCUUUGUUGCACUUUCGUCCGACCAUUCCCUGCAACCACUAACCUGCUCUUCUGUCGCCGAAAAAACAUUUUGUUCAGUAGAUGCAAUUGAAAUGGCAACAUCGCGAACGACGUCAUGCAUGGAAAACAACCCUUUCUUCUGGCUUAUAUGGUCGAGCAACAUGCAACAAGCUUUGAGUUUGUGCACCAAUGCGUGUGCUCGAGCUCGUGCUACUUGCAUCUUAUUCACACCUUGAAAUAAACCCAUUCCCAUACCAUACAUUAACAAAUCAUCAAUGGAUGCUAUCGCUGUAUAUCCUAUUAGCAAAAAGAUGUUCUUGAGCUCCUCCCCAGCCAAUUUGUCGUAACUCAACUUUAUGGCUUUAUAUGCAGUUGGCUGUACAUUCAUACGAUUCGUUGAGGAAGGCCUUCUUAGCUGUUCCAAUGCAUCCUUCCAAUCAAAUAGGCUAUUAUUGUCCCUUAGUGCCGUUGCUACAGUCACAAUGGCAACAGGCAAACCUGCACAUUCCUUUGCCACAUCCCUUGCUACCUCUUUCAAUUCAUUACCUUCAACAUAAUCACCUGCCAUCUUCUUGAAUAGACUCCAAGCUUCUUCUUCUUUUAAAAAGCUAACUGAGAAAUUUUUUUGAGAAUCCAUCUUCGUUGACAAUGUAUCUAGACUUCUUGCCGUCAACAGCACUUUACAUCCCCUGUGAUCAUCUCCAUGAGGAAUUCCCGCCGCCUUCAAAUCAAGAUUUCCCCAAAUAUUAUCCAAUAUUACAAGGAUCCUCUUCUCUUUCUUCAGUCGAUCAUGAAGCCUUCUUGCCCGACCCGAUUCACUCUCCUCAUCAAAUUUGAGACCUAAUUUAUCUCCGAUUUCUCUUUGGAUCUUUCUUAUGUCUUGACUCUCAGACACCUCAGAAAAAACCACCUGAUCGAAGAGCUUGUCAUUCUCUGCUCUCCUAGCAACUUCUUUAGCUAGCGUCGUCUUUCCGAUGCCGCCGAUUCCAUAAAUCCCGAGCGUGUUAACAUCCCCAUUUUUUAGUGCAUCAGUUAUUUCAUUCAGAAUGGACAUUCUUGAUUCAAAGGCCUCGUAGUCUUUGUUAGGCAUAAGCAAGUUAUCCCCCGGAAUGAUACUGUAAGAAAUAUUAUCAAAUCUUCCAGCUUCCCGGACUUUGACAAUAGCCUCCAUCAGCCUCACUGCUUCCUUGCUAAGUUGACAGCGGGUCUUCAAAUUAGGACACAACCCCUUGAAACAAUGCUUAUUUGCAGUGGCUUCAUCGUUUGUAAAUUCAUCUGCAUCUUCAAUGACAUUGUUGGCCCUUGCAAGCCAAUUCUCAACGUUCUCUUCAAUCUCUUCCCCUUUUCUUUCAGCCUCAUCAACCUUACGCUCUGUAUUCACCCUCUCAGACUUCAGAUUCUCAACUUCAGUCUUUAGAUUCUGUGAGAUGCUAGUGUACUCACUGUCACGCAAAUUGCUAAUUUGGCGAUAUGCAGGAGGAGCCAAGCACUUUACAACUUCUGCAACAAUAUCGAUAAUGAUUUCUGCCAUUCUGUUGAAGCCUUUUCCUUUCUCUCUCGCUCUCUGUAUAGAACUUGGGAAAAACAAUUGACUCGAUAGGAAGCAAACUGAGUGAUCGCACACGAGUGACUAUGAAAUAAUGGGGCAGAGUAUAGAUGGAGAACACGGAACAGAAAGAGCAGGUACCGAAUAAAACAGAGAGAGCAGCAGGACAAGUGUAUAGAUGGAGAACACAGAACAGAGCAAAAUCAAAUAACAAGGUUAAAGAUUACAACAAACAGAGGACAAGUGUUGUUGAGAUCAGAAGAUUGAAGAUUCAAAAGAGUUGAUGGAAGCAGCGGAACAACAAAACAACAAUGAACAUAAUAAACAGAAGCAAAGUGUGUCUCUGAUUUAAAAAUGGGUGUAAUAAGGAAAGGGUUUGUUGGAUAAUGGUUGCGGUCUUCUUCUACUUUUUACGGUGGCAGGCAACAGAGAUUACGGAUGAGAUUAAAAAUUCAAAGGAGUUGAUGGCAGAAAGCUGAAUAACAAACAAGAAAACAGACAGUGAGCACAAUAAUCAGGAGCAAAAUAUAUUUGAACGGAAAGGAUUUUGUUGAUCGCAAUAGAUGAAUGACUGGUAUUGAGCGACAAUGGUUUGCGAAAAGUUUUAAGAAUGACACUCCACAAAUUCAACAAGUCAAGAAAGGAACAAAAGUUGAAAGUGACCCAUUUUAUUUUUGAAGUGCAUGCUAUGCCGUAAAGCCAAAGUUCCUUGGCUAAUUUAAUUUAGAAUUGAAGAGAAAGAAUGAGUAAAUAAAGAUAAACGAUGAGAAGGUGAUAGCUUUAAUUACGAUCAUUUGUUAUGCUAGUAAUGAUAGACCAAGUAUAAAUGUUGAAAGACAGAACAGAAUAUUUGUGAUGUUAGUUGGUACCAAAAAUCCUGAAAACCUGAGUAGUUAAAAACAAAAUUAAAUAUUAAAAUCUACAGAGGAGAAUAAUAGUUUGCUAAAAGUUCAAGGAGUAUCAUUCCUUUCCGCUCAUUGAAGAAAAUCCAGGAACAAUAAUGCUGAUUCCACCAUGUAUAAUUUAAUGUUAAUUAAAGUUAAAGCCAUCAUAUUCGUAAAUAUGCUUCGAUUGAAGCUGUUGUGCGGAAUAUACAUACAACACGCAUCGGUGAAGUUGUCUUGUCCAAACGCGAGUCUUUAAAUGUCCAUUGCUUCCCUCUGAGGAAAAGUAAGCGUGGAAGAUGAAGCAGGCUAAUAUGCUAAAACCGUGUUUGUAUUGUGGGUCGAUUUCUUGCAAGCAUUUCUUAGUCAAAAAGCUUUGUAUAUAUCUAUAAUAUUUAUACGCGGGGGAGGACGUGGAAACUCUGUUUGGUCAACUGAUCAACACAGCUGCAUGAAUUGCUGAUGAAUGAACCAUUUAUGGUUGGUUUUAACCAAAUCAAAAUAAUAGAAAAAGGUCUAUAUAGGAAUAAGACUAUGGCCCUGUCGGUCAAACACUAGUUUUGUAGUUUAGAAGUUAAGUUGAUUUGAUCAACCACUUCUAUGAUGAGAAACACAUAACAUAUUUAUUAUUUUUGUUAAAAUUAUUACUUAGAAAUUAUAUUUUACUACAUACUAUUAACUUUUAUUUUAUAGUUACAGCAACUGCAACUUUAAAGUUAUAGUACUUCAGUAAAAUAAUAGGAUAUAAACCGGUCGUAGAGGAGGAUGGUUUUUCGUGUCUUUUGGGCAUUUCAUCCAAUGCUUGAUAUGAUAAGAAUCAAGCAAUAUUGAUGGAAUCAAAACAAUUAAUCAAAUGAUUAAUUGUCUCUAUCUUAAUUAGUUAUUAAGAUAGAUUGAUUGACUCAAUCUUUGAUAAUCAAUCAUUAUUCUCAAAUUAUGCUAAUUGUAUCAUUUCCUUUUCCAUAUUCUAAAUACUUGUAUAAAUUGAGUCUUCGUGCUCAUAAAUUAAUAAGAGUGAAAUUUAUAUUUUUUAUACUUUUUUGAAAAUUUUUGAUGAUAUAAAUACCACCGCUCUAACAUAAAUACCACUGUUGGGUUUCAAUUGAUCAUACACACAAAUGGAAACACCAAGACCAAAAACUUGCACUCAAGAAUGAGCACAAGUUGUAUAAACUCUAAUUCAAUAGUAGAAAGCAAUCAAACAGAUCAGUGAAGGACAAUCACAACACAAGAAUUUUGCUGGUUCGCUCACGAUGUGACCUACUUUCCAUCCAAGAAUUAAACUAACUCCAUUUCUGAUUAUCCAAUUCAAGGUUAGAAGAUGUAUAUCACUCUAUAAAGAACAAAACUUGAGAAGAAAUUAAACCAACCACAAUUUCUCUCACAAGUUGAGUUGGCCCCCAUAAAACAGAAUCCAGCUCUUUCUCGCGCCCUCUUUGUAUAACGAAAUUAACUGACGCUUGACUUGCUCAGUAUAAGUGAUGGUAACACGUGAGGACCCAAAUGACGAAUUCCAAGUGCUAAAGAGCCUAUCAGCCUAUGUAUUCAUUUGUAUAAUUAAUUUGGUUCAAAAUGAAAAAUUCGUGGUUUGUAAUCCUAACCACUUUGCCGUUGUUCCUAAGACUACAUGUUGAUAUUUGCCAUUAUAAUAUUGUAAGUUUAUAUAAUUAACAAAAUGUUCUGCAAAUGAAAAAUAUUUUGAUGGACAAUCUUCAGUCAAUUGAAAAUUAGUCUCUAUAUCAAAUAUCUUUAGUAAGAACUUACUAACAAUAUAUUUCACUCAAUUUGAAUUAAUAAUUCGAAUCAUUCCAACUUUGAACAGUCUUCAUCUAAGUUUCAAACAUUUGAUUCUAUCUGAAUUCCUUUUUGUCAAAGCUAAAUGAAAAGAAAAACAAAAAAAAAAUGUAAAUGAGACUAAAAUUAACCUGCGGCGUGGGUCAUUCAUUUGAUGUCUUUUGGCGUUUCACGUUCAAUAUUUGUGAAUGUAUAUCAACUUAAAGAAGCAAAGUGUCUUUGAAAUUACAGGAUGUAAAUAAAGCAAAGGGUUUUGUUGAUUGAGAGUGACUGCAAAGAAUUAAUGACUGAUAUUAAAUGAUUUGCAAAAUGGAGGAGAGGCAGGAGAAAAUUAAUUGUUUGCCAAUGUUUUAAUUAAGAAUGAACAAUUUUUGGAAGGAGAAACUUAUCAUCUUUAAGAAAAGAAAAAGUCAAUGAAGGAAUAAAAUAUCCACAGGUUUUGUUAAAGUGAAGAUAUAUGACGUACAAUUGUCAUCUUCUUUAACCUUUUUACUGUGGCGGGCAAUGAACAUCAUUCAAGGAUGAGAACAAAAGUUAAAAGCGACCCAUUUUAUUUUUUAAAGUGCUCUGCUGAAAAGCCAAAGUUCCUUGGCUAAAUUUAGAUGUGAAGCAAAGAAUAAUUAAAUAAAAGAUAAAAGAAUGGAAUAAAUUGUGUGACUGAAGUUGGUCCAGUCCUCGAUGUCUUAUGUCAUCUCCACAGAAUUGCACAAAGAUUAUAAAUGUUGAAAUACAGAACGGAAUAUUUUGUGAUGUGAGUUGGUACCUAAAAUCCUGAAUACUUGAGUGGUUAAAAAGCAAAAUUUAAUAUUAAAUUCUACAGAGGAGAAUAAUAGUUUUCUAAAAGUUCAAGGAGAGAAAUUCCUUUCCGCUCAUUGAAGAAAAUCCGGGAACAAUAAUGCUGAUUCAACCAUGUAUAAUUUAAUGUUAAUUAAAGUUAAAGCCAUCAUAUUGGUAAAUAUGCUUCGAUUAAAGCUGUUGUGUUGAAUGUACAUAUAAUAAUCAUUGGUAAGGUUUCCGAAAUGUGAAUCUUUAAAUGUUCCAUUUCUUCGCUUUGAGGAAAAGUUAAACGUGGAAGACGAAGCAAUGGUAUAACAGUGUUUAAAUUCUUGCGAGCAUUUCACCAAAUACUUGGUACGCAUAAUCAAAGUUUAUUUAACCUGUUUGUAACGUUUGGUUACUGAGAAAGAGUAAAAAGAAAGUUAAGCAUUGAAAGAAAAUUUUCAGAUCAGAUGAUCAUGAUCGUUUUCAUUACAUAUUAAGUCUAAUUACAAGUCCUUUUAUAUCAGUCUCUGGAACAUUCUACAAACAUCAAAAUCAUAUGCUUGAGCUAAAGUUAAUUACAAGUAACCGUGCUAACAAACUGUUAACUGAAUAACAAAUUCAUAACAAACUUGCUGCCAGACUGCCAGAUCACCAGUUUAGUUAUCUAACAAACUUAACGAACUGAAGCAUCUAAAGAAUAUAUUCCAGAGUAUGUUCCUUAACAUGCAUAAAUGGUCAAUCAUACUUGCCAAAAAAAUUGAUGAACAUUCACUUCUAAAGAAGCAAAUUAAUUAGUUUUCUUGUAAAAAUCAUAAUUAGCCAAAGAAAGUUCAUGUGUUUUUUUUUUUUUUUAAAGAUUCAAGACAAUUCUUCAAAGAUGAAAUCAGUUUUUAUUGAUACGUUCAACAAAUUCGAAGGCAUUCGAACCUUCUGUGGCACGAAUUAAUAUAAUAAAAAAACAGUAAUGAUAUACACACUACAAUUAAUAUUGCAGUUACUAGUUAGUACACCUUUACUACUGGGUAAAAAAAAAAAUUAUUUACUACAAAAAUAAAAAAGAAAAUUACACGAUAAGACAAACUAUUUUUGGUCUCUUAUAGAUUUUGUACUAAUUAUUAUAAUAAUUAUCAAUAUUCAUAAGAAAAUAAUGUACAACAAUGAAGGGACAUGGCAGAGGUAAAAAAAGUUAUUUUAUUAUUUUAAUAAAAGUAAAACAUUUAGCAAAGAUUUAUUUUGGUAUUUGGAAGGAUGUACAAAGCAAAAGAGAAUAUGAAAAGGUGAAAAGAGUUAUAAUGAAAAGAGUCACACCCUCCAUGAUAAUAUAAUGAAUUGAACUAUUUUUUUAAAUUUAGUUAAAAAAUUAGCUUAAUUGUAAAUAAAGUGAAAAGAGUUGGGAUGCUUGUCAAUGUCAAUAUUAAAAUUUAAAAAUUUAAUCUUAACCACUCAUUUGACUAGAAGAGAUUGAGAGAGAAAAGAAAUCUAAGAGAAGAUCUUUACCCCCAUGAAUAAACACAAGAUUACUAAAGAAACAAUCAUAAAAACCCUCUCUCUAGAUGAGUAGCGAAAUCCUAAGCAAAGAACCUCCACCGCCGCUGGUGGAUGAUCGUUCAACAAAAAAGGCAAGGUUUAGGGAGCAAGGUGUUGAUGCUGAUAAUCCACUGCCCUUAUCCUUUAAAGAUAAACUGAUGGAAGACCAAAAUGAGCUUGAAGAGGAGAUCUUGGGUAGAGAAGAAGACCUGGAAUUUGAGCCUGAAGACGUGAUUGUAGAAGACAAGAAUAGUAUCCCAUCCAUCUCUUUCUCAGGAAAGAUACAAGCUCAGCUCGUUAAGCCAUGGAUGAACACGAUUGUUGUCAAGUUGCUAGGGAGGUCUAUGGGAUAUAGGGCUCUCUGCAAUAAGCUGAAUGAUCUAUGGAGAACGUUGCAAGGCUUCACAGUUAUAGACCUGGAGAAUGACUUCUUCCUGGUUAGAUUCAAGUCUGAGAUUGAUGCACAGUAUGCUCUCACACAAGGGCCUUGGACCAUUCUUGGCCAUUAUCUCACCGUACAACAGUGGACACCUCAUUUUGAUAGUUCUAAUGUCAAUAUUGAAAACAUUGUGGCUUGGAUUCGCAUACCGGGUAUGCCUCUACACUAUUACCACAAAAGGAUCCUUCGCAUGAUUGGAAACGUCGUGGGAAAAGUGAUUAAAAUUGACUACAACACCGAGUCAGCAAGGAGGGGAAAGUUUGCUCGCAUUGCAGUGGAAAUUUCAUUAAAGAAGCCUCUCUGCUCACAAUUUUUUCUGGAUGGGAAGUUGCAAAAUAUUGAGUAUGAGAAUCUGCCUAUUAUUUGCUUUAAUUGUGGAAUUUACGGGCAUAAGAAUGAUGAUUGCCCACAGUCAAACACAUUGAAAAAUCCGACGGAGAGUUGUGAGAAUAAUGUUGCGGAGGAUAAUCCCGGUGGUGGGGAGGAAAAGUCAUCAUCUUCUGAAGUUCCGGUUAAUCCUAGUUUUGGUCCUUGGAUGAUCGUCAGCCGGAAAGGGAGGGGAAGAGUCAGCAAGGAAGGCGGCUACACAAAAAAUUUCAACCGUUUCCGAGACGGCAAAAGUGAAGGGGGCUCUCGUUUCGAAGUUCUCGAGAAGGAGGAAACUGAAGAAAGAGAAAUUGCUCUCCCUCGAAACCAUAAUGUUUCCACAACCGAAAAUGAACAGCCAGUUACCCACUUUAAAUAUAAAACCAAAAGCAAUCCUAAAACCAACUCCACCAUGCAAAAACCAAGUGUCAACAAUGCCAAGCCCCAAUAUUUGAAUAUUGAACACUCUUUGUCCCCACCAGCUCCCAUGCAUGCAAGAGCACUACCACGUACCCUUUCAACUAACCAUGCACCCUCAACCGAUUUACCAGUUCCCACCACAGUCCCUACUAGCUUGGAUCCCGCAAAGCACACAGCCAUUAAAUUUAUUCCCCCAAGAGUUGAACCUUCAUCUCUAAAUGCAAUUAUUGAUACAUCUCAAUCCAAUUUGAGGCUUGCUGUCCCCACCAUCUAUUUCGGAGACCAUGACAAACCCCCUGAUGAUAAUUUGGCUAUGGACGAUAAUGAAGAGAAUAACCCGGAUGAUGGAAACUCAAUGGAUGAUGAUAGUGAGUAUGAUUCAGCUUCUGUUGAUAGCAGGGCCUCUUUGGAGGAGAAAGAUAACAUGGAAUGUUAAUGAUGUCUCGUAUGGCCAAUCCUUUGUCUUUUUUUUCCUUAAUGAUGAAUUUAUCUAUCCUUUUUUGGAACUGUCAAGGGGUAUCUUCAUCGGGUUUUAAAAGAACUUUUAAAACCAUGAGCAAGAUUUACAAACCUGAUAUUGUUGCUAUUUUGGAGCCUAAAGUCAGUGGGGCUAAAGCUGAUUAUUUUAUUAAAGGAAGUGGCUUUGAAUUCUCACAUAGAGUGGAGGCUGAGGGCUUUGCUGGGGGUAUUUGGAUACUAUGGAAUAGAGGUUUCGCAAUGGAGUUUGUCGUUAACCACAAACAGUACAUUCAUUUUAAAGUUACAGACUUUUCUGGUAAUUGGUCAUGGGUCACUGCAGUAUAUGCCAGCCCCAAUCCCAGCCUUCGAAGGAAAUUUUGGAACGAGCUAGAGUCAAUAGCUAAAUCGAUAAAGGGACCUUGGAUGUUGGGUGGCGAUUUCAACUCAAUUCUUCAUGCUUUAGAGAAAAAAGGUGGCUCACCAAAAAGCAGUGGUAUUUGCAGAUCUUUCAAUAACUGGUUUCACGACAAUCGCCUUAUAGAUUUGCAUUUUAAAGGGCCUUGCUUCACUUGGUCUAGAGGAACCCUGUUUAAAAGACUUGAUCGUGCCAUUUGUAAUGAUCAUUGGAAUAGUUUGUUCACAGAAGCUUCGGUCUUACAUCUCCCAAAAAUUCACUCUGAUCACCGUCCAAUUCUUGUCAGCUUCGACUCAAAUUUGAAUAGGAGGAAUGGUGUAAAACCAUUUCGUUUUUUAGCAGCAUGGCUAAUGGACCAUUCUUUUAUUUCUCUCGUUGCUAAAGAAUGGAGGGAUUCUGAGGGGUAUUUUCAAGCUGCUCAUGAUUUUGUGGAUAAAGUCAGCAAGUGGAAUAGAGAUAAUUUUGGGAAUAUUUUUAAAAGAAAAAGGAGAAUUCUUGCAAGAUUGAAUGGCAUUCAGAGAGCCCUGGAGUGCUUUGAUUCAAAAAGGCUUCUUAAACUAGAAUCCAAAUUGAAGACGGAACUUGAAAAUAUUUUAUCCCAAGAGGAAUUAUUAUGGUACCAAAAGUCAAGGCGUGAAUGGAUUGCUUGCGGGGAUAGAAACACAGCCUAUUUCCAUAGUAAAACAAUUGCUAGAAGAAGAAGGAAUCGAGUGGAUGCUAUUCAAAAUAGUGAGGGCAAGUGGAUUUAUGACAAGGAAGAAAUGAAGACUCACGCCAUUGAUUUUUUCUCUAGACUUUUCAACUGUCAAGAUGAAGAGGUCCGAUUUUACUCCAUUGCAAAUGCCUUUCCAAAGAUUGAGGAAGACAGAAUAGCCGAUAUUUGCAGAGCUGUUCAGAGAGAGGAAAUAAAAGCUACUAUUUUCGGAAUGAAACCAUUAAAGGCUCCAGGAAUUGAUGGACUCCAUGCUCUCUUUUAUCAGACACAAUGGAAUGUGGUUGGUGCUUCAGUUUGCGAUCUUGUGAGUAAUAUUUUUAAAGGCAAUCCCCUUCCCCUAGAACUGAACAGGACCCUUAUUGUCCUUAUCCCAAAAACCAAUAACCCCACCAACAUGAAAUUGUUUCGUCCUAUCAGCCUUUGUCCAGUUCUGUACAAAACAGUCACAAAAAUUUUGGCAAACCGGCUAAAGGAGAUUUUACCUGACUUGAUUGGUCCAACUCAAACUAGUUUCGUCCCCGGAAGGCAUAUCACAGAAAAUAUUGUCAUGGCGCAAGAAAUCAUCCACACAAUGAAAAAUAAAAGGGGUAAAGUUGGGCAGAUGGCUAUCAAAGUAGAUCUUGAGAAGGCUUAUGACAGGCUCCGAUGGGAUUUUAUUCAUGAUACUCUUAAAGAUGUUGGGUUGCCUCAGGAGUUUAUUCGACUUACAAUGGAAUGCAUCACCACAGCUAGAAUGCAAAUCUUAUGGGAAGGGGAGCUCACUGAUGAAUUCACUCCUUCUAGAGGCAUCCGACAGGGAGACCCUCUUUCUCCCUACAUUUUUGUUCUUUGUAUUGAACGUCUUAGUCACGGAAUUAAUCAAGCAGUGUCUGACGGAAGAUGGUGUCCUAUACGUCUUUCACAUAAUGGUGUCCCUCUAACACAUCUCUUUUUUGCAGACGAUUUGCUCCUUAUGGCUGAGGCUUCUUAUAAUCAAGCCCAAGUUAUAAAUAAUGUACUUGACAAUUUCUGCAGCUGCUCAGGGGAGAUGGUUAGUAAACAGAAGACCCGUGUGUUUUUCUCCAAGAAUGUUGAAAAGGCUAUGGCAAGGAAAAUAAGUGAGUCUUUAGGUUUCUCUGCUACGGACAAUCUUGGCAAAUAUCUCGGAAUGCCGCUGCUUCAUAACAGAGUUACCAAAGCUACUUAUCAGGAGAUUGUGGACAAUGUUGAUAAAAAGCUGUCAGGGUGGAACUCAAUGCAUCUCUCUUUAGCUGGAAGAAUUACUCUUGCUCAAUCAGUUAUUCAAGCGGUUCCUAUUUUUGCCAUGCAAACGACAAGGAUUCCUCAGGGAGUGUUAGAUAAAAUUGAUCGGAUUUCUCGGAGAUUCAUUUGGGGAGGAAAUAAUGAAGACCGAAAAAUCAAUCUGCUUAAUUGGGAAAUGGUUUGUACACCGAAAUCUGGAGGUGGUCUUGGCUUGAAGAAUCUUUCUGAUAUGAAUAAUGCUCUGCUUAUGAAAAUUGGAUGGAAUAUGUUGGUUUCUCCACACAGUUUGUGGGUUAAGAUUCUGAGAUCUAAAUAUGGGCUUACCUCAGACUCUAUACCUAUAGCUAUUGACAAUAAGUGCAGUUCUUAUCUUUGGAAAAGCAUAAGCAGAAUCUGGGAUUAUGUGUUACGGGGCAUGAGAUGGACGAUUGGAGAUGGAAAUAAAAUUAACUUUUGGCAUCAGCGUUGGGUUUCAGAAGAAAUAAUUAUUGCAGAUUAUAUUACAAAGCCAAUUCCAGCUGAGUUAAUAAAUAAACGAGUGGCUGAUUUUGUAAAUGCUGAGGGGCAGUGGAACUGGAACAUGAUUAGUACUUUUAUCCCCAAUCAAAUUCUUCUCCAAAUUGCAGCGGUCAAGCCCCCGUCUGAUGGCAAAUGCGAAGAUCUCCUAUAUUGGGCUCACUCAAAAACGGGCAAGUUCACAUCUAAAUCAGCUUACCUUUUUCUGAAUAAUUCCAAUUGCAGCAAAGAUGCUCAUUUCUGGAAAUUAAUUUGGCAAUGGAAAGGGCCCCAACGAGUUAAAAUUUUUUUAUGGUUGGUGAUGCAUGGAAAAAUUAAAACUAGAGAGGAGCUUUUUAAGAGGCAUAUUCUGGAUAAAAUGAAUUGUGAAAGAUGUGGCCAUGAGAGAGAAAACGAGAUGCAUGCACUUAGGGACUGUUUUGUUGCAAAGAGAAUAUGGAAUUGUUUAAUUCCAGUCAACUUCAGACAUCAUUUUUUCUCCUUUAAUCUUCGUGAUUGGCUCUGUUUCAACUUGGGAAAGACUGGUAUCAAUGAAGUGGGGGAUGAAUGGGCAUGUUUAUUUGGAGUGGCUAUCUGGAAAAUUUGGUUUUGGCGUAAUCAAUUUCUUUUCUCACAAAAAUCCCCUUACUGCACCCAUGUUGUUGCUGAAAUUAAAUCUUGGGCUCAAGACAUUCAAAAUGCACGAUCAACUCUUAGUUUCGGUCAGAGUAAUAAGAUCAUCAAAGAUGUUAGAUGGCAAGCUCCCCCUGAAUCUUUUUUCAAAUUAAAUACUGAUGGAUCACGAUUAAAGAAUGGUCUAGCCAGCGCUGGAGGCUUGGUGAGGGAUUGCUCUGGAAAGUGGCAGUUUGGCUUUGGCAUGAACAUUGGAUUUGGAUCGGUGACUACUGCAGAACUUUGGGGACUUUUUCAAGGACUUAAUAUUGCUUGGGACCGUGGCAUUCGUUAUUUAAUUGCAGAGGUGGAUAGCCAAUGUGUUUCCCAACUUAUUUCCUCUACUAGUUUGAUGCCUAAUGCACAUUUUUCUCUCAUAACUGCCAUAAAGGAACUGAUGAAUAGACAAUGGCUCAUUACCAUAAAGCAUAUAUAUCGGGAAGCCAAUUUUGCUGCAGAUUCCAUGGCGAAACUUGCUGGUUCCUUACCCCUUGGACUUCAUGUCUUUGAAAAUCCCCCCGCGGGUCUUGGUUAUUGGUUAUGUAAUGAUAUAUAUGGGACCUCUAUUCCCCGUUCUGUUUUAGCCUAGUUUUACUAGGCUCCAAUGUAUCAAAAAAAAAAAAUGAAUAAACACAAGAUGUAUCAAACGGAUACUUUUGGUAGAGUCAGGGAAUCUGCAAAACUGCUUCUUCCCUUCCCUUUGUAACGAAUUUAAUUGACCUUUGACUUGGUCGGAAUACGCGAUGCACGUAAUGCAAACACGUGAGGACCCAAACGAGGAAUUCCAAAAGCAAACGCCGCGUUUUUUUUUUUUUUUCUGGUCUUGAAUAUUGAUUCAUCAAUAUAAACUAUAUUGAUUAUAUCAUAAGACUAUAAACUAUAUCGUUUCCAUUCAUUAUAUCAUAAGAAUACAAUGAUUAACAAUAUCAAAUUCAAGAGACAAUCAAUAAAAACUGAAGCCAAUAAAUACACAAAAAUAAAACAAUGAAAUUAUUACAGUUUGAAAAAAUAAAAAAUUAUUCAAAUUAAACAAACUGAAAAAAAAGAAGAAGAAGAAAUUGAACAUUUUAAUCAAUAUCUCUUAAUUAAUAGUUAGUAAAUUAACGAAUAUGUACCUUUUGUUUUAAGACUUCUUUUAUCAACGCAGUUCAACGUUACUUUGUCCAAUUUGGGUUUUUGUUCAAUUCUCCUCCACAGAAAUCUUCACACUGGAGCAACCAUCCAUCACUAAUCUUUCCAAAGAUGGGAAUUUGAAGGCAUAAUUGCCAUAACAGAAGCUUGUCAGAAUUUUCAAGUCUAAAACACACGUACAUUCAUUCAGAUUAAAAUAGGAGUUAUACAUCUGAAGGCUAAAAGCACAGAAACAGAGCAACUAAUAACAUAGAAACAGAACCUCAGAUACAAGAAGUGGAACAUUGAACAAUUGACUAGUUAGGAAGCAAACUGACAUUGAGAGAUUAAACACAAGUGAAGUGACUACAACAAUCUAGGGUAGAAAAAAGUUAAAAAAGAAAAGAAAAGAAAAUUACAAGAGUCAGUACAGAACAGAACAAAACAGAGACAACAGCAGGACAAUUAGAGAGGGAGCAGAGCAAUUCUAAAUAACAAGCUAGAGAUCAAAAGAUGCCAAGUGCUGUUGAGAUUAAAAGAUUGAAAGUUCAAAAGAGUUUAUGGCAAAAACUGCAAAUCAAACAGCGCAAUAGUGAGCACAAUAAACAGGAGGGAAUUGUAAUUGAGGUCAAAGAAUGUAAACAAGGGAAGGACUUUCUUGAUUGUAUUGAAUGGUUUUUGCCAAAAGUUUUAAGAAUGACAUUCCACAAUUUCAAGAAGUCAACAAAGCAACGAAAGUUGAAAGUGACCCAUUUUGUUUUUUGAUGUGUUGUGCCAUAACUGCAUAUCUCUAGGUGCUGGAGCUGCUGAGAGCUUCUGAUCGCAGAAGCUGAAAAUAUGUAUUUCAAUUUCUGAAUCAAUCGUGUUAGACUUUGAAAACGAGAAAACAUAUCUGGAAGUUGAUUAUCCCAAAUCCUUUCAACAUUAAUGUUUGAGGAAAUACCUCGACGAGACCAGGCGUGAUGAGCAGAUGCUUGAUGGCAGAGUUCUGCGAACAGGUAAGUCCUGUAAGAGCCAGGUAGCAGGGGAACAAGAGCAGAAAUAUUCUGCUCGUCCACGAAUAUGACAUUUAUGGGGUGAAACUCCUGGUAGAGGCAUGAGCCCAUUCCUGCUAGAGGUUGAAAGGCGAGGAGACCCGGUCAGCGACAGUUGGCAAGACGUGUAUUCCAAUCCGAGAAUCAAGGCACGAAGUCCAUUCCCAUUUGCCCACAACGGCGAUAAUGGGGCGUCCACAUCCGAGAAUGCAGAGAAUAAUGGGCGUGGACUAAAGAAGACGGCGGUUGAGAGGAAGCCUAUAAAAAGGUAGCCAACGAAGGUAAAAGGGUUAGCAAUUUUGAUAUUAUAAGAGAGAAAAAAGAGAAUUCCAAAGAGGAGAAACUAGAGAAAAGCCAUAAGAUCUGUGGCGAACAUUCCCAGAACCUUCAUAUCUGACUUGAGCGUCGGAGGGUUUACGUCAGGAAAACAACCGGCGUGCUCUGACUUGUUUCUGUGGACGCAGGAAUACUUGGAGAAGAAAGCAUACGAGGAGAGAUCCUGGUCGAAGUGAGGUUGAUCGAGCAGAAGUCCUGGUCGUAGGAAGAGCAUAACCAGAAUCUCGCAUCAACAUUUUGGCGCCGUCUGUGGGGAGCUGAGCAAAAAGCUUCUGUUGAUAGCAAGAAGAGAAGGAAAACAACUGAAAAGCAAUGGAGAUAGGAGGAAGUAGCGCACAAGGGGGGGAUAUGAGGCUUAACGAUUCCGUGACGCUGAGCGAGAUAGCCAGCGAAGCACGGGAAAAAGCCAUGUUCGACCGGAUGGAAAAGCAGAUGGAGACCUUGACAACCAUCUUGCAUGAACUGCGGAGCGAGCCAAUGGUACCCCAAGAGGAAAGGGUGAGAGGUGGUGGAGUGGCACCAGGUCCCGAUAGUGUGAGGAGAAGCCAAACCACCAGGAGAUUUGGUGGUGAGAGAGGUAACAUACCUUUGCGGGGAGAAUUUCAUAGAGAGGAAGAGCAGUCCCCGGCAAGACAGAUUUUUGACGAGGACGACGGGGUGGUGAAUGCAGAGGAAACAGAGUUGAGGCAACACUUGCAUGAUGUAGAGCAAGAGCGGGAUCAAGUUGCAGCACGUGACCCUGGUCGUGCAGUGCAGCUGGAGGAGGAAGUGCGCAGGCUAGCGCAGAUAAUUGACAACAUGCAAGGAAGGAGCAGAGCUCCUGGUUGGAGGAUAAUGCUGGACGGAGAAUCACCGCUCGCAGCAGAGAUCAUGAGGGCAAUUAUUCCGAGAGAUUUCCACCUCCCAGACCUCAGAUACUCGGGAAAAACUGAUCCGCUGGUGCACAUAGGUGCAAGGAUUAUCUCAAUCCCAAAGGUGCCGGGUGUUCCCACUAUCCCUUGAGGGACGUGCACGAGAGUGGUACAGGAAACUUCCUCGGGGCAGCAUUAAAACCUUCGAGCAGAUGUGCCAGGAAUUCGCAGAGCAGUUUAGUGGGGCAAUGGCACCAGAAGAUGACAUGAUGGAGCUGAAAAGCAUGAAACAGGGGGAGCAGGAAACCCUUCGGGAAUUCAUCAAGAGGUUUCAUCGUGCAGUCCUCGACUUGGGAGCCUUCAAUCACCCUCAGGCGUUAAGGGGAUUGAAAGAAGGGGUGAAGAUAGGAAGGCUGUGGUACAACUUGAGAAGCCCAGCUAUCCAUACGUAUGCGGCCGCAUACGAGCAGGCUAAGAGAGACAUUGAGAUUGAAGAGGAGAAGGCAGCACGGAUUAAGACAGACCAGUUAGAAGGGUUGGGGAGGAAAGAGAAGAAAGCAUUACCGGGGAAUGGGCCGAUCAGGAGGAGGGACCACCAGACCUCGGGUAGUGGAGCAGGAGGUCGGGUAACUGCUUACCAGCUUCAUCAAAGGCCACCACAGUAUCAGCGCAGCAGGGCGCAAACUCCUCGUUCCCCAGCUAGGGAACCUUGGAGAAGGCAUGAUUCGGCACACGGUGGUCUUCAUCAACAUUCCCACGGUAGCAGAGGGAGCAGACCAGAAGUACUGCUACCGCCCCCAACACAGAACGGAGCAAACAGAGAAAGAGCAGUACACCUGAUCGACCAGAACCAGGAUUAUGGGCGAUAUACAUCCUUGAAAAUGUCCCUGGACGAGGUGUACGAGGCCAUAAAGGAUCGGGGGUUGCUAUACCUUCCUGCUCCAAUAACAAAGCUACCCAACAUGAGGGAUAAGGGACGCUAUUGUAAGUUCCAUGGCACUCAUGGCCACAUCACAGCAGAUUGCAGAGAUCUCAAGACCCAGGUUGAAGAUUUGGUGAGAAAUCGCUAUCUGGACGAGUUUAUAGAUGGGACCUUCCCAAUGGUAGCCUCAACAAGUGAAGGGGAGCAGAGUGACAGGAGCUUGAGGCGCGAGCAGCCUGUAGUAAGGGUGAUAGCUGGGGGCCCGACAUUGGCCGGAGAUUCCAACAGGUCGAGGAAGAAUUAUGCUAGAUAUGCCAUGACCAGCAAAUAGGUAUUCUUCAACACCCCAGCAGUCAAACGAGCAAGGGUCAGGCAAGUGCCAAUCAUGUGGACGGACGAAGAUGAAGAAGGGAUCUUAUACCCCCACGAGGAUGCUCUAGUCAUCAAGGCUACUGUUGCCAGCAAGAAGUUUGACCGGAUACUGGUGGACACAGGAAGCUCAGUUGACGUGUUGUUCAAGUCAACCCUGGGCGAGAUGGGAAUAGCAGAUCUGAAGUUGGAGUACACCAAUACCUCAUUGAAGGGAUUUAGAGGAGGAAAACUGGUCCCUCUGGGCGUGGUCGAGCUGCCUAUCACAAUUGGGAGUUCCCCGACAGAAAGGACAAUGAUACUAGACUUUGUGGUAGUGGAUGAGGAAGGUCCGUACCAGAUGAUCCUUGGACGGCCGUUUCUAAGGAUGAGCAAAGCGGUGCUGUCCAACUACUAUCUAGCUCUCAAGUACCGGGUGAAUGGGGUAGUUGGAGUGGUACGAGGGGACCAGAGAAUCGCUAGAAGCUGCUACUCCUCGGCAGCAAAGGAGGCAAUGCAGAUAACAUCCCUUGACACCCGAGUGGAAAACAAGAAGAGCAGACAAGAACUUGUAGAGGAGCUGGAGACAAUAAGCCUGGGACCAGAGAAUCCGGGAAAGACGAUCAGAAUCGGGUCGAAACUUAAGGAAGAGCAGAAGCAAGAGUUAGUGAAAUGCUUACAGGCUCAUGCAGAUGUGUUUGAAUCUUGAUCUGCUAACGGAAAAGAGGGAUCAAGCAGCCAAGCGGUCAGCCAUUCACCAGCAGAGGGUUUCCCGGUAUUAUAACCAGAAGGUGAACAUACGGCAGUUCAAGGUCGGAGAUUGGGUGUUAAGGAGAGUGAAUCAGAACACCAAAGACUCAACUCAAGGAGUGCUCGAUCCGAAUUGAGAGGGCCAUAUAGAGUCAAGCAGUUAGUUGGACCAGGAGCGUACAAGCUGGUUCGCAUGGAUGGCCACGAGGUGAAGCGCCCAUGGAAUGUAGCACAUCUCAGGAAAUAUUUCCAGUAAGAGCCGUUAAUAUUUUCAAGUUCUUUCUAUUCGUAUUUGCUGUUAUUUAUUUUAUGACCAAACAAUUUCAUGUAAGUUGAAUUCUACAAUUAAUGGAACGUCGAGGAAUUUCAUUCACUUGAAACUGUGAAAAUUCACUAAGGCACGCAAAGGCUCACUAAGUCUCAAAGCCUGUUUAUGGCGAGACAGAAGCCAAGCGUGCCAGGAUCUGCUCGACCACGAGACGGCGAGCAAAAUCCCCAAUCAUCGAAAGAUCCUCCAAGGCAUGCAAAGGCUCACUAAGUCUCAAAGCCUAUUUAUGGCGAGACAGAAGCCAAGCGUGCCAGGAUCAGCUCGACCAUGAGACGGCGAGCAAAAUCCCCAAUCAUCGAAAGAUCCUCCAAGGCAUGUAAAGGCUCACCAAGUCUCAAAGCCUGUGUUAUGGCGAGACAGAAGCCAAGCGUGCCAGGAUCUGCUCGACCACGCGAAGGCGAGCAGACUCCAAAGCAUUCGAGAUAUUUUCUAAGGCAUGCAAAGGCUCACCAAGUCUCAAAGCCUGUGUUAUGGCGAGACAGAAGCCAAGCGUGCCAGGAUCUGCUCGACCACGCGAAGGCGAGCAGACUCCAAAGCAUUCGAGAUAUUUUCUAAGGCAUGCAAAGGCUCACCAAGUCUCAAAGCCUGUUUUAUGGCGAGACAGAAGCCAAGCGUGCCAGGAUCUGCUCGACCCGGCGAAGGCGAGCAGAAUCCCCAAGCAUCGGAAUAUUUUCUAAGGCAUGCAAAGGCUCACCAAGUCUCAAAGCCUGUGUUAUGGCGAGACAGAAGCCACGCGUGCCAGGAUCUGCUCGACCCGGCGAAGGCGAGCAGAAUCCCCAAGCAUCGGAAUAUUUUGUAAGGCAUGCAAAGGCUCACCAAGUCUCAAAGCCUGUUUAUGGCGAGACCAGAAGCCAAGCGUGCCAGGGUUUGCUCGACUGCGAGAAAGCGAGCAGAAUCCCAAGCACUGAAGACUUUUCUAAGGCAUGUGGCAAAACCAUAUGCCAAGCCAGAACCUGCUCGACCAGACGCAGGCGAACAGAUUCUCGAAAGGAAAAAUAACUCAUGAUUACAACGCAGGAAAGUAAAUAAAAAAUAUUUGUAUUAAUUUGUUAGUAAUUAACAAAGCAGAUAAUUUCCAAACGUUGUUCAUUACAAUACAAGAAAUAGACUAAGAGGACGGUGGGUCCGUAAGCCGAGCAGCCUCCGUCAGUUGGUCCACCUCAGGCGCUGGGGGAGUAUCACCAGUCGCGUCCGGGGGGGUGCUGGCCUCACCCACAUCAACAGGAGUGGCACGAGGAGGGGAGUUUCCCUCAACUACGAUAGGCUCCAACCCUUCGGCAUCUUCCUUUGCAGCCUCCUCGUCCAUAUGUUGGGCGACACCAGCCGCAAGGUCGUCCAUCUUCAGGUCAGGGUGCUGCUUCCCGAGGACAGCCAUGAUGCAACGAUAGGAAUGCCGAAGCCCCUGGUCGUACUGGUUGUCAGCCUCCUUCUCCAAAUUCUCAACCUGAGCUCGGUGGGAAUCGCGGAGAGAUUCGAGCUGAGCCUCGUACGCAGCUUUCUGCCCUUGGAGAUCCUCCUUGACCUUGGUCAGCUCUUCCUCGAGGGUAAUGGCUUUUGCUUGAGCAAGAGAUUCUUGCUCCAUCAGCUUCAAAUUCUCGAGAUUCAGCUCCCCAGCUUUCUUCUCAGCAUCGUCAGCUCUGGUCAUCACCGACUGGAUAUCCUCCUUCAUCUUCCUGUCGUAACGGCCAACCUUGGCCUUAUAGUAGGUGGUCAUGCAGCUCAGAUGGAAAGCACUGUACUGCAUAGCCCCCACCAGCUCGCCUAAGGUGCAGCCAUCAAAAUCCUCCAGGUCUUUCUUGGUCACGAGUUUGGAAAGCUCGUUGAGAUAGGGGGCCAAGUGUUCUGCUCGGUUGUCAGAUAGACGAGAUCUAGGCCCGACUGGAGGAGAAGAGGAAGUAGGAUCAGUGGCUGCUCCACUAGUUUCUCCGACUUUGGCAGGAGGAGGAGGUAGAGUCUUCAAGGGAGGAACCUGCUGCACAGUGUUCACCCGCUUCGCAGUGGGAGCGUCCUUGCUCUGGUCUCUCUUCGCAGUUGGAGGUCGAGGACGCUUCCGAGUCAGAGCCUCAAUCACAGCAUCCUCCAUCUGAUGACCAGGGAGAACCAAGUGAGAUUCGAUCAGGUUGUAGGUGGUUAGCAGCUCCCGAUGCGAGCAGGAAUUGGCCAGUACAGCCUCGACCCGUUUAAGCUGGUCAGGUUGGAGUGGGAAAUGAACGCCCCAAGAACCUGCAAACAAGUAGAUAUUGGGUUAGAGGCAAAACAACAGAGUAAGGAUAAUUAUGAAAACAAGACAUCUAAAACGAGCGGGCAACCUAGGACCACGAAACGGGGUGGGACGCGAUAUUUAUUCCCGUCAAUUUGUGCAACCUGACCCCAAGGACCCCCGGCGAAAAAGAAUUUUUUCUUCCAAGUCCCACCACCACCAGUUGGAAGAUCGGUUAUGGGUUUUCUGCUCUUAGUACUAGAUUGGAAGUAGUACCAGCCAACAUCUUUGGGGCUGCUCUUUAGUUGGUACAGAUGCUUCACCUCAUCAACUGUGGGCUCGCUUUGGCAAUAUCUGUCCCACAGUAUGAACAGACCAGAAAGUACCCUUCACCCGUUGGGGUUCAGCUGACCAGGAGCAAGGUUUAGCCCGUUGAGUAUCCGAGCAAAAUAGGGUUGCAAGGGGCACCUCAGCCCAUACUUAAAACUAUCUAGAAAUAUGGUAACAUAUCCCCUAGGGGGUCUGCUAGGACUGUCCUUUUUUCCUGGGAUCCUAAGGGGUAUUUCACCAGGUAUAUGGUACCUAAGUCGGAGGUCAUCGAGCUCGUCGAAUGUGGUCGCGCACGUUAUGUAAUCAAUAGCAUAAUCACGCGCCAAGGCUCUACCUCCUAUUGUACUCUGCCCUUCUGGUCGCGGUCUUCCUGGUAAGGAUCCAUCACUAGAAUCACCUCUUUGAUCCUCAUUUAGGGUAUCUUCCGAGCCAGAAGGUCCCUCCUCACCACUACUUCCGCUCGUGGAGGUCGUUUGGGGAGAUAUCCUCCUAGUGCUAGUGCCAACACUAGAUCUAAUGGGUUCCAAGGGGAUUCCGGGAUCAAAGGCAGGAUCGGUGAGCAGGCUAGGCAGGAAGUUUAACUCAUCGUCGUCAACCUCAACGAUUUUCUCUUUACCCUUCGACAUUCUCUAAACUAUAACUAGAGCAGAACCGCCGACUACUACCCCCCAAGCAAAGCAAAGAGAAAAGAAAUUUAUCUACAACUAACCAAGACCGAGAAAAUAGAAGAAAUACCUGGAGCAAGGAUUCAGUCAGAGAGAGGCAGGGAUGAAAGCUUUAACGCCGAGGUUCAUUCGCCGGAGAAACAAGAAGGGGGAAAGUCGCGAGUUUGUGUUUGAGGGCUUUGGUUUCACUUACUGGGAAGCAAACUCUUGGGUAACCAGGCAUUUAAGAGCCCCGAAACCCGAGGGUCACAUAACCGUCAGUUUGAAAUUCAAAUGGAGGGGCAGAUCUCUGCCACAUCAUCUCAUGCGCAAUUAAAUGCGACACGACUCUUGGCAGCCUUAUCUAGUCCCACGCGAACAAGAAUCAAUGAGUUUCUACUGCUGGUCCAUUACAUUACCCAACACCAGAAACUGGGGGACCGGUGUUUGAGGAAAUACCUCGACGAGACCAGGCGUGAUGAGCAGAUGCUUGAUGGCAGAGUUCUACGAACAGGUAAGUCCUGUAAGAGCUAGGUAGCAGGGGAACAAGAGCAGAAAUAUUCUGCUCGUCCACGAAUAUGACAUUUAUGGGGUGAAACUCCUGGUAGAGGCAUGAGCCCAUUCCUGCUAGAGGUUGAAAGGCGAGGAGACCCGGUCAGCGACAGUUGGCAAGACGUGUAUUCCAAUCCGAGAAUCAAGGCACGAAGCCCAUUCCCAUUUGCCCACAACGGCGAUAAUGGGGCGUCCACAUCCGAGAAUGCAGAGAAUAAUGGGCGUGGACUACAGAAGACGGCGGUUGAGAGGAAGCCUAUAAAAAGGUAGCCAACGAAGGUAAAAGGGUUAGCAAUUUUGAUAUUAUAAGAGAGAAAAAAGAGAAUUCCAAAGAGGAGAAACUAGAGAAAAGCCAUAAGAUCUGUGGCGAACAUUCCCAGAACCUUCAUAUCUGACUUGAGCGUCGGAGGGUUUAUGCCGGGAAAACAACCGGCGUGCUCUGACUUGUUUCUGUGGACGCAGGAAUACUUGGAGAAGAAAGCAUACGAGGAGAGAUCCUGGUCGAAGUGAGGUUGAUCGAGCAGACGUCCUGGUCGUAGGAAGAGCAUAACUAGAAUCUCGCAUCAACAAUUAAUUUUGUACAGCUCCAUGUUGGGCAAGAGAAGCAGAAAAUAAAGUGGAUAAAUUGCUUCUCAUGAAAGUGCUCUACACAAUGUUGCUUUGGGAGUACCAAUUACCUGCUCUCUUUGGCAUUUCGCAUUCAGUAAAUGUAAAUGUGCAAAGACAAUCUAUUGAGUCUGAGAAUUUUUUUUUUUUUAACCAAAUGUAAUAAUAUUAAUCAACGUCGUUAGAACUUAUAACCUCUUAUAUCAACUUUAGAACCAUAAACUUAGAUAUCAAAGUCUAUAACAUGCUUGAUCUACUUCAAGCCCGAAGUUUUUUUUUUUAAUUUUUUUUUGGAAAAAAUUGAUAUUUUUUAAUAGUUAAUAAAGGAAUAAAUUUUUUAUUUUUCAGUAACCUUUUAGAUUGGACCUUAGUCAUAAAUUGGUUCAUUUAAAAUAAAAAAAAAAGACUAAUGUACUUAGAAAAUAAAAAUAAAAAUAAUUCUUUUGCAAGUAACAUCAUAUGUGAGAAAUUAUCCAGUUCAAAAUCUUAAACUCUCUUAAAAGUCCAAAAAAGUUGUUACAACAUACGGUGUAUGAGUGUGGCGUAUUAGUUUCCUCAAACUUUAAGAAAGUUCAGAAUCUUGAACUAGAUGAGCACUCCAUCAUGCAUGGUCCAAUAAGUUCCUAUUAACAAAUCUUUUUAUUUUGAGUCUCUCUCAUAAGGAUUGUAUUUAAUCAAAUGCAAAAUAAUAUAACAUCUAAUAAUUUUUUUAAUUUUUAGUUCAUGCUAAUAAUAAUAAUGUUGGCAUUUAAUAGGUGAAAGAAAUAUAUUAGUUUUUAAGUGUUAAUUUUUAACUCUCAUAUUCUAAAUCAUAAUUUAUAAAAAAAAAAUCGCUGGAAAAAAAUUAAUCUUUUUUCAAAAAAUAUAUAUAUGUAAUGGGUAUCAUUCACGUACGUUGAAUUUCCAGAGGAAUGAAGCUAAUAAUGUUCGAAUGCUACUCCAAUGAUUUCACUACUAAAAUAUUAAAUUAUCUUCAUGAAAAAAUUGUAUGAUUAGAAUGAUUAACUCAAGGCACUCGAGCAUUUAAAAUUGCAUCACUACUAAAAUAUUAAAUAAUCAUGUUCGCAUUUAAUGUUCGCACUCGAGCAUUCCAAUGCAUUUUAACUCAAGGCACGCACGCACAAGCAUGAUUAUUGAUUCACACAUGCAUCUUUAAUUAAUUAACUAAAAUAUGGCACUUGAAAAGUCUUUGGGGGUGCCUACAAAUUGAAAUUUGGUAACACAAUUAAUGCUAAGAAAUUAAUCUGGCUACCGUAUAUCCUGCAACGACAUGGAUAAAGGACUGUUCCACCAUUCAACCUGAAAUCAUCGAGUGAAAGAAACAAGAUAAUGAGCGUUGUUAUAAAUCUGAAAGCCGACUCGAAGUAAUAAUAAUAAUAAUAACAAUUAAUAGACCUUACCAUUGGUUAUCACAUUACUGCCCAGUGCAUCUUCCUCCUCAUUCCCUGCAUGCGACAAACCGGGCUGAGGACCAACCACACGGCCACACCAGUAUGUCGCGAGAAUCUUUACUGACUUCUCAUGGAUCUCGAAGUUAUCAUGACUUUGCAGAUUUUCUAUCUUUUCUAUUCCCUCGGCCUCUUCAAUCAACUGGGCAAACUGAUUAACAUCUCCAAUGUCUGUGUCCGUAUUCUUUUCGGCUUCCCCGACCUGCAAAAUGUUCUCUAAUGCUUUUAGGCAAACAGUGACGAUCUCUGGAUCAGAGCAUAGAAGGAGAUCACACAAUGGUUUUAUACACCCCUCUCUCACGAGGUACUUGAUUUGCUCAUGAGUGCCACCAAAGGUGGCAUUUGAAAUUGCCCAUGCAGCCUCCUUCUUUAUAUAAAAUACAGCAUUUUGAAGCAGAUUGACAAGGAGACCAAUUAAGCCAGCAUCAAUUACCGCCUGAAUCUGUUCCCUGUUUCCACAUGCCAUAUUUGAAAUAAUCCAGCAAACUUCCUUCUUGAUGCUCUUUUUAUGAUUAUGGAUCAACAGGCUCAAAAGGUACUGCAGUGCACCACAGUCAAUUAUACACUGAGUCUGGAAAUCGUUCCCCAUCACAAUAGUUCCAACAGCCUGCAGAGCAGGAGUGAGCACUGAAGGUGAUGGAUGACCAAGGAGCUUAACAAGUUGUGGACAGACACCUGCCUCGAUCACAGCUUGAACUUUGUCAUUCGUACCAUAAGAAAGAUAGGAGAGUGCCCAGCAGGCAUCAGUCAAGACCUCUUCAUCGUUUGAACGAAUAAGCUGUGCAAGCACCGGAAGAGCUGGCCUCACCUGAUCUAAUAUUGGCUGCGGCUUGCCCCCGCAUAAAUUAGCCAACGUCCGUGUGGCUAUUCUCUUCAUUGAAAGUUUUGCAUUGUUAUUUAACUGUGUUAGCAAUGGAAUUAGAGCUCCUUCACUAAGCACAAGAUCACGGAAUCGAGGUGAGCCAGCAGCAACGUUUCCCAAUGCCGAAACAGCCUGCUCCCGGAUAUCAUCACUUGGAGAAGCAAGUAGUUUCACAAAUAUUGGAACAGCACCGUGGUCAAUCACCACCUUCUGCAAAGUUUUAGAAGCAAUGUUUGUAAGAGCCCAAGCAGCCUCAUACUGAAUUUGCGGAUAGUCUUCCCUCAUUAGAAACUCAACAAUGCGCGGGACAACGCCAGAUUGUAUGACUUCCUCAAUUUGUGGACUCCUCUCAUUUGAAAUCACUUUUCGGAACUGAGUAGUUGCUUCCAGCUGCAAGUUGUUGUCAUCUGACCAAACGCCAGCAACCAUCGCGGGCAAAAUUUCCAACCUGGUUUGGAGAUUGAGAUUGGGGGCAGGAGCGAAAGAAAGGAAUUGCUGGGAUGGAGGAGCUUCACGACGCUUCUUGAGGAAGCUUUCCUUUUGAAGAUUUACUUGUUCAAUGGUUGUAUUUAAGCCCUCCUUCCAACCCCAACAUGCUUCAUCCCACAUAUUCAGCUGCACUUUGUGUAACACGGGUGUGCUUAAUUCUCCUCUAGAGAAAAUUUUCAUAUUAGUGCAAUCAUCCACCAGUAAUCUUUCCAAAGAUGGGAAAUUCAAGGCACGAUUGCCAGAGUAGAAGCUUCUCAGACUUUUUAAAUUUAAAAGCUUCAACUCGUUCAAUUCGCUGAAAGCAAUAACCUCAUCUUUCGCUGCAUCAUGAUCAUCGUCAUCGUCUGCCAGUACUAUUUCUGUUAUCAUCUCACAUGCUUCUAUCUUCAUUUCUCUGAGUCGCACCAGAGUCUUUGCAAUUGAGAAUGUUAAUACGUUUCUCAAUCCGUUGCAAUACGAUAUCUCCAAAGUUGUAAGAUUCUGAAAGGAUGUCGAGGAUGGCACAAGAUUGAUCAAACGGUGAAAAUUCGUUACACGUAGAAUAACCAAAUUGUUCAUAAUAGAGGAGGACUCUUGUUUCAAGAUGUACUUCAGAUCAUAACAAUUGAAUGCUUCUCUUAUGAUUAUCUCUAUCCCAUCUUCAACCUUUUCUUUUUCCAACCAACCAUUAAAUCCUUCUAUUCGGAGAACUUUCAUGGUGUGAAAUCUCUGGAGGAAAUCAUCAAGUGAUAAAAUAGCAGUCAACUCAUCAACAAACGCAACAUCAAGGCAUUUAAGUUUGCAUAGCAAGUCUUCUGAAAAUAGAAAUUUAUUUGUUAUUAUAUACUUUGCAUCUACUAUCAACUCUUCCAAAUUGGGAAACACCUGCGUGAUCAAUCAGAACAAACAAAGAAAAUGCAAAAUGGAUAAGUUGAUAUCCUUUCUAACAAUUUCACAAAAUUAGUACUGUGCUUUUUGGAGGAAAUUUAACAAAAUAGAAAAGAAUUAGAAGUUACCACUAGCUAAUACAAUAUGUCCAUCUAAUAAAUUUUAACCUUUUAGAAAAUAAUAAUAAUAUGCCUAACAUGCAGAAAGUACUUAUAACAAUUGAAAAAUUAAUUUUAAAUUUCAUGUACCUAGCUAAUACAAUAUGUUUAUCCAAUAAAUUUUAACCUUUUAGAAAAUAAUAAUAAUACACCUAACAUGCAGAAAGUACAUACAAGAGUUGAAAAAUUAAUUUUAAAUUUCAUGUGCGUACCUUUUUGUUCAAGUCAUUAGUAGUUCUUUUAAAUCUCACCAUGAAUUCAGGACACUGAGAUAUCCAUAAUUCUUUCAAGGAUGGAAAUUCAAGCAUAUGUACGUCUCCUGUGCAGAAGCUUGUGAGUUUUUCAAGAUCAUACAUCUUUAGAUAUUGUAACUGAGGAAACAUUACUUUCUUCCUUUCUUCUUCCUGGUUGUCCAUGACUAUUAACUCUUCCAAGACAUGACAUUUUUCUAUCUUAAUGUAUUGGAGUCGAACAAAGCUGUUAUUGCUAACUGUACAAGAUGAAAAUAGACAUCUUAAAUUCAUACAAUUGUAAAAGGUCAAGUGCGUUAAAUUCUGAAUACCACAAGUCAUGGCUGCAACUUGGUUUUGCCAAAUUCUCUCAAUAUUUAUUGAACGCAACUCCAACUUCUCCAACUUUGGUAACGCAACCUGGUCGAUCAAAAAAUUAACUUCUUGCUUGAUGGACAAAUCAAUAAAAGUAAUCUCUGUCAUGUUAUAGUUAUCUUCAGUCUUUCAUACAAACAAGCAUGAAGCAUCAAUCGAGUUUUCCAAAUUAUUCCUCACUAAUUUGAUAGGUACUCUAAAGAUGUAUGUUCAAGAAAAUGUGAAGUCAUAAAUGUUAAUCAAUUUAUCAGUCAAAAUAUAUUUUCAUUAUUAGGAAUUACAAGAUCAACAAUGCUAUAUUGACAAAAAAUUGAGUUACAAAAUUUUCACAAAAACAAAAAAAGAUUGUCAAUAUCCGGGUAGUUAUCAAUCAACUUUAUUUUUGUCAAGACAUUUUAGUAUUUUCAUGCUUUUGUCAAAAUUUAAAAACCCACUUUUUUGGGUCAAAAUAACAUUUUCCUUACAACAUAUUUGGUAUUCCCUAAUACAUAUGUUUAUUAUUAUUAUUAUUCUUAUUAUUAUCAAUUCAUUUAGUUUGUCAAGAGUACCAAUUAUUUUCUCUGAGAAUGUAUUUGUUACACCUACAACAGUUGAUAUUAAAAAUCAUAUAAUUAUUAAUUACUCUUGCCAUAUCUGCAAAAAAACAAGAAUAUCGAAGGAUGAAAAAGCAAAAAUCAGAGAACUGAAAAGGCCAUUGGGUUAUUAGUAACCAACCUUCUCAAUGAAAAGUGUAUUAGAAAUAUUAACAUUGUCCUCCAAAAUGAUUUCAUUCGACUGCAUAUCAUUUGCUGAUUCCUCCUGUCUCUGUCAACAUUGAAGGCAUCUUGAUUUUAGAGUAUAAAUUUAAUUGUGAACACAAUCUUUAAUACAACGUGACACAAGACCUUUAAAAAUUAGUACAACUUAAUUUGGUACUAGAUCGAAAUUCGAUAUUUUGGAUUGCAAGUUUGAGAUUUCGUUAGAAAACAUAAUAAUAAUAACAGAGUUAAUAUAAAAAAUUAAACUUGUUACCUAUUUAGAUAGAUAAACAAUGAAUAUUCUCUUAAUAUGAUUAUUCUAAGAGUACGGAAAAUAUAAGACAAUUAAUUAUAUAUAUAUAUAUAUUUGUGGUUUUAUCCUGAAGCUAAAAGAUUUAAAUAUUAAUUUAGUUGCAAACAUUAAAGACUUAGCAAAAUUGGUUACUUUGGAAAUGAGCAUGAACAUAACAUUUGAUGAUUUUUAAAAAUUAACUUUGAUGCACAAGAAACUUCUAUUUUUAUUGUAACUUAUAAUCUGACAAAACGAUGUCAUAAUUUUUAUAAAUAUGAUGCUACAUAGUAGUUUUCUGGUCUAAGAUCUUAAAGUGUGGGAAAAGAAAACUUUAAAAUCGCGGGGUUUUAAAGGCUUACAACUUGAAAUGCUUAAACCACACGGUUUAUGCAUUUUCUUGGACGUUCUCGCACUUUAAAAUUCUGGAUUGAAACCUUUCUACGAUGCUACAUACAUGUCUUAUGAUAUUUGGAUACGAUUUAAGGUCUGAAAAAUGGUUUAAAUUCAAGGGUUAGAUCAAUUAAGCUAGGAAAGAAUGACCAAAGCUUUAAUUUAAAAUAAAAUUACCGAUCUAAAUUUGAGAACUCUACACAUAGAAUAAAGUACAAUUACGAUUUUAUUUGAGCUUCUUUAUUAAAGGUUUAUUUUAUGUCAUCCAAGUCUGAUGUCAACAAGAUUUUGUUGUUGGGGAAUAGUAAAAAGUUAUUAAGCUAUUAUAAGUAAAUUUUAUGAUUACAGUAAAAAAGUACUUGAUGUUAUUAUUAUAUUAUUUUUAAUAUUAGAUCCCAAGUGAAAAAUUCCUUCAUACCAAUUAUUUCAAUUAGGAAUGAUCAUACCUUUGACUCUGCCGGCGGAUUGAGGGCGUCGCUGCAACCAUGGAUCCUGAGAAACUUGAGUUCUGAAGAACCCACUUUGGCUAAUUCAUUAGCAAAAUAAUUGACAUCUUGCUCUUGCAAUUCACGUAAUUCAAGGUCUUCAAUUCCCUGCAGUUGCACGAUCAGCCAAUCCUUCAAGCAAAUCUUGUUGUUCAGCCUGAGUCUGAAUUCUCUACGCCAAAUGUUGGUGCUCUCCCAAUACCAAUCUCCAAUACGUAUUCUGUACUUUUCCAGCUUCUCCAAGAACAAGCCUCUGAGCAGAGUGUUGACAUCAUGGAUGUCUAAUUCUAAAGAGGUCAAGUUAGGCAAAUGCUUCAACUCCUCAACGCUAGCAUUCUUAACCCCUUCCACCUCCACCUCCCAUUUUUGAAAGCUUCUACAACUUAUGUAUAGUUCUUCUAAAUGGGAUAAAUUUGAUAAAACAUUUGGUGGGAUAACUUCUAGUUUCCUACAUUCUCUCAAAUCAAGCAAGGUUAGCCAAGUCAAUUGACCUACUUCUGUUGGCAGCUGCUUAAUGUCAGAGCCUCUUAAACAAAGGAUUUCUAGUUUCUUCAAGCCUCCUAUAACACUUAUAUCUAGCAAUUUGCAAUAACACAAACUCAGUGCUCGAAGGUUUAACAGAAAACCAAGUGUUGAAGGCAGUGAUAGUAGAUUCAUGUAAGUCAAGUUUAUAACUCUGACCUGUAUCAUCCUCUUGAAAAAAUUGUUUGGAAUGGUUAAUGAUGAAGAUUCCUUAUCCGCACUUAUAAAAAGAAGUUUGAGUUGAGGACAUUCCACUACUUCAGGAAGCACAUUAGUCCUGACAUCAUGUAAGACGAUCGAAGUGUAACGCUUUACUGCACUUUCGUCUGACCAUUCCCUGAAACCAUCAACCUGCUCAUUUGUCGCUGUCAACGCAUUUUGCUCUCUAGAUGCAAUUGAUAUGGCAACAUCGCGAACAACAUCAUGCAUGGAAAAGAACUCUUCCUUCUUGCUUAUAUGGUCUAGCAACAUGCAAGAAGCUUUGAGUUUGUGCACCAAUGUCAGUACUCGAGCUCGUGCUACUUCCAUCUUAUUGACACCUUGAAAUAAACCUAAUCCCAUACCACACAUUAACAAGGCAUCAAUGGAUGAUAUGGCUGUAUAUCCUAUUAGCAAAAAGAUGUUCUUCAGCUCCUCCCCUUCUAAUUUGUUGUAACUCAACUCUAUUGCUGUAUAUGCAGUUGGCUGUAUGUCUUUGAAAUUCGUUGAGGAUGGCCUUCUUAGUUGUUCCAACGCAUCCUUCCAUUCAAAUAAUCUCUUGUUCCUUAAUGCCCUCGCUAUCGUCACAAUGGAAACAGGCAAACCUGCACAUUCCUUUGCCACAUCCCUUGCUAUCGAUUGGAAUUCACUACCUUCAAUAUAAUCACCUGCCAUCUUCUUGAAUAGACUCCAAGCUUCUUCUUCGUUUAGAACACCAAUUGAGAAAUUUGGUCGAGAAUCCAUCUUCCCAGACAAUACAUCUUGACUUCUGGCCGUCAACAGUACUUUACAACCUUUAUGACCAUCUCCAUGUGGAAUUCCGACAACCCGCAAAUCAAGAUUUUCCCAAAUGUUGUCUAGAAUUAUCAGGAUCUUCUUCUCUGCUUUUAUACGUGUAAAUAAGCUGUUCGCCCUUCCUGAUUCACUCUCCUCAUGAAACUUCAGGCCUAGUUUAUCUCCGAUUUCUCCUUGAAUCUUUCGUAUGUCUUGAUUCUGGGACACCUCAACAAAAACCACCUGAUCAAAGAGUUUGUCGCUCUUGACUUUCCUAGCAAUUUCUUCCGCCAGCAUCGUCUUUCCGAUGCCGCCCAUCCCAUAAAUCCCAAGCAUAUUGACAUCGGGAUCUUCUAGUGCACUGAGUAUAUUCCUCAAAGUGAACAUUCUUGAUUCAAAGGGCUCGUAGUCUUUGUUAGAGAUAAGCCGUAUAUCCUCUGGAGCAGUACAGUAGGAAAUUCUAUCAAAUCUUCGAGCUUCUCGGACUUUGACAACAGCCUCCUUCUGCCUCUCCGCUUCCUUGCUAAGUCGACGGCGGGUCUUCAAAUUAGGACAUAAUCCCUUGAAACAACGCUUAUUUGCAAUGGCUUCAUCGUCUGUAAACUUAACUGCCUCAACAAUGACAUUAUUUGCCGUUGCAAGCCAAUUCUCAACGUUCUCUUCAAUCUCUUCUCCUUUUCUUUUAGCCUCAUCAACCUGGUGCUCUGUGCGCACCCUCUCAGACUUCAGAUGGUCAACUUCAAUCUUGAGAUUCUGUAAGUUGCUCAUGUACUUACUCUCACGCAAAUAGCUAAUUUGGCGAUAUGCGGGAGGAGCCAAGCACUUUACAACUUCUACAACAAUAGUAAGAAUGAUUUCAGCCAUCUUCAGGCCUUUUCCUCUCUCUCUCCUUUUCUGAAUUUUUGAAAAACAAUUGAUCCAAUAAUGAAGCAAACUAAGUGAUUAAACACGAGUGACUACAACAAGAUGGGGCAGAGUAAGAAGAAAAUACAAAGAGUAGAUACAGAAUAAAACAGAGACUAGAUAGAGAACAGAGCAAAACCAGAUAACAAGACUGAAGAUUACAACAAACAGAGGCCAAAUAUUGCUGAGAUCAGAAGAUUGAAAAUUCGAAAGAGUUGACGGCAAAAGCGGAAUACAAGAACAACAAUGAACACAAUAAACAGAAGCAAAGUGUGUUUCUGAUCAAAGGAUGAAAAUGGUAAGGAAGGGUUUGUUUUGUUGACUGGGAAUGAAUGCAAAGAAAGACUGAUAUUAAAAAAUGAUCUCAAUAAUGGAGGAGCGAUUCAACUCUGAAGAGUAAAGUUUUGUCGUAUUCUUUUUAACAACUUCCUUUUAACUUCUUGUUGUGGCAGACAACGGAGAAUAAGGAUGAGAUUAAAAACUAAAAGCGACCCCUCUAUGUCUUUUGGAAUUAAUUAAUCAUCUUAGCCGGAUGUCUUUUGGAAUUAAUUAAGGAAAGUGAUGUUUGCCUCGGGUUAAAUCCCGAAAGGGCUCUAAAACGAUGCCGUUUCAUCUAUUAUUUUGUUUUUGUUUUCAUUCUCGGUAAAACGACGCCGUUUUUCAAAAGGCAAAAUUCUCACACUAAGGCAAAAGCAACGCCAGAACCCAUCUGCUUUCUCUCUCUCUCUUCAUUUCACCACACUAGAAUUUUGAGUACAAUUCUUACCCAGUUGACUUCUCCCAAAACCCAGUUGCCAACACAAACAAACUGCUUGCUUCACUUCAAAAAAUUUGUUGUAAUCAACAACUUGCUUCUGCUGCUGCGGCUAUUGUCGUUGCUGCAGUGGUAUUGAGUCUGCAGAUUCAGAAGAAGCAAGUCCAAUGGAUAGCUCUAAGUCGAGAUUUUCUUGACAAUGGGUGCUGCUAUGCAUUAUUUCUUCAUUAUUAUUAACAGUGUAUUUGUUGAAAUUAUUAUGGUUAUGAAUUAAGUUGAGAGGGCGGUGGGUUUGAGGGUCAAGGCCACGGUUAAGUAAUUUCUGCUUGAUGUGUGUAUUCCAAUAAUUCUUUAUUUUAUUACCUGUGCUUCCUGGUAAUCUUCCAGCUAUCAACAACCACAUUACACAAAUUCAAAACACCCCCCACCCAAAAAAAAAAAUUUUUUUUUUAGAUCUAAUAAUUAAAAUUAACCCACCCCUAAACAAAUAAAAAUUUAAAAAGAAAAAAGAGAGGAGAAGCUUGAUUAAUUACUUGUUUCCUAGCAAACUAUGAAGCUUGAUAAUGAGUUCAUCUUCUUCAUCGGUAAAAUUCCCACGCUUAAGAUCAGGGCGUAGAAAAUUUAUUCAUCUCAAUCAAAGGGUUCUACAGGUGGGUUAAGGGAAUGAAGAGGAAGAAGCAAGGUUUCUGCAGCUGAGUUAAACGAAGAGGAAGAAGAAACUAAUGUGUCCUAACCAAAACGACUUCGUUCUCAACAAAUCAGAAGCGGUGUCGUUUAACAGAAACGGUGUCAUUAACAACAAAUCAGAACAAAAAAAAAAAAAACAAGAGCUGAAACUACGACCUUUGCAGCUGUUUCGGGGUUUGACCCGGGGUAAACAUCAGUGCUGAUUAAUUAAUCAUCUUAGCCGGUUAACCGUUGUCCGUCGGAUUAGGGAACAGAAAUCCAAACGGUGGGAGAUCACUUGCUGAGAGCAUGACCCUUUGUUACCUUAAUGAUGAUUUCCAUGUGAUGAUAAAUAAACCAGAUAGAUAUGGUAGAUAUUUUGAAGUGAAAAAAAGUGAAAAACUUAACCUUUACCAUUGCUUUGCUUUCUUAUUUCAUCUUUUCCCUAGGCUUAUUAUUCUUUUAUUAUUUAAGUUGCCAACUCAUCCACCUUCUGUACUAUCACGAGUUAAUAAGAUCAAUGGUUAAAAAUUUGUAUUAAGAUUUUAAUUCAAAACUUUAAAUUAAAAUAACCUCACCUUGAAGUUAUUGUAAAACAACAACUUGAGACCAUGUGUAAAUACUAUAUCCUAACACCAAGACUGCUAGUUCAAGACUGCUAGUUGACCGUUAGCAUCAUGCCAGUGUAGUAGGGGCGAAGCAUCCUUUUACGCAAACUAAACUCAUGUAUAUUCAUUGAAAUAUGAAGGGCCAAAUUAUUAUUCUAAAAAAAUAUUUGAACACCAAAAUAUGUAUUAGACCCACUUACUCGAUAAAAACAUCAUUAAUGUAAAUUUUUUUUGUAUGAAUACACAUUAAUACCCAAAAAUACCCUUAGUAAACUAAUUAUCAUAAUUUCUCUUAUCCUUUUUCCUUCAGCACCUUUCUAACCUUUAUUAGUCAUGAUUUUGAAACCAAACCCUAGGUUCAUCCUUUUUAAUUUUUUUCAGUACGUUUUUGCCGUUAAAUUAUAAAUAUAUUGUUACAAAUUAUUCGAAACGCGUGAAAACCCAAAAAUACCCUUAGUAAACUAAUUAUCAUAAUUUCUCUUAUCCUUUUUCCUUCAGCACCUUUCUAACCUUUAUUAGUCAUGAUUUUGAAACCAAACCCUAGGUUCAUCCUUUUUAAUUUUUUUCAGUACGUUUUUGCCGUUAAAUUAUAAAUUUAUUGUUACAAAUUAUUCGAAACGCGUGAAAUGUUGAAGAAAGAGCAACUAAUAAUAAAAUUACAUUCAUAAUCAGGAUACUAACUAAAUUCAAGUAAUUAAACAGGUCUCAUAUAAGCUCUUUUGUUGAUGGAUAUACAAUGAUUAACCAACGAUAAAAUUUAUUGUCGAAUUUAAAGAAGUUUCAGAAGAAAAAAAUUGUCGGUGGAAUCAAAUUAAGAAGCUUUACCAACAAUAAAAUUUUUGAGCAAAUGAAGAUUUACAUUGCUAGAGGUGUAGAUGAGGAAAGCAAAUUCAAAAAAAUACAAGUACUGUACACUGAACGAAUUCAGAUAUGGCUUGAAGAUGACAGUAAACAGUAGAACUUUUGUGGCUUGUCUGCAAUGGCAAUAGAGGACUAUUGCUGGUUGUUUCAAAAUGUACGUCAGAUCAUAUCACUUAUUUACUUCUCAUAUGAUUGCCUUCAUCCCAUUUUCAACCUUUUUAUUAGUACUUGGCCUUGGGUGAUCAAUCAGAACAAAAAGAAUUUAAAGAUGGAGUUGAAUGUUCUUUCAAACAAUUUCAUAAAGUACUUUUUUUUUUGGGAGUAAAUUUCACAAAAUAGAAGAGAAUUAAUUUAAAGUUAGUUACCACCAGCUAAUAUUACUUAUCCAAUGAAUACUAACUUUUUAUAUAAAAUCUCGACAAAAGAAGUCUUGGCGGUGAACCCCAUAUUAGUCAAGAGAUUAGUCAUAUUACUGUUUUGUCAGUAAGUGUUAGAGAAAUGAAGAUUCAUAUCAUGUAAAAGGUUGGACGCAUCUAGCAUAGGACCCGUUAAGGCUCGUGUCCCAGCUAGCUUUUGAAAAAUUUUGAUGAUUUUUUUUUAAAUAAUAUAUUUUAUUUAUUAUUUAUGAGAGCAUCUCAGUUGAAUUAUUAAGUGAUAAAAGUGCCACUGCUAACUUUAAAAUAUUUCAUGUCACCCAAGUUAACGUCAUUCUAUAUAAUUUGAUAGCGACCACGAAAAAUGAGAACAUCUGAAAUACAGCUUGUUACCAGUUAUCAUUGCCUUCUGCAUCUUCCUCCUCGUCCUACACUUCAUUAUCCUACUCUUCUUUGUUGUCUUCCUAGUGUUUAGCCAUUAGAAACAAAGAUAUGGCAAUGAUCGUUAAACAAAUCAGAUUAAAAAUGAAGUUGAUUAGCAAAAAUUUGAUAAUUAAAUGCGUGCAAAUGCAGCACAAGAAUCAAAAGAGAAACUAUAUGUUUCGGAAUGACGAGUACGUUACUCUUGUGUGAAAUCAAUGAUACUUCUUUAUUAAUUGUUAAGCGAAUAUGUACCUUUUUUUCUGAAGAUAUAGUUGUUGCAUGGUUGUAUUAAGGUCCUUUUUCUAAAGACAUAGAUGUUGUAUGGUCGUAUUAAGGCCUUACUCCCAAAUCCGACGUUCUUUAAUGUCCCAGCAGUCCCUAACAAAAUCUUCAUGCCAUACUCUGUGUAAAAUGGGUGUGCUGUAUUCUCCUCCCGAGAAAAUCUUCAGACUGGGGCAAAAACUCACAGUUAAUACAUCCAAAGAAGGGAAUUUCAUGGUGCAAUUUACGCCUAAAUAGAAGCUUGUGAGAUCUUUUAGAGAAUGAAGCUACAAAUCCUUCAAUUCACUGAACACAAUUUCAUCAUUCGUUGCUGUUACAUUACUAUUGUUUGGGAGGAAUUACUGGUGCAGACAUGAGGUAAUGAAAUGCCGACACAUGGCAUUAGUGGGUUAAAUUAGUGAAACCAGACAGCUAGAUUGAGAAGGCUGGGAAGCUUAAGCCAAGAUAGGAGACAAGCUUCCCGUAGCUUUGGUAAAAACAUAUGCAAUUGAGGGGCAAAGUCAGAAUCGAUGUCCUUGGUGGAUAAGAUCACGCGUGAACAGUACGUGCUUCAUAUACCAAAUCGAAAAUAUCUUAUUCUGCUGAAGGCAAGGAACCAAUGAGGGAAAAGAAAGCAAAAAAGGGAAUAAGAGAGCUGCCACCUCAGUUAUCCCUUGCAGUGGUCAAAAAACCAGCAGGACCACUGGUUGGAGGAAAGGCCACGCGUAGAAACUAAGGAGCAAGAGGGUGGCUAACUGGCUAUUGGUUUUUUUGUCUCCCUUGUUUGAGUACAUCACCAUCUCGGGACCACAAUUACAGUCUCUAAAAUACCCUCACCCGAGGGAGGGAAACCAAAUCAAUUAGCGUUAUGUAUCCGAAAUGACGGAAAGACCCUCAGGCAACUCCUAAAAUGCUCAAGUCACACUCUCCAACGGUAACCAACUUUCAUUCACCCAAAAAUAUUGCUCUCAUGCAUCUUCUUCCUCAGAGCACACACGGAGAGUAUUUUCACCAAUUUUUUUAUCAGUUUGAAGGUCCAUUUUUGACCUUGAGACAAUCUCUUAUUGUGCAAAAUCUUACUUGAGCGUGAAAGUGUGGUCGCCGGUCACUACUGGCUCCACCUCUAACGUUUGUGUGUGCUCUAGUUUACAGGAUAUGCCAAACUCGAGUUGUGGUGGUUAUGUAGCUCCCUCAUCAUCAUCUGCCACUAUUUCUGCUACCAUAUGGCAUGAUCCUAUACUCAUUUGUCGUAGCCGCACUACAGUCUUUGUUGUUGAUGAGGAAGUUAAUACGUUUCUCAAUCCUUAGCAUCUCCAUAACAUCAAAGUUGAGAUUGAAAAUUCAAAAGAUUUGACGGCAAAGGGCUAAAUAACAAAACAACAAUGAAUAAAAUAGACAGACGCAAAGUGUGGCUUUGAUCAAAAGAUGGAAAUAAGGAAAGGGUUUGUUGAUUGAAAAUUAAUGAAUGCAAAGAAAGACUGAUAUUAAUGAAUGCAAAGAAAGACUGAUAUUAAAAAUUGAUCUCAUGAAUGGGUAAACUUUGAAGAAUAGUGGUUUGUCGUAUUAUUUUCACUAAAAGUGACCCCUCUGCAUUUUUAAGUGCCGCUGGAAAGCCAAUGUUGGUCAUGUCUUUUGGAAUUAAUUAAUCUUCUUAGCUUUAUGGCCGUUUAAUCGUUGUCCAUCGGAUUAGGAAACAACGAUCCAAAUGGUGGAGAUCACCUGCUGAAUCAAAUUCGAAAGCAAGACCCUAACUUUAAUUAUGAUUAUUUGUGACUCUAUUGAUGAUUGCAUGUGAUGGUAAAUAUCUCAGGUAAGUAUGGUAGAUAUUUUUAAGGGAAAAAGUUGCCAACUUAGCUACCUACCUUCUCUGCUAUUAUGGUGCGUUUACUUCCUGCAUUGCGGAGUCAAAAUCUGAAAUAAAAAUAAUUUAUAAUGUUUACUUAUUAAAAUAAAAGGUGAGAAUGAGAAUGAAACAUACAGGAUCCACAUAUUUUUAAGAUAAAGAAUUAGGAAUUAAGUUCUCAUUCCUUAAACUCUCUAUUUUAACCCACUCAAAUUUCAUAAUUUCACUCUUAUCCUCUAUUAAAAUAUUAAUAUAUUAUAUUAUUAUUAUUGUUAUUGUUCUUAUUUUUGUAAUUGUUGUUAAUAAUAAUAAUAACAAUAAUGAUGACGAAAUUAAUGGUUAGAUAUUUUUGUCAAGAUUUUAAUACUAAUCUCACAACUUUAAGUUAUUGUAAAAUAACAAUGUGGUGCAACAAAUACUAUGUAGUGUAUCCUAAAGCUUUAUUACUAAAAGAAUUACAAAAUCUUAUGUUUUCUUAUGUUUUGAUCAAGACAGUUAGUUCUCCCUUGACUUCGUGCUAGUGUAAUAGAGGGGAAAAUGUCUUCGUACAUAAACUAAACUCAAUAAUAUAAAUUCAUUAAAAUACGAAAGGGCAAAAUUAUCAUUCUAAAAAGGGGACUAUUUGAACACCAAAAUAUUUAUUAAAUAGGUAAAGCUAUUUCAACCCACCAAAUUCCUCUCUACACCCAUUUUAAAAAAAUAAAUUCAUUUAUUAAAAAUUAAAAAUUUGGAAAUCUCUAAAUUGCGCUCACUAAUCUCUUUCUCUCUACCUUAUAAUUAUGUAUUCUCUCUUUACUCUUAUAUUCUACAAACUAAACAUUCAAAUUCACUUUUUUUAAUCCUUUUUUUUUUUGGGUUUUUCCUAGUAUACCAUGAUCUUUAUUUCAUGCUUUCUAUUUAUAAGAAUUAUUUUUUCAUUAGCUUUUAUGUUUCGUAAUAAUUAAUUUCUAUAUUUAUUAAAUUUCUUGGCUGAUAAAAAUUUGUUGAUGUAUAUUUUUAAAUAGUGGAUUAUGCUCCUCUUAGUUAGUGAUAUCAAUUAUUUGUAGCUAAAAGAACAUAUUUGAAUGAAUUAAUGAGAAUUUGUUAAAUUGAAAAGAGACACAGAAGAAGAGAUUAAUUAUUUUUCAAAAAAUUAUAUAUAUAAUAAAAUUCUUAACUAAAAAGAGAAUGUAGUAGAGAGUACAUUGCUGGGUUCAAAUAGCCCCACCCUUAUUAAAUUCAUCUACUCAAUAAAUACAUUAUUAAAUUUUAAAAUCUAAAUUUUACUUAAUAGACGCAUGUUAAUACCCAAAAUACACUUAGUAAGCUAAUUAUCACAAUUUCCCUUAUCAUUUUUCUUUCACGGGCUCACGGCCUUUGCUAACCUUUUAUCAGUCAUGAUUUAAUACUGAAACCCUGGCUUCAACCUUUAUAAUUUUUUUAAUAGUUUUUUGUCCUUUAAAUUAUAAAUGUAUUAUUACAAAUCAUUCCAAAGGCAUGAAAUGGUAAAGAAAGAACAACUAAUAGUAAAUAAUAAAAUUACAUUCGCAAUUAUGAUACUAACAAAAUUCAAGAAGUUAAACAAUCACUCACCCACGAUAAAAUUUAUCGUCCAAAUUAAAGAAGUUUGAAAAGAAAUACUUGCUGGUCGAAAUCAAAUUAAGAAGCUUUAUACUUUGAGCACAUUCAAUUAUUUAGCAAGCUCAUAAAUCUUAAUUCUAUUUGUAGAAAUAGGAGAGUAGACGAGAAAACAAAUUCAAAUUAAAACAGAAAUUGUAUGUUUCAAUCAAUGCCUGUCACUUAAUUGUAUUCCCUCCCCCCCCCCCCCGGUUGAGCUGUUGUAUGGUUUUUACUAAGGUCGUGGUCCCAAAGUCCGACGUUCUUUGUCUCACCUGCUCACCUGUACUUUAUGUAUAACUUAGGGUGUGCUUAAUACCCAUAAUAUGUCUCAAAAGCAUGAUCAAGUGAUUUUCAAGCAGGUUUAUUUAAUUAUUUAUCCAAAUUCAAAUCAUCUAAACUUUACCCACGUCACAAAGACAAUAAACGAACCUCCAUAUUUACUAAUCAAGAGGUCAGUCAUACUAUUAUUUUUCGGAUAGAUGUAAGAAAAAUGAAAAUUCAUACGGUGAAAAAAGGUUACUACAAUUGUACCAAAGAUUACGUAGCAUUUUAAGGAGUAUCCAAGAGGAGGAUUAGAAAGGAGCUUAAUUAAUGACCAACAAAAAAUCACAUUUACGGAAAGCACGCUGCAAGCGCAAUACCCAAAUCAACGCCAUGAGCUCAGCAUAAAAAGCUGUUUGAAUACCUAAGAACAUCCCAAACCGCCAAUAUAAGGUCCCUUAAUUACAACACAAAAACCGCAUCACUAGCUGCAAAAUUGACUAUCCCUCCCUGCAAAGGAUAAUAGCUUUCCUUUGCAACCAUUUAGCUUCGAUCUAGCUUUGUCAGUUAGGGCCUGUAAAUGAGAAUGUUUAGGAUAGGACAGCCCUUGAAAAUUGGAACACCCAAGUAGGUUAAAGGAAGGCAGCCCCUCUGAAAUGCCUAAAGAGACAUUAAUUAUCAAUUAAUGAUAAGCACAAAUUUUGACAUAAAUUAAUAUAUAUAUAUAUAUAUAUAUAUAUAUAUAUAUAUAUAUAUAUAUAUAUAUAUAUUUAUCGCCAAUUUAUAUUUGGUAAACACUAACUGCUAUGACUUGAAAGUUAAAUUGACUUAAUACUACAGUUAUAUGAUGAAACGCAUACAAUAUAUUUAUUAUUUUUGUAAAAAAUAUUAUUUAAAAUUAUAUUUAUUACAUUUUAUUAUUUUUAUUUCAUAGCUACAGUUUUUUUUUUCAUAACUGUUGUGCCGUAAAAUCUAUACACUUUAAUACUAAACAGAACCUUACUCAUCACAAAAUUUAGAACAUCCCAGACAAAACUUCUUACCAGUUAUCAUUGCCCUUCUGCAUCUUCCUCCUCGUCCUACACUUCAUUGUCAUCCUCUUCUUUGUUCUCUUCCUAGUAUUUACCCAUUAAAAAUAAAGAUAUGGCAAUGAUCGAUAAACAAAUCAGAUUAAAAAUGAAAUUAAUUAGUAAAAUUUUGAUAAAUGCAUGCACAUGCAGCACAAGAAUCAAAAUAGAAACUAUAUGUUUCAGAAUGAUUAGUGCGUGUUAAAAGUCUAACGCUCAAUUUUAUGAUCCAAUUCAAUUACACUUGUCCAAGCCCAAGUUCAAAGCUCAAUCGAUGGAAGAUUCAAAAAUUGUGUAGAGAAUAGAAGAUGACUUUAAUCAAGAACUAUCAAAUGGUGGUGAAAAUAUCUAAGUUUAGAAAAUUCUUGAGUACUUGGUGAGAUUUGUAAAAUGUGGUUAUCCUAUUUUGAUAAUUUAAUAUUUGCGUGGUUUGUAUUAGUUUUAGGUUAUAAUAAGUACCUCUAGGCUCUUUCUUAGAGGCAUAAAGUGAAAUGCGAAGAAUAAGAGAAAAAUAAGAAGCGUAAGCUACGAGCUGUGUAGCAUUUCUCGUGAAAUAUCAAUAAAAUCCUUUAUGUUUAGUAAAUCAUACAAUUGCUCACAUAGUCUCAAUUUUAUGCACUCUUAGUCCUCCUCUGUUUUCAACAACACAUUACUUUUGAGUGAAAUCAAUAAUAUUUCUUAAUCAAUUACUAAACGAAUACGUACCUUAUUCCGAAGAUAUAGCAUUUGUAUGGUUGUGUUAAGGUCGUGCUCCCAAAUCCAACGUUCUUUAAUGUCCCAACAGUCCCUAACAAAAUCUUCAUGUAAUACUUUGCGUAAAACGGGCGUACUUAAUUCUCCUCCGGAGAAAAUCCUCAUAUUGGGGCAAAAGCUCACAGUUAAUACAUCCAAAGAAGGGAAUUUGAAGGCGUAAUUUAUGCCUGAGUAGAAGCUUCUGAGAUCGUUUAAAGAACGAAGCUCCAACUCCUUCAAUUCACUGAACACAAUUUCAUCAUUUGCUGCUGCUGCAUUAUCUUUAUCUCCCUCAUCAUCGUCAGCCACUAUUUCUGCUACCCUAUGGCAUGAUCCUAUACUCAUGCGUCGUAGCCACACUAGAGUCUUUGCUGUUGAGGAUGUUAAUACGUUUCUCAAUCCUUUGCAUCUCCAUAACAUCAAAGUUGUUAGAUUUCGAAAUGAUGUCGAGGAUGGUACUAGAUUAACCAAAUUAUCAAACUGGAUUACUUCCAACCAUUCCAAAUUUCCCAUAAUGGAGGAGGGAUCUUGUUGUUUCAAAAUGUGCUUCAAACGAUAGCACUUGUUUACUUCACUUAUGAUUGCCUUCAUCCCAUUUUCAACCUUUUCAAAUACUGAGUACGCAACAGAAUAUUGACCUCCUGCUAUAUGGAGAAUUUUAAUUGUUUGGGAGAAAUACGUCGACGAGACCAGGCAUGGUGAGCAGAUAUCUGAUGGCAGAGUUCUGCGAACCGGUGUGUUCCGUAAAAGCCUGGUGCGCGGGGGAACAGGAGCAGAAAUAUCCUGCUCGUCCACGAGCACGUCAUCCGCGAGGCCAAUUUCCUGUAAGAGGCAUAAGGCCAUUCCGGCUAGAGGUCGAGAGGCGAGGAGACCCGGUCGACGGCAGUUGGCAAGACAUGCUCUCCAGCCCGAGAAUCUAGGCACGACAGCCACGCUUUCCCCAGAACCACGGCGGAACACGCAAGAUCCCACGUUUGCCCAUAACGCAGCAUAACGCAGCAGUCGGAGUCCCAUACCGUCCCCCAAAAAGCGGAAACAAGAUCUCACAGAACCACGACAGCCACGCUUUCCCCAGAACCGUGGCGUAACACGCAAGAUCCCACGUUUGCCCAUAACGCAGCAGUCAGAGUCCCGUACCGUCUCGAAAAAAGUGGAAAACUGGGAUUCAGAGGAAGCCUAUAAAAAGGUAGCCAACGAAGGUAAAGGGGUUGGCAUUUUUGAGAUUAGAAAAGAAAUUCAAAAGAAGAGAAAACCACGAAAAAGCCAUAAGAUCCGUGGCAAGCGUUCCCCGAACCUUCAUAUCUGACUUGAGCGUCGGAGGGUUUGCGCCGGGAAAAUAACCGGCGUACUCUGACUUGUCUGUGUGCGCAGGAACCUCUGGAGAAGAAGCCUUGCGAGGAGACCUCCUGGUCGUGAUGAAGUUGAUCGAGCAGAGAUCCUGGUCGUAGAACGAGGAGAACCGGAAUCCCGCAUCAACAUUUUGGCGCCGUCUGUGGGGACGAGAGCAAAAAGCUUCUGUUGAUAGCAAGAAGAGGGGUGAAGCAAGUGAAAAGCAAUGGAGACAGGAGGAAGUAGUGCACAAGGGGGUGAUAGGAGGCUUAACGAUUCCGUGACGCUGAGGGAGAUAGUCAGUGAAGCACGGGAAAAAGUCAUGUUCGACCGGAUGGAACGGAUGGAAAAGCAGAUGGAGACCUUGACAACCAUCCUGCAUGAGCUGCGGAGCGAGCGAAGGGUAACCCAAGAGGGAAGGGUGAGAGGCGGUGGAGUGGCACCAGGUCCCGAUAGUGCGGGGAGAAGUCAAACCACCGGGAGAUUUGGUGGUGAGAGAGGUAACGUACCUCUGCGGGGAGAAAUUCAUAGAGAAAGAGAGCAGUCCCCGGCAAGACAGACUGGUGACGAGGACGACGGGGUGGUGAAUGCAGAGGAAACAGAGUUGAGGCAACACUUGCAUGAUGUAGAGCAAGAGUGGGAUCAAGUUGCAGCACGUGACCCUGGUCGUGCAGUGCAGCUGGAGGAGGAAGUGCGCAGACUAGCGCAGAUAAUUGACGACAUGCAAGGAAGGAACAGAGCCCCUGGUUGGAGGAUAAUGCUGGACGGAGAAUCACCGCUCGCAGCAGAGAUCAUGAGGGCAGUUAUUCCGAGAGAUUUCCGCCUCCCAGACCUCAGAUACUCGGGAAGAACUGAUCCGCUAGCGCACAUAGAGCGCUUCAACGACAUAACUGGGGUACAAGGAUUAUCUCAAUCCCAAAGGUGCAGGGUGUUCCCACUAUCCCUUGAGGGACGUGCACGAGAAUGGUACAGGAAACUUCCUCGGGGCAGCAUUAAAACCUUCGAGCAGAUGUGCCAGGAAUUCGCGGAGCAGUUUAGUGGGGCAAUGGCACCGGAAGAUGACAUGAUGGAGCUGAAAAGCAUGAAACAGGGGGAGCAAGAAAUCCUUCGGGAAUUCAUCAAGAGGUUUCAUCGGGCUGUCCUCGACUUGGGAGCCUUCAACCACCCUCAGGCGUUAAGGGGAUUGAAAGAAGGGGUGAAGAUAGGAAGGCUGUGGUACAAUUCGAGAAGCCCAGCUAUUCAAACGUAUGCAGCCGCAUACGAACAGGCUAAGAGAGACAUCGAGAUUGAAGAGGAGAAGGCUGCACGGAUUAAGACAGACCAGUUAGAAGGGUUGGGGAGGAAAGAGAAGAAAGUAUUACCGGGGAAUGGGCCGAUCAGGAGGAGGGACCACCAGGCCUCCGGUAGUGGAGCAGGAGGUCGGGUAACUGCUUACCAGCCUCAUCAGAGGCCACCACAGUAUCAGCGCAGCAGGGCGCAACCUCCUCGUUCCCCAGCUAGAGAGCCUUGGAGAAGGCAUGAGUCGGCAUCUGGUGGUCUUCAUCAACAUCCCCACGGUAGCAGAGCGAGCAGACCAGAAGUACUUCCACCGCCCCCAACUCAGAGCGGGGCAAACAGAGAAAGAGCAGUGCACCUGAUCGACCAGAACCCGGACUAUGGGCGGUACACUUCCUUAAAGAUGUCCCUGGAUGAGGUGUACGAGGCCAUAAAGGAUCGAGGGCUGCUGCACCUCCCUACACCAAUAACAAAGCUACCCAACAUGAGGGAUAGAGGACGUUAUUGUAAGUUCCAUGGCACCCAUGGCCAUACCACAACAGAGUGUAGAGAUCUCAAGACCUAGGUCGAAGAUUUGGUGAGAAAUCGGUACCUGGACGAGUUUAUGGAUGAGACUUUCCCGAUGGUGGCCACAAUAGGUGAAGGGGAGCAGAGUGGUAGAAACUUGAGGCGCGAGCAGCCCGCAGUAAGGGUGAUAGCUGGGGGCCCAACAUUGGCCGGAGAUUCUAAUAGAUCGAGAAAAAAUUAUGCUAGGUACGCCAUGACCAGUAAGGAGGUACUCUUCAACACCCCAGCAGCCAAACGAGCAAGGGUCAGGCAAGUGCCAAUCAUGUGGACGGAUGAGGAUGAGGAAGGGAUUCUAUACCCCCACGAGGAUGCUUUAGUCAUCAAGGCUACUGUCGCUAGCAAGAAAUUUGACUGGAUACUGAUUGAUACAGGGAGCUCAGUUGAUGUGUUAUUUAAGUCAACCCUGGAAGAGAUGAGAAUAGCCGACCGGAAGUUGGAAUACACCAAUACCUCCUUGAAGGGGUUCGGAGGAGGGAAGCUAGUCCCUCUGGGCGUGGUCGAGCUGCCUAUCACAAUUGGAAGCUCCCCGACAGAAAGAACAAUGAUACUGGACUUUGUCGUAGUGGAUGAGGAAGGUCCUUACCAGAUGAUCCUAGGUCGGCCAUUUUUAAGGAUGAGCAAAGCGGUGUUGUCCAACCAUUAUCUGGCUCUGAAGUACCGGGUGAAUGGGAUAGUAGGAGUGGUACGAGGAGGCCAGAGGAUCGCAAGAGGCUGCUACUCCUCGGCAGUAAGGGAAGCAAUGCAGAUAACAUCCCUCGAUACCCGAGUGGAAAACAAGAAGGGCAGACAAGAACCUGUAGAGGAUCUGGAAACAGUAAGCCUGGGACCAGAGAACCCGGGAAAGACGAUCAGAAUCGGGUCGAGACUUAAGGGAGAGCAAAAGCAGGAGUUGGUGAAAUGCUUACAGGCUCAUGCUGAUGUGUUUGCUUGGACACAUGAAGACAUGCCAGGGAUUGACCCUGAGGUAGCAUGUCAUAAGCUGGCAAUAAAGAAAGGUGCUCGGGCAGUAAGGCAGAAGAGGAGGUGCUUCAACCAGGAGAGGUAUGAGGCUAUAAAUGGCGAGGUGGAGAAGCUCUUGAGAGCAGGAUUCAUUCGGGAAGUCAGUUACCCUGAUUGGAUAUCGAAUGUGGUGUUGGUAAAGAAGGCAAACGGCAAGUGGAGGAUGUGUGUGGAUUUCACAGACCUCAAUAAGGCGUGCCCAAAAGACAGCUUCCCUUUACCAAAGAUCGAUCAGCUAGUAGAUUCAACGGCUGGACAUGGUCUGCUUAGCUUCAUGGACGCGUUCUCGGGAUACAACCAGAUCCCCAUGUACGAGCAGGAUGAGGAGAGCACGACUUUCAUCACUAACCAAGGUUUGUUCUGUUACAGGGUAAUGCCAUUCGGUCUCAAAAAUGCUGGGGCCACCUAUCAAAGGCUGGUGAACAAAGUCUUUAAGCCGUUGAUUGGGAAAACCAUGGAGGUGUACGUGGAUGACAUGAUCACCAAGUCCAAAAUCCCGAAGGAACAUGUCAGACACCUCGAGGAGACAUUCGAGCUUUUGAGGAAGUAUAAGAUGAAGCUCAACCCGGAGAAGUGUGCUUUUGGGGUCGAGUCAGAGAAAUUCCUUGGAUUCAUGGUGAGCCAUAGGGGGAUUGAAGCAAAUCCCGAAAAAAUCCAGGCGAUUGUGCAAAUGACGUCUCCUCGUAACCUGAAGGAGAUGCAGAGCCUGACGGGGAGGUUGGCGGCGUUGAGCAGAUUCAUAUCCAAGGCUACAGAUAAGUGUCAGCCAUUCUUUUAAGUGCUAAGGAGGGGAAAGAAAACAGAAUGGACCCCAGAAUGCGAGGAAGCCUUCCGGAACUUGAAGCAAUACUUGCAGCAAGCUCCGCUGCUGUCCACACCGAGGGAUGGGGACAAGUUGUAUCUGUAUUUGGCGGUAUCGGAUCGGGCCGCCAGUUCUGUUCUGGUGAGAGAGGAAGAAGGAGUUCAGUAUCCGAUAUACUACACCAGCAAGGCCCUGCUCGACGCUGAGACCAGAUACCCACCGUUGGAGAAAUGGGCACUUGCCCUUGUGGUUGCUGCUCGGAAGUUGAGGCCAUAUUUUCAAGCAUUCCCGGUCUCGGUAAUAACAAACCAGCCAUUGCGUCAAACUCUGCACAAGCCAGAUGCCUCUGGUCGGCUCGUCAAGUGGGCUGUAGAGCUGAGCGAGUUCGACAUAGACUAUAAACCCCGCGCAGCGAUAAAAGCCCAGGCAAUGGCCGAUUUCGUAGCUGAAUUCACAGAGCCCGAAGUAUGCUUAGAUCAACAAGAUGCUGUUAUAGGCAAUGACGAAACUCAAGUAUGGCAGAUGUCUGUGGAUGGGUCAUCAGGGGAGCGGGGUUCAGGAGCAGGGAUUGUCUUGGAAGGCCCAGAGGGGGAGGAGAUCUCUUAUGCUGUAAAGUUGGAAUUUGCAGCCACGAAUAACCAGGCAGAGUAUGAAGCCUUGAUAGCAGGUCUGGAAUUGGCUAAGGCCGUGAAAGCAGACAGAGUUAAGAUCAGAACUGAUUCCCAGCUGGUUGCGAAUCAUGUCAGUGAAAGAUUCCAACCAAGAGAGGAGAAGAUGGAGCAGUACCUGAAGAUAGUCAGGCAGAUGAUGGGGAAGUUCGAAGCAGUGGAGGUGAUACAAAUCCCCAGGGAGCAGAAUAGUCGAGCAGACAUUUUGGCUAGGAUGGCAGCAGUAGCCGACCCAAAAAUACCAAAGUCGGUCCCUCUGGAGGUGAAGUCCAGCCCAAGUAUCGAUCAGAAUUUGGGGGUGUUGCGGAUAGAACAAAAAUGCUCGUGGAGGAACCCGAUAGUUUCAUACCUUAGAGACGGGGUAUUACCACCAGAUAAGCUGCGAGCUCGCAAGAUUAGAGCCCAGGCCUCGAGAUACACGAUGAUUGAUGGGGUACUGUAUCGGCGAGGAUAUACACUACCAUUCCUUCGGUGUUUGGAUGAGGACGACGCGGAUUACGUACUGAGAGAAGUACAUGAAGGAAUUUGCGGAAAUCAUUCUGGCGGGAGGUCCCUGGCCCACAAGGUUCUAAGGCAGGGAUAUUUCUGGCCGACAAUGCACCAGGAUGCGCAAGAGAAGACCAGGAGUUGUGUAAGCUGCCAGAGUUUUGCAAAUUUCUCUAACCAACCACCAGAGAAGCUCACCUCCAUGACCUCCCCCUGGCCAUUUGCUCAAUGGGGAAUUGAUCUGAUCGGCCCAUUGCCAAAGGCACGAGGAGCAGCAACACAUGCAAUAGUUGCUAUAGAUUACUUCACGAAGUGGAUAGAAGUAGAAGCCCUUAGCAGGAUCACAGAGAAGAAAACAACAGACUUCGUGUGGAGAAACCUGGUCUGUCGAUACGGGAUCCCUUAUGCCUUGGUAACGGAUAAUGGCAGGCAGUUCGAUAAUCACAGCUUCAGGGAUUUCUGCCAGAACCUCGGGAUAGAGCUGAAGUAUUGCUCGCCUGCUCACCCUCAAUCGAAUGGACAAGUAGAAGCAGCCAACAAGACCAUCAAGAGGCUUUUGAAAACCAGGCUUGGAGCAAAAAAGGGUGCAUGGGUUGACGAGCUGUCAGGUGUGCUAUGGGCAUACAGAACAACCCACAAAACCGCAACCGGGGAGACACCGUUCGCUUUGGCUUUCGGACAUGAAGCGGUCGUACCGGCUGAGAUAGGAACGACCACACACCGGACAAAUCAUUUCAAUGAGCAGGAGAACGACGAGCAGAUAUGUUUGAAUCUUGAUCUGCUAACGGAAAGGAGGGAGCAAGCAGCCGAGCGAUCAGUCAUUUACCAACAGAGGGUUGCUCGGUAUUAUAACCAGAAGGUGAACAUACGGCAAUUCAGGGUCGGAGACUGGGUACUGAGAAGAGUGAAUCAGAGCACCAAAGAUUCGACUCAAGGAGUGCUGGGACCGAAUUGGGAAGGGCCAUAUAAAGUCAAGCAGAUAGCGGGACCCGGAGCUUACAAGCUGGUUCGCACGGACGGCCACGAGGUGAAACGCCCAUGGAACGCAGCACACCUCCGAAAAUACUUCCAGUAAGACUUGUUCACAUUUGAAAGCUAUUUUUGCUCAUGAUCAUUAUCGUUUAUCUUUCACGCUUUAUGUCCAAACAAUUUCAUGUAAGUCGAAUCCUGCCAUUAAUGGAACGUCGAGGAAUUUCUUUCGCUUGAAACCGAGAAAAUUCCCAAAGGCAUGCAAAGGCUCGACAAAGUCUCAAAGCCUGUCUUAUGGCGAGACAGAAGCCAAGCAUGCCAGGAUCUGCUCGGCCACGAGAAGGCGAGCAGAAUCCCAAUCCUCGAAGAAUCCAAGGCAUGCAAAGGCUCGACAAAGUCUCAAAGCCUGUCUUAUGGCGAGACAGAAGCCAAGCAUGCCAGGAUCUGCUCGGCCACGAGAAGGCGAGCAGAAUCCCAAUCCUCGAAGAAUCCAAGGCAUGCAAAGGCUCGACAAAGUCUCAAAGCCUGUCUUAUGGCGAGACAGAAGCCAAGCAUGCCAGGAUCUGCUCGGCCACGAGAAGGCGAGCAGAAUCCCAAUCCUCGAAGAAUCCAAGGCAUGCAAAGGCUCGACAAAGUCUCAAAGCCUGUCUUAUGGCGAGACAGAAGCCAAGCAUGCCAGGAUCUGCUCGGCCACGAGAAGGCGAGCAGAAUCCCAAUCCUCGAAGAAUCCAAGGCAUGCAAAGGCUCGACAAAGUCUCAAAGCCUGUUUUAUGGCGAGACAGAAGCCAAGCAUGCCAGGAUCUGCUCGACCACGAGAAGGCGAGCAGACUCCAAAGCAUUCGAAGAAAUUCCUAAGGCAUGCAAAGGCUCACCAAGUCUCAAAGCCUGUUUUAUGGCGAGACAGAAGCCAAGCGUGCCAGGAUCUGCUCGACCGCGCGAAGGCGAGCCGAAUCCCAGGCAUUGAAGAAUCUUCAAAGGCAUGUGGCAAAACCACGAGCCAAGCCAGAACCUGCUCGUCUAGACAAAGACAAGCAGAUUCUCAAACGAAAAUUAAUUCAUAAUUACAACACAAGAAAGUAAUCAAAAAGCAUUUUUAUUAAUUUGUUAAUAAUUAACAUAGGGGAUAAUCUUCAUGAACAUUGUUCAUUACAAUACAAGAAAUAUGUCAAGAAGAUGGUGGAUCAGUAAGCCCAGCAGCAUCGGUUGGCUGGACCUCCUCAGGUGCAGGAGGGGUAUCACCAGUUGCGUCCGGGGGGGUGCUCGCCUCGCCAACAUCAGCAGGGACUGCACGAGGAGGAGAGUUUUCCUCCUCAAUCACGAUCGGCUCUACCCCUUCGGCAUCUUCCUGGGCCGCCUCCUCGUCCAUAUGUUGAGCAACACCAGCUGCAAGGUCAUCCAUCUUCAGAUCAGGGUGUUGCUUCCCGAGGACGGCCAUGAUGCAACGAUAGGAAUGCCGAAGUCCCUGGUCGUACUGGUUUUCGGCCUCCCUCUCCAAGUUCUCGACCUGAGCUCGGUGGAAGUCGCGAAGAGAUUCGAGCUGAGCCUCAUACAUAGCCUUCUGCCUUUGCAGAUCCUCCUUGACCUUGGUAAGCUCCUCCUCGAGGGUAAUGGCUUUUGCUUGAGCAAGUGAUUCUUGCUCUAUCAGCUUCAGAUUCUCGAGAUUCAGCUCCCCUGCUUUCUUCUCGGCAACGUCAGCUCUGGUCGUCGCCGAUUGAAUAUCCUCCUUCAUCUUCUGGUCGUAGCGGCCAACCUUAGCCUUGUAAUAGGUGGUCAUGCAGCUGAGGUGGAAAGCGCUAUGCUGCAUGGCCCCCACCAGCUCACCCAAGGUGCAGCCGUCAAAGUCCUCCAGGUCCUUCUUGCUCACGAGUUUAGAUAACUCAUUGAGGUAGGGGACCAGGUGUUCUGCUCGGCUGUCAGGUAAGCGAGAUCGAGGCCCGACAGGAGGAGAAGAGGAAGCAGGAUCUGUGGCUGCUCCACUAGCUUCCCCGACUUUUACAGGAGCAGGAGGUAAAAUCUUCAAGGGUGGGACCUGCCGCACGAUGUUGGCCCGCUUUGCAGCAGGGGCAUCCUUACUCUGGUCCCUCUUCGUGGUUGGAAGUCGAGAACGUUUUCGGGUCAGAGCCCCAAUCACAGCGUCCUCCAUCCUAUGGCCAGGAAGUAUCAAGCGAGACUCGAGCAAGUUGUAUGUAGUUAACAGUUCUCGGCUCGAGCAGGAAUUGGCUAGUACAGCCUCGACCCGUUUGAGCUGGUCAGGUUCAAGCGGGAAGUGGACACCCCAAGAACCUGCAACACAAACAAACAUUUGAUUAGAGACAAACCAGUAAAGCGCAAACGACAAGGGAGACAAGACAUCUAAUACGAGCAGGCAACCUGGGACCACGAAAUGGGGUGGGACGCGGAAGUCCUCCCCAUCAACCCGUGCAACUUGACCCCAGGGACCCCCUGCGAAGAAGAACUUCCUCUUCCAAUUCCCACCACCACCAGUAGGGAGAUCGGUUAUGGGUUUCCUGGUCUUGGUACUUGAUUGGAAGUAAUACCAGCCGGCAUCUUUUGGGCUGCUUUUCAGCUGGUACAGGUGCAUCACCUCGUCGACCGUGGGCUCGCUUUGGCAACAUCUGUCCCACAGUAUGAACAGACCAGAGAGCACUCUCCAACCGUUUGGGUUCAACUGACCAGGAAAUAGAUUCAAUCCGCUAAGUAUCCGGGCAAAGUAAGGUUGCAAGGGACACCUCAUCCCAUACUUAAAGCUAUCCAGAUACAGGGUAACAUAUCCCCUAGGAGGCCGGCUAGGGGUAUCCUUCUUGCCUGGGACCUUGAGAAGUAUUUCACCAGGAAUGUUGUACCUAAGACGGAGGUCAGCGAGCUCGUCAAACGUGGUCGUGCACGUCAUAUAGUCGAUGGCAUAAUCACGCAACAAGGCUCUACCCCCUACUGUACCCCGUCCUUCUGGUCGUGACGUUCCAGAUGGAGACACCUCACCAGAGUCACCUUCGCCAUUCUCACUCAAAGUAUCCUCGGAGCCAGAAGAUCUCUCCUCACCAUUACUUCCGCUCGUAGAGGUUGUUUGGGGAGACAUCCUCCUAGGACUAGUCCCGACACUAGACCUAAUGGGCUCUAAGGGGAUCCCGGGGUCAAAAGCAGGAUCGGUGAGCAGACUAGGCAGGAAGUCCAACUCGUCGUCAUCAACCUCAAUGACCUUCUCUUUGCCUUUCGACAUUCCCUAAGCUCUAACCACAACACCACCAACUACUACCCAAACAGAAGAGAAGAGAAAUUAUCUACAACUAUCCGAGACCAAGGAGAUAGAAGAAAUACCUGAAGUAAUGGUUUAGUCGGUGAAAAUCAGAGAUGGAGGCCUUUUAUGCCGGAACUUCUUUGCCGGAGAGACAGAGACGGAGACGGAGUGAAUGAUGAAUAUGCCGUUCGAGAGGAUUUGGUUUUCCUAAUGAGGACGGACUCUUGGGUUGCCAGCAUUUAACAGCGCCGAAUCCCGAGAGUCUCAUAACCGUCGGUUUGAAAUUCAAAUGGAGGGGGGGAUUUCUGCCACGUCACCUCGUCCGCAAUUAAAUGCGACAUGACUCUUGGCAGCCUUUUCCAAUCCCACGCGAGCGAGUACUAACGAGUUUCUACUGCUGGUCCAUUACAUUACCCAACACCAGAAACUGGGGGACCGGUGUUUGGGAGAAAUACGUCGACGAGACCAGGCAUGGUGAGCAGAUAUCUGAUGGCAGAGUUCUGCGAACCGGUGUGUUCCGUAAAAGCCUGGUGCGCGGGGGAACAGGAGCAGAAAUAUCCUGCUCGUCCACGAGCACGUCAUCCGCGAGGCCAAUUUCCUGUAAGAGGCAUAAGACCAUUCCGGCUAGAGGUCGAGAGGCGAGGAGACCCGGUCGACGGCAGUUGGCAAGACAUGCUCUCCGGCCCGAGAAUCUAGGCACGACAGCCACGCUUUCCCCAGAACCACGGCGGAACACGCAAGAUCCCACGUUUGCCCAUAACGCAGCAUAACGCAGCAGUCGGAGUCCCAUACCGUCCCCCAAAAAGCGGAAACAAGAUCUCACAGAACCACGACAGCCACGCUUUCCCCAGAACCGUGGCGUAACACGCAAGAUCCCACGUUUGCCCAUAACGCAGCAGUCAGAGUCCCGUACCGUCUCGAAAAAAGUGGAAAACUGGGAUUUAGAGGAAGCCUAUAAAAAGGUAGCCAACGAAGGUAAAGGGGUUGGCAUUUUUGAGAUUAGAAAAGAAAUUCAAAAGAAGAGAAAACCAUGAAAAAGCCAUAAGAUCCGUGGCAAGCGUUCCCCGAACCUUCAUAUCUGACUUGAGCGUCGGAGGGUUUGCGCCGGGAAAAUAACCGGCGUACUCUGAUUUGUCUGUGUGCGCAGGAACCUCUGGAGAAGAAGCCUUGCGAGGAGACCUCUUGGUCGUGAUGAAGUUGAUCGAGCAGAGAUCCUGGUCGUAGAACGAGGAGAACCGGAAUCCCGCAUCAACAUUAAUGGUAUGAAAUCUUUGGAGGAAAUCAAGUGAUGAAGUAGUAGUCGACCCAUCAAACAUGACCUCAAGACAUUUAAGUUUGCAAAUGAAGUCCUCUGGAAGCUGACAUAUUGUUGCCAUGUGCUUUGCGUCAACUCUCAAACCUUCUAAAGUAGGGAACAUCUGGGUGAUCAAUCAAAAAAAAAAAAAAAAGCCAAAAUGGAGUUGAUGUUCUUUCUUUCAGCAACUAUUUUUUACAGAGAAAAUUUAACAAAAUAGAAUAGAACCAGUUUGAAGUAUACCACUAGUUUAUCCAAUUAACACCUUCGUUUUAGAAAUUAAUAACACUAUUAGUUAAGUGUACAUCCACACUAGUGAGGCAUUUAACUAUCAACAAUUGUUAUGUAUACAAUAAAAUUGUUGAUUGCCCCCAAGGCCCAGCUAAGUAAUUUUCAAUAUGUUUUCACUUACUGGUCACCCGAAUUUAAAUCUUAGAAAAGAUAACAGGGUAAAAAAUUAUGUCCAAAUUUUCCCACACGCUCAUACCUUUGAAAAAAAAAAACAAAAACAAAAACAGAGUUGUGGACAGCUUAAUUUUGCUAGUAAUUAAGGAACCAACGUGAAGAAAAUGAAAACAAAAACAAAGUUGUUGAUGGCUUAUAGUAAAACUCUAAACCCUGUAAAACUAGAGAAAUAUGUUCAAAUAUGUAAUAAAAAUUGAACAAUUAAUUAUAAAAAUAUUGUACGUACCUUUUUUGUCAAUUCAUGAGCAGCUCUUUUAUUGUUAAACAAGAAUUCAGGACAUCUUAGUAUUUGUAAUUCUUUCAAGAAUGGAAAUUCAAUAUGCAGAUCUCCUGUGCAGAAGCUUGUGAGCUUUCUAAGAUCUCUUAUCUUUAGAUAUUGUAACUUAGGGAACAUUACAAUAUUAUUCUUGAUUUCUUCUUGGUCGAUGACUAUUAUCUCUUUCAAGACAGGGCACUCACAUAUCUCAAGGCAUUGGAGUCCAACAAAGCUGCUAAUUAUAGAAGACGUAAAUAGACAGGUUAAAUUCCAACACUUUAACAGAAUCAGGCGCUUUAAAUUCUGAAAACCACAGGACAUGGCUGCAACUUGGUUUUGCCAAAUCCUUUCAAUAUUUAUUGAAGACAAGUACAAGGUCUCCAACUUCGGUAAUGCAACCUGCGCCAUCACAAAGUUAACUUCCUGUUAAUAUUUGUUUUACAUAACGCCAUACUAUUAGUAUUCACAAAGUUAAGUAUUUGCUGCACCUUAUAACUCUCUGAUGAAAAGUUUAGAACAAUUUUGGAAAACGGAAUAUGAUUAUUAACUACUCUUGUCCAUAUUUACUACUAACAAACUAGAAUAAUACAGAACAAAAAAAAAUAAGUAAAGAAUUAAUAAAACCAUUGAGACUUAUUAAUAACUAACCUUCUCAAGAAAAAGUGCCUUGGAAAUAUUGAUAUUGUCCUCCACAAUGAUUCCAUUUAACCGCAUAUUAUUUGUCAACUCCUUAUGUCUCUGUUGUGACAUUGAAAGCAUUUUGAGUUUAGAGCAUGAGCUAAUUGUGAAUAUAAACUUGGAUGCAUAAUGGCACAAGGUCAAUAAAUUAUUAAUGCAACUCAAAUCAAUACUAGAUCUAAAUUUACUAUUUUAUAUUCCUUAAUUAAGAAAUUUAAAAAAUUAAUAGUUAAUUUAAAUAUGAAAAAUUAAACUUAGUAACUGAUAUAAAUUAGAUAAAAACGGAUAUUCUCUUAAUUUUUUUCUAAUUAACCUCAGCAGAAUAAUGAUAGAUUUACUACGUCCUCUAGAAAAGAUUGGAGUUGGAGCUGCCCUUGCACCCUUUUUUUCUUUUUUUUAGCCUCACACUUAUUAUCAAGAUUCGCAUUCCUUCUCUUUAGAGCUUUGAUCAUUAUUCUCAAGCAAUUUUGAGUUCCUGCUCAAUACGACUUGGGAGGGCGAUUUCCGCCACAUUCUAGUUGGAAGAACCAUCAACACAAGAACUUAUGAGUUAGCUCCUGAAUCGUCAAAUCGACCACUGAAUUGCCAUAAGGCAAUAAUUAGGUCUUGCGUUUAAGUGUUUUCGGUGACCCCACUAUGUCCAUAUUCACAUCAACCGGAAAUCUCUCCAAGUUAUUAAACAAGGAACUUCAUUCGCUCCAUCUGAAUCCUUAGAACUAAAGUCAUCGCCUUCAAUACUCCUCGAUUCAGAAGCUGCAAAACUUUGUGAGCCCCCUUGUUUAUCAGAAUCCUUAACUUUCUCCACCCUUUCGUCAUCUCAAUUGAUGUUAAAACUUGAUUCACCAUCUUAUUCCCAGGAUCCAAACUCUGGUGACCAGUAAAAUUAAGCUGUUUGAAAAACGGUAGGCCAGGACAUCUUUCAAAAUUUAUUACUUUCGAGAAUGAGUAUAAAAAUAAUUUUUUAUGACUUUUCAAAGUUAACACUGAUGCACUGGAAAUUUCUAGUUUUAAGCCUAAGGCUAAGAACCUAUACUGUGGUAGAGUAGAAUUGUUCUAGUAUUUGACAAAUUUUUGGUAUGCAAAAAAUUUGGGAAGAUCCGUACCUCUGACUCUGUCGGAUUGGGGGCAGGGGCGCGAAGACCCCGCACCGAGAGAUGCUUGAGUUGUGAAGAACCCGCUUUAGCUAAUUCAUUAACUAAAUAAUUGACAUCCUGCUCUAGCAAUCCAGAUAAUUCAAGGUCUUCAAUUCCUUGCAGUUGCACGAUCAGCCCAUCUUUUAGGCAAAUCUUGGUGUUCAGCUUGAGUCUGAAUUCCCUACAACUCUUUUGUACAGCCCGCCAAAGCCAGCCUCCAAUAUGUAUUCUGAACCUCUCCAGCUUCUUGAAGAACAAGCCUCUCGGUUGGGUGUCGACAUCUUUGAUUUGUAAUUCUAAAGAGGUCAAGUUAGGCAAAUGCUUCAACUCAUCAAGGCUUGCAUUCUUGACCCCAUCAACCACCUCCACUUCCCAUUUGUUAAAGCUGUCACCACCUAUAUACAGUUCUUCUAAACGUGAUAACUUUGAUAGAACAUUUGGCGGAAUAACUUUUAGGAAGAAACAAUUUCUCAAAUCAAGCAACUUUAACUGCGUCAGUUGACCUACUUGUACAGCCAACUGCGUAAUAUCACAACCUCUUAAGCAAAGGAUUUCUAGAUUCUUCAAGUCCCCUACGACACUUGUAUCUUGUAAUUUGCAGUAAUACAAACACAACGUUUGAAGGUUUGUUAGGAGACCAAGUGAUGAAGGCAGUGACAAUAGAUUCAUGUAAGUCAAGCCUAUAACUCUGACCUGUGUCAUUCUCGAGAAAAAAUUGUCUGAAAUUGCUGACGUUGAAGAUUCCCUAUCAACACGUAUAUGAAAAAGUUUCAAUUGAGGACAUUCCAGUACUUCAGGAAGCACAUUAGUUUUGACAUCAGGUAAGACGAUUGAAGUGUAAAGUUUUAUUGCACUUGCUUCUGACCAUUCCCUAUCAACCACAUCAUCUAUUGCCGUAAACACAUUUAGUUCUCUAGAUGCAAUUGAUAUGGCAACAUCGCGAACAACGUCAUGCAUGGAAAAGUAGUCUUCGUUGCUGCUUGUCAUAUCAUCAAGCAACAUACAAGAAGCCUUGAGCUUGUGCACCAAUGUAUGCACUCGAGCUCGUGCUACUUCCAUCCUUUUGAUACCUUGAAAUAAACCCAAUCCCAUACCAUACAUUAACAAGUCAUCAAUGGUAACAAGUCAUCAAUGGAUGCUAUGGCUGUAUAUCCUAUUAGGAAAAAGAUGUUCUUGAUCUCAUCCCCUUCCAAUUUAACGUAACUCAACUCUAUAGCUUUAUAUGCCGUUGGUUGUAUAUCUUUAAAGUUAGUUGAAGAAGGCCUCCCCAGCUGUUCCAAUGCGUCCUUCCAUUCAAAUAAUCUCUUGUUCCUAAGGCCCUUGCAACCGUCACAAUGGAAACUGGCAGACCUGCACAUUCCCUUGCCACAUCUUUUGCUACCCAUUUGAAUUCACUACCUUCAAUAUAAUCACCUGCCAUCUUCUUGAAAAGACUCCAAGCUUCAUCUUCUUUUAAAACGCCAACCGAGAAAUUCUGUUGGGAAUCCAUCUUCCUUGACAAUACAUCCAGACUUCUAGCUGUCAACAGUACUUUACAUCCCUUACGAUCAUCUCCGUGAGGAAUUCCUACAGCCUGGAAAUCAAGAUUUCCCCAAAUAUUAUCUAAGAUUACAAGGAUCGUCUUCUCUUUCUUCAGUCGGUUACGCAGACUUCUUGCUCUUCCCGAAUCGCUCUCCUCAUGAAGUGUUAGGCCUAAUUUAUCUGCAAUUUCUCCUUGAAUCUUUCUUAUGUCUUGAAUUUUGGACACCUCGACAAAAAUCACCUGAUCAAAGAGCUUCUCAGUCUCGGCUUUCCUAGCCACUUCCUUCGCUAGCGUUGUCUUCACAAUACCGCCCAUUCCAUAAAUUCCAAGCAUGUUGACGUCAGGAUUUUUUAAUGCAUCAAGUAUAUCAUUCAAAGUGGACAUUCUUGAUUCACAGGCCUCGUAGUCUUUGAUCGACAGAAGCAAUGUAUCAUCCGGAAUGAUGUUGUAGGAAAUUCUAUCAAACCUUCCAACUUCACGGACUUUGACAAUAGCCUCCUUCUGCCUCUCUGCUUCCUUACUAAGUCGACGGCGGGUCUUCAAAUUAGGACACAACCCCUUGAAGCAGCGCUUGUUUGCUCUAGCAUCAACGCCUGUAAAUUUCCCCGCCUCAUCAAUGAUCCCAUUCACGCUUGUGAGCCACUUCUCAACGUACUCUUCAAUCUCUUCCCCUCUUCUUUUAGCCUUAUCAACCUCACGCUGUUUACUUACCCUCUCAGCCUCCGGAAUCCCAACUUCAGUCUUGAGAUUCUGCAAAUUGCUAGUGUACUUGCUCUUACGCAAAUAGCUCAUUUGGCAAUAUAUAGGAGGAGCCAAGCACUUUGCAACUUCUACAACAACAGAAAGAAUGAUAUCCGCCAUCUUCAAUCUUUUCCUUUCUUUUUUUUUCUGAAUUUUUGAAAUUGUGAAGGGAAGCAAAUACAAACAGAGCAGAGACAACAACUGAACAAUUGGCUAAUUAGUGUGGUUGAGGACAGAAGAUUGAAGGAGAGGGCUUCUUGAUCCUUUUGAGAAAAUUCAGGGGAGUAGAUGGCAAAAAGGGGCAAUGCUGAAUAACAAAAAACAACAACAAAGUGUGACUAUAAUAUUGGUUUGUGUCACAGUCAAAGAAAGUUCAUUGGCGUAAAACGUGGGUGCUACGACUCUUGUGGGUCAGUAACAACUCAAAUUUCUUCACCUUGUUAAUCUUGUAAAUGUGAAGUUGAUAUUUUUCUUCCAAAUUCAUUUUAAAGGUACGGAGGAUGAUGGAAGGAGGACGGUUAUUUUUUGUCUUAUUUUAUUUUCUAUUAUGAAGAAGUCAUGAGUAGUGCCUUUAUUAUUUAAAAAGUACUUUUAUUUGAACACCAUCAAGAUACUAUCAAAACAAAAAAUAAAGAAUUAUUUAUGCUACUGUAGUAUACAAAAUGAUAACAUUAUCUAUGUUAUAGUUCUGUUGUUUCUAUAGUGAUGAGGUUUUUUAUGGCUAAAUAUCAUCUUCCUUAUUCAACCUAAGAUGAAGAAUCUGAUGCAAUCAAAGGAUGGAAAUUCAAUAUGCAAAUAUUCUAAAACUAGUGAUCUUUUCAAAUGGAGAUUUAUGGAGAUGAUGACACACAUUAUCAUUAUUAUUUGUUACUCUCUUUUGAAAAAUUUAAAAAAAAAAUCUCCUUUUCUAUGUUUUAAACCCUUACUUAAAUUAUUUAUUUAUUUUUUAAAUACAAUAAGAAGAAUAAUUUUUAAUAAAUAAAAAAGUGCAAAAACGUUUCAAAAAUAAAUUUAAAAAAAUUAAAUAAGAAAAAAAUUUAUGCGGAGAUUAUUUUAAUUAAGAUUAAAUUUAUCAUUAAAAAGGUGUUAUAAGAAGUAUGGUCGCAAGAGAUUUACAAAGGUGUGCGCCCAAUAAUCCAACUCGACGUUAAAGCAGUAUCACUGCCAGAUGUACUUAGAGAAAUUCAGGAUGCAUUUAGGAUUUACAAAAAAAAAAAACUGGGCCGGCCCAAGCCCGCGGGCUUUAAACCCAGCCUUCUGUUGCGGACCGCCCAAUUCGCUAGCCCAAUUGCCCACAAUUUCGGGCUAGAGAGCCAACACAAGGCCAAGAGUGCUAGCUUGGCCCAAUUCCGGAAGGUUCUAGGCAACUCUAGCACAUGUGAACAUGUAAAUAUUCUAGAAUACUUUAUACAAUUCCAGCACAUGCAAAUAGCUAGGAAAUUGUAAAAUACUCUAGAGUUUGACCAAGUUUGGCAAAGUUAGGUAAAGUUAGGCAAAGUUAGGCAAAGCCUCCCUUAUAAAUAUGGGAUGGCAUUAGGCAUUUGUAUCCAACAAGCAUUGUAAUCUCUCUUUGUGUAAUACAAGUUUCUUUAGCUCAAUUGCUCUCUUCUCUUGUUCGAGAAUCUCUAGGCUUACUUAGCAACAUUCGGCAAAGUUGUCUAAGUGCUGCACGGGUUAGCUGCGCAAAACACUCAUCCCGUGACAAGUGGUAUCAGAGCUAAGGUUUGCACGCACGCAAAUUAGCUCACGAAGCAAUGGCCAACCCUUCGAACGUAGCACAAGAGGGUGUUGUUGGUAUGGAUGUUCCACCGGAACCAAGCCGUGGCCGAGAGGGAGAACGCGCCCAAGGCAAGACUCGCGGCAAGUCCAAGGCCCUAUCUGUGGAUGCGUUGGAGCCUCGUGUAGGCACUCUCGAAAUAGCAUUGUCCGCCGCUCAAGAUAGCCUUGUGGGAUUGGAGGAAAGAGUGGAUGGUCUCGAGGGAGAAUACGCCGAGUUCACGGUGGCCACAAAAGCUCUCAUCCAUGAGCAAGCGAACAUUCUCCGAGGUGAGUUUCAUUCUUUCCAUGAUGAGUUGCUCAAACUUCGUAGUUUUGUUCAGGAUGAACUACGUGCUGUCCGUGCGGAAGUGGAUGAAGUCCGCUCGGAUUGGGCAUGGCACAAGCGCACACUCUCCACAAGUCCAGCUUCCGCAAACUCGAGUGAUGCGUGCCGCAUUGACGUGCCAAAGCCCGACACCUACGAUGGCACACGCAAUGCCACCAUCGUGGACAAUUUCCUCUUUGGGCUGGAUCAAUACUUUGAUGCCAUGGGUGUUCGAGAUGAGGCAUCGAAAGUGGGCACUGCACCCACCUAUCUUAGAGGCGCUGCACAACUAUGGUGGCGUCGCAAGCAUGGCGAGAUGGGCAAGGGCAUUUGCGCCAUCGACACUUGGGCCGACUUCAAGCAAGAACUCCGAAAGCAGUUCACCCCAAGCAAUGCGGAGAAGGAAGCGCGAGUGCGCUUACGUCGCCUCAAGCAAUCGGGUAGCAUUCGGGACUACAUCAACGAGUUCACUACCCUCAUGUUGGAGAUAAGCGACAUGUCCGACAAGGAUUCACUCUUCUACUUCCAAGAUGGCCUCAAGGAUUGGGCCAAGACCGAGCUUGAUAGGCGUGGUGUUCAAACACUUGACGACGCCAUUGCCGUUGCGGAGUCGCUCACCGAAUACUCUACCCAAUCCAAGGACAAAAAGGCCAACCAAGGCAAAGGUGGGGGAGAGAGUCGCAAGGACAAGGGCAACAACCGCAAAGAUUGGGGGCAGAAAAAGCCACCUAGCAACAAGAGUUGGCAAGGAAAAUCGGAGGGCAAGAAGGAGGCGCCAAAGCCGCGAAGCCCAUGCUUCAUAUGCAAUGGUCUUCAUUGGGUACGCGACUGUCCGAAGAAGAGGUCGCUUAAUGCUCUUGCUGCCCAACUCAAGAGCAACCCCGCAAUGUCCACGGAGGAACCCCAACUCAGCAUGGGUUCUCUCCAACGCCUCGGCGCACUCAAUCGCCAACAGUCUGCACUCGUCAAGAAAGGGCUCAUGUAUGUAAGCGCAAAGGUAAACGGUCAGUCCGUUUGCGCGCUGCUAGACACGGGAGCAACACACAAUUUCAUGUCCGUAGACGAGGCCAAGCGCUUAGGCCUCAAGGCCACCAAGGAAGGAGGCACAAUGAAGGCUGUGAACUCACCCGCCAAGCCAAUUGCGGGAAUUGCACAAGGCGUGCACAUCACACUCGGUACGUGGAGCGGAAAGCUUGACUUCUCCAUUGUGCCCAUGGAUGACUUCAAGGUCCUCGGCAUGGAAUUCUUCGACCAAGUCCAUGCCUUCCCGCUGCCCGCUACAAACUCCCUAAGUAUCCUCGACGGGAGUAAGGCAUGCAUGGUUCCCACGGAACGAGGCAAGUCCGAGGAGAAGACACUCUCCGCCAUGCAAUUCAAGAAGGCUUUCAAGAAGGACCCAAGCUUCUUAGUCUCCAUUCGGGAACUAAAUGAGGAAGGAAAUAGCAGAACUUCGCCAAGCCAGGUCCCUCCGAAAAUUCAAGCCGUCCUCAAUGAGUACAAGGACGUGAUGCCUCCAGAACUUCCGAAGAAGCUCCCACCUCUGCGAGAGGUAGAUCAUGCGAUCGAGCUGGAACAAGGCGCGAAGCCAACAGCCUUGGCGCCCUACCGCAUGGCGCCACCUGAAUUAGAGGAGUUGCGGAGACAACUCAAAGACUUGCUGGACGCAGGCUACAUUCGCCCCUCAAAGGCCCCAUUCGGUGCACCCGUGCUCUUCCAAAAGAAAAAGGAUGGAUCGCUGCGGAUGUGCAUCGACUAUAGAGCGCUCAACAAGAUCACUAUCAAGAACAAGUAUCCGAUUCCCUUGAUUGCAGACUUGUUCGACCAGCUUGGCAAAGCGCGGUACUUCACCAAACUUGACUUGCGCUCCGGGUAUUAUCAAGUGCGCAUCGCCAAGGGAGAUGAACCGAAGACAGCGUGCACUACAAGGUACGGGUCUUUCGAAUUCCUUGUGAUGCCUUUUGGUCUUACUAAUGCACCCGCCACAUUUUGCACGCUCAUGAACAAGGUGCUCCAACCAUUCCUCGACCGCUUCGUGGUCGUGUACUUGGAUGACAUAGUGGUGUAUAGCACCACGUUCGAGGAUCAUGCCCGACAUUUGCAACAAGUCCUCCAAGUACUUCGAGACAACGAGCUCUUCCUCAAACUAGAGAAGUGCUCGUUUGCCCAACAAGAGGUGGAGUUCCUUGGCCACAAGAUUGCGGGCGGGAAGAUCAUGAUGGAGAAUGACAAAGUAAAGGCCAUCCUCGAUUGGGAGCCUCUUUCGAAAGUACCCGAACUUCGCUCAUUCCUUGGACUGGUGAAUUACUACCGCCGCUUCAUCAAGGGCUAUUCAGCUAAGGCGGCACCCUUGACGGAUAUGCUCAAGAAAAACAGAACAUGGCAUUGGUCCGAAGAGUGCCAACGGGCAUUCGAGGAGUUGAAGAAGGCAAUUUCGGAGGAACCAGUCCUCGCUCUUCCGGACCACACCAAGCCCUUUGAAGUUCAAACGGAUGCCUCGGAUUUCGCCAUAGGUGGAGUCCUUAUGCAAGAAGGCCACCCAAUAGCGUUCGAGAGUCGAAAGCUAAAUGACACGGAACGCCGCUACACGGUGCAAGAGAAGGAGAUGACCGCAAUCAUACAUUGCUUGCGGGUGUGGCGACAUUACUUGCUUGGCUCGCACUUCACAAUCAUGACGGACAACGUGGCGACAAGCUACUUUUAAACUCAGAAGAAGUUGAGUCCGAAGCAAGCGCGGUGGCAAGAUUUCCUUGCGGAAUUCGACUAUCGGCUGGAGUACAAACCGGGGAAAGCCAAUGUCGUUGCGGACGCUCUAAGCCGCAAGGCCGAAUUGGCAACACUUAGCAUGAGUCAACCGAAGUCCGACCUUGUCUCACGCAUCAAGGAAGGCCUCCAACAAGAUCCGCUAGCAAAGGAUUUGCUGGAGAAGGUGCUCGAGGGAAAGACAAGGCGGUUUUGGCAAGAGGAAGGCAUCCUCCUCACCAAGGGAGAUCGGCUGUUUGUGCCAAGGUGGGGAAAUUUACGGAAGGAAGUAAUCAAGGAGUGCCACGACUCCAAGUGGGCUGGUCACCCAGGACUUGAGCGCACCACCGCACUAGUCCAAGCCUCGUAUUUUUGGCCGCACAUGAGGGACGACAUCGAGGCAUAUGUGCGAACUUGUCUUGUGUGCCAACAAGACAAAGUGGAUCAUCAACUUCCAGCGGGAUUGUUGGAGCCGCUACCACUAGCAACAAGGCCAUGGGAAAGUGUCUCCAUGGAUUUCAUCACAUCGCUGCCCAAGUCCGAAGGUUGCGGAAGCAUCAUGGCAUUGUCGACCGAUACAGCAAGUAUGCCACAUUCAUUGCCGCACUAGCCGAUUGCAAAGCGGACGAGGCAGCCCGCCUAUUCGUCAAGCACAUUGUGAAGCUUUGGGGAGUUCCGAAGAGCAUUGUGAGCGACCGAGACCCUCGAUUCACUGGACGCUUUUGGACGGAACUCUUCAAAAUGUUGGGGACCGAUCUCAAGUUCUCGACAAGCUUCCACCCACAAACGGAUGGGCAGACCGAGCGCAUUAAUGGCCUCCUCGAGAUGUACCUGAGGCAUUAUGUGAGCGCUCACCAGCGGGAUUGGGCGAAGCUACUCGACAUCGCCCAAUUUUCUUAUAACUUGCAGCGAAGCGAGGCUACAGGCAAGAGUCCGUUCGAGAUCAUCAUGGGAUUCCAGCCCAUGACCCCCAAUGCCAUAGCCUCGACUUACGGAGGGAAAAGCCCCGCGGCACACAAGCUCGCCCGCGAAUGGCAUGAGGAAGCGGACAUCACGCGAGCCUAUCUCGACAAAGCCGCAAGGAAAAUGAAGAAAUGGGCUGAUACAAGGAGACGGCAUGUUGAGUACAAGGAAGGAGAUCAAGUCAUGAUCAAGCUCCUACCCCAACAAUUCAAGACUUUGCGGAAAGUUCACAAGGGGUUAGUGAGGCGCUACGAGGGACCCUUCCGAGUUGUUCGACGUGUAGGCAACGUCUCGUAUCAACUCCAACUUCCGCCAAGACUCAAGAUCCAUCCGGUCUUCCAUGUGAGCCUUCUCAAGCCAUAUCAUGACGACAUGGGAGAACCAAGUCGCGGAGAAUCGAGGCGCGCGCCAACUGCCGUUGUCACCGCGUUCGACAAAGAUGUGGACUACAUCAUUGCGGACCGAACGGUUUCGAGGAGGGGCGUGCCAGCACAUAGCGAGUACUUGGUGAAGUGGAAAAACCUCCCCGAGAGCGAAGCCACUUGGGAACGGGAAGAUGAUUUGUGGCAAUUCGCUGAGCACAUCCAGCACUUCAAGCACGAGAGCGCGACGAGGACGCCGCGAGCUUAGGUGGGGGAGGAUGUUGCGGACCGCCCAAUUCGCUAGCCCAAUUGCCCACAAUUUCGGGCUAGAGAGCCAACACAAGGCCAAGAGUGCUAGCUUGGCCCAAUUCCGGAAGGUUCUAGGCAACUCUAGCACAUGUGAACAUGUAAAUAUUCUAGAAUACUUUAUACAAUUCCAGCACAUGCAAAUAGCUAGGAAAUUGUAAAAUACUCUAGAGUUUGACCAAGUUUGGCAAAGUUAGGUAAAGUUAGGCAAAGUUAGGCAAAGCCUCCCUUAUAAAUAUGGGAUGGCAUUAGGCAUUUGUAUCCAACAAGCAUUGUAAUCUCUCUUUGUGUAAUACAAGUUUCUUUAGCUCAAUUGCUCUCUUCUCUUGUUCGAGAAUCUCUAGGCUUACUUAGCAACAUUCGGCAAAGUUGUCUAAGUUCCGCACGGGUUAGCUGCGCAAAACACUCAUCCCGUGACACUUCGGCUUAAAUUAUGAACAAAGGGUUUCACUUUUAUAAAGUCCAUACACAGUAUGCCUAGUUAAGAACCUUCCAUAAAAGUCUGGGCUUAAGCUCGGGUUUUACAACGUAAUGCAUAUACAUAUAACAAAUGAAUUAUAAUAUAUUAAAAAAAAUUAAUUUAAAAAAAAAAACUGAAAUUAAGUAAUUAACAAAAAGAAACCAAGUUGGCAAAUUCCCAAAACUUAAAAUCCCUAAAUUUAUCUCCACUUCCCCAGCUUCUCCAUCAGCCUCUCACCGCACUCUCCGCCGGUAGCCAACAACCAAUGUUUAUUGCCCCACCCUCACAUCAAAUUAAGGAGCCACCACCUUCAGCCGCGAUCCACUGUCCACGCGCGACGCAGCAGAACCAGCAACCCAGCAAUCGUGUAGCACCAAACGGGCGACGCAACAGUGACCCACACCCACCAGCACCAUUGCACGACGUCGCUGCAGCCAAUCGAACACGUGCGACGCAGCAACAGCAGCGAUCUCAGCUCCAACGCGACCUGAACCCAGCAGCACCAGCAGCGCACGCGAACCGACAGUAAACCAUCACCAACUCCAUCGCAAGUAACGUUUGAUUUUCUUUAAUUACUGUAGAAAUUUUGAGAUUACUGAAGCCAUUGUUGAUGACUUGAUGUUGUAAUGGAGAGUAGUUUUGUAGAAGAAUUGAGAGAGAGAGAGAGAGAGUGAAGAAGAAGAAGAAGAAGAAUGUUUCAUUGUUGCCGUAGAAAGUGGAUAACGAAGAAGAAGCAUUGUGUAUCAUUUUCAAUUGCAAAUUCUUUUAAAAAUUAUUAAAGGGCAUUUAUGAUUUAGCUAGUUUAUGGUAUUUUAUCACUUCUAAUUUGCAAAUUUUUAUUUGGAUAAUUCACAAAUUUUUUUACUUAUAUGUACAUUAUUUUUUUUAUGAGAUUUGGUGGAUUCUCACUUGAUAAAAAAGAAAUAAAAAUAAAAAUAUAUUAAAAAUAUUAAAAAUCCAAGCCAAGCCCCACCCAGCCUAGCCCAGCUCUCUCGAGUUUGGACAGCUUUUAGAGGGCUUGGACCUCUUAUCGAUUAUAUGGGCUUGUGCUUGAAAAAGCUCGGCUCAAGCCCGCAAUGUACCAACACUAGAUGCAUUUAGUAUCGGCCUGAACAUCUUUUAAAAAUAAACAAAUCUGUGAAGUCCGUUGGAGAUGCUUAAACGAUUACAUGGGCUUGUGUUUGAAAAAGUCCGGUCCAAGCUCGCAAUGUACCAACCCUAGAUGUAUUUAGUAUCGGCCUGAACAUUUUUGAAAAAUAAACAAAUCUGUGAAGCUUGUUAGAGAUGCUUAAAUGAGUGAAUUAUAUUGGACUAAUUGAAGCCUAAAAGGUCUCCCUUCCCUUACCUUCAAAUUUUCUAUAAUAUUCUUUUUUUUUUUAGAGUUACGACUAAGAAAUCCUUUCUUUUUUUUAAGAUUCAUAAAUAAGCCACUUAAAAAAUUUAUUGACCUUUUAUCAUUAUUCAUAAUUCAUAAUUAUGUCAAUUUGGUUAGCGAUAAUACAACCAUUCGUCUUUUAAUAUUGUGUUUCAUGAAGCUCGCAGACUCCUAGAUUGCUAAAACAAUUGCCCCACAUCUCAUGCUUGAUUGUUUAAACUAGAAUUGAAGUUUGACUUAGCAUCACUAUCAAUGAAAUGAAGCCUAGAAUUUUUUGAAAGCCGUCAAUUUCAGAUCAAAUUAUAUCAACCUCAACAAUACAUAUGUUAUCAUAGCAUUGAAAGUGAAAAAAAAAAAAACGGCAACUUACUUUCAACUGCGGCUCAACAAGGAUUGACCAGAGGACAUGCACAUCUUCACAUUGGCAAGAUUUCACAUCAUCAUACAAAUGUAGAAGACCCAUUAUGAAAAUCAUAAUGGGUCUUGAAUAUUAGAGCAUUGUAUGCAAGGAUUUCUAGCUUCUUCAAGUCUCCUAUUACACUUAUAUCUUGUGAGUUGUAUGAUGAUGUGCCUUCAGAUCAUACAAACCAAUGUUUGAAGGUUUGUUAGGAGCCUAAGUGAUGAACACUGUGACAGUAGGUCCAUGUGAGUCAACUCAUAACUCUUACCUGUAUCAACACGAAUAGAGAGAAGUUUUAACAGAGGACAUUCCAAUACUUGAUCAGAAAGCACAUUAGUCUUUAUAUCACGUAAAACGAUUGAAGUGUAAAGUUUUACCGCUCUUUCGUCAGACCUUUGCCAGGAACCAUCAACCAGCUCACCCGUCGCCGUGAAACAUUUUGAUCUCUAGAAGCAACUGAUAUUGCAACAUCACGAACAACAUUAUGCAUGGUUCCAGCAACAUACAAGAAGCUUUGAGUUCCUAGACCAAUGAACGUACUCGAGCAUGCGCUUCUCCCAUCUUACUAACGCCUUGAAUUAAACCCAAUCCCAUACAAAACUUUAACAAGCGAUCAAUAGAUGCCACGUAGGUUUAUGUUCUUGAGCUCCUCCCCUUCUAAUUUAUUGUAACUCAACUCUAUUGCUUUAUAUGCAGUUGGCUGUAUGUCUUAAAAGUUCGUUGGGGAUGGCCUUCUAAGUUGUUCCAAUGCAUCCUUCCAUUCAAGUAAUCUCUUGUUCCUUAAUGCCCCCGCUACCAUCACAAUGGAAAUUGGCAAACCUGCACAUUCCUUUGACACGACCCUUGCUACCUAUAACAUAAUUACCUGCCAUCAUCUUGAAUAGACUCCAAACUGCUUCUUCUCUCUUUUUUUUUUUUAAAAAAAAAAUUAGCCAAGAACUUUGCCACAUCAACAACAACAGUAACUAUGGUUUCCACCGUCUUUAAUUCUUUUUAAAUUCUUAUUAUUAUUAUUUGUUGAAAUUAAGAGUGAGAAACCUUAAUUCUUUUACCCAAGAAAUCACCACACACUGAUCUUGUUAAGGCAAGAAUGAAAGAUCAAUAUAGAAAUCAGAUUAAGAAUAAGGGUAUUUAACCAGAGACAUGGAUUAAGAAAGAAUAAAGCAAAACGAAAUGCAAAGGGGAUUAUAGAGGUUCGGCUUUGCAGCCUACAUCCUCUUGAGAAACAGAAGCCAUAGCUUUUCUUUGUGCUUAACAGAUUACAAGUCUUAGAGUAAUUGCUACAAGGAACGAUGAUACUCUAAGUAUAGCCCUCAAGGCUUUAUAUACAACUCGGAAGGAAUCAAGAUAUGUGAGCUGUACACUAGCUCUUAUUCUGGGUUUGUUUCAACAAACCCAGAAAACUCCCGCCAAUCCUAACUGUCUGUAACAGCUCUUCAGAUUGAAACGGCAUCAGCAGCUGCCGUUUAACUUAAGCUUGAUUGUGCAAGUCACGUGCGUCACUUAAGCUUUUCGUAUGAUAGAUGCUGGUUGUCAUAUGGCAGUGUUAUCUGUAUGUUUGCUUUGUCGUUUCUUAUCUAAUUCCCGAAACGACAAAGUUGUCUCCUUCAGAAGGUUCUGAUUCAGGUUCACAAUUAACAAUCUCCACCUUGAAUCUGAAUCACAACACUCCUAUGGCUUCUUCUUCUCGAGCUUCUGUAUCUUUAUAUUCUACAGAUGCCAGCUAAGUUUAAGCAGUGCUCAAACUUAGCCAUUGGAACUGGCUUUGUCAACAUAUCAGCAACAUUGUUACUGGUAUAAACCUUCACAAGCUUCACAGUGCCUUUACAGACUUCCAGCCUUAUGAAAUGGAGCUUGAUGUCGAUGUGCUUGGUCUUUUCAUGAUGGACUUGAUUUUUGCUCAGACUGAUAGCACUUUGAUUGUCACAUAGAAUUGUUAUGGAUGAUUGCUCAUACCCCAAUUCAUUUAUCAUGCCCCUUAACCAUAUUGCUUCUUUGAAGGCCUCUGUAGCAGCUGUGUACUCUGCCUCUGUUGUAGAUAGGGCCACUACACUUUGAAGUGAUGCUUUCCAGCUGAUUGUGCAGCUAUUAAGUGUGAAAAGAAAACAAGUGAGUGAUCUUCUGUUAUCUAGAUCUCAUGCAUAGUCAGAGUCAACAGAACCCUCAACCAGAUUGUAGUUAGCUCUCUCCCCUCCAUACAGCAGACCAUAGCUUGUAGUCCCUCUUAGAUACCUCAGUAUCCAUUUCACAGCCCUCCAGUGUUCCUUCCCUGGGUUUGACAUAAACCUGCUGAUCAUGCUUACUGCAACUGACAAAUCAAGUCUUGUUAAGACCAUUGCAUACAUUAGGCAGCCCACUGAGCUAGCAUAUGGUGUUUUCAACAUUUCAGUUUGUUUUGAUUCAGUGCUUGGGCACUGCUGACUUGAUAACCUGAAAUGAGCUGCCAUUGGAGUGGACACUGGUUUACAGUUCAGCAUCCCAAACUUCUCCAAAACUUUGUUGGCAUAUUUUUCUUAUGAUAGAAACAAUGUCCUGGCUGUUCCGUUCCUUAUCAUUUCAACACUUAAGAUGUUUUUUGUUGGGCCAAGAUCUUUCUUGUCAAACUUAUCUCUGAGUUAUUGCUUCAGCAGAUCAAUCAACUUCAUGCUUUUACUGGCCAGAAGCAUGUCAUCAACAUACAGGACAAGAUAGAUCACUUCCUCCCCAUAGGUCUUUCUGAGAUAUACACAGCAGUCAUAACUGGAUUUCUGAAAGUUCAGUUCUUGCAUAUAGCUGUCAAAUUUCAAGUACCACUGUCUGGGAGACUGCUUGAGCCCAUAAAGAGAUUUUUAAAGUAAGCAAACCCAAUCAGGAUUUUGAGUAUUCACAAAGCCCCCAGGUUGUGACAUUACAAUCUCCUCUUGUAGAUCACCAUGUAGGAAGGUUGUUUUAACAUCUAAUUGUUCAAGAUGCAUAUCAUAAACAGCUACCAGUGACAGAAUAAUCCUUAUUGAUGUGUGUCUGACUACAGGUGAGAAGACUUCAGUGUAAUCAACCCCUUCCCUUUAAGUAAAGCCCUUUGCUACCAACCUUGCUUUAAAUCGCUUGGGUUCAACAUCAGGGAUUCCAUCUUUUAUUUUGUAGACCCAUUUGUAGCCCACAACUUUCCUUCAUUCUGGUUUUUGAAUCAAUUUCCAGGUGCCAUUCUUAUUUAGAGAGUCCAUCUCAUCUUCCAUGGCCUUGAUCCAUUGAGCUGAUUCUUUACAUGCUACAGCUUCUUCAUAAGUUUUUGGCUCCUCUUGAUCAACCUUUUGUGCUGCUGUCAAGGCAUAUGCUAUUAAGUCAGCAUAUCCCAAUCUCUCUGGUGCCCUAACUUGUCUCUUCUGUCUGUCUCUAGUAAGCUGAUUAUCUUGUAUUGAGGUGUGCUCUAGUGAUUGAGCACUGGUCUCAUUUGAGCCUUGAGUUUCUCCAGUGUGACUUGUGUUCUGACCAUCCUCAGUUUUUAAUAGCUCCACCUCAAAGUGAGGUGUCUCUGCACUUGGGAUUUUCUGAAUUGUGCUUUGAGCAGAAGUCUGAUUUUUCAGCAUCUCAGACUGAUUGAAAAUUACAUCCCUGCUUAUUAUGUACUUAGGUGGUUUAAGGUCUACACACCACAGCUUGUAACCCUUAGUUCCACUAGGAUACCCUAGGAAAGCACAUUUCAAUGCCCUUAGUUCAAGCUUGCCCUGCUUGAUAUGUGCAUAAGCAGUGCAGCCAAAGAUUCUCAACUUGGUGUAGUCAGUUAAUUUCCCUGACCAAACUUCAUAAGGUGUUUUAAGUUCUAUUGCAGUUGAGGGGCAUCUAUUUAUCUAGUAACAAGCUGUACACAAAGCUUCAGCCCACAAUGUCUUUGGCAGCUUUGAAUGAAAUAACAUGCAUUUAACUCUUUCCAUUAAUGUUCUAUUCAUUCUUUCUGCCAAACCAUUUUGUUGUGGUGUGUGCCUAACAGUUUUGUGUCUCUGGAUUCCACUCUUUUCACACAAAACAUCAAAUUGUUUAUUGCAAAACUCAAGUCCAUUAUCAGUUCUAACUCUUCUAACUUUCCUAUUAGUUUGAGUUUCAAUCAAGGUUUUCCAGGCUUUGAAUCUAUCAAAAGCAUGAUCUUUGCUCCUUAUUGGAUAAACCCAAACCAUCCUAGAGAAGUCAUCUAUCAUAGACAAAAAAUAACAAGCUCCACCUAGAGAUUCAAUCUGUGCUGGUCCCCACAUAUCCUAGUGAAUAUAAUCCAAAGUACCCUUAGUAUUGUGCACUGCAGUUUUAAACCUGGUUCUUGAGGACUUUCCUAGGACACACUCCUCACAGAAUCCAACAGUACUUAUCUUAUCACUCCCUAGAGCUCCCUAUUUUUCUAGUUCUUUCAGUCCACUUUCACUUACAUGACCCAACCUGAAAUGCCACAGUAAUGUUUUAUCUUGUUCCUGUUUUAUCACUAUCCCAGCAUCCCCAGUUAUUGCUGAUCCUUGCAGUAUGUAUAAACCAUGUUGCAUUACACCUUUCAUCAGUAUCAGAGACCCUUUAAUAACUUUUAAGGAGCUUGAUUCAAGUCUGAUACAACACCCUGCCUUACCUAACAUGCUUAGAGAAAUUAGGUUUCUUUUAAUGCCUUACAUUAUCAAGUUCUCUAAUUAUACCAUCAGACAUUUUCAAUCUAACAGAGCCUAUACCAAUGACUUUACAGGAAUCAUUGUUUCCCAUCAAGACUUUACCUCCUUCAAAAGGUUGAUAGCUACUGAAUAAGUGUUUAUGGGGGCACAUGUGAUAGGUGCAGCCAGAGUUAAGAACCCAUUUACCUUCAGUUUGCAUGUUUGAGGCUACCAGAACACCAGCAGAGUCAUAUCUCUCAUCUGAAUCUUCAGAAGCAACAACAGCAUUUCCAUUUCUGUUGUUAGCAUCCUUAGGCUUAAUCUUUCUCUCAGGGCAGUCCCUUUUGAAGUGACCUUCCUUGUGGCAGUGGAAGCACUUCAAGGCCUGUUCUUAGAUUUUGAUCUUUUUUUCUUUUUGCCUUUCCAACCAUCUCUCUUCUCUGAUCUCCCUCUUACUGUCAACCCUUCACCAUCUUUUGUUUCUGAUUUCUUAAAGCUUUCUUUGGAACUCAAAGCUUCCUUGACAUCCUGCAUAGCCAGAGAUUGUCUACCAUAUAAGAGAGUGUCAACAAAAUGUUCAUAAGAAUGUGGUAAUGAAGAUAACAGAAUAAUGGCUUUAUCCUCGUCUUCAAUCUUCACAUUAAUGUCUUCUAGAUCUAAAAUGAUCCUAUUGAAAGCAUCAAUGUGAGUAGUUAAAGAGCUGCCUUCUUCCAUCUGGAGUGUGUAGAGCCUUUUCUUUGUACUCAAUCUUUUUGUCAAAGAUUUCUUUGUGUACAAAUCCUCUAGCUUCUUCCAAAGGCCUGCAGCUGUUGUUUGGUCUCCCACUUCUCUAAGUACUCCAUCUCCUAGACUUAGGAUUAUAGUGCUGUGAGCUUUGUCCAUGGCUUCUUGCAUGUCUUCAUCUUUGACUUUGCUGAUCUUUUUCGAGGUUCUUGGAUCCUCUAGUACUUCUUCAAUUCCCUGGUGAACCAGCAAUGCUCUCAUCUUCAGCCUCCAAAGAUGGAAGUCAUUUUCUCCCGUGAAUUUCUCCACAUCAAGCCUCUGUGUUGCCAUUCUUACUCACAAGAUUCAGGGAUGUGAGCUCUGAUACCAAUUUGUUGAAAUUAAGAGUGAGAAACCUUAAUUCUUUUACCCAAGAAAUCACCACACACUGAUCUUAUUAAGGCAAGAAUGAAAUAUCAAUAUAGAAAUCAGAUUAAGAAUAAGGGUAUUUAACCAGAGACAUGGAUUAAGAAAGAAUAAAGCAAAACGAAAUACAAAAGGGAUUAUAGAGGUUCGGCUUUGCAGCCUACAUCCUCUUGAGAAACAGAAGCCAUAGCUUUUCUUUGUGCUUAACAGAUUACAAGUCUUAGAGUAAUUGCUACAAGGAACGAUGAUACUCUAAGUAUAGCCCUCAAGGCUUUAUAUACAACUCGGAAGGAAUCAAGAUAUGUGAGCUGUACGCCAGCUCUUGAAACAAACCCAGAAAACUCCCGCCAAUCCUAACUGUCUGUAACAGCUCUUCAGAUUGAAAUGGCAUCCGCAGCUGCCGUUUAACUUAAGCUUGAUCGUGCAAGUCACGUGCGUCACUUAAGCUUUUCAUAUGAUAGAUGCUGGUUGUCAUAUGGCAGUGUUAUCUGUAUGUUUGCUUUGUCGUUUCUUAUCCAAUUCCCGAAAAGACAAAGUCGUCUCCUUCAGAAGGUUUUGAUUCAGGUUCACAAUUAACAUUAUUAUUUUUUAAAGUAUGUAAAUGUGAAGGGAGCAAAAUAGAAACAGAGCAGAGACAAUAACCAAACAAUUGAUUAGUUAGGAAGCAAACUGAGUGAUCAAACAGAGACAACUGCAGGACAAUUGGUUAAAAAGAGAGUUUUUAAGAUUAGAAGAACGAGAAUUCGAAAGCGUUGAUGGCAAAAGCUGAAUAACAAAAGUAAACAAGAGUGAACGCAAUAAACAGAGAAGCAAAGUGUAUUUGAGCUCAGAGGAUGUAAAUAAAGUAAAGGAUUUACUGAUUGAGAGUGACUAUAAAAAAUGACUGAUAUUAAAUUGAUUUAUAUAAUGGAGGAGAGGCUGAAGAAUAAUUGUUUGCCAAUGUUUUAACUAAGAAAGAAAUUUGACAAUUUCGACAAGUCAAUGGAGGAAUAAAACUUCCAUACUUACUAAGCACAGUUAAAGUGAAGAUACUUUAUGUACCAUUGUCAUCUUCUUUAACUUUUUGACCGUGGCAGGCAAUGAACAUCAUUCAAGGAUGAGAAUAAAAGUUAAAAAUGACACCCACUUUAUUUUUUAAAGUGUUCUACUGAAAAUCCAAAGUUUCUUAGUUAAAUUUGUUAUAAUUAUGUGCUUUUUAAAGUAUAUUGAUUGAUUUAUAAAUAUAUUUUCUUAUUAAUAAAAUAUAUAAGAUAUUUUUUUAAAUAUCUUAAUUACAUAAUAUUUUGAAUAAAGUCCAUUUAAUCAUAUUAUAUGUAUUUAUAAGUUAUCUUAUGAUUAAAUUUACAAGUAAAGGAAAGAAUAAUUAAAUAAAAGAUUAAUGAUCGGAAUAAAUUGGAAACUGAAGUUGGUCCAGUCCUUGAUGUCUUAUGUCAUCUCCACAAAAUUGCGCAAAGAUUUCUGCCGACAUUUUCAAAAUUUGGAAGGUGUUGGAGCCGAACUAAGUUAUUAAUUACAGAAGAUGAUAGAAAUAAACAUCUUAAAAUCCUACAGUUGUGUACGGUCAAGAGGUUAAAUUUGUUUUGUAUAGUUAUUUCAUCAUAUAUUUAGUAUUUAAUACUAUACCAUACUAAUUAUAAUAAUUAGUAUUUGUUGCACCCUACAACACGUCAGAUGAAAAAUUUAGAAUAAUCUUUUAAUAUUGUUGAGAGAAUGAAAUAGGGUGACCAAGAUAAAGGUGUUUGCUCAUACAUUAUCGUGCUCUCCUCAAAGUAAAAGUGAGCAAAUGGUUGAGCAGAUCACCUCGACCAGGAUGUUGUUUGGUGACCUCGAGCACAUCACCUCGACCAGGAUGUUGUUUGGUGACCUCGAGCACAUCACCUCGACCAGGAUGUUGUUUGGUGACCUCGAGCACAUCACCUCGAACAGGAUGUUAUUGGUCACCUCGAGCAGAUAAUAUGUGGUGACCUCGAGCACAUCACCUCGACCGGGAUGUUAUUGGUCACCUCGAACAGAUCAUCUCGACCGGGAUGUUAUUGGUCACCUCGAACAGAUCAUCUCGACUAGGAUAUUAUUGGUCACCUCGACCAGAAUAAUAUGUGGUGACUUCGAGCACAUCACCUCGGCCAGGAUGUUGUUUGGUGACCUCGAGCACAUCACCUCGAUCAGGAUGUUAUUGGUCACUUCGAGCAGAUCAUCUCGACCAGGAUAUUAUUGGUCACCUUGACCAGAAUAAUAUGUGGUGACAUCGAGCACAUCACCUCGACCAGGAUGUUGUUGGUCACCUCGAGCACAUCACCUCGACCAGGAGGUUACCAGGAAGCACGGCUCAGUCAAAACAUUUUCUCUGAAAUAUUAGGGACCAUAUUUUUAGUGGACUGAAAAUUAGUAGUUUUCUUGAAAAUUCUAGGGGAGAGGAUAAAAACCGCUAUAAUUUCCUAAAAAAACCCUGGGGAAGAGGAAAAAAGGGAUUCCUUUUCCUCUCUCUCUCUCUCUGGGUGACCGAACCCAUUGGAUCUUUUUCUCUCUCUACCAACUAUGAAAUUUCUCUUUCGCCUAUAAUUUCUUUAAGAUUGAUUAUUUUGAAUUCUUUUCCUUUAAAUUUACUUAAAAGCUUUUUGUUUAAAGCAAUCAUAAUUAAGCCACAUGAAUUGUGGUAUGAGUUUUUCCAAGUAAGACCCAAAUUGCUGACUUGAGCGUUUGAGGGUUUUUGCCGGAAAAACUUCCGGCUUCCCCUGACUGUUCUUUGUGCUCACAGGCUCACAGGUCAUCUGAGAUUUGACCAACUCAUCCGGAUUUCGGCAUCAACAAAUAUAAUUAUUAAUUACUCUAUCCUAUAAUUGCUAACAAACAAGAAUAACAAAGAACCCAAAAAAAAAUGUUAUAGAAUUAAUAAGAGCAUUGGGUUAUUAAUUACCAACCUUCUCAAUGAAAAGUACAUUAAAACCAUUGAUAUUGUCCUUCGACGGCUUAUAAUUCUUAAUUCCAUCCAUCUCUGUUGACCUUAAAGCAUCGGGGGUUUAGAGUAUUAUUACUUCAUUGUGAGUAAUUUUAAUGCACACGGUGAAACAAGAUCAUUAAAAAUUAAUACAACUCAGUUUAGCAAUAAAUCAAAAUUUGAUAUGGAUUCCAUAAUUAUGAUACUUUUUCAUUAAACAUUCAAUGGAGUUAAAAUAAAAAUAUAUAUGAAAAACAAAACUUGUUACCGAUCUGGAAGCACAUUAGUCUUGAUAUCACGUAAGACGAUUGAAGUGUAUAGUAUCACUGCACUUUCGUCUGACCACUCCGUGCAACCAUCAACUUGCUCAUUUGUCGCUGAAAACACGUUUUGUUCACCGGAUGCAAUUGAUAUGGCAACAUCGCGAACAACAUCAUGAAUUGAAAAGAGCUUUUCGUUCUUGCUUGUAUGGUCAAGCAACAUACAAGAAGCUUUUAGUUUGUGCACCAAUGUAUGUACUCGAGCCCGUGCUGCUUCCAUCUUAUUCACACCUUGAAAUAGUCCCAAUCCCAUGCCAUACAUUAACAAGUCAUCAAUGGAUGCUAUGGCUGUAUAUCCUAUUAGCAAAAAGGUGCUCUUGAGCUCAUCCCCUUCUAAUUUAUUGUACCCCAACUCUAUAGCUUUAUAUGCAGCUGGCUGUACAUCCUUAAAAUUCGUUGAGGAAGGCCUUCUUAGCUGUUCCAACGCAUCCUUCCAUUCAAAUAAUUCUUGUUCCUUAAUGCCCUUGCUACCGUCAGAAUGGAAACAGGCAAACCUGCACAUUCCUUUGCCACAUCCAUUGCUAGCCAUUUCAAUUCACUACCUUCAGCAUAAUCGCCUUCCAUCUUCUUGAACAGACUUCAAGCCUCUUCUUCUCCUAAGGCACCAAUUAGGAAAUUCUGUUGAGAAUCCAUCUUCCUUAACAAUACAUCUAGACUUCUUGCCGUCAACAACACUUUAAAUCCCCUAUGAUCAUCUGCGUGAGGCAUUCCUACCGCCUUCAAAUUAAGACCUUCCCACAUAUUAUCUGCAAUUUCUCUUUCUUCAGCCGGCUCCAGGGACUCCUUGUCCUACCCGAUUCACUCUCCUCAUCAAAUUUUAGACCUAAUUUAAAUGCAAUUUCUCCUUGAAUCUUUUUUAUGUUUGGGUUUUGGGAAACCUCGGUAAAAACAAUCUGAUCAAAGAGCUUCCCAUUCUUGGCCUUUCUAGCAACUUCUUUCGCUAGAGUCGUCUUUCCGAUGCCGCCCAUUCUAUAAACCCCAAGCAUGUUGACGUAUUUUUUAAUGCACCAUGUAUAUUAUUCAGAGUGGACGUUCUUGAUUCAAAGGACUCGUAAUCUUUGUUAGACAUAAGCAAAGUAUCCUCCGGAAUAAUAGUGGAGGAAAUUCUUUUAAAUCUCCCAGCUUCCUGGAGCUUGACUAUAGCAUUCAUUUGCCUCACUGCUUCCUUGCUAAGUCGAUGGCUGGUCUUCAAAUUAGGCCACAGACCCUUGAAACAACGCUUAGUUUCUGUAGCUUCAUCGCCAACUGUCGUGUAACUGGUGAAACAAAUUCAAUGGCUUCAAAACGGCCUGUGUAUAGCGCGUCUUGAGUUCUUAUUAUUUCAGUACAAACGACAAUAGUUAUUAGUUGCAGCGUUUUGAUGUGCACAUUUAAUACUCAUUGAAACGACUCAUACAUUGCCGUUUCUGGUUUAAUGAAGCACAUGAGAUGCACGUGGAGAAGGAAGCUCGUAUUCAGGUCGUUAGAAGCUGUUUCAUACGUGCCUCACUCGUGAGUUUCUGGAAAUUGCAUCUGGGUUGUCACAAGCUGCUGAAUGCAGCUGAUUCUGGUGCAACAGAACUGAUUUCUUUGCCUCAAAAUUUCAAGGCACCAGAGCCCUUCAGCUGCUGCAGCAUACAAAUUUCUUUGCCUCAAAAUUGGCCUUGUUAGCACUCGCAAGCCAGUUCUCAACGUUCUGUUCAAUCUCUUUUAGCCUCAUCAACCGUGUGCUGCAUAACUAAAUUGGCGUUCCGCCGAAGGAGCCAAGCACUUUGCAACUUCGAUAACAACAGAAACUAUGAUUUCCACCAUCUUAAUCCUUUUCAAUCACUCUUUUUUUUUCCCUCCUUAAAAAUUGGGAGACACUGAAUAAUUGAUUAGUUAGGAAGCAAACUGGCAACAAUAUUGAGCAGAGUAGAAAAAGGAAAAAAAAAAUUUACAACAGUGGAUACAGAACAGAAGAAAACAGGGACAACAACAGGGCAAUUAGAUAUUUAGAUGGGGAGCAGUGCAAUUCUAAAUAAUAGGACUGGAGAUCAGAGGAUGACAAGUGCUGUUGAAAUUACAAGAUUGAAAGUUCAAAAGAGUUUAUGGCUAAAACUGAAUAACAAACAACGUAACAGUGAGCACAAUAAACAGGAGCAUAAGUGUAAUUGAGAUUAAAGGAUGAAAACAAGGAAAGGAUUUUGUUGAUUGCAAUGAAUGAAUGAUACUAAACGACAAUGGUUUUAGCCAAAAGUUGAAUGAGGACAUUCCACAAAUGCAACAAGUCAAGAAAGGAGCACUAGUUGAAACUGGCCCAUUUUAUUUUUUAAGUUCUAUGCUGUAAAGCUAAAGUUCCUCGGCAAAAUUUAGAAUCGAAGAAAAAGAAAUAAAUAGAUAAAAGUAAAGGAUAGGAAGGUGAUAAUAAUUAUGAAUAUUGAUAAUCUAGUGAUGAUAGAUAGACAUAACAGUGGAUAUGUUAAUGUACAAAGCAGAGUAUUUCUGAUGUCAAUUUGUAACAAAAAUAAUCCUAAAUGUUUGAGUAAUUAUUUAAAGCAAAAAUAACAAUGAUGGUUGAUGAGCAUAGUUUAUAUACAUAUUUUACCCUUUAUUAUAUAUUUGCUAGUUAUUUUUGUUACUUAUUUUUAAUUAAUUGUAUUGUUUUAUUGAAUAGGGAAUUAAUUGGAGAUUAUGGAUAAAAAGUGCAUAAAGAAUAACAAGUUUGGGAAAGAAUCAAUCAAAGUUGUGACACAAUUAAGAGUUUAUAGCAUGUGAAGCCAAGAGUAAUUUGCACUAAAAAAGAAUUUCAAUUUUUCAAGUGACCUGGGCGUGCAUAGCAUUGUAAUGAAUGGAAAGCAACUUAAAGGGGCCCACACUUGGCUUUUACAAUUGGAAAAAGGAAUCCUAGUGCAAGCUUAAUUGGUGAGCACGUGAGUGAGAGCAAAGAAAUUAAAAGGCCAAGCCUUUUGACUUAAGGAAAUAACAAGGUCGGUGGGGCCCAUUUUAAAGAGUAAUAUAAAAGCAAGCUUUUGGCUUUUGGAGAGAGGGAGCCGCCAGAGGAGGAAAACGCGAGACAGAGAAGAAAAUCUGCAGUAGUUCGACUUUCAUGGCUGCAUUUAUUUCUUUUGUUGCUCACAAUUCAAGUAUAUUUAGCUAAUUUUCUUAUACUGAGGUUAAGGAUGAAACCCUAUUCAAUGAAAUAAUUAUCUCUUUUUAUUUAAUUAAUUCCCUAUAUAUGUUCUUUGAUGAUUAUGAUUUUUAUUUCACAUGAUUAAUUGGAUGUUAUUAAAAUCUUUUCAUCAAUUCUGUCAUGCAUUAUUGAUUGUUAGGAUUUCGAUUAAUUCUAUGCUUGGAUCUAUAAAGUUUAUACAUGAUUAUCUUUGAUUUUAUGUCUUUCAUUAAAUUGUUUACAUAGAGUGCUUAGGAAAACUUUGACUCUUUGUGGUGGAUUCUGAAACCUUAGUAAUUUGUCUUAUUGAUUUCUCAUUUGCUUUAAUUAUUUUCUUAGUUUAAUUAGUUUAAUUUCUCUUAAAACUCAAUUUGCUCAACUAGGUUAGAAUUAAUAUUAAUUUUAGAUUUAAAUUAGACUUUUCAAUUUAUAACAAUCCCUGUGGGAUCGACCUCGUUAUUACUAUUCUAUUUCUAGAUUCGUGCGCUUGCGAGUAUAUUAAAAUUUUCACAACAAGUUUUUGGCGCCGUUGCCGGGGAUUGUGCCAGAAAAUCAGUUUAAUCUAGGUUGAUUUGAUUCUUCCACUAGUUAUAAUUUAGGUUGUCUUUUAUUUUUUUAAUUAAAAAACACAAAAAAAAACUUUUAUUUGUCUUUAAAUUCAUUGUUUGAUUGUUUGAUUUCUUUUUAUUUUUAAAUUUCGUUUAUUCUUAUUAUUGUUGGUUUAUUUUAUUUUAUUUUUCUUUAUUUUCUUGUGUGGUUAGUUUAUGAGUGUUUGGGAAUGUGAUUCAACAAAUCGUUUGGUUAAAAGAGAUUCGAAAAUUGAUAGGAGUCAAACUAGUUCUUUAGAAGUGAUGGAUGACCUAAAUAGACUAUUGCCAAUACUUCCACCAGUGCAAGCAGAGAAAACCCUUAGAGAAUAUUUUUCACCACUUGCAGCCAACCAACCAUCUUGUAUUGUGUUGCCACAAACUACAGCAACACACUUUGAACUUAAGCCCUCAGUCAUUCAACUUUUACCAUCUUUCCAUGGGUUAGAGAGAGAGGAUCCAUAUUUGCACAUUAAGGAAUUUCUUGACAUAUGCUCUACAUUCCGUUUUCAAAAUUUUAAUGAUGAGUCAAUUAAGCUUCGUAUGUUCCCUUUCUCAUUAAAAGACAAAGCGAAAGCUUGGUUGAAUUCACUUCCUGCUGGGUCUAUUUCUACGUGGGAUGAAUUGAGUAAUAAGUUUCUCACCAAGUUUUUCCCUAUGUCUAAAACAAAUGCCCUUAGGAGAGAGAUAAUUGAUUUUUAUCAAAGAGAUGGUGAGCAAUUUUAUGAGUGUUGGGAAAGAUUUAAUGAUUUACUCCUUAAGUGUCCCCACCAUGGUUUUGAGAAAUGGAGACUUAUACAAUGCUUUUAUAACGGUUUAACCAUGUCGAAUCGUCAUAUGGUAGAGUCUAUGAAUGGUGGGAGAUUUUUGAACCUACAUGAAGGGGCUGCAUGGGAUUUCUUUAAUUCACUUUUUGAGAAUUCUCAACAGUGGGAUUUUUCAAACCAAAGGGAAAAAUCAUCUCAAGUUUCUAGAAAGGGGUUAUAUGAAGUUAAGGAUGAUUUUGAUGUGAAAUCCACUCUAGUUACACUUUCUAGAAAAGUAGAUGCCUUAGCUCUGAACCAAUCAAUGAAUCAUCGUCCUAGUGUAGCUAAUGAGGUUUGUGCUAUUUGUUCUAACUUGUCUCAUACAACACAGAAUUGUCCAUCAUUACCAGCCUAUCCAGAGGCUUAUUCUGAGCAGGUUCAUGCCUUACAAUCGUAUGAAAAAUCCUUCAAUAGUCCAUAUUCAUCCACAUAUAAUCCUAAUUGGAGGAAUCACCCGAAUGUUUCUUGGAAACAAAAUCAACCUUUGUCAAACCAAGGAGGGCAACAAUUUAACAUGCCCAAUCAACAAUUUGUCCUUCCUAACCAAGUAUAUCAUCCUGCCCAACAACCUAUGUCUCAAUUUGUUGCACCCCAACAAAGAAAACCUUCUUUAGAGGAUACACUUCAAAGUUUCAUUCAGUCAACCCAACAAGCUUUUCAGUCAAACACUCAAGCUAUUCUAAAGCUUGAACAACAAUUGGGUCAAUUAGCGACUACUGUAGCGGAGAGAGAAAAAGAAAAAUUUCCAAGUCAACUAGUUCCUAAUCCCAAAGGAGUGCACGAAGUUGGAUCGAGUUCAAGUCAUCAGCAUGAACAAGCAAAAUCUGUUAUGACCUUGAGAAGAGGAAAAUUAUUUGACAACAAGGUGGAGGUUCAAACAAGAAAGACAUCUGAGCAUACUUCUUCAGAUCCAGUUCCAUUACAAGACUCAUCACCAAAUGAUCCUGAAGAGAGUGGUCCGCCAACUUACAUUCCCAAGGCUCCCUUUCCUCAAAGGUUAACAAAGGUAAAGAAAGGGACUUCAACAGGUGAGAUUAUGGAAAUCUUCAAACAGGUAAGUAUAAACAUCCCUUUACUCGAUGUUAUUAAGCAAGUUCCUUCCUAUGCCAAGUUUUUGAAAGAUUUAUGCACUAAAAAGAGAAAUUUACAUGUCACUAAAAAGGCGUUUUUAACUGAACAAACUAGCAAUUUACUUCAAUGUAAAAUGCCACCAAAAUUUAAGGAUCCUGGUUCUCCUACUAUCUCAUGUGUUAUAGGGGACCAAUGUUUUGAUAAAGCAUUAUUGGAUUUGGGUGCUAGUGUUAAUCUCUUGCCUUAUUCUGUUUACAUGCAGCUUGGACUAGGUGAGUUAAAAUCAACUCCUAUUAUUUUACAACUUGCUGAUAGAUCAAUGAAAAUACCUCGUGGUAUUAUAGAGGAUGUGUUGAUACAGAUCGAUAAAUUUUAUUAUCCUGUUGAUUUUAUCGUUAUUGAUACUCAGCAUGUACAUGAUCCUAAGAAACACACUCCAGUUAUUCUAGGUCGUCCUUUCUUAGCUACAGCUAAUGCUCUUAUUAAUUGCAGGAAUGGAAACAUGCAGCUAUCUUUUGGUAAUAUGACCAUGGAAUUGAAUAUUUUUAAUGUUACCAAGCAGCCACAAGAAGAAGAUGAAUUUGUUGAAGCGAAUAUGAUAGAGGAAUUAGUAGAAGAUUCAUUCAUUUCUAACCAUAAUGAUGAUCCAUUAGAGGCAUGUCUAACUCAUUCUGAUUUAUCUUUUAAUGAUGACAGUGCAAUUGCAGAAGUCAGCGCUUUACUUGAUGCACCUCUAAUUACGGACACAACUAAAUGGAAGACAAAGUCAGAACUACUGCCUCAUUCUGAGAAGAAAAUUGGCCCACCUGCGGAGGCACCACCAAAAUUAGAACUCAAAGCACUGCCCGACACUCUGAAAUAUGCAUUCUUGGGAGAAUCUGACACUCUACCAGUUAUUAUUUCUUCUUCCCUCGAUCUUGAGCAAAAAGGUAAGUUGUUAGGCAUUCUAAAAGAGUAUAAGAAGGCAAUAGGAUGGACCAUCGCUGAUAUUAAAGGUAUUAAUCCAGUAGAUUGCAUGCAUCGUAUUCAUCUUGAAGAAAAUGCUAAACCUAUUAGGGAGAUGCAACGUAGGCUAAAUCCUAACAUGAAAGAAGUGGUAAGAGCUGAAGUAAUCAAAUUAUUAGAUGCAGGAAUUAUUUAUCCUAUUUCAGAUAGCUCUUGGGUUAGCCCUGUGCAAGUUGUUCCUAAGAAAUCUGGUGUUACAGUAGUUACUAAUGCUAAUAAUGAAUUAAUUCACACUAGAGUAACUACAGGUUGGCGUGUUUGCAUUGAUUAUAGAAAAUUGAAUUCAUUCACAAGAAAAGAUCAUUUUCCUCUUACAUUUAUUGAUCAAAUGCUUGAUAGACUUGCAGGUCAUGAUUUUUAUUGUUUUCUAGAUGGAUAUUCAGGUUAUAAUCAGAUCCCUAUAGCUCCAGAGGACCAGGAGAAAACUACUUUUACUUGUCCAUUUGGAACUUUUGCAUAUAGGAGAAUGCCAUUUGGUUUAUGCAAUGCACCUGCUACUUUUCAAAGAUGCAUGCUUAGCAUUUUUUCUGAUAUGGUUGAGAGAUUUCUUGAAGUAUUCAUGGAUGAUUUUUCUGUUUAUGGAGAUUCUUUUGAUGAGUGUUUGCAGCAUCUAACAUUAGUUUUGCAGAGAUGUAAAGAAAAGAACUUAGUUCUAAAUUAGGAAAAGUGUCACUUCAUGGUAAAACAAGGUAUUGUCCUUGGUCAUAUAAUUUCCAGCAAAGGUAUAGAAGUCGACAAAGCUAAGGUGGAUUUAAUUUCUAAUCUUCCACAUCCCAAAUCUGUAAAAGAAGUAAGAUCUUUCCUUGGACAUACUGGUUUUUAUAGAAGAUUCAUUAAAGCUUUUAGCAAAAUUUCUAGACCCUUAUGCAAUUUACUUGUUAAGAAUGCACAUUUUAUCUUUGAUGAAUCUUGUCUUGAUGCCUUUGCAAAGCUUAAGAAAUUGUUGACUUCGUCACCUAUUAUUCAGCCACCUAAUUGGGAUUUGCCUUUUGAAAUUAUAUGUAAUGCAUCUGAUUAUGCUGUAGGAGCAGUUUUAGGACAAAGAUUAGAUCGUGUGCCUUAUGUGAUUUAUUAUGCUAGUAUGAAACUCAAUGAUGCACAGUUGAACUAUUCAACUACAGAAAAGAAAUGCUAGCUGUGGUAUUUGCACUUGAUAAAUUCAGAUCUUAUCUUAUAGGUUGUAAAGUGAUUAUUUUUACUGAUCAUGCUGCUUUAAAAUAUUUGUUUACUAAGAAAGAUGCCAAGGCAAGAUUGAUUCAUUGGGUGUUGCUUUUACAAGAAUUUGACAUUGAAUUUAGAGAUAAAAAAGGUUCUGAAAAUGUUGUGGCGGAUCAUUUAUCUCGCCUUGAUCUUAAAUUUAUUCCAGAAUCUUUACCUUUGAAUGAGUCUUUCCCAGAUGAGCAACUUAUGAGUGUAAAUGUUGUACCAUGGUUUGCUGAUAUAGUUAAUUACCUUGCUACAGGUCAAAUCCCAGAGCACUGGACUAAGCAAGAUAGAACAAAGUUCUUAUCUAAAGUGAAGGACUUCUUUUAGGAUGAUCCCUAUUUAUUUAAAUAUUGUGCUGAUCAGAUUAUUAGGCGAUGUGUUCCCGAUAAUGAAAUUCAAAGUGUUAUCUCAUUUUGCCAUGAACAAGCUUGUGGAGGCCACUUUAGUGCUAAAAAGACAGCAACAAAAAUUUUACAGUGUGGUUUUUAUUGGCCUACUCUUUUUCAUGACGCUUAUAUUUUCUGUUCUUUGUGUGAUAGGUGCCAACGUAUGGGUAGCAUUUCAAAGAGGAACAUGAUGCCACUCAAUCCUAUUCUUGUGGUUGAGAUCUUCGAUGUAUGGGGCAUUGAUUUCAUGGGACCUUUCCCUCCAUCUUUUGGUUAUCAGUAUAUAUUGGUUGCAGUGGACUAUAUGCCGAAGUGGGUUGAAGCUAUUCCAUGCAAAACCAAUGAUCAUAGGGUUGUAGUGAAAUUCUUGAAGAGUAAUAUUCUAUCUCGUUUUGGUUUCCCUAGAACAAUCAUUAGUGAUAGUGGUACCCAUUUUUGCAAUAAACCUUUCAAAACUCUUUUGGACAAAUAUUCCAUUACACAUAAGGUUGCCACCCCAUACCAUCCUCAAACCAGUGGCCAAGUAGAGAUUUCUAAUAGAGAGAUCUAGCAGAUUCUAGAGAAAACAGUUAGGCCAGAUAGAAAGGAUUGGUCUUUGAGACUUGAUGAUGCAUUGUGGGCAUAUAGGACUGCUUUUAAAACACCAAUUGGGAUGUCACCUUAUCGACUUGUGUAUGGAAAAGCAUGUCAUCUGCCAGUAGAGUUGGAGCAUUGUGCAUAUUGGGCUAUCAAGAAAUUCAAUUUUGACAUGCAGCAGGCUGGUUCCAAGAGAAGAUUACAACUAGCAGAACUUGAAGAGAUCAGGAAUGAUGCAUAUGAGAAUGCCAAGAUUUAUAAACAGCGAAUGAAAGUCUUUCAUGACAAACACAUUUUGAGAAAAGCCUUUACACCAGGUCAGAAAGUACUUUUAUAUAAUUCCCGAUUGCAUCUCUUUCCAGGUAAGUUACGUUCUCGAUGGUCUGGUCCUUUUAUAGUUCGUACUGUCUUCCCUUAUAGAGCAAUUGAGAUUGAAAACCCUAAAAAUGGUGAUUUAUUUAAGGUCAAUGGGCAAAGAUUAAAACCAUUUUUAGAGUUAAGAACACCAGAAGUUGAGGAGAUACUUUUAGAUGAUCCUGUUUAUCAGGAUUAAUUAAGUCCAUCUUUGUACUCUUGUUUUAUUUUAAUAGUAGGUUUUCUUUUCUUUGUUUGUUUUUCUUUUCUAGUAUUUUUUUUUCUAAUGUUUUCUUUUUAGUUGUCAUUUUUUAAGCUUUCACAGCCCAUCCAAGUGUGUUCUCUCCAACUUUCUUUUUAUUAUUUAUGUUAUUAUUAUUUUUUUUUCUUUCAUUUGUUUGCAUGCAUAUCUUUUGUUUGUGAAACAUUGAGGACAAUGUUCCAAAUUAGUUUGGAGGUGGGAAUAGUGUGUGCUUUGUUUGUUAAAAAAAAAAACCAAAAAAAAAUGAAAAUGAAAAUUUUCAAAAAAAUUGUGUUGUUUUUUUGUUUUUAUGUGAAAAGCCAAUGAUAAAAAUUUGAUUGACAAUGAAUAUGGUUUUUAGAAAGGGUUAAAUAUUGUCUUAGUUUAUACUUGAUUCUUGUGUUAGUUCCUCUUGAUUGAGAUUCUUUAAAUCAUGAGCACUAAUAUCAAUUCUUUCAUAAUUUUGACUUGAAAUUUGAGAUUGACGUAGCCUGAGUUGAGAAUUUUAGAUAGAGUAAAUGACUGUUUGUCUUAAUUCUUAUCUCCACAAUACAAAAUAGUAUAGACAGGCGCCAAAGUCAGAAAUAGCUACCUAUAACCCUUAAGAGUGAAGCUAUCCUUGAGUAAUUUGGGCCUAUGUACCACAAGUAUGUAGAGGAUAAUCUACCAUGAGAAGAAGGCUACCUUAAGGGGUAGAGUGAAAGCUCCUGACUAUGGUUAAAAAAAAAAAAAGAGAAAAAGAAAAGAAAAAAAAAUCAAAUCAAGUGCAUGUGCUGAAAAAAAAAAUCAAAAGAAAAUGCACAUAAAAGCCUGUGAGAGGAAAAAAUUGGAGAUCAAGAUGAUAAGAUUAGUUUGACCUACUCUGUUCUUUGUUUGAGGCGAAGGCUGUUGAUGUUAAGGAAUGGAUUUGAUUGAAUUGAUUUCACACACACACUACAAGAAUCGAAAGAGAGAUGGGAUUGAUUAUUGAAUUAAAGUUAGAACUUUGCCAAUAUUUGAAAUUUUUUUUGAGCUAUAUAAUUUUUGCAAUCUUUGAGGCUAUUUUCAUGUUUUAUUUAAAGUUUUUCGUUCUUUUAAUUUAAUUUAAUUUAUUUAUUUUUUAAAUGAUGUUUGUGGGUAUCAUCACUGAAGCCCUCAUGAGACUAUAACUCGUCCACUAGGGCCGCCUAGGGGUUUAAAGGCUUGUUGCAUACGCUAAAUGCAAUCGCGAUUACCUGCGAAAGUGGUUUAGUUAGGAUUUACUUUUUGUUUCGUUGUUUUUAUUUUUUAUUUUUAGUUUUAGUUUUGCUCGAGGACCAGCAAAAUCUAAGUUUGGGGGUAUUUGAUGAGCAUAAUUUAUAUACAUAUUUUACCCUUUAUUAUAUAUUUGCUAGUUAUUUUUGUUUCUUAUUUUUAAUUAAUUGUAUUGUUUUAUUGAAUAGGGAAUUAAUUGGAGAUUAUGGAUAAAAAGUGCAUAAAGAAUAACAAGUUUGGGAAAGAAUCAAUCAAAGCCGUGACACAAUUAAGAGUUUAUAGCAUGUGAAGCCAAGAGUAAUUUGCACUAAAAAAGAAUUUCAAUUUUUCAAGUGACCUGGGCGUGCAUAGCAUUGUAAUGAAUGGAAAGCAACUUAAAGGGGCCCACACUUGGCUUUUACAAUUGAAAAAAUGAAUCCUAGUGCAAGCUUAAUUGGUGAGCACGUGAGUGAGAGCAAAGAAAUUAAAAGGCCAAGCCUUUUGACUUAAGGAAAUAACAAGGUCGGUGGGGCCCAUUUUAAAGAGUAAUAUGAAAGCAAGCUUUUGGCUUUUGGAGAGAGGGAGCCGCCAGAGGAGGAAAACGCGAGACAGAGAAGAAAAUCUGCAGUAGUUCGACUUUCAUGGCUGCAUUUAUUUCUUUUGUUGCUCACAAUUCAAGUAUGUUUAACUAAUUUUCUUAUACUGAGGUUAAGGAUGAAACCCUAUUCAAUGAAAUAAUUAUCUCUUUUUAUUUAAUUAAUUCCCUAUAUAUGUUCUUUGAUGAUUAUGGUUUUUAUUUCACAUGAUUAAUUGGAUGUUAUUAAAAUCUUUUCAUCAAUUCUGUCAUGCAUUAUUGAUUGUUAGAAUUAAUAUUCGAUUAAUUCUAUGCUUGGAUCUAUAAAGUUUAUACAUGAUUAUCUUUGAUUUUAUGUCUUUCAUUAAAUUGUUUACAUAGAGUGCUUAGGAAAACUUUGACUCUUUGUGGUGGAUUCUGAAACCUUAGUAAUUUGUCUUAUUGAUUUCUCAUUUGCUUUAAUUGUUUUCUUAGUUUAAUUAGUUUAAUUUCUCUUAAAACUCAAUUUGCUCAACUAGGUUAGAAUUAAUAUUAAUUUUAGAUUUAAAUUAGACUUUUCAAUUUAUAACAAUCCCUGUGGGAUCGACCUCGUUAUCACUAUUCUAUUUCUAGAUUCGUGCGCUUGCGAGUAUAUUAAAAUUUUCACAACAAUGGUGGUAAGAGUGAUUUAUAUUCGAAGAAAACGCCGCCACCACUCCGAAGUAUGCAUUCCCGGGUAUAAACAUCUAGUUCUCGAAGAUUCUCACGAGCAUCCGAGUGAUCAACCGCAGGAAGACAAAACAAGGGGUCACUUGAUCGAAUCCUUCCCCAGAAAUGAUCUUUCAGCAAACGCGUACAAUCGCAUAUCUCUAGGUGUUGGGAGCUGCUCAAAACUUCUGAUCACAGAAGCCGAAUUCCAAAAGCUUAACACUCCAAAAACGCAGCAUUUGGGCUCUGGUUUUGAAUUUUGAUUCAUCAACAACAAAAACCAUUCCAACCUUUUCUUGAAAAUCCAAAACCAUUCCAAGUUUAAAAAUAACAUAAACAAUAUCUCUUUGAUUCAUGAAAUAUAGUUAUAAGAAUACAAGAGUUUAUAAUAUUAAAUUGAAGUGGCAAUCAACAAAAUUUGAAGCCAAUAGAACGCUAAAACAAUAAAGUUGUUACAGUUUGACAAAAUAAAAAAAUGUACAAAUUAAACAAACCGAUAAAAAAAAAAAAAAAAAAAAAAACCUUUGUAGACAUAAAAUUUCUUUGCCUCAAAAAAUUUUGAACUUCUUUCACGCCGUCUCCUGUAAAAGUAACAACCAAAUAGUUUUAUUAAAAAAAAAUGUUACAAAAUUGAAACGAAGCAUCUAAGUUUUAUGAAUGCUACCAAAUGACUUCAUAAUCAAAUGACUAACUGAAUGCAAGAUUUGAGUCAAAUAAUUAAAUAGUCUGUAUACCCAAAACAUAAUCUCACAACAUGAAAAGCCAUCAUCAAAUGGUGAUUGGUUGGCAUAAAUAAAAAAUAUUUAGUCACCACAAAAAUCAGAAUCUCCCGAGUAGAACCUACCUGUUAUCACUGUAUUCUGCAGCUUCCUCCUCAUCUCAACUUCGGUGGAGUAGCCAUCAUUAGCUCUGACGAGUGAGGACUAUUACCUGCAGCUAUUGUAUCAUCGUCCUCUUCAACCAGUAUGUCUCGAGAAUCGUUACGGCCUUCUCACGGAUCCCAAGAUGCAUGGAUUAGUUGAUGUAUUUAUUUUAAAGAAAUUUAAUAAAAUAGAAGAGAAUGAAUUUGAACUUAAUUACCACUAGCUAAUACAGAAUAUUUAUCCAAUAAAUUUUAACCUUUUAGAAAAUAAUGACUUUUUGUUCGUAAAAAAUUAUCCAAGUCGUGAAGGCAAUGGAAAUAUAACUUUAAGCUCUAUAAGAAUUGAAAAAUUGAUUAUAAAAUUCUUGCACGUACCUUUUCAACCAAGCUCUAUAAGAAUUUAGGACAUCUAGAUAUCCAUAGCUUUCUCAAGGAUGGAAUUUAAUAAUUUGUACAUCUCCUGUGCAGAAGCUUGUGAGCUUUUUAAGAUCAUACAUCUUUAAAUAUUGUAAUUGAGGAAACAUUACAAUAUUAUUAUUCCGUUUUUCUUGGUCCACGAUUAUUAUCUCUUCCAAGGCAGGGCAUCCCCAUAUCUCAAGGUGCUGGAGUCGAACAAAGAUGUUAUUGCUAACUAUAGAAGAUGAAAAUAGACAUCUUAAAUUCCUACACUUGUAUAGGGUCAAGUGUAUUAAAUUCUGAACACCACAAGAUAGGGCUGAAACUUGGUUUUGCCAAAUCCUCUCAACAUUUAUUGAACGCAACUCCAAUUUCUCCAACUUUGGUAACGCAACCUACUCGAUCAAAAUAAUAACUUCUUGUUAACUACAGUAAUAAUCAUUUCUGCAGAUGGACAAAUCAAUAAACUUAUUAAUCUCUUUCUCAUGUAUAGUUCUCUGAGUCUUUCAUACAACAGUACUAAUCAAGUUUCCAAAUAUUCGUUGCUAAUUUACAUAUAUUCUAAGGACACGUAUAAAGAAAAUAACAAGCUAUAGAUGUGAAUCAAUAAUUAUUUGUCAAAUUAUUUUUUUAUUUUGUAAUUACAACAUACUAAGUAUUUCCUAGUAGAUGCUUUAUUAUUAUUAUCACUAAUUCAAAUCGUGUCUACAGUACCUUUUCUUUCCUCUGAGAAUGUAUUUGCUACAUGCUACAACACUUGUGGCAUGAAAAAUUUAGAAUAAUAUAUAAUUAUUAAUUACUCUUGCAUAUUUCUAACAAACAAGAAUAACAAAGAACAAAAAUACAAAAAUCAUAGAGAAUUAAUAAGCUACAAAAAUACAAAAAUCAUAGAGAAUUAAUAAGCUAUUGGGUUAAUAAUAACCGACCUUCUCAAUAAAAAGUGUAUUAGCAAUACUGAUAUUGUCCUCCAAAAUGAUUUCGUUUGACCGAAUAUCAUAUGACGACUUCUCCUGUCUCUAUUGACAUUGAAGCCAUCUUGAGUUUAGCGUAUAAACUUAAUUAUGAAUGAUCGAAAUGCAUAUUGACAUGAGAUAUUCAAAUAUUAUUACAAUUUAGUUUAGCAUUAGAUCUAAAUCUAAAAUGUUAGAUUUGAUAAUCAAGAAUUCUUUUUUAAAAAAAAUUAAUUGAGUUAAUUUGAACAAAAUAUGAAAAAUUAAAUAAAUAGUGAAUAUUCUCUAAAUAUGAUCAUUAUAAGAGUGCUGAAAAUAUAGGAUGAUUAAUUUCACAUUUUUUAUAUGAAUAUUGCGAAUUUUAUUGAAAGUAAAGGGAAGAAGAAUAAUAUUACGAAGCAUAAUGCUCAUACAAUAAGAAGCUAUUAUGUUAGUUUUUACGGUGGUGUGACACCGAAGCUAAAAGAUUAAAAUAUUAAUUAAAUUGCAAACAUUAAAGAUUUCUCCUAAAUUGAUUAUAUAAAUAUGAAACCUGACGACUUUUCAAAGUUAACUUUGAUACUCUAGAAAUUUCUGGUUUUAGUCUAACUUAUAAAUUAACGUUAUGAUAAGAGAAUAGUUUGCUAGUAAUUAAAGGCUAAGGAUUAAUCUUGAUUAGUGGAGUUAAAAAUGAUGGACAUUAAUUUAUAACUUUUAUAAAUAUGCAGGUCUUAUGAUAUUUGUAUACGAUUUAAUGCUCGGAAAAAUAUUUAAAACUUGAAGGUUAGAUUAAUUAAGCGAGUAAAUAAUGACCAAAAAGCUUUAAUUCGAGCUUCUUUAUUAGAGGUUUAAUUUACGUCAUCCAAAUCUGACAUCAAUAAGAUUUUUUGUCGUUGGAGGACACUAAAAAGUGAGCAAACUAGACUUUUGAUUUUAACCAAUUUUGAUCACCGAAAAUAAAAAAUAGUAUUAUUUUUUUGUUUUUUGUAAUGUGUUAUUUGUAUUUGUAAAUUUUCAUAUUGAUCAUACCUCUGAUUCUUCCGGAUUGAGGGCGAGGUGGGAACCGCAGAUAUAGAGAUGCUUGAGUUGUGAAGAACCCUGCAGUUUGACUAAUUCAUUAACAAAAUUCUGGACAUCUUGCUCUUGCAGUCCCUCUAAUCCAAGGUGUUCAAUUCCCUGUAGCUGCACGAUCAGCACAUCCUUCAAGCAAACCUUGGUAUUCAGCUCGAUUCUGAAAUCUCUACUGUAAAUGUCGUACUUCCGAUUCCAGAAAUAUCCGAUAGGUAUUCUGUACCUUUCCAGCUUCUCGAAGAACAAGCCUCUUGGGAGACUGUUGACAUCUUUGAUGUGUAAAUCCAAAGAGGUCAAAUUAUGCAAAUGCUUCAACUCCAGAAGGCUAGCGUUCUUGACCCCACCUACUUCCACCUCCCAUUUAUAAAAGCUAGUACCUAUAUACAGUUCUUCCAAAUGGGAUAAAUUUGACAAAAUAUUUGGUGGCAUAACUUCUAGUUCGUCACAACCUCUCAAAUCAAGCAACUUUAGCCAAGUCAAUUGACCUACUUCUACUGGCAAGUGGCUAAAACCACAACCUCUUAAGCAAAGGAUUUCUAGUUUCUUCAAGUCUCCUACAACACUUAAACCCAGCAAGUUGCAGUUACACAAACUCAGUGUUCGAAGGUUUGAGAGGAGACCAAGUGAUGAAGGCAGUGGCAGUAGAUUCAUGUAAGUCAAGUUUACAACUCUGACCUGUAUCAUCCUCUCGAAAAAGUUGUUUGGAAUUGUUAAUGAUGACGAUUCCUGAUGAUCAGCACGUACAGAAAAAAGUUUUAGCUGAGGAUAUUCCUGUUGUACUCCAUUAGGAAGCACAUUAGUCUUGAUGUCACGUAAGACGAUUGAAGUGUAAAGUUUUACUGCACUUUCGUCUGACCAUUCCUUGCAACCGUCAAACAGCUCACCUGUCGCCGUAAACACAUUUUUUUCUGCAGAUGCAAUUGAUAUUGCAACAUCACGAACAACAUCAUGCAUAGAAAGGCCUUCGUCUAGCAACAUACAAGAAGCUUUGAGUUUGUAGACCAACGUACUAAUUCGAUCUCGUGCUUCUUCCAUCUUACUGAUACCUUGAUAUAAACCCAAUCCCACACCGUAUCUUAACAAUUCAUCAAUGGAUUCCACAUAAGCAUAUCCUAUUAGCAAAAAGAGGUUCUUGACCUCCUCCCCUUCUAAUUUGUUGUAGCUCAACUCUAUAGCUUUAUAUGCUGCUGGCUGUAUAUCUUUGAAGUUCGUUGAGGAUGGCCUUCUUAGUUGUUUCAACGCAUCCUUCCAUUCAAAUAUACUCGCGCCCCUUAAUGCCCUUGCUACAGUCACAAUGGAAACAGGCAAACCUGCACAUUCCUUCGCCACAUCCCUUGUAACGCAUUUCAAUUCACUACCUUCAACAUAAUCGCCUGCCAUCAUCUUGAAUAGACUCCAAGCUUCUUCUUCUUCUAAAGCACCAACUACGAAAUUUUGUUGAGAAUCCAUCUUCCUUGACAACACCUCUAGACUUCUUGCCGUCAACAGUACUUUACAUCCCUUGUCACCAUCUCCGUGGGGAAUUCCCACCACCUGCAAAUCGAGAUAUUCCCAAAUAUUAUCUAAGAUGACAAGGAUCCUCUUCUCUUUCUUCAGUCGGCUAAAAAGACGUCUUGCCCUUCCCGAUUCGCUCUCCUCACGAAAUGUUAGACCUAAUUUAUCUGCGAUUUCUCCUUGAAUCUUUCUUAUGUCUGGGCUCUGGGACACCUCGGAAAAAACCACAAGAUCAAAGAGCUUGUCAUUUUUGGCUUUUCUUGCAACUUCUUUCGCCAGCAUCGUCUUUCCAAUGCCGCCCAUUCCACAAAUCCCGAGCAUGCUGUUAUCGGGAUUUCUUAAUGCACCAAGAAUAUCAUUCAGAGUGGACAUUCUUGAUUCAAAGUCCUCGUAGCCUUUGUUAGACAUAAGCAAUGUAUCCUCAGGAAUGAUUGUUGGGGAAAAAUCAGGUUUUUAAAUUUUUAUAAAACCUUUUGAAGAUCGCUCUCAUAUAAUAUAUAAGAAUUCGUAUUCUAGAAAUCGUACCUUGUAAAUCUGAGUUUGCUUUUUCCGCUGAAGUGAUUUAGGCUCCUAGAUCACGAUCCGCCACCACCACUCCUGUUAGAUCACGAUCCGUCACCACCACGCUUGUUAGAUCACGAACUGUCUCCAAUGAUCUUCCAGGUUAUGACUCAGGUUCGAUCUGCACUUGACGUGUGGGCGCCUUUAUCACUACCAAAGCAACUAGCACGAGAAAAUUUUUCUCUCAACAAUAGAGAGAAAAAUCUUAUUCUCCGAUUUGUAUAAAGUGGCUUCCUCCUUUUUUCUUUUGGGAAAAAUAAGCCUUUUAUAUCACCUUUUAGUGAAAACCCUAGGCUCCAAAUAAUACCCUAAAUAAAACUCACGUUAUUUUCUUUUUCAAUAGGGGACCCACCUUGUAAAAUAACAUAAGGCCCCUUAUACAAAAGCUAAUUAAAUGGAGCCUCCCACUAAAUGAUAUAUUUAGGCUUUUGACCCAAAUAGCUAGUUAUCUUACUUAUUAGUCCAGUAGUGGUGCAGUCAAUUAAAUGAGCUAACCCGGGGAUCAUUUGGGAACAUACAAUAGUGGCUACAAUAAUUAGGCCUGUAAUUAAACUAGCCCAAUUAUUUAAUUCCAAAUCUACUCCACUAAAAGAUUGGAACUGACUUCCAUAAUUGUAUGCUCGAAUAAUAAUUCGUCCCAAGCCACAUUGAUUUCUUUACUGCACAAUCCUUUGUACCACAUCGUUAAUUAAAUUGAUAUCUCAACUGUCCAAUCAAUUUAAUAACAUCUUAUUCCUUGAUCCUUACUGGUUUUCUCUAAUGAUCAUUUUCAACACACUAAAUAUGUUGAUACACUCUGGCCAGAGAAUUUUAUGAUCAAGUACCGAAAACCUAUCAAGAGAUGUGUUGUACAAAUUCUAUAUUGUUAAUCCAUAACUCCAAUACUCAUAAUUGCUCCCACCAAGAUACCGGGUAAUCUUGACCACAAGGAUGUGUCGUGCCCAUUGGUAACUCAAAUGAAAUAACAAUCACAAUCAUGAAAUCAUAAUUAACUCAAGAUUAAGAUUACAGUAAAAUCAACGCCUAUGAGAUUUAAUAAGUCUGACAGUUAUUACAAAGUUAAUUAAAUCUCAUAUGUGAUCCUGUUCAAUGUAGUCGUACUACAUCAAUAAAUUCAUACAUGAUUAAGACAAAUCAUUCAAUGAAUUUAUUACAGUCUAUACCUAAAUAAAGUGCCCAACUUUAUUUAUCAACUGCGAACUAAAUUUAUUUAAUCAUAAGAUAACUUGUAUUUAUGUCUUCUGUGAAUCCAUAUAGUGAUCACAUAAAUACAUAUAAUAUGAUUAAAUGGACUUUAAUACAAAUAUUAAUGCAAUUAAGAUAUUUGAAUAAAAUACCUCAUUUAUUUUAUUAAUCAGAAAAAAUGUUUAUUACAAUUAAAUAAACACAUAUGCUUUUAAAGAGCAUAUUUUCCCAACAAUCUCCCACUAGCUCUCAAAGCAUAUCUGGCAUAUUGCACAUGCUCUAGGGCUCUAAGUGUAGGUUAUAAAGGUUUCCCACUAAUGGUCAUUGUAAUAAGAUCUGCCAUUUAGCAUCUAAUACCAUUUGGGGUACUGUCAUAUAACCUUUCUACACUAUUCCCUUAUAAGAUGAUACUUCCUUUCAAUAUGUUUUGUUUCUUGUGGUUCCUUGGUUCCUUAGAUUGAGCUACCGCACCACCAUUAUCACAUAAUAGUUUAAGGGGUGCAGUUACAACAGGUACCACCUCAAGAUUUCGUAGGAACUUGCAGAGCCAUAUAGCUUCCUUUGCAGCUUCAGAUGUAGCCACAUAUUCAGCUUUAGUUAUUGAGUCUGUGAUACAAGAUUGUUUCACACUCAUCCAACUAAUAGCUCCACUUCCCAUUGUAAACACAUAGCCGGAAGUUGAUUUUCUAAAAUCCUUAUCUGACAAAAAAUCAGAAUUAGUAUAACCCACUAGAAUAAGUUUAUCACCAGAAUACACAAGUAUAUAAUUUUAAGUUCUUUUCAGAUACUUCAUUAUAUGCUUGACCGCAGUCCAGUGUUCAGGUCCAGGAUUAGACUAACCAUCCCUAUCGCAAAACAGAUGUCUGGCCUAGUGCAAAGCAUGACAUACAUGAGACUUCCCACAGGUGUUGCAUAGGGAACUCGUCUCAUUCUCUCUAUCUCUUCAGAUGUUUUAGGUGAUUGAUCCUUAGAGAAUGUAAUUCCAUGUCUGAAUGGUAAUAAACCAGUCUUGGAAUUUUCCAUGCUAAAUCUAGCCAAUAUCUUAUCGAUAUAGACCGCUUGAGACAAGGCUAAAGUUUUAUUCUUCCGGUCUCGUGGUAACUUGAUACCAAGAAUAUAACUUGCCUCUCCCAGGUCUUUCAUAUCAAAUUGUUCUGCUAACCAACUCUUUAUUGUAGUCAACACUCCUAUAUCGUUUCCAAUUAGAAGAAUAUCGUCUACAUAAAGAAUUAGGAAGGUUACAAUUUUUUCUUGAAUUUUCUUGUACACACAUGGUUCAUCAAUGUUCUGAAUGAAUCCAAACGAUUUUAUCGCUUGAUCAAAUCUGAUGUUCCAUGACCGGGAUGCUUGCUUCAAUCCAUAAAUUGAUCUCUGCAACUUACAUACCAUGUGUUCUUGGCCUUUUUGUAUAAAUCCAUCUGGUUGCUGAUGUAGAUGUUUUCUUCAAGAUGCCCAUUAAGAAAGGCAGUCUUGACAUCCAUUUGCCAAAUUUCAUAAUCUAGCACUGCAGCAAUGGAGAGCAGAAUCCUGAUGGAUUUAAGCAUAGCAACCGGAGAAAAAGUUUCCUUAUAAUUGAUUCCUCUUUUCUGAGUAAACCCUUCGGCUACUAAUCUUGCUUUAAAUGUUUCCACCUUUCCGUCUACUCCUCUUUUUCUCUUGUAGAUCCACUUGCACCCUAUAGGUUUUACCCCAUUUGGCGCCUCUACAAGUUCCCAGACUUUUUUGGAAUACAUAGAUUCCAUUUCUUGAUUCAUGGCCUUUUUCAAAAUUCAACAUCUCUAUCUAUUAGAGCUUCGUUGUAACUAGUGGGAUCUUGUACAUGUUCAUCUGAGAUAGCCAUAUAGGUUUCUCCCAAAAGCAUGUAUCUCGCAAGUAACCUAGUUACCCUCCCACUACGACGAGGUUCUAAAAGUGAUGGUUGUUCACGGAUAAUCCUGUACUGAUCAGCUGGUUGUUGCUGUUCUUCCUGUUCUAUAACAGGUGUUGAAAGCUGAGCAUCAACCUGAUCUCUUUUAUUUCUCUAGUUUUACCUUACUCUUAGGUUAUAAGUCAUUAUAGAGUCUUCCUCAAAGAAAGUAAAGAAUAUUUCUAUAAAUACAUUCCUAUCUUGAGGACUAUAAUUCAGACUUUCCCUUAUUCCUUUAAGAUACCUAAAACAUGCAAGCUUCUGAACACGAAUCCAUCUUGUCUAUCUCAGAUUCUAGUAGAAAUACUAGUAAACUCCAAAUACGAAUGUGUCUCAAACCAUGUUUGUGACUUUUUCAUAAUAUCUUGGAGUAGUUGACACCGAGAUAGAUGAAACUAAGUUCAAUAAACUUUGUAGUUUCAAAUACUAGUAUCUGGAAUCAAAAAGGUAAAUGAUAAACCACUUAGUAUAUAUCUUGUCUUAUACAAAAGAAUCUUGUUUCUCCAUUUAAUUACACUAUUGUAUUAUAGUGUUUAUUGACAACCAAAUAGUGCUUGAAUUCUCCAUAGAGAUAUUCUUUGUUUCGAUCAUAUCGAAGUUCUUUUAUGUUCCUGUCUAAUUGCUUCUGUCUUAUUCACGUACUCUUUUGAAUUUCAAAAGCAAUGGAAUCAUGACGCAUUUAGACAAACAUAAAUAAAAUGAAUAUUCAUCAACAAGAUUGAUAGAAUACUCAUAACCUCUUAUAACAUGUAAACUGAUUAGUCCGUAUACAUUUGUAUGCGCUAAAUCAUCAAAUACAAUGUUAUGCUUUUAGCUCAAAAAGAGCAUCCUUGUCAUAUUACUUUUCUAAAUAAGAUUUAUAGAGUUACAAUGAUCAAUCUUAAUAGGCCAACAAGUCUAUCAUUAAUCAUUUUCUUAAAAUCUUAUUAUAGUUUAUAUGACUUAAGCAUAAAUAUCAGAGGUGAUUUUUGGUUAGAAGAAACAUUUCUUUUCUUAGAUAAAUGCAUAUACUUUUUAUCAUUAUAUUUUACUUUGAAUAGAUCAAUGUACUUCUAUGAUAUAAAUUGUCUUUAUAAAUAACCAAAAUAAGUAAUAAAUAGAGGAUCCAUAAAUAACAGUGUACUCCUGUUUAUUAAAACAAGCCACCGAAAUUAAAUUCCUCUAAUAUUUGGAAAAAUAAAGACAAAUAUCAAAACUAAAGUCUUGUAAAAUUGAUCUAGUCUUUCAAUUGAUAUAAACUAACACGUCCUCAACUGCUGUUUGAAGCUUUCUUCACUUAAUCUCUUGGUUUCCUGAAAACCAAAUAAAUGAAUUACAAAUAAGAUUAGUUAUCUCAGAAUUCAUUAUUGUAUGAAUCAAUAGAAAUCUGAACUAAUUAGGAAGCUUAAAGAUUUCCUAUACCUGAUUUUAAUAAUCUUAGGACAAUCUUUCUUCCAGUGACCCUUCUGUCCACAUUUGUAACACUUGCCUUUUGGCUUGCCACUUCUUUUAGUGGACAGUUUGCCGAUCCCAACUCUUGCUUGCUCAUUCUUGUCUUUCGACUUAAGCCUUGAAGAGAAUCCUUUUUCAGGAAGUUUUCUGCUAUUAUAAAAUUCUUCUAUAGCAUGUAGUUCGUGCAUUAAUUCAAUUAAGGUCAUAUCUUUAUUGUUUAAGAUAUAACUGACCUUAAACUCUUUGAAUGUAUCAGGUAAAGAUUCAAUCACCAUGUUAAUCUUUGAUUUAUCAUUGAUUUGAACACCAUGAAUCUCUACCUCAUUCAAAUAGUCCAUCAUUUUGAGGACAUGAUCACGAACUUUUGUGCCCUCUUCCAUCUUAGUAUCCGUAAUACGUUUUAAUGCUGCUUCUCUGGCAAAAUGGGUAUUUUGCCCAAACAUCUGAUGAAGACUAGCCAUAAUUUCAGUGGCUGUUUCCAUGCUCCGAUGUUUCUUAUGCAGUUCCACAGAAAUCGAAGCCAAUAUAUAGCGCUUAGCCAUUUUGUUAGCUUCGCACCAUUUCUCAUAAGGCUCCCUCUGAUUUCUAUAAUCGUAUAACGAUGGUUCAGGAGGGUAAGGCUGAGUCAAAACAUAUUUGCUUCCCUUAGCAGUGAGAAUAUUAAAUAAAUUGCGUUUCCAAUCUAAAUAAUUUUCGCCAGUGAGUUCAUUUUUAACAAGGAUAAUUAAUAAUGGGUUGAUGGAAGACAUUUUCUGAAAAAAAAAAAAAAUAGACAUGCAUAAAUACUUUGAAACAAUAUUCACAAUAAAUGACAAAAAUGCAAAAAACCAUAAAUGCAUUUUAAUUUAUUGUAACGAUAAUCUAGUACCGCUUUGACAAGCUAUCCGUUGGGGAAGUCAUGUCUACACUUACUAGACCCAAUUAUCCAUUGGAUUAUUUACUUUCAUGUAGAGACAUGAUAAAUAAUUAUCGUUAUCCUUUUGGGCCUAAAUUUGUUAACAGAGCUUCGUUGGGAAGGUUAAUAACAAACUUUAGUUGAGUGUAUAACCAUUGUUUCAAUCUACGUAUUUUUCAUAUCAAUAGUCACCGUUGGGGUGAACAAUCGAUUAAAAAAUAUUUCAAUUUUAUCUUUGAAGAAGUUCAUCAAAUAAAAUAUCUAAUAUAUAUACCCUCCGAAGGGAGCAUCACCGUAUCAUGAAGUCGAGGUAUAUAUAUAAUUUUAUUAUUGAACUAACAAUGGAGCCUGUGGGUAAAUUAUCUUGAAUUUUCCCUCUCCCACUCAAUAUUUUGAAAUUGGUUUUUCCUUUUUAAAACAUACAUAUUAUUAAUUGCAUGCUUCCUAUAAUAUUAUCUAGAUGAUAUCAAAUAUUAUUAAGCAUACGCAAAUAUCAAACAAUAUAAUGAAAUUCAUUAUUAAUGAAUGACAUGUAUCAUUAUGCAUAGAGUGGCACUACCUAUUCUAUAUGACAUGUUAUCAUGGCAUGUGAUCAUCCAAAACAUAACAUAUAGAAAAACAAUUAAAUAAUCUUAAUUCAUGGCUUUCCUAGUAAUGAAAAAUACAUUAACCCUAAGCCUAAUCUUCAUUUGGCUUCUUGUCAAUGUCCAUCUUCCAUAAGUUUGUCUUUGUUAAUGGACUAGGGGAAAUUGGGCUUUUAAAUUUAUAAUUGGUCCAAUUUUAAUUUUGAAAUAAAAUAAAUAGUUUUAAUUUUAUUUUUAUUAAAAUAAAACUUUUAGACCAAAAAUAAAUUUAAUGUAUUUAAUUUUAUCUAUGCAUUUUUAAUCCAUUAAGCCUAAUUGAAAUUGGGCCUAAAACUAGGAUUCUUUAAGCCCAAAACUGUUUUUAGACUUAAAUGCAAAAAAUUAAAACUUGACUGCCCAAAUAAAAAAUUAUGGAACCAUAGGGACCUCCAUGACAAAAGCCAUGAAACCCUAAAUCCAUAUUUUUCUUUCCCCAGCCGCCAUCAUCACAAAGGCAUCCAGCCAUUGUUCACUGUUUCACACCGGACAGCCGCCGAUCUCCGACACAUCUCCAACCGCUGCCGCCUCGCCGGAAACGCAUCAAACCCGCGCGUGCAACUGGAAGCCCUUGCUCACGCUGCUGGUUGCACGCUGCAGCUGCUGGUCACAGCGUGCUCUGCGGGCUUGCAGCGCGCACGCGGCAACUGCUGGGCGUGCAGCGCGCGCUGCUGCCCACGCGGGCCGCGCGCUGCUCGCACAGCAGCGUGUGCUGCUGGCCGUUGCUGAAAUUUCCGUCCUCCAUUGUUUGCGCUCGUUUUCCAGUGAUGAUGCUUCGGUGAUUUACAAAUUUUCAACGCAAAUUUUGGCUUACAAAAUUUCAAUUACAGUAAAAUAAAUCAAGAGGGAAUUAUGGUGAUAAAAAGCCACCCCUCUUGUUACAGAUCCAAACGAAAAAUACAACGGAAAAUCUAACCAUGAAUUAAGACAAACCAAAACAUGCUUUAUUCAUAUAUUAAACAAUUAAUAUAUAUCUGAAUAAAUUGUUCCACUCUAAUACAUAAAUUUCAAGAAUGAUUUCAUACGAAAUUCUUAUAUAUUAAUAUGAGAUGGCUCUGAUACCAAUUGUUGGGGAAAAAUCAGGUUUUUAAAUUUUUAUAAAACCUUUUGAAGAUCGCUCUCAUAUAAUAUAUAAGAAUUCGUAUUCUAGAAAUCGUACCUUGUAAAUCUGAGUUUGCUUUUUCCGCUGAAGUGAUUUAGGCUCCUAGAUCACGAUCCGCCACCACCACUCCUGUUAGAUCACGAUCCGUCACCACCACGCUUGUUAGAUCACGAACUGUCUCCAAUGAUCUUCCAGGUUAUGACUCAGGUUCGAUCUGCACUUGACGUGUGGGCGCCUUUAUCACUACCAAAGCAACUAGCACGAGAAAAUUUUUCUCUCAACAAUAGAGAGAAAAAUCUUAUUCUCCGAUUUGUAUAAAGUGGCUUCCUCCUUUUUUCUUUUGGGAAAAAUAAGCCUUUUAUAUCACCUUUUAGUGAAAACCCUAGGCUCCAAAUAAUACCCUAAAUAAAACUCACGUUAUUUUCUUUUUCAAUAGGGGACCCACCUUGUAAAAUAACAUAAGGCCCCUUAUACAAAAGCUAAUUAAAUGGAGCCUCCCACUAAAUGAUAUAUUUAGGCUUUUGACCCAAAUAGCUAGUUAUCUUACUUAUUAGUCCAGUAGUGGUGCAGUCAAUUAAAUGAGCUAACCCGGGGAUCAUUUGGGAACAUACAAUAGUGGCUACAAUAAUUAGGCCUGUAAUUAAACUAGCCCAAUUAUUUAAUUCCAAAUCUACUCCACUAAAAGAUUGGAACUGACUUCCAUAAUUGUAUGCUCGAAUAAUAAUUCGUCCCAAGCCACAUUGAUUUCUUUACUGCACAAUCCUUUGUACCACAUCGUUAAUUAAAUUGAUAUCUCAACUGUCCAAUCAAUUUAAUAACAUCUUAUUCCUUGAUCCUUACUGGUUUUCUCUAAUGAUCAUUUUCAACACACUAAAUAUGUUGAUACACUCUGGCCAGAGAAUUUUAUGAUCAAGUACCGAAAACCUAUCAAGAGAUGUGUUGUACAAAUUCUAUAUUGUUAAUCCAUAACUCCAAUACUCAUAAUUGCUCCCACCAAGAUACCGGGUAAUCUUGACCACAAGGAUGUGUCGUGCCCAUUGGUAACUCAAAUGAAAUAACAAUCACAAUCAUGAAAUCAUAAUUAACUCAAGAUUAAGAUUACAGUAAAAUCAACGCCUAUGAGAUUUAAUAAGUCUGACAGUUAUUACAAAGUUAAUUAAAUCUCAUAUGUGAUCCUGUUCAAUGUAGUCGUACUACAUCAAUAAAUUCAUACAUGAUUAAGACAAAUCAUUCAAUGAAUUUAUUACAGUCUAUACCUAAAUAAAGUGCCCAACUUUAUUUAUCAACUGCGAACUAAAUUUAUUUAAUCAUAAGAUAACUUGUAUUUAUGUCUUCUGUGAAUCCAUAUAGUGAUCACAUAAAUACAUAUAAUAUGAUUAAAUGGACUUUAAUACAAAUAUUAAUGCAAUUAAGAUAUUUGAAUAAAAUACCUCAUUUAUUUUAUUAAUCAGAAAAAAUGUUUAUUACAAUUAAAUAAACACAUAUGCUUUUAAAGAGCAUAUUUUCCCAACAAUGAUACUGUGGGAAAUUCUUUCAAAUCUCCCAUCUUCCCGAAGCUUGACUAUAGCGUCCAGCUGCCUCACUGCUUCCUUGCUAAGUCUACGGCGCAUCUUCAAAUUAGGACAACAACCCUUGAAACUAUGCUUAUUUGCUGUAGCUUCAACACCUACAAAUUUCUUUCCCUCAACAGUGGCCUCGUUUGCGCUUGCAAGCCAAUUCUGAACGUUCUGUUCAAUCUCUUCACCUUUUCUUUCUGCAUCAUUAACCGCGUUCUCCAUACUCACGAUCUCACCCUCCAGCUUCUCAACUUGAUUAUUGAGAUUCUUAAAGUUUCUAGUGUAGUCGCGCACAUAACUAAAUUGGCGUUCUAUGGAAGGAGCCAAGCACUUUGCAACUUCUAUAACAACAGAAACUAUGAUUUCCACCAUCUUUAAUCCUUUUGGCUCACUCUUUUUUUUUUUUUUUUUUAAGAAAAAAAGACAUUGGGAAACAGAACAGAGACAAGAACUGAAGCACAGAACAAUUGAUUAGUUCGGAAGCAAACUGACACUGAGAGGUUAAGCGCAAGUGAUAUGGGGCAGAGUAAAAAAGGAAAAAAAAAAAACAAGAGUGGAUACGGAACAGAACAACUAUAAGGAGCAGCGCCUAAAUAACAAGACUGGGGAUCAAAGAAUGCCAAGUGUCGUUGAGAUCAUAAGAUUGAAAAUUCAAACGAGUUUAUGGCAAAAACUGAGGAACAAACAAAAGCACAUAACUUAAGAAAAGAUAAGGCAUAUUAGCAAACAACUUCAGCAAGUUUAUCGAUUUAGUUAUUUAAUUCAUGUAAUAAAAUAUUAAAAUCUACAAGGGAGCAUUAUGGCUUGAUAAAAGUUUGAGGUACAUUCCUUCCCUCUAAUUAAAGAAAAUUAGGAAUAAUGCUGAUUCAACCAUGUAUAAUUUAAAUUAAUUGAAGUUAAUAGUCGUAAAUAUGCUUUGAUUAAAGUUGUUGUGUGAAUAUACAUAUAAUAAUUGUUGGUAAAGUUUCUGAAAUGUGACUCCUUUAAAUGUCCAUCUCUUCGCUCUGAGGAAACGUUAACAUGGGAGAUGAAGCUAUAUUGCUAUAACAGUGUUUGAGCAUUUUCACCAAGUACGUAAUAAGUUUAUCAACUUAUGUAUUUAUUUCAUUUCCUAAAUAUGAAAAGCUACAAAGAGAGAAUAAUGGGUUGCUAAAACUUCAAGGAAUGACAUUCAUUUCCGAUCAUUGAAGAAACUCCAUGAAUGCUGAUUCCAUCAUGUAGAAUUUAAUGUUAAUUAAAGAUAAAUUUCAGAAAUGCAAAUCUUUUAAAUGUCCGUUUCUUCACUCUGAGGAAAAGUUCACUUGAAUAUGCUAUAACCGUGUUUGUGUAGUGGGCCAAUUUCUACGAGUAUUUCUUAGUCAAAGUUUCAUACAAAACUAGAAUACUUAUACGCAGGGGAGGACAUGGCAUUUUUAUUGAAGGCAAUUAAUUUGGGAGUAGUGAUGAUGUUCGGUAGCAUAUACGUUGAAGUUCUAGUGCAUAAUGGCAUUUAUGUUGAAUGCUACGUCAAUAAACUUUACUAAAACAUUCCACCUCUUUUUACCGCUUCUGUCAUUGCUCUGAAUCAGCCUCACUUUUUUACCGCUUUGUCGUUGCUCUGAUCAGCCUCACAUUUUACCACAUGUUAGAUUAUCUAAUUACAUUCACUCUGUCACAAGAAGACGCCACCAACUUUAAUUUUUAAUGCUAGCCACUAGUAUGCAUUCCAAAAUAUAAACAUACAAGGGCGGUUUGGGAUAUUUUUGAGGAAGUUUAAAAGUGAUUUGAAAAGAUAAAAGUUAAUUUUAGUAUUUGGUAAAUUUUUUUAGAAAUUAUAUUUAGGAAAAUCACCCUAUCUUAUAGUAGAUUUUGAAAAAAUAAGGAGUAGUUUUUCAACAUCUGAUUUUGAGAAUAAAUUUUAUACUCAAUAUAAUUCCAUAUAUAUCCUCAUAUAGGAAAUACAAUAAUUAACUUUAAAGAGAUAAUUAUUAUUAAUAAUUAUAUUGAGAUAAAAAUAAAAAUAAAAUUAAUAAUAUAAAAUAUUGAUUUUAACUAUCAAUUAUUAUAUAUACACACACUAAAAAAAUUAUACACAUUUUUAUAAACGUGUAAAUAAAUUUUAUUCAACAUUAUAUACAAUCCAGUCAUUUAUAUUCUCAUAGUAGUUUAAGAGUAAUAUUUACCGAACACAUAUGAUUAUUUUUUAAAACUCACAAUACCUUUAAAAUAAAUUUUACCAAACAUUUAACUGAUUUUUUUCAUAAUUGAUUAUUUCUACAGUGUAACUAAUAAUAAUUAUUUUAAAAGAUACAACAUUACCCAACUAUCCCAAAGUCCUCCAAGAUCUUCACGAGUAUAAGUGUAAUUAGUUUGAGUUGAUAACAUCAAAAUCUACUAAUUUACAUAGUUAAAGCCAGGAACUCACAAUAUAACGGCAAAUAUCAAUAUGUAGUCUCAAGUAACAACGGCAUUGGUCAAAAAACUAUGAACAUCUUCUCACAACCACAUCGAGUAAAUGCUGCUCGUAUUGAGUCAAUCUAAAUUCCCUUUUGUCAAAUAUAAAUGAAAAAAAAAAAAAGUAAGUGAGACCAAAAACUAUGGCGAUCAUUCAUGUCUUUUGGCAUUUCACAUUCGAUAUUUGUAAAUAUGCAAAAAACAAUCUAUUGAGUAUGAGAUUCUUAAUUUUUUUUUCACCCAAUCUAUUAAUAUUAUUGGACGUAAUUGGAACUUGGAACCACUUAUGUCAACUUUAAAUUAUAUCAACUUUAGACUGACACACUUAGAUAUCAGAGUUUAUAAAAUGAUUGAUCUACUUCGAGCCCAAAGUUUUUUUUUUUGGAAAAAAAAAAUUUAUCAGUUAAUAAAGGAAUAAAUUUUCAAACUUUUUAGUAACGUUCUAGAUUGGGCCUCGAAAAUCAUAAAAUGGUUCAUUUAAAAAUAAAAAAAAAUUAAUAUUUUUAGAAAACAAAAAUAUAAGAUUGAUAACUGGACCUAGACUCAGCCCGGUCCGGGUUUGAAAUUUCAAGCCUAGGUCCAUCUCUCCCACCAACCGCUGGACUGGACGAUCCAUUCAUAAUUUCGUAUGCUGUUGAUAGAUAUAUAGAGUUUAGCUUUUGGCACCCUUAUUAAAAUCCUUACAACACCUCUUUUGAAUUUUAUUUCUUAAAAUAUCUUAGUUUCAAUUUAUAAAGUAUAAAUCUCUAUGAAAAGAUUAACCAUAUUCCCACAAAAUGUCAUCCUAAAAAAAUUCGCUUUGAAGUUUUAAUUAUAAAGUACAUAUAAAUCCUAAAAUUCUUUAAGUAUUUUCUUUUUAUUAUUUUACUUAUAUCUCCAUAAUUCAAAACAAUUUUAAUUUUUUAAAAAAUUCAAAUUUAAAUUUAAAAUUUAAAUAUAAAUUAUGAAAUGUAUAUUUUGUUAAAAGAAUGUUUUAUUUAAGUGUUUAAUUGACUUUUAACUCAAAAUAAAAAAAAAAAUAAUUUGUCUUUGGUUAUUUAGGUAAUUUCAAUAAAAAAGGGGGUUUCAUGAGGAAUUUUGAGAAGUACAGAAAGGCGUACUCGUACACGUGUUUGCGUGUGGGUGUGGGUAUAGGGGGGGUGUGUUCGUGUGUGUGUAGAGUGGGUUUAUCCAAUUGGGAUCCCUAACUUUAUUAAAAUCAAGAAUAAGAUUAAAAAAACUACUGAUUUCAAUACAUUACAUAACAAAAUAUAGUGUAUUGGAGUCUAUGUUUUUUUUUUCAUUUUUUAGUUUAUUCCUGACUUUAAUAUAGUCAGAAUCUUUGAUUAUAUAUAUAUAUAUAUAUAUAGUACCCCAUAAAAAAUAUUAAAAAAUUAUUAUAAAUCUAAUAGCACAACAACAAUUCCAAAACUGCCCUCCAUAUAUUCCUCUACCUUUUUUUUUUCUUUCUAAUAAAUUCGCAGGGGCUAGGAUCAGUACCUCCACCUCUUACUUGCCGUCAAGAUUAGUUUAAUUAGAACAAAAACAUAGACCCAGAAAAUUUUAAUUUUUCAUUCAAGUUAAAAUUGUAAACUUUUAUAUAUGUUUUAAUCAAGAUUUUUGACGGUUGUGAAAAGCUCCAGUUAUACAUAACAAAUAGAUCGCAAUGGUGUUUUCUCACAUAUUUUGUACAUCUAUUGUUUGGCUUAAAUUGAAUUGUAAAAAUAAUGCCACUAUAAGAAAAUGAACAAUAGAUGACAGACAAUUUGUAACAAAUUCUAAGUAAAAUAACUUAAAUCAUAAUACUAUGACGGAUUCAUAAUAGGAAUUUCAAUCUAUCAUACAUCAAUAAUGGUUUUGUGAGAGAAAUAUUUUCUAUCACGGAUUUAUGAUGGUUUUAUAAUAGAAUUAUCGUUUAUCACAGAUUUAUGAUAGAAUUGUGAUAGAAAUUUGAUCUGUCAAGAAAUUGAGAUAGAAUAAUGAUCUUGACAUGUUUGACCCAAAUUUGAUGUAUUAUUUCAUUUAAAAAAAAUAUGCAUUUUAAUAAUUGAAAAAAAAAAAAACACUAGCAAGACGCUUCCGUUUUUGGUACCUAACACUACUUUUCUUUUUCUUCUCUAAGGGUUAACACUCAUGCACUUGGAAAUCAAAAUCCUAAAAGCUACUUCUGUAGCUCGUUUCUCCUAGCAAGGAUUAUUAAUCCUCAAGUUUGCUUGUUAAUCAUUUUCUUUAUUGCUUUAACUUUUGUUUUAGAGAACUUGUUUCAUGUGAAUGGUCUUGAUCUAGUUGGAAUAAAGAAUUAAAUCCACAAAGAUUGUGAAUCUUAUAUCUUUCAUAGUUUUUUUUUUAAUUGCUUGAACUGCAAAGAACUAGAUUGUUUUGUGUAUGUUUAAGUUUUGUUGGUGCUAGUUUUCCUCUGGGCAGCUCGAUAAUUCUGAAACUGAAAUGUUGAGGGGAUUAUUAGUAAACAUUGUUGAGAAUUUAGAAUUUGGUGUUGUGUGGUUUUUUAUGAUGUUUGAUCAAAGUGGGGCAAAUGCUUUUGCUACACAUUUGGUCCUCCAAUUAUGAGUGGGCUAACCCGGGCUGCAGCCCGGGUAAGUUUUUUUUUUUUUUUUUAAAGUUAAGUAUAAUUUAUAAAUUUAACUUUAUUAAUACUUAUAAAAAAAUAAAUAAAUCUAAUAGCCCACCCCAUAAAACAAUACUAGCUUCGCCAUUGCUUUUACAUAAGGUAGUGCCAUUAAUGAUUUUGUUCAAGGCGGCUGAAUUGGAUUACUUUAGAAAUUUAUAAUUAGGUAUUUUAAAUAAAUGGCUAGAUAUUUGUCUUUUGCUUGAACUCUGUGAAUUUUUAUUUCAUGUUUUCUUAUAUUUUCUUGAUGUUCUCACGGGUUUCAUUAAGUUAUAAUCUUUUUAAUGCUUCGUUUUCUUCUAUUUUAGAACUAGUUUUGAGAUGGAUUCCCCUAUGGAAACUGACAGAAUUUGAUUACUACUACAAAUACUCAUUUGUGAAAAUGGUUUUCUAAUUUUUAUGUGAUGGCUUGUGGUAAAAUUACUAAUUUAAAAUAUAGUGGAGACACGGUUCUUAUGAAAAUGUGAAUCAAUGAUAACAUAUAUUGGCAUUAUAGUAGCAUGCGAUGAACUUUUUCUCCUUUUCUUAAAUUCGGCAAUUGAAUUGUCAGCUCAGCUUUCUUUUAGCUUCUAUGUUCUCUUUUUCUUUGGAGGUACGAUAGAUAUUUUCAAUAGGAUAGUUCAGCUUAUAAAAAAAAUAGUUGUGUGUAAUUAUUAGAGUGUAAACUAUUAUUAAGGUAUGCAGGUUUGUUCAUAGUUACACUGGUUAUUGCUCUAAUUCUUUUCUUGAACAAGAAUAAGAUGCUGAGUUAUGGGACUAGGAGUUACGGAACUAGUAUUCUUGAGGCCAACAAUUGCAGGUUAUUUAGGAUAUUUUGUGAAAUUUUGGAUUGUUGUAGUUUGAAUACUUCAAUGAUAUGGAUUGUAUGGUUAAAUGGAUAUCCAUGUUUAAUUAAUUGGAUUUUUUUAAUUUUUGUAUCAUGUUUAAUAUUUAUUUUAGAUUUAUAAAUUAUUUUAAAAACAAAUUUGUAGAAUUUGAGAAUUCUAAUAACAGCAACAACAACAACGACAACGACAACGACGUUAACAUUAAUUCAAUGCAAAUAAUGAUAACAUUAUAUGUAAUAUCCCAAAUCUCCUAAGGGUAUUUAAGUCUUUUUAAUUUUAGUGAUCCUUUUUACCCUAGUAUAAAUAGAACAAGAUGUCUUUACAAUUACAAGAGAGAAAAUAAAAGAAAAAGAGAGGAAGAAAGUCUUCAUCUUCUUCUUAGUUCUGCCAUAGGCAACACAUGGGAUCAAGUUGUUAUUGUUGGGAGAAGUUUUGGAGGUAAGUUUUAAUCUUGGUUUUUGUUAAAUUGUUGUGGAGAAGCAUGAUUGCAAUAGAAGUAGAAACCUAAGAUUUUACAGAAAUAUGCUGACAGUGAAUUAUUACAAAAAUCAUAGUACUUUGUACAAAUUGAUUUUCAUUCUGAUUUUUGGGUGCGUUAAACUAGACAUCGUCUAGAAUAUUUUGAAACUUGUUUCAAGUUAAUCGGAUAAGAUUUCAAUUAAUUACGAGUUUUCAAAAUCAAGUCUGAAAACCUGGAAAUUUAUGAUUUCAGUGAAUAACGUGAAUUACGAAAUUAUUUUCACCAUAGAUAGACUUCUUCAAAAAUUAUGAAAUUUGGACCAGUGAUUUUUAUAUAUGUCUAGUAUGAUUAUGGAAAUUUUCAUGAUUUUACAAUAAAGCAAUAAAUUGUUUUGUAUUUUUAAAGCAAGUGUGUUCAAAAUAGAAAAUUGUUUGACAAUAUUGAUGAUGUCUAAAACGUCAAUUAUUUUCAAUAGUUUUUUAAAGAAUUAUGUUAUGAAAUUUUUAUCAAAUGAACUUUCAAUUUGUCAGCAUAUGGUCUGUAAAAUUUGAGAUUCUUGGGAAUAAUUUAUUAAAAAUCAGAGAAUAUGGACUGUUAUGUUUUGAGGGCCAAUUAUUGAGGACAUUUGAGGUUGAGCUUAGGAGUUGUUUAAAUUGAGAAGUUUGAGGGCAUUAGAGUUUAUGAUUGAGAUUUGAUUUAAGGAUAUAGAUGAUAUUGAUAAGGAUAUUUUUUAUGAUGAUUAUAGGACGUGGGUGAGUUCGUUGGUUUGUUCUUGAGGUAUUGAGUUGAUUGCUGCGGAGUGAGGUAAGUAGAUUCAUGCAUGAUAUGCUCUAUAAUAAAUGCAAUUUUUUUUAUAAGAAUUAUGUUUAAAUGGAAAUUUUUACAAAAACUGAUUUCUAAAAUAUUUAAAUGAAUUUUGUAAAAUAAAAACGUUUUUAAAUGAGUUUAUAUAAAUGUAUUUUAAAAUGAAUUUUUCUUAAGAAAUUAGUUUUCUUAAACUAAAUGUUUUCUUAAAGAAUUUUCUAAAAGAAUUAAAUGUUCAAAGAAAAGUUCUUAAAUGUUUUAGAAGAUUUUAAAUGCUAUUUAUGAAAGGAUGUAAAGUGGAUUCAAAAAUGUUUUGGCUCAUAGUCCGUAAUAAUGUAUACAAUGCAAAUGUUAUGAUGUUAUGUAAUGUUAUGGCCAGCUUGCUGGUAUGAUGAUGAUCUUGUGCACAAGGAUGUUACGAACAAUGUGGGGUAUAGUACCCUGAAUGAGGAACAAUGCAGGGUAUAACACCCUAAAAGAUGAAUGAUGAAUGAUGAAUGAUGAUGACUACGAGGCAUGAGCUACCAAUAUUUACGCUUUAAUGUUUUUAUAAAUGUUUUAAUGUUUUUAUAAGAAUCCACCCCUUAUGCUAAAUGAAGAUGUUGUUAUAAAAUGUUUACGGUACAUGACAAAGGUUUUCAAAUAUUGUGCAUGGAUUUGCUUACCGAGUUGAUGGCUCACCCCUCGUCUCUAAUAUUUUGCAGAUUGAUUAGAAAUGUGGCUUGGGUGCUUAGAUGGAGAAUGUUUCUUAGUGGAUCUUUGGAGUCGCUUUAAAGAUUAAAUUUGACUAGACUUUUUAUUUUGGAUUAGAGACUUUCCUUUGGAGACUUUAUUUCAUAUGUUUUAUGUAAGGAUUCAAUUGGAGUAUGAAUAAUGAUUGUCUAUCUUGAGAUUUAUUAAGAAGGAUAAAAGAUGUGAGUUUUUCAUUCCAAUUUUACCCUUGUGUUUUCUUGGGUAAUUUUUGGGGUGUUACAUAAUAAUUCAAAAUAAUAAUGCUUUUAAGUAAUUUUAAUAUUGAAAUAAUAUCAAUUUUCAGCCAAAAAUUAAAAAAAAAAUUCCAAAAAUUUAAAUAAUUUUAAUUUCCCAUUAAAAAGAUUGAGUGACAGAUAUAUGACUGUGAAAAACUGUCAUGAAGUGAUGACGGAAGAUAUUCUAUCAUAAAUUAAUAAUAGUGAUAUAGAUGAAGGAUAAAUUGUCUAUCAUACACUCUCUUUUAUUACAGUUAUAUACCGUCAUCUAUUGCCUAUUAUUUUGUAGUGUGCUCUGUAAGUAACAUCAUAUAUUAGAAAUCAGUCCAUGAUCUUGAACUUUCUUAAAGCCCAAAAAAGACAUUAUGUCAGAUAAUAUAAUUAUGUGGCGUAAUAAUUUUCCCAAACUUUAAGAAAAUUUAGAAUUCUGGAUCAGAUGAGUACUCUAUCAUAUAUACACCAAUAAAUUCUUAGAAACAAGUCUUUUUUAUUUCGAGUCUAUAUCGAAAGGAUUUUAUUUAAUUAAAUGGAAAAUAAGAGAACAUCCAAUAAUUUUUUCUUUUUAAGUUUCUAGUUCAUGCUUAUAAUAAUGUUCGAAAUGGAUAGAUGAAAGAAAAAUAUUAGUUUUUUUUAAAAUUAAUUCAUAUAUUCUAAACCAUAAUUUAUAUUAAAAAAAAUCACUGGAAAGAAAUAAUUUUUUUUUUUAAAUACAUAAUGAGUAUCAUUUGAAAAAAAAUUGCAUGAUUAUAGUGAUUACAAGCUUAUUCAAUGGCUAGAUCCAUCAUUAUAACAACCGAAACACUCCAGCAAUCCAAUACAUUUAACAAAAGACACACACUCACAAGCAUGAUUAUUGAUUCACACACGUGUAUUUAAUUAAUGGGAAAUUAUCAUUGCACCACCUUUAUUUUUCCUUAUGUUCAUCUAACCACUACAAAAUUUUAACAUGUACUUUGCACCACUUUUCUUUUCACAUUUGUAUCAACUAGCCACUUUUUCAUUAACAUUAUUAAAUAAUUUUAAUAAAAAUGAUAAUUUUACCCCCAAAUAAAUGAAAAGACUAUUUUAUCUUAUAAAAACUUUUAAAAUUAAAAAUUAUAAUCAUAAAAAAUCCCUAAAUUUAAUUAAAAAAAUCCCGAAUAGAGGUGCUUAACUGAUUUUUACUAAAUUUAGAUUUUACAAAAUUUUAAUAAUUAUUUUUAUUAAAAAUUUUAAUUUUAUAAAAUUUUAAUAAAAAUAAAUGAAUUUAUUUAUUAAAAAUUAUAAUUUUGUAAAAUUUUAUUAAAAUAACUGAAUUAUUUCUUAGAAGAAUAAAUCCUAAAAUUUUAAUAAUUUAGGGGAUUUUUAUUAAAUUCCAAAAUUUUGCAAUUAUUUUUAUAAUUAUAAUUUUAUAUUAAAAUAAUUUAUAUUAAAAAUAAAAAUUCUAAUUUUGGGAUUUAUUUUUAUUAAAUUUAGGGAUAUUUUAUCAUUUUAUUUUUAUUUUUUAAACUUUUUAUAAAAUAAAAUAGUCUUUUCAUUUAUUUGGGGGUAAAAUUGUUAUUUUAUUAAAAUUAUUUAAUAGUGUUAAUGCAAAAGUGGUUAGUUGAUACAAAAGUGAAAAGAAAGGUGGUGCAAAAUAAAUGUUAGAAUUUUGUAGUGGUUGGAUAAAUAUAAGGCAAAAUAAAGGUGAUGCAAUGAUAAUUUCCCUUAAUUAAUUAACUAAAAUACCGUACUUGAAAAGUCUUUGCGGGUGCCUACAAAUUGAUAUUUGGACUGUUCCACCAUUCAACCUGAAAUCAUCAAGUGAAAGAAAGAAAGAUGGCACUAGAUUAAUCAAAUUGUGACACCUCCUUACAUAAGAAUAACCAAAUUGUUCAUAUUAGAGGACUCUUGUUCCAAAAUGUGCUUCAGAUCACAUAACUUAUUUGCUUUUCUUAUGAUAACCUCCGUCCCAUUUUCAACCUUUUCUUUCGACAGCCAUUCAUCAUAUGCUUCUAUUUUGAUAACUUUCAUGGGAGGAAAUCUCUGGAGGAACUCAUCAAGUGAUAAAAUAGUAGUCCACUCAUCAACAAAGUCCACAUCAGGACAUUUUAAGUUUGCAUAGCAAGUCUUCUGAAAAUAGACAAUUAUUUGAUCAAUCAGAACAAAAAAAAUAAAAUUGCUAAAUGGAUUAGUUAAUGUUCUCUCCAACAAUUUCACAAAAUUAGUAUUGUAAUUUUUAGAGGGAAUUUAACCAAAAAAAAAAAAAAAGGCUACGGCUAGCAAAAACAAUAUUUAUUUAUCCAAUAAAUUUUUACCUCUUAGAAAAUAAUAACAAUACACCUAACAUGCAGAAAGUGUACAUAUAAGAAUUGAAUAAUUAAUUAUAACUUUCAUAUACGUACCUUUUCUGUCAAGUCAUCUCAAACAGAGGCCAAGUAUUGUUGACAUCAGAGGAUUGAAAAUACCAAAGGAUUGUUGGCAAAAGCGGGAUAACAAAUCAACAGCGAGCACAAUAAGACGGAAGCAAAAUGUGACUCUGAUCAAAAGAUGUAAAUAAUAAGGUUUGUUUUUUUAUUGGGAAUGAAUGCAAAUGACUGAUAUUACAAAAAAGAUUUCAUUAAUGGAAGAGGGGUAGAAGAAUAAUGGACGUAAAUGAAGAAAGGAUUUUGUAAAUUGUAAUGAAUGACUGAUAUUAAGGUUUGUUUUUUGCCAUACGUUUUAAGAAUGACACCCCACAGAUUCAACAAGUCAACAAAGGGUCAAAAGUUGAAAGUGAGCGUUUUCAUUUUUUAAAUGCAUUCUAUGCUGUAAAGCCAAGGUUCCUUCGCUAAUUUAAUUUAGAAUUGAAUAAAAGAAUGAAUAAAUGAAGAUAAAGAUGAGAAGGUGAUAGCUUUAAUUAUGAUUAUUUGUUAGCCUGGUGAUGACAGACCCAGUAUAAAGGUUAAAAUACAGAGCAGAAUAUUUGUGAUGUCAGUUGGUACCUAAAAUUCUCAGUAUUUGAGUAGUUAAAAGCGAAAUUAAAUAUUAAAAUAGACAAAGGAGAAUAAUGGUUUGCUAAAGGUUCAAGGAGUAUCAUUCCUUUCCGCUCCUUGAAGAAAGUCCAGGAACAAUGAUGCUGAUUCAAGCAUGUAUAAUUUAAUGUUAAUUAAAGUUAAAGCCAUCAUAUUCGUAAAUAUGCUUCGAUUAAUGCACUCAUGUCAAUAUAAGCUCUUUAAAUGUUCCAUUUCUUCACUUUGAGGAAAAGUUGAACGUGGAAGACGAAGCAAUGGUAUAACAGUUUUUAAAUUCUUGCAAGCAUUUCACCAAAUACUUGGUACGCAUAAUCAAAGUUUAUUUAAUCAGUUUGUAACGUUUGGUUACUGAGAAAGAGUAAAAAGAAAGUUAAGCAUUGAAAGAAAAUUUUCAGAUCAGAUGAUCAUGAUCGUUUUCAUUACAUAUUAAGUCUAAUUACAAGUCCUUUUAUAUCAGUCUCUGGAACAUUCUACAAGCAUCAAAAUCAUAUACUUGGGCUAAAGUUAAUUACAAGUUACAAACUUGCUGCCAGAUCACCAGUUUAGUUAUCUAACAAACUUAACGAACUGAAGCAUCUAAAGAAUAUAUUCCAGAGUAUGUUCCUUAACAUGCAUAAAUGGUCAAUCAUACUUGCCAAAAAAAUUGAUGAACAUUCACUUCUAAAGAAGCAAACUAAUGUUUGUAAAAAUCAUAAUUAGCCAAAGAAAGUUCAUGUAUUUUUUUUUUUCCUUUUAAGAUUCAAGACAAUUCUUCAAAGAUGAAAUCAGUUUUUAUUGUUAUAUAUGUGUUUUGAAAAUGGAGAUGAUCGCUAUGCCAAUUAAAAAAAAAAAGUAAUGAUAUACUUACUACAAUUAAUAUGGCAGUUAGUAGUUAGUACACCAUUACUACUGGGUAAAAAAAAAACAAAAACAAAUUUACUACAAAACAAAAGAAAAUUACACGAUAAGACAAACUAUUUCUGGUCUCUUGUGGAUUUUGUACUAAUUAUUAUACUAAUUAUCAAUAUUCAUAAGAAAAUAAUGCACAACAAUGAAGGGACCAUGCAGAGGUAAAAAAAGUUAUUUUAUUUUUUUAAUAAAAGUAAAACAUUUAGCUAAGAUUUAUUUUGGUAUUUGGAAGGAUGUACAAAGCAAAAGAGAAUAUGAUAAAGUGCAAAAAACAAACCACACCCUCCAUGACAAUAUAAUGAGUUGAACUAUUUCUUUUAAAUCUAGUUAAAAAAUUAGCUUAAUUGUAAAUAAAGUGAAAAGAAUUAGGAUGAUUGUAAAUAUUAAAAUUUAAAAUUUAAUUUUGACCACUCAUUUGACUAGAAGAGAUUGAGAGAGAAAAUAAAACUAAGAGAAGAUUUUUACCCCAUGAAUAAACAUGGUCAGAAUACGAACUUAAUUGACCUUUGACUUGGUCAGAAUACGUGAUGCACGUGGUGCAAACACGUGAGCACCCAAAUGACGAAUUCCAAAAGCAAACGCAUCGUUUUUUUUUUCUGGUCUUGAAUAUUGAUUCAUCAACAACAAAUAUCAUGCCGACUUUGGGGAAAAAAGAAAAAAGCACUAUAAACUAUAUCUUUUCCAUUCAUUAUAUCAGAAGAAUACAAUGAUUAAUGAAAGAAAACAGAGUUUGUGUUUGGUAAACGAGAAAGUUAAAAUGAAAGAGAAAGAAAAUGUUGAUAAACUGGAAACUGUAUUCUUAUUAUUAAUUAAUCAACGUAUUUACACACUUAUAUAACAAGUAUCAAUUCUUUGUUAACUUGGUUGUUACACAUGCACGUAGUAGCUCUUGUAACCAAAAUAACAGAUAGAGCCACGUCAGCUAGCUUGCUAUAACAAACUGAGCCAAGGAGCUAAUCUGUUACAGUACAACACACAUUAACAAUCAUGUGCUCACUUCCUCUGUUUCAUCACAAUUAAUCAGAUUCACUAACAUCCCCUCUUAAACUAAAGUUCCUUCCUUUUUCCCUCAUAACUUUCUUUCUCUGCUGCUGUUACUGCUUCACUCAUUUUCAGUUUCACCAACAUCCCCUCUGAAACGAAAAUGCUUGGGUUGAACAUUUAGUUUGCUGCGUAAGUAAUGAAACUGAUUGAAAGUAAGGGCCUUGGUUAAGACAUCUGCUGUUUGAUCUUCACUGGGCACAAAACAAACAUCGAUUUCUUUUGAUGCCACCUUAUCCCUGACGAAGUGAAUGUCCAGCUCAACAUGCUUUGUUUUAGCAUGAUAGACUGGAUUAUAAGCCAAGGCAAUAGCACUCUGAUUGUCACACCACAUAAGUGGGGUUGUGCUUAACGGAACCUGCAACUCAGCAAGUAAAGACUUGAUCCAAACAACUUCUGAAGCAGCAUGAGCUAGAGCUCUAUAUUCAGCCUCUGCACUUGACCUUGAUACAACUGACUGUUUCUUGGAAGACCAUGACACCAAGUUUGGACCCAAAAACACAGCAAAACCAGCCACUGACUUCCUAUCAUCACGAUCACCAGCCCAAUCAGAGUCUGAAAAACAGUUUAUUUGCAGAGCUCCACAAUUGUAAAAUUGAAGUCCAAAAUGAAUUGUGCCUUUAAGAUAUCUUAAUAAUCGUUUGCAAGCCUCCCAAUGGGAAGAUUUUGGACAAGACAAAAAUUGACUGAGCUUAUUGACACUGAAUGAAAUUUCUGGCCUGGUGAGUGUAACAUACUGUAAUGCCCCAAUGAUGCUUCUAUAUUGAGAAACAUUUGCAAUGUCAGUGCCUGAGGCUUUAGUGAGAAACUGACUUGUAGACAUAGGUGUUGGCACUGGACUGCAGUGUGUCAGAUCAUGUUUCAGCAAAAUGUCUGCAAUGUAUUUAGCCUGUGAAAGAUGAAUACCAUUAUGAAGCUUGGAGACUUCAAUGCCUAAGAAAUAGCUAAGUUCCCCAAGAUCUUUCAAUGCAAAAGUGUGCUGCAUAUCUUGAAUUACUUGUUGAACUCUAGCUGAGUUAGAACCAGUGAUGAUGAUAUCAUCAACAUAUACCAAUACUAGGAGUAAGUGACCAUUCUCUCUUUUGUAAAAAAGAGAAUUAUCUGACUUUGAAUUCUGGAAAUUCCACUGAGAAGUCAUGGUUGUUCUGAAUCUGGCAAACCAAGCUCUUGGAGCCUGCUUUAAUCCAUAGAUAGCUUUCCUGAGUUUGCAUAUGUGCUGAGGCUUUUGAGAAUUAACAAAACCCUCUGGCUGUGCCAUAUAAACUUCCUCAUCAAGAAUUCCAUUUAGAAAUGCAUUGUUCACAUCGAUCUAUCUGAGGAUCCAAUUGUUCAUGACUGCAAUGCUCAAAACAACUCUGACAGUAGAAGCUUUAACCACUGGGCUGAAGGUCUCAGUGUAAUCAAUACCAUGGACUUGAUUAAACCCUUUUGCAACCAGUCGUGCUUUGUGCUUCAAAAUGGACCCAUCAGGAUUAUAUUUUAUUCUGAAUACCCAUUUAUUGCCCACCACUUUGACAGGGGCUUUAGGUAACACCAACUCCCAGGUAUGAUUAGCUUGGAGAGCCUGAAACUCUUCUUGCAUGGCUUUUAACCAUUUCGGAUCAGUGAGAGCUUGAGAAACAGAUGUAGGUUCAGAGGGUUGAGCUAGAAGUGCUAAGAGAUAAGCUUUUGGUUUAAAAAUGCCAUUUUUAGAUCUUGUGACCAUGGAGUGGCCAACAGAGGAUGAUGCAGGAAGAAUGUGAGGUGGUGAAUUUCUUAAGGUAUGAUUUGAAGAAUGGGGGGGAGGAUCUGAAGUAUGAUUUGAAGUAUUUGUGGUAGAAUCUGAUAACAUAGAUGAGUGUUGAGAAAAUACCUGAGGAGAUGGUAAGACUGGAGCUGCAGAGUCAUAUGUUGAAGUAGCUGCUAAAGGAGUUUGAAGAUGAACAACAGAAGAAUUUGCAGAGUCUGACUGAAAGACAGAAUCUGUUUGAGAAGACAUAGAGACUGAGGAAAAAUCAAGACCAGGAACAUAAGGAAAUGAUUUUUCAUCAAAGACUACAUGAUUAGAAAUGUAUGUCCUCCCAGAUGAAUGCAGACACAAAUAGCCUUUAUGGUUAGUACUGUACCCAAGAAAAAUACACCUGCCAGUUCUGAAUUCAAGUUUGUGUCUGUUGUAAGGUCUUAGGUAUGGAAAACAUGCACAACCAAAAAUUCUAAGAGUAGAAUAAUCUGGUUUUUGGUGAAAAAGCUUUUGAUAAGGUGAAAUAUUGUUCAAGACUGGUGUGGGAAGUCUGUUUAUUAGGUAAACAGCAGUUUGGAAGGCAUUCCACCAGAAUUUUAAAGGAAGAUGUGCUUGGGCUAGCAAGGUAAGGCCAAUAUCAACAAUAUGUCUAUGUUUUCUUUCAAUCUUCCCAUUUUGAUGAUAAAUAUGAGGGCAAGGAUGCCUAAAAUGAAUCCCUGAGGUACUGAGUAAAGAAGAAAAUGAUCUAAAUUCCCCACCCCAGUCAGUCUGAACCACUUUGAUACUCUUUUGGAGCUGUUUUUCAAUGAAGGUUUUGAACUUGGCAAAAACUGUGAGAGCAUCAGACUUUGAGCUUAAUGGAAAGAUCCAAGUGAAACGGCUAAAAUCAUCUAAGAUGGACAGGUAAUAGACAUAACCUUGAGUGGAAGUGACAUGGGAAGGACCCCAAAGAUCUGCAUAAAGCAGUUGUAAUGGUUCUAUAGUUUUAGUUUGGACAGAAUUAAAAUGCAACAUAUGAUUCUUUCCAAAUUGACAAGCAUCACAGAAUUGUAAGUUCUGAAUUUUAUUGAAACUGCCAAACUGGGUACAUGUACUGAGGAUUGUUUUUAAAAUAUGAGCAGCAGGGUGCCCUAAUCUUCUAUGAAGAAGAUUUACAUCAGCAGCUUUUGUAGCUAUAGCAGACAAACAAGAACUUUUAUUUUCCUGAGGAAGACAAGCAAAAAGAGAAUGAAACUGAUUCUGAUUAAAAGGAAUUGUAUUGACAGCAGCAGACUGAGAAUGAGAGGUUGGACUUUGAACUUUAUAGAGACCCCCUUUAGCAACUCCUUCAAGCAAUAUGAUCCCUGUGCUCCUGGCCUUAACAAAACAACAGGUGCCAACAAAUUCAAGAGUAACAUUAUUGUCAGCAAGCAACUUAGAAACACUAAGUAAGUUCUUAGUGAUUUUAGGGACAUGUAAAACAUGAUUAAGAAGUAAUAAUUCAGGAGUGUUUGUAGUAAGCUUCACUGAUCCAACAUGAUUAAUAAGCAAAGCAUUUCCAUCACCAACAUAUAGCUGUUCAUUACCAACAUACACUUUAGGAUUAACAAGAUUACCUAGAUCAUUUGUGAUAUGGUUGGUUGCUUCACUGUCAAUAUACCAAGAGGGAUCUUCAGCAACCUCAGGAUUGGCAGCACAAGUUGCUGGAGGUGAUGGUCCUGAGGUACUAGGCACACCAUUUGGAAAAUUUCCAGAGUAAUAUGGAGAUGAGUUAUGAGCAAAGCUAGGAGUUGGAAUUCCAUGAAAGUAUCCAGGAGCAAGCAUAUUGAAACCAGAUGUGUAAUUAUAAGGAGUAUACCCAGGAAGAAAACCAGGAUCUGAGUAAGCCAUAUUGGCUUGAUAAGGAACUCCUCUGGGCAUAUAACCAUUUCCAAAAUUAUGUCCAGAAAAAUUUGGCCCUCUGCUAAAAUUAUUAAAAGGCCUGUUACCAAAUUGUCCUCUAAAAUUCCCUCUGCCAAAAUUCUUCUGAGGAACAAAUGAAGGAUUGAACCUAUUUUUGCAUCUAUUUGCUCCAUGACCAGGAAUGAAGCAUAUUUGACAAACAAGAUCAGAAAAAUUUCUUCCACCAGCAAACUUAGAUCCUCCAUUAUUGUUAAAACCUCCAUUAUAACCACCAAAACUUGAACUAUUAUUAUCAUUUCCAAAAUUACCUCCAGAAUUCUUCUGAAAUCCAUUAUUAUUUUUGCCAGAAUAUGAUCCUUUUUUAGCUACAUUUGCAGCCAUAUGAUGUAUGAUAUCAUUAGCAAUUUUGCCUUUCUUUUGAUCGAUUCUAGUUUCAUGAUUCAGAAGUAGUGAGUACAAAUCAUCUAGAGUAAUAGUUCCUUCUCUAGCUAAAACUGCUGUUAUCAAAGACUCAUAAUCAGAAGAAUCGAGACCAGUCAACACAUGCAUAAUAAAAUCACCUAGCUCAACUGGUUUCCCUGCUAAGGCUAAAGUAUCUGCUAUACGUUUGAUUUUAGAAAAAUAUUCAGCCAUAGUCAUAGAUCCUUUUUUAAUUGUCUGGAUCUGCAUUCUAAGAGUUUGAAUUCGUGCUUGAGACUGAGAAAUGAACAUACAGUUAAGUGAUUCCCAGAGUUGCUUUGAAGUUGCACAAUCAAUCACAGUUGAUAGUAAGCUCUGCUGAAUGGACGACAUCAUCCAACUCAAGAGGAGUUGAUCUGUCUUCAUCCAAGCAAUAAACUCAGGGUUUGCUGAUCGUGAUUCAUCAGAGGUUGAAGCUUCACCAAUGCUAGGAAACAAGAUAAACUUCUCUGGACAUUUCAGAUCGCCAUUAAUAAAACCUUCUAAACCAUUUCCUUUAAUCGAAGCCAGAACUUGUGUUCUCCACAGAAUAAAAUUGUUUUGAUCUAACUUGAUUGGUGUGACAAAGCUAUAGGACGAAUUUGAUUGAGUGAUGCUUGCCAUUGUUGGCUCUGACACCAUGAAAGAAAACAGAGUUUGUGUUUGGUAAACGAGAAAGUUAAAAUGAAGGAGAAAGAAAAUGUUGAUAAACUGGAAACUGUAUUCUUAUUAUUAAUUAAUCAACGUAUUUACACACUUAUAUAACAAGUAUCAAUUCUUUGUUAACUUGGUUGUUACACAUGCACGUAGUAGCUCUUGUAACCAAAAUAACAGAUAGAGCCACGUCAGCUAGCUUGCUAUAACAAACUGAGCCAAGGAGCUAAUCUGUUACAGUACAACACACAUUAACAAUCAUGUGCUCACUUCCUCUGUUUCAUCACAAUUAAUCAGAUUCACUAACAAUUAACAAUAUCAAAUUCAAGUGACAAUCAAUAAAAACUGAAGCCAAUAUAUACACAAAACUAAAACAAUGAAAUUGUUACAGUUUGACAAAAUAAAAAAUUAUACAAAUUAAACAAACUGAAAAAAAAGAAAAAAAGAAAUUGUACAUUUCAAUCAAUAUCUCUUAAUUAAUAGUUAGUAAAUUAACGAAUAUGUACCUUUUGUUUUAAGACUUCUUUUGUAUGGCUUAUUGAGGUCACACUCCCAAGUCCAAUGUCCUUUAGGCUUUAUCAACGCAGUUCAACGUUAUUUUGUCCAAUUUGUUCAAUUCUCCUCCACAGAAAUCUUCACAAUGGGCCUGGGGCAACCAUCCAUCACUAAUCUUUCCAAAGAUGGGAAUUUGAAGGCAUAAUUGCCAUAGCAGAAGCUUGUCAGAAAUUUUAAGUCUAAAACACACGUACAUUCAUUCAGAUUAAAAUUGGAGUUAUACAUCUGAAAGCUAAAAGCACAGAAACAGAACAACUAGUAACACAGAAACAGAACCUCAGAUACAAGAAGUGGAACACUGAACAAUUGACUAGUUAGGAAGCAAACUGACAUUGAGAGAUUAAACACAAGUGAAGUGACUACAACAAUCUAGGGUAGGAAAAAGUUAAAAAAUAAAUAAAAAGAAAAUUAAAAGCCAACAACAGCAGGACAAAUAUAGGGAUGGCAAUGGGGCAGAUAUGGGUUGGAUCUACUCUGCUCCAGAUCCAAAUCCAUAAUAAAAAUCAAGAUCCGUAUCUGCUCCAGAUCCGUCAUGAAUCCAUAUUUUUCGCUCCAUAUCCAUAUCCAAAAAAGAAAUAAAUAUCUAUAUCUGCUCCAAAUCCAAAAAAAAAAUUAAAAUUCAAAUUUGCUCUAGAUCCGUCAUGAAUUCUAAAAUUCAGUAAUAAAAAAGUAAUAAUUUUUUAGAUUGAAAAUUGAAGGGUAAAAUGUAUUGAUAAUAAAUAAAUUAUAUAAUUUUUCUCAAAAAUAUAAUAAAUAUUGUAGCUUAUACUUUUACACCAAAACAACAAAUAAGAAAGAUAAUAAAAUAUCAUUCCGAAGUAAUUGCAGGAGUAAGAUCAAUCUAAUAUUCUAUUGUCUCCUUCAUCAUUCUAAUAUCCACGAUACACCUACCCUCAUUCCUACAACAUUAGAUAAUGAUAUAUAAAUUAAAUAUGAUUUAUAUUUAGUCCUUUAUUAUUUUUAUUAUGACCAUAUUUGACUAAAUAUAUGAAUAACUAUAUUCCUUAAAAAUUAUUUGGCCAAUAUAAUAAAAUAAAUUGCCAGGUUAUAUUACUUGGCUUGCAAUUUGAAUAUUGCAUGUACAUGCUUUGGGGCUGGCUGACCUUUAAAUUUACAAAACUAACCUUUAAGUUUUAAGAGUUUAAUGCAUGGUAAAUACUACUAAUAUGUUAUGAAUAAAAUUUAUUAUCAUUAUAAUUUCACAAUUGUUAAGAAACUUUUAAAAUAAAAUAAAAUUAAAAGAUGAGUGGAUAUGGAUAUGGAUUUAGAUAUUAAGAUAGAUCCAGAUCUGCUCCAGAUCCGUCUUAGAUCCGCACAUCGAUAUCCAAAUCCGAUCCAAAUCCAUUUUAAACCGAUCCAAAUCCGAUCCGAUUGGAUUUGGAUCACGUGGAUCUUGGAUCAGAUCCAAUCCAUUGCCAUCCCUAGACAAAUAGAUAGGCAGCAGAGCAACUCUAAAUAACAAGCUGGAGAUCAAAGGAUGCCAAGUGCUGUUGAGAUUAAAAGAUUGAAAGUUCAAAAGAAUUUAUGGCAGACACUGAGAAACAAACAGCGCAAUAGUGAGCACAAUGAACAGGAGCGAAUUGUAAUUGAGGUCAAAUGAUGUAAACAAGGGAAGGACUUUGUUGAUUGUAAUGAAUGAAUGAUACUAAACGAUGAUGGUUUUUGCCAAAAGCUUUAAGAAUGACAUUCCACAAAUUCAAGAAGUCAAUAAAGCAACGAAAGUUGAAAGUGACCCAUUUUAUUUUGAUGUGUUGUGCUAUAAUUGCAUAUCUCUAGGUGCUGGAGCUGCUGAAAGCUUCUGAUCGCAGAAGCUGAAAAUAAUAUUUAAAUUUUUGAAUCAAUCGUGUAAGACUUUGAAAACGAGAAAACAUAUCUGGAAGUUGAUUAUCCCAAAUCUUUUCAACAUUAAUUUUGUACAGUUCCAUGUUGGGCAAGAGAAGCAGAAAAUAAAGUGGAUAAAUUGCUUCUCAUGAAAGUGCUCUACACAAUCUUGCUUUGGGAGUACCAAGUACCUUCUCUGUUUGGCAUUUCACAUUCAGUAUUUGUAAAUGUGGAAAGACAAUCUAUUGAGUCUGAGAAUUUUUUUAUUUUAACCAAAUGUAUUAAUAUUAAUCAACGUUGUUAGAACUCAUAACCUGUUAUAUCAACUUUAGAACCAUAAACUUAGAUAUCUAAGUCUAUAACAUGAUUGAUCUACUUCAAGCCCGAAGUUUUUUUUUUUUAAUUUUUUUGGGAAAAAAUAGAUAUUUUUUAAUAGUUAAUAAAGGAAUAAAUUUUUAAUUUUUUCGGUAACCUUUAGAUUGGACCUUAGUCAUAAAUUGGUUCAUUUAAAAUAAAAAAGACUAAUGUACUUAGAAAAUAAAAAUAAAAAUAAUUCUUUUGCAAGUAACAUCAUAUAUGAGAUAUUAUCCAGUUCAAGAUCUUGGACUCUCUUAAAAGUCCAAAAAAGUUGUUACUGUCAGCAGAUUCUUCUCUUAGAAUAUAGGACCUAUCUAGUUUACUCAUUCAAACUAAUUCAAAUGUAAAGUAUAUCGUUCUGUUAUCUUAUCUCUUUAAAAUAGGCAAAGUAGUUAUGUAUAUUGCUGUAUAUAAAGUCUUACAAUCAAUGGAAAAAUGUAUAUAAAGUCUAUUAUGGUAUCAGAGCAUUAAAGCUCUCCAUUUUUCUUUUCUCUUCUCCCUCUUUCUACUGAUUUUUUUCGAUGGCAAGCAAUCAUUCCAACACUGCUAUCUGAAACACCAAUGAUCCCAACAACACUCUCAUUACGAUCAAUGUCGCAGCUCAAGCUCCUCUCAAAUUAACUACCACCAAUUACCUAUCUUGGAAGUUACAGUUCCAAACACUUUUUGUUGGCUAUGAUCUCCUCGGAUAUAUAGAUGGCUCUAAACCAUGUCCUUCUGCAACUGUAACAGCCAACAACACCACACCCCCAAAUCCUGCAUAUACUUUCUGGAUUCGACAAGACCAAUUGAUUUUAAAUGCAAUCAUUGGAUCAAUCUCUCCCUCUAUAAUCCCGUUUAUUGCUACUACCAAAACAUCACAAGAAGCUUGGACCACACUUGCCAACACAUAUGCCAAACCCUCACGUGGUCGAAUCAAGCAAGUCAAAAAUCAAAUCAAACAAAUGACUAAAGGACCUGAAUCAAUUACUGAAUUUCUGCAAAAUGUGAAGGCAAGAGCUGAUGAGUUGGCUCUACUUGGGUCACCAUUUGAUAAUGAUGACCUCACCGAUAAGAUCCUAAAGACACUUGGUGAUGACUACAAAGAGUUAGUCAGAGCUGUUCAAGCACGAGAUACUCCGAUCUCCUUUGAAGAACUCCAUGAAAAACUCCUCAACUUUGAAGCCACACUCAACAUCACCAAACCACAAAUUGUCUUUCCCAUCACUGCUCAUGUUUCAACUCGCACCAAUAACAACUGGCGCAAUAGCAACAACUAUGCCAACCAAAGUUCAACCAACACCAAUCGGAAUCCAGGACAAUCUCAAAACAACAGUUUGAAUUGACAGCAACGUCCCUACCUUGGCUUUUGCCAACUCUGCAGGAUUCAAGGACACACGGCCAAAAAGUGUCCAUCUUACAAGUUGCAACCAAUCCAACCUACCAACACCAGCACAACCACUCUAUGGCAGCCCAAAGCCAAUUAUGCAGCAGCAACACACAACAGUCAAAAUUGGCUUCUUGACAGUGGUGCAUCUCACCACGUCACAUCAGACCUGCAGAACCUUUCUUUGCACAAUCCAUAUGACGGACACGAUGACAUGAUGAUUGGGGAUGGCACUGAGUUACAGAUAACUCACAUUGGUUCCACCACUCUUACCUCUCCUUAUAAAAAUUUUAAACUAAAUAAUGUUCUCUGUGUACCAAGCAUGAAACGAAAUCUUAUUUCAAUUCAUCAAUUUUGCAAUACCAAUAAUGCUGCUAUUGAGUUCUUACCUCAUACUUUUUCUGUGAAGGAUCUCAGCACAGGGAACACACUGUUGAGGGGCAAAACUAAAGAUGGCGUAUAUGAGUGGCCACUUUCCAGUCCCAUUCUUGCCUUUUCCAGUAUCAGAACUACUUCUCAUGAUUGGCAUCAUAGGCUAGGACACCCAUCUGCUUCUAUUCUUAAGCAAAUUAUCUUUUCCAAUAAAUUGAGUUUAACAUCUUCUUCUUUUGAUUGUCAUGCGUGUCUAACAAAUAAAAGUCACAAGUUGUCCUUUUCACAGUCAACAAUAAAAUCGUCCCAUCCUCUUGAAGUCAUUUACAGUGAUGUUUGGACAUCGCCUGUGGUUUCCAUUGAUAAUUAUAAAUAUUAUGUCAUAUUUGUGGAUCAAUAUACAAGGUACAUAUGGUUUUAUCCACUAAAACAUAAAUCUGACUUGAAAGAAAUAUUUAUCAAGUUCAAAGCCAUUGUUGAAAAGCACUUUGAUCAUUCUAUCAAAAUAUUAUAUUCUGAUAAUGGUGGUGAAUUUAUGGCUCUAACCAAUUUCCUAUCCAUGAAUGGCAUAGCUCAUCUUACCACUCCACCACACACUCCUGAACACAACAGCAUGUUCGAACGAAGACAUCUACACAUUGUAGAAACUGGUUUGGCACUCUUAACCCAUGCCUCUAUUCCAUUAUCUUAUUGGACACAUGCUUUUGCAACAGCUGUUUACUUGAUAAAUAGGAUGCCAACACCAACUAUACACCUUCAAACCCCAUACGAAAAACUUUUUAAAUCGCCACCCAAUUAUACCAAACUUAAGAUAUUUGGAUGCCUCUGCUAUCCAUGGUUAAAACCAUAUAACUCUCACAAGCUAGAGUCCAACUCUAAACCAUGUGUGUUCUUAGGUUAUUCGAAUACUCAAAGUGCAUAUUUCUGUCUUGAUCCCAACACUUCAAGAGUCUAUGUGUCUAGACAUGUAAAGUUUGUCGAAAAUGUUUAUCCUUUUAAGCAUCUUAAACCAGAAGAGUCCAAAACUCACUCCAAUACCAUUGCUACGUGGUUUCCUUCCCCGAUACAAAUACCAACAUCUUUUCCACCGUCACUCAAUACGCUAUCUACCAUGGAAGACCCUCAUCAACUUUCUUGUGCAAAUCCUGAGACACCAACUCUCUCCACAACUACCACCACAAACCUACCCUCUCAUACCAUGACCACACGAGCCAAAAACAACAUCCACAAACCUCUUCGAAAAAUGAAUCUCCAUGCUCAUCUAGCCAAAUUUGACGAAAUUGAACCAACCACAGUCAAUCAAGCUCUCAAAGAGCCCAAAUGGCACUAAGCCAUGUCAGAUGAGUUUAAUGCUUUAGUGACAAAUGGAACCUAGAAAUUGGUCCUUCCAUCUCCACAUUACAAUCUUGUUGGAUGUAAAUGGAUUUAUAGAAUCAAAAGAAAGUCUGAUGGUUCUGUUGACAGGUACAAAGCCCGUUUGGUUGCAAAAGGAUUUCAUCAGAGACCAGGAGUUGAUUUUCAUGACACCUUCAGUCCUGUAGUAAAACCAACUACAGUAUGAAUUGUCUUAAGCAUUGCUGUUAGUCAAGGCUGGCCACUGCAACAACUAGAUGUGAAUAAUGCCUUUCUUCAAGGGCGUUUGUAUGAAGAUGUGUAUAUGGUGCAGCCUCGAGGAUUCAUUGACAACGACAAGUCAAAUUAUGUCUGCAAACUCAGGAAAGCCAUCUAUGGACUAAAACAGGCUCCGCGGGCGUGGUAUCAUGAACUUAAAACUUUUCUCUUACAGUUUGGGUUAAAAAAUUCCUUUGCGGAUACCUCUCUUUUUGUAUUUAAUGAUGGCCAUUGUGUUCUUUAUCUUAUUGUAUAUGUGGAUGAUUUAAUCCUCACGGGUGAUAAGCCUAACAAGAUUACUGAGUUUGUAGCCAUCCUUGCCAAGAAGUUCUCACUCAAAGAUCUUGGAUCGUUAUCAUACUUCUUGGGCAUUGAGAUAGUUCCAAAUUCAAAGGGCCUAAUCAUGUCGCAACGACGAUAUAUACUGGAGUUACUAGAAAAGACGAAAAUGCUAGAAGCAAAACCGGUACUCACACCUCUCCCAACCAAUGCACAGUUAUGUCUGCACCAUGGUACCACAUUACCGGAUGCUACUGAAUACAGAACCGUGGUUGGCAGUCUUCAAUAUCUCCUCAUCAGCCGACCCGACAUUGCUUUUAUUGUUAAUCGCCUAUCACAAUACAUGCACCGACCGACUACAGACCACUGGACAUAUGUUAAAAGGUUGAUGCGCUACUUAUUAGGUACUAUUAAUGAUGGUAUCCAACUAUAUUGCAACACUGGUUUUGAUUUGCAUGCAUUUGCUGAUGCGGAUUGGGGAGGAAACAAGGAUGAUUUUUCAUCUACAGGAGCCUAUAUAAUCUAUCUUGGUCGUAAUCCUAUAUCUUGGAGCUCCAAGAAACAAAGAACUGUGGCCAGAUCCAGCACUGAGGCCGAAUACAGAUAAGUUGCAAACACCGUUGCUGAAGUGAAUUGGAUAUGUUCUUUAUUGACGGAUUUGCACAUUAAGGUGUCUUCUUGCCCUGUUAUUUAUUGUGACAACAUAGGAGCAACGAAACUCUGUUCAAAUCCAGUGUUUCAUUCAAGAAUGAAACAUGUCGCAAUCGAUUUUCAUUUCAUUAGGGAGCAGGUUCAAAGUGGUGCCAUUCGAGUAGCACAUGUUUCGUCGGCUGGCCAGUUGGCAGAUGCUCUUACCAAAGCCCUGCCAAGACCACGAUUUCUUCAACUCAAGGACAAGAUUGGACUGCUCUCCCGAGGUCCAUCUUGAGGGGGCAUGUCAGCAGAUUCUUCUCUUAGAAUAUAGGACCUAUCUAGUUUACUCAUUCAAACUAAUUCAAAUGUAAAGUAUAUCGUUCUGUUAUCUUAUCUCUUUAAAAUAGGCAAAGUAGUUAUGUAUAUUGCUGUAUAUAAAGUCUUACAAUCAAUGGAAAAAUGUGCAGUUCAUUCUCUCAAAAUCCUUUACUCUAUUAGUUACAACAUAUGGUGUAUGAGUGUGGUGUAAUAGUUUUCUCAAACUUUAAGAAAGUUUAGAAUCUCGAACUAGAUGAGCACUCCAUCAUGCAUGCUCCAGUAAAUUCCUAUCAACAGAUCUUUUUAUUUUGAGUCUGUAUCAUAAGGAUUGUAUUUAAUCAAAUGCAAAAUAAUAUAACAUCUAAUAAUUUUUUUUAAUUUUUAGUUCAUACUUAUAAUAAUAAUGUUCGCAUUUAAUAGGUGAAAGAAAUAUAUUAGUUUUUAAGUGUUAAAUUUUAACUCUUAUAUUCUAAAUCAUAAUUUAUAAAAAAAAAAAAAUCGCUGGAAAAAAAUUAAUCUUUUUUCAAAAAAUAUAUGUGCAAUGGGUAUCAUUUAUGUACGUUGAAGCUACUCCAAUGAAUUUCACUACUAAAGUAUUAAAUUAUCUUCAUAAAAAAAUUGCAUGAUUACAAUGAUUAUAAGCUGAUUUAAUGGCUAGUUUCAUCGUUAUAACAACCGAAACACUCCGGCAUUCCAAUGUAUUUUAACUCAAGGCACGCACACGCAAGCAUGAUUAUUGAUUCGCACAUGCAUCUUUGAUUAAUUAACUAAAAUAUGGUACUUGAAAAGUCUUUGGGGGUGCCUGAAAUAAACAAGUGAAAGAGCUUUACCAUUGGUUAUCACAAUGUCAUAUGGUAAGGAAACAAAACCGUACGCUAAUGCAGCGCGACAUUAUUGAAAUUUUAAACUUCCCUAUCAUUUAAUAGAGUCAUCGACAUUACCUUAUACAAUCAACUCAUCACCUCAAUACAUAAUUUUUAAACAGCAGCAAUUUGCCUACUCUGUAUUUUUUAAUAUAUAAUUUCUUUGUACGAGAUACUAAACGACAGUUAGUUGGGUUGGUUGGUUGAGCAACCGUUGAAUAUGUAAACCCAACUUUAGUUACACUCGCACAUGCUACCAAAUAAAACAUCGGAUAUUUUUAAGAUGCAUUCAUUAGAAAAAUAUUUUAGAAUCUUUACUGACUUCCCUGCAUGCGGUAAACAGUUAGAAAUGUUUAUUGAGUGUUUGGCAAGUGAGAAAGUUAAACAAAAGCUAAGAAAACAAAGGAAAGAAUUAUGAAUGUUCUGGAAUCAUUAUUCAAUGAAUCUGAACUUAAUACAGAAUGAGAUACAAUGCUACUUGCAUACUCAGCUGAAUUAACAGCUCAUUGUUGUAACAAACUACUGAUUAACAAUAGCUAAUUAAAACAGAUUAAGCUAGUCUUCACGUGUGCUUGUAACUAUGUAACCACCAGGUGCCAGCUGGACAUUCAGAUCAUCAACUUUCAACCGUAUGCUAUUAUUCUUGCUGUAAUCCUCUGCUUUAUCUCCUGCUUUUCCUAUUGUACAGCAAGCAUGAUGAGCUUCCUUAACAUAAACCAAGCUGAGGACCAACCACACGGCCACACCAGUAUGUCUCGAGAAUCUUUACUGCCUUCUCACGGAUCCCAUUGUUGUCAUGACUUUUCAGACCUUCAAUCUUUUUGAAUCCCUCAUCCUCCUCCACCAACCGAGCAUAUUGAUUAACAUCUCCAAUGGUACUACCCGUGUUCUUUUCAGCUUCCCCGACUUUCAAAAUGUUCUCUAAUCCUUCUAAGCAAACAGUGACGAUCUUUGGAUCAACGCAUAGAAGGAGAUCACACAAUGGUUUUAUACACCCCUCUCUCACGAGGUACUUGAUUUGCUCAUGAGUGCCACGAACGGUGGCAUUUGCAAUUGCCAAUGCAGCCUCCUUCUUUAUAUCAAAUUCAGCAUCUUGAAGCACAUUGACAAGGGGAACAAUUAAGCCAGCAUCAAUUACCGCCUGAAUCUGUUCCCUGUUUCCAGCUGUAAUAUUUGAAAUAGUCCAGCAGGCUACCUUCUUGAUGCUCUUUUUAUGAUUAUGGAUCAACAGGGCCAAAAGGCACGGCACUGCACCAUGGUUAAUUAUACACUGAGUCUGGAAAUCAUCUCCCAUCACAAUAUUUCCGACAGUCCACAGGGCAGGAGUGAGCACUGAGGGUGAUGGAUGACCAAGGAGCUCAACAAGUCGUCGACAGACACCUGCCUCGAUCACAACUUGAAUUUUGUCAUUGGUACCAUAAGAAAGAUAGGAGAGUGUCCAACAGGCGUCACUCAAGACCUCUUCAUCAUCUAAAUGAAUAAGCUGUGCAAGUGCAGGAAGAGCUGGCCUUACCUGAUCAAAUGGUGGCUGUGGCUUGCCCUUACAUAAUUUAGACAAUGUCCAUGUGGCAAUUCUUAACAUUGAAAGCUUAGCGUGCUCAUUUAAUUGUGCCAGCAAUGGAAUCAAAGCUUCUUCACGAAGCACAAGAUUACGGCAUCCAGGUGAGUCGGCAGCCACAUUUCCCAAUGCCCAAACAGCCUGCUCACGGACAUCAUCACUUGGAGAAGCAAGUAGCUUCACAAAUAUUGGAACAGCACCAUGGUCAAUCACCACAUUAGUGUUCAUCGAAGUUCCAGAAGCAAUGUUUGUAAGAGCCCAGGCAGCCUCAUAUUGAAGUUGCGGAUAAUCUUCCCUCAUAAGGAACUCAACAAAGCGCGGGACAACGCCAGCUUGUAUGACAUCCUCAAUUCGUGGACUCCUCUCAAUCGAAAGUAGUAUUCGGAACUGAGUAGUUGCUUCCAGCUGCAAGCUAUUGUCAUCUGACCAAACCCCAGCAACCAUCGCGGGCAAAAUUUCCAACUUAGUCUGAAGAUUAAGACUGGGGCGAGGAGCAGAAGGAAGAAACCGCUGGGAUUGGAGAUCGUCUCGUCGCUUCUUGAUGAAGCUUUCCCUUUUAAGAUUUACCUGUUGUAUGGUUUUAUUAAGGUCGUCCUCCCAUGCCCAACGUUCUCUAUCCCAAGUCUUCAGCUGCACUUUGUGUAACAUGGGUGCGCUUAAUUCUCCUCUUGAGAAAAUCAUCAUAUUGUGACAAUCAUCCACCACUAAUAUUUCCAAAUAUGGGAAUUUGAUGGCACAACUGCCAGAGCAAAAGCUUGUCAGACUUUUCAAAUAAGAAAGCGUCAACUUCUUCAAUUCGUUGAAAACAAUAAUCUCAUCUUUUGCUGCAUCAUCAUCAUCUGCCACAAUUUCUGUUAUCAUAUUGCAUCCACUUAUUUUCAUUUCUCUGAGUCUCACCAGAGUCUUUGCUGCUGAGGAUGUUAAUACAUUUUUCAAUUCUUUGCAAUACGAUACCACCAAAGUUGUUAGAUUUUGAAAGGAUGACGAAGAUGGCACAAGAUUAAUCAAAUGGCUGCACUCGGAUAUCUUCAGCUGUUCCAAAUUGUCCGCAAUGGGGGACUCUUGUUUCAAGAAGUGCUUCAAAUCAUAACACUUGUUUACUUCUCUUACGAUUACCGUCAUCCCAUUUUCAACCGUUUCUUUUGCCUCCCAACCAUAACUUCCUCCUCCUAUACAGAGAACUUUGAUGGUGUGAAAUCUCCGAAGGAAAUCAUCAAGUGAGAAAAUAGUAGUCGACUCAUCACCAAACUCAGCUUCAAGACAUUUAAGUUUGCAAAGCAAGUCCUCUGGAAACAGACUAUUAUUUGUUGCUAUGUGCUUCGCAUCAGCUCUCAAUUCUUCCAAAUUGGGGAAUAACUGGGUGAUCAAUCAUAACCCAAAAAUAAAAAAAUAAAAUGCAUGGAUUAUUUGAUAUAUUUAUAUCAAAGAAAUUUAACAAAAUAGAAGAGAAUGAAUUUGAACUUAAUUAUCACUAGCUAAUACAAAAUAUUUAUCCAAUAAAUUUUAACCUUUUAGAAAAUAAUAACUUUUUAUUCGUAAAAAAUUAACCAAGUCGUGAAGGCAAUGGAAAUAUAACUUUAAGCUCUACAAGAAUUGAAAAAUUGAUUAUAUAAUUCCUUUAUGUACCUUUUCUGCCAAGUCACUAGUAGUUCUUUUAUGGCUCACCAUGAAUUCAGGACAUCUAGAUAUCCAUAACUUUCUCAAGGAUGGAAAUGUAAUAAUAUGUACAUCUCUUGUGCAGAAGCGUGUGAGUUUUUCAAGAUCAUGCAGCUUUAAAUAUUGUAAUUGAGGAAACAUUACAAUAUUAUUAUUCCAUUUUUCUUGGUCCACGAUUAUUAUCUCUUCCAAGACAGGGCAACCCCAUAUCUCAAGGUGCUGCAGUCGAACAAAGAUGCUAUUGCUAAGGAUAGAAGAUGAAAAUAGACAUCUUAAAUUCCUACACUUGUAUAGGGUCAAGUGUAUUAAGUUCUGAACACCACAAGAUAGGGCUGAAACUUGGUUUUGACAAAUCCUCUCAACAUUUAUUGAACGCAACUCCAACUUCUCCAACUUUGGUAACGCAACCUACUCGAUCAAAAUAAUUUCUUGUUAACUACAAGUAAUAAUCAUUUCUGCAGAUGGACAAAUCAAUAAACUUAUUAAUCUCUUUCUCAUGUUAUAGUUCUCUUGAGUCUUUCAUACAAACAAGCACUAAUCAAGUUUUCAAAUUAUUCGUUGCUAAUUUACAUAUAUUCUAAGGACACAUAUUAAAGAAAAUAACAAGCUAUAGAUGUGAAUCAAUAAUCAUUAGUCAAUAAAUUUUUCUAUUUAGUUAUUACAACAUACUUAGUAAUUUCUAGCAGAUGUUUUAUUAUUAUCACUAAUUCAAUUCGUGUGUCUACAGUACCUUUUCUUUCCUCUGAGAACGUAUUUGCUACACGCUACAACACUUGUGGGAUGAAAAAUUUUGAAUAAUAUAUAAUUAUUAAUUACUCUUGCAUAUUUUCUAACAAACGAGAAUAACAAAGAACAAAAAUACAAAAAUCAUAGAGAAUUAAUAAGACUAUUGGGUUAAUAAUAACCUACCUUCUCAAUGAAAAGUGAUUUAGCAAUACUGAUAUCGUCCUCUAAAAUGAUUUCGGUCGACGGAAUAUCAUAUGACGACUUCUCUGGUCUCUGUUGACAUUGAAGCCAUCUUGAGUUUAGCUUAUAAACUUAAUUAUGAGCGAUCUUAAUGCAUAUUGACAUAAGAUAUUCAAAAAUUAGUACAAUUUAGUUUAGCACCAGAUCCAAAUCUGAUAUGUUAGAUUUGAUAAUCAAUAAAUUUUUUAAUAAAAAAUUUAAUUGAGUUAAUUUGACCAAAAUAUGAACAAUUAAACUUGUGCAUUAAGUAAAUAGUGAAUAUUCUCUAAAUAUGAUCAUUAUAAGAGUGCCGAAAAUAUAGGAAGAUUAAUUUCACUUUUUUUUUAUAUGAAUAUUGCGAAUUUUAUUGAAAGUAAAGGGAAGAAGAAUAAUAUUACGAAGCAUAAUGCUCAACAUUAAAGAUUAAUGUUAUGUUAGUUGUUACGGUGGUGUGACAGCGAAGCUAAAAGAUUAAAAUAUUAAUUAAAUUGCAAACAUUAAAGAUUUCUCCUAAAUUGAUUAUAUAAAUAUGAUACCUGAGGAAUUUUCGAAGUUAACUUUGAUACUGUAGAAAUUUCUAGUUUUAUUCUAACGUAUAAAUUAACAGAAUGAUUUUCAUAAUAACUAUAAUUUGCAAAAUUUAGGAAGUUUCAAUAACCUUCUUACAUAUAUGUCUAAUUUAUUUCAACAAAAUUUCGUAAUUUCAUAAAUUAAGGAUAACUUUUUUUUUCUUUUCAACGUCCCAAUCAAAUGCUUAUUGAUAAAAUGAUUUAUGACAUUUCUUAAACUUAGAUCGAUGAGAAUAAACAUUACGAUUCAAAGUAGUACAUGCCUGUAUUUUCUUCCUAACAAUUUCAGAUAGUUUUGAUAAAAGAAUAGUUUGCUAGUAAUUUUAGGCUAAGGAUUAAUCUUGAUUAGUGGAGUUAAAAAUGAUGGACAUUAAUUUUAUAAGUUUUAUAAAUAUGCAGGUGUUACGACAUUUGUAUACGAUUUAAGGUUCGGAAAUUCAUUGACAAAAUUCUGGACAUCUUGCUCUUGCAGUCCCUCUAAUCCAAGGUGUUCAAUUCCCUGCAGCUGCACGAUCAGCACAUCCUUCAAGCAAACCUUGGUAUUCAGCUCGAUUCUGAAAUCUCUACUGUAAAUGUUGUACUUCCAAUUCCAGAAAUAUCCGAUAAGUAUUCUGUACCUUUCCAGCUUCUCGAAGAACAAGCCUCUCGGGAGAUUGUUGACAUCUUUGAUGUGUAAAUCCAAAGAGGUCAAAUUAUGCAAAUGCUUCAACUCCUGAAGGCUGGCGUUCUUGACCCCACCCACCUCCACCUCCCAUUUAUAAAAGCUUCUAUCGCCCAUAGACAGUUCUUCCAAAUGGGAUAAAUUUGACAAAAUAUUUGGUGGAAUAACUUCUAGUUUCCAACAAUCUCUCAAAUCAAGCAACUUUAGCCAAGUCAAUUGACCUACUUCUACUGGCAAGUGGCUAAAACCACAACCUCUUAAGCAAAGGAUUUCUAGUUUCUUCAAGUCUCCUACAACACUUAAACCCAGCAACUUACAGUUACACAAACUCAGUGUUCGAAGGUUUGAGAGGAGACCAAGUGAUGAAGGCAGUGGCAGUAGAUUCAUGUAAGUCAAGUUUACAACUCUGACCUGUAUCAUCCUCUCGAAAAAGUUGUUUGGAAUUGUUAAUGAUGACGAUUCCUGAUGAUCAGCACGUACAGAAAAAAGUUUUAGCUGAGGAUAUUCCAGUUGUACUCCAUUAGGAAGCACAUUAGUCUUGAUGUCACGUAAGACGAUUGAAGUGUAAAGUUUUACUGCACUUUCGUCUGACCAUUCCUUGCAACCGUCAAACAGCUCACCUGUCGCCGUAAACACAUUUUUUUCUGCAGAUGCAAUUGAUAUCGCAACAUCGCGAAUAACAUCGUGCAUAGAAAGGCCUUCAUCUAGCAACAUACAGGAAGCUUUAAGUUCGUAGACCAACGUACUUACUCGAUCUCGUGCUUCUUCCAACUUACUGAUACCUUGAAAUAAACCCAAUCCCACACCGUAUCUUAACAAUUCAUCAAUGGAUUCCACAUAAGCAUAUCCUAUUAGCAAAAAGAGGUUCUUGAGCUCCUCCCCUUCUAAUUUGUUGUAGCUCAACUCUAUAGCUUUAUAUGCUGGUUGUAUAUGUUUGAAGUUCGUUGAGGAUGGCCUCCUUAGUUGUUUCAACGCAUCCCUCCAUUUAAAUAUACUCGCGCUCCUUAACGCCCUUGCUACCGCCACAAUGGAAACAGGCAAACCUGCACAUUCCUUCGCCACAUCCCUUGCAACGCAUUUCAAUUCACUACCUUCAACAUAAUCGCCUGCCAUCUUCUUGAAUAGACUCCACGCUUCUUCUUCUGCUAAAGCACCAACUACGAAAUUUUGUUGAGAUUCCAUCUUCCAUGACAACACCUCUAGACUUCUUGCCGUCAACAGCACUUUACAUCCCUUGUCACCAUCUCCGUGGGGAAUUCCCACCACCUGCAAAUCAAGAUAUUCCCAAAUAUUAUCUAAGAUGACAAGGAUCCUCUUCUCUUUCUUCAGUCGGCUAAAAAGACGUCUUGCCCUUCCCGAUUCGCUCUCCUCACGAAUUGUUAGACCUAAUUUAUCUGCCAUUUCUCCUUGAAUCUUUCUUAUGUCUGGGCUCUGGGACACCUCGGAAAAAACCACAAGAUCAAAGAGCUUGUCAUUUUUGGCUUUUCUUGCAACUUGUUUCGCCAGCAUCGUCUUUCCAAUGCCGCCCAUUCCCCAAAUCCCGAGCAUGUUGAUAUCGGGAUUUCUCAAUGCACCGAGAAUAUCAUUGAGAGUGGACAUUCUUGAUUCAAAGUCCUCGUAGCCUUUGUUGGACAUAAGCAAUGUAUCCUCAGGAAUGAUACUGUGGGAAAUUCUUUCAAAUCUCCCAUCUUCCCGGAGCUUGACUAUAGCGUCCAGCUGCCUCACUGCUUCCUUGCUAAGUCUACUGCGCAUCUUCAAAUUAGGACAAUAACCCUUGAAACUAUGCUUAUUUUCUGUAGCUUCAUCACCUACAAAUUUCUUUGCCUCAACAAUGGCCUUGUUUGCGCUUGCAAGCCAAUUCUGAACGUUCUGUUCAAUCUCUUCACCUUUUCUUUCUGCAUCAUUAACCGCGUUCUCCAUACUCACGAUAUCACCCUCCAGCUUCUCAACUUGAUUAUUGAGAUUCUUAAAGUUUCUAGUGUAGUCGCGCACAUAACCAAAUUGGCGUUCUAUGGAAGGAGCCAAGCACUUUGCAACUUCUAUAACAACAGAAACUAUGAUUUCCACCAUCUUUAAUCCUUUUCGCUCACUCUUUUUUUUUUUUAAAAAAAAAAAGAAAUUGGGAAACAGAACAGAGACAAGAACUGAGGCACAGAACAAUUGAUUAGUUAGGAAGCAAACUGACACUGAGAGAUUAAACGCAAGUGAAGUGACUACAGCAAUAUGGGGCGGAGUAAAAAUGGAAAAAAAACGAGAGUGGAUACAGAACAGAACAAAUAUAGGGAGCAGCGCAAUUCUAAAUAACAAGACUGGAGAUCAAAGAGUGCCAAGUGUCGUUGAGAUCAUAAGAUCAAAAAUCAAUAGAGUUUAUGGCGAAAAGUGAGAGAAAACAGAAGCACAAAACUUAAGAAAAAAUAAGACAAACAAUUUUAGCAAGUUUAUCAAUUUAGUUAUUUAAUUCAUGUAAUAAAAUAUUAAAAUCUACAAGGGAGCAUUAAUUCAGCCAUGUUAAAUUUAAAAAACGAAAGUUAAUAUUCGUAAAUAUGAUUUGAUUAAAGUUGUUGUGUGAAUAUACAUAUAAUAAUUGUUGGUAAAGUUUCGUAAAUAUGAAUCCUUUAAAUGUCCAUCUCUUCCCUCUGAGGAAACGUUAAUAUGGGAGAUGAAGCUAUACUACGAUAAACAGUGUUUGAGCAUUUUCACCAAAUACUUGAUAAGUUUAUCAACUUAUUUAUUUAUUUCAUUUCCUAAAUAUGAAAAGCUACAAAGGGAGAAUAAUGGUUUGCUAAAAGUUCAAGGAAUGACAUUCAUUUCCGAUCAUUGAAGAAAAUCCAUGAAUGCUGAUUCCAUCACGUGGAAUUUAAUGUUAAUUAAAGAUAAAUUUGAGAAAUGCAAAUCUUUUAAAUGUCCGUUUCUUCACUCUGAGGAAAAGUUAUCUUGGAAGAUGAAGCAUGGCUAAUAUGCUAUAACAGUGUUGUAUNNNNNNNNNNNNNNNNNNNNNNNNNNNNNNNNNNNNNNNNNNNNNNNNNNNNNNNNNNNNNNNNNNNNNNNNNNNNNNNNNNNNNNNNNNNNNNNNNNNNNNNNNNNNNNNNNNNNNNNNNNNNNNNNNNNNNNNNNNNNNNNNNNNNNNNNNNNNNNNNNNNNNNNNNNNNNNNNNNNNNNNNNNNNNNNNNNNNNNNNNNNNNNNNNNNNNNNNNNNNNNNNNNNNNNNNNNNNNNNNNNNNNNNNNNNNNNNNNNNNNNNNNNNNNNNNNNNNNNNNNNNNNNNNNNNNNNNNNNNNNNNNNNNNNNNNNNNNNNNNNUAUGCAUUCCAAGGUAUAAACAUAUAAGGGCCGUCUUGGGGGAUAUUUUUCUUUGGAGGUUAAAAAAUGAUUUUGAAAAGUUAAAAAUUAAUUUUUGUGUUUGAUAAAUUUUUUUAGAAAUCACUUUUGGAAAACUUACCUUAUUUUAUAGCAAAUUUUGAAAAGUAAGGAGUAGUCUUUCAACAUCUAAUUUUGAGAAUAAAUUUUAGGGUGGGGCUAUUUGAACCCACUAAUUUACUCAAUAAACCCACUUUUAAAAAUAAUUUUUUUAUCAUUAAAAUACCCCUAAAUUAAAUUACAGUUAUGGACACUAGAAUAUAAUUAAAAAAAAAACAGAAUUUUUACUCUUUAAACCCAUCUUUAUAUUCAACAUAGUUUUAUAGAACCCUAAUCAAAUUUUCAUUAAACCCUAAUCAAUCAAGAGGUGUGAUUCUUCUCUCAAACCAUAUAUUUUGUUAAAUAGUCACAUGUGAUUUGAUUCAGAGUAACAAAAUUAGUUGUUAUUGAUUUGAUGGAUAUUGAUUUUAUGGAGGAACAAAAUAAUAUUGACAAUCAUGAACAGAUAUGAAUUUUUUUUUAUAUUUGAUUUUUGUUUUUUUUUCCUUUUCCAUUCGAAAUUGACAGACAAUGUUGAUAAAUUUUCCCUUUUUUGGAUCAUGAACAAAGUUGACUGUUCUUUGACUUUUCGUCUUAUUGCAUAAAUUUUCCCCUCACUCAAAAUUGUUUAAUUAAUAUUGAUGAUUAAAUUUUCAAUUAAUAAUCAAUUAUUGUUUUUUCCCAAAUUCUGAAAAAAUUAUUUUUUCUCAAAUUCCUCAUAUUAGAUUUUCAUACCAUCAUACAAGAUUUUUCUCACCACUAUAAUAUAACUCAAAAAAAUAAUUUCAUGAUGACAACUAUUUUCUCCAUUUAUAAUGUUUUGAUUCUUUUGUCCUUGAACGAUGGCCAUUCACUCAAAAUUGAUUAUUAAAUUUCCAAUUAAUAAUUAAUUUCUAAUCUAAUGGGUUUAUAAAUAAAUAUUAUGGGUUUAAUGAGUAAAAUUACUAUUAUUAUAAAAACUGGGUUUAGAAAGGGUAUAUUAGGUAUUUUAGUAGGUUUACUGAGUAAAAUUUAAAAUUUUAAAAUUUAAAAGUGGGUUUAUUUAGUAAACAGGUUUAUUGAGUAAAUUGGUGGGUUCAAAUAGCCCCACCCUAAAUUUUAUACUCAAUAUAAUUUCAUACCAUAUAUAUCCUUACAUAAGAAAUAAAAUUAUUAACUUUAAAGAGAUUAUUAUUAUUAACAAUUAUAUUGAGAUAAAAAUAAAUUAAAAUUAAUAAUAUAAAAUAUUUAUUUUAACUAUCAAUUAUUAUAUAUACACACACUAAAAAAAAGUAUACACAUUUUUAUAAAUAUAUAAAUAAAUUUUAUUUAACAUUAUAUCCAAUUCAAUCAUUUACAUUCUUAUAGUAGUUUAAGAGUAACAUUUAUCGAACACAUAUGAUUACUUUUUAAAACUCGUAGCACCUUUAAAAUAAAUUUUAUUAAAUGUUUAAUUAAUUUUCUUUAUAGUUGAUUAUUUCUGUAGUUAUUAUUUUAAAAGAUAUAGCAUUACCAAACUAAAAUGGUUUAUUUAUAAAUUGAGUUGGACUAUUGGCACCCCUCCAAAAUCCUUUUAAAACCCCUCUUCUGUUACAAUUACGUUUAAGAACAAAUACUUUAAUAUAUCUCACAUCUAUUUUAUCUCACUUUAAACUUUUGUAUUUUCUCUCUUAGAAAAAAAAACUCUUGUAUUUUCUCUGCUAUCAAACUCACGCAUGUCAUUUUUUUUUCUCAAAUUCUCUAUAAAUAUUUCUUCAAUUACUAAGACAAUCUAUUGAUAAUAAACAAAAUACAUUCUGACAAAAUUAUCUGCUUUUUUUUAAGGCUCAUAAUAAAUUUUUUUACAUCAUAAUUUUACAGAUAUUUUAUUUAAUUAAUUGAUUUUUAUCAAGAAGUUUAUCACCCCUAAAAGUUUGUUUGUGAGGAGUGAGAAAAUAAUAGAAAAUUAAAAUAUUCACAAAUUAAAUGUGUUUAUUUAGAAAUAAGGGUAUUUUUGGCAUUAAGCUUAGCAUUAUUGAAAAAGGGGUUUAGAAGAAUUUUGGAUGGGUGCCAAUAGUCCAACUCUUAUAAAUUAAAUAUAAAGAUUAAUAACUGGACCUAGACUCAGCUCGGUCCGGGUCUAAAAAUUUCAAGCCUGGGUCCAUCACUCCCACCAACUGCUGGACUGGACGUUCCACUCAUAUGCUGUUGAUAUAUAUAUAGUUUAGCUUUUGGCACCCUUAGGAAAAUUCUUACGACACCUCUUUUGUAUUUUAUUUCUUAAAAUAUCUUAGUUUUAAUUUAGAAAGUAUAAAUCCCGAUAAAAAAAAAAAACCAUAUUCCCACAAAAUGUCAUCCUAGAAAAAGUCUCUUUGAAGUUUUAAUUAUAAAAUACAUAUAAAUCCUAAAUUUUUUUAAUUAUUUUCUUUUUAUUAUUUUACUUAUAUCUCCAUAAUUCAAAACACUUUUAAUUUUUUAAAAAAAUCAAAUUAAAAUUUAAAAUAUAAAUAUAAAUUAUGAAAUGGGGUGCGUGUAAAAAUUUUGUUAAAAGAAUAUUUUAUUUAGGUGUUUAAUUGAAUUUUCAGUCAAAAUAAAAAUAAAUUAAUUUGUCUUUGGUUAUAUAGGUAAUUUCAAUAACAAAGGGGUUUCAUGAGGAAUUUUGAGAAAGACAUACUCGUACGUCAUACAUGUGUGUGUGUGUGUGUGUUGGGGGGGGGGGGGGGGGGGCCAAUUUUGUUUUUUUGGGGGGGGGGGGGGGGUUUUCCCAAAGGGGAACCCCAACUUUUUUAAAUUUGGGAACAAAAAAAAAAAAAAAAAAAAAAACCCCAUUUUCAAAAACCACAAGAAAAAAAAAAAGGGGUUNNNNNNNNNNNNNNNNNNNNNNNNNNNNNNNNNNNNNNNNNNNNNNNNNNNNNNNNNNNNNNNNNNNNNNNNNNNNNNNNNNNNNNNNNNNNNNNNNNNNUUUUUGUGUGUGUGGAGUGGGUUUAUCCAAUAGGGGAUCCCUAACUUUAUUAAAUUUAGGAACAAGAUAAAAAUAAAAUAAAAAAACACCAAUUUCAAUACACUACAUGAAAAAAUAUAGUGUAUUGGAGUUUAUAUUUUAUAUUUUAUUUUUUAGUUUAUUCCUGACUUUAAUAUAUCCCUUAUAAAACCCCUCUCUUGAAGUACCCUACCCCUCUCUUGAAGUACCCUAUAAAAAUAUUAAAAAUUAUAAUAAAUCUAAUAGCACAACAACAAUUCCAAAACUACCCUCCACAUAUAUUCCUCUACUUUUUCUUUUCUUUCUAAUAAAUUCACGAGGGCUAGGAUCAGUACCUCCACCUCUUACUUGCUGUCAAGAUUAGUUUAAUUAGAACAAAAAACACAUAUCUAGAAAAUUUUAAUUUUUCAUUCAAGUUAAAUUUUUAAACUUUAUAUAGGUUUUUAUCAAGAUUUUUGAGGGGUGUGAAAAGCUUCACUCGUGUAUAACCAAUAGAGCACAAUGUGUUUUCUCAUAUAUUUUGUAAUUCUACUAAUUGGCUUAAAUUGAAUUGUAAAAAAUAAUGCCACUAGAAGAAAACAGACAAUAGAUGAUAGACAAUUUGUGACAGAUUCUGGACAAAAUAACUUAAAUCAUAGCACUAUGAAGGAUUUGUAAUAGAAAUUUCAAUCUAUCACAGAUCAAUGAUAGUUUUCUAAUAGAAAUAUUUUUUAUUAUGAAUAUAUGAUGGUUUUGUGAUAGAAUUAUUGUUUAUCACGAAUUUAUGAUAGAAUUGUGAUGAAAAUUUGAUCUACCAAGAAAUUGUGAUAGAAUAAUGAUUUUGACCACGUUUGACUCAAAUUUGAUGUAUUAUUUUAUUUAAGAAAACAAAAGGUACAUUUUAAUAAUUGAAAAAAAAAGAAAGAAAACGCUAGCCAAAUGCUACCGUUUUGGUACUUAACAGUUAACACUCCUUUUCUUUUUCUUCUCUAAGUGUUAAACACUCACACACUUGGAAAUCAAAAUCCAUGAAAGCUACAUUUGUAGCUCGUUUCUCCUUGCGAGAAUUCUUAAUCCCCAAGUUCGCUGGUUAAUCAUUUUCUUUAUUGCUUUAACUUUUGUUUUAGAAAACUUGUUUGAUGUGAAUGGCCUUGGUCUAGUUGAAAUAAAGAAUUAAAUCCACAAAGAUUGUGAAUCUUGUAUCUUUCAUAGUUUUUUUUCUUUAAUUAGCUUGAACUAGAAAGAACUAAAUUGUUUUAUGUAUGUUUGAGUUUUGUUGAUGCUUUUUUUCCUCUAGGCAACUCGAUAAUUCUGAAAUUGAAAUGUUGAAGGGAUUAUUAGUAAAUAUUGUUGAGAAUUUAGAAUCUAGUGUUGUGUGGUUUUUUAUGACGUUUGACCAAAGUGGGAUAAAUGCUCUUGCUACACAUUUGGUCCUCCGAUUAUGAAGUGCGUCAUUUUACAUAACGUAGUGCCAUUAAUGAUUUUGUUCAAGGCGGCCGUAUUGGAUUAUUUUAGAAAUUUAUUAUUAGGUAUUUGAAUAAAUGGUUAGAUAUCUAUCUUUUGUUUGAACUCUGUGAAUUUUUAUUUCAUGUCUUAUUAUAUUUUCUUGAUGUUUUCAUGGGUUUCAUUAAGUUAUAAUCUUUCUAAUGCUUCGCUUUUUUCUAUUUUAGAACUAGUUUUGAGAUGGAUACCCCUAUUGCAAACGACAGAAUUUGAUUGCUGCUACAAAUACUUCAUUUGUGAAAAUGGUUUUCUAAUUUUUAUGUGUUGGCUUGCGGUAAAAUUGCUGAUUUAAAAUAUAGCGAAGACAAAGUUCUUAUGAGAAUUGAAUCGAUGAUAACAUAUAUUGGCAUUAUAGUAGCAUGUGAUGAGCUUUUUUUCUCCUUUCCUUAAAUUAGGCAAUUGAACUGUCAAUUUUGCUUUCUUUUAGCUUCUAUAUUCUCUUUUUCUUUGGAGGUACAAUGGAUGUUUUCAUUUGGAUAGUUCAGCUUAUAAAAAAAAAUAGGUAUGCAUGUUUGUUCAUAGUUACAGUAGUUACUGCUCUAAUUCUUUUCUUGGGCAGGAAUAAGAUGCAGAGUUAUGGGACUCGGAGUUAAGAGACUAGUAUUCUUGAGGCCAACAAUUGCAGGCUAUUUAAGAUAAGUUGUGAAAUUUUGGAUUGUUGUAGUUUGAAUACUUCAAUGGUGUGGAUUGUAUGGUUAAAUGGAUAUCCAGGUUGUAUUAAUUGGGGUUUUUAAUUUUUUGUAUCAUAUUUAAUAUUUAUUUUAGAUUUAUAAAUUUAUUCUAGAAACAAAUUUAUAGAAUUUGAGAAUUCUAAUAGCAGCAGGAUCAACGACGACGACGAUGUUAAUAUUAAUUCAAUACAAAUAAUGAUAACAAUGUAAUUCAAAAUAAUAAUGCUUUUAAUUAAUUUUAAUAUUGAAAUAAUAUCAAUUUUCAGCCAAAAAUUUCAAAAAAAAUCCAAUAAUUUAAAUAAUUUUAAUUUCCCAUUAAAAGAUUGAGUAACAUAUAUAUGACUGUGAAAAACUGUCAUGAAUUCAUGAUGGAAAAUAUUCUAUCAUAAAUUAAUGAUACUGAUAUAGAUGACGGAUAAAUUAUCUGCAAUGCACUCUCUUUUAUGACAGUUAUUUACUAUCAUCUAUUGUUUAUUUUCUUGUAGUGUGCUUUUGUAAGUAACAUCAUUUAUUAUAAAUCAGUCCACGAUCUUGUUUUUAAAGUCCAAAAAAGACAUUAUGUCAUAUGGUGUAAUUAUGUGGCGUAAUAGUUUUCCCAAACUUUAAGAAAGUUUAGAAUCCUAGAUCAGACGAGUACACUCCAUCAUAUAUACUCCAAUAAAUUCUUAGCAACACAUCUUUUUUAUUUCGAGUCUAUAUCGAAAGGAUUUUAUUUAAUUAAAUGCAAACUAAUAUAAAAUCUAAUAAUUUUUUUUUAGUUUCUAGUUCAUGCUUAUAAUAAUGUUCGAAAUUAAUAGAUGAAAGAAAAAUAUUAGUUUUUUUUAAUUUAAUUCAUAUAUUCUAAAUCAUAAUUUAUAUAAAACAAUCGCUGGAAAGAAAUGAAACUUUUUUUAAAAAAUAUAUGUAAUGGGUAUCAUUUGAAAAAAAAAAAAAUUGCAUGACAAAAGGCACGCGCACACAAGCAUGACAAUUGAUUCACACAUGCAUAUUUAAUUAAUUAACUAAAACAUGGUACUUGAAAAGUCUUUGCGGGUGCCUACAAAUUGAUAUUUGGACUGUUCCACCAUUCAACCUGAAAUCAUCAAGUGAAAGAAACAAGAUCAUGCGUGUUGUUAGAUUUUGAAAGGAUAGCGAAGAUGGCACUAGAUUAAUCAAAUUGUGACACCUCCUUACAUAAGAAUAACCAAAUUGUUCAUAUUAGAGGACUCUUGUUCCAAAAUGUGCUUCAGAUCACAUAACUUAUUUGCUUUUCUUAUGAUAACCUCCAUCCCAUUUUCAACCUUUUCUUUCGACAGCCAUUCAUCAUAUCCUUCUAUUUGGAGAACUUUCAUGGUAGGAAAUCUCUUGAGGAAAUCAUCAAGUGAUAAAAUAGGAGUCCACUCAUCAGCAAACUCCACAUUAGGACAUUUUAAGUUUACAUAGCUAGUCUUCCGAAAAUAGACAUUUAUUUGAUCAAUCAGAACAAAAAAAAAAAUUGCAAAAUGGAUUAGUUGAUGUUCUUUCUAACAAUUUCACAAAAUUAGUAUUGUAAUUUUUAGAGAGAAUUUAACAAAAAAGAAAAGAAUUAGAAGCUACGGCUAGCUAAAACAAUAUAUUUAUAAAAAAAAAAACUACCUUUUUAGAAAAUAAUAACAAUACACCUUGUUUGAGGGAAAUACUUCGACGAGACCAGACGUGAUGAGCAGAUAUUGGGUAGUAGAGUUCUGCGAAUAGGUGUGUUCUGUAAGAGCCUGGUAGCAGAGGAGCAGCAGCAGGAAUAUUCUGCUCGUCCACGAAUAUGCCAUUCAUGAGGAUGAACUCCCGUUAGAGGCAUAAGGCCAUUCCUGCUAGGAGGCGAGGCGAGGAGACCCGGUCAACGACAGUUGGCAAGACGUGCGUUCCUAUCCGAGAAUCAAGGCACGAAAUCCAUCUCCAUUCGCCCACAAUGACUACAAUGGGGCAUCCACAUCCGAGGGUGGGGAGAAUAAUGGGCGUGGACUACGGAAGACCGGGAUUCAGAGGAAACCUAUAAAAAGGUAGCCAGCGAAGGUAAAAGGGUUAGACUUUUUGCUAUUAGAACUGAGAAAAGAGAACUCUAAGAACUGAGAUAAAGAGAAGCCAUAAGAUUCGUGGCAAACAUUCCCAGAACCUUCAUUUCUGACUUGAGCGUAGGAGGGUUUGCGCCGGGAAAACAACCGGCGUACUCUGACCUGUCUGUGUACGUAGGAACCUCGGGAGAAGAAGCUUUACGAGGAGAGAUCCUGGUCGUGGUGAAGUUGAUCGAGCAGAGACCCUGGUCGUAGAAAGAGGACAACCAGAAUCUCGCAUCAACAUUUUGGCGCCGUUUGUGGGGAACUGAGCAAAAAGCUUCUGUCGAUAGCAAGAAGAGGAGUGAAGCAAGAAAAGCAAUGGAGACAGGAGGAAGUAGUGCACAAGGAGGUGAUAGGAGGCUUAGCGAUUCCGUGACGCUGAGGGAGAUAGCCAGUGAAGCACGGGAAAAAGCCAUGUUCGACCGGAUGGAACGGAUGGAAAAGCAGAUGGAGACCCUGACAACCAUCCUACAUGAGCUGCGGAGAGAACGAAGGGUAACCCAGGAGGAAAGGGUGAGAGGUGGUGGAGUGGCACCAGGUCCCGAUAGUACGAGGAGAAGUCAAAUCACCGGGAGAUUUGGUGGUGAGGGAGGUAACAUACCUCUGCGGGGAGAAUUUCAUAGAGAGGAAGAGCAAUCCCCGGCAAGACAGAUUUUUGGCGAGGACGACGGGGUGGCGAAUGCGGAGGAAACAGAGUUGAGGCAGCACUUGCAUGACGUAGAGCAAGAACGGGAUCAAGUUGCAGCACGUGACCCUGGUCGUGCAGUGCAGCUGGAGGAGGAAGUGCGCAGACUAGCGCAGAUAAUUGACGACAUGCAAGGAAGGAGCAGAGCUCCUGGUUGGAGGAUAAUGCUGGACGGAGAAUCACCGCUCGCAGCAGAGAUCAUGAGGGCAGUUAUUCCGAGAGAUUUCCGCCUCCCAGACCUUAGAUAUUCGGGACGAACUGAUCCGCUGGUGCACAUAGAGCGCUUCAACGACAUAACUGGGGUACAAGGAUUAUCUCAAUCCCAAAGGUGCAGGGUGUUCCCACUAUCCCUUGAGGGACGUGCACGAGAGUGGUAUAGGAAACUUCCUCGGGGGAGCAUUAAAACCUUCGAGCAGAUGUGCCAAGAGUUUGCAGAGCAAUUUCGUGGGGCAAUGGCACCAGAAGAUGACAUGAUGGAGUUGAAAAGCAUGAAGCAGGGGGAGCAAGAAACCCUUCGGGAGUUCAUCAAGAGGUUUCAUCGUGUUUUCCUCGAUUUGGGAGCCUUCAACCAUCCUCAGGCACUAAGGGGAUUGAAAGAGGGAGUGAAGAUAGGAAGGCUGUGGUACAACUUGAGAAGCCCAGCUAUUCAGACGUAUGCAGCCGCAUACGAGCAGGCUAAAAGAGACAUAGAGAUCGAGGAAGAAAAGGCAGCUCGGAUUAAGACAGACCAGCUGGAGGGGCUGGAAAAGAAAGAGAAGAGGGCAUUACCAGGAAACGGGCCGAUCAGGAGGAGGGACCACCAGGCCUCCGGUAGUGGAGCAGGAGGUCGGGUAACAGCUCACCAGCCUCAUCAGAGGCCACCACAGUAUCAGCGCAGCAGGGCGCAACCUUCUCGCUCCCCAGCUAGGGAACCUUGGAGAAGGCAUGACUCGGCAUAUGGUGGUCUUCAUCAACACUCCCACGGUAGUAGAGGGAGCAGACCAGAAGUGCUGCCAUUGCCUCCAACUCAGAACGGAGCAAAUAGAGAAAGGGCAGUGCACCUGAUCGAGCAGAACCAGGACUAUGGGCGGUAUACUUCCUUGAAGAUGCCCCUGGACGAGGUGUACGAGGCCAUAAAGGACCGAGGAUUGCUGUACCUCCCUGCCACAAUAACAAAGCUACCCAGCAGGAGGGAUAAGGGACGCUAUUGUAAGUUCCAAGGCACACAUGGCCAUACUACAACAGAAUGCAGGUCGAGGAUUUGGUGAGAAAUCGAUACCUGGACGAGUUUAUAGAUGGGACCUUCCCAAUGGUAGCCUCGACAAGCGAAGGGGAGCAGAGUGACAGGAACUUGAGGCGCGAGCAGCCUGCAGUAAGGGUGAUAGCUGGGGGCCCAACAUUGGCCGGAGAUUCCAACAGGUCGAGGAAGAAUUAUGCUAGAUACGCCAUGACCAGCAAAGAUGUAUUCUUCAACACCCCAGCAGCCAAACGUGCAAGAGUCAGGCAAGUGUCAAUCAUGUGGACAGAUGAGGAUGAAGAAGGGAUUCUAUACCCCCACGAGGAUGCGUUGGUCAUCAAGGCCACUGUUGCCAGCAAGAAGUUUGACAGGAUACUGGUUGACACAGGGAGAUCAGUUGAUGUGUUGUUUAAGUCAACCCUGGAGGAGAUGGGAAUAGCAGACCUGAGGUUGGAGCACACCAACACCUCCUUGAAGGGAUUUGGAGGAGGAAAGCUGGUCCCCUUGGGUGUGGUCGAGCUGCCUAUCACAAUCGGAAGCUCCCCGACAGAAAGGACUAUGAUACUGGAUUUUGUGGUGGUUGAUGAAGAGGGUCCUUACCAGAUAAUCCUAGGUCGGCCGUUUCUGAGGAUGAGCAAAGCAGUACUGUCCAACCAUUAUCUUACUCUCAAGUACCGGGUGAAUGGGGUAGUUGGAGUGGUACGAGGAGACCAGAGAAUCGCAGCGUGCCAGGAUCUGCUCAGCCACGAGAAGGCGAGCAGAAUCCCAAGCUUUGAAGAAAUUAUCUAAGGCAUGCAAAGGCUCACCAAGUCUCAAAGCCUGUUUAUGGCGAGACCAGAAGCCAAGCGUGCCAGGAUCUGCUCAGCCACGAGAAGGCGAGCAGAAUCCCAAGCAUUGAAGAAUCUUCUAAGGCAUGUGGCAAAACCAUAUACCAAGCCAGAGCCUGCUCGACCAGACGAAGACGAGCAGACUCUCAAGUGGAAAAAUAACUCGUAAUUACGACAUAAGAGAGUAAUAAAAAACAUUUCUAUUAAUUUGUUAAUAAUUAACAAAGCAGAUAAUCUUCACAAACAUUGUUCAUUACAAUACAAGAAACAUGUUUAAGAAGACGGUGGGUCCGCAAGCCGAGCAGCCUCAGUCGGCUGGUCCACCUCAGGUGCUGGGGGAGUAUCUCCAGUUGCGUCUGGGGGGGUACUCGCCUCAUCAGCAUCAGCAGGGAUUACACGGGGAGGAGAGUUUUCCUCCUCGAUCACCAUUGGCGCCACCUCUUCGGCAUCCUCCUUUGCAGCCUCCUCGUCCAUAUGUUGGGCGACACCAGCUGCAAGGUCGUCCAUCUUUAGAUCAGGAUGUUGCUUCCCGAGGACGGCCAUGAUGCAACGAUAAGAAUGCCGAAGUCCCUGGUCGUACUGGUUGUUGGCCUCCUUCUCCAAGUUCUCGACCUGUGCUCGGUGGGAAUCGCGGAGAGAUUCGAGCUGAGCCUCAUACAUAGCCUUCUGCCUUUGAAGAUCCUCCUUGACCUUGGUCAGCUCCUCCUCGAGGGUAAUGGCUUUUGCUCGAGCAAGAGAUUCUUGCUCUAUCAGCUUCAGGUUCUCGACAUUCAGCUCUCCUGCUUUCUUCUCGGCGCCGUCAGCUCUGGUCCUCGCCGACUGAAUGUCCUCCUUCAUCUUCCUGUCAUAACGGCCGACCUUGGCCUUAUAGUAGGUGGUCAUGCAGCUGAGAUGGAAAGCGCUAUACUGCAUGGCUCCCACCAGCUCGCCCAGGGUGCAGCCAUCAAAGUCCUCCAGGUCUUUCUUACUCACGAGUUUAGAUAACUCAUUAAGAUAGGGGACCAAGUGUUUUGCUCGGCUGUCAGGUAAGCGAGAUCGAGGCCUGACAGGAGGAGAAGAGAAAGCAGGAUCUGUGGCUGCUCCACUAGUUUCCCCGACUUUGGCAGGAGCAGGAGGUAAAGUCUUCAAGGGAGAGACCUGCUGCACGAUGUUGGCCCGCUUUGCAGUAGGGGCGUCCUUAUUCUGGUCCCUCUUCGUGGUUUGAGGUCGAGAACGUUUCCUGUUCAGAGCCCCAAUCACAGCAUCCUCCAUCUUAUGACCAGGGAGUAUCAAGCGAGACUCGAGCAAGUUGUAUGUAGUUAUCAGCUCCCGGCUCGAGCAGGAAUUGGCUAGCACAGCCUCGACCCGUUUGAGCUGGUCAGGUUUGAGCGAGAAAUGAACACCCCAAGAAACUACAACACAAACAGACACUUGGUUAGAGACAAACCAACAAAGCGAGAACAAUUACGAAUACAAGACAUCUAAAGCGAGCAGGCAACCUGGGACCGUGAAACGGGGUGGGACGCGAUAAUCAUUCCCGUCUAUUUGUGCAACUUGACCCCAAGGACCCCCAGCAAAAAAGAAUUUCCUCUUCCAAUUCCCACCACCACCAGUAGGGAGGUCGGUUAUGGGUUUCCUGGUCUUGGUACUAGAUUGAAAGUAGUACCAGCCGGCAUCUUUGGGGCUGCUCUUUAGUUGGUACAGGUGCUUCACCUCAUCAACUGUGGGCUCGCUUUGGCAACAUCUGUCCCACAAUAUGAACAGACCAGAAAGUACUCUCCAACCGUUUGGGUUCAGCUGACCAGGAGAUAGAUUCAGCCCAUUAAGUAUCCGGGCAAAGUAAGGUUGCACGGGACACCUCAGCCCAUACUUAAAGCUAUCCAGAUACAGGGUAACAUAUCCCCUAGGAGGCCGGCUAGGAGUAUCCUUCUUUCCUGGGACCUUAAGAGGGAUUUCACCAGGAAUAUUAUACCUAAGCCGGAGGUCAUUGAGCUCAUCAAACGUGGUUAUGCAUGUCAUGUAAUCAAUAGCGUAAUCCCGCGAUAGGGCUCUACCUCCUAUUGUACUCCGCCCUUCUGGUCGCGACGCUCCUGAUGGGGACACCUCGCCAGAAUCAUCUCCUCGGCCCUCACUCAGGGUGUUCUCCGAGCCAGAAGAUCCCUCUUCAUCACUAUUUCUGCUCGAGGAGGUUGUUUGGGGAGACAUCAUCCUAACGCUAGUGCCGACACUAGAUCUAGUGGGCUCUAAGGGGAUCCCGGGGUCAAAAGCAGGAUCAGUGAGCAGACUAGGCAGGAAGUCCAACUCAUCGUCGUCAACCUCAAUGACCUUCUCUUUACCUUUCGACAUUCCCUAAACUCUAACCACAACAACACCACCAACUACUACCCGAACAAAAGAGAACAGAAAUUAUCUACAACUAUCCGAGACCAAGGAGAUAGAAGAAAUACCUGAAGUAAUGGUUCAGUCGGUGAAAGACAGAAAUUGAGGCCUUUAUGCCGGAACUUCUUUGCCGGAGAGACAGAGACGGAGACGGAGGGAAUGAUGAAUUUGCUGUUUGAAAGGAUUUAGGUUUCCUAAUGGGGACGGACGCUUGGGUUUGCCAGCAUUUAACGACACCAAAUCCCAAGGGCCUCGUAACCGUUGGUUUGAAAUUCGAAUAGAGGGGCAGAUUUCUGCCACAUCACCUCGUCCGCAAUUAAAUGCGAUAUGACUCUUGGCAGCCUUUUCCAAUCCCAAGCGAGCAGGUACUGUCAAGUUUCUACUGCUGGUCCACUACAUUACCCGACACCAGAAAUUGGGGGACCGGUGUUUGAGGGAAAUACUUCGACGAGACCAGACGUGAUGAGCAGAUAUUGGGUAGUAGAGUUCUGCGAACAGAUGUGUUCUGUAAGAGCCUGGUAGCAGAGGAGCAGCAGCAGGAAUAUUCUGCUCAUCCACGAAUAUGCCAUUCAUGAGGAUGAACUCCCGUUAGAGGCAUAAGGCCAUUCCUGCUAGGAGGCGAGGCGAGGAGACCCGGUCAACGACAAUUGGCAAGACGUGCGUUCCUAUCCGAGAAUCAAGGCACGAAGUCCAUCUCCAUUCGCCCACAAUGACUACAAUGGGGCAUCCACAUCCGAGGGUGGGGAGAAUAAUGGGCGUGGACUACGGAAGACCGGGAUUCAGAGGAAGCCUAUAAAAAGGUAGCCAGCGAAGGUAAAAGGGUUAGACUUUUUGCUAUUAGAACUGAGAAAAGAGAACUCUAAGAACUGAGAUAAAGAGAAGCCAUAAGAUUCGUGGCAAACAUUCCCAGAACCUUCAUUUCUGACUUGAGCGUCGGAGGGUUUGCGCCGGGAAAACAACCGGCGUACUCUGACCUGUCUGUGUACGUAGGAACCUCGGGAGAAGAAGCUUUACGAGGAGAGAUCCUGGUCGUGGUGAAGUUGAUCGAGCAGAGACCCUGGUCGUAGAAAGAGGACAACCAGAAUCUCGCAUCAACACACCUAACAUGCAGAAAGUAUAUAUAUAAGAAUUGAAUAAUUAAUUAUAAAUUUCAUAUACGUACCUUUUCUGUCAAGUCAUCUCAAACAGAGGCCAAGUAUUGUUGAGAUCAGAGGAUUGAUAAUAACAAAAGAUUGUUGGCAAAAGCGGAACAACAAAACCGAAGCAAAGUGUGUCUCUGAUCAAAAGAUGGAAAUAAUAAGGAAAGGGUUUGUUGAUUUUUAGGAAUGAAUGCAAAGAGAAUGACCGAUACUAAAAAUUAUUUCAUUAAUGGAGGAGAGGUAGAAGAAUAAUGGACGUAAAUAAGGAAAGGAUUGUGCGGAUUGCAAUGACACUCCACAUCAAGAAAGGAUAAAAAAUUUGAAAGUGAGCCUUUUUAUUUUUUAAGUGCAUGCUACGCUGUAAAGCCAAAGUUCAAUUUAAUUUAGAAUUGAAGAAAAAGAAUGAAUAAAUGAAGAUAAAGGAUGAGAAGGUGAUAGCUUUAAUUAUGAUUAUUUGUUAGCCUAGGGAUGAUAGACCAAGUAUAAAUGUUAAAUUCAGAACAGAAUAUUUAUGAUGUCAGUUGGUACUUGGUACUAAAAUCCUGAAUACUUGAGUAGUUAAAAGCCAAAAUUAAAUAUUAAAAUAUACAAAGGAGAACAAUGGUUUGCUAAAGGUUUAAGGAGUGAGAUUCCUUUCCGCUCAUUGAAGAAAAUCCAGGAACAAUAAUGCUGAUUCAACCAUGUAUAAUUUAAUGUUAAUUAAAGUUAAAGCCAUCAUAUUCGUAAAUAUGCUUCGAUUAAAGCUGUUGUGUUGAAUAUACAUAUAAUAAUCAUUGCUCAAGUUUCCGAAAUGUGAAUCUUUAAAUGUCCAUUUCUUCACUCUGAGGAGAUGUUAACGUGGAAGAUGAAGCAAUGCUAUAACAAUGUUUAAUUUCUUGCGAGCAUUUCACCAAAUACUUGGUACGCAUAAAUGGUCAAUCAUACUUGUCAAAAAAAUUGAUGAACAUUCACUCCUACAGAAGCAAAUCAAUGUUUGUAAAAAUCAUAAUUAGCCAAAGAAAGUUCAUGUAUUUUUUUUUUCUUUUAAGAUUCAAGACAAUUCUUCAAAGAUGAAAUCAGUUUUUAUUGAUACGUUCAACAAAUUCGAAGGCAUUCGAACCUUUUGUGGCACGAAUUGCUAGUUUUCUACACAAUUAAUCAAAUCAACGACAAAGUACAAAAUAUGUUAUUGCAUUUGUUUUGUUAUAUAUGUGUGUUACAAAAAUAGAGAUAAUCGCUAUGCCAAUAAAAUAACAGUAAUGAUAUACUUACUACCAUUAAUAUUGCCGUUAGUAGUUUGUACACCAUUACUACUGGAUAAAAAGAAUUUUACUACAAAACAAAAGAAAAUUAAAUGAUAAGACAAAUUGUUUUUGGUCUCUUAUAGAUUUUGUACUAAUUAUUAUACUAAUUAUCAAUAUUCAUAAGAAAAUAAUGUACAACAAUGAAGGAACCAUACAGAGGUAAAAAUGUUUUUUUUUAAAUUUUUUUUAAUGAAAGUAAAGCAUUUGGCUAAGAUUUAUUUUGGUACUUGGAAGGAUAUACAAAGCAAAAGAGUAUAUGAUAAAGUGCAAAAAACCACACCCUUCAUGGUAAUAUAAUGAGUUGAAUUAUUUUUUAAAUCUAGUUAAAAAUUUAGCUUAAUUGUAAAUAAAGUGAAAAGAGCUAGAUUGAUUGUCAAUAUCAAAAUUUAAAAUUUAAUUUUGAUCACCCAUUUAACUAGAAGAGAUUAAGAGAGGAAAGAAAACUAAGAGAAGAUCUUUGUCCCAUGAAUAAACUCAAGAUGUAUCAAACAGAUACUUUUGGUGAAGUCAGGGGAGCUGCAAGACUGCUCUUUCCCGCCCCUUUGUAACGAACUUAACUGACCUUUGACUUGGUCAGAAUACGUGAUGCACGCAAUGCAAGCACGUGAGGACCCAAAUGAGGAAUUCCAAAAGUUGGACACCCCCAAACGCAGCGUUUUGGUUCUGGUCUUGAAUAUUGAUUCAUCAACAACAAAUUUCUUUCCAAUUUGGGGGGGGGGGGGGGGGGGGACACCAUAAACUAUACCUUUUCCAUUCAUUAUAUCAUAAGAAUACAAUGAUUAACAAUAUCAAAUUUAAGUGACAAUCAAUAAAAACUGAAGCUAAUAUAUACACAACACUGAAACAAUGAAAUUGUUAUAGUUUGACAAAAUAAAAAAUUAUACAAAUUAAACAAACUGAAAAAAGAAAAGAAAUUGUGGUGAGCGCGAAGCAACUGCACUUGGACAUUCAAGAGAAAGAUAGUUAUUUUCCUCCAGAAACAACUACAAUUACAUAAAAAGGGAACUUUUCAUCUCUUUCAAUUUCUUAUACACACAACUGAAGAGAGAUAUAGAAAAUUAAAGGAAAAAAAUGAGAAAAUUAAAGGAAAAAAAAUGAGAGAGAGACACAUAAUAGAUUUUGCAGGAGCACUAUUGUCCCUCAGUUGUGUAUAUAAGAAAUUGAAAGAGAGAAUCCCUUUCUGAAUGAAAAGUUCCCUUUAUAUAGUCAUUAUAGUGUCUUUGACGAAUAUCAGACCGACAUUUUAGACCUUUGGAAACUCAAGACAACAAAGGCUAAUUUAGCCAUUUUAAGAAAUUAUGAUUUCGUCCCCUUCAAUAUUAUCAAUGUAAAUUCCAUCCGUCGUUCCAUUACGGGAAGACCACGCAACCAGAGCAUUAUACCAAUUUUGUAUAUCCACGUCAAUCUUUAUAAUAAUAAUACUAAAAAGUUCCGAAGAGAAAAAGGGGGGAUAGGCGGCGGGUUCCUAUUGGGCCAGAAGUUACGGACUGUAGAAGCUAAGCCACAGAGCUCCCAUUGGAGAGUCGAUCACGGCCACCACCGAGCCCAGCGUGGAUUUACAAGAGCAGUUGGCCGCACUCGUGCUCGUCAAAAAGUGAUAAUAUUUCAGGGCUGAUGCUACAAGACCUGCAUGUAUCUGAUACAUGCAGGUUUUAUGCCAACGGCCAUAAAUGAAUUUAAACAAUAAAUAAUUAAAAAAAUAUAAAAAACUUGAAACCUAUAGAAUCGGUCUCAACACACACCAAACCCCCUCAACACACAUCAAACCCAGGCAUAUAUAUUUGUUGGAAAAAAAAGGAAGUCAAGUGUUAGGCAUCAUCCCAAGAGUCUUAAAACCAUUGGGCAGUUCGUCUGACUCAUCAACUGGAGAAGAGUUAGUCGUCUCAGGUAUGUAAGAAAGAAUAACUGAAAUGCUUAAUCAUGCUGAUGCUUUUAUUUUCCUUCCAGGAGAUCUUGCAACACUAGAGGCACUUAUGACACUAGCAUCUUGGGCCCAUCUACACAUUCACCAGAAACCCAUCGGUUUGUUAAAUGUCAAUAACUUUUAUGAUGGCUUUAUCGCAUUUCUUAACCAUGCAAUAAAAAACUAUUUCAUUCCUUCUAAUGUAAAAAAAACUUUUGAUUUGUGCUCACACUGCUAAUGAGCUACUUGAUCUGUUACAAGCUUAUAAACCGGAGCCAGACACCUGGACCUUUGUGUUGGAGCGCCCAAAUAAUGAUGCCAACAGUAGCCGCAGUAAGAAGUACAAAUUAGAUUUAACUCUCCGCUUGUAAAUAUUUUCUUCUGUGUUGCACCACCCAGGUGAUGUCUUCUAAACUCUACUUCUUUCCUUUCAAACAUUGAGGACAAUGUUUCGUUCUGGUUGGGGGGAGGGAAUAGUCGACAAUUGUGGAAUUUUGGUUAAGUUUUUACUAAUUUUUUGUUGUAGAAACUAACUGUUGCUAACUUUCUGUGUUGAAGAUGGUUGAAUAUGGAGUGUAGUGACUCUAGAAACGUAUCUUCAUCGUUUGAAAAAAAAAAUUUAGACAUUUUUUUUUCUUUAUUAAGUUUUUAUGUUCAUUUUUCUUCUUCUUUUUAAUUUCUCUUCUAUGAAUAUACAUUUUCCAACUUUUGAGUCGAAGAUGGCUGAAUAUGGAGAGUAGUGCCUCUAGAAACGCAUCUUCUAAGUUAAAAAAAAAAAAAACCAUUUUCGUUUUCUAUCAUUUUAAGUGUAACUUUUCUAAUUAGUUUUUAUGCAUGAUUUUCACAUUUCUGAAUGCAUAUUUUCCUUUCAUGUUUAGAAUAGGUUGGGGGGUAUAAUGUUGUUUAAAAAAAAAAAAACAAUUUUGUGUGAUUUGUUUUAACAUUGGAUGACAUGAUUAAUUUCAAAUUUUAGUAUUUGUAUUAUCUUUGGUCUUAAGUGAUGUUACGCUAUGUUUGCUACUUUACAUGUUGAUGUCGGAGACAAAUAUAAGUUGCUUGAAGGAAUGAACAUGUCAUAAAUAAGUGCCAAGUGAGUUAUUGAGCCCAUCAUUUUCUUGGAGAGUAACCCUUUUGCCCAUUCUCUAUACAGCUUAGCAGUUUAUUAUUUUAUACACGAUCUCUAGAUUUCUUUUGAGUUAACCCUUAAAAAAAAUGGUAAAAUUAAAAAAAAAAUGUGUGUUGCUACAUUGGGAGGCCCGUCUAACUAGUAGAUAUGGAUGAUUAUUUAGAGCCGUAAAAGACGAUGGAAAGGCCAUCUUUGAUCCGUUUGAGCCUUUCUAGCUAUCCCUUUUAUUAAAUAUCCAUAGUUAACCCUUUUGAGCCUUUAAAAAAAAAAAAAAACAUUUUCUUUGUCAACUUAUGAUCUUGACCCACUCCGAUUUGGAGUAUUACCCGAUGUCUUAUAAGUUCCAUAACCUAUUUAUGUUUGAGAAAAUGUAAAUAAUUAUGUUGUUCAGUGAAGUUAUGCCAAAUAAAAGCAAAAAACAAAAAAAAAAAACAAAAGUUGUUAUUUCAAAAGAAUAAAAAUAACAAUAAUAGGUGAAAUUCACCUUGCAACUUCCAAAAAAAAAAAAAUUCUCUGCAUUUUUCUCAAACAUACACUUUGUUUUCCUUAUUUCCUUUCUUUGUUAGCCAUGUCCCUAGCCUACAUUACGUCCUAAUAAAAGUCCUUCUUGAUUUUAGGGAACUAUAGCCUGAAGUAGAAGCUAGUUAUAUGGGCUAAAAAGAUGUAGUGAUGCAUAAUAAAAAAAAAAGAAAAAAAAAAGAUAAAUAAAGUGGGUUGACUAACAUUUUUAUUUGACUUGAGAUCGUAUUAUUUCUAAGCUGAUGGCAUAUUUCUUUCAUCUUGGUGAGAGCAUGUGAUAUCACUUCUUUAUUAUUUUCUCUCUCAAGUACCAUUCAUUGGAGUGACUAUUUUUAUUGGGUUUAAUUUCUUUGUGAAAGUGUCACUACUUCCAGUGAGAUUUUGGGGUUUGACAUGUCAUUCUUGAAAGUAGCUAUAACAAAGUCUACUGAGUUGAUUCAUGUGGAUGGUUGAUGUGGGUGUGAUGUUGCUUUAGACUGGAGAUAAUGCUUAUACUUUUAUUUGAUUGCUAUCAUUAAUCUGAUUGAAUAAACACGAGUGUUUCUAAAUAAUAAAAAAAAAUCAUUUUGGUUUUGAAUUUUGUUUUCGCUUUAUUUGCUAGGGACUAGCAAUAAGCUGGUUGGGGGGUGUGUUGAGUGUUAGAAAAUGUAUAUUUAUAAAGGAGAAAAUCGGCAUUUUACACUACAAGUUUUACUAACACCUUUACUUUUAUGAAUUUAACCUUCUUUUGAUUUAAUUCCGUGUGUUUUAUUUUAAUUAAGUAUUUUAUAUAUUUUAGGGGCAUCAUAGUCAUUUCACAAUAAACGAGAGAUCAGAUGGCAAAACGGACAUCACUUUUGAACUCAGGAUGGCCGAAAACCUUAGGAGGAGCAUAAAAGGAAAAAUGGCAUUGUUCACAUGUACGGUACUAUUCACGUGUACGAUACUGUCUACGUUACUGUUCACGACACUGUUCUCAUAGACAGAACGAUGAUGUGGCAUUGACCGAUGAUGUGGCAUUGACUGAUGAGGUGUCACGAUCCUGUUGGGCUAAAAUUCUUAUGUACUGUUGAUGGUGACGUGGCAGCAUAUCAGUGGACGAAAAAUCUCGCGUACGGUACAUGCAUCACACAGGAUUAUUUUCAACCAAACCGCGUCACUGUUCACCCGGGUCAAACCGUGUUACUGUUCACUCGCGUGGUCAAACCGCGUACUGUUGACUGAUGACGUGGCGCAAUUCUGAGCGUCCGAACUGUUUUUAAUCCGAUGGCCAUGAUUUACUCCAUGUAUCUAUAAAAAGGGGGCUUCCCUCCCCUAAUUUGAUAUCUCUGAAUCCAUUUUUGGGAUCCAUUUUCUGUAAUUCCUUCUCCAUCUUGUAUUUUCUACGUAUUUUAAUAAAUUUCCAUUUUGCCCCUAGUUCAAUUAUGAGUGGCUAAUUUUCUUUCAAGCUUGGGUUGAAGGUGAAGUCUCAACAUGUGUCAUGAGCUUUAUUUGGUAAAUUUAUUUUCUCUUCCCCUCUAGUUUUUGUGGAUGUUUUGACUUCUCGUCGACAAAUAAUAAUAAUCUUGUCUAGAUACCGCCUUGGUUACACCGGCUCUCUAGUACAAGGUUAUUAUUAUUUGGCACGAUAAGCCCUUAGCACCAUAUUGAUUAGAGCGUGGUUCAUGAGGUGUGGAUUCCCCCCUCAUGAUUUAAUUGGCAUUAAUAAGGAUUAUUUAGCCCAUGAUGCAUGUUGAUACGGAUCCAGAUACCCAAGUACGUCAUUUCAAUAGAAUUCUCUUCAAUUUAUUCUCGCCAUUUCAAUACCAAUUUUAGAAUUUAUUCUCGCCAUUUUAAUUUAAGUUUUAGCAUAUUCCAAAUCAUUUCCACCACAAAUCCAAUUACCCAUUUACAAAAUUAAUUCUACACAAUUAAAAUCCACCUCCUCGUGGGAUCGACACUCGUCACCAUUGAUCUAUACUACAAUAGAUUCGUGCGCUUGCGAGUACAUUAAAAUUUGCACAACAAAAGUGACCCCAAGUUGUUCUUGAAUAGAUCUUUGUUCCCAUGCAUGAUGGUGGCCACCAUUGGUUUAUGCUGUUGGUUAAAAUUAAAGACAAACAAGCGGAGAUCUGGGAUCCACUACCGGAUGCACGACGGACACGAGAUCGAGAAAUCUAAGUGAAUAGUAUUGUAAGCCCAACUAAUUUUUGAUAAAAAAGAUGAGUUUAGUUUUCUGUGUAUUGUGUUAUUAAUACAUGUGAUGUAUUUUUGCACUUGAAAAUAGUUACACUCGUUGGAUGCUAUACUUCAUGGCAUCGUGGAUGCUAUACUUCAUGGCAUCGUGGAUGCUACAUAUUUAGUAACUUGGAGUUUCUUGUCAUUUGUAGCGACCCAUAGGGAAGGAGUUCCACGGCAACCUAACGGUUUUGAUUGUGGAGUUUACGUCAUCAAAUUUAUGGAUAUUCCUGGAAUCAUCACCAACAAAUCGUAUGUGGUACGCUCCCUUAUUUGCCUUAUGUGGUUUCUUAGUUGAUUUUACUACUGUUGUUGGGCCAUUGACAUGAUGAAAGUGCAUGAUUAUUUCCGCAGCAUGACUCACAGAAUGUUCAGGCGCAACUUGCGUUACAACUUAUAAACUCUCCGUUCAACGAACAAUGCGAUCAAUUAUUGGCGUUGGCUAAUGCACACUACAGUAACACUGCAACGUACAUAAAUGAAUCGAAGCUUGCAUCAACAGUGAAGCCUCGUAAUGUGUCCACCAGAAAAGGUCAUAUGAACAGUUGCACAAAACAUCUUUUCAGGCGGAAGGGCUGAGAUUGUUGUGAAUAUAGAUUAUGAUAAUUUUUUGAUAACUUCAUUCACAACUCUAAACUUUUGCUAAAUUUACCUUGUAACUGGCGUUGACGUACGAGUCAUGUAAAUUGUUUUGAUGAUCCGAAGCCGUAGAGGGAUCAAUUGGGCAAUUAUAAUUUUUUCCUUCGUCAACCGGUUGUAUUAAUUAAUACAUGUUGAAAUGAAGAUAAUUGCUGUAAAUGUUGCUAUUAUCACUAAGUACGCAAAAUAUGUUAUUACAUUGCCAUUGUUCACUUCUUACAUGAUAAUAUAACUCAAUGAUUUCCAAAAAGUUCGUUCUGCCCCCUCGGUUCAGAUCCAAAAAGUGCAUUAUUAGCGAUCAUCCUCUAUCCUCCAAGUAUGUGUACCGUCGUCAACUAAGCAUAAUAUAAAUCCGAGUUAGUUAAACAACCUAAGAAAGUUUGCCAGGCAAAUUCAUAUAUCAAGGGAUAUCACUUACAAGUUAUUAUGAGGCCACCAAUUAUAGUAUGUGCUUGCAUCGGUUUCAUAGGUUAUACCAAUUGUGUUACUGCUGUCGUAAUGGCCGUCAAUUCCUUCUGAGAUGUCAUGCCUCCAAGGACAAGUUGUCUUGAACGUAAAUGUUGGGGAACUUGGCGAGCCUAAUUCCAUCGAAACAGGUGGUGUUAACACAUUAUAAGAACAAUGCCUUGGCUGAUCGUCAGUCGAAACACAACCAGUACCGCCAACGUUGCAAUGAAGGUCAUUAGGCUGCAUGUCCUUUGGCGGAUAUAGCGGGCAAGUCCGUUUAGUAUGGCUAGACUAAAAACACUUACUGCAUUUGCGAUUUUUAACCCCAUCAUGUUUAACGGUUUUAGAGCUACCUUUACUGUUAACUGUAACCGAGUCUUUCAACUUCAUACUUGCUUGAAGUACAUAAUUCCUGGCUCGUUUAGCUGAUUCAUCAUCGGCAACCAUCUGUUCAACGCGAAGCGUCAGCCGUUGAAUCUCGUCUAACGCUAUCAUAUAACUUUGUUCAUUCUUUGUAGCGAAAAGACAAAGAUUCGUACAUGCCACUGAAAGUGAGCAAACCUUUGCUGUUUCUAACACUUCCUUAUCAAGGUGUGACGCUGCAGCGGUCAUUUUCAUCACUUUACUCACCUUCACUGAUUUUUUUCAGUGACCAAGAAUCAAUGUUGGUGGUAUGCGAACUAGUUGCUCGAAUUUCAUGACGUGAAAUAUAUGCCUGUAUGGAAUACCUGCUGAUUCCAUCAUUUUACAUGAAUAAGUAAUUGCAACUUCUUUAUUAUAAAGUACCACUGUCCAUUUUUAUUCUGGAUGCUGAAAUUUCGUCAAAAUAUAGAUGUUGGAAUUAGCUGUCUUAGCACACCCGAGCAUAAUUAGCGUGGCUUCUCCGAGGAUCUCCAUCCGAAACCACUUCAAUACAUUCCUUGUAUAUAUUUCGGAUGCAUGUUUUUCAAUGCUUUGCAGAUGUGUUGUAAGAACUGGGGCUGUGUGGUUUGUCUCAUACUCAUCUUGGACUUCUUUGUGCCGUAUGCAAUACAUUGCACGAUGAAUUUGUCUAAUGAAAUCAUAUAGUUUUAGCUUCUGCUCAACAAAGCGACACAAGUGAGAAUUCAAGCUCUCACACCUUUGUGUGGUUCGCAUUCCGGCGAAAAAAGUUCCUUUCAAAUAAGCCUCUGUCCAUUUUCUACGCUUUGCAUACAUUUUUUCCACCCAAGAAUUUUGUUCCAGUCCCAGAUCAUAGACAAUAGAGAACCAAUCUCGAUCAAACUCCUCCAUGGACAUUGGAUUCAACAUUAACUGCCGAAACUUCGACGUGAACUCAUUUCUCUUCACAUUUGCUUGUGCAUUCCGCUCAAGAUGCCAGCAGCAGAGUCGGUGUACAUAUCCAGACAUAACCGUUUUAAUCGCUUUACAUAGCUUUAUCACCAUCUGUUAUGACACUUAUGGGUUUUUUUUGUUUCAUUGCUGAUAAGAAAGUCUGUAGCAGCUACACAUAUGAUUCAACAGUUUCGUCAAUCAGUAUCGCAAAUCCAAAAACAGUAGUUCUUUUAUGAUGAUUUACACCAACGAAUGCGACUAAAGGUUUGUUGUAUGCAUUUUUCUUGUACGAUGUACUUAGAAAAUAAAAAUAAAAAUAAUUCUUUUGCAAGUAACAUCAUAGAUGAGAAAUUAUCCAGUUCAAGAUCUUGGACUCUCUUAAAUGUCCAAAAAACUUGUUACAACAUAUGGUGUAUGAGUGUGGCGUAAUAGUUAAAUAAUAAUGUUAAAAUUAUAACAAUGAUAAAUAAUAAUGUUCGCAUUUAAUGGCUAGUUUCAUCAUUAUAACAACCAAAACACUCGAGCAUUCCAAUGCAUUUUAACUCAAGGCACGCACGCACGAGCAUGAUUACUGAUUCACACAUGCAUCUUUAAUUAAUUAACUAAAAUUUGGUACUUGAAAAGUCUUUGGGAGUGCCCACAAAUUGAAAUUUGGUACCACAAUUAACGCUAAGAAAUGAAUCUGGCUACGGCAUAUCCUGCAACGACAUGGAUAAAGGACUGUUCCACCAUUCAACCUGAAAUCAUCAAGUGAAAGAAACAAGAUCAUGAGCGUUGUUUUUUUAUAUUGUGAAAGCCGACUCGAAGUAAUAAUAAUAAUAAUUAAUAGACCUUACCAUUGGUUAUCACAUUAUUGUCCAGUGCAUCUUCCUCCCCAUUCCCUGCAUACAGUUAACCAAGCUGAGGACCAACCACACGGCCACACCAGUAUGUCUCGAGAAUCUUUACUGACUUCUCAUGGAUCUUGUUGUUGUCAUGACUUCGUAGAUUUUCUAUCUUUUCUAAUCCCUCAGCCUCUUCAACCAACUGGGCAUACUGAUUAACAUCUCCAAUGGCUGUGUCCAUAUUCUUUUCAGCUUCCCCGACCUUCAAAAUGUUCUCUAAUCCUUGUAAGCAAACAGUGACGAUCUUUGGAUCAGCGCAAAGAAGGAGAUCACACAAUGGUUUUAUACACCCCUCUCUCACGAGGUACUUGAUUUGCUCAUGAGUGUCAACCUUGGUGGCAUUUGAAAUUGCCCGUGCGGCCCACUCCUUUAUAUCAAAUUCAGCAUUUUGAAGCAGAUUGACAAGGGGACCAAUAAAGCCAGCAUCAAUUACCGCCUGAAUCUGUUCCUUGUUUCCAGCUGUGAUAUUUGCAAUAAUCCAGCAUGCAAACUUCUUAAUGCGAUUUUCAUGAUCAUGGAUCAACAGGCCCAAAAGGUACGGCAGUGCACCACAGUUAAUUAUACACUGAGUCUGGAAAUCAUCUCCCCUCACAAUAUUU
rnacentral:lncRNA from 1 species